rnacentral:lncRNA from 1 species
GUGUUUCCAGAAAUAUGUUGUGUCGGGAACUUAAUUUAAUAAUAGUACGAAAGUGUUAAAUACUAUUAUGUUAUUUUAUAUUCCCAUAACUUGUAAACAUUAUUGUGAGUGCUUAAUAAGUUCUUCUUAUAUUCUUUCUCGACUUGCAGCUGCCACUCCUCUUCGCCUUAGCUCGUUCCAGCUCUCCGUGGUCGGUGCUCCUCACCUCUGUCUGGAGAGGGCUGUUCUGCUUUCUUUUGUUCGGUUAUGCUUCUCUGCUUAUUCAGUUUUCAGCAGGGAAGUUGAGGAGUCACCACUUUGGGAAAGAUUAUCUGGUGGUUGAGGUGACAGAUCUAUUCAUUGUAAUUGUGUGGCGUUUGGCAGUUCAUCGGCGAUCUGUCUACCUCUUCUUGUCUCGUCUUAAGUGAUCUUUCGAUCAAAAUGGUGUUUUGGCCUCUCUCUGGUUCGUCUGCUCUUUCUCAAUGGCAGGGAUUUGAGUACUGUCCCUGCUCCAGUCAAGUGCGGUGGUCAGGGUGCGACGUCUCAUUAGUGGCAUCUCUUUUCGGCGUGUGCAUAUUCUCCUUCGUGAGGUUAUGCCUAGGCGGAUGUCUUGGGUCUGGCGUGAGCACCUCUUCGGUGAUGGCUGGGGGUGGCGCUUCAAUGUGGUGGAGUUCAGAGUUUCCCCUUUGUUUGCUCUUCGGAUCUAUCCAGAUCUAUUAUGGUUUCCAGCGUGGCUUCGCUUCAAAGGUUAUGGACAUGGGAUUAUUCAAUUGAGUUUUGGUCUGCUGCAGUGUUGGUGGUGAUUAGGUGUUGAAUAGAGGCAUCGGUCUGACUUUGGCGGCUCUGUUGCAACCUUGGGAGAUGAUUCUUCAGGAUUUUAUAGCUUGAGGAUGCUGGCCGGAGGCAACUUCUCUGAUUGCUAGUAGAAGCUCCUAUGCCGCCGGGUGUAGCUUGAUCUUCUGAAGUUGGUUCGUUUUCAUAGUUCUUGGAGAAGCUAUAGGCUAUUCUCACUUGCGAGGUUUAAGGGCAGGUCUCGGAAAGAGGAGCUCUUGGCAACAAAGAUGAGGAUUCCAGUUCUUUGGAUCUGCGGCAACUUUGCAAAUGUUCGAGUUCUAUACUCGGAAUUGGUGCUUUAUCAUCCAUGAUCCCCUUAAUUUAUUUUUAGGUGUUUUUUGUUUGUUGCUUUUGCUUGUUUUUCUUUGUAGCUUUAGUCUUUAUUGUAGUUUUUAGUUUUUCUGUUUUUUUAUUUUCUCUGUAUUCUGUCAAAUAUUUAAAAUUUGUUAUAAAAUUUAAUAAUCUACCAAUUUUUUUUUUGUGCACCGAUUUUUUAAGUUCUCAUUUCUUUGAUUAUAUGUGGGAGUGCAUAUUGUGUUUUCUUUGGUGGACCUUUUAUUUCUCUGUCUAUUUUUGUGUAUCAUUUUAAGUUAUGAUUUUUUUUUUUUGACGUCAAAAGGCCAUUCUAUUACUCAAACUUGAGGUGGUCUGGGUAACCAAACCGGAAUAGAACAACCAACAAAAUGUAAUUCUCUAUGGAAAGAUCUAGCAGUCUUAGCUAAAAAAUCAGCAGUCCGAUUGUGCGUCCGUGGAACGUGAGAGAUGUUGAAAGCUGGGAAGCAUAUCUGUAGCGUUCCUAUCCUCUCCAAUUCUGUCGAAAAGCUUGGCCAUGCCUGAGGGUCCUUUACCAUUGCAAUCAGUUCCUUACAAUCUGUUCCAAAGCUCUGACAGGUCGAAUAUUGUAGCAUGUUCUCCAUCGCCCACCGUAGUGCUUCUACUUCCGAGUGUAAGGCUGAUUCACGUCGGGGAAGGUUCCUUGCUCCCAUAAGUUGAGUCUCCCCAGAGCUAUCCAUCCAUGCCCAUCCGCUUCCACUAAAGUUAGCAGAAGAUGUCCAAGAGCCAUCUAACAAGCAAAUAUUCCUCAAGCGUACGACUUGGGGUUCCUCACUUAUAUUAUCUUGUGCCUCAGUUUGUACCACAUCAUUCGCAUCAAACCAAGCUUGGCAUUCACUCUCUGCAUGUCUAACUAGUUCCAAUGGAUCUCUGUCUGUUCCCCUAAAGAGUUUUUCAUUCCUAGCCUUCCAAAUGUACCAUAUUAUCCAGGGAUAUGGAUCCCUAUCAUACUCUGGCCCAAUGAUACUAUUCUUCCUCCAGAAUAGAUAAUCCAUAUUUGUGUAGACGCUCGAAACCGGGAAAAUAUUUGGGCCUGUCGGAGUUGAUGAUAAAGACCAUGCUUGAAGAGCUGGUGGACAUUCAAAAAUUGCAUGUGUGACGGUCUCCUCCACUUCUCCACAUCUUGGGCAGUAAUUAUCACACCUCAUAUUGCGUCUAAUUAAGUUCCUCGUUACUGCCACGUGACCAGUUACCAACUGCCAUAUAAGAUGACAUAUCUUCGUAGGAGCCUUUAAUUUCCACGCAAAGGCUUGGAGCUUUGUAAUACUAGGCUCUAAAACAUCCUUUUCCUCUGUUAUCUUUAAUAGAUUCUGGGCCACCCAAUAUCCAGAUUUGACCGUGUAUUGUCCAUUCCUUGUAAAGUCCCAGCAGAAGGUAUCACGACGAUGAGUUGAACUUAUUGCCAAACUCCUUAUGAAUGGUAUAUCCGCAAGAUGAACAUAAUUCUCCAAUAGUCCCACAUCCCAAUCCUUUGAUUCCUGAUCAAUAAGAUCGCUUAUUCUCAUAUUAGGAUGCAUCACUGGAGCUAUGGGGACAGCAGGCCUCGCGGGGCUCAAUGGGAUCCAUGGAUCCACCCACACCUUAACUUCAUAGCCUGAAUGUUUCUUCUGCCUAAUACCCAGUAGUAGCAAUUUUCUUGCAGCAGAAAUGCUAGUCCACACAUAUGAUGGGCUAGUCACAGCGUUUACUCUCAAGGGAGAGCUCAAAUUAUAAUAUCUUCCCCGUAAAACUCUAGCGACCAGAGAAUUAGGGACCUGUACUAGUCUCCACAUUUGCUUAGCCAGAAGAGCCAGAUUGAACUCAUGGAUCAUUCGGAAACCAAUUCCACCCUCCUCUCUUGGUAGGCACACUUUUUCCCAUUUUGCCCAGUGUAUUCCUCUCUUAGGUGGAUUCGAGCUCCACCAGAACUGGGCGAUGGCACUAGCUAAAUUUUCACAUAUCUCCAAUGGGAGCAGGAAAGUCGACAUGACGUAUGUCGGAAGAGCAAGCAGGAUGGAUUUGAUCAACACCUCCUUUCCACCUUUUGAGAGCCAUCUACCUGUCCAUCCAUUCACUCUAUGCAUCAGCUUAUCUUUCAGGAAUGCAAAAAGCUUGCAUUUAGAUCCACUUAUGUCUUCGGGAAUGCCCAAGUAUGUUCCCAUUCCACCUUCAUUCUGUAUCCCAAGUGCAUCUUUAAUCUCUUGUCUAGUAGUUGCAUUAAUCCGCUUACCGAAGAGUAAGGACGAUUUGUCAAAGUUGAUACAUUGACCAGAUGCCUUGCCAUAUCUUCUGACUACUUUCAUAACUUCUUCACAUUCACGGGGCUCCGCCUUACAGAAGAAAAGGCUAUCAUCAGCAAAGAGAAGGUGGGAUACCGACGGACACGUGCGUGUAACACGCAUCCCUGUUAUCUUCCCUUGUAUCUCUGCAUGAUUAAGAAGGCUAGCGAGCGCUUCCGUGCAUAGAAUAAAAAUGAAAGGAGACAGAGGAUCUCCUUGGCGUAAACCUCUACCUGGAGUAAUAUUUCCUCUUGGUUCUCCAUUCAUGAGAACCUUAUAUUUCACCGAUGUAAUGCAUCGCAUGACCCAGCUGAUCCAAAUUUCUGAGAAACCCAUCUUACGCAGGACAACUUCAAUAAAAGACCACUCCAUCCUAUCAUAUGCUUUGCUCAUGUCUGUCUUGAUGGCCAUCCUUUUAUUCCGUCCACUUGGCUUCGUUCGCAAUGCGUGGAACAUUUCCUGAGCGAUCAUAACAUUAUCAGAAAUCUGUCUCCCAGCAACAAAGGCUGACUGGAUUUCUGAUAUCAAGCCUGGUAGUACUUUUUUUAACCUCUGGCAUAAGACUUUAGAGAUAAUCUUGUAGCUGACAUUGCACAUACUAAUGGGCCUAAACUGAGCCAUCGCAUUUGGCUUCAUUACCUUCGGGAUGAGACAUAUAUUUGUAUCAUUCAGUCCUUUCGCCACCACCCCCUCAAAGAGGAAAUUAUUAACCAUAAGAGUUAGAUCCUCUUUUACUAUGUCCCAGAAUUUCUGGUAAAAAAGUGCAGUCAUCCCAUCUGGUCCUGGAGCCUUCUCUGGAUGCAUGGCAAAAAGCGCUAAUUUGACUUCCCAUUCAGAGAUCGGGGCUGUAAGGUUAGCAUUCAUAUCACCAGUGAUCGUUGUUGGAACUUGAGCUAGCGCCUCCUCAAUUUCCUCCUGAUUCGAUGAUUCAAAAAUCUGCCUAAAAUAGCUAGUAGCAAUGGCUACUAGUCCUUCUUCAUCCUCAACAACAUUUCCAUUCUCAUCCAAGAGCUGUGUGAUCUUAUUCCUUGCUCUUCUUUGCUUCGUCAAAGCAUGGAAAAAUUUUGUAUUUCUAUCUCCUUCUCUCAACCAAAACACCCGACUCUUCUGUUUUCAGAACAUCUCUUCUGCUUUAAGGGCAUCUGAGAGUUCCUUUAAGGCUGCUGCAAUUUCCUCAGUUGUGGCACUAUCAUGUGCAUACAAACCUUCAACUUUUUCUUUAAGCUCCUCCACUAAUUUUGCCGAAUUGACAUUAUUUUGCCUUCGCCAUUCACUCAAUGCUCUCCUGCAGCUGGAAAUAUGUUCCAUGAUAGACGCAUUGGGGGGAGAUCAGGGGAUUUCCAUCCCUCAAGGAUAACUUGCCGUAGCUCUUCAUUAUCCAGCCAUCUUUUGUCAAACUUAAACUUUUUGGAUCUUCUCGUGGGCUUUAUGAGUAUGUCUGCAAGAAUCGGACGAUGGUCCGAUCCCCAUAGCCUCAUAUACUUUACAGCCGAGUGGGGAAACUUCUCAUGCCAGUCUGCAUUUCCUACAGCUCUGUCUAAACGACAUCGGACUGUUGAUCCUCCUGCCCUCUUCCCCACCCAAGAAAGCAUCUCACCUGUGAAAGGAAAUUCCAGCAUACCACAAUCAUUAAGCAUCUGCUUAAAAGGAAGAAAAGAACUAUCAGGGCGUUGUCGUCCUCCUGCUUUCUCAUCAUGACAUGUUAUUUCAUUAAAAUCUCCUAUCAUGAACCAAGGUCCAUUUCUUGUUGUUGAGAAACGCGUAAGACGUUCCCAAACUUGUUCUCUUCUUUCUAAUACAGGGUCUCCAUAAACAAACGUCAUAUAGACUUUUAUUCCAUCAAUGACUGCCUCAAUGUCAAUCAUACGAUUAUUUGAAAAUAAAACAUUAACUUGAAAUUCAUCCAUAAAAAAUAAAGCUAAACCUCCGCUGAGUCCAAGUGGCUCAACAGUAAACAAAUGAUCAAAUCCUAAGUCGGUCUGAAUGUUUUGCAACAACAGCCGUUUAUUCUUCGUCUCAGAAAGGAACACAAGUCCUGGGCGAUGCUUCUGACACAUCUCCUUAAGGCGUCGAACUGUGAGGUUGUUCCCAAUCCCUCGACAGUUCCAACUGAGUGUCUUCAUGGAUGAUGUCUGGAGGUGUUUUUGGACCCCUCCAAACCAGAAUCGCUGCAUGAACUGUCCCUAUGAAUCCUUUUCUGUCCAGAAUGAUGAGUUUCUGAGCGUUGUACGUCGCGAGAAGAUGAUCUACGCAGCUUCGGAGAUCCCCGACGGAGGAACUCUGCUUUCUUUUUUGGAAGGCCGAGAGGGAUGCCAGCCCUGCUUCCAAAUUUGCGUGAAGACGUAGCUUUAGGUUUCCCUAUCAUAGCCUCCACACCCUUGGCUCCAUCAGUUUCCGCGGCCUUUGUGGCUUCAGCAUCCAUGUCCAUGAGUUCAUCCCCCAGCAAGUCAUCAUCAUUAUCCACAACCAUCAAGGAAUCCUCACGAUCCCCUUCCUCCAUAUUACUUGUGCCAAUGAUCUCCAUGCCAUUCAAAGCUCCUAUUAUCUGAGAAUCAUCCAGCUGGUCUUUCUCCUUAGGAGAGAAAGACAGUAGGCGAACUGUUUCUCUAUCUCUUUUAGUAACAUUUCCAUCACUUCCCUGUCGAGACGGAGUUACAAUCGUACUUGCAAUCUUUUUCUGCUACUGCGAUCCUCCAUGUCUAUAUCCGCUGACCUUUGAGGAGGCGGGCUGGCCGUCAGCGUUGAGGUCAUUCCAUGAGCAUAAGGCUCACAGCUUAUCAUCUCCAGGCCCCGGCGUUUCUCCGUUUUCUCCUUAACCUCCCAUGCUUGAGUUUGUUGUUUCUGAUAAGGUGCGUACCUUUUGUUGCGACGUGAGAAGCUCGAGUUGUAUCUGUUCUCUUUGCCACCUUGCUUUCUCAAAAAGCUUUCAUUAUAAGCCUCAGAACGAUAAUAACCAGCCCUAGCAUCAUUCAUGAAGCCACCAUCAUGCAUAUGUUUCCUUAGAGGUGAUAUACUGCGACGGCUUCCCUUACCGUAACGAUCAGAACGUGAAUAGGACUCGUAUCUGACAUAAGGUUUCUGGUCUCGCGGCAACGGCUCUCGAGAUGUUUUGACAGUAGGUAGCUGAACCCUUUCAAAGACACCAGUUCGCUCACCACGAUCUCUUUCAACUGGAAACUUCAUCGGACAAUAAGCCACUUCAUGAGUCAACAUCCCACAAGAUGAACAAUGUUUGAAGAGCUUAUCGUAAUGAAUUUGAAUCGAGACCUCCUCUCCUCCAGGUGAUGCUAUCUUCCGUGUGAAUGUUAGCGGUUUCCUAGUGUCAACGUCAAUCAGCAUGCGUCCUGCCGAGAGUUCGACAGUGUCAAUAUGGCCAAGCCUGCCUCCAAUGUUCCUUAGGUUUUUGAUCGUCCAUAAAUGUAAUGGAAUGCCUGUAAUCUCAACCCAGAAAGGGAUGAUCCAAGGGUAAUCGUCGUGAACAACGGGUUCCCAACGAACAAGCACGAACAUUCAGAAAUUGUAGUGAAACGGCCCUUGACGAAGGACCGACUGAGGAUCAUCUUCACUCAUAAAGUUGAGGAGAAACUUCCCACUUCCAAGGUCAUUAGCUGUGAUCCUAUCGUGCAUCUUCCACUGCGCCGGCAUGGUUUGGAUCAGCUUGAUCACGGAUUGUUUCUUAGGGUUUAAGAUCUUCCCGAUCAGUGACAUACGAUAAUCCUUAAUGGUAGGAGAAUCAUCUUCAUCCGUUAGUUGGAUAGGUUCAUCGUCGUUGUCGUAACAUAUACGUUUCCCUUUUAUAUCAGCAAUAUGAGCUGAGAGUUGUCGAUUCAUCCUUUGGCUUGGUACGAGACUAUUUGCCGGCAGACCCACUCAAAAUCGAAAGAUGAUAUCGAGAUCGAAAGGUGAGAACGAAGGGUUGAUCACAACGAAGAUUAUAAUCAAAACUCCGGUACAUGAACGGUGAGGCUCUCGUCAGGUAAAGGAUGACUGAGAGGUAAUUUAUUGUCAAAGAACAACAGAUCUGUCAAUGGAUCAAAUCCCUAAGAGGAUCUGAUCAAGCCGCCAUGGAGUCGCCCUUGGAGUCGCCAAAGAGAAAACCCUAUUUGCUUUUAUUUUUAAGUUAUGAUUUAACGAUGGGGUUAUUAUAUAUAUUUUUUCUUAAUGAAAAACAUGUGAAGUUGUGAAUCUAGAGUUUAUAUAAACUAAUAUUGACGAUUUAUUUUAUUUAUAAAUUUUUUAAUAUUAUCAUUAUUAUUACUUUUAAAUAUAAUUACAAGAAAACUAAAAUUUUUUUUUUGAAACACAAGUAAACUAAAGAAUAUAAAACUAAAUUGUUACACAAACGUUUUUUUGGAACGCUACAUUUAAAUCAUCAAAGUUAUACCGGUAAACCAUCUGUUACAAGGCCUGUUUCCCAAUAAGUCAGCAUCAGAAUUCCUUCCAGGUUCGAAUGGUAUGCAGAUCAAGAAAAUGCAGAUCAAACCCAAAACGCAGAUCUAGCAGAACAAAUGCAGAUCAAGCAGAACAAACGCAGAUCAAGCAGAUCAUACAGAACAAAUACAGAUCUAACUCGUUAAGCUAAUUUAUCGAAUUAGUGUAUUUAACCAAAUGUUAAAAAUAAUUUUGUAAAUUAAAUAUCUAAAACAAAAAUACAAAUUCUUAUGAAUUAUUAUUUUGAUUAAUUUAAUAAAUAUAAAUAAAAUUUAAACAUUAUAUAAAAUGUGAACACAAUUACAAAAAAAAACCGAAAACAAAAAAAAGUAUUAUGAUUCUAAUAAAUAUAUUGAAACUUAAAAAAUAGAUAAAAUUCAUUAAAAUGACAAAGAGUAUUCCAUUUCCUUUUAAUUAUUUUUAUAGUCCAAAUUAAAAUCUAACUAUGAUCUAAAGACGUUAAUUAGGGCUGGACAUAAAAUUUUUAACCUGAAUUUUGUUCCAAACCCGAACCGAAAAAAUGACUUGUAUCAAGUCCAAAAUGUAAAAAAUACAUGAAUGGGUUUUGUAGGGUGUUAUAAAACAUAUCCGAACCGAAAGUGUUAUAAACUGUCCCAAACAGGUGAAAAAUCUAAAAAAUAUCUGAAAAAAUGAUCUGAAUAAAUGUAGGAGCAAAAAAUAUCUAAACAAAAUACAACUUACUAUAUAUAAGUAAUAAAAUCAGGUAUAACAUACAGAAACUAAAUUAUAAGAAAAUUAUGAAUAUACCAAAUAAAUAUAUAUUAUUUACUAUAGUCUGAUUUAUUUUAUUGAUUUAGUAUGUUUUCUUAGUAUAUGUGAAAAUACUAAUAAACGUUAUCUUUAACGAACAAAAAUAAUAUGUAAGAGAAAAAACAUGUUUGAUAUUUUUCAUUGUGCAUGCAUUCAUUAAAUUUCUAGUUUUAGUUUUAGUUGUUACAAGUUUUCCAAUAUAUGUAAUCAAUAUAUGAAUUAUCAAUAAAAUGCAUGAAUUCAUUUACUGAUUUAGUUUUUAUACACAACUAUUAAUUCAUUUAUUUAUUAAUUAUCAAAAAUAGAAAUAAAAAUAAUUAUAAGAUAUAUGUUUUAUAUUUUUCAAAACACUAUAUAUGAUUAAUUAGUGAAGUUAUAUAUUUUCUAUUAUACAAAAAAAAAUAACAGCAUAAAUAGUUAUUAUAUAAAAACUAUGAAUAUGUAAUGAGAAUAUAAAUAAUUGUAUAUGAAAAUAUUAUAGUAUAUAAUAUAUCUUUACAAAGUGAAAAGAUAAACUAUUAAACCAUAUUUGAGAAUCUUUAGUUUGAAAAAACAUAAUAAGUAGUUAAUUAAUUGUAGACAAAACAAAUAUUUAACUAAUUAAAAAAAAAAGUGAAAACAGGGAUUGGUCACCUUCAUCACCACCGCUAGUUUUUCCCUUGUACAUGCAGGAUUUGUAUUAAAAUGUUCUGGAUACAGUCCAUAAUUAUUUUAUUAUUUUUUCUUGUCCUCCUUUUAAAAUCGUGAAUGAGUACUAAUUGCAGAUUGGACUACAUAACAUUUUCUCCCGCUUUUGUUCUGCUUUUUCUCUGCGUCACAUUCAGACCUAGGAAUCAAAUAUUAGUUUUAAUUUUUUUUUGAUGAUCUGGACACUUUUAAUGGUGAGAAAAGUCUGUUAUUAAUUUAUUAUGUAAUAGACCGAAUGGUGGUAGAUACGUGGACUCUCGAGUCUGUUUGUGGCCACACAAGUUAAGAUAAUUUGGUUAGAAACUAAAAUGUCACAGACAAUUUAAUGCUAAUGGGUUGGUGGGCUCCUUGCUCUGGAAUAACCUAGACUACUGAAAAUCAGACAACUAUAAAGAAAAGUCUGAAAAUCGGACCUAAACGAAUCUUAUGUAAAGAAAUAUAUCAGGAAAAAAUUGUAGGCAAAUUAUUAAGGUCUUUUAAAUUUUAUACAAAGUAAGAAUUCAUUUUUCAAAUUUAGGUAAAUUUGAAACAACAAAAAGUGAUACUAAAAGAUAUAGUUUUGAGUAUUUUUAUUUAAAGAAAUAAAUGAUAUACAAGGUUAUAUAAUAUCAAGUUAUAACGUUAAAAAUGAAAUCAUAUAUAUAUAUAUGUAUAUAUAUAUAUAUAUUAUUUCUAUUAUAUGAUAUUGGUUCACUACAAACAAUACGUACUAUUUAAAGAAAUCGCAUAAUAUUGUUGAUUGAAUCAAACAAUUUAUAAUUUAAGCCAUUUCUCAAAAAAAAAAAAAACAAUUUAUAAUUUUACGAAAAUUAAGAUUUAUAAUUUAAAAUUUGUUGCUAAAUUAUUUAAUUUUGAUAGUAUAUUAUUAACUUGCUGCAAUUUUGAAACGCAUGUAAUUUGUUGGGGAAAAUUAAAAAAAUAAAACAAUACCGUCCUACGGUUAAUGCAUUUUCAAUACCUUUUUAUUCUGUCCAUGGAUCCUUUUCCGUGUAACAGCCGGUCCGUUAAUUUUACGUAGGUGCAAAAAUAUUAUUUAUUAACUCCACAAUCACUACAUAAACUUUUUACAUGCUUUGGUCUCAUUUACAUGAUAUCACUUAUCAUUUAAUGAUAAGUUAUUCCAUCUUUUCGCUAUUCCAGUUGAAACACAUUUAACUUUAGAGUUCUUUCUGGAUGUGUGACCGGAAAAGUAAGUGCAUUUUAAUGACAAAGAUAGCCAAAUCAAUCAUCUUAAGACUUUCAACAUAUACCACAAAUCACGAUGUUACAAUUCACCAUCUCUCAUAACGGAACAUCCUCGUUGUGCCUCAUGAUCGUAAUCCAUGUUAGGUAUGCUGAAAGGGCCUGGGUAUGAUGAUGUAACAGUUGUUGCAGGAUAUGCAGAUACAGGGAAGGCAUUGAAUCAGGUUUCUCAGACAUCAACACCAGGAUGGACAACAUGUUCACCGAGCUGAAUACAAAGUAUGAUAUUGUGAGCAAUCGCAUAAAGAUGAUUGAUGUACAACUUGCUCAAACAGCUGAGAGUGUUAAAAGGCAGCAAGGUAUGCUUCAUGGAAAGAGUGCGAUGAAUCCUAGGGUUGAGAACUGUAAUGCAACAGAGCUGAGAUGUGAAAAAGCUGAGGAAAAAGAUCCAGAGCAACUGUCUGCUAAGACUGCUCUAGGCGCAGAAGAAAGAAUAGAGCAGCUUGCUAGCUCUGAAGUGACUGCUCCCGACGAACCUAUUGAGAUUUCACCAGUGCGAGUCUAUGUUCCUAAGGUUCCAUAUCCAAUUCCACCUAGACAUUUGAUGGAUCCCAUUAGUGCAGAACAACUGGCCGGGUUUAUGAAGAUGGUGAGAAGGCUUCCUCAAAAUAUCUCAUUUGAACAUGCUUGGGAGAUUCGACCAUUGCAUUUGUUCUUCAAAAACUGCAGAGAAUCUCGGGAGAAAAUCAAGGCACUCUUUACUGAAGCACUGACACCAUCGCUGAAGGUACUGCCUAAGGUUGAUGACCCUGGAAAUUUGUUUUUCCUUGUUCCAUUGCUGGAGUGGAAUUCAAGGAAGCUCUUUGUGAGUAUGGGUCUAGUGUAAACCUUGUCUCAAAAGCGAUUGUAGACGAGCUGGGCAUUGUUGAUGUGUGUAAACCUUGUCUCAAAAGCGAUUGUAGACGAGCUGGGCAUUGUUGAUGUUGAGCCUUCUCAGGUGAAGCUGGCUUUUACCAACUCUUCCAUGGCAGUCCCUUAUAAAACUAUUCACAAUCUUCCUGUCCAGGUUGGGGACUGCAUGCUCCAUACCGAAUUUCAGGUUGUUGAUAUGAGCAAAGAUCAUGAGAUGCCUUUGAUCUUUGGGAGGUCAUUUAUGGCUACAGUUGGAGCAAAUCGAGCAAUAAUCGACCUGCCUAAUAAGAGAGUCUCCUUCUCCAACAUCAUCAAGAAGGUUUUCUACAAGGCUGUCCCAAUCAGAUCACAAAUUCGAUAUGCCUCUUGCAUCUCAAUGGUUAAUGGAGAACAGUUGAAAAGUGUUCCUAAAGUGUUUGGAAAAAAGGCUGAGAUCAAAGAAGUCCUGGAUGGAGAUCCUCACACUGAUACAAAGAAACUCAGUGGAAAUGCAAAGGUGGAUGAAAAAGUCCACAAGAAAAGGCUCAAGGGUGCCCUAUGAUGAGUUUGAUACCUCGCUUGUGUGAUGAGAAUGUAUUGAGUAUGAGGUAAAGUGCAAGGGAACCUCUAAACCUUUCUCUAAAGUCAGAGUAAUUCUCACACAUGAGCUGAAAGAGAAAGAAGAAGCUGUUAUGAAAGGGUUGUUGAGCAAAGUCUUGAAGCUGAAUAUGUCUAAUUGUGGAGCUUGUUUUGGAACAAGCCGUCAGGCUCAACCCGACUGAUCCAUGUCUCCAAGUCAAGCUAGUGACUUAAACCAAGCUCUUGGUGGGAGGUAACCCACUGGUAAGUGUAAAUAUAAGUUGGUUUUGUUUUUGUUUGUUUAUUUUUCAUUUUAGUUUAUUGAGUCUCAGGUCAAAAAACAGAAAAAUACGAAAUACUCAAAAAUUCUAGGUUGUUGAAGGAGCGACUGCUCCAGGCGGAGAUCUUGCAAUGGAACACCCAGAAUUUUCGUGGACCGCCUGCUCCACUCAGGUAAGUAUCUCACAAAAAAAAUAUAUUUAUUCUUGUUUUCACUUUCUCUCUGAUUUAUUUCACACCAGGGACGUUGUGAAGUAAGUCUGGGGAGUGUUUCGUCGUUUAUUAACUUGUUUCUUUAUUUUUUUUUUUUCUUUUGGGUCAGUUUGAGUCAGUUUUUAGGAUUGAGUCAGUCGAAAUUUUGUGGGAAUUAGAACCUUAUUUUGUGCUGAUCACUAACCACCUCGUUCUUUAGUUAUCUUAUUCAGUAACCUUAAUAGUGGCGAAAGACACACAUGUGGACCUGGAACACCCUGACAUAUCUCACUUGAUUCUCUAGAAGUUCUCAGCCGAUCAGUUUACACUGGGUAGACUUAACUCCACCUAACUUGAACCUAAUAUUGACUGAAAUUCUUCCUGUUAUGGGCAUUAGAUCAGGGAAACGAGAACUGAUAUCAUUCAAAUUACCCUAAGGAAUGAUUUUACUCUCUCAAAUAAAAGGUUCAAUUGUAGUACUUAGGGAUCGAAUCAACAAGGAGGUAGGGAACCUAAUAAAUCUAAUCAGACUAGUUAAGCUAGAUGGUUUAAUUGUUUAAAUGUAAAGUUGCAGUUGUUUGAGCACGCAAUUUCUCGAUUGAUUGGUUGAGGUUUUGGUGCUUAAAAGAAAAUAGUAGACCUAGGGUUUUAUUCAAGAAAUUUGGAGUUAUAAUCCUAUAGAUGCCUAACAAGUUGCAUGCAUGAUAUUGUAGAGCUCAACACUUAUAAAAGAACCACUAGGCUCUCGCUUUCUAGAUUCGUCUAUUGACCAGUAUCGAUCGAUGAUUCCAUACGAAUAUCGAUCGAUGCACUAUUCGAAACGUCGACUGAUUAAUCUAUUUGAACAACGAUCGACGUUGUUGGUCAAGCGUUAAUGCGCGGGUUGAAUGUGCUCACUAAGCUCACUAGAUCAGCUCUCGCCUUACUCUUAGCAAGAUCUUAGCUCAAUUAGAAUGGUUUCAGGAUGAGAUGAAAGCUUACGCUUAUACCUAACAAUCCUAGGGAAAGUUCUAGGUAGCUAAUCUAGAAUCAGGCAUUAUUGAUUAAUAUCACAACUUAGCAAUCUAUAGUUGGGGCUAAUCCCUUAUAACCUUUUUAAACUCUAAAAUCUAACAAGGGAACUACUCAGACAUGACUAAGCAAUUCAUAACAGCAAAUAGGUAUAAAAUCUGCAUUAGAAUAAUAGAUAAAUAUAAAUGGAGUUCCAAUCACAAAUAACUUUGGAUCUUCUCUUCAAUAUACUAAAAAUCCUAGAAAACCAUUGCUGUGAAAAUAGUAAAACAAGAAAAGCACACUUUGUCUCUAACAUGUUGACAAAGUUUAUAUAAUUAGGUUAAAACUCUUCAGGGGUAAUCUUAUAAAUUGGUGAAGACUUGGGCUCUAAGUCGGCUGUGACCAAACAUGCUUUCUGCGCGCUUCGCUAUCGAUCGAUGUCAAGAUGUGAGCAUCGAUCGAUUAUUCCUCUUCAAUAUCGACCAAUGGUCGAGCUCGAUGGUCAUCUCGGGUGCUUACUCGAAAUAUCUCCAAAAUGCUCCAAAAUCAUCACUUUCCUCCAAAUCACUCCUGAUCCUAUAAAUACUCUAAAUAGACUCUAUAAUAUAAUAAUUAGUAAUUAAGAAACUUAUAAACCACGGGUAAAAGUGGGUCAAAUCCAUGGUCUAUCAAGAACAUACUCAGAACUUCUUAUCCUUUUUAUCCAUCUUUCUGAUCCUGAGUGGCUAGCUCAUCUUUAGCUAGUGCCCACCCUGCACCUCAGUCUUUAUUCCACUUUCAUGCAUUUGUUUUUCAGUGUCAUAUGUGUAGAUAUGUCCAAAAAGGUCAGAGAGGAAAGCAUCAACGCAACUUCUUACUCGGUUCCAGGGACCGAACUCAGGGUUCCUUCUAGCAGGGACCUGGAGUGUUCCCUUAUCGGGGACCCGAGGGUCUUGGUCCUGCCUGGAGGCUGGAGGAAAUGAUAACGGGGUAUUUUUCCCCAAUAGUUUGCCCCUUAUUUCUAGAUUUUGUCAUCGAAGUCGGCGAAUAAUCUGUACACUCCAGUCAACCGGGGUUGCUCAUUCUCAGCAGGCUCCCCUUAGGCAGGACCCUGUUCCAUUGAUCUUGCUAUCCUGGGUUCCACUCAAGCCGGAACUCAAUCUGAACCCAGGUGAGGAUCGGUUCCUUCGUGUUUGACCGGAGUCUAGUAGUAGUUUCUCUUAUCUUCUAGAGAUAACAGUGUUGGAACUCUGAUGUUUAGGCUGCGUAUAGGCUGGAGAGAGUCGGAGAGAUGAUACUGGUAAUGGGUUCCUCAAGGUCCCGUUAGUUUUUUGGGUCCCUAGAAUUGACUGAUAUGUUCCCUCAUCGUGCUUCGAGACUCGUUUUCCCAUGCAGUCUCAUAUUUUUGACGCAUGUAAGUCAAUCCUAGGGGUUUUGAUUUUGUUUCCCCGUUUUUGCUGCAUGGACUUUUGGGUUUCUUUUUCUUUCUCACCAAAGUCUCGCGCGAUCUCUGUUGCUCAGGCCUAGGUCUUCACUCUCUCAGGUAACACCCUCUUUCUCCCCAUCCUUUAUUCCGAACUUUUUAGGAUGUCACAAACAGGCUAGAUCUCGUCCUCGGCUCUUCUUCGAUAAGUACUAGGGUUCAUUCAAGACGUAGGGUUGGAAAUGAGGCCUGCAAAUCCAUUGAUUUCUCAGAAUCUUCUCUGGAUCUGACCGCCGAAAUAGAGGAACUCAGGAAUGCUACCGUUGGAGAGGUUCUGCCAUCUCCGGGCGGAGACAGAUUUUCGCUGGUGUGUCUUCUAUCGGUAAUAGGAGUAGAGGAGGUUGCAAACUGGAUAAUGAGGUUUCGUCAUCCUGACGAAGUUACCAUUCGGAUCCCUGGUCCUUUUGAUAUGGUUUCGGAUUUUGAGCUGGGUGAGAUCCCUGUAUAUGCAGGUUUCUUCGAAUCGGGUUUCAAGGACCAGGUUCCUUCUUUGGUGGCCAAGAUCUCGAAAGUAGUGAGGAUCUCCCCUUCACAGCUGAAUCCUCCUUCCUGGAGGAUUUUGAUAGCUAUGCAUAAUCUCGGUGAUCUUGAGGGUUUUACCGUUGGAGUCGCUGAGGUUCUAUAUUGUUAUUCCAUCUCUCCUUUAAACGGUGGGGAGUUUAGGUAUCGUUUCCGCCCUCGUGGAAAAGCGCUUCCUGUGUGGGAGCUUUCGAAGGCUGAGAAAAAACAUUGCCUUGUCUUCGAGGGGUGUUGGACUUUGAAGUUUGCUUUGAUGCCUUUUCCUGGAUCUCCCCCACUUGGUGUGCAGCUGGUGGGUCAUAGAAACUGCCAUGACUUUCUUUAAAUGUCUGAUGCUGAUGUCUUUUGUUUUCUUACACAGUCAUAUCUCACUCGGAUUAUCCUUCAGGAAGGGAUACGGUCGAGCAGCUGUUGGAGCUUCCCCUUGAGCACCGCAAAGUCUCUUUCCUUGUAAGCGAUGAAGCACUAGAUCGGUGUAGCGUUAGAGGUAAGCUUUUCUAUCGUAGUUUUUCCCGUUUUCCUUCUACUAACUCAAGCCAGGUUGGUUCUGUCUUUCAGGCGUGAUGUCGGGUUCUAGAGGUGAUGAGGCCUUGGUGGAAUAUAAGAAAGCUCUUGAGGCGAUGUCCGCAAGGAAGGCUGCAGCCAAGCGAACUGCUCCCUUUGAAGAUGAAGAGGUCCAAUUUGUUGGUAGUACCAGGCGUCAGGCGACUACCGUCGCAGCUCCUUCGUCCUCCAAGAAAAAGUCUAAAGUCUCUGGCUCUGCUCUCAAAUCCUCCCCUCCCGUCUCUGAUAAUUGGUCCAAGGUCCUGGCCAAUUUGAAUGCAAAGGUGUUCCCUCUGACUCCUGCGUGUCUGGCAUCGGAUGGGGACUCUUCUAUGGUCAUCCGCUCUCUUCAGGGUGGCCUACUCCUAUCAUGUUCUUUGUCUUGCUUUCGCAACGUCUCUCUUUAUAGGUGUUGGGGUCAAAAUCGGUCACGACAAAAUCAAUGUCUGAAAGUCCGUAAAAAUCAGCAUGAACGUUUUUACGAAAACUAAUCUUCGUAAAGAUAUCUUUACGAAGAGCCUUGCGGUAAAAUCUUGUUCAAAACUCAAUCGAACCACUAAAUACCAAUUGUCCGAAGGCAACGGCCAUGUAUCCAAAUCGGCCGCGGACAAGCUCGGGUAUGAAAAUCGGACCGCGUACAAUCCAAGCUCGAUCGAUACGCGGCGACCAAGCAUGCACACAGCUCAGUCGCUACAUAGCGACCGAGCCCGAGCCUAGCUCGGUCGCUACGUAGCGACCGAGCCCGAGCCUAGCUCGGUCGCUACGUAGCGACCGAGAGUCCAUCCCGCUCGGUCGCUACGCAGCGACCGAGCUCGAGCCAAGCUCGGUCGCUACGUAGCGACCGAGCUCUUCCAAAACGUCGAUUCGACAUCAGUCCAUUCACUCUCGUUUAUCCUUCGAUGCUAUCUCCCGAAGACCGUAGCAAACUCAGUUCAUGUUUUUUGCCAUUCUAAAUCAUCGAUCAAACUUUGCGGAUAAAACCGCGGAAAGUUUGUUUUUUAUCGAAAGAAGUCGCAGUAAAUGCUUCGAGUCAGAAGACGGCCCAAAGGGACCUAAAACACGAUUCGAGGCCCAUCCUACGACUCCUAAACCAAAAGCUCGUAAACCGUAGCACGGUUUACGCUUGGCGCACAAGGAAGGAUAAAUGUCAAGUUUCCACGGAUAAAUACGAAAUUUUGAGGAUAAUUACGAAGAUCAGAAAAAAGGAAUAUCUCCAUUUUAUUCUAUGACGACUUAAGGGCAGAAGAGUAAAAGCGUAAACCGACCUUGGAGCUAGUAUAUAAGGAGUCCUAGUCGAGAGGCAUGGAGAGAGAGCUUUUUAGACUCGGAAUUCUCUGCACUUAGAAACUUUAGGCUUUAUUUUCGACAAGUUCGGUUUCUAUGACUGGCACUCAAUUACUAGACGAACUCGCCCAGGCAGUUCGAUCUCUUGUCCAGCUCUAUCAAUUGAACUAUGUUCGGCUUGAUCCUCGAAAGGGGGUACGUAGGCAGCCUUUAACAAGGUUCAGUCCGAAAUCAAUCAAAAACAUUUUCUGUAUCUAUUUCGUCUUUUGUUAUCGAGCUGCGACUCAACUAGGUUUGAGCUAUUAGGCUGCUAGAACUAAGUAACUCGCUGACAGCCUUUGCGGCCAAAGCUUUUAUGAUCUCUUGUAAUGAUCGCAACGCUCUUACGCGGAGUCGAAAUAAGAUCCACUGUUUUCUCUAAACUCGUUUGUUAUCUUUUCAUGAUUUCCGCAUAUAUUUGGUCACUUGUCAUUGGCUCUAGCAGAGAUCCGGGACCUCUGGGAAAUUAGGGUUUUCCUAUUUUUCCAAUUUAAACGGAAAUCGACAGUGCGAAUUUCGGUUCCCACAAUAGGUUGGAUUAUGUUGAUGCAGGUGGCGUCUCAACUAUUCCAUCUUGGGGAAAGGAUGGAAGAUAAGACUACUGUCCUGGCCAAAGUGGAUGCGUUGACCGCUCAGCUGCGUGAGGAGAAAGACGCUGUCUUGGCCAAAGAUAGUGAAAUUAAGGCCUUGAAGCUCGAGGCACAGAAUCAGGAAGAGGCACUGGAGCGUGUGGCAGCAGAGAACGCUUCUUUGCUGAAGCAGUUGGAGGACAAGGAGGAGGACAUAUGUGAGUUGAGAUACGCCGCGGAGGUCUUCGAUAAUGAGAAGGCAAUGGCCGUAAAUGGUGCCAAGGUUGUGGCCCGUUGGGAGCUGAUGCGAGAAUGGCUUCACCGUAAUACUGACAGUUGGGAGCCUGCGACAGCCCUGGAGCAAUACAAGACCGUGAAGACUACUGAGGCUGAGCUUUUUGGUCUUCAUGUUCCUUGUUUUGAUGAUGAGCCACAGGUUCCUGAGAGGGGUGAUACCACUCAAAUUACCCUAAGGAGUGUUACUCUCAUCAAAAGAGGUUCAGAUGUAGUAGUUAGGGAUCGAAUCCACAAGGAGCUAGGGAACAAUUAAAUCUAGUGUUUAUUAAUUCUAAAGGUUGUAAUGUUUUAAUGAAAUAGCAAUAGUAACAAGCGAGUAAAUGAUAAAUGUAACUUAGGUUGGAAAUGAUAUUAGAUGCAGGGCCACUAUUCAGGUGUUGGAGAUUAUAAUUCCUAUAGAUGCCUAACUGUUGCAUGCAUGAUAUAUUAGAGCUCAUUCGCUUAACUCAUUGAUCAGCUGUCGCAUGUACCACUGGUUAACAGACUAGAUCUUGUGUCUCACCGGUUAGAUGCAGACACAAGAGAGUGUCGAUCGAUAGUCUAUUAAGACGUCGACCGAUACACCUUUGCCAACAUCGAUCGAUUGUCAGUUGAGGACAUCGAUCGACGGGUUCUAGCCAGGCCUAUGCGCGAGUAUGAAAUGCCCUACUAAGAUUCUAAAUUGGCGGUUAGCCCACUCUAGCAAUCCUAAUAUGAUAGAUAUAUGUCAGGAUGGGAUAACAAGGGUGCUUGAAUAUGCAAUCCUAUGAUCAAGUUCUAGUUAGCAAGGCUAAAACAAGCAAUGAAUACAAAUCUAUCAUGAAUAUCACAACAAGGCAGAUCUAUAGUUUGGGGCUAAUCCCACAAACCUAUAUGAACCCUGGAUCUAACAGUUGAACUACUCAGACAUAGCAAAGCAAUUCAUAUCAAUAGAUAAAUAGAAACUCAUAGAAUAGAUGAAAAGAAAUAGAAACAAGGAGUUCCAAUCACAAGUGAUCUUCUCUCCAAAUGAAACUUGUAACAAAACUAGGUCUAGAAAAAAAAGCUCUCCUCUGCCGUCAAAACACUUGCAGUAUAUAUUCUACUAGGUUAAAAACUCAUCAGGGCAUUUUGGUAAUUUAGCUUGGCCUUGGUUUUUAAGUCUGCUGAAUCCAAAAUGUCGCGUCUGGUGUCUCGACAUCGAUCGAUGGUACUUGUGUACAUCGAUCGAUAUUAAUCUUCAUCUGUCGAGGCAUUUCUUGAUAUCGAUCGUCAGCACGGAUGCGCAUCGAUUGAUUAUUCUUCCUCUCGUCGACCUCUAAGUGGUCAGCUCGGGUGAAAUGUCUUUUAAGCUCCAAAAUGCUCCAAAGUCAUAGCUUUACUCCGAAAUGCACCUGAACCUGAAAACAUACCUAGAAGAGUAGAAAACAUAGAUAUAUAUAUAUAUAGUAAAGUACUUAUAUACCAUGGAUAAAAAUGGGUCAAAUCCAAGGUAUAUCAAGGGGCGGUGCGCCGGAGCCUGCUGACGAUCCUCCCACCAACUGACCUUCUUGUUCCAGAACUCUUACCCUCGUGAAGGGGUUUCUUUCAUUUUAUAGUUGCCUUUGAUAAGGGUUGAAAACUUUGAACCAGGCCUCUGUGCCUUUUGUUGUUUUAAGACUUUGGCUCUGUUGUGCCGUUUUGAAGUAUGCUUCUGGAUUCGCAUCUUUUCUCCUUUCGUAGAUGAUAUCCGUAUUGUUUCUGCAAUUUUCAAUCUUUCGAAAGUUUGCAGGUCAUUGAGUGACCUCGGGGCCUCGAGGCUUGACUCACGAGUCGUAAUCGAAGCAUUGUUGAGCUAAGCGUUGAUUGCUUGAGGGUCUCUUACAGGACCUGGGCCGCAUGGGCUCUAGAUGUCAUGAACGUCGGAGGACCCACGGAUCCUGGGUAUUGAGGUUCCUUGGAACCUCUAGAACCUAGAAUGAUUAGGUGACCCUAUGAAUCUCCCAUAAUUGGAUCUCCUCUGGGACCUUGUAGUUACUUGGAGAGUUUUGAUAAGCUUAGGACCCGGAGGUCAUUGUAGGGAACCGGUGGGUUCCGGACCUUGAGGUCUUGAGUUGGACACAUGAUCUUUGGACCCUGAAGUCUUUUUAGGGAACCAAUAAGUUCUUGGCCCUGAGGCCUGUCUGAGCCUGGAUUUCUUUCUCAGAACCCGAAUUUAAGGUUUUAAAGGGACCGCAUUCUUCCACCCUAGGUGAGGCCACUCUCGGUAUCUGUUGGGGUAUCGCAUUCUACCGCUCGGAAGCUGGUCACUAUCGAGUUCCCAUGCUGCAUUCUGUUUUCUGCAGAAAGCCACUAUCAGACUUAGAGGGUGCUGAUGUGGGUGAAAACCCAAGUUCCAGGCCUUGCUACUUUCCACAUCUGGGGAAGUAGGAUAUUAUGUGGUGCUCCUGGACUUUUGCACUUGCUCAAGGGGAAUUAUACCUCGUGUCCCAUGUAUUAUUCUAGCACGUAGCGUUUUAAUACAUGUACUUUCACAUUUUUGGUAUUUUUGUUUGGGACCCCGAUAUGUCUGAGGCUAUACAGGGGUUUUAGGUAGUAUUGAUGGCAUACUCGGGCUUGCGCAGACCCAUUCCUACCUUAUGUCUCAUACCCAUUUUGUUUUUUCGUGGUCGUACCACUUGUCAUUAAGGGUUGGCCAAGAUCGAAGGUCUCUUGGACCUGAUCCAGCUCGUUUACCCCUUUUAAGUAUUAUGGCAUUCCUACUACUCUUUUAUAGUAAGAACUAUUUUAUUAUAUAAGCUUUGUUCGGAGACGUUUCAGCGUAUAUAAGAGUAGGAAAACAUAAUGCUUAAAUAAUAGAUAAAAUAAUUAAUAGAAAUCAUGGUCCAGAGACCAUACAAGAUAUCAUCUUGUGAGGUACCCUGGUGGUUAGGCCAUGUUUUACCUCUUGCUGCUAGGCGAUCUGCAGGGUUUGACUUUCUUUUGGGACGAGCAUCCUUGCUAGAGGGUUCCUCCUUCUUCUGCAGGGUUUUGCCUCUUUCUUGGGUCUAGGGACCGUGGUCGAGACUCGUUUCAUGCCCCAGCCUUUAGUGUUCGGGGACCACUGUCUUCUGUAGAUGAAGGUUUUCAGUACUUCCACGAAACGUAUAGUUGUAUUCAUCCACUGGAGCGACCAGGUUUGGAGGUCUCCUGUCUGGCUAAGUGUCUCCCUCCUGCGUCUGUGGGGUGCUCUUUGCUUCGGAUCCGUCUGAUGUACCCUCUGAGGAGGUCUCCUUGAAGUACUCGUGCCCCAUUAUUUAUCUGCGAGACCACUGGCUGAUACCUGGUAAGGUUCUCGGUGAUCUUGUCUAUGUGAGGCGGGGGACGAGGGUCCUACGAGGACCAGGUCUUGUGAGUAGAUGCAACUUUGAAGGGCUUCGGGGGAGACCAUGCGGAGCGGUCAACAUAGGUUGUCUGAGGAUUCCUCGGGUUCUUGGAAUGAUUCAGGGUCCGCUUUCUCAAGAACGACCCCCAAUUACUUGUAUCAUUGACCUUUGAUCCCUGGGUUCGUGGGGUUCGAGGUCUUCUCUGUAAUUGCUAUAAGACCUUGGUCUUCCCCUUCAGGGUGGUCUGGUAGCAGGAUCGAGAGUUUUCUUGGUCUCUCCUAAUUACUCUGAUGCCCCAGGGUGUAGGAAACUUCACCAUCUGGUGAAGGGUUGAGGGGACUGCUCCCAUGUCGUGAAUCCAGGGUCGUCCCAAGAUCAUGUUAUAUGCUGAUUGGGAAUCUACGACCAGGAAUUUGGUAGACAUGUUGACCCCUUCAGCGUAUACUGGGACGAUAGCCUCUCCGGCGGUUCGCUUGACCUCGAUGCCGAACCCGAUGAGUGGGGUUACCUUGCGCGUCAGGGUGCUCUCCUCCAGCCCUAGAUCUUGGUACGCCAUCUAGAAGAUAAUGUUGCUGGAGAUGCCGUUAUCUACUAGUAUUCUUUUCACCAAGCAGUUCGCUACGGUGAGAGAGAUAACUAGAGCAUCAUGGUGGGGAGCUAGGAUCUUCUCUUGCUCCUUAGCUGUGAAGCUUAUCUCGUCCGUGCCUAGAAGUAGGAACUUCGGUUAGACCGUUUCCAGACCAUGCUUAGCGUUACGGGUGCUUUUCUUUACGGCUGCGUGGCUUACUCCGCUCACUUCUGAGCCUCCGGAUAUGACAUAGAUCACCCGAUCUUGGCGAGGUGGUGAGGCUGGUGCAGCUCCUUUGGAUCUUCCUACUGUUUCUUUGCUGAGGUGGGCCUGGGCUUUCUCUGAGAGGAAUUCUCAGAGAUGCCCCUUUUGGAGCAGUUCGUUGACCUCGAUCCUCAGGGCGAUGAAGUCUUCGGUUUUGUGGCCAUGAUCGCUGUGGAAGUCGCACAAGAGUUACGGGUUCUGGAACGAGUCAGGUGCUUUUAUCUUUGGAGGCACUUAACCUGUUGGCCCAUCUGUCUCAGUGCGUUGACCAGCUCUAGUGUUGAUAUUGAGAGAUGGGAGUGAUACACUAAAAAUGAAUUCUUGCUACUGUCAAGUUAUCAGUGGUAAUUGUAAUAUUUUAGAUUCAAUCCAGAUGACCAAUUUACUCUUUACUCUUAUGACUUCAAUAUUAAGCUGAGAAGCAAGUGGGUUUUUUUAAAAACAAUUGUAACGCAAGUAACUAGAAUACCUAGAGAUUCAAAUUCGAUUUAAAUGAAAGCCGGCUUAGGGUUAUUCAUCGGAUGUCAAUGCGGAACCGAACAACUAUUCAAGUGCAAUGAGGUGCAGUCUAGAACUCAGAUCACUCGGCUAGAACAAUCCACUAUCGUGGACUUGCUCACUUUGCUGAUCGGUCUUGAGUCCUAGGCACUCACUUUGAACAAGACCCGAUAGCAAGCCUUAGAGAUCAGGUCCGAUUAGUUCACUUAAUACCCUAAUAUCUACUCUCGCUGAUUAGGGAUAUAAAGCUCAUUUAAUAUAUGUCAAUAUAUCUCCUAAACGGUUAGCUAGGUGAUUAAACUAGAGGUCGAACAUUAAGUGAUCAAUUCAAUGCAAGCAGUAAGAAGAAUAUGAAUGAAGAACAGUUAAGGUCACUUAUUUGUGUUCAGCUCAUGCGAUUAACAUCCUACAACCCUAAGCAAGCUUAGCCUACUACUCAAUCAUAAAGCAGGAUGACAUAGACAUGGUUUCUGAAUAAUACUGCAUAUAAUAUAAAGUAGAAAAACAAGGGUUCAGGAUAAUCUUCUCGUGAGAAUGAGAGAUGAAGCCUUCUCCCUUACAAGUUGCUCAAUCCAAAAUAGUUCUAGGUCUCUUGUAAACCUAGCGUAAGAAAAAAAAAUAUAAAUGAUAGCAUAGGCCUUUUAUAUGGAGGCGCCGAUGGCAAAGAGAUAAGAGAAUGGAAUCUAGGGCAAACUUCCAGAAUGGGAAGUUUCCUUAAUGACCGGGAACAGUCAGACGCUUGUUCUUUUUGGGAACAACCUUCGGGUUGAUCUAACUGGCUGUUCCGCAUCGAAUUCUCCAAAAUGACAUCUGACUUCAUGAAGCUCUCUUCUUUGCUUUUUCACCUGCUCUAAACCUGGAAUAAUAUCAAUUAAGCACGAAUUCGGACUGAGAAUUAACUCAAAACACACAUAUAAUGGUAUUAAAAACACCAUAUAUCAAUUCCCCCAGACUUAGAUCCUUGUUUGUCCUCGAACAACGCCAAGUCUCAAGAACAGGGAGAAAGGUUUGAAAGAGUGGGAACUCGCUUGAUCUCAAUAACCAUACACUUACCACAAAUCUUUGAACCGUACAAGCUGUAGACUCAGACCACAAACCCUUACCAGAACACCCACGAUCGCUGUUUGAGAAUCAGCUCCUUACUAUGUAUCUCAUACCUGAAAAAGGGCACACUAUCGAGACAAAACUCCUUGAAUUCAAUUAUGGACAGCGUGAGCUUCUCAUCACAGGCACUAUUCAGGGUAGACGGCCUAGGUAAGGAACAGACUAUUUCAUGAUGGAGCUAGGAGGGUUUAGGGGCUACCAAAUUUAAGUGGAUGCAGGAUAUCGCGCAAAAUAGCAGGAGUGGACGGAUCCAUUGAUGUCCACAUCCCUUACUCGUUUCUGCUUCACGGACGCAGUUGUUCUUUCCUUCGGAUCAACUGUGGGACUGUUUUUAAGUUCUUGGCUUCCCUUUUCUACUCUUCAAAAUUUGGAACCAACUCCUUGCUCGACCUUCCCAGUGGCGAGUAUUUUUCGGAUUCACCUUCCCCAUCUCCAUCACCAUAAAGUAGAUAGAAACAAUAUAUAUAAAUUUGUUUUUUUUGGUUUUUUUUUACACGGUGAUGGGGUUGCGAGGGAGAGGCAACAUAAUGAAUGUUUUGCAGCCACUUGAAGGACCCUAAGAUUGGCUCACUCGAAUGGAUCAGAUGUGGAUAUGAACUCCGAAUGGAGAACUAGAUGGAUUGAAGGGUCGCAUGAAGGUUGCGGAAUGGCCUUCGAUAUUCCCGGGUUCAGUUGGUGCUUGAUAUGACUCACAUGAACACCAAAAGAAGAAUCUCGAACCGUUGCUUGAUAUGACUCACAAGACCAACGAGUUUGAGGGGUGUUUACUUGGAUAUGACUCAUCAAGAAACUAAGAACAAGUUCUAAACGAAGAACAAAGAGUUUAACUCAAACUUUAAACUAAAACGAUUUCUUAUUUAUUAUAAUGAAAGAGUUUCAUACUUAUAGAGUUUUGUAGAUCUAGGAAUUAAAUAGAAAAGUAGAUCUAGAUCUAGUCAUUAAACAAAAUAAAGACAGAUUAUUAAAUGUGACUGAUCGGCUUCUGUCCAGGUUCGUUGUAUCCUGAAGCAUGGACCGCGGUAAGGAGAAGGACGGAUGUGGGACUGUCCGUAUGAGCCACCAUGUCCGGAUCAUGAACCAGACUGGACCAAGUGCGUCAUAUGUCUUCAGAAAGGUGAAGGUUCCUUGCCUUAGUGAGAUUUGGCUGAUCAAAGUGCAUGAACUGAUCAAAAGGGUCGAUCAGUCCAUCAGUACGGUCGCCGGUACGUGCAGUAUGGGCCAAUCGAGCCAAAUGAGAGAAGUCUCGAUCAUUUUAUGAAACCUCAUGAUCCAAGUCAAGUCUGGCAUGAUCUUUCUCAAGUCUGGGAUGAUCUUUCUCAAGUCUGGCAUGAUCUUUCUCAAGUCUGGCAUGAUCCAAGUCAAGUCUGGCAUAGUGAAAAACAUGAACCUCGGUUGAAAUGUUCAGAACGUCCUGAACUCCAUGCUGAGAUGGUUCCAUGUACUGAUCCGUGGACUGCGGCACAUCAUUCCCUCCCUCUUCAAAAGGAUUUGUCCUCAAAUCCAUUAUACCUGUAUCAAAAGGGAAUAAAUCAGAUACAAAAGAUUUAAAAUUCAUGGAAAAUUCAAUGAAGGAAGAUUUUGGACAAAAACUUCCUUAGAGGUUUGAACUCGUUUCCCUCAAGUAUAUCCGGUUCCAUGUUCCAUGAACACAAGUCUUUAGGAAUUCACCUGUGCUUGCUCUCCUUGGAAACUUUGGUUCGUUGAGGAUCGGUUUUGGCUCAGGCCGCUUCUUUCUUGGUCUGGAAUCUCAUUUAGAAGUCGUGUACUUGCAGAUAGACGGACUGGAGAACCUCCGGUUUGGAAAAUUCAUAACUGCUUCCUCCAUUAAGCGUUUCACGUGAUUCGAAGCCUCCGUGAAUCCUUGGUCAGUUGGCUUUCCAGAAAAAUUAGAUUCAUGACAAAAGACCUUCUGAAUGUUUAGAUAUUCUUUUUGGACUGAACCCCUAUCUCUGACAUCUCCAAGGUAUCCGUUUUGGACAACAAAGCUUCUCCAAAUCUCAGGCUGUUGGGCACGGUCAAUGCUUUCAUUUCUUAGAGGCUGAACCUGUCUUUCCUGGAUACUCAAAACAAACACUAAAAGACAAAGAUCAAAUGUGCAAGACAAAUACUUGUUCAAAUCAAAAAUCAAGAUAUCUUUUUCGAGAACAAGUAGCACACAUUUCAGCUUGUCAAGAUGCACAUCAAAGUAGACAUUACAGACCAGAAUUUUAUCAAGAUAUGCAACAAUAGUAUUUAUUUUCAAGACGUGCAUAUCCUGCUCAACAUCUGAACACAAACUUAAGUUCAAAAUGAGAAUCAACUAUCAAAGACUCAAGAUGUUUUUCAAAGAGUGUUGUAAACCACAAUUUCACCAAGGCUCAAAACAACACAACUAUCAAGAAUUGAUCUCAGAGAAUGCCAUGUUUUAUCAGUUUCAGAACUCAAGAGAUCAAGCUGCAAAACAUAAUCACAAAAAUCAAGAUCACAAAAAUCAAUUUCAGUUUCAAGUGAUUUCUGUUCAAACAUCUUUUUAAUCAAGAAAUCAUCUAAUGCACAAGAGGAUGCAAUCAAAUUAUGAGUGAUCAUUGCAUGUUUAGAAGAACUCAGAUCAAAGCUAUUCUUUUUGAAAACAAACGAAUCAAAAGAUUUUCUAGCAUAAAAAUCAGUUUGUUUCAAAUCAAGCUCAAGAGAUUUUUCAAAACGAUCAAAGCCUUUGCUAUGCUUUAAGAACUGAUCAGAACUCAAAAUAAAUUCAGACUUGAUGCCAUUGCCUUUUUGAAAACAUUUUUGAUCAAGAAGUUUCUCAGGUUUAAACAAUUUUAAAGAAUUAAUCAUGUUUUAAAAAACAGAUUUUGAAACACAAAAAUCUUUCAUCUUGUCAAGACCAAAACGAAUCACAUCAAGAGAACUCAUCUUAACAAACAUAUCAGGCUGAGAAUUAAGCAAAUCAGAUUACUCACAGUGCGCCUGAAGUUCAAAAGACAAAGGGGUAGGAGUUGUGCCGGGAUCAAAGCAAAGAUGGCUCUCCAUAGCGAUGGAUGUGAUGUUGGUUGCUUCUUCAUCAAAGACUGGACCAGGUUCGUCCUCCUCAUCAAAGAUAGGAUCUAGAUCUUCACCAAAAGAUAUCCUAGUGUCAAGACAUGGUCUUUGAUGUGGUAAAUCUAGUGGCUCUUCCUCCAAUACCUGUGGAGAGAAAACAAGACUACUCGGAUGCUCCGGUUGCAAAAUGGUUAGUUCUACAAUAGCAUGUUCAAUAUCAGUUACAAACUCAGGUUCAAGAGAAGAAAGAUUAUAAUUUUUCUCACAAGAAAACAAGCUUUCAAUUGGCUCUUCAUCAUAUUCAUCAUAGAUGGGUAAAGAAUCUGAAAAAUCUUUCAACUCCUCAACAUGGGUUUCAGAUUUACCUUUGGAUUUCUUGCUGACGAAUAAGGAUGGCUCAGCUACAAGUGCACGUUUGGAUGUGCUCUUCUUUUGGUUCUUGCUGAUGUCCUUGAGGGCUUUCAUCAUUCCCUUCUCAAAAUUGUCACAUAUCUCUUGGACAUCAAACUGAAGGAAUCGCCUCUUUGGAUUAGCUUCACCUUGGGACGACUUGAAAGGUUCAUUGCACCUCCUGUUUGGCCUAUCCUGCACACUAACAAACUCAUCAAAAUUAUUCAAAGAAUAUUUAAAUGAAGAUUGAGAGAUAGUUUGUUGUGGGGAUUUCUCCUUACUACUUUUCCUUUGAAGACCAAACAUCAUAACCUGAAAAUCUCAACACAAAAGUUAGAAAAUAAAACCUCACACACUCAAGUGUUUAAUCUCACCCACUCAAGUGUUUCUCUCAGAAUUUGGAUGGUCACACAACAAGUUUUCACUCGAAAUUCUAAGAAGAACAAAUCAAAGAAACUCAAUGCACAAAAUCCAAGCAAACACAAGGGAAUUUUAAAAGAGAGAAAGAUAAGAGAUUUUUGGUUUUGGGAAUCCGUUUUAACCACCUCAAAGGCUGGAUUUCUCCUCAGCCAGCAGGCUUUCUCUUCCAUCACCAAUCCCCAAAUGAAAAAACUUUUCGAAUUUUUUUUUUGAUAGAUCUUUUUUUUUUGAUAGAUUGAGGAUGGUAAUGAGGGGCCCGGAUUCAAGAUAGAUAGAUGAAGAGUGUUUAUUAAGAAAAGGAAGAUGAUAAAAAUGAAUGAUUUAGAAGAUACCAAACGAGCGGCUCUGAUACCACUUGAAGGACCCUAAGAUCGGCUCACUCGAAUGGAUCAGAUUUGGAUAUGAACUCCGAAUGGAGAACUAGAUGGAUUGAAGGGUCGCACGAUGGUUGCGGAAUGGCCUUCGAUAUUUCCGGCUUCAGUUGGUGCUUGAUAUGACUCACAAGACCACCAAAAGAAGAAUCUCGAACCGUUGCUUGAUAUGAGUCACAAGACCAACGAGUUUGAGGGGUGUUUACUUGGAUAUGACUCACCAAGAAACUAAGAACAAGUUCUAAACGAAGAACAAAGAGUUUAACUCAAACUUUAGACAAAAACGAUUUCUUAUUUAUUAUAAUGAAAGAGUUUCAUACUUAUAGAGUUUUGUAGAUCUAGGAAUUAAAUAGAAAAGUAGAUCUAGAUCUAGUCAUUAAACAAAAUAAAGACAAAUUAUUAAAUGUGACUGAUCGGCUUCUGUCCAGGUUCGUUGUAUCCUGAAGCAUGGACCGCGAUAAGGAGAAGGACGGAUGUGGGACUGUCCGUAUGAGCCACCAUGUCUGGAUCAUGAACCAGACUUGUGACACCCCCGAUCUGGUAUAAGUAUAAGUUGACUCGACUAGCCGUGCAACAAUCAAACAAGAACAUGCACAGCCGAUCACUCGUAACUGAAACCAAACCGAGAAGCCACAAUGUAUACAUAAACGACAAACCCGAAGUUCCCGAAAUAAAUUCAGGUACCUUAGGCCAACCGCCUAAGUACACAUAUCCUAUUAGGUAAAACCCGAGGCUUUACAACCUUAAGAGUAAUACCCAAUAGUUGGUUCGUCCGGACAAGGACUAAUAUCGUUUGGAACCCGUACUUUAAAAACAUUCUUUAUACACUAUAUACUUAUUCAUUUAAAAGAAUCUUACAAAAUCUUAUAGAUUAACCUCGAGGUCUUCGGUCAACAAACCUUAUACAUAAAGUAUAUCAAAACGACUGGAAGGAUAAUAAAACUACCACUGGCUAAUGCCGUUCCUUCCCAUCCUAGAGUAAAGGUCUCCCAUCUACUGGCUACCUGCAUAUCAAAUGAGUCAUGAGUAACUAGUUUACUCAGUGAGUCUAAUCCCACACCCAAACACAUAUCAAUAGUAUCCCGAGCAAGCGACACCAUCUGAAUGCAGUAGAAUUAUAUUCCAUAAUUAAUAUAAUUAUAAGGUCUCUCAAUCCAUCCAUGUGAAUCUAUCUUAAACAUCACAUCCACGAUACCCGCCAAUCACUCAUACUCUUAAUAUAUAUAUAUGCUAAACCCGGAAAACCACCAAGGCUAACCGAGCCUAACGGAGAAUAAAUAUAACCAUCAUCUCCAUCAGAUAUUCCAAGAUAGAACAUCCAACGCUGCAUGCAGUUACACGGCCUCCAGGGUGCGACCCCAUCAUCGUGUCUUCAUGACCUUGAUCCAUAUCGCAGGACCAAUUCACGGCAAUGCGGGACUUUUGGGAGAGUGAUUAUACAAUAAGAAUUCACAUGAUUCACACUUAUUAAUAGAAUACUUAUAGAUUAGUACUUGAGAACAAGUACUAAGGCUCGGGAUAACCUCAAAGAAUUAUUCUUAUUAAUUCUUAAGUAUUUAAACUAGAUAAAUACUUCAUAUAUAAAUAUAGAUCAAGGGAUAAUACUUAAUCAAUCAACCAUAAUUACUCCUUAAUUAAUCCAUGAUUAAUCCUUAAUUAAGCAAUGAUUAUCCCUUAAUUAAUUCAUGAUUAAUUCUUAAUUAAUCAACCAUAUUCAAUAUGCAAUCAUGCAUACUCAUUCAUAAUUCAUUCAUCAUCUAUCUAGACUCACCUUUAAAUCCAUGGGAUUGGCUAAGGAAGACUAGACUCGAGCUCAAGCUAAUCACACUUCACUUCUGGAUCACUCUCGGUUCAGAACCAGCACAAGGAUCCGGCUGAUCCGAAUACUCUCCUUGGCCGUCUGAAUUCAAAACAUAACAGUUGGAACAUAAGGUUCACUAGUCUGGUUCAAGAAGAAACUCAACUCAGUUCAUAACAUUUCAGUUCAGUUCGGUUCAAGACAGAUUGAUACCAUGUUCAGCUCGGUUCAAGCUUUAACAAUUUAACUCGGUUCAUAUCAGCUUAGUUCAUGCUCAGCUAACUCCGGUUCUAAUCAGUUCCCAACAGUUUAACUCGGUUAUACUCAGACGACAUCAGUUCAAGACAAUUUCAGACCAUAGACAGCUCGGCUCAGAUCAUAUCAGAACAUACUCAGCUCAAUUCAGUUCUAAACAAGAUCAAAUCAGUUCAGUUUAAUUCCCAAAAUUCUUAUCAGUUCGUCUACUGGUUAUAUGAGACUGAUCAAAUCAUAAACCAACCAAGACUGAAGAGAACAAGACCUUAGACAACUGAUCCUGACAGGUUAACCAACAUACAGCAAUUGGUUCUCAUCAAAACAUGGCUGAAUCAAGAAGCUGACGAGACAUCGGAUAUCCGCGAUCUUCGCGACUACAUCACCAAGACUGUGGCAGAAGUGAGGGCCGUAAAGUCUCAAAUCCAUCAUGCUACUAGUGCUGCCCCCGAAAUCGAUCGACUGCUGGAAGGAGCUCGGAAGACCCCUUUUACCAGUCGCAUUUCGGACAUGAGGGUGUCCGAUCCGGGGAAAAUCAAAGUACCAAAGUACGAUGGUACGACCGAUCCAAAAGCGCACCUUCAGGCUUUCCACAUCGCGAUGGGAAGAGCUAGACUGAAGGACGGCGAAAAGGAUGCCGGCUACUGCCGCCUGUUCGUUGAAAACCUGGAAGGAGCAGCGCUUGAAUGGUUCGCACGCCUUCGUCGUAACACCAUCGGGAGUUUCCGACAGCUCGCAUCGGAAUUUCUCAAACAAUAUUCAUAGACAGAGAAACUUCCGAUGUUGAUCUCUGGAGUCUCUCCCAGAGGGAAUACGAACCCCUCCGCGAGUUUAUCGCCCGGUUCAAGCUGAUAAUGUCCAGGGUCAGCGGGAUAAGCGACAAAGUGGCCAUCGACGCGCUGAGGGGGACACUCUGGUACAAGUCGAAAUUCAGAAAGUGGAUAACUCUCGACAAACCGCGAACGAUCCAGGAUGCCCUCCCCAAAGCAACGGACUACAUCAUAGUCGAGGAAGAAACUAAGGUCUUAUCGCAAAAACAUAAGGCGGUAAGACCAUCUUCGAAGGACGUGGAUCCAAAAGGAAGAAAGAAGAACUCUCGUAACGACAAAUACGUCCAUCACGAGGGGGAAGAUCUCCAAGGGUCGCAUAAUUAUGCGAUCAAUUCGGAUCAAGGCCGAACCACGGGCAACACGUGGACUCGCAAUCAAGGGUGUGACGAAAACACCUUCUGCGAGUUCCACCAGUCCCGAGGACACUCCACCACCAACUGCAAAGUCUUGGGAGCAAGACUAGCCGCAAAGCUACUCGCUGGAGAGCUCUCGGAAGUAACUAGCGUCAAGGAUCUGAUCUUCGAUUCUGAUCGCCCUCCAAAGACGGACAGAAAUCCGCCCGCUGAAAAAUCCCCUCAACGAAACCAGCCUGGGGAUAAACGCGGUAGGAGGCCGGACGACAAGGGGAACGAUAACAAUCAUCGCUGAGUCAAUAUGAUCAUCGGAGAAUCACAAUACUGCGGCGAUACUGUGUCGGCGAUCAAGGCUUACCAACAGAAGGCAGAGUCGAGUGCAAAUUGGCCUACAUGGUCUCCUCCCCGAGAUGGCCAAAAUUGCUCGAUCACCUUCACAAAGGAGGAAGCCGGCGGCAUCGAUCAACCUCACUGCGAUCCGCUCGUCAUAGAUCUCGUCAUACGAGAAUUAGAAGUCGGAAGGGUACUCGUCGACACGGGAAGCACGGUCAACGUAAUCUUCCGCGACACUCUCAAGCGGAUGAGCAUCAAACUCGGAGAAGUAAUUCCGAUGCCAAAACCGCUCACGGGUUUUUCAGGCGAAGUAUCGAUGACUCUUGGAUCGAUCCAGUUGCCGAUCAUGGCCAAGGAGAUCACAAAAAUCGUCGAGUUCGCGGUAGUCAAAUUCCCAACCCCAAGUGGAGUCGUGGCUAUCUGGGGAUGCCAAAAACAGUCGCGACUAUGCUUCCUCGCAGAGCACAAGUUAAGACAAAUCACGACUUCUGCAGCUGCAAACGGCAAACGCACGAAGAUAGAUCGAUCUUCGGCCAAAAAUGCCCCAAGGAAAGACGAAUUAAAAUCGUCUGCCGACGCAAACGCAUCGGACGUCAAAACUCAACACGAAUCCGAAGCCCACGCUACAACUCAACCGGAACAUCCGGAAAAUAGCGAUGACCCAGCCACGAUCGACAUGGUCAAGGCGGACACCGCGACAUCUACCGCCGAGUAAAAACACUCGCGGCAUGAAACAGAACUACGAGAUGGCUUGAUCCUCGAAAGGGGUACGUAGGCAGCUCGUCAAAAGACGAGUUCAGCUAUCCCCCUCUCUAAAAAGGGGGGGGGGGGAGUGGGUGCGUAUACUCGUAUACUCCCACUUAGAAAAUCUUCAUUAUUGUAAUCGAGUUUUUAGAAAUUUCAAAAACGUUUACUACAAUCCUUUUUAUCAAAAACGUUUACGCUUCAGUUAAACACAAAAAACUUUCAGGACACGCCUGGAAACAUUAAGACUCUUGUCUGCGGCCUCAUCCGGCCCAAAAAUCGUAUAAUUAUCAUCUUUCAAACAUUGGAAGAUACACGUAUAAUCCUCGAAAUAACUGCGAGACGUCGCAAAGUUAAAAUUCAAAGAUAAUACGAACAAAUUGUCCGAAUGCGACCACCAAAAAAUCUUACACCCCGUUCGUCGAUUGGCCCCGACGAACACGCUAGCCGUCUUAAACAAACGCAAUUCGAUCACUCUUUUGAUCUUCAAAAACGUCCAACACUAGGACAAAAGCGUGCUACAACAAAAAUCCAAAAUUUUGGUUUAGCACUUCCAGUUGAUUCUGAGAAGAUGCUCGAUUCGUAUCAUACAAGUCAUCUAAGCCGAGAACUUAUCGUGGACUUUAAAUCGGUACGAGUCAGGAAGAAAUCGCAACAGGAAAAACGAUAGCCGGCUAGUAACCGCACAAACCUUAACCGAAAGUAAACCUAGGUCUUGCCCUAAACCCAACGCUCUGGUCUCAAACAUCUCAAGACAUGAUAUCUAAAAGAUACGAGAUCCUAAAACCAUGUCUCUCCGUUCAAAUCUCGAUGUUCCCGAAAAUCGUAAAGAUAGGUAAUUUUUUACGAAAAUCACGAACGAACUAACAGAUUGAACGUCUCAUCGGAGUUAAAUAUGAGACGACAACUUAUAUUUACUCCGAACCUACUCAGGAAAACUCGAAAUAAAACAUUCAUCAUAUAUAUAAAACCGCUUAAAAAGCGGUAAGGGAUUCAAAGCCACCAACGGCCAGUCCCGAUAAGCAAUAAAAAUGGCCAAAACAGGCCCAUACAAAUCUCUCGACCACACUCGGCCACAAACAUAAAACAGAAAGAGAAGCAUUUUUCUUUCAAUAACCACUCCACCUCUCAUAAUCCAAAGUCAAAAUCCCCGGAAAACGAAGCACCGAAUGCAUCCGCGGAACGAUCCACUUCCUCGCUACCGUCAGGAAACCCGGUCGGAACCUCCUCGGUAUCAGGAGAAACCGGGAUGGAAUCCCAGAAUCCUUGAAUCCGCUCGUCGAUCGAAGGGAUGAGCGCCUCAGCGUGGGCGCGUUCGUUCAUGCCACUCUUCAUCAAGGUCAUUUCCUUCUCUAACACAUAGUCAUCGGCUUGCGUCCUCCAAAGACUUCCGACUGAACCGCGGCACUCACGGAAAUCACCCACCGAGGUAAAGGCGUUCUUGAGGUUCCCAUACUCAACCUGGAAUUGAGAGGCACGAGUCUUCAUCACCUCGACGAUUUCUCUGUUGCCUUUCCUUUCCGCCUUACGGACAGCCCGCGCAUGAUCACAAGUAAGUUGCGCUUCUCGCUCCAACAUCUCGCCUUGCACGCGAGCGAGAUCUCGUUCCGCUUUCUCCGCUUUAAAACGAUAGACCAUAGCCUCCCUAUUGCUUGCUUCAAUGGCAGAGCCAAGCAAGUUGAGGCCCUGCGAAACCAAUUAACGCAUUGUAAGCAGAGAAAGAAAUACCCAGGCAAUCACAUAUAUUUUCGAAAAAAUCAUACCCCAUUGAUGAUUCGGGACCCUUCCGCGAUGACUUUCGGCCUCGCCGACUCUUUCGCAGGUGGAGGAGCAUCAAAACCCGGUGGCAGACCCGCAAAUAAAUCAUCGAAAUCCGGAAUAGGGACCUCGCUCGAGCCACUCCCAUCGCCAUAAGCAAGGUUCGGAUCCCAUCCUGGAAGCAUAGAGUCAUCCAUCGAAAAUUCUAUGUCGCCAAGGUCGAUAUCCUUUCCCUUCCAAAAGUUCGACUCCGGCACAGCUGCUGGGGCUACAACGGGAUUCUGGUCAUCAGGUUCGGAGUCGCUUCCCGUGUCUGCAACCGAGGCAGGACCAGGGUGCACGAACCUCAGUGCCUUCCGAAUCCUCUUCGACGUAAAGGAAGUCCAAAAGAAGGGACCAUUCCUAAGAAGAUCUCUCACCGCAAUGAUGUCCUCAGGGAACAGAGCAAGAGGAUUGAUUAAAGAACGAUAGUUCGGCAACCUCCAGAACAGGGGAAUGCAACUCUCUUCGACAGACGCAACGUCUAUACGAACAAAGAAGAAAAACUACCUCCACGAGUUGAAGUUCGAAAUGAACUUCUUAACCACUGACAUAAAGUUCCGAGGGACCAGCCUAUGCUUGUCCGUAUCUUUGACGAGUUGAAGCCUCAAAAGCGCUUCAAAAUGAUCGACGGAAAGGGAAAGGCCAUGCUCGUAGCUCAGGAUCAGGAUCCCAAUAAGAUGCUGAAUGGCGAGGGGAGUCAACUGGCUUAUCGCAACCUCGAAACGGUCCAACACUCAGACGAGGAUUUCGGGGAUUGGGAACCAUAAUGCGCAACCCACCAUGCCGUUUUUGACCCCAACAGUUAGCCCCCCAGCCCGUUAGAGUUGUGACUCUAGCUGGCGGAUAGAUGAUUUUGACAAGGUUAAGCGUAUUGGACGAAAUUCACAUUUUAAACUCCGCGGAAAAAAAGUUAUCGAAACAGUAUUCCGAACCCAUACUUCUAUAAGUAGUGAGCUCUUGUCAUUCAUUUUCUUCACACCUUCCCUUUUUCAUUCCUUCAAAAACCUCUCUAGUUUCAAAACCGUUCCUUUCAACAUGUCUUCCUCCCAAGGUGAUAAGAGAGAUUCCGACGUCGAGAUGGGCGAGGCCACUUCUCCGGCUGAAGCGCCGGCUACGUAGCGACCAAGCUUUGGCUCGAGCGCGGUCGAUACGUAGCGACCGAGCGGGACGAGCUCUCGGUCGCUACGUAGCGACCGAGCUUUGGCUCGAGCUCGGUCGCUACGUAGCGAUCGAGCGGAACGAUCGUUCGGUCGCUGCGUAACGACCUGUUUUGAGCUUUCGUCGGACGUCUCGAUUCUUUCUUCCAUAAAGCUUUUUUCGUAAGAAAGAAUCUAUUUCGAAAAGUAUUCAUCGGGAAAAUUCUUAUUCUUUUCCUCGGACGUUUUGAAUGCUAAAUUUGUCGUAACCAUUUUGGACCCCAACAAUUAGCCCCCUAGCCCAUUAGAGUCGUGACUCUAGCGGGCGGAUAGACGAUUUUGACAAGGUUAAGCGUAUUGGACGAAAUUCACAUUUUAAACUCCGCGGAAGAAAAGUUAUCGAGACAAUAUGUGUGUUUUGAAUUCCGAACCCAUACUUCUAUAAGUAGUGAGCUCUUGUCAUUCAUUUUCUUCACACCUUCCCUUCUUCAUUCCUUCAAAAACCUCUCUAGUUCCAAAACCUUUCCUUUCAACAUGUCUUCCUCCCAAGGUGAUAAGAGAGAUUCCGACGUCGAGAUGGGCGAGACCACCUCUCUGGCUCCGGUUCUGACUUCUCCGGCUGAAGCGCCGGCUUGUGUUGCCGGUCAUCUUUCCUUCCGAGAGAAACUAGUUCGUCGCCAAGCCGAGAAAGAACUGGCUCAAGCUGGCUCCGAGUUCCCGUCUUCUUCUGCGCAGGUCGUUGCCCCGGGUUAUGGAACCGAGGUCAUGGCUCCUCUUCCGCAAGCCCUACCUGCGGGUUCUUCUACGACUCCGAUCCUUGUCAAGGACAAGGAGAAGGCCGCUGACUCUAGGCCUCCUCCUCCAGCCAGGAAAGAAAUCGUUCUGGUGUUGCGUGCUCCUAGCGUUGUUCCGGUUGCUCAGCCUAAGAGUCGGAAGAGGAAACUUGCAACAAGGUGGAUCGAGCCUAGCAUCGGGACUUCGCGGAAAGGUUCGUCUCUUGCUUGAAUUCUCGAUCGUCUUAUGUACAUUCUUUCUCGGACUUAGUCUUAAGAAUUUUCACUGUUUGCAGUUCAUAUCGUUGAUCGAUGAGAUGAUCAGCGAGUGUGGUUCUGAGACCAGUCUCCUUUCCGGGGAGUUGGUGGAGCUUCAGGGCGUGAAAUCCGCGUGCUUCCUUCCGACGUGUUCAGAAGACCCAGAGGGGAAAGACCCGAUGGUCGGAGAAAACAGAGGCAACGCGGCUCCAGGCUCGGACGAGGCAGCGGGUGAAGAGGGGGCGUGAGUUCUGAGGAUGACUUGGGUUAGAUCUCUUGCGAGAGAUUUUUUUUAUGUUUUUAUGUUUCGGCCUUGAAUGGCCUUGUUUUGUAUUUCGGGACUGGCCGUGUGUGGCUUUAAAUCCCUGCCGCUCCGCGGCUUUUUUUUUAUGGUAAGAUAUUCAAAUGGCGCUUUUUAUGAGUUUGUGUAUAAUGGGGAGGAAGGUGAUGAGUUGUCGUCUCAUAUCCCUCUCCGAUUGUGAAAUGUUUCAUUCAAGAUCGGUUUCGAGAGUUCUUCCGCAAGAUGUGAACUCUGCGGGGGUGCUGAAGAUGUCGAAUAUAAACAUAGAGGCAUGGUUUAGGAAUCUCUUAUCUUUCGAUAUCAUGCCUUGAGAUGUUAGAGACCAGUGCGCUGGGUUUAGGGCAAGACCUAGGUUUACUUUCGGUUUUAAGGAUUGUGAGGUUACGAGCCGGCUAUCAUUUUUCCUGUUGCGAUUUCUUCCUGAUUCGUGUCGAUUUAAAGUCCGCGAUAGGUUCUCGGCUUAUACGACUUGUUUGAUACGAAUCGAGCAUCUCUCUGGAGACCGGAAGUGCUAGACCAAAAUUUCGGAUUUCUUUUAUAGCGCUAUUAUCCUUGUGUCGGAUGUAAGAGAGUCGUCUUCGUGAGAUGGCUAUGUCUGUUUAGGACGUUUGUGAGUUCGAUGUGAUCAGCAUCGGAGUUGGUGGCGCGUGCCGUUCUUUCGAAUUUUUGCGCAAAAUAAGUGUUAAUGUGUGCAUAUUUAUGUCUUUUUUGUGACGGAGGUUUCGUCUGUUCGGAAGAAAUAAACUUUGAGGCAUCUUUUGCGACGUCUCGCAAUGCUAAAGGAUGCUUCUUCUAAACGUCCGACUAAUUUCCGAAGACCUCGUACUGAUUUUACGGGUGAGGAUGUUUUGAUAAGUCGAAAACACCAAGAGCGUGGUAAGAAGUUUUUUUUUGAUUUUUGGGAGUAUACGUACCCACUCCCCCCCCCCUUUUUAAUGAGGGGGGACAGCUGAAUUUGCCUUUCGGCAAACUGCCUACGUACUCCUUGCGGAGAUCAAGCCGUCUCGUAGUUCAGUGAUUGCGAGUUGGUUUGUUUAGUGAUAGUAUUUUUUGAGAUGCAUCGCGUUCCAGGUUAUAGGAAUUUUCAUGCCUUGCAUAUUGACUAUUUCGUAAGAACCUGGUCGGACGACUUUUUCGAUUUUAUAGGGUCCUUUCUAGUUUGCUCCGAGUUUUCCUGCGUUUCGUUCAGCGGUGUUUUAGAAGACUUUGCGAAGGACCAGAUCUCCCUGAUUGAACCUACGAUUUCGUACGUUGGACUUAUAGUAUUUUGCAGCGGCGUGCUGGUAAUUUUGGAUUCGGAUGAGCGCUCGAUCUCGGCGCUCGUUAAUGAGGUCGAAAUCAUCCAAGAGCAUAGCAUCGUUGAGUUCCUCUCGUUCGGGUAAUAACCUUCUUCGAACGCCGGGGAACUCUACUUCUGCGGGAAUCAUGCAUUCUGUGCCGUAUAGCAAAGCGAAGGGAGUUUCUCCCGUUGCUCGCCUUGGGGUGGUACGGUGAGACCAGAGGACUCCCUCGAGUUCGUCGGCCCACCUGCCUUUUUUGGCCUCUAAGCGUUUCUUCAGUCCGUCAAGAAUGGUCUUGUUGAUUGUUUCAGCCUGUCCGACCAUUCGAAUUUUUUAUUUCCUCGCAGGAUGUCGUAGAAAGGUAGGCACUUGUCUGUUGAUCGUGAAAUAAAUCGGUUAAGCGCUGCGAUCCUGCCGGUCAACCUCUGGACUUCCCGCUUAUUCUUUGGAGAAGCCAUCUCGAUUAGUGCGUUGAUCUAUUUUGGAUUUGCUUCGAUGCCGCGAUAUGUGACCAAGUAGCCGAGGAAUUCCCCUGACGCCAGGGCGAAUCUACAUUUUGUCGGGUUGAGCUUCAUGUUAUGGGAAUUUAAUUGCGCAAAGCACUCUUCGAGAUGUGACACGUGAUCUUUUGCUUUGAGGGAUUUGACGAGCAUGUCGUCGAUAUAAACCUCCAUCGUUUUUCCGAGUUGUUUGGAGAACAUUCGGUUUACGAGUCAUUGGUAAGUUACGCCGGCGUUUAUGAGGCCGAAGGGCAUUACCUUAUAGCAAUAAGUUCCACGAUCGGUAAUGAACGCAGUCUUCUCGCAAUCGUCGGGAUUCAUCCUAAUUUGAUUAUAACCUGAGAAGACAUCCAUGAAGGAUAAAAGUUCGUUGCCCGCUGUUGCCUCUACCAAUCGAUCGAUAUGUGGUAGAGGGAAGCUAUCCUUUGGACAUGCUUUGUUUAGGUCGGUAAAAUCCACGCAAACUCGCCACUUCCCGUUCUUCAUUUUGACUACUACUGGGUUGGCGAGCCAGUCUGAGUAUCUUACUUCUGUUAUCGACCCAACCUUAAGCAAUUUUUUGACCUCAUCGUUUACUGCAGCAGCCGUUCGGGUCCUAGCUUCCGUCUUUUUUGUUUGACAGGUUUAAAUGUUGGAUCGAUAUUCACCUCGUGAUAUGUUAUGUUAAUGUCGAUUCCCGGCAUAUCUUCCGCAGCCCAUGCGAAAGUAUUGAGGUUCUUUUUAAGACAAGCUACGAGUUCUGUUCUUAAAGCCUCGCGGAGAUUGGCUCCAAUCUCGACGCAGCGUUCCAGGAAGGCUUCAUCGAGACAGAUCGUUACCACGGGCUCGCAAGUUGGCUAGUGUUUUUCGGCUAGUGCUGCGAUGCUGCGAGAUUGCCAGAAAAGUUCUGCUGAAUCCUGACCUCGCGUAUCUUUGCUGGAGGUCUUUUUCUCCACUUUUCUAGGAGUGAUCUCGAGGAUCGGUCUCUUUCGUUUUAGUUCUGUGGCGAAACAAACCUGUGAAACUCUCGGAUUUCCCCAUAUUACCUCGACUCCGUUAGGGGUCGGGAACUUGAGGCAAAGAUGGUACGUUGAUGGGAUUACGCGCAUGGCGUUCAGCCAUGGUGUUCCCAUGAUAACGUUGUAAGAUGCGGGACGGUCAACGACUAGAAACUCUGUGACAUUCGCCACGGUUCCGGCUUUGACAGCGAGAUUAAUCGAUCCAUAGACCAUGGUUGUUUCCCCCGAAAGUCCCAGCAGUGGGCUUGGGCAUUUCGUGACUUCGGAUUGAUUGAUCCCCAUCUUUUCGAGAGUGUCUUUGAAGAUGAUAUCGGCCGAACUUCCGGUAUCGAUUAGUACCCUAGCGACGUCGAUAUCUCGAAUCGUCAACUCGAUAACAAGGAGAUCGUUUCGAGGUUUGGCUCGAUCGAUCGUUGCUCCCCCCUUGAAUGAGAUGACGUUCGCGCACGUCGAAUCUUGCAUACCGUUCCUGAUCGUUGGGUGGCUUUUGCGGGUUAGAUUGAUCCGUAUGCCCCCCUCCUUCUAGCGCCAAACUGUGGGAACCGAAAUUCGCACUGUCGAUUUCCGUUUAAAUAAGGAAAAUAGGAAAAUCCUAAUUUCCCAGAGGACCCGGAUAUCUGCUAAUUACCACACGUCAAGCAAUCGGAACACGAGAAUAACAACGAUAAAGUAUAAGAAAUCGAAAAAGAGAGCAAAGAAGAUCUUAUUUCCAAAUUUGCGUAUGAGCGUUUACAACAAGGUAUAAGCCUGGGCUAGGGAGCUGUCGGCGAGAUUCCUAGUUCUAGCAACCCUAAGACGGCUAAACCUAAUUGAGUCGCAGCUCGAAAUAACAAAAACGGAAAAAUGCCUAAAUUGCUCUAAGUGCUAAGUUUGCUCUGAAAAAGUUCUCUCUAUGCUCCUCGCCUAGGACUCCUUAUAUACUAGCUCCAAGGUCGGUUUACGCUUUUACUCUUCUGCCCUUAAGCCGUUAUAGCAUAAAAAUGGAGAUAUUCCAUUUUUCUCGAUCUUCACAAUUAUCUUCAAAACUUCCGUAUUUAUCCGCGGAAACUUGACAUUAAUCCUUCCUUGUGGACCAAGCGUAAACCGUGCUGUGGUUUAUGGGCUUUUUGUUAAGAAAACGUAGGAUGGGCCUCGAGUCGUGUUUUUGGUCCCUUUGGGCCGUCUUCCGACUCGACACGUUUACUACGAGUUCUUUCGAUAAAGAACGAAAUUUCCGCGGUUUUUAAUUCGCAAAGUCUGAUCGAUGAUUUAGAAUAGCGGAAAGCAAGGACUGAGCUUGCUACGGUCUUCGGGAGAUAGCAUUUGAAGGUUUUGACGAGAAUGCAUAGACUGGGGUCGUAUCGAUGUUCGGAAGAGCUCGCUCGCUACGCAAUGACCAAACUUUGGCUCAAGCCCGGUCGCUAUGUAGCGACCGAGCGAGACGGACGCUCGGUCGCUACGUAGCGACCGAGCUUGGCUUGGGCUCGGUCGCUACGUAGCAACCGAGCGAGACGGACGCUCGGUCGCUACGUAGUGACCGAGUGGGACGGACGCUCGGAAGUGGUCACGACCUGUUUUGAGCUUUCGUCGGACUUCUCGAUUCUUUCUUCCGUAAAGCUUUUUCGUAAGAAAGAAUCUUUUUCGAAAAGUAUUCAUUGGGGAAAUUCUUAUUUUCUUCCUAGGACGUUUUCAAUGUUAAAUUUGUCGCAACCGUUUUUGACCCCAACACUAUGUUGUCAUAGGCGUAUGCUGAAAGAUCUGUCAGUUCCUUUUGCAUUGACUCUACUGUCUUUUGUAUCAGCUGCUCGCCGAUUGGUAUAGACUCGGCGUCGAUCGAUGCGAUUACGUGUUUGUUGGUCGAUCUCGGUGAGUUGCCGUCGAUUGAUUUUGCUUUUGUCCUGUUGGUCGAUGCUGAUAUCUGAUGUUGAGCUGCGAGUUGCCUCUGAAUGGCUUUGACUUCUUUCUGUAGCCAUUCUGCGUGGUUGUCUAGUCCACUGAUUUUGUUGUCGAAUGGAAAGUAGAUGUCAUCGCAGCGUUUGUCAAGUCGUUCCUCCAUGGUGUCUAGAGCAGUGUAGAUCUUGGAUGUGAUCUUGUUAACCUCUGCUGCUGCGUAAGGAAGUAACUCCACAGGUUUCUUGCCAUCGAUCCAGGAUCCUCUUAGCCUGUCGAUCGAUGCUGAUUUUUCCUGCAAAAAACUUUGAUUAGUAAUGUUCUCAAUAUCCAAUUGGGCAUCAAGUAAUUGACUAGACAAUUUGGUUAAAUCUAUCAUGACUGGUGAUAUAAAACGGUCAUGCAUAUCCUCGUAAGUCCUCAGCCUCUCAUUUAUUGCUGAGACUUUGGCGUCGUGCGAUGUGAAGGGGUACAUGUCGAUCGAUGUGGCUGGAUGUUGGUCCUUCUUGCGAAUGGUGUCCAGAUCUUGCUGUAGUAGCUCGAUUUUAGUGCUUAGCCAGUCCACGUUGUUGUUGAGAGGGCAGUAAACAUCGUUUAUCCUCGUGUUGAUGUAUGCGACUUCUCAUUCAUCCCUGUGUUGUGUUGAACAUCGCGGUUCUGCAAGGAUCUGAGUAGUAGGGAGACUGACGUCGAUCGAUGUUGGACGUGGUGCGUCGAUCGAUGCUGAGGUGGUAGCUUCCUUUGCAAGUUGCUGACGUAAACUUUCAAUUUUUGUCCUCAUUUCUGCCAUACAUCUGAAAAGUUCAUUGUAGCCUCUAUCCAAAGGCUGGUGUGUUUCAUCUACCAGUGUUUUGAGCUCCUCCCCCAGUUUCUCCUGAGCUCCACAAAUACCAAACACCAUUUCAUCGAUUUCUUCUUUGGUGUAGAGUUCUGGUGCCAGUCUUGUGAGUGUGAAGGAAGUGGCAUGUUCUGGAAGACAGAUGUAGCUCUCUUCAAAAAGAGAUGCUCUUUCCAGUAUUUUCCUGAUGUUGUCCUUUGUGACAGGUAUCAUCUCACCAGCUGUGCUUGGUGCGUGUCCACGUUCAUAUCUGUAGACUCCAUAUUUGUCCCUUUGUUCCCAAGUGAACUUUCUGGCUCCAUACAUGUCGAAAGCGCGGCUCCAACAUUCAUAGCGUCUCUCGAUCAACGUCGGAUAAUCCAUAUCGAUCGACGUUGCUGUUACCAUGGCGAUCGAUGUCUCUGUUGUACCGUCGAUCGAUGCUUGCCCUUUUGGUUGGCGUGAUAGAUCUGUGUUGAUCUCUGUUGUGGCGACUCCUGCGUGGUUGUUAGGAUUUGUUAGAAUGACGUCUGGAGUGCCACGUUGCUGUGAGAACAAGUUGUCAGGUACAUUCGCUACUUGAAGGAUGUCUGCUAUGUCCUCCUUGGACACUUGUAAAAUCCUUCCAUCCAUUGCACGUGCGUUGCCAUCUGGAUCCCUGAAAAUACCAAAUUCAUCAGGUGUUAGAAAACCGUAAUUAAUGUUUGCAUAAUUAUUCAUUUUAGAAAUAGAGAGAUUAGGGUUUAGAGUAGUAUCGAUCGAUGUAGAUACAGUUACAUCGAUCGAUGGCAGAGUAAUUUCUGCAGAACUUGUGUUCUUGAGAUGAUUGCUCUUCAUGGAUUUUUCUGUUGAUGUAGAAGGAAGAGUGUUCAUCUUAUUUGCUUGUGUGUUUGCUCUGAUAUGUGUAGGUGGUUUCGGAGGUGCAAAACGAUUUAUAUAGGUAUCUGUAAACCUAGUUAGGGAGGAAAUAUUCUCAUGCUCCUGAAUUUUCGCUGCGGCGCGAAUAUCGAUCGAUUUUCCUUUCGGUGUGUCGAUCGAUGUGAGCGGUUGUUUUGCUGGACGAGGGUGGGUAUCGACCGAUGUGGAGUGCCCAGCGUUGAACGAUGUUGUAAACGUGUUGGUGAACUUGUGUAUUUCAAGUCUUUCAUCCUGCAAAGACAUUUCUAUUGCAUGUUCUUUCCAGUAAUCCUCAUCGUACUCCUCGGUAUGUUCCUCAUGAGGUGAAGUAAUUACAGUGUCAACUGCAAAACUUUCAUGGAAACCAAUGUCUGCCCAACUGCCUAUGGAAUAAUCAUCAUGUCCUCUCCUGGUUGAAGGUUGGAAGGCAAAAUGUUGGUAACAAUGAUUAGGUGAAGCGAAAUGGUCAAGUGGGUGCAUUACCUCGAGUGACGUGUUGUUGUGGUCAUCGGUCACCAUUGACACAUUGGAAUCGAUAAAUGGAAAGGUUGGGGUAUCGAUCGAUUUCGAGUACUCUGUUUUGUACUCCGAUUCAUACUCUGCUCCACAAUGGCUUGCGCCAAUGAAGCCAAGUUCUUUCCCAUAAUCCACAUAAUUAAUUACCUUUCUCUUAGGUCGGAUGGGAUCGCAGUGGAUGUUUGGGUCUAUGAGCGUUACACACAAUUUGUUUUUGUUCAUGUCACAUACAGCUCCUACUGUAGCUAGGAAAGAUCUUCUAAGCAGAAGUCAAGAGUUCCAGUUAAGCUCGAUGUCUAAGACAUGAAAAUCUACAGGGACAAGGGCAUUACCAAUCAGUACCUCCAGAUCUCUUAUGAUGCCUCCGGAUCGUUUCUCUGAAAGAUCCACGAAGGUGAAGGAUUCUGUUGAGGGUUCGAUGGUCAAACCAAGCUGGUCUGCCAUAAUCCUAGGGAGGAUACUAACCGAUGCUCCUGUGUCACACAUUGAAUGGGGAAAUUCAACACCCUUGACUAUGCAUGGUAUUGCAAACUUCCCAGGAUCACUCUUCUUCGUCAAUGUGAUCCUGUGUUUCAUCUUUCCUCUGACUUGAUGAAACAUUAUACUAAUGCCCUCCUCAGUUACCUUUGUUUCUCUGAAGAACAUCCACAACCGGUGUGUGAAGUAAGCUUCAUCAAAAGGUUUUUCGAUUGGGAUUCUGAGGACUCGUUUAGUGAAACCAUCCAUCUCUUUAUCGUUAGCUUCCCUCUUAAGGUUUUUAGGAAUCUUCUCCUUUCUUUUCCUUAACCUUCAACCCUUGAACUAGUUAAAGGGUUGGGUUUUGGUUCGGGUGGGUUUGCUAAUGGUUUAGGUGGUGGUCUGAGUGCAUUGAUGUAAUCAUUAUCGAUUGAGGGUAACCGCACUCGGUAUGUCAGAGGUGCCUGUUGAUCGAUGGGAGGUGUGUUGUGACGAUCGACGUCGGACUCACUCUGUCGAUCGAUGGUUGCGUUAACCGAUCGAUCGAUUUUUUCACAGAAAGGGGAGGGUGGGUGAGGAUGCUUAGCUGCGAAUUCUUCAUGAGUUAGAAUUCGAACCGCAUUGCAUUCAGUCGAAUUGGCAGACAACGUCGAUCGAUGACUGGAGUAAUCCGUCCAUCGAUCUUCAUCAUGGUCUGUCGAUUGAUGCGAGUUCAUCGACAUCGGUCGACACCAUUGGGAUCCGCCGAAACUCAUGGAGCUUUCGAUUUCGAAAUCUCCUUCCUCAAGGUUUUCAUUUCUCACCACUUGCCAGAAUUCGUCAUCUAUGAUGGCAUUUACGUGGUGUUUCCCUUUGUCGGCUCCUGCUUCUCUAGCGAAAGCUUCUUGCCUCUUAAUAGUCUCGCCCGUCUGAAUUACUUGGGUUUCAAGUUUUCUCACCUGAGUCCCUAAGGUCUCGAUUUUGGUGUUCAGAUUGUUGUAGGCAGAGUCUAUCUUACCGUUGAAAUCCACGGUGAUUUGUUGUUGUCCCAACAGUACUCGAUCAAGCAUUUCUUCGAUCUUGCUUUCCUGAGUCUGGGGUGGUGGAUUUUGAUAGUAAGAGUUCGAGUAGCUCUUGCUGUUGUUGAAGGGUUUUUGAAAUUGUGAACUUUGGUUACUUCUUUGGCCAUUUCCAAAGAAGUUUCUGUUUCCGCCCUGGUUUCCAAAUUUCUGGAAUCCGGUACCUCCGAUGUAGUUCACAUCUUCUUCUCCUUCUGUAUCUGCUACUUCUCCUUCAGCUGAACAGACUUGCUUCCUAAGAAGCUCGUGCACCACAUCUAACUUAGCUCUUACUUCGUCCAUCUGUUCCUUCCCGAUAGAGGCUACAGACUUCUUCCGUUCAGAGUCAGUGUUUUUGGUGCUGCUGCUGUUAGCAAGGUUUUCGAUAAGUCUCACAGCUUCCAACGGAUUCCGAGUAGUGAAGUUUCCUUCACUCGCCGUAUCAAGAGCCAUUUGAUACUGUAAGGCGAGACCUCGAAGAAAGUGCUUAGCAGCUGCACUUCAUUAAAUCCGUGGUGUGGACAGUCUCGCUGGAAAAACCUAAAUCUAAUCCACGCAUCUUUGAAGGACUCUCCAGCCUUCUGCGAGAAUGUGGAAAUUUUGUUCCGAAGUUCUUCAGCGCGCGCCUCAUCGAAGAAGUUUCGUAAGAAAGCAUUCUUGAUGUCGCUCCAGGAUGUUAAAGAUCCUGUGGGUUGCUGCCUAAGCCAGUGCAUCGCUUCUCCAUUCAGCGUGUAUCUGAAGAGCUUGCACAGCAGGUAAUCUUCGGGGACUCCUUCCAUCCGAAUGGCAGCGAUUAGAUCCUCGAACCGUUCCAAAUGGUCCAUAGGAUGCUCGUGCGGUAACCCAGAGUAGGGUAUCUGCGACACGAGAGUGUAGUAUUGAGGCUUCAGCUCGAAAUUCUGCUUCUGGAUCUCCGGAAGUCGAAUCGCUGAUCUGUUGGAAUAGUACUCAUCUGGGCGAUUGUAGUCGGCCAGUGGUUUCGAUCGAGCGUCCUCAUCUACAGGUUGAGCAGCUCCUGUAGCAUCAGCAUCAGGGAUUACAGUUCCCUGAGCAUCUAUUUUCUGACCUGUUGCAUUAUGCAGAUGACCGGCCUGGUCAUACAGGUUUCCGUUCUCAUCCUGAGUUAGAAUAAUAAUGUUUACCAUUUUUGACGACACAGUAUCGAUCGACGUACGCGGUGUAGUAUCGAUCGAUUUCGAACGAUUGGGAUCAAUCGACGAUGACGGUCUGGUGUCGGUCGACGGUUGGUUGUGUGUAUCGAUCGACGACGAAGUGGUUGCGUCGAGCGAUGUGGAACGUUGACCUCUACGGAUGGUGCGUUCCAAAUGAGCAGGAUCGUCUGAGAACAGCAAGUCUUUCUCCUUGUUGCUUCUGGUACCGCUGGGCAUGCACCUGAAAAGACAAGAAAAAGAAAGAUUGUUAGAAAAGGGGGUAAAGAAAAGAAUAAGAAUUAAUAAAACUAAAUCUAAUGGCGAUCAAAGCUCCCCGGCAAUGGCGCCAAAUUUGAUACCACUCAAAUUACCCUAAGGAGUGUUACUCUCAUCAAAAGAGGUUCAGAUGUACUACUUAGGGAUCGAAUUCACAAGGAGCUAGGGAACAAUUAAAUCUAGUGUUUAUUAAUUCUAAAGGUUGUAAUGUUUUAAAUAAAAUAGCAAUAGUAACUAGCUAGUAAAUGAUAAAUGUAACUUAGGUUGGAAAUGAUAUUAGAUGCAGGGCCACUAUUCAGGUGUUGGAGAUUAUAAUUCCUAUAGAUGCCUAACUGUUGCAUGCAUGAUAUAUUAGAGCUCAUUCGCUUAACUCAGUGAUCAGCUGUCGCAUGUACCACUGGUUAACAGACUAGAUCUUGUGUCUCAUCGGUUAGAUGCAGACACAAGAGAGUGUCGAUCGAUAGUCUAUGAAGAUGUCGACCGAUACACUUUUGCCAACAUCGAUCGAUUGUCAGUUGAGGACAUCGAUCGACGGGUUCUAGCCUGGCCUACGCGCGAGUAUGAAAUGCUCUACUAAAAUUUUCAAUUGGCGGUUAGCCCUCUCUAGCAAUCCUAAUAUGAUAGAUAGAUGUCAGGAUGGGAUAACAAGGGUGCUUGAAUAUGCAAUCAUAUAAUCAAGUUCUAGUUAGCUAGGCUAAAACAAGCAAUGAAUACAAAUCUAUCAUGAAUAUCACAACAAGGCAGAUCUAUAGUUUGGGGCUAGUCCCACAAACCUAUCUGAACCCUGGAUCUAACAAUUGAACUACUCAGACAUAGCAAAGCAAUUCAUAUUAAUAGAUAAAUAGAAACUCAUAGAAUAGAUGAUAAGAAAAUGAAACAAGGAGUUCCAAUCACAAGUGAUCUUCUCUCCAAAUGAAACUUGUAACAAAACUAGGUCUAGAAAAGAAAAGCUCUCUCUGCCGUCAAAACUUAGGCAGUAUAUAUUCUACUAGGAUAAAAACUCGUCAGGGCAUUUUGGUAAUUUGGUUUGGCCUUGGUCUUUCAGUCUGCUGAAUCCAAAAUGUCGCGUCUGGUGUCUACAUCGAUCGUCAGCACUGAUGCGCAUCGAUCGAUUAUUCUUCCUCUCGUCGACCUCUAAGUGGUCAGCUCGGGUUAAAUGUCCUUUAUGCUCCAAAAUGCUCCAAAGUCAUAGCUUUACUCCGAAAUGCACCUGAACCUGAAAACAUACCUAGAAGAGUAGAAAACAUAGAUACACUAUAGUAAAAUAAUAAUAUACCAUGGAUAAAAAUGGGUCAAAUCCAAGGUAUAUCAAAGGUCCUUUUUCGCAAUUUUUUUCUUCCUCGACAUUUUACACUUCUCUUGAGAAAAUAGAGGAAAAGGGUGAAGAGAAAGAAAGAAAGUUUUUCUUAAGAAAGAUCUUAGAGAAAACAAGAAAGUGAAAAAAUUGUGAAACAAGUUACCUCCUUUCUUAUAGGCAUGAGAAUUUACUAUUCAAGCUCGGACUUUCGGAUAUUAAUUCCAUCCAACACGCCUAACUUGCCAAACAUGCCUAACCGCACGAUAGGACCCUGCGAUGCAUGGUCCUAACGGGCUGGGGGGCUAACUGUUGGGGUCAAAAACGGUCACGACGGAAUUACAACUUGAAAAUCCUCGGAGAUCAUAUUUCCGAAAGAGAUAGUAAAAAAAAGAUAGAAUUUUCGUAAAAAAUAAACAAUACGAAGUUUUUACGAAGAAGUAUCCCUGAAGAUUCAAACCAAACGAACAAAGCUCGGUCGUUGCGUAAUUACCGCGCAUACACGCUGUCCGGUCGCUACGUAGCAACCAAGCCCGGGCCGAUAUCAGUCGCUACGUAGCGACCGAACAUCCGACCCACUCGGUCGCUACGUAGCGACCGGGUUCGAGCCAAAGUUUGGUCGCUGUGUAGCUCUUCCGAACAUCGAUACGACACCAGUCCAUGCAUUCUCGUCAAAACCUUCAAAUGCUAUCUCCCGAAGACUGUAGCAAGCAUAGUCCAUGUUUUCCACUAUUCUAACUCAUCGUUCAAACUUCGCGGAUUAGAAGCCGCGGAAAGUUCGUUUUUUAUCAAAAGAAAUCGUAGUAAACGUGUCGAGUCGGAAGAUGGACCAAAGGGACCUAAAACAUGACUCGAGGCCCAUCCUACGAUUUCUUAACCAAAAGCCCGUAAACAACAGCACGGUUUACGCUUGGUCCACAAGGAAGGAUAAAUGUCAAGUUUCCGUGGAUAAAUACGGAAGUUUUGAAGAUAAUUGUGAAGAUCGGGAAAAAUGGAAUAUCUCCAUUUUUAUGCUAUGACGGCUUAAGGGCAGAAGAGUAAAAGCGUAAACCGACCUUGGAGCUAGUGUAUAAGGAGUCCUAGGCGAGGAACAUGAGGAGAGAACUUUUCAGAGCAAACUUAUCACUUAGAGCAAUUUAGGCAUUUAUCUGUUUUUGUUAUAUCGAGCUGCGACUCAAUUAGGUUUAGCCAUCUUAGGGUUGCUAGAACUAGGAAUCUCGCCGACAGCUCUCGAGCCUAGGCUUAUACCUUGUUGUAAACGCUCAUACGCAAAUUCGGAAUAAGAUCUUCUUUGCUCUCUUUUUCGAUUUCUUAUACUUUAUCGUUGUUAUUCUCGUGUCCUGAUUGCUUGACGUGUGGUAAUUAGCAGAUAUCUGGGUCCUCUGGGAAAUUAGGGUUUUCCUAGUUUCCUUAUUUAAACGGAAAUCGACAGUGGGAAUUUCGGUUCCCACACUGCACAUAGGACACUGAAAAACAGAGUGCAUGAGGGUGAAAAUAAAGGCAUAGGUGAUGUUAGGAGUUUUCAAGGCUCCUAAAACAAAUGUUGUAGUAUAAAAGAUUGUCGAACCAGUUCUGAGGGAUAUCAAAGCACUGAGAAUGCAAGUACUCACUUAAUCUAAGUGCAACCAAUGAUUUAGAUGAGUUUUAAACUACUACUAAUACUAGAAAGCAAUAACAGAAUGAUACUUUCUUAACUAAGGGAAAAGAGAACUCAUGGGCAUAGGGAUUAGACCUUGGGUGAUCAAGUAUCGAACUAAGGAUGGCAAAUGAUCAAUCAAACUAUCAACCUUAAGCCUAGACACAAUUCUAAGCAAGCUCUAUGUCUAGAUGAAUGCUCAUUUGCUAACAUAUCUCAAACAUCAAAUGUCUUUGGUUGAAUAAUAUGAAAGCAAUCAUUACUAACAAGUCUAUUAGCUAUCUUAGCAUCUUUAACAACAAAUGUCUUUGGCAAAGUAUACUAAAAGCCUAGGAGAGUUGUCUCAGGCAUUUCAUCAAACACCUUUUGGGUGGGAAAUGUCUAUUGAUCAACUUUUGAGUGGCCAACUCAGAAGAUGCAUUAUGAAUACUCUACUAGCAAGGAACAAGAAUGAUCUACACUAAAACAUCCUAGAACUAACCUAAUCACCCUUAAUCUCCCUAACCCAUGAAUUCAAAAGGUGAUUACUCACUAAUCUCCAUGAUUCCUCUUAAACCCAUAUUGGAUUUCAGAUUAAUCAUGUAGAGAAAUAGAUAAGAAAUCAACAAGAACACAAGAACAUAACAAUCAAAAUCCAAGAGAUGAACUUCUCCAGAGAGUUUUUGUGUAUUUCUCAAUAGAUCCAAAGAUAAUCUGCCCUGGUGGCUACAAAGGAUGUUUAAAACAUAGGUUUUAGAAAUGUAAAAAAACGUGCAUAAUGAAAUGACCAAAAGGCCCUUAAGUAAAAUAGAAAUCGAGCAGAUAAUAGACGCGGAGCGACCUCGGCAUGUCGCUCCGACAAGUCGCUCCGGCCUUCGGGAGCGACCUCAGUGGGUCGCUCUGAGAGGUCGCUCCAGGCUUCGCUUCGUCUCGUCUCGCCAUAGAGACGCGAGCGACCUCGGGGUGUCGCUUUGGGAGGUCGCUCCGAGAGGGGUGUGAGACGCGAGCGACCUCGGGGCGUCGCUCUGGGCAAGUCGCUCUGGGGGGUGCUUUGGAGCGACCUCAUGACGUCGCUGCGGAACCUCGCUCCCAUGCUAUGCUCAUCCAAUGAUCACCUAUUUCACGUCCUUUAAGCUCCAAAUGCAUCCAAAUGUCCCCAAGAACUCCAUGUGGCACUCCAACACCUAAUAAGGACAAUGAAUGCAAAAUGCAACCUAGACAUGGCUAAAUCCUAAUCUAUAUGAUGAAAAUGCUCAUGGAUGAAUGGAUAAAACAAUGUAAAUAUGCAAGAUAUCAACUCCCCCAAACUUGUUCUUUUACUUGUCCACAAGUGAACUUUCUAGAACUCAUAGGGAGAGAGGUAGAAGGUGGGAGCACAUAGCCAAAAGAAACACAACUAGCACACUCUCUUAUUACACUCUAGCUUCUCUAGGCCUAUCUUAACUCUUUUUGUUCUUACACUCAUCAUCAAGCAUCCACACAUUCAAAUCAACCAACUCUCACAUUCAUUAAGCACAAAUCAUCGGGUGAAUUCUUGCAAAUGGUCAGUUGGUCCAAGUCAUUUGGUUGGGUAAGGGAAGGCUUUUAUUCAAGUGAUUCAAGAGAUUCAAAACAUAUGAUCUUUAAGGUGGUUUACUCUCGAAACAAGUAGCCUUGACAUUGCACAUAAUAUAUCUAAGAAAGGGAUCAACUCAUGCAUACAAUGCUCAAUCUCCAUUGUUCUACCCUUUUCCCAAACAUACAAUUACACAAUCAUUCACAAAUGUCAAACCCAACUCACAUCUCUCACCAAAAGAUCCUAAGAACUUUAACUCUUUCUCUUUGAAAUCUACAAGGGAUUUUUCACAACCUCAAAACAUUUCUUAGCUCUUAACAACUUUGCUAGCCCCCCUUUUUUUUUCUUUUUCUUUUUUUUUUUCUUUUCUCUUUUUUUUUUUCGUUUUUCUUUUUCCUUUAUUUUUUUUUAUUUUUUAUUUUUUUUAGGCUGGGGGCCAAGACUUUUCAAAACUUGAGCUAGAGGCUUCUCUACUUAUCCCAAUAAAACAAUUCACUUAAGCACAAAGAGUCUAUUCUUUUCCUUUUCAUUCCUCCCAAAUCAUAAUCACAACACUCACCCCCCACCUAUAGCUAGACAAUAGAGUGCCCAAUCUAGCAAGAAUGAAGAUCAAGCAUUGUCGUUCCCGAUACUCUCAACAUUAUGCACAUGUAAGACUUUCCGAAAAAGGCCUCACUCAUCAAACAAUGAAAGCUUAAAAGGAGGAAAAGGUUUUGGGAGUGGUCUACCACUAGAGUUUGUCAAAAAAGAUCGGCAUAAAAGAUGUGACAACUCAAGUGUGUAUAGCCAUGACUCAGUACACAAGGGACCAUGAGCAAGAAGCAUUAAGUUCGUUCAGUUCAAAUAAGGUUGUAGUUGGCUUCAAAGACUGAGUUUCAGCAAUCAACAAGUUUCAGGAAGAGUUUUCAAGGCUCGAAACAUACAAGUCUUUUUGAGAGGUGCAAAAGCUACUCAGGUGCAACGUAGUGUUCUUUACAAGGCAUUUAAAAUCAUUGCUCCCAAUGCAAGUGAAUGCAACCUAUAUGCUCUAGACUCUCCUAGAAAUGCAAAUGAUGCAAACUAAAUGAUUGUUUUUUUUUUUUUUUUUUAAUAUGCAAAUAGGUAUGCAAUGCAUGACUCAAUGAAACAACAUCAAAGCAAACAUGAUCAAAUACUUGGUACCUCCCCCAAACUUGAGUUACACAGUCUCUGUGUUGUCAAGUAGAGAGAGAUACCGAAAAGAAGACUAAUAUGCAAAAAUGAAAUGGUAUAUACAAGGGAGUGUGGUGGUUUACCUUCUAUAGGGAAUGAGUAGAGGGAGAUGCUCCCUCCUCGUCGUCCUCAGGUGGUAACUCUUCAAGGUGCUCAUCAGCAGGAGUGGCCAUCUCUUCAAUGUAGAAGGCUUGCCCGAACACAGUUGGUUUCCUCAUUUUCUCCUUGAUGUCAAAGUGGAGGAUGUUCUCUUUACCCAAAUGGAGAUCAAUCGUGCCUUCCUUCACAUUAACAAUAGCUCCUGCUGUAGCUAAGAAUGGCCUUCCUAGAAUCAAUGGGUCUUGAGCCUCCUCACCCAUCUCAAGCACCACAAAAUCUGUAGGUAUCUCAUACCUUCCAAUCUUCACAGGGAGGUCCUCUAAGAUGCCCACAGGGUACUUCACUGAACGAUCAGCUAACACCAGAGAGAGUCUACACUUCUUGUACUGAGUGAAUCCAAGCUUCUUUGCAACAGACAAAGGCAUCAAGCUGACACUAGCUCCCAAAUCGCAGAGACUUUUCUCAAAUACCAUAGGUCCAAGAGCACAAGGUAGUGUGAAGCUUCCUGGAUCCUCUAAUUUCUCUGGAACAUCAAGCCUCUGGAUGAUGGCAUUGCACUCAUGGGUAAGAGUCAUCAUGCCUUCCAUCUCCUUCUUCUUUGCAGCUACAACAUCUUUCAGGAAAUUGUUGUAUUGAGGAAUCAACAUGAAAGCAUCGAUGAUGGGCAUUGCAACCUGAGCUUCACUCAUUUGCUUCUCAAACAGAGCCUUGUACUUCUCUAGCAGCUGCUUCUUGAAUCUACCAGGGAAUGGAAGUUUGGGUUCAUAGGGAGGAGGAACAAAAGAACUUUCACUUGCUGGAGUUACAACUUCACCAUCUUUUACUGUCUUCUUCUCUUCCCCAACCUUUCCUUUACCUUUGGCUUCCACUAUCUUCUCCAAGAUCUCGUCAUUGAUCUUCUCAUCAACAAUCACCACUUCAUCAUCUAUGUUGAUGGCAACCCCCUCACCUAGUUUCUCAGCAUCCUUGGUGAGGGUUCUAGGAGGUAACUGUUUACCACUCCUAAGGGUGAUAGCUUUGGCCUCCUUGGGGUUUUGGUCAGACUUUCCAGGUAGAGAUCCUUGCUGGCGAUUCUGGUGAGUGUUCAUGGAAGCAAACUGAUUCUCUAAAUUCCUGACUGUAGAAGCAAGGUGUGAGAAUUUGUUGUUGAGCUCAUUGUAGCUCCCAUCAAUCUUGGUAUGAAGGUUCUUCAACUCAUAACCAACAUGCUUCUCACUUCUAGUCUGAGACUCCAAGAUUUGUUUCAGUAAGGUAUCAGUGCUGCUCUCUUGAGGAGCAGAGGAACCAGACGAGGGAUUUUGCUGAGGCUGAUAGCUGCCUUGCUGGUUGUUCGAGGCUGAUAACCACUCUGCUGGUUGUUGGAAUAGGACUUCUGUUGGUAGUUGUUGUACUGAAAGUUGGGUUCUUUUUGUACCAGCUACCAUUGUUGUUGAUGAAACACAGCUCUUCCUGACCUUCCAAACCCUCAACUUCAUGGACAACAGCUGGUGUCUCUUGGCUUGGGUUGCCAACAAAGUGCAGCUGCUCUUGGGUAGCUUUAUCAGCAAGGAGGAUGUCUAUCUUAUCCUGUAGAACUUUCAACUCCUUCCUCGUUUGCUUAUCCUCAGUUCUACUGCUUCUGUCGUGGUCUCCACUGUAGACUGCAUCACUCUUAACCAUGUUGUCAACCAGCUCCUCUGCAUCCUCCUCAGUUCUCCCCAAGAAGAACCCAUUACUAGCUGUAUCCAGUCUGGCUCUGUACUUAGAGAGAGCACCACGGUAGAAUGUGCUCAGCAAGCUCUCCUUAGAGAAACCAUGGUGUGGGCAUUGAGCUUGAUAGCCCUUGAAUCUCUCCCAGGCUUCACUGAAACCUUCCAAGCCCUUCUGUUGAAAGCUGGAGAUCUCGUUUCUCAGCUUAGCAGUUCUUGAAGUAGAGAAGAACUUCUCCAAGAAUGCUUUCUUGCAGUCAUCCCAAGUGGUAAUGGAGUCGCUGGGUAGAGACUUCUCCCACUGACGUGCCUUAUCCCCCAAAGAGAAAGGGAAUAGCUUGAGCUUUAAGGCAUCUUCGGACACACCAUUGGUUUUUGACAACCCACAGUAGCUGUCGAACCUGUCCAAGUGAUCAAAUGGAUCCUCUAGAGCCAAGCCAUGAUACUUGUUGUUCUCAAUCACGUUGAGGAGUCCUGACUUGAUCUCAAAGUUGUUGGCUGCCACGGCGGGUGCUCGGAUUCCCAAUCUAUGACCAUGAAUGUUGGGACGGUCGUAAGUGCCAAUGGGCGAGCUGCUCGCUGUUGGUUAGGUGGACCAUUGUUGUUAGCGCCAUUGAUGCCUGCAUCUUCUUGAUGAACGUCUCCCAUGUCAGUGUUCAGUCUCUGCAAUUGAGCCUGAUGUUCUUCUUCUCUUCUCUUUCUAGCACACUCUCUCUCUAAAGCUCUGAUGUCUGCUGCUCUUGGAACUAGGUUUGAUGGACCCCUGCUCCUCAAGUUCAUACACCUGUAGAUUAAAGGGAGGUGAAGAAAGAGAAUCAGUAACAAAAGAAAAUAAAAAUGACUUAGUCUCAAGCAAGUGACUAAAUCUCAAUGUUUAAAUCUACUCAGAAUUUGGCAACGGCGCCAAUUUGAUGUUAGGAGUUUUCAAGGCUCCUAAGACAAAUGUUGUAGUAUAAAAGAUUGUCGAACCAGUUCUGAGGGAUAUCAAAGCACUGAGAAUGCAAGUACUCACUUAAUCUAAGUGCAACCAAUGAUUUAGAUGAGUUUUAAACUACUACUAAUACUAGAAAGCAAUAACAGAAUGAUACUUUCUUGACUAAGGGAAAAGAGAACUCAUGGGCAUAGGGAUUAGAUCUUGGGUGAUCAAGUAUCGAACUAAGGAUGGCAAAUGAUCAAUCAAACUAUCAGCCUUAAGCCUAGACACAAUUCUAAGCAAGCUCUAUGUCUAGAUGAAUGCUCAUUUGCUAACAUAUCUCAAACAUCAAAUGUCUUUGGUUGAAUAAUAUGAAAGCAAUCAUUACUAACAAGUCUAUUAGCUAUCUUAGCAUCUUUAACAACAAAUGUCUUUGGCAAAGUAUACUAAAAGCCUAGGAGAGUUGUCUCAGGCAUUUCAUCAAACACCUUUUGGGUGGGAAAUGUCUAUUGAUCAACUUUUGAGUGGCCAACUCAGAAGAUGCAUUAUGAAUACUCUACUAGCAAGGAACAAGAAUGAUCUACACUAAAACAUCCUAGAACUAACCUAAUCACCCUUAAUCUCCCUAACCCAUGAAUUCAAAAGGUGAUUACUCACUAAUCUCCAUGAUUCCUCUUAAACCCAUAUUGGAUUUCAGAUUAAUCAUGUAGAGAAAUAGAUAAGAAAUCAACAAGAACACAAGAACAUAACAAUCAAAAUCCAAGAGAUGAACUUCUCCAGAGAGUUUUUGUGUAUUUCUCAAUAGAUCCAAAGAUAAUCUGCCCUGGUGGCUACAAAGAUGUUUAAAACAUAGGUUUUAGAAAUGUAAAAAACGUGCAUAAUGAAAUGACCAAAAGGCCCUUAAGUAAAAUAGAAAUCGAGCAGAUAAUAGACGCGGAGCGACCUCGGCAUGUCGCUCCGACAAGUCGCUCCGGCCUUCGGGAGCGACCUCAGUGGGUCGCUCUGAGAGGUCGCUCCAGGCUUCGCUUCGUCUCGUCUCGCCAUAGAGACGCGAGCGACCUCGGGGUGUCGCUUUGGGAGGUCGCUCCGAGAGGGGUGUGAGACGCGAGCGACCUCGGGGCGUCGCUCUGGGCAAGUCGCUCUGGGGGGUGCUUUGGAGCGACCUCAUGACGUCGCUGCGGAACCUCGCUCCCAUGCUAUGCUCAUCCAAUGAUCACCUAUUUCACGUCCUUUAAGCUCCAAAUGCAUCCAAAUGUCCCCAAGAACUCCAUGUGGCACUCCAACACCUAAUAAGGACAAUGAAUGCAAAAUGCAACCUAGACAUGGCUAAAUCCUAAUCUAUAUGAUGAAAAUGCUCAUGGAUGAAUGGAUAAAACAAUGUAAAUAUGCAAGAUAUCAAUAGGCUCAAGGUGGGAACUAGGUAAAGAUAUAUUAGCCACUCAGGAUCAGCAAGAUUGGUCAAAGGAAUAAGAAGUCAUGAGUGUAAGUCUAGUUUCCCUGAUCUAGUGCCCACAACAAGAAGAAUUUCAGUCAAGAUUAGGUUAAAGUUAGGUGGAGUUGAGUCUACUCAGUGUAACCUGAUCGGUUGAGAGCUUCUGGAGAAUCAGAUGAGAUAAGUCAGAGGUGUUUCAGGUCCAAGUGUGGGUCUUUCAUCACUGCUAAGGUCACUUGAUAAGAAUGUUAGAGCACGAGGUGGCUAAAAAGAUUAUCACAACAGAAGGUCCUAAUUCCCACAAGAGUUUAAACUGACUCGAUCCUAAACUGACUCAAUAAAACAUCCAAAUGACACAAGGACUGACUCAGAAGUAAAGAAAUAGAGUUUCAGCACAGAACAAGUGCUUCCCCCAGACUUAAUUUACAUAAUACCUGGUGUGAAACGAAGUCGAGGUCAGCCAAAUAACAACACAAAGCAUAAAAAUAAAACCUAAAAAUAAAGAGUUCAGAUGGAUAGAACAAUGGAUAGAGAAUAGUCGUCGCGGACUCAGUCGGACUCGCCGCUCUCGGCCGGAUCAAAUGAACGUCUGUUGCGCGAGCGAACCUCCUUGGUUGAAGGGCCUGUUCCCUUAGGCGCCUUUCCUGGACGGUGUGAUCGUGGAGUCUGCUCUGCUGGUGGCUGUCGCUGGUUACUUCCGCCAAUGCAGCCGCCAGUGACGAGAUGGAGGAUCCUCCGCAUGAGGCUGUUGUUUUUCCGCUGCGAGUCAACCAUCCAGCCUCGGUAAGCCUGAUCAUCGGUCACAUCCGCCAGCUCUCCGAGGUCGUAUGAUGGGUCAGCCUCUGGGGUGAUGUCCUCAAGAUCCUCCAUGUCCGCGUCAGGUGCAGCAGCACGUGGAUCAGUGCAUAGGAGCUCGGGUGGUGGGAGGAAGCAUAUGUUGUCGAACACGCUGAACCUGGUGAUCUCGGGGUGAGGCAGUUUACUCAGCUGGGUACCAUCCUUAUCGAAGAAGCUGUAGGUAUCCUCAUCUCGCUUGAUGUGGCACGCCAUGAGGUACUUGAUGUCGAGGUACUGUAUCUAAGUGUUCACCUUGUAUUUGCUGAGAUCAAUGCCGAAAUGCUUGAAGAGUGGCGUGAGCAAGUUACCGCUUCUGUCCUUCUUAUUUGUGCCGUGCAUCAGACACAGCUUCCUCUCGCAGAACACGGUGAUGAAAUGAAAGCCUGGGUUCGUCUUGACCUUCUGAAUUGGAAUGCCAGACCCUGAAGCGCGGAUCUCAUCCUCAAUGCCUGCAUACAGGGUUUACAGCUCCCCGUUUGUCACUUUCGAAGUCUGAUCCUUAGCGAACAGGAGGUGUGAAAUGAUCUUUGCAAUUACUCUAAGUGUCCGGUUCCUGAUCUGCGACUGGUAGGACUUGCCCGGUGUGAAGUUCCCAUUCGCAAUGAAGUCCCAAAAGGUGUUUGAUGGGGAAAACUUCUUCGCUACUGCUACCCCUCUCAGCUCAUUCGCGAUCUCAUAGAUUUCAUUGAGUUUGUCGAGGGACAGGGAGCAAUACUCUCCAUCAGCCAUGAAUGAGAAGGAACAGUUAGCGUAGGAAGGAGCAGAGCAGUCCUCAUAAGUGAAUGAGGCGGUGGCGAGCACUUGGCGGACUAGAUCAGGGUAGAGCCCGUGCGUAGCGUAACAAAGGGGAGUGAUCCCCAUCGCUUGCAGUGUCUCGAACACAUCCUCGUCGAUACCAAGCUCAAAGAGAGUCUCGGCGUGGCAGAAACGUGUAGGUAGUAUCUCGACCUUGAGGAGAGCAUUGUACCGACUAGCUGUCUCCUUGUCCCACCCUUCGCAAUUAAAAUCCAGAAGCAUAGGAUCAUCGAGAUUGAUCGGCUCAUCCUCCUGUUCUCGCGGCCAUGGGUAAGAAGCGGAGAUAUGUUGUUGUGCUCACUGUGAUGGGGUGUUGUUAAUCCUCUUUGUUCUAUUGGCCGAUUGUUUGGUGCGUGGAGGCAUCUGCAAGGCAAAUAGAAGUUCUUUAUUAGUUCCAUUCUCGGUUGCAUAGAAGAAAAGGAAUCAAAGUAAGCCCCUUUUAGGAACUAUUCCUUUUUCUUUCCAAGCAACCCGCUUUCAACAAACUCAACCCGAUUUCAACAAACUCAACUCGCCGAAUCAGAACAUUUCAACUUAGCACAGUCACAAUUAAAAUGUUCAAUGCCUAUCAAAACCAUGAUUCUCUAGGGCUAAAAGACAAAAAGUUUGUGGGAACCGAAAUUCGCACUGUCGAUUUCCGUUUAAAUAAGGAAAGUAGGAGAACCCUAGUUUCCCAGAGGUCCCGGAUAUCUGCUAAUACCACACGCUAAGCAAUCAGAACACGAGAUAAUAACGACAAAGUAUAAAAUUCGUAAAAAGAGAGCAAAUAGAAGUCUUAUUCUGAAUUUGCGUUUCCUAGUUCUAGCAACCGUAAGACGGCUAAACAUAAUUGAGUCGCAGCUCGAAAUAACAAAAAACGGAAAGUUGCCUAAUUGCUCUAAGUGCUAAGUUUGCUGUGUAAAGGUUUUUCCUCAUGCCUCUCGCCUAGGACUCCUUAUAUACUCGCUCCUAGGUCGGUCUACGCUUUUCCCCUUCUGCCCUUAAGCCGUCAUAGCCUAAAAAUAGAGAUAUUUCAUUUUUCCCGAUCUUCGUAAUUAUCAUCAAAAACUUUAUAUUUAUCCGCGGAAACUUGACAUUUAUCUUUCCUUGCGAACCAAGCAUAAACCGUCAUACGGCUUAUGGGCUGUUGGUUAAGAAAUCGUAAGUGGGCUUCGAGUUACGUCUUAGGUCUCUUUGGGCCGUCUUUUGACUCAAAAUGUUUAUUACGGUUUCUUCGAUAAAAACGAACUUUUCGCGGUUUUUAUUGUAAAGUUUGAUCGAAGACCUCGAGUGACGAGCAACAUGAAAUGGCUCAGCUACGGUCUUCGGGAGAUAGCAUUAAAGAGUAGAUGAGAAUGCAUGGAUUCGCGUCGUAUCAAGGAUCUCUUCGUAACGAUCGAAACAUGCAUGUGCUCGGUCACUACGUAGUGGCCAAGCUUGGUUCCGAGCUCGGUCGCUGCGUAGCGACCGAGCUUGGUUCGAGCUUGGUUGCUACGUAGCGACCGAGUAGUACGCGUGCUCGGUCGCUACGUAGCGACCGUGCUUGGCUCGAGCUCGGUCGCUACGUAGCGACCGAGCAGUACGCGUGCUCGGUCGCUAGGGUAGCGACCGAGCUAGGCUCGGGCUCAGUCGCUAGGUAGCGAUCGAGCUAGGCUCGGGCUCAGUCGCUACGUAGUGAUCGAGCUAGGCUCGAGCUCGGUCGCUACGUAGCGACCGAGUUAGGCUCGGGCUCGGUCUCUACGUAGCGACCGAGCUGUGUGCAUGCUUGGUCGCUGCAUAUCGAUCGAGCUUGGCUUGUCUGCGGUCCGAUUGCCAUACUCGUGCUUGUCUGCGGCCGAUUUGGAUACAUGUCUGUUGCCUUCGGACCAUCGAUAUUUAGUGGUUCGAUUGAGAUUUGAACAAGAUUUUACCGCAAGGCUCUUUGUAAAGAUAUCUUUACGAAGAUUACUUUUCGUACAAACGUUCAUGCUUAUUUUUACGGAAUUUCAGACUUUGAUUCCGUCGUGACCGAUUUUGACCCCAACAUUUAGCCCCCCAGCUCGUUAAAACCAUGAGCUUCUAGCGAGUGGCUUGGCAAGUUAGGCAAGUGUGGGAACCGAAAUUCGCACUGUGAGAGCCCUAAUUUCCCAGAGGUCCCGGAUAUCUGCGAGAGCCAACAACAAGUGACCAAAUAUAUGCGGAAAUCAUGAAAAGAUAACAAACGAGUUUAGAGAAAACAGUGGAUCCUAUUUCGAGUCCGCGUAAGCGCGUUGCGAUCAUUACAAGAGAUCAUAAAAGCUUUGGCCGCAAAGGGUGUCAGCGAGUUACUUAGUUCUAGCGGCCUAAUAGCUCAAACCUAGUUGAGUCGCAGCUCGAUAACAAAAGACGAAAUAGAUACAGAAAUGGUUUUUGAUUGAUUUUGGACUGAACCUUGUUAAAGGCUGCCUACGCACCCCUUUCGAGGAUCAAGCUGAACGUAGUUCAAUUGAUAGAGCUGGACAAGAGAUCGAACUGCCUGGGCGAGUUCCUCUAGUAAUUGAGUGCCAGUCAUAGAAACCGAACUUGUCAAGAAUAAAGCCUAAAGUUUCUAAAUGCAGAGAAUUCUGAAUCUAAAAAGUUCUCUCUCCAUGCCUCUCGCCUAGGACUUCUUAUAUACUAGCUCCAAGGUCGGUUUACGCUUUUACUCUUCUGCCCUUAAGUUGUCAUAGCAUAAAAUGGAGAUAUUCCAUUUUUUCUGAUCUUCGUAAUUAUCCUCAAAAUUUCGUAUUUAUCCGCAGAAACUUGACAUUUAUCCUUCCUUGCACGCCAAGCGUAAACCGUGCUAUGGUUUACGAGCUUUUGGUUAAGGAGUCGUAAGAUGGCCCUCGAAUCGUGUUUAGGUCCCUUUGGGCCGUCUUCCGACUCGAAGCGUUUACUGCGACUUCUUUCGAUAAAAAAAGAACUUUCCACGGUUUAUCUUCAAAAAUUGAUCGAUGAUUUAGAAUGGCAGAAAACAUGAACUUAGUUUGCUACGGUCUUUGGGAGAUAGCAUCAAAGGAUAGACGAGAGUGAAUGGACUGGUGUCAAAUCGACGUUUUGGAAGAGCUCGGUCGCUACGUAGCGACCGAGCGGAACGGACGCUCGGUCACUACGUAGCGACCGAGUUUGGCUCGAGCUCAGUCGCUACGUAGCGAUCGAGCUAGGAUCGGGCUCAGUCGCUACGUAGCGAUCGAGCUAGGCUCGAGCUCGGUUGCUACGUAGCGACCGAGUUAGGCUAGGUCGCUACGUAGCGACCGAGCUGUGUGCAUGCUUGGUCGCUGCAUAUUGAUCGAGCUUGGCUUGUCUGCGGUCCGAUUUCCAUACUCGUGCUUGUCUGCGGCCGAUUUGGAUACAUGUCUGUUGCCUUCGGAUCAUCGGUAUUUAGUGGUUCGAUUGAGAUUUGAACAAGAUUUUACCGCAAGGCUCUUUGUAAAGAUAUCUUUACGAAGAUUACUUUUCGUACAAACGUUCAUGCUUAUUUUUACGGACUUUCAGACUUUGAUUCCGUCGUGACCGAUUUUGACCCCAACAUUUAGCCCCCCAGCUCGUUAAAACCAUGAGCUUCUAGCGAGUGGCUUGGCAAGUUAGGCAAGUGUGGGAACCGAAAUUCGCACUGUGAGAGCCCUAAUUUCCCAGAGGUCCCGGAUCUCUGCGAGAGCCAACAACAAGUGACUAAAUAUAUGCGGAAAUCAUGAAAAGAUAACAAACGAGUUUAGAGAAAACAGUGGAUCUUAUUUCGAGUCCGCGUAAGAGCGUUGCGAUCAUUACAAGAGAUAAGAAAAGCUUUGGCCGCAAAGGCUGUCAGCGAGUUACUUAGUUCUAGCGGCCUAAUAGCUCAAACCUAGUUAAGUCGCAGCUCGAUAACAAAAGACGAAAUAGAUACAGAAAUGGUUUUUGAUUGAUUUCGGACUGAACCUUGUUAAAGGCUGCCUACGUACCUCUUUCGAGGAUCAAGCCGAACGUAGUUCAAUUGAUAGAGCUGGACAAGAGAUCGAACUGCCUGGGCGAGUUCCUCUAGUAAUUGAGUGCCAGUCAUAGAAACCGAACUUGUCAAGAAUAAAGCCUAAAGUUUCUAAAUGCAGAGAAUUCUGAAUCUAAAAAGUUCUCUCUCCAUGCCUAUCGCCUAGGACUCCUUAUAUACUAGCUCCAAGGUCGGUUUACGCUUUUACUCUUCUGCCCUUAAGUUGACAUAGCAUAAAAUGGAGAUAUUCUAUUUUUUCUGAUCUUCGUAAUUAUCCUCAAAAUUUUGUAUUUAUCCGCGGAAACUUGACAUUUAUCCUUCCUUGCACGCCAAGCGUAAACCGUGCUAUGGUUUACGAGCUUUUGGUUAAGGAGUCGUAAGAUGGCCCUCGAAUCGUGUUUAGGUCCCUUUGGGCCGUCUUCCGACUCAAAGCGUUUACUGCGACUUCUUUCGAUAAAAAACGAACUUUCCACGGUUUUAUCUUCAAAGUUUGAUCGAUGAUUUAGAAUGGCAGAAAACAUGAACUUAGUUUGCUACGGUCUUUGGGAGAUAGCAUCAAAGGAUAGACGAGAGUGAAUGGACUGGUGUCGAAUCGACGUUUCAGAAGAGCUCAGUCGCUACGUAGCGACCGAGCGGAACGGACGCUCGGUCACUACGUAGCGACCGAGCGGGACGGAUGCUCGGUCGCUACGUAGCGACCGAGCUUGGCUCGAGCUCGGUUGCUACCGAGCUUGGCUCGAGCUCGGUCGCUACGUAGCGAUCGAGCGGAACGGAUGCUCGGUCGCUACUAAGCGAACGAGCUUGGCUCGGGCUCGGUCGCUGCAUAGCGACCGAGCGGGACGGACUCUCGGUCGCUACGUAGCGACCGAGCUAGGCUCGAGCUCGGGCUCGGUCGCUACGUAGUGACCGAGCUGUGUGCAUGCUUGGUCGCCGCGUAUCGAUCGAGCUUGGCUUGUCCGCGGUUCGAUUUCCAUACCCGAGCUUGUCCGCGGCCGAUUUGGAUACAUGUGUGUUGCCUUCGGAUAAUCGGUAUUUAGUGGUUCGAUUGAGAUUUGAACAAGAUUUUACCGCAAGGCUCUUCGUAACGAUAUCUUUACGAAGAUUAGUUUUCGUAAAAACGUUCAUGCUGAUUUUUACGGACUUUCACACAUUGAUUUUGUCGUUACCGAUUUUGACCUCAACAGUUAGCCCCCCAGCUCGUUAGAACCAUGAGCUUCUAGCGUGAGGUUCUAGCGAGUGGCUUGGCAAUUUAGGCAAGUAAGGUGAGUUAGGCGGAAUUAAUGGUUGAAAAGGUCAGUGAAAAGUGGUCUUCUCGCUCUUCUAAAAGUAGAACGCGAUAAGAUUGGGGCUGCUCCUUAUGACAGCUGCCUACGUACCCUUGUUGAAGGGAUCAAGCCUUUCGUAGUUCGUCUUGGAGUUAAGGUUCUUAAGACUAGUUUUCCAGCGAGACAUUUACGGUCUAGUAUUUGUGUAGCGGUUAUCAGGAGUGUUGCUGCCGAUGGCAUUUUGUAUGGGUGUAGAAGGAAGACUACGAGUUGUCAUCUCGUAUUCUAACUCUUUGUGAACUGCUAUAUUUGUAAUCUGUUUCAAGAGUUUUCCGCAGUGUGUAAACUUGCAGGAUUUCGGAAGAUUCUCGAAUAUUGGCAAAGAAACAAAAUUUUGGGAUCUCGUAUCAGGGUGUUUGAUACUAUGCCUAGAGAUGUUAAAAACCAGUGCGCUGGGUUUAGGGCAAGACCUAGGUUUGCUCCUGGUUUUAGAGGGUGCGAUGACUAAUUCGACUUACGUAUCCCGUUUCAGUUUCAUCCUGAUUCCAUACCGAUUUAAAGUCCGCGAUAGGUUCUCGGCUUAUACGACUUGUAUGGUUGAACCGAGCAUCUCUCCAAGGACAAUAAUUAUGCCUCCUGGAAGUGCUGACCAAAAAUUUUGGGUUUCUUUUAUAGCGCUAUUAUCAUUGUGUCGGAUGUACGAGAGUCAUCUCUACGAGAUGGCUAAGUCUGUUUAGGACGUUGAGAGUUUGUUGUGAUCAGCAACAAACUUAAUGGUAAAAAAUACCGUUUCGAGUCUUCGCGAAGGAUAUGUUUUGAGAAUAUGUUAGUGCGUAUGACUGUCUGGACUUCCAAGAAAACGUUUUUAUCGAGGAAGGAAAUUUCGUCGAAGAACGAAUCUUCAGGCGUCUGCGACGUCUCGCGAUGCUGAAGAUUUGUUAUUUUUUCGUAUGCCGCGUUUCGUGCAUGAAAUGUUUGCGGGCUUGAAGAUGUUUUGCGAUGUUGCAAGGGUUUAGUCUUAGCCCUGCGUUUGAGAAACGUUCUUGUUUGACUACGGAUGUUCACAGCAAAAAUUGUUGUUCCUGAGGUGUCGCGUGAAUUUUUCUAUGGGAAGAAGCGAUUUCCUUCAUAGUGCUUUGUGAAGUGUUGGCCUUCCGAGAUCUAUUUCAUGCAUUUUUGAGGAUGUUUUGUAUAGCUCUAGAAGCUUUCUUACGAAUUUUUCCUUACAUGCCGCGUAUUAUGGGUAAAACAUAGCGGGCUUAAAGUGAAUUGUGGAAUGUAUCGAACUUGGUCGAUUGUCGAAAAGUUUAGAUUUUAUUUUAACCGUUUGAUUGUUAGGACUUAGUUUUGUUACGAAGAAUUUAUCAUAUGCUUUCCGACUAUGGGCUAUACGAUAAUUUAUCAUAUCAUAUAACCGGUUUUACGAAGGUUGUAAAUCAGUGAUAUGUAUACAUAUGUCAAAGUAGCGUUGUUUCUGCGGGUUUUACGAGAAACGUUUCUGCUGUGAUUUUGAUCUUAGGCGAAAGUUGUUUGGAGUUACUCAUGGAGUGCUAUGAAGUUUAUUUCAAUACGAUCUAGUCGCAGAACGUUUUUCAUAGGUUUUUUGAGAGGAUUCUCAUGACACAUUCGUUUCUUGAACGAAUUGGUCAACCAGAGGUGGAUCUAGCUAACCAUCGGGAGGAAAGUGCUCCUUUUAAUGUGCACGAUGCUACAUCUAUUCUCGAGUUUUCUUCGUCCCAAAUGUUUUCGAUGCUUUUCCGUGACUUGCUCGGUUCAACGGAAACUGAAAGAAAUGCUUUGGUGAUUUUCUCGUAGAAAUUUUUAAACGAAGCUGGCUUUCUAAAGCCGGAAAGGGCUUCAAUAGUUUGGCUAAUCGUCGAGUUUCAGUUUGAUAUUGGUACAGGUUUUCUGUACGCAUGAUUGCGAUAAGAAAUGAUGUAUAGUCUUUGAGAUUUAUGUUCAUGAUCGUCUGAAUAUGUUGCUAGCGUUUAGACGAAUAUUAGAUUGUCGUUUGUCUAUUCUUGACGAUUUGUAGAAGUUUUUUGAAGUUUUGGGAGUAUACGAGUAUAGUAUACGUACCUACUCCCCCCCCCCUUUUUUUUUUACGAAAGAAAACGGUUGAACCGAUACGUUGAAGGGUUGUGUACGUUUCUUCUUCUUAUGUUUGGAAUGAUCGAUAAUUCGGGACGAUUUAUAGACGAUGCUUGGACUGUGAUUUGGUUGUUUCCACGUUGACGACUUGGAAUAUGUCGGUUCCGAGAAAAUUGCCAGAAACGAAUCGGUUUUAAGACGACAUUCAUGUCUCUAGUUUUUUCUAUCUUUAGGAAGCGAGCUUGAUAUGCGUGGCGAUCGUUUCUCGAUUUUCUGAGAGUUUAGAUCGGUUUGCAAGAUCUGAAUGAACAAUUAUGGAACAAUAUAUCGAGACAGGAAAAAUCGCUUAAGACUUAGUUCGCUAGACUAUCCGCCUAGGUUUUGCGUUCCCUAAAGUUCUAUGGCAGCCUCAAAGUAAUUUCCUACAAAAAUUCCAAGUCUGGUUUCAAAAAUUUCAAGUCGAAAAUACCUUAGUUCUCUCAAAGAUGCAGUUUUGUCUUUUCUCAGUUUUGCUUGCUCAUUUUCCUUUCCUCUUCUCGUGUAUAUUCGUCAUUUCCGAUAUUGGUGUUUGUCUUUUCUCGUGUAGUUCUCUCAAAGAUGCAGUUUUGUCUUUUCUCAGUUUUGAUACGUAGCGACCGAGCAGUACUCGUGCUCGGUCACUACGUAGUGACCGAGCGUUGUGCGUGCUCGGUCGCUACGUAGCAACCGAGCUGUGUGCGUGCUCGGUCGAGAAAUUGCGAGCUCGUUUCAUUGCGAGCUCGUUUCAUUGCACUUUCUGUGGCGGAAAGUCGCAGCAAGGUUUUUGAUUUUCUCAAGAACUGUGGCGUUUGCGUAAGCGUUGGCCAUAGGCGCAGUGGCGGCUGGGGUUUUCUUACCAGCGUUAUUGCGAACUGCGAUUUUGUUUUUCUUAUUGAUCGAGCAUUUUGUGGCUGAGAGUUAGAUUGAUCUGUACCCCCCCCCCCCCCCUCCGUCUAGCGCCAAACUGUGGGAACCGAAAUUCGCACUGUCGAUUUCCGUUUAAAUAAGGAAAGUAGGAGAACCCUAGUUUCCCAAAGGUCUCGGAUAUCUGCUAAUACCACACGCUAAGCAAUCAUAACACGAGAUAACAACGACAAAGUAUAAAAAUCGUAAAAAGAGAGCAAAGAGAAGUCUUAUUCCGAAUUUACGUAUGAGCGUUUACAACAAGGUAUAAGCCUAGGCUCGAGAGCUUUCGGCGAGAUUCCUAUUUCUAGCAACCCAAAGACGGCAGCUCGAAAUAACAAAUAACAAAAACUUGCCCAAUUGCUCUAAGUACUAAGUUUGCUGUGUAAAAGUUUUUCCUCAUGCCUCUCGCCUAGAACUCCUUAUAUACUCGCUUUUAGGUCGGUUUACGCUUUCUCCCUUCUGCCCUUAAGCCGUCAUAGCCUAAAAAUGGAGAUAUUCCAUUUUUCCUGAUCUUCGUAAUUAUCUUCAAAAACUUUAUAUUUAUUCGCGGAAACUUGACAUUUAUCUUUCCUUGCGAACCAAGCAUAAACCGUCAUACAGCUGAUGGGAUGUUGGUUAAGAAAUCGUAAGUGGGCUUCGAGUCAAGUCUUAGGUCUCUUUGGCCCAUCUUUUGACUCGAAACGUUUAUUACGGUUUCUUCGUAAUGUUUGAUCAGUGACCGAGAAGUACGAUGACCUCGAGUGACAAGCAACAUGAAAUGGUUCAGCUACGGUCUUCGGGAGAUAGCAUUAAAGAGUACACGAGAAUGCAUGGAUUUGCGUCGUAUCGACGUUUUGAGAAAGCUUGAUCGUUUCAUAACGAUCGAAACAUGCAUGUGCCCGGUCAUUACGUAGUGACCAAACUUGGUUCCGAGCUCGGCCGCUAUGUAGCGACCGAGCUUGGCUCAAGCUCGGUCGCUACGUAGCGACCGAGCAGUACGCGUGCUCAGUCGCAACGUAACGACCGAGCAGUAUGCGUGCUCGGUCGCUACGUAGCGACCGUGCAGUACACGUGCUCGGUCGCUACGUAGCAACCAAGCUUGGCUCGAGCUCGGUCGCUACGUAGUAUCCGAGCAGUAUGCGUGCUCGGUCGCUACGUAGCAACCGAGCUGUGUGCAUGCUUGGUCACCGCAUAUCGAUCGUGCUUGGCUUGUCUGCGGUCCGAUUGCCAUACUCGAGCUUGUCCGCGGCCGAUUUGGAUACAUGUCCGUUGUCUUCGGACAAUCGGUAUUUAGUGGUUCGAUUGAGAUUUGAACAAGAUUUUACUGCAAGGCUCUUCGUAAAGAUAUCUUUACGAAGAUUACUUUUCGUAAAAACGUUCAUGCUGAUUUUUACGGACUUUCAGACAUUGAUACCGUCGUGACCGAUUUUGACCCCAACAAAGUUCAACUUCUAAAUCCACCCUACAGCAAAAGGGGGGUUUGAGCCAAGCUAUUUCUAACAAGAAUCGAACUAUCCAAAUCGUUUAGAAGGGUGAGCUUUUCAAACCGAAAUCGCGACUGAAUGGUGAUUGUUGAGCCUCUUACCGUGAUGAACGGAGCAAAUGGUCUACAAAAACAGAGAGAACUCGAAAAUCCAAUAGGAUUAGAAGCAAGAAUCACUUGAAAAGAUUGAGAAUUUAUGAUGUGGUGAUUGCUUCAAAAUCACAUGAGAGGGAGAAGUGUACGGCGGAGUGAAAAUGGGAAACUGGAAGGGUGGAGCCUUAAAUAGGCGAAACCCUAAUCACUCUUCUUUAUUUCUCUGCUUUUUUUUUAGUUUUUUUUUUGUUCCGGAACACUUACCUGGAACAGGCAAUGGAUUGUUCCACCAGAAGAACAGUCCUUUGGUUGCUUUGACAGAAGUGUCCGGUUUUUCUUGUUUUUGACCUACAAACUAAAUCUGAAAAGAAAUAAAAUAGACUAUAGAAAAAAUAUAUACACUCACCAGUGGGUUUCCUCCCACCAAGCGCUUAGUUAAAGUCAUUAGCUUGACUUGGCUCAGCCGAUCAGGCUGAUGGAGGAUCGCUUAAGGGAAUUUCUUCACCUUCUGCGAUAGUGGAGUCAGCAAGGUAAUGCUUUAUGCGCUGACCAUUGGCUACAAACUCGUCUCCCUUUCUGUCUAGUAACACAACAGCUCCGUAAGGUCGAAAUUCCUUAUUGGAGAAGGGUCCCGACCAUCCAGACUUCAGCUUGCCUGGAAACAGCCUAAGUCUGGAAUUGAAGAGCAAGACCUUAUCAUUUGGUCCGAAACGUCUGGCAAUGAUUCGCUUGUCAUUGUAGGCCUUGGUCUUCUCCUUAUAAAUUUUGGAGCUCUCAUAAGUUCGGUGCCUUAUCUCUUCCAGCUCAUGGACUUGGAUCAUGCGCCUCUCUGUUGCUGGCUUGAUGUUGAAAUUCAGUAACUUGACCUCCCAUGCAGCCUUGUGUUCGAGUUCGACAGGAAGGUGAAAAGCCUUACCGUAGACCAGGCGAUAAGGGGUGGUUCCUAGCGGCGUUGUAUAGGCUGUUCUGUAGGCCCAUAGAGCAUCGUCCAGCUUAAGUGACCAGUCUACAUCUUCAGUCGAUUUGGCAGACGACGUCGAUCGAUGACUGGAGUAUUCCGUCCAUCGAUCUUCAUCAUGGUCCGUCGAUCGAUACGAGUUCAUCGACAUCGGUCGACACCAUUGGGAUCCGCCGAGACUCAUGGAGCUUUCGAUUUCGAAAUCUCCUUCCUCAAGCUUUUCAUUUGUCACCACUUGCCAGAAAUCAUCAUCUAUGAUGGCAUUUACGUGGUGUUUUCCUUUGUCGGCUCCUGCCUCUCUAGCGAAAGCUUCUUGUCUCUUUAUAGUCUCGUCCAUCUGAAUUGCUUGGGUUUCAAGUUUUCUCACCUGAGUUCCUAAGGUCUCGAUUUUAGUGUUCAGAUUGUUGUAGGCGUAGUCUAUCUUACCGUUGAAAUCCACAGUGAUUUGUUAUUAUCCCAACAGUACUCGAUCAAGCAUCUCUUCGAUCUUGCUUUCCUGAGUCUGGGGUGGUGGAUUUUGGUAGUAAGAGUUCGAGUAGCUCUUGCUGUUGUUGAAGGGUUUUUGAAAUUGUGAACUUUGGUUACUUCUUUGGCCAUUUCCAAAGAAGUUUCUGUUUCCGCCCUGGUUUUCAAAUUUCUGGAAUCCGGUACUUCCGAUGUAGUUCAUAUUUUCUUCUCCUUCCGUAUCUGCUACUUCUCCUUCAGCUGAACAGACUUGCUUCCCAAGAAGCUCGUGCACCACAUCUAACUUAGCUCUUACUUCGUCCAUCUGUUCCUUCCCGAUAGAGGCUACAGACUUCUUCCGUUCAGAGUCAGUGUUUUUGGUGUUGCUGCUGUUAGCAAGGUUUUCGAUAAGUAUCACAGCUUCCAACGGAUUCCGAGUAGUGAAGUUUCCUUCACUCGCCGUAUCAAGGGCCAUUUGAUACUGUAAGGCGAGACCUCGGAAGAAUGUGCUUAGCAGCUGCACUUCGUUAAAUGUGUGGUGUGGACAGUCUCGCUGGAAGAACCUAAAUCUAAUCCACGCAUCUUUGAAGGACUCUCCUGGCGGUUACUAUCGACCAGGGGAAGAUAUAUGCUCCCUUCAGCACGUCUACAACGCUACAUACUGGCCCAGACCACGAUCUCCAGCACACCUUUAUAUGUCGGCAGAAAAAUGCUUGAUAUCGUGUACUGUCUACGCAAUUGAUCAUUCAGACUGGGGAUGAUAUUACGUUGGUUGUAGCAUAAGCAACAAAAAAGUUUUUAAAGUGGAAACUAAUGUGAAGAAUCUUAAUGGACAUGAGAUUCCUUCACAUAUUUGGUGGUGUGAGGCGUGCAAGGAAAACUUUACUUUCGUGUCACCCAGGUAAACUAAAAUGUUUAUCAGUUAUACAAUAUACGGGUUUUAGAAUAUGCUUUAAAAUUACUAAUUGUUUAAUUUUUAGGUUUAAACUUCAUUUGAUGGUGAAGGAUGAUACAGGAGAAAGAAGCAAGAGUUAUGAUUCUUGACUUGGUGGCUAAGGGAUUUAUUAGUGAAACUGAUACAAAACUUUUGAAUGAAUCAUUUAAUGAGGUGCAUAUGACAAUCUACCUUUUAUUUUCCAAAUGACUUUAACUGAAUUGCUAGUCUGUACGUAUUAUUAAUCAUUAUUUCCAAUUUUUGGCAGCUUGAAGAUGCUACUGACUUGCCUGAAGCUAUUAAUCAAGUUGUUGGAAAGACUUUUACUUUUGGUGUCUUUGUUGGAAGGAGCACAUUGUUUAUAGAGCUGAGAUUUUCAAAGUGGGUAGGUUAUAUAAAUAGAGAAUGGAAUACUUACUCGAUGGAGUCACUCAAACAGAAUCUCUCUCAGAAAAGGGGUUGACAUUUACAAGUGGUCAAGAGGUAAUGUCUAUGUCUACGCCAUCCACAUAUACAAAUGGAAUGGUUAAACAAUGCUUAGUCUAUGUUUAUAAUAUCUUAGAGUUCUUUACAUCUCACUGAUGGUCAAGAUAACAAUAAGGUUAUAUGUCUACGCCAUUCACUAAGCACAAGGAAGGUGCACCUGACACAUCUUCAUUGACCAAGAAAGUGUGCUUAAAACAUGUUCUAUUUGGAGAAGAUGAACUAGCUGGAGUCUUAGUCAAGUAAAAUUUCUUCAUUUUUUCAUAUUUUGGUUUUGGUUUUGAACUUUUGGUUAUUAUAUGUGUUUUGGGAUUAAUAUUUUCUUCGUUGAAUCCGCUUUGGAGAAAUGAGUUUUUGAAUUUAAUUGCUUGCGAUAUGAUGCUUCUUCGUUGAUUCAGGAUUAUAAGUUCAAAUAAAUGAAUUCUUGAUCUAGAAUUGUCCCAAAACAACACAUAUAUUCCAAGUGUGCUAAUUACAAUUUAAAUGUGAUGGAAAUGUUCUGACUAUUAAAGCAUUACAAGAGGACUUCAAAAAAUAAAUUUCUAAAUUUAAUAAUAUUGAUCUAAAAUACAUAUUGUCAUGGAAAUAUAAAUAUAACACCCUUUUAAGUUAAAUUAUUUAUUAUAUAUUGGAAAAUUUAUGUAAUAUGUUACUUUCACAGACUUUUUAAAAAUAUUGUCGUUGGGUGUCUUAAACAAAUAUACAAAUAUAUUGUGGCCCAAAUUAAAUAUACGAGUAGUAAGAGUCUUUAGUGUUCAACUGAAACCACAUAAUUCUAUAAAAAAAAUUUGACUCUUCAGUUAUAAUUUUUAUACAAACCCUAAUAUCUAUCUUCUUCUUCAUUUCGGUCUCUCCAAAUACCGGUUGUGUAGUUUUUUUGUUUUCUUUUGUAUUUUCUUGAACAAUACAAGUAGAUCAUGAAGAAUAUGGUUAGAUCUUAUUUAGACGGAAGUUUAUUUUCUAUGCUUAUAUUUUCUAGAACAUUAGGUCUAAUAGAUUUGUGAGAUUGUAGAUGAUCUACCUAAGGCAGACUUAUUUUAUUGUUAAAAAUUAUUUUAUUAGAUCUAAACAUUAACUAUGGAGGUAAUAUUAUCACGUGUAGUUUAUACAUCACUAGUGUAAAUCCGCGCUUCGCGCGGGAAUUUGUUCCAUUAUAUUUUCAUUUAACAUUUGUUGUUAAAUGAUUUUGUUUAAUAUUUUGUGUGGAUCAUUAUUUUUGAAAUUAUCAUCUUUAUCCGUUAAACUUUGUCGUCAAUUUCAUUACUAUUAGAAAAUUUCUAAUAAAAUUACUGUGAUUAUUAAUAAAAUUGUGAGGUAUUUCUAUUAUGCCAUAUAAAUAUUUUAAUUUGUUUGUUUAAUAUAAAUUAUCCAUUUUUACUUCUGAUUUCUUUGUUUUUUUUCAGGAAAUUUUAUAUUGCGUCUUUGUUGGAUUAUGUAAAGACAUUUUUUUUUUAAUUUUCAUGUCAAUUUAAAAUUAGGUUAAAUUAUGUUAUUUUAUUACAGAAUAUUUAUUUUGCACAAUUAUUUGAAUAAAUAACCCUACAUUUCACAUUCACAAUAGUUACAAAAUCUUUAUUUUAUAAUAUAAAAAAAUGAAAAUUUAGUAAAUAUAUAAUAUAUUUUAUAUGUAAUAUUUAUUCUUACUAUUUUCUAUAACAACUUUCACUUUUUGUUUUAUUAUUGCAUUUAUAGUUACAUAUUUGUUUGACUAUUAAAAUAAUUAAUGAAUAUGUAACUAUUUUAUUUUAUUCAUUAUUUUUGUUAUAGUUUAAUUAUGAAAGCAAGGAGAAUAUAACUUUAAAAAAUUUAAAUUUGGAUUUAACAUAUAAACAUAAAUAAUUGUUGCACAAAAAAACAAAACAUAGAGAAUUUUUUUUGGAACCUCUCUCCUGUCUCCGUUCUCUCUCCAAAAACCUUUCAAAGAUGUGACGUUGACAGAGGUUCACGAUUACGCCGGUUCCUUUUCCAGCUCUGACUCCCGGUGAUCGGGCUUCGACUCUGGCAAGCGGCGGCUUCUUCAGCAACGACUUGGCCGGCUUCUCUUUCAGCAGGCAAUGGUUCCGUCAGUGUUGCUUGGCUGGCUCUGCCUCUGGCGUCACACCUUUCCUUCCGGUGGCGGCGGCUGGCUUCUUGUCGGUUUAUCCAGCUUUUAUAUUUUGUUUUAUCAUCUUAAUGAUUUUUUUCUCCUUUGUUUUCCUUCUAUGUUCCUCGCCUCUAUGCCCUUUCACAGAUUCAGUUGAGUUUCGAUCUUCAUCGGAGUGGCCCUUCCUUCCCCUGUUAUGGGUUUGGUUCAUCUUCGGUCUUAUCAGAAUCAAUAAAGAUGAUCGGUUGUGGAUUAGGAGUUUCUGAUGACCUAGAUCGAUUUCCUUCAACUAAAUCACCUUCAUCUUUGAUGUGAUGGCAACCUUGCCCUUUUCUGCUUGUGUCGUUGUUAAAUGUGUCGUCCGUGCAUCCUGUUCCGGUGGAUACCGAUUUGACUUCCGACGACGACUUCAAUGACGGUGUAAGGAGCUGACGUAAUCCUCUCUCGGCUGGUGUCUCUUCUUCGUUUUCGUGAGUACACGUGCUGUCGAUCAGGAUCAGUUGUUGGGCUCCCUUGUUGGGCUUUUUCAGCUGGGACUUUAGUUAUUUGUUUAUCUUGCCCUUCUAAUGGACUUUUUGUAAAUUUGGUCUUUGUUAAUAAAAUACCGGUGAUAAAAAAAAUUAGUUUAUAUGUUUAUUUCUUGAAUUCAGUAUCAGCCAUAAUACGACAACGGCAUAUAAGGCAUUUUUCUGCUGACAAUCAAUAAAUCAAACAUGCUUUAGUACAAAUGCGCUUAAAUAAAAACUAUAUUCUCAAGAUUUUUUUUGUAAAAAGAAUAAUAACCAACACUUGCCUACUACGAAAGCUUGAGUCUGCCGUUUGAACGGAGUUUUAUCUGUUAGGAAGCAUAACACCAAGAUGUACCUUUCAAACCUAAAGGAUUUUUUUCAGGAAUCCUGGUUUGGAAGACUCAUUUUCCUUCAUCAAUCUAGCCAAAGUUCACAUGGAUAAUAUCUUUCAACAAUAAAACCACAUACAACAACUUAGUCGUUCUCUUUUUACAAAAUAAAUGCUACUUGAUUCCAAUCCAAUCCAAUCCAAUCCUAGGAGUUUCGUGUUACAAAUUUUGAUUCGGCCACGGCUAGUUUGUCCUCUUUGCAUUCGAGUUUCAUUUUUUUCUUAAAGAAAACCUUCUUGGAGUUUGUUCAAAUUGUGCAUCGUAUCCAUCAUCUGUAAGCCAUAAGCAAAUAAGCGUAGGAAGUAAUUAGCAAAUCUGCUAUAAUCAACCGAAAAAACCUAUGUGUAGGUAGUAGAUGUCUCCCAACAGCUCUAGAUUCUUAUUUCAGCCACUAAUACAUGAAAAAAAAACAGUCUUGUAAGGACCUAAAGAAACUGCUGCAUCAAAAAAUUAUAUGAGUACCCAAAUAUUUAUUUAUUUUGAUAAAGAGAAUUUCUAGCUUAAAGUUUGACGGAGUUGGUCGUCCAGAAGUGUGGUGAUUUGUUUGUAGGUGUUGUUCACUAUAACAAAUGAGAGGGUGAAUUGGAUGAUCAAUCAAAAUGCUUUACAUGGAACCCAAAUUUCAAUUACUUCCCUUACAUUAUUAACAAAGAUAUCUUUGUAUUAUACCAUUUUUAUGUGUUACAUUAUUCACAUACGUACAUAAACUUAUAAUAAUUCUUACAAGUGUCUUUCUUGCACGCCGUUUGUUUCUUUUGUAGGUCUGUAGCCUUUACGUUUUUGUUUGAAAAUGUGGAAGCAAGUUUUGUUAACUUUUAAAAGGCAUUGAUGUACGUCGAGGCAACCGGUUUGCUUCAUCAUUUCUGCUUUGCCAUACCGUAAGUGUUUCUAUCUUCUGGAGUUGUGGUGUUUUAGAACUUGUCGGAGGGGCAUGGUGGCUGUCACGCCCAUAUCUCGCUUAACCGAGACGGCAUGAAUUCACAUUGCCUUCACCAAUAAAAAUAUUUAAAUAGGCCAAUGCAAAUCUCAUUCCCUAGGAUCGAAUUCAAAUGUUUUACAAACACGUACUAAAACGAAUAGGAAACACUAAAAACCAAAUCACCAAGUCUUAAAGUAAAACAACUUAAAGAAAACCAAACACCUGAAAACCAGCACCACACUGAGACGAUCACUCCUGCACUUCCUUGAACUCACCUGAAAAAGAAAGGAGGGCUGAGUAUUUCGACAAAUACUCAGUGAGGAAAGCUCUAGGAGCCCCGAAAUCAAUCACCAACAAUCAUCACACAACAUAGCAUAAGCAUCUAACUUUAAUAUUCAGUAAAUUGAAAGCAAUCAACAAGAAACGAGGAUAAACCCCGGCGGUGCCAACAAUGAGACCAGGCCACCUAAAUCUAUGCCCGUGUUCCUCAUGUUGUCGCGCGAGAACUUUCAUUUUGUGUUGUCUCCAUGACAUCACGCUGUCUCACGCCUUCACGCAAUCAAGUUACCGACACCGGUUCUCGCUUGAUCCGCCACCAUGUUCAUACGUUCCACGUUGUCUCCACGACAUCACGCUUCUACGUUACUUCAUUUACAGGCACCGCAUGCCCGCUCCGGCGCUGAAUCAUGCCAACUCAACGAUUGCCACAUGACCCAACAAGAAACGAUGUAACGCCCGAGACAUGCAUAUAUGUCAUUCCACCACGCUACACCGGCACACAUAGGCCUUAAAGCCUUUCUCCAACUCAUUUACAUUUCCCAAUUAUAUAGAUAUCAUCCUCUUAUACAAUAAACCCAAUCAAUACAAUCAUCACAUUCAAUCCUCAAAUCUCAUUCAACCAUAUUUUAACAACCUUAGAAUAGAUCUAUGUUUUUCACACAUCAAGCAUCAAGAUAUUUAUAUAUAUCAUAUGUAUAAUUAUUUAUAUUAGUAGAUCUAUAGAAAGUAACAAGUAAGGAUGAAUGAUCAAUCUAGACACUUCUACCAUGAUGAGAUAAUGAUAGAAGGAGAUAGAGAUUGCAACAAGCCUUCACCUGAGCCUAGAUCUGUGAGAUGAGAUGAGAGUUGAUGUAGAUCUGAGUUCUACGGGUCCUUACUAACCAGAUCUACAAGAACAAGGGUUGGUUUCCACCCAAACCCUAGAUCAGAGAUCAAGAAGAAGAAAGAGAUAGGAGAGAUCAAAAACAAAGUGUUUAGGGUUUCCUUACCCUCACUAGUUGCUGGAUCUAGAAGAAAAAGAGUAGAAGACUCAAGGAAACGGCGAGAAGAAAUAGAAACACGGCGAGAUCUCCUCUCCGGUGAGAUUACACGGUCGCCGGCAGUUCUCCGGUGACUCGCGGUGGCUGCGGUAGUGGUGUGGUGGCCGGCGGCUGCUCUCUCUCCAACUGGGCAGGGAUUCGCUAGGUUUUGAGUCUCUGGAGAAAACCUAAGGGGCUGCCUCCUUUUUAUAGAAGAGGAAGGGGGAAAACCCUAGGGUUUUCUCUACAUGGGCCAAAUCAUCACGGGCCUUGUCACUAAAAAUUGGGCUCGGGUCCGGGAUGUGAACUAUUCCCCGCUAAACAAGAAUUCGCCCCCGAAUUCACGUCAACCUCCGCUGGUAACUCAACACUCGGAAACAACUCUGGGUAAAACGAUCUCAUCUGUGACUCUGGCUCCCAAGUCUCCUCACAUAUUCCAUCUCUUUCCCAGCUCACACGGAUCAUCUUGGUCACUUCCCCUUGGACAUCCAUGUCUUUCAUCUCUGAAACUUUAACUGGUUUGCUUUGAGCUGUUAAAUUGCGACUAACAUCUUCUGGUGGUUGCUGUAAAAUCAACUCUGGUUCUCGAACAACUUUUAUUAGAACUGACACAUGAAACACAUUGUGGAUAUCCGAUACGCUACUGCUCCAAUCCUCUCAAUGAUGUGAUACGGUCCUAAAAAUCUUGGCUUCAACUUUUUCAACUUGCGGUACUCGGCUGUUCCUCGGUAGGUUCUCAUUUUCAAGUAUACUUCAUCUCCUACUUCAAACUCCAAAGCUUUUCUCCUCUGGUCAGCAUAACUCUUGUGUCGAUCGUGAGCCUCUUUCAGUCUAGACUUGAGCAGUUCCACCUGCUCUAUGGUUUCCUUAACCAUGUCCGGCUCUAAAUCUCGUCUCUCCCCCACUUCUGUCCAACAUAGUGGAGUUCGACAUGGUCUCCCAUAUAGAGCCUCAUAUGGAGACAUCCCAAUGCUCGAAUGGUAACUAUUGUUGUAAGCAAACUCUGCCAAUGGUAGAAAUUGGCCCCAUUUUCCUGCCCAAUCAAGUACACAUGCUCUUAGCAUGUCCUCAAGCGUAUGUAUCGUCCGCUCAGACUGUCCAUUGAUCUAUGGAUGAUAAGCCGUGCUAAGAUGUACCUUUGUACCUAGUGCCUUCUGAAAUGCCUGCCAGAAUGCCGAAGUAAACUUUGGAUCACGGUCUGAUACGAUACUUACUGGCACUCCGUGCAAUCGUACCACAGUUUCCAGAUACUUUUGCGCUAAACGAUCUUCUCCAUCAGUUUUCUUGAUAGCUAGGAAAUGUGCAGAUUUGGUGAGUCUAUCCACAAUCACCCAAAUCGCGUCCUUAUUCCCAGUUGUUAUUGGUAGCCCAAUAACAAAAUCCAUUGUCACCAUAUCCCACUUCCAUUCGGGUAAUGGUAACUCUUGUAAAAGCCCGCUUGGUAACUGCCAUUCUUCUUUAACCAUCUGGCAAGUCUGACACUGCGAAUUCCAAGUGGCAACAUCCCGCUUCAUACCUUCCCAAUGGUAAUAGUGUUUCAAGUCCUGAUACAUCUUGGUGCUUCCUGGAUGGAUAGAAAACUGAGAGUUGUGCGGCUGACUCAAGAUCUCGUCCUUCAGAUCCUUACUAUUUGGCGCACACACCCUAUUUUUGAAUAUAUAAGUUCCAUUUGUAGUGGUGCGAUAUCCAACAACCUCCUUUGAAAUCAUUCUCUGCAAUGACUCAUCUCCUUGUUGAGCUUUACUGAUCCUUUCUAGCAAGUCUGCUUGAUCUAAGGCAUCCAAUGCAGCUGUCCUAUCCUGCAAUGGAAACAGACUUUGACUCAAGAGAGAAAUUUAGAGAGAGAGAAACUAGGAACUAACUUUUACCUGCAGCUCCAGAUACCUGUCUGAAAUCCUUGCAUCCUGUGAUCGAUACUCCCAAGGUAAAGCAUUCACUUUAUAUUUAUGCUAAGAAAUGAAAUCAGUAGAGGGGAUGUCAGACGUUAAUUGAUGAGUUGUGUUAUGUUAGAAAUGGUUGCUAAGCUAGGAUAUUGCAUAGUGUGCUUUUGUGAUUAGGACUUUUUAAAUGUGGUUGCAAAAUUGUUGAGGAAAGAUUUCUAUGUUUUAAAAUCUUAAAUCCCCAAAUAUUUUCAAACCUCUUUCAGAGAGACGGCCUGUAUAUUUUGCUUGAGGACAAGCAAAAGGGUAAGUCUGGGGGAGUUGAUAUACCUUAGAUUUGAUCCAUUUUUAUCCAUGGUAGAUAAGUAUUUUACUAUAUAUAUAUAUCUUUCGUCCAAAAAAAAAAAUAUAUAUCUAUGUUUUCUACACUUCUAGGUAUGUUUUCAGGUUCAGGUGCAUUUCGGAGUAAAGCUAUGACUUUGGAGAAUUUUGGAGCUUAAAGGACAUUUGACUCGAGCUGACCACUUUGAGGUCGACGAGAGGAAGAAUAAUCGAUCGAUGUGCAUCAGUGCUGACGAUCGAUAUCAGGAAAUGCUUCGACAGAUGAAGAAUAAUAUCGAUCGAUGUACACAAGUACCAUCGAUCAAUGUCGAGAUACCAGACGUGACAUUUUGGAUUCAGCAGACUUAAAAACCAAGGCCAAGCCAAAUUACCAAAAUGCCCUGACGAGUUUUUAACUUAGUAGAAUAUAUAUUGCCUAAGUGUUUUGACGGCAGAAAAAGGAGAGCUUUUCUAGACCUUGUUUUGUUACAAGUUUCAUUUGGGAGAGAAGAUCACUUGUGAUUGGAACUCCUUGUUUCUAUUUCUUUUCAUCUAUUCUAUGAGUUUCUAUUUAUCUAUUGAUAUGAAUUGCUUUGCUAUAUCUGAGUAGUUCAACUGUUAGAUCCAGGGUUCAGGUAGGUUUGUGGGAUUAGCCCCAAACUAUAGAUCUGCCUUGUUGUGAUAUUCAUGAUAGAUUUGUAUUCAUUGCUUGUUUUAGCCUAGCUAACUAGAACUUGAUCAUAGGAUUGCAUAUUCCAGCACCCUUGUUAUCCCAUCAUGACAUCUAUCUAUCAUAUUAGGAUUGCUAGAGAGGGCUAACCGCCUAUUUAGAAUCUUAGUAGGGCAUUUCAUACUCGCGCAUAGGCCUGGCUAGAACCCUUCGAUCGAUGUCCUUAACUGACAAUCGAUCGACGUUGGCAAAGGUGUAUCGGUCGACGUCUUAAUAGACUAUCGAUCGACACUCUCUUGUUGUCUGCAUACUAACCGGUGAGACACGAGAUCUAGUCUGUUAACCAGUGGUACAUGCGACAGCUGAUCACUGAGUUAAGCGAAUGAGCUCUAAUAUAUCAUGCAUGCAACAGUUAGGCAUCUAUAGGUAUUAUAAUCUCCAACACCUCAAUAGUGGCCCUGCAUCUAAUAUCAUUUCCAACCAAGUUACAUUUAUAUUUACUCGCUUGUUACUAUUGCUAUUUCAUUUAAACAUUUACAACCUUUAGAAUUAAUAAACACUAGAUUUAAUUGUUCCCUAGCUCCGUGUGGAUUUGAUCCCUAAGUACUACAUCUGAACCUCUUUUGAUGAGAGUAACACUCCUUAGGGUAAUUUGAGUGGUAUCAGUGCUAAAGAAUGGUUAGAUAACAAGAAAAAAUAAAUAAGUUCAUUGUCCUCUUCUUGACUCAAUAAAAAUUCUUUUUUGAAAACAUUUUAAUAAGACUCAUGAAUAAACUAAUAUCAGUAAACCUCCUGCAAUGGAAACAGACUUUGACUCAAGAAAGAAAUUUCGAGAGAGAGAAACUAGGAACUAACUUUUACCUGCAGCUCCAGAUACCUGUCUGAAAUCCUUGCAUCCUGUGAUCGAUACUCCCAAGGUAAAGCAUUCACUUUAUAUUUAUGCUAAGAAAUGAAAUCAGUAGAGGGGAUGUCAGACGUUAAUUGAUGAGUUGUGUUAUGUUAGAAAUGGUUGCUAAGCUAGGAUAUUGCAUAGUGUGCUUUUGUGAUUAGGACUUUUUAAAUGUGGUUGCAAAAUUGUUGAGGAAAGAUUUCUAUGUUUUAAAAUCUUAAAUCCCCAAAUAUUUUCAAACCUCUUUCAGAGAGACUGCCUGUAUAUUUUGCUUGAGGACAAGCAAAAGGGUAAGUCUGGGGGAGUUGAUAUACCUUAGAUUUGAUCCAUUUUUAUCCAUGGUAGAUAAGUAUUUUACUAUAUAUAUAUAUAUAUAUAUAUAUAUAUAUAUAUAUAUAUAUAUAUAUAUAUAUAUAUAUAUAUCUAUGUUUUCUACACUUCUAGGUAUGUUUUCAGGUUCAGGUGCAUUUCGGAGUAAAACUAUGACUUUGGAGCAUUUUGGAGCUUAAAGGACAUUUGACUCGAGCUGACCACUUUGAGGUCGACGAGAGGAAGAAUAAUCGAUCGAUGUGCAUCAGUGCUGACGAUCGAUAUCAGGAAAUGCUUCGACAGAUGAAGAAUAAUAUCGAUCGAUGUUCACAAGUACCAUCGAUCGAUGUCGAGACACCAGACGCGACAUUUUGGAUUCAGCAGACUUAAAAACCAAGGCCAAGCCAAAUUACCAAAUUGCCCUGACGAGUUUUUAACUUAGUAGAAUAUAUAUUGUCUAAGUGUUUUGACGGCAGAAAAAGGAGAGCUUUUCUAGACCUAGUUUUGUUACAAGUUUCAUUUGGGAGAGAAGAUCACUUGUGAUUGGAACUCCUUGUUUCUAUUUCUUUUCAUCUAUUCUAUGAGUUUCUAUUUAUCUAUUGAUAUGAAUUGCUUUGCUAUAUCUGAGUAGUUCAACUGUUAGAUCCAGGGUUCAGAUAGGUUUGUGGGAUUAGCCCCAAACUAUAGAUCUGCCUUGUUGUGAUAUUCAUGAUAGAUUUGUAUUCAUUACUUGUUUUAGCCUAGCUAACUAGAACUUGAUCAUAGGAUUGCAUAUUCCAGCACCCUUGUUAUCCCAUCCUGACAUCUAUCUAUCAUAUUAGGAUUGCUAGAGAGGGCUAACCGCCUAUUUAGAAUCUUAGUAGGGCAUUUCAUACUCGCGCAUAGGCCUGACUAGAACCCUUCGAUCGAUGUCCUUAACUGACAAUCGAUCGACGUUGGCAAAGGUGUAUCGGUCGACGUCUUAAUAGACUAUCGAUCGACACUCUCUUGUUGUCUGCAUACUAACCGGUGAGACACGAGAUCUAGUCUGUUAACCAGUGGUACAUGCGACAGCUGAUCACUGAGUUAAGCGAAUGAGCUCUAAUAUAUCAUGCAUGCAACAGUUAGGCAUCUAUAGGUAUUAUAAUCUCCAACACCUCAAUAGUGGCCCUGCAUCUAAUAUCAUUUCCAACCAAGUUACAUUUAUAUUUACUCGCUUGUUACUAUUGCUAUUUCAUUUAAACAUUUACAACCUUUAGAAUUAAUAAACACUAGAUUUAAUUGUUCCCUAGCUCCUUGUGGAUUUGAUCCCUAAGUACUACAUCUGAACCUCUUUUGAUGAGAGUAACACUCCUUAGGGUAAUUUGAGUGGUAUCAGUGCUAAAGAAUGGUUAGAUAACAAGAAAAAAUAAAUAAGUUCAUUGUCCUCUUCUUGACUCAAUAAAAAUUCUUUUUUGAAAACAUUUUAAUAAGACUCAUGAAUAAACUAAUAUCAGUAAACCUCCCCCCCCCCCCCCCCCCCUCAUACUUAAGUUACAUUGUCCCCAGUGUAUAUCUAGUCGGAGUUAAGGUGAUACCUAAAUCAUAAGGACUCAGUUUAACAAGUAAGAACGAUAUACCUGACCGGUUUAAGUGUCGAUCGAUGGUAUGGAGUUGCCAUCGGUCGCUGCAGCUGAUGAACUGUCGAUCGAUAUUGACAUGCUCUCGGUGGUCGAUAUUCGUGGCAAUCGUCUACUCGGAUUGUUUUUAUAACCUGCGGAAAAUUAAAAACGAAAAUAUGUACUAAACUUAAAGAAAACCAAUUAAAGUUACCUACUAGUGGGUUGCCUCCCACUCAGCGCUUUGUUAUAGCUCUUUAUUUUGACUUUGGAAGUGUUUGGGCUAGUAAUGUUGGAAGCAGCUACUUGCUGGGAAGAAAGUAUCCAAAUCUUCUAUGCUCUUAUUGAACCAUGUACCAAUGAGACUUCUCAUGGCCUCAUCUUCUCUUUGCCACUUGUCCUUCAUUGUUGCAGUAGUGUUUCCCAGGUUUUGCAACCUCUCUUCAAGACACUCAAUGCUGAACUGAUGCCUCACAAGUUUGGCAUAUGUGUGAUCUGAGAUAUCCUCUCCAUGGUUGAUUGUAUCAGACUUAUCUUCUGAUGUCACCUUUGUAACUAGCUCUCCUCGGUAUUUUGCUGGGACUUCGUCGAUCAUUUUUUUUCUGAACCUGUAUUGUGGUGCGCCUGUCUAUCGAUGUCGAUGCUUCUGGACGACUCAUGAUGUAUCUCUUAAUCUUAACUAUUUCCUUCUGCAUUGCUUUUGUUUGUGAAGUCAAAGAAAUAACGGUGAUGUUGAAUGGGAAGUAGAUAUCAUCGCAUAUCUUAUCAAGUCUGUCUUCUAUUGUUCCCAGGGUUUUGUAGAUCUAUUCUACCAACUCAUCAAUUUCUUGCUCUGGUGUAAGUAGUUGGUUCAGACUUUAUCGGAUUUGAUUGUGUAAGCUCUUCGUCAAUCGAUGGUGGAAUGUUUUUGUCAAUCGAUGCUGGUGUUAUUACUUCGGCCGCAUGAUGUGUCUGCAUCCUGGCUAUGUCUUGCUUCAUCUCUUCCAUACAAGUAGUCAACCAAUUGAUGUUGUCAUUCAGUGGGUAGUAGACACCAUCGAGUUUCAUCUUGAAAUCAUAUUUUGUUCUUCCUUGAGCUUCACAGAUUCCAUAUAUUUCAUCUCAUUAAUCUCAUUUUUGGCAUGUAUUUCUGGCUCUGGCCUGGCCUGGUCUGGGUGAAUAGCUCGGUGUGUUCUGGAAGACAUAUGUAGGUGCGCUCAUCCAUUAAUGCUCUUUCCAGAAGAUUUCUGAUGUCAUUCCUUGAUACAUUGAUGAAGUUGUCAUCUAUGCCUCGUGCGUGUCCAUACUCAUCUAUGUAGAUGCCAUACUCAUCCCUCUGUUCCUAGUGGAAUCUCCUUAUUCCAUAAUGGUUGUAGGCUCUCCUUCCAAACUCAGGAUGCAUGUCGAUCGACGGUCGAGCUAGUGGUUGAUUCUGAUGCUCGAAACGAUUGGCUGCUCCAUCAGUGUGUGGCAAAGAACUCAUCUAUAACCCUCUGCUGGUACUUUGGAGUGUUGCAUUGUUGCAUGAAGAGGUUUCCUGCUCCAUUAACAAUCUGAAGGAUUUCUACAAUGUCCUCUCUGAAUACUUGUAGAAUUUGUCCAUCCAUUGCUCGUGCAUAGCCGUCUGGAUUUCUGAAAAUAUCAAACUCAUAUCGUUAUAGAUAAUUAUUAAUAGUUUUAGCUUUCACUCUUACAUCGGAUCGUGGUGGCUGAUAAUUGUCGAUUGAUGGUGAAUGUGUGUUCUCGAUCGAUGGGUGCUUGUCUCUUGUGUGACGAAGAAAACGAGUUCCUACUCCACAAGCCAUUGCAAAAAAGUGGAUCAAUUUCUGCUCUUGCCUGGUCUUCUGGACGAAGUAGACGGAAUGGGUAUUCGAUGACUUCUUCCUCAGUGCAACCUUCAUUAUGCUUGUCUGCAUUUGUACCAUGUAAUGUGGUUUCGACAGCAUAGCUCUCCUGAUAGUGAUCAUCUGCCCAAUUGCCGAUUGAGUAGUUUUCGUAUUGCACAUUGUCGACUCCAUUGUCGAUCAAUAUGUUGUUGGUAUAUCGGUCGAUGCUCGUGCACAGUCUGUCUAAUGAUGAUGAGCGUCGAUCGAUGUUGUGUAGCUUCUGUCGAUCAAUGUUGCAUUCCUUAUCCCAUAGGAAUAGUGGAAAACUAUAUCUUCUUCUGUAAGAAGACCAUGAUACUCAAUUGCUCUUACCUCCUUGUAGUCCGCAUCAUACUCAUAUGUAUGUUGUGAUGGUAUAGCAGCUAUUAGUGCAAAACCCGAAUAGCAAUGUGCUGGCCGAUCGUCAUGUUCUGCUGCAGGUGAACUGUCGAUCGAUUCUUCGAGGUGAUUGUCGAUCGAUUUGUUGAAUGUUUAUCAUUGUCGAUCGAUGUUGGAGUGUAAGUGUCGAUCGAAGUUGAAUACUCUGUCUCGUACUCAGCUCCACAGUGGCAGGCUCCUAUGAAUCAUGGAUCAUCUCCAAUCUCUAUGUAGGACGUAUGUGGCUUGACAACUCAAAUUGGAUCGUAGUAGACGUUCGGAUCAAAGAGUGUCAAGCACAACUGGUUGGUCUGCAUGUUGCACACUGCUCCUACUGUAGUCAAGAAAGCUCUCCCAACUAGUAGAGAAGAAUUUCAGUUCAGCUUGAUAUCAAGAACAUGAAAAUCAAGCGGAACUAGGGCAUUAGCAAUUUGCACCUCAAGGUCUCUGAUUAUUCCUCCUGAGUUCCUCUGAGAACAAUCCACAAAAGUUAAUGAAUCCUAUGAAGGCUCUAUCUUCAGACCUAUUUGGUCUGCCAUAACCUGCGGUAGUAUGCUGACUGAAGCUCUUGUGUCACAUAGUACACAUGGGAACUCAAUGACUUUCACCAAGCAUUGUAUUGCAAAUUUCCCAGGAUCGCUCUUCUUCUUCAGUGUAAUCCUUUUCUUCAUCUUCUCUCUGAUCUGAUGGAACAUUCUCCAAUGUCCUCCUAAGUCUCUGUGGUCUCUCUGAAGAACAUCCACAACCUGUGGGAAAGUAAGCCUCCUCAAAUGGUUUAUCCAGUGGAAUCCUAAGGAUUUUCUUAGUAAAGCUAUCCAUCUCCUUCUCAUUAGCUCCCCUCUCCAUAUGCUUAGCAACCUUUUCCUUCCUUCUCCUCAAGGUUCUACCCUCAUAAGCCUUAUCAAAUUGCAUAGGCUCUGGUGCAUCUUCUGAAUAUAUGUUGGUCGUGUCUGGGUGGUUAUUAGAAGAUUUAGAUGAAUGCAUGUGUGCAUUAAGUUGUGCUACCUCCAACUUCGGUAACUGCACGCGGUAUGUGAGAGGUGGUCGUCGAUCGAUGGUUGCUGGAGGUUGUUUAUCGUUUGUGGUCUCUCUCUGUUGAUCGAUGGCAGGCUCACGAUGCGGAUCGAUGUUAAAAUGAAAGGGUUCAUGUGGAUGUGGUCUCUUGCUGUGAACUCCUUGUGAGUCAUGAUUCUCACCGCAUUACACGAUGCAACUGAAUCUGCUGGUGUCGUGGAUCGAUGUUCCUUGAAGUGUGUUGGUCGAUGUUUGUAAUUCGGCAUCGAUCGACACUAAUGCAAACUGCCGAAACUCAUGGAACUUUCGACUUCGAAAUAUCCUUCUUGCAGCUUCUCAUGCUUAGCCACUUGCCAAAAAUCAUCAUCUAUAAUGGCAUUCACGUGGUGCUACAUUGCUUCAUCUCAUAUCCCCCUUGUUAAGACUUCAUGCCUCUUAACACCUCCGCAUGUCUGAACUACCUACAUCUCCAGCUUCUGCACAUGGAUGUUCAAAGUAUCAAACUUUGUGUUCGGAUUGUUGUACACAGAAUCAAUCUUCCCAUUGAAAUCCAUUGUCAGUUUCUGCUGGCCUUCAAGAACCUGAUCAAGCAUUGGUUCUAUCUUGCUCUCAUGAGUCUGUGGUGGUGGAUUCUGGUAAGAUGAGUUUCCAUAGCUCUUGAUGUUGUUGUAGUUGUUGCUGUAGUUGCUGUAGGGUUUCUGGUACUGCGAACACUGGUUCAAAUUACUCAUCUGUCCAUUGCCAUAGAAAUUCAUGUUUCCACUCUGGUUUCCAGACUUCUGAAAUCCAGUGCCACUGAUGAAGUUCACCUUUGUUAUCCUUUGUGUCUACAGCAUCCGCAUCAUCUGCUAAGCAAACCUGCUUCUUAAGAAGCUUGUGAACACUGUCCAACUUUGCUUUCACCUUAUCCAUCUGCUUCUUCCCAAGGAUGACUGCAUAUCUCCUUCUCUCAAAGUCAGUGUUCUUGGUGCUAUUACUGGAUGCCAAGUUCUCAAUGAGUCUCACAACCUCUUUUGGAUUCCUAAUGUUGAAGUUACCUUCACUAGAUGUAUCGAGAGCCAUCUGAUAAUGCAAGGUGAUGCCUUUGAAGAAAGUGAUGAGCAGUUUCACUUCGUUGAAUCCAUGGUGUGGAUAAUCCUCUGAUAAGACUGAAUCUAAUCCAGGAGCUUCAGAAUGAUUCUAUAGGCUCCUCUAUGAAUGUAGCAAUCUUGCUCAUCAAGUCUUCUGCAUGUGCCUCAUCAAAGAAGUUACGCCAGAAAGCGUUCUUGAUGUUGGCCCAGGAUGUAAGAGAUCAUGGUGGUAACUUCUUAAGCCAAUACAAAGCCUUUCCAGCAAGUGAGUACUUGAAGAGCUUGUAGAAUAGGUAUUCCUCAUGGACUCUAUUGCCUUUGAUAGCAGAUAGAAGAUCUUAGAACCUCUCCAGAUGGUCCAUAGGAUGCUCGUGAGAUAACCCACAGUAGGGUGUCUGUCCCACGAGUGUGUAGUAUUGUGACGUCAACUCGAAAUCGCCUCUCUGGAUAGCUAGAAGAGAAAUAGCUGAUUUGUUGGCAUAGAACUGAUCUGAACGGUUAUUAUCAGCCAACGUUCUGGGUCGAAUAUCCUCAUCUACAGGUUGAGCAACUCAUGUAGCUUCAGUAUCAGGCUCAGGGAUUGCAGCAUUACGCAGAUGACGUUCUAGAUCAUGCAAGAUUCCAUUCUUGUCAUGUCUAAGAAUCAGUGUCGCAACCAUAUCUUGCAGCUGAGUAUCGAUUGAUGUUCGAGAUGAAAUAUCGAUCGAUGUCAGAUGGAAGAUGUCGGUCGACGGAAGAGUAGCCUCGGUCGAUGGUGAUGGGCGAGUGUCGGUCGGCGAAAUCGAAGUCUCGAUUGACUGUGGUAUGCGAAUGUCGGUCGACGAACUAAUGAUGUUGUCGAUCGAUGCGGAGCAUCUUUCUUUGCGGAUCGAACGUUCCAAGAUUGCAGGAUCUUCUCAGAAUAGUAGUGAUGUUUCCUUGUUGCUUCUAGUACUGUUGGGCAUGCACUUGAAAAGACAAAAAAAAAUAUGUCGGGAAGUGGUUUAAAGAAGUAACCUCGGUUGAUUAAGUUUAAUUGUAAAUUGUAGGUUUUAAUAAGGUAGUUGUCCGGUUGGGUUGAUUGAGUUUUUGACAUUUAACUGGAAGUAGCUAGACUUAGGGUUUCUAUUUAGGUAAAUAGGAUUCUAGAGAUAUAGAUUCAAAUCAGUUGUUUGCAUGAUAUUAAACAACUUUAGAUUCGUCUAUUGUUUAGAUCUAAUGACCUUAACAUUCGUAUGUUGAUCAAUUUGAAAGUGUAGAUCGAUGAUUCUAGAGGAAUGUCGAUCGAUACACCUUUCACGACGUCGCUCAAUUAUUCUAUAGGAAUAUCCAUCGACGAGCUUUUAGCAAGCUUUGCGCACGGUUGAUAAAGUAUUCACUAAGGUUUCCUAGAUCGGCUAUCGCUUUUCUCUAGAAAUCCUAUUUCAAUCAGGAUCUAUUUAGGAUGAGACCAAGCAGGAGCUUGUACCUACAAACCCUAAAAUCAAGGUUCUAGUUAGCUAUUCUAGAACACAAGCAUUAAGAACAUCCUAUUGAUGAAUAUCAAAACUUAGCAAUUCUAUAGUUGGUGCUAAUCCUUCAUAACGUAUUUAAACCCAAAAGCUAACAAUAGAACUACUCAGACAUGGCUAAGCAAUUCAUAAUAACAAGGUAUAAAGAAAGCUGCAUAGAUAGAUAAGUAAUAAUAAUGGAGUUCCAAUCACACUUCUUACUCAUAUGAUUUUAUUAACAUUUUUAUAUUUGUUGUAACAAUAAUUUAAAUCAUUAAUCAGAAAACUUUUAAUGUGAGAUUUUUCAACAUAAUUUUCAAAAUUAAAAUCUUAAGAUCUCAUUAAGUUUUUAAUGCAAAUUUUAAAAACUAAAUUUUUAUAUAUUAUUAUAUAGUAUAUAAUUUAAUUUAAAUGAUAUUAAUAUAUAUAUAUAUAUAUAUGAUAUGAAUAUCUAUUAAUGAGACUUUAUAUUCAUAUGAUACCACUCAAAUUACCCUAAGGAGUGUUACUCUCAUCAAAAGAGGUUCAUAUGUAGUACUUAGGGAUCGAAUCCACAAGGAGCUAGGGAACAAUUAAAUCUAGUGUUUAUUAAUUCUAAAGGUUGUAAUGUUUUAAAUAAAAUAGCAAUAGUGACUAGCGAGUAAAUGAUAAAUGUAACUUAGGUUGGAAAUGAUAUUAGAUGCAGGGCCAUUAUUCAGGUGUUGGAGAUUAUAAUUCCUAUAGAUGCCUAACUGUUGCAUGCAUGAUAUAUUAGAGCUCAUUCGCUUAACUCAGUGAUCAGCUGUCGCAUGUACCACUGGUUAACAGACUAGAUCUUGAGUCUCACCGGUUAGAUGCAGACACAAGAGAGUGUCGAUCGAUAGUCUAUUAAGACGUCGAUCGAUAGUCUAUUAAGACGUCGACCGAUACACUUUUGCCAACAUCGAUCGAUUGUCAGUUGAGGACAUCGAUCGAUGGGUUCUAGCCAUGCCUAUGCGCGAGUAUGAAAAUGCUCUACUAAGAUUCUAAAUUGGCGGUUAGCCCUCUCUAGCAAUCCUAAUAUGAUAGAUAGAUGUCAGGAUGGGAUAACAAGGGUGCUUGAAUAUGCAAUCCUAUGAUCAUGUUUUAGUUAGCUAGGCUAAAACAAGCAAUGAGUACAAAUCUAUCAUGAAUAUCACAACAAGGCAGAUCUAUAGUUUGGGGCUAAUCCCACAAACCUAUCUGAACUCUGGAUCUAACAGUUGAACUACUCAGACAUAGCAAAGCAAUUCAUAUCAAUGGAUAAAUAGAAACUCAUGGAAUAGAUGAUAGGGAAAAUGAAACAAGGAGUUCCAAUCACAAGUGAUCUUCUCUCCCAAAUGAAACUCGUAACAAAACUAGGUCAAGAAAAGAAAAAGCUCUCUCUGCCGUCAAACACUUAGGCAGUAUAUAUUCUACUAGGUUAAAAACUCGUCAGGGCAUUUUGGUAAUUUGGCUUGGCCUUGGUUUUUAAGUCUGCUGAAUCCAAAAUGUCGCGUCUGGUGUCUCGACAUCGAUCGACGGUAUAUGUGUACAUCGAUCGAUAUUAAUCUUCAUCUGUCGAGGCAUUUCCUGAUAUCGAUCGUCAGCACUGAUGCAUAUCGAUCGAUUAUUCUUCCUCUCGUCGACCUCUAAGUGGUCAGCUCGGGUGAAAUGUCCUUUAUGCUCCAAAAUGCUCCAAAGUCAUAGCUUUACUCCGAAAUGCACCUGAACCUGAAAACAUACCUAGAAGAGUAGAAAACAUAGAUAUAUAUAUAGUAAAAUAGUAAUAUACCAUGGAUAAAAAUAGGUCAAAUCUAGGGUAUAUCAACUCCCCCAGACUUACCCUUUUGCUUGUCCUCAAGCAAAACAUACAGGCAGUCUCUCUGAAAGAGGUUUAAAAAUGUUUGGGAACUUAAGAUUUUAAAAACAUAGAAAUCUUUCUUCAACAAUUUUGCAACCACAUUUAAACAGUCCUAAUCACAAAAGCACACUAUGCAAUAUCCUAGCUUAACAACCAUUUCUAACAUAACACAACUCAUCAAUUCACGUCUGACAUCUCCUCUACUGAUUUCAUUUCUUAGCAUAAAUAUAAAGUGAAUGCUUUACCUUGGGAGUAUCGAUCACAGGAUGCAAGGAUUUCAGACAGAUUUCUGGAGCUGCAGGUAAAAGUUAGUAAUUUAUAGUAUUUUUAAAAAAAUUCCAAACAUAACAUAUAGGAAAAAAUCUAAUUUUUUAUUAUAUGCUUAAUGUGAUUUUUCAAUUUCUAUUAAUAAUAUAAAAUUAAACAAAAAAAGGAAAGGAUACAAAAUUGUAAUCAAAUAUGUAUUAAUCAUUAAUUGUCAUAUAUAUGUUAACCAAAUUAGGUAAUUAUGUAGCUUUUAUUUAAGGAAAGAAUUGAGAAUAUUCUUUUGUACACUAAUAAUCAAUUUGAUAGUUAGUUUAAUAAAAAAAUAUAAUAUAUAUUUGUAUGGAUAGUUAGUUCAAGAAGUCGCUUAGAGAUUCGUCGUCCUUCAGGGCUAGGCUCCAGAGAUCGACAUCAAAAGUUUUUUUGUCUAUCAACAUAGAGUAUUGUUUGAGAAAUUUCGAAGCGAUUUGGUGGAAACUUUCGAUGGAAUUUCGCCUGAGGCGGGAGAACCAUUCGAGCGUUGCUCCCUGGAGAUUUUUGAUGAAGAGACGGCAAUGGCCAGCGUCUUUUUCUUUUUCCUGUAGCUUGGCCCUUCCAAUGGUGAUCUGAAAAAUCUGCAGAUGUGCUUUAGGAUCGGUGGUGGCGUCAUAGGUAGGGAUCUUAAUUUUUUCAGGGUCUGAGACCUUCGUCUCGGUGAUACGAGCAGUGAAGGGAGUCUUUCGAGCCUCUUCGAGAAGCCUGUCAAUCUCGGGGGAAGCACUGGUAGCGUGGUGAAUCUGAGAUUUCACCGCUUUAACUUCCGCGGCCGUUUUUGUGAUGUAGUCACGGAGAUCGCAGAUUUUGUCGAGAUCGUCAUCAGCAAUUUUCUGAGUUUGUCGGCGUUUGCUGCGAUUGACUCGAGCUUGUUCAUCGGCCAGUUUUUCUUGUUUGACCCAGAACAUGGUUUCUUCCUCUUCGGUCAUGGGUUUCUCGAACGAAGAAUCUAGCCGAUUUGCGUGGCUCCUAGUCCUUCUUGGAUGUAUAUCUGCGUCCUCGUCUGAGUGAUCGGACUAGUCGCUGGAAUCCAAGUUUACUCGUUCGGCUUCGUUAUCCUACGUAGCAACCGAGUGUCCGUCCCGCUCGGUCGCUACGUAGCGACCGAGCAUCCGUCCCGCUCGAUCGCUAUGCAGCGACCGAACACUUCCGAAACGUCGAUACGACACCAGUCCAUGCAUUCUUGUCUAUCCUACAAUGCUAUCUCCCGAAGACCGUAGCAAAUUCGGUUCAUGCCUUCCGACCAUUGUUGGGGUCAAAAACAGUCACGACGGAAUUACCACCCAAAAAUCCUCGGAGGUCAUAUUUCCGAAAGAGAUAGUAAAAAGAAAGAUAUAAUUUUCGUAAAGAAAUAACGAUACAAAGUUUUUACGAAGAAGUAUCCUUGAAGAUUCAAAAGCAAACGAAUCAAGCUCGGUCGUUGCGUAACUACCACACAUACACGCUGUCCGGUCGCUACGUAGCAACCAAGUCCGAGCCGAUGCCGGUCGCUACGAAGCGACCGAACAUCCGACCCGCUCGGUCGCUACGUAGCGACCAAGCUCGAGCCAAAGCUUGGUCGCUACGUAGCGACCAAGAAAUCGUCCCGCUCGGUCGCUACGUAGCGACCGAGCUCACACCAAAGCUCAGUCGCUACGUAGCGACCGAGCGCGCGUACCGCCGUAGUGACCGAGCGCUCGUCCCGCUCGGUUGCUACGUAGCGACCGAGCGCUCGUCCCGCUCGGUCGCUACGUAGCAACCGGGCUUGAGCCAAAGUUCGGUCGUUGCGUAGCGAUCGAGCUCUUCCGAACGUCGGUACGACACCAGUCCAUGCAUUCUCGUCAAAACCUUCAAAUGCUAUCUCCCGAAGAUCGUAGCAGGCUUAGUUCAUGCUUUCCGCUAUUCUAAAUCAUAGAUCAGACUUUGCGAAUUAAAAACCGCAGAAAGUUUGUUCUUUAUCGAAAGAACUCGUAGUAAACGUGUCGAGUCGGAAGACGGCCCAAAGGGACCUAAAACACGACUCGAAGCCCAUCCUACGAUUUCUUAACCAAAAGCCCGUAAACUCCAGCACUGUUUACGCUUGGUCCCCAAGGAAGGAUAAAUGUCAAGUUUCCGCGGAUAAAUACGGAAGUUUUGAAGAUAAUUGUGAAGAUCGGGAAAAAUGGAAUAUCUCCAUUUUUAUGCUAUGACGGCUUAAGGGCAGAAGAGUAAAAAUGUAAACCGACCUUGGAGCUAGUAUAUAAGGAGUCCUAGGCGAGGAGCAUAGGAGAGAACUUUUUUAGAGCAAACUUAGCACUUAGAGCAAUUUAGGCAUUUUUCCGUUUUUGUUAUUUCGAGCUGCGACUCAAUUAGGUUUAGCCGUCUUAGGGUUGCUAGAACUAGGAAUCUCGCCGACAGCUCUCGAGCCCAGGCUUAUACCUUGUUGUAAACGCUCAUUCGCAAAUUCGGAAAUAAGAUCUUCUUUGCUCUCUUUUUCGAUUUCUUAUACUUUAUCGUUGUUAUUCUCGUGUUUUGAUUGCUUGACGUGUGGUAAUUAGCAGAUAUCCGAGUCCUCUGGAAAAUUAGGAUUUUCCUAGUUUCCUUAUUUAAACGGAAAUCGACAGUGCGAAUUUCGGUUCCCACAGUUUGGGGCUAGAAAGAAGGGGGAUACGGAUCAAUCUAACCCGCAAAAGCCACAACACUCUCAAUCAGACAUGUCAACUAACGACGCGGAUAACGUGCAGACUCCUCUUAACGGAGGUAGCGGCACCGAUCUCCACACUCCAGCAGCGGACGUAUCCGCGGCCAACGCACAAGCCAACGCCGCAACGCUCGAGGAGUUUAAAAAGAUGUUCGCCACCUAUGAGAAAAGGUCGGAAGAAUAGGAUAAGCUCGUGAAUACCUUGACCAAACAGGUUGAAACCUUAACGGCAAGGACCCAAGCAAUCCCUCCCCGGGGAACCACCAAAAUCCGCGGGAAGAGUCUCGACUUCGCUACCCCACUCGACAGAUCAGGAGUCACGCAGGAACGAGCUUCCGGUCAAAACCCUAGCGAGAAUUCUCCCAUCAAAAGGGGGAACCCUGAAAGUCUUCCGCCCCCUGCAAAGGACUUGGAGGAUAACGAAGCCAAACGCAUUGACCUGGAUCCUAGCGAUGUCUCCAACGACACCGACGAGGACGUCAACAUACAUCCAAGAAGGACCAGGAGCCGAUCUGCUCGGGAAGGCUCCCCGUUCGAAAAACCAAUGACGGAAGGAGAAGAAAUUACCUAUUGGAACGAACAAGACGAGCUGGCUUAAAGGCAAACCGAGCUCACUCGCAGUAAACACCGACAAGCUUGGACAUCUACUGACGAGACAUCGGAUAUCCGCGAUCUUCGCGACUACAUCACCAAGACUGCGGCAGAAGUGAGGGCCGUAAAGUCUCAAAUCCAUCAUGCUAUAAGUGCUGCCCCCGAAAUCGAUCGACUGCUGGAAGGAGAUCGGAUGACCCCUUUUACCAGUCGCAUUUCGGACAUGAGGGUGUCCAAUCCGGAAAAAAUAAAAAAACCGAAGUACGACGGUACGGCCGAUCCAAAAGCGCACCUUCAGGCUUUCCACAUCGCGAUGGGAAGAGCUAGACUGAAGGACGGCGAAAAGGAUGCCGGCUACUGCCGCCUGUUCGUUGAAAACCUGGAAGGAGCAGCACUUGAAUGGUUCGCACGCCUUCGUCGUAACACCAUCGGGAGUUUCCGACAGCUCGCAUCGGAAUUUCUCAAAGAAUACUCUGUAUUCAUCGACAGAGAAACUUCUGAUGUUGACCUCUGGAGUCUCUCCCAGAGGGAGGACGAACCCCUCCGCGAGUUUAUCAGUCGGUUCAAGCUGAUAAUGUCAAGGGUCAGCGGGAUAAGCGACAAAGUGGCCAUCGACGCGCUGAGAAAGACGCUCUGGUACAAGUCGAAAUUCAGAAAGUGGAUAACUCUCGACAAACCGCGAACGAUCCAGGAUGCCCUCCACAAAGCGACGGACUACCUCAUAGUCGAGGAAGAAACUAAAGUCUUAUCGCAAAAACAUAAGUCGGCAAGACCAUCCUCGAAGGACGUGGAUCCAAAAGGGAGAAAGAAGAACUCUCGUAACGACAAAUACGUCCAUCACGAGGGGGAAGAUCUCCAAGGGGCGCAUAAUUACGCGAUCAAUUCGGAUCAAAGCCGAACCACGGGCAACACGUGGACUCGCAAUCAAGGGUAUGACGAAAACACCUUCUGCGAGUUCCACCAGUCCCGAGGACACUCCACGACCAACUGCAAAGUCUUGGGAGCAAGACUGGCCGCAAAGCUACUCGCUGGAGAGCUCUCGGAAGUAACUAGCGUCAAGGAUCUCAUCCUCGAUUCUGAUCGCCCUCCAAAGACGGACAGAAAUCCGCCCGCUGAAAAAUCCCCUCAACGAAACCAGCCUGGGGAUAAACACGGUAGGAGGCCGGAUGAUAAGGGGAAUACUGCGGCGAUACUGUGUCGGCCAUCAAGGCUUACCAACGGAAGGCAGAGUCGAGUGCAAAUUGGCCUACAUGGUCUCCUCCCCGAGAUGACCAAAAUUGCUCGAUCACCUUCACAAAGGAGGAAGCCGGCGGCAUCGAUCAACCUCACUGCGAUCCGCUCGUCAUAGAUCUCGUCAUUCGAGACUUAGAAGUCAGAAGGGUACUCGUCGACACGGGAAGCACGGUCAACGUAAUCUUCUGCGACACUCUCAAACGGAUGAGCAUCGAACUCGGAGAAGUAAUUCCGACGCCAAAACCGCUCACGGGUUUUUCAGGCGAAGUAUCGAUGACUCUUGGAUCGAUCCAGUUGCCAGUCAUGGCCAAGGAGAUCACAAAAAUCGUCGAGUUCGCGGUAGUCGAUCAUCCCACUAUCUACAACGUGAUCAUGGGAACCCCAUGGUUCAACGCCAUGCAGGCAGUUCCGUCGACCUACCACCUGGGUCUCAAAUUCCCAACCCCAAGCGGAGUCGCGGCUAUCUGGGGAUGCCAAAAACAGUCGCGGCUAUGCUUCCUCGCAGAGCACAAGUUAAGGCAAAUCACGACUUCUGCAAAAACGCCCCGUGGAAAGACGAAUUAAAAUCGUCUGCCGACACAAACGCAUCGGACGUCGAAACUCAACACGAGUCUUAAGCCCACACUACAACUCAACCGGAACAUCCGGAAAAUAGCGUUGACCCAGCCACGAUCGACAUGGUCAAGGCGGACAUCGCGACAUCUACCGCCGAGUAAAAACACUCGCGGCAUGAAACAGAACUACGAGAUGGCUUGAUCCUCGAAAAGGGUACGUAGGCAGCCCGUCAAAAGACGAGUUCAGAUAUGCCCCUCUCUAAAAAAGGGGGGGGGAGUGGGUGCGUAUACUCAGAUACUCCCACUUAGAAAAAUCUUCAUUAUUGUAAUCGAGUUUUCAGAAACUUCAAAAACUUUUACUACAAUCUACGUUGCUUCUUUUUAUCGAAAACGUUUACGCUUCAGUUAAAACACAAAAAAAACUGUCGGGACACGCCUGGAAACAUUAAGACUCUUGUCAGCGGCCUCAUCCGGCCCAAAAAAAUCGUAAAGUUAUCAUCUUUCAAAACAUUUGAAAAUACACGUAUAAUCCUCGAAACAACUCCGAGACGUCGCAAAGUUAAAAUUCGAAGAUAAUACGAACAAAUUGUUCGAACGCGACCACCAAAAACCUUACACCCCGUUCGUCGAUUGGCCCCGACGAACACGCCAGCCGUCUUAAACAAACGCAAUUCGAUCACUCUUUUGAUCUUCAAAAACGUCCAACACAAGGACAAAAGCGCACUACAACAAAAAUCUGAAAUUUUGGUCUAGCACUAUCAGUUGACUCUGAGAAGAUGCUCGAUUCGUACCAUACAAGUCAUAUAAGCCGAGAGCCUAUAGCGGACUUUAAAUCGGUACGAGUCAGGAAGAAAUCGCAACAGGAAAAACGAUAGCCGGCUAGUCACCGCACAAACCUUAACCGAAAGUAAACCUAGGUCUUGCCCUAAACCCAACGCUCUGGUCUCAAACAUCUCAAGACAUGAUAUCUAAAAGUUACGUGAUCCUAAACCAUGUCUCUCCGUUCGUAUCUCGAUUUUCCCAAAAAUCGUAAAGAUUGGUAAUUUUUUACGAGAAUCACGAACUAACUAACAGAUUGAACGUCUAAUCGGAAUUAAAUAUAAGAUGACAACUCAUAUUUACUUCGGCCCUAUUCAGGAAAACUCGAAAUGAAACGUUCAUCAUAUAUAUAAAACUGCUUAAAAAGCGGUAAGGGAUUCAAAGCCACCAACGGCCAGUCCCGAUAAGCAAUAAAAACGGCCAAAACAGGCCCAUACAAAUCUCUCGGCCACACUCGGCCAAACACAUAGAAAAAGAAAGACGAGCAUCUUUCUUUCGAUAACCACUCCACCUCUCAUAAUCCAAAGUCAAAAUCCCUGGACAACGAAGCACCGAACGCAUCUGCGGGACGAUCCACUUCCUCUCCACCGUCAGGAAACCCGGUUUGAACCUCCUCGGUAUCAGGGGAAACCGGGAUGGAAUCCCAGAAUCCUUGAAUCCACUCGUCGAUCGAAGGGAUGAGCGCCUCAGCAUGGGCAGGAUCGUUCAUGCCACUCUUCAUCAAGCUCAUUUCCUUCUCGAACACAUAGUCAUCGGCCUGCGUCCUCCAAAGACUUCCGACUGAACCGCGGCACUCACGGAAAUCACCCACCGAGGUAAAGGCGUUCUUGAAGUUCCUAUACUCAACCUGGAAUUGAGAGGCACGAGUCUUUAUCACCUCGACGAUUUCUCUUUUGCCUUUCCUUUCCGCCUUACGGACAGCCCGCGCAUGAUCACGAGUAAGUUGCGCUUCUCGGUCCAACAUCUCGCCUUGCAUGCGAGCGAGAUCUCGUUCCGCUUUCUCCGCUUUAAAACGAUAGACCAUAGCCUCCCUAUGGCUCGCUUCAAUGGCCGAGCCAAGCAAGUUGAGGCCCUGCGAAACCAAUUAACGCAUUGUGAGCAGAAAAAGAAAUACCCAGGCAAUCACAAAUAUUUUCGAAAAAAUCAUAGCCCACUGAUGAUUCGGGACCCUUCCGCGACGACUUUCGGCCUCGCCGACUCUUUCGCAGGUGGAGGAGCAUCAUAACCCGGUGGCAGACCAGCAAAGAAAUCAUCAAAAUCCAGAAUAUGGACCUCGCUCGAGCCACUCCCAUCGCCAUAAGCAAGGUUCGGAUCCCAUCCUGGAAGCAUAGAGUCAUCCAUCGAAAAUUCUAUGUCGCCAAGGUCGAUAUCCUUUCCCUUCCAAGAGCUCGACUCCGGCAUAGUGGCUGGGGCUAUAACGGGAUUCUGGUCAUCAGGUUCGGAGUCGCUUCCCGUGUCCGCAACCGAGGCAGGACCAGGGUGCACAAACCUCAGUGCCUUCAGAAUCCCUCACCGCAAUGAUGUCCUCGGGGAACGGAGCAAGAGGAUUGAUGAAAGGAUGAUCGUUCGGCAACCUCCGGAACAGUGGAAUGCAACUCUCUUCGACAGACGCAGCGUCUAUACGAACAAAGAAGAAAAACUUCUUCCACGAGUUGAAGUUCAAAAUGAACUUCUUAACCACUGACAUAAAGUUCCGAGGGACCAGCCUAUGCUUGUCCGUAUCUUUGACGAGUUGAAGCAUCAAAAGCGCUUCAAAAUGAUCGACGGAAAGGGAAAGGCCAUGCUCGUAGCUCAGGAUCAGGAUCCCAAUAAGAUGAUGAUUGGCGAGAGGAGUCAACUGGCUUAUCGCAACCUCGAAACGGUCCAACACUCGGACGAGGAUUUCGGGGAUUGGGAACCAUAAGCGACAACGUACCACGAACGCCUCGUAGCAAGUGAAGUAACCCUCUGGGGGGCUGUUAGCACACUCUCCGGGAUAGGGAACCAGGAACUCCACAGCAUCCGGGAUAUGGUAGAACGAUCGGACCCUGUGAUGCAUGGUCCUAACGGGCUGGGGGGCUAACUGUUGGGGUCAAAAAUGGUCACGGCGGAAUUACCAUCCGAAAAUCCUCGGAGGUCAUAUUUCCGAAAGAGAUAGUAAAAAGAAAGAUAUAAUUUUCGUAAAGAAAUAACCGAUACGAAGUUUUUACGAAGAAGUAUCCUUGAAGAUUCAAAAGCAAACGAAUCAAGCUCGGUCGUUGCGUAACUACCACACAUACACGCUGUCCGGUCGCUACGUAGCAACCAAGUCCAAUCCGAUGCCGGUCGCUACGUAACGACCGAGCAGGACGAGCGCUACGUAGCGACCGAGCUUCGGCUCGAGCUCGGUCGUUACGUAGCGAUCAAGCGGGACGAGCGCUCGGUCGCUACGUAGCGACCGAGCUACGUAGCGACCAAGCACUCGUCCCGCUCGGUCGCUACGUAACGACCGAGCUCGAGCCAAAGCUCGGUCGCUACGUAGCGACCGAGCGCUCGUCCCGCUUGAUCGCUACGUAACGACCGAGCUCGAGCCGAAGCUCGGUCGCUACGUAGCGCUCGUCUUGCUCGGUCGUUACGUAGCGACCGAGCUCGAGCCAAAGCUCGGUUGCUACGUAGCGACCAGGCUUGAGCCAAAGUUCGGUCGUUGCGUAGCGAUCGAGCUCUUCCGAACGUCGGUACGACACCAGUUCAUGCAUUCCCGUCAAAACCUUCAAAUGCUAUCUCCCGAAGACCGUAGCAGGCUCAGUCCAUGCUUUCCGCUAUUCUAAAUCAUCGAUCAGACUUUGAGAAUUAACAACCGCGGAAAGUUCGUUCUUUAUCGAAAGAACUCGUAGUAAACGUGUCGAGUCGGAAGACGGCCCAAAGGGACCUAAAACACGACUCGAGGCCCAUCCUACGAUUUCUUAACCAAAAGCCCGUAAACCCCAGCACGGUUUACGCUUGGUCCCCAAGGAAAGAUAAAUGUCAAGUUUCCGCGGAUAAAUACGGAAGUUUUAUGUUAUGACGGCUAAAGGGCAGAAGAGUAAAAGUGUAAACCGACCUUUGAGCUAGUAUAUAAGGAGUCCUAGGCGAGGAGCAUAGGAGAGAACUUUUUCAGAGCAAACUUAGCACUUAGAGCAAUUUAGGCAUUUUUCCGUUUUUGUUAUUUCGAGCUGCGACUCAAUUAGGUUUAGCCGUCUUAGGGUUGCUAGAACUAGGAAUCCCGCCGACAGCUCUCGAGCCCAAGCUUAUACGUUGUUGUAAACGCUCAUACUUAAAUUCGGAAAUAAGAUCUUCUUUGCUCUCUUUUUAAAUUUCUUAUACUUUAUCGUUGUUAUUCUCGUGUUCUGAUUGCUUGACGUGUGGUAAUUAGCAGAUAUCCGGGUUCUCUGGGAAAUUAGGGUUUUCCUAGUUUCCUUAUUUAAACGGAAAUCGACAGUGCGAAUUUUGGUUCCCACAACCAUUCUGAGACAUCAACUAAACUUCGCGGUAAAAACCGCGGAAAGUUCGUUCUUUAUCGAAAGAAAUCGUAAUAAAUGUGUCGAGUCGGAAGACAGCCCAUAGGGACCUAAGACGACUCGAGGCCCAACUUGCGAUUUCUUAACCAAAGCUCGUAAACCGUAGGACGGUUUACGCUUGGUCCACAAGAAAAGAUAAAUGUCAAGUUUCCGCGGAUAAAUACGGAAGUUUGAAGAUAAUUGCGAAGAUCGGAGAAAAAUGGAAUAUCUUCAUUUUAUGCUAUGACGGCUUAAGGGCAGAAGAGUAAAAGCGUAAACCGACCUUCGAGCUAGUAUAUAAGGAGUCCUAGGCGAGGAGCGUGGAGAGACUUUUUCAGAGCAAACUUAGCACUUAGAGCAGUUAGGCAAUUUUCCUUUUUUGUUAUUCCGAGCUGCGACUCAAUUAGGUUUAGCCGUCUUAGGGUUGUUAGAACUAGGAAUCUCGCCGACAGCUGAUAUACCUUGGAUUUGACCCAUUUUUAUCCAUGGUAUAUAAGUAUUUUACUAUAUAUAUAUAUAUAUAUAUAUAUAUAUAUAUAUAUCUAUGUUUUCUACUCUUCUAGGUAUGUUUUCAGGUUCAGGUGCAUUUCGGAGUAAAGCUAUGACUUUGGAGCAGUUUGGAGCUUAAAGGACAUUUCACCCGAGCUGACCACUUAGAGGUUGACGAGAGGAAGAAUAAUCGAUCGAUGCGCAUCAGGGCUGACGAUCGAUAUCAGAAAAUGCCUCGACAGAUGAAGAUUAAUAUCGAUCGAUGUACACAAGUACCAUUGAUCGAUGUCGAGACACCAGACGCGACAUUUUGGAUUCAGCAGACUUAAAAACCAAGGCCAAGCCAAAUUACCAAAAUGCCCUGACGAGUUUUUAACCUAGUAGAAUAUAUACUGUCUAGUGUUUUGACGGCAGAAGAACAGAGACACGGGAUCUAGUAUGUUAACCAGUGGUACAUGCGACACCUGAUCACUGAGUUAAGCGAAUGCGCUCUAAUAUAUCAUGCAUGCAACAGUUAGGCAUCUAUAGGUAUUAUAAUCUCUAACAUCUGAAUAGUGGCCCUGCAUCUAAUAUCAUUUCCAACCAAGUUACAUUUAUAUUUACUCGCUUGUUACAAUUGCUAUUUCAUUUAAACAUUUACAACCUUUAGAAUUAAUAAACACUAGAUUUAAUUGUUCCCUAGCUCCUUGUGGAUUCGAUCCCUAAGUACUACAUCUGAACCUCUUUUGAUGAGAGUAACACUCCUUAGGGUAAUUUGAGUGGAAUCAAAUUUGGCGCCGUUGCCGGGGAGCUUUGAUCGCCAUUAGAUUUAGUUUUAUUAAUUUUUUUUCUUUUCCUAACCCCAUUUCUAAUAAUCUUUUUCUUGUCUUUUCAGGUGCAUGCCUAGCGGUACCACCAGCAACAAGGAGAAAGACUUGCGGUUCUCAGACGAUCCUGCUCAUUUGGAAUGCACCAUCCGUAGAGGUCAACGUUCCACAUCGCUCGACGCAACCACUUCGUCGUCGAUCGAUACGCACAACCUACCGUCGACCGACACCAGACCAUCAUCGUCGAUCGAUCCCAAUCGUUCGACAACGAUCGAUACUACACCGCGUACGUCGAUCGAUACCGUGUCGUAAAAAAUGGUAAACAUUAUUAUUCUAACUCAGGACGAGAACGGAAACCUGUAUGACCAGGCCGGUCAUCUAUGUAAUGCAACAGGUCAGAAAAUAGAUGCUCAGGGAACUGUAAUCCCUGAUGCUGAUGCUAGGAGCUGCUCAACCUGUAGAUGAGGACGCUCGAUCGAAACCACUGGCCGACUACAACCGCCCAGAUGAGUACUAUUCCAACAGAUCAGCUAUUCGACUUCCGGAGAUCCAGAAGCAGAAUUUCGAGCUGAAGCCUCAAUACUAGAGUCUCGUGUCGCAGAAACCCUACUCUGGGUUACUGCACGAGCAUCCUAUGGACCAUUUGGAACGGUUUGAGGAUCUAAUCGCUGCUAUUCGAAUGGAAGGAGUCCCCAAAGAUUACCUGCUGUGCAAGCUCUUCAGAUACACGCUGAAUGGAGAAGCGAUGCACUGGCUUAGGCAGCAACCCACAGGAUCUUUAACAUCCUGGAGCGACAUCAAGAAUGCUUUGUUACGAAACUUCUUCGAUGAGGCGCGCGCUGAAGAACUUCGAAACAAAAUUUCCACAUUCUCGCAGAAGGCUGGAGAGUCCUUCAAAGAUGUGUGGAUUAGAUUUAGGUUCUUCCAGCGAGACUGUCCACACCACGGAUUUAACGAAGUGCAGCUGCUAAGCACUUUCUUCCGAGGUGUCGCCUUACAGUAUCAAAUGGCCCUUGAUACGGCGAGUGAAGGAAACUUCCCUACACGGAAUCUGUUGGAAGCUGUGAGAUUUAUCGAAAACCUUGCUAACAGCAGCAGCACCAAAAACACUGACUCUGAACGGAAGAAGUCUGUAGCCUCUAUCGGGAAGGAACAUAUGGACGAAGUAAGAGCGAAGUUAGAUGUGGUGCACUUGCUUCUUAGGAAGCAAGUCUGUUCAGCUGAACGAGAAGUAGCAGGUACGGAAGGAGAAGAAAAUGUGAACUACAUCGGAGGUACCGGAUUCCAGAAAUUUGGAAACCAGGGCGGAAACAGAAACUUCUUUGGAAAUGGCCAAAGAAGUAACCAAAAUUUACAAUUUCAAAAACCCUUCAACAACAGCAAGAGCUACUCGAACUCUUACUACCAAAAUCCACCACCCCAGACUCAGGAAAGCAAGAUCGAAGAGAUGCUUGAUCGAGUACUGUUGGGACAACAACAAAUCACCGUGGAUUUCAACGGUAAGAUAGACUCUGCUUACAACAAUCUGAACACCAAAAUCGAGACCUUAGGGACUCAGGUGAGAAAACUUGAAACCCAAGUAAUUCAGACGGGCGAGACUAUAAAGAGGCAAGAAGCCUUCGCUAGAGAGGCAUGAGCCAACAAAGGAAAACACCACGUAAAUGAUGAUUUCUGGCAAGUGGUGAGAAAUGAAAAGCUCGAGGAAGGAGAUUUCGAAAUCGAAAGCUCCAUGAGUCUCGGCGGAUCCCAAUGGUGUCGACCGAUAUCGAUGAACUCGCAUCGAUCAACAGACCAUGAUGAAGAUCGAUGCACGGAUUACUCCAGUCAUCGAUCGACGUCGUCUGCCAAAUCGACUGAAUGCAAUGCGGUUCGGAUUCUAACUCAUGAAGAAUUCGCAGCUAAGCAUCCUCACCCACCCUCCCCUUUCUAUGAUAAAAUCGAUCGAUCGGUUGAGCCAACCAUCGAUCGACAGAGUGAGUCCGGCAUCGAUCGUCACAACACACCUCCCAUCGAUCGACAGGCACCUCUGACAUACCGAGUACGGUUACCCUCAAUCGAUAAUGAUUACAUCAACGCACUCAGACCACCACCUAAACAUUAGCAAACCCACCCGAACCAAAACCCAACCCUUUAAAUAGUUCACCAGAAUCAGUUCAAGAAGAACAAGAAUCUGAAGGGAGAAGGUUAAGGAAAAGAAAGGAGAAGAUUCCUAAAACCUUAAGAGGAAAGCUAACGAUAAGGAGAUGGAUGGUUUCACUAAACGAGUCCUCAGAAUCCCAAUCGAAAAACCUUUUGAUGAAGCUUACUUCACACACCGGUUGUGAAUGUUCUUCAGAGAAACAAAGGUAACUGAGGAGGACAUUAGGAGAAUGUUUCAUCAAGUCAGAGAGAAGAUGAAACACAGGAUCACAUUGACGAAGAAGAGUGAUCCUGGGAAGUUUGCAAUACCAUGCGUAGUCAAGGGUGUUGAAUUUCCCCAUUCAAUGUGUGACACAGGAGCAUCAGUUAGUAUCCUCCCUAGGAUCAUGGCAGACCAGCUUGGUUUGACCAUCGAACCCUCAACGGAAUCCUUCACCUUCGUGGAUCUUUCAGAGAAACGAUCAGGAGGUAUCAUAAGAGAUCUGGAGGUACAGAUUGGUAAUGCCCUUGUCCCUGUAGAUUUUCAUGUCCUAGACAUCGAGCUUAACUGGAACUCUUCACUUCUGCUUGGAAGAUCUUUCCUAGCUAUAGUAGGAGCCGUAUGUGACAUGAACAAAAACAAAUUGUGUCUAACGCUCAUAGACCCAAACAUCCACUACGACCCCAUCCGACCAAAGAGAAAGGUCAUUAAUUCUGUGGAUUAUGGGAAAGAACUCGGCUUCACUGGCGCAUGCCAUUGUGGAGCAGAGUAUGAAUCGGAGUACGAAACAGAGUACUCGGAAUCGAUCGACACCCCAACCUUUCCAUCGAUCGAUUCCAAUGUGUCAACGGUGACCGAUGACCGCAACAUACGCAAAUUCGGAAUAAGAUCUUCUUUGCUCUCUUUUCGAUUUCAUAUACCUUAUCGUUGUUAUUCUCGUGUUCUGAUUGCUUGACAUGUGGUAAUUAGCAGAUAUCCGGGUCAUCUGGGAAAUUAAGGUUUUCCUAGUUUCCUUAUUUAAACGGAAAUCGACAGUGCGAAUUUUUCGGUUCCCACACAGUGUUCGCAUUAGCGUUAACUGCGGAUACGUUCACUGCUGGAGUGGUGCCAACGUUGUCAUUGAUGUCUCCAUCAACACUAGUUUGUUGGUCGUCCGUUGCCAUGUCUGAUCGAGCGUUUGUGGCUGAGAGUUAGAUUGAUCUGUACCCCCCCCCCUCUUUUUCUAGCGCCAAAACGUGAGAACCGAAAUUCACACCGUCGAGUUCCAUAAAAUAAGGAAAGAUAGGAAACCCUAAAUUUCUCAGAGGUCCCGAAUAUCUGCUAAACCACACGCCAAGCAAUCAGAACACGAAAAACAGACUAAGUAUAAAAUCUAUAAAAAGUAAAGAAAGCAAAGAAGAUCUUAUUCAAAUCUGCGUAUGAGCGUUUUACGACAAGAAAUAGCCUUGGCCACAAGCGUUGUCGGCGAGUUCCCUAGUUUUAACGGCCUAAGACUGUGCAACCUAGUUGAGUGGCAGCUCGAUAACAAAAACGAAAAUAGACUAAAUUGCUCUAAGUGAUUUUUUUGUUGUGUGUAAAAAAAUCUAUCUUUGCAUCUCUCGCCUUUGCAUCCCUUAUAUAAUCCUCCUAGGUCGGUUUGGGCCUUUUUUCCGCUCAUGGGUCGAGUUUAUCCUCCUGCAGACAUAUUCCAUUCUCCUGAUCUUCGUCAUUAUCCCUUGAAACUUUAACAUUUAUCCUCAAACUUGACAUUUAUCUUCGAACUUGACAUUUAUCUCUUCUCGUGAAUAUUCGAUAAACCGUCAUAGUGAAUUUGGGCCGAUAUUCAUUAAAAAUCGUAAGUGGGCUUUCGCCGCGUGUUUGACCCUCUGGGCCAUUUUCGGCGAAAACGUUUUCACGAUUUCUUUUGAAAGAAUAACCUUCAGUACAACGCCGGUUUUACAAAAUACUCCAAAUCAAUCGUAUGUUUAACCUUUAUCGUCUUAUACGAUCGACCUGAACUUGUACCGGAAAAUAAGUCUUUGUCGUUUUUUACGUAAAGUUUCAACGGUAACACUGAUUGUGACUAAACAACAGACAGCUUGACCGAGACCCGAAGGGGGGUGUUUCGGAGACGAGAAUGCAUGAUUCUGGACUGAUCCAACUCGCCUUUGGGCGAAUUGGAUAAGACUGAUCCAACUCGCCGUUGGAUAAGACUGAUCCAACUCGCCCAACGGCGAGUUGGAAUGGUCGAUCCAACUCGUCGUUGGGCGAGUUGGAUAUGGUUAGUCCAACUCGCCGUUGGGCGAGUUGGAUAUGGUUAGUCCAACUCGCCGUUGGGCGAGUUGGUCUCGGCCUAUCUAACUUCUCCGAUGGGUCGGACGAUGCUGGCUUAGUUGUUCCAAUGCUAGGGCAUUGUUCGUUCGAUGGGUUGAGUGGUCCCUUGCGAGGAGCUUGUCGUGCAAUAAUCUUAAAAAUACGAAGUUUUAGUUUUUCAUAUUCUUAUUUUCUUUUUAGAAAGGUUUCUUGGAAGCUUUACGACAUUGAUUUCGUCGUUGCCGAUUUUGACCCCUACACUCUACAUAUUCAGUAUUUAAAUUAGAGGCUGCUCUUUAAGUAUUGUAAAUAUGUAAGCUCUGCAUGUUCCGUAUUUAAAUUAGAGGCUGCUCUUUCAGUAUUGUAAAUACGUAAUCUGUUAUGAAUAAAAAAGUAAGGAAUCUAUUUUCUUCUUCUUAACUCUCUCUCUCAGUUUCAAAUCUCUAUUUCUCUUUCUCUAAAGAAUUCACUAUCUAUCUCCUUUGUUCUUCAUUUUCUAACAUGGAACUUGGGUGAUGUAUCUUAUAUAUUAAAAUAGAAGUCAUGACUUCUUUCAUGUGUGAUUUUUUUUUAAUUUGGACCAUCACUUAGAAAUCUUAUUAAAUGUAUUUUAUUAAGACUAAUAAUACAUAGAAUCUUUAAAAUAUUUUAAUCAUAAUAUCUUUUGAUAUCUUUUCAUUUUAAAUAUAAAUAUAUUUAUUUCAAAAUUCUAACAAAAUCUGUUUUAAAAGAUAUUUACAAGAUCUUCAUUUUCAAAAUUAUAUUUAAAUAUUUUCACUAAUUUCAAAAGUAGUUUGAAAUAUUAUUAUGCAUUAAUAAAUUCAGUAAUCGUUUAUAAAAUGAAAAAUAAAAAAUUUAGUAAUAUUUUAUAUAUUAUAUAAUCAUAAUCAAUCAUAUUAAAGUUAUGAAAGGAUGUUUUUCAUUAUGCCAAAGCGUUAAACGGACCGUCGUGUUGACAAAGUCUUAUUGACAAAUGAGGGUAUGGUAAUUUCCAAGUAUUGGGAGCAAUCUGGGCACUACUCUAGCCAAGCUCAACCACUGUUAGGACCGCUUAUGCUUUAAUUAAUGCAACGGACAGAAUCGGGACUUGCGAUUGAAGAUAGAAAUCAAAGCUUAUCAAAGAUGAGAUAAGUUCUGGAAAACUUGGGAAUUUAGAAGAACAUUGGAGAGAGAAAAUAUAGAGAGAGGUUUUUUAUGAAAUUAUUAGAUGAUAUUUCACAAAGGGGGUACACACAUAUUUAUAGUACAAGACAGGGCGCUGACAUGAGCGCUUACUUCAGCGAUUACAAUUCGCUUACAUAACACUUUAUCAGCGAUUACAUCAUCGCUUACAUCAUUAUUCAUUAUACUUAUUUUACAUAAUAAAACACACUUAUCUUACAUAAUUAAACAUUGCAGAUGACUUCCUUAGUGGUCUAUUUCGAACUCGAUGAUGUGUUUCUCACAACAUCCGUAGUGAUCAUCUGGACAUUCGAACACAUCUCAUGGAUAUUCGUACACAUUCUUUGGCUCUUUCUCCUGAGGCUGCUGUGAGUCGUCGUUGAUAUCAAUGUUGAACAUUCUUCCAACCUCAUCGAUGUUCAUAGAGUCGUCUGGGAGCUGGGCGUCUUGAAAGUAUUCUGGCGGGCAUUCUUGGGACUCAGAGUUACAUUUCUCUUUCUUCUGCGCACGUUUAACCACUUGUGGUUCGUCACUCUUAUCCAAGUAGAAUUGCAGAUCUUCGUCGAGACUCAUUUGGUAGUCUAUUGGGUAAUAGAACCAGUUCGGGACGAAGGGAAUGGGAAAUGAUUGUGUGGCACUGUUGAGGCGGAACGCAUGAGUUUGAAAGUCUUCAAAUGGCUUGUUGUCGUUGAGGUUGAAAUCUGGUCUGACUCCUCGUUGAUAGUCAUUGUGGUGAAUGAGAGUAGGCAGUGCGUGGACUUUGCCGGUUUUUUUGUUGACUUGAACAGGCCGAUGGAAGAAGUAUAUCGUGUGAGGGUUGAAGAAAGGGUUGAGACCGCCUUGACUUUUUAACUUCUUAAAUGAUAAGCCUGUUGCUUUCGCUGAUUUCCUUAACUUACCGUUCCAGGCAGAUAAUGGCGCGAACCAGGUCAGAAAUGUCGCAAGACAUUCCCUGUGACCUCGUUGGGAGGUGGUGAGUUGCAUGUUGAUAUACUGAUAUAACCAUUGAAUAUCAAAGGUUAUUCCAAUAGUGUGGAUUGAGCAGAGGUACCAGAGAAAACAGAGAACUUCUUCUGGUAAGUAAGCGUUUUCGAUUCUGUAGAGAUGAGCGAACGGGUAAUCCGGGUGAAUUCCCAUAGGUGAGAUAAAAUGAUUAUGGGAUCCGUAUCUUGACAUGAUGAUGGAUUGAUAGGCAAAAAUCUUGUUGUGGAGGUGCUCCUGUAGGGUUUCUUUGUCGAUAAGCAAAUGAGCGUCGUCGGGUAUGUUUGAGGCGAAGUCAUAGUAGCUUUUUGUGGAAGAGCUCUCCAUUAUUUGUAUUUCUUUUACUGGACUCCUGCUGAGCAUAUCUGCGAGAGUAUUCUUUGAGCCCUUUAAAUAGACGGAUUCGAAAUCGUACUUUAAGAACCAUUCGCUCCAUCGUAAUAAUUGCUGAUGUGGGACCAUCUUCUGCUUGAAUUGUAACAUCUUCGGAAAAGAUGACAUGUCCAUUUCGAUGCGAAAUCGGUGUCCUAUCAGAUGGAACUCGAACUUCUCGAUGGCCUUUUUGACGGCCAGUAUUUCUUUGAAAGUAGAGUGAUAAUGCAUCUCGGAAUCUUUAAAGCGUCCACUUUUAUAUCCACAAAUUUGACGUUUUCCAUUUAUUUCUUCGAAUAAAAUGGCUCCCCAAUAUUUGUCACUCGCGUCAGUCUGUAAAAUGCGUGUUCCAGUGGAGGGAAUCUUCAAAGGCAGUAGCUUCUGCACCUCUAUUUUUAGGCUUCUGACAGCUUCAGUUUGUCGGUUUGUCCAUUGUGGUGGAUUCUUCGUUAGCAUUUUCUGUAGGGGUCUUGUCAGCUGCGAAAGUUGCGGGAUAAAGUCGCUAACAUAAUUGAUUACACCGAGGAAUUGUUGGACUUGUCGUUUAGUGAGAUUUUCGUCGGGAAAAUCUAAGAGCGUUGUAGCCAGAUGGGCCUGAGGCGUAAAGUUGCCAUCUGUGAUUUGCAUUCCAAAGAAGUCUAUUUUGGGCUGGGCUAUGACCAUUUUUCGGGCCGAAAGCAUGAUUCCAUAUUGAAUGACAAUGCUUUGAAAUUGCUGAAGAAGCUGAAUGUGCUCGGUUUCGGUAGACGAGAACAGCAGUAUGUCAUCAAUAUAAAUUAAGGCCGUAUGAAAUAGAGGCUUCAAUAUACGAAGCAUUGCUUGUUGGAAUAAUGAUGGUGCGGUCUUGAGUCCGAAAGGUAAGACGUUCCACUGCAGAUAACGAUUAGGAAGACAGAACGCAGUUUUGUAUCUUUCUUCAGGAUGAACACCAAGUUGCCAGAAUGCUGACUUAAGAUCAAAUUUUGAGAAAAUAGUUGCCCCUUGAAGAUGUUGAAGAAGCGCCAUUUUGUUUGGUAGCGGAAAUUUGAUGUCUUGUAGAUACUGAUUCAGUGGUUUGUAGUCGAUGACUAGUCUUAGCUUUCCUCUUGCUUGUUCUGCACGAUUGUUAACGUAAAAGGCUUUGCAUGCCCAUGGCGAGUUGGUUGCAGAGACUACUCCUUGUUGUACUAGCUGGUCGCAUUCUUCAUUCGCUUGUUGCAGUAGGGUUGGUGGCAUUCCUGCAUGACUCGCUUUAGUCAGAGUUGUUUGUAUGUUUUCUUUGAAUGGCAAAGAAACAAAGAACUCCGAAUUUAACCACAGCGGGUUAUUGCAUUUCUGUAGGAAUUCUGUAUGAGAGUCUGCACAAGAAAUCUCCGUCAACUUCUCCUUGAUCUUUGUAAAUUCUUGAGAAAUUAAUCCUUUAAUUGCGAAAAGUCGUGGAAUGGACGUGAAUGCUUUGAAGAGACUUCUCCAUUUUAAUCCGUGCGGUUCGAUAGAGAUAUCGAAUUUUUUCUUGAAGGCAUAAUAUGAAUCCCAUCCCAGUAUUAGAUCUUUCCCAGGUGCCGUAGAGCCAAGGACUUCCGUAGUAAUAUGACAACCGGGGAAAAGCUCGAUUUUGAUAGGUUUUGAUUUGAGCUUUAUUGUCAAUGAACCUGAGUUAGCGACUCGAAAUUCUUGCUGGUGAGGUAGCCACAUCGACGGAGAAAGAAUCUUGGGAUUAAUGAUCAUUGUGUGGGCUCCGGUGUCUAUGAAUGCAAUGGCGCGAACCGGGUCUUCUUGACCAGAUGGGUCUAAAAUCAUCACUGGUAGAUGAGGAGUUUGUAUGUCGUCAUGUCGCGGCAUUUUUGUAAUUUUGAAGCAGCAAUCAUUUUCUUCUUCGGCAGAUGAAUCAGAAGAGUUGUCAUAAUCUGAGUAACCACAAAUAGCAUCGUUGUCGUCACUAUCAUAAGAUAGAACUGAUUCUAAAUCGUGGCCUUCGAGAUCAAUAUCUGGUGCUAUUUCAGAUAUUGAGUUGAUUAAGUACUGCUUCUUUUUGGCUGACUUGUUCGGACAGUUUUUUGCAAAAUGUCCUUCCUUUCAACAUAGAAAGCAUUUUGUUGAUUUCCUUAAGCCUCGUUUCUUCCGAAAGAAUCUCUUGCGUCUGAAUCUGUCGGGACGCCUAGAGAAUUGUUUUUUGAAUCUUCGAUGUUUUUCUUGUGGGUCGCACGAACAAGAUUUCAUGGACUUAGAACACUUGAUUGAUAGAUCCGGUUGGGAGCAUAUCUUCGAUAGUUGCUUUGAUCUAUCCAUAAACUUUGACCAGAAUUCUUUUUGUUUGCAGAGUUUAUCCAACGUUCUGAAGACAUAUUGCUGUAUUUGUCCAAUGGAAAUGUCUUCUAUUGUUUGACCUUGAUCUCUGAUGUAUAGCUUAGUCUGCUGACUAAGAUAAUCGUCGAUGGUGGAGAGGUAUACGUGCUUCAGGCUUGGAUUGUUAAGGCCAUUUAGCGCGUAGUAUCUUCGUGUCUGUCUUUCAAAGUGUUUUGAAAGAUCUUUCUUUCUUAACGAACAGCACUUUGCUGAGAAGAAUUCUUCUUGUAGUUGCUCUUUCUGGUGUGUGGGUGUACCAAUGAAUUCUCUAUGGAUUUCUCCAAGAAGCAAUGUUAUUGUUGUUUGAUAUACUUGCUGCUGUCUAUAUUCGCCAAGUGAAUUCCACCAUUGUUUAAGGGCUCCAGAUAGUCUUGCUGUGAAUUGCUGGAUCACCAAGUGCAAAGGGGAUGUGAUAGCUUCAGAAUUCAUCCAUGCAUGAAACUCGUCGAGACGAUCAUUCCACUUUUCAAAUGGUAUAUCAUCAAAAGUGAAAACCAUAAUUUUUGAAGAAAAUUGCUUCGUUGGAAUCUCUUGAUUUGGAGGUUGAUUUGGAGGUUGAUUUGGAGGCGCAUAGUUCAUCUCUUCGUCGCUUGAAUAGACUUCGUUGAUAUCUGGCUCUUUCUUUGGAGUACUUGACCCUUCUCCGAUUGAAAAUUUUCUUGGUAGGGAACUAUCAUUUGAUUCGGUUUCAUAGUCACUGGAAUUUGUGUCUGAAUAGUGACUAAUUCUCGUAAUCUGUCCGGAAGACAAGGGUUGCUGAUCCUUUUGAACAGGCAAUUCUGGAAUUUCACUAAGGUUAUUGAACAGAUUGGCCAUUGAAAAUUCGAUUAUUCCAAUGUCCUUUUCUUUCUUUUUGCUGUCUUCUACUGACUCAUGACUGGAGGAAGAUGUAAGAGUCGGUUUCUUACUAGGAUUGACUUGAAAUUCCGAUUCUUUUGAGCGUCGAGGCUUGGAUUGAGUCGUCUUGGUAUGAUAGUUGGUUGAAGUCGAACCAUAGUGAGAUGUAAAGACUUCAUCAGAGGAUAGAAAGCUCGGAACUGGGGAUCUUGUUUUUUGAGUUUGUUGACCAAAAAGGAAGCCAGGUGAGUAGGAUCCUUGGUACAUUGGUAUGCUUGAAGGUGUGCCGCCAAGGGGAUCAAAGUACGCAUUAGCUUGCUGGUUUUAAACCAUGCUUUCUAGACAUCUUUGGAGAUCUCGUAACUGAUAUUUAAGACUAGUUGUCUCUGCUUCUUUGUUGCGAAAUUGAGUUAUGUUUCCCAUCAUUUGUUUUGCCAUGGUCAUCAUUUCUUGAUGUAGAUUUUCUAGUCGUCCGUGUAUAUCAGUGAUCAAUUUUUGGAGGCUGAGUAAUCUGCUAUUGUAUUCUUCCACCAGUUGAUCAACCUUAUGAUUUAUGGUCGAUAAGAGUUGAUUUUGUGCCAGUGAAUUUUCUGUUUGCCAGUUGAGAACCUUCUCCGCUUGACUUAACUGGCUAGGACCAGAAGAGUCCACGGUUUGAGAAAGAAUUUUUGGGCAAUGCGCAACAUUGUUCUUUAAAAAUUCUUCUUGUGGCGGGAAGUCUUUGGGGUUGAUCAUCAUGAUCUGCUGCCUUGGUUCUUCCUUCUCUUCAGAGUAUUGAACUAUAAAGUCGUACUUUCCUUCACCAAGUGGACCAACAGAAGUGUCUCCUUCGAGAUAUCUUUUAUAGAGUGGGUCCUUCUUUUUUCUUCGACGUAUGCGAAUAUCUUCAUCAGAUUCGUAGCUGUAGCUUGCUUCAUCACAAGCAGCAUAUGAACAAACAUCGAAGUAGCAAUGUCCGUCUUUGUCUUUGAAAGGAUAGAUCACAGUUCCAUCUUUUUCAAAAGAACUUGGUUUUGGAUUUUGUUCUUUUGCUGGACCGUGGAAGCUUCGUUCAUCAAUCUGUAUUGCGAACUGACUGAACAACUGCUUUCGGAAAGAUGAUCGGGGUUUUUCGAAUUUGAUCUCGGUUGUUCCAUCAUUUCGAGAGUGAAAGCUGACUUCAGAUGAUUGAAUGGGUGACUGGGUAGCUUGAUGAAGCUUCUCGUAACUUGUUACCCAUGACUCCGGUAGUCGGCGCAACAGUUCUUCACGAGAAAUUUGUCUAGGGAUUUGUAUCGAGUUUGGCGCUUGAGAUGCCGAAGUGACUUCGAGGUAUAGUGCUUCGUCUGACGAGGGAAGUACAAGAUCAAGUGCGUGGUCUUGAAUUCGGUAGACUAUUUGAUGAUGCAAGGUAGCUGCUACACUUUUUUCUUGCAUAGGUGCUCCGACCAGUUGAAGUUGAACUUUAAGCGUCUUUAAGAGAUUUGGGUCUUGUAAAGAAACAUUAAAGUUUGGAAACAGUGUUAUAAAUAAUGUUCCUGCGUUUAAUGUUGUCUGAACCGUUCCAAUGCACGCUUGCUGGUAGGACUUUAAUCGAGAGUCGAUUAAAGCUAUACGAGCAAUGACAGGUAAACAUUUUCUCGCAUGUAAGGUUAACCCAAUUCGUACUACACCAAAGUGAAGAUGAGUAUAGCCUUGUUGCUGCCAUAACCUAGGUAGGUUUUUUGGGAUGUUUAGAGAAAUGAAUUGCUCUUCUUCUGUAGCUGGAACUUGACAAGACGAGAAUUUGCUGGACUGGACAUAUUCCAUGACUUUUCGACUUGAUGAAGGUUUUAUGAGAUCUCGAACACCUUUAACAGAAAAGGCGCUAGGCUUUUUUGUAAAAUAUUCAUAUGGGUUUAGAAGGGGAAGGGUUGUUUCGGGUAGUUGAUCGCCCGGAACAUAUUCGAUUUCAUAUAGGGAAUCUAUUUUUGAAGAGGAAGAACGGCUUUUACUUCGAGGGAAAGUAGAAAUUGCAAACUGAGAAUCAAUGGAUGUAGGGUUUGAGGUAGACAUUAUGAAAGGAUGUUUUUCAGAUUUCUUAAAACAAUCAGUGAUAAACAAGGAUUCGAUCUAUCAUAACGCAAGUCUGAGAAUUAGGCUCUGAUACCAUUAUGCCUAAUCAAUCAUAUUAAGCUAAAUAUAAUAUGAUCUAUCAUAAUCAAUCAUAUUAAGCUAAAUAUAAUAAAAUUUGUAUUAAAUUUAUAAAUUUUAUAUAUUUUAUUUUCGUAAGUAUAAAAUAUUUAUGUUCAAAAAUAAAAUCUAAUACAUUGGUAAGAUGGAUUAACAUUAGCAAACUAUAUAAUACAUGUAUAAAAAUUAACAUGUAUUUCUCUAAAGCUUAUAAUAUAAAAUAUUUGUAACUACUUUAAUCAUAAAAUAUUUGUAACUACUUUAACAAUAAUUUAAUGUAUUUUAAGUUAUCGUUUAUAAAAUGAAAAAUAACUAAAUUAUAUCCUAUUUUAUCUACUUUAUAGUCAUGAUCAUGUUAAAAUACAAUUAUUAUAAUUAAAUAAAUAUGAUAAAAGUAUAUUCAAUUGAUAAAUUUAUUUAAAAAAAAAAAUUCAUAAAUAUAAAUUAUUUAUUUUAAAAAUAUAAUAUGAUGAUAGAACGGCUUAAAAUUAGCAAACCAUAUAAUACAUGUCUAAAAAUUAAUAUAUCUUAGACUUUUGUAUAUACAAUAAUAUAUUAUCUAAAAUACAUAAGCAUAAAAAAUAUUAGUAAAUGAGUAUAUAUUAAUUUGCAUAAAUUAAAUACAAAAUAAUUUUCAAAUAUAUUUUCUAAUGAAUAUAUUAAUUUGCUUAAUAACUAAAUGCAAAUACAAUAAGAUAAAUAUAUAGUAAGAAGUGAAAAUACAUAUGGUUUUAACCAAUUGAUUAAUUAUAACAUGUAAAUUAUAAAAUUAAUGUAUUUGAAAUAGUUAUAUAAACAUUUAAGUAUAUGAUUAACGUUAAAAAUAUAUACCACUAAUGUUUAAAAACAAUAAUUUAUGUAUAGAAAUAUGAAACAAACACUCGCGCGGUUGCACGGGUCAAAAUCUAGUUACUAUUAUUUUUUUCUAGAUCUGAACUGCUUGCCAAUGUUUCUGAAUAUUAUCUUUGAUGCUUAAGCUUAAUCAAAUAUUAUCCGAGAAUUAACCAUUAUUAUGUGCAUGGAACUCUCCAUGUUCAAAUCUGCAGUUGCUUCUAAAAAGUAGAGUUUGAUUGAUAACAGAAGUUAUGAAACACAUGUGAUUUCAAAACUUUAUUAAAUUUUAUUUCAGUAAUAUAUUUAACCAAUUUUUGAUUAACGUUUAGGAUUAAUAUGUCAAGAAAUUUUUUUUGUUUUUUUGGAAUAAAAUGCCACGUAUUAUUUUAAAUUAGGGGGCUUUAUUGGAAUAGGGGUUUGAGAAGGUUUUGAAGAUUUAAGUUUUGGUGGAAUUCAUAGAGGUUUUAGUUGAAUUCAAGGAUUCUGUUGGGGAUUUAGUAGGAUAAUUUGGUAGGAUUGGGUAAGAUCUGUUUUUAAGAUUUUAAUAAUAAAAUUAACCAUUCAGACUAUUUUUCAACACCAAUUUAUUUCUUGAGUAUUUGUACUCCCUACACACAACUUCCACCCUAUUUGCACUCCAUACACUAUUUCCCUUCAAUUUUUUUUCCCCCAUUACUACCAUUUUCCCCCAAUUCAAUGGUAUCCCACCCUUUUUGGUAUAUUCAGCAAAUUAGCUCUUAUUUCUUCUUUCUCGAUGCCUACCUUUGUACACAGAAAGAAGAGCUUUGACUGUUUAUUUCAGUUUUGCAAAGAUGAAGACUCAAGACGGAGGAGAUGAAACAUUUUCAUCUUGAAGAGCUUUCCACUGGAAGUAUAAGAACAAAUGGUAUGUCGAGAGGUUUUGUUCUCUGUUACAGUCAAUUUCAAUCCUUUUGUAUUGUUACUGUAGCCAUGCUCAGACCAAACAAAAAACUCAAGCUUCGUCUUCCACGCAAGGAUAGAACGAAGAAGAAUACAGGUUUCUGAAUAAUCCAAACUAUCUCUUCUCGUUGAUUUUUUUUUUUAAAUACCAUCUAUGUAAAUGGUAUUCUUUCUUAUUGAAUUUAAGGGGUAAAUGACGUUUUCUAAUAACCCAAAAGAACUUUUUAUGAAUCCCAUUGAUGAAAUCCAUAUUUUCCAAUAAGAAGAGAUUUGAUAGGAUUUCUACAAAUGAUAUAUCCAAUAACCAUAGAUUUGUAAAGGUUUUUAUAAAUACCAUAUUCAAUAAGGAAGAAUUUGACAAAAUCCUAAUUUUUUAUGAAAUCCCUAAUCCAAUAAGCCCCACUUAAAGUACUUUUUUUACACCGAAUAAAGUACAAUUGGUUAAACAACAACAACAACCCUUACGAAUUGAUUACAAUUAUUCACCUUCUUGACACUAAUCAAUCACCACAAUCUUGAAAAUAAAAAAAUAACCAUCAACGGUAAACCAUACUACACACAUUAAUAAAGAAAACCAUUGAGAACAAAGAAGCUUCUUAGGUUUGUGGUUUUCACAAGGACGAGAUGAAACUUCUUUCGUAACAUUUUUAAUCUAUUUGUGGAGCUCAAUAAUACAAUAUGAGUAGGCAUGACAUUUGAUUUCACAACGAACAAAACCCGAAUCACAGGCUAGAUUCUUGAUCUGGGAGAAAGACCUCUCCUUACCACCCGAGCAUUGGGUUAACAUAAACAUGUCCAUGGCAUACACAAUGUUCGAACAGAAGUCGUUGAUCUUUGUAUUUUCGGGAGUAGUCAUUUCGACUAUUAUCACUUUUCCUCCCUCAGAAAGACUUUGCCAGCAAUUUUUUAGAAUUUUUAUACAAUCUUCAUCUGUCCAAUCAUGUAGUAUCCACUGUCAAAUUAUCCAUUUUAUUUCAUAGUCAAUAUCUAUCUUAAACAUUGAAACUAAUGAUUUGUUAUUAAAAACUAAGCGUAUAUUUGAAGUUACUUUCAAGAAGAUGGCAUCUCUGUUUGGAAUUUCUUUAAACAUAUCUCCUGAAACAUUCUCCACUCCUAUAUAAAUUAAAUAAAGUUAUCAAACCUCGCAAUUCAAUAUAAUUAAUUUUAAUAAAAUCACUUAUAUAUUGUUAUACCUGGAUAAACAGAAGGAUGGGCUAAUACUGAGGGUAGGUCAAAAUUGAUGCCUUUGAUGUGAGGAUACUUGGAAAGCACUAGAUUUAUAACAGUUCCAAUUCCUCCUCCAACAUCCACUAAAGUAUUUACAUCUUCAAAUCCUCUAUAAACUUCUAAAACUUUCUUCAUGGUGAGGGUAGAAGAUUCUGACAUUGCUCGGUUAAACAGCUCACCGAACGGUUCCUUUGAACCAAUGUAUUCAAAGAGUUUCAUGCCAUGAGCAGAGGUGAAUGCAUCUUUUCCUUCUAAAACCAUAUCUUUGAGAUGAGUCCUGUUAUGAAUUAAUAAUUAACUUUUGACUGACCAGUAUAUUAGAAGGUUUAGUAGAACGGGCAUGGGUUUAUUAUAAUUUGGUUUGUUUGUGAAAAAAAUAAAGAACUUGGUACUUUUUUUGUAUGAAUGUUAAGAAAGUCGUAGUUACUAACCAACUCUUAAAAUAGACUUCGCUUAGGGCAACCAUAAACAGAGAUGCGAGAGAACCUGAGCCUUCUCCACGGUUUAAGAAAAACAUGCAAACCGGUUCAGCAGCAUAUAGCCUCUCACCAUUUCCGGUUUGACCGUUCUCUCCGGCUUCAACCAUACAGGAAGUCAAGAUCGAAUGACUGGCUAGGAAAACCAGCAUCCGGUCCAACAAAACCGGUGCCUUCGGGUUGGUGGUUUUUGUUGGGAGACGAAGUGCAAUAUCAGAAGCCGAGAGCCAUACACCUUGUGCAGCUACGAUCGUGUCAAUAACACCAAGUUCCAAGGCGGUUUUGAAAACCAUAGGGAAUGUAACGGAGUACAAGAUCCGCUCUGCUUGUAAGCUCAAUGUUUCUUCAUCAAAUCGUUCUUCUUCUUUAAUAAGACUGGGUUUAGUGGAAGUGGUUAAGGGAUCUGGGAGAUAGUUUGUCAUUCUUGAAAAGUUGAGGAUUUAUGUGGAUCGUUAGAGAAAGUUGGUUUCAACAUUCACAGUUGAUGUCAUUUUAUACACAUGAGUGGUCUACUGGUAGGCAGGCUUUGAGAAGCUAAGCGAUCUGGGUUCAAAACAACCCCACCACACUAACUAAAAAUAUGUGGUCAUACGGAUAUGGGAUAAUAUUUUGGAUUUCACUUGAAUAUCAUAAAAAAUAAUAUAUUUGUAGGUUACACCUCCGUUUAGAAAUUAGUCUAACAUCUUCCAUAAGUUCAUUGUAUCCCAUGUUUAUAAAAUAAAUUCAAACCCCUAAAUUUACUCUAGAUUAUGUGUUUCAAAAUGAUGUAUAUUUUUUUAUUUUCGCAUAUACUAAUAAACCAUAUUAAAUGAUAGUAUUAAAAUGAAUAAUACUUUUUAUUUUUUAUAUCUCAUAACUCUAAACCAAUAAAAAUUUAACUAAUGCAAUUAAAUUUUUUGAAGUUCAUAAUUAAUCAUUAUUGGUUGAUAAAAAUGUAUUGAAAAAAAAAAUACCUUUGAAACAAUUUUUUUUUUAUAAAAAACAUUUAUCUUUAUGAAAUGGAGGAAAUCUAAUAUAAGGGUGUAUAAUUAAAUCGAUGUCUGGAUUUGUUUAUGUCAGCCAUUCAAUAGUUAAGUUUGCCAAGCAAAAAUUAUCCCAAAAAUUUAGUCCAUGUAAAUAAACAUUACUGAAAAUCUGGUACGAUGGGUGUAGGGGUGGGCACAGAGCGAAUAAUACUAUAAUUUUAUUUGUGAUUUUGUUCAUACAAGGAAUAUUCAUUUUCCAAUUUGCUUUACUUCGAAAAUAUGUAUCUAAUUUUCGGAUAUCCAAAAAAACAUAAUGAAUAUUUGAAAAUAUUUACAGAUAACUCAGGUACUUUAUUUAGUACAAGUAAAUCUAGAAAAAAUUAUACAAGUUUAUUUUCAAAGUAUAUCUUGCAUAAAAUAAAUUAAAAAGUAACAAUUAGGGAAAGUAUAUGUUCCGUAAAUUUUUAUAAGACGAAUUUUUACAAAAAAAAAUUAGUGGGGCUUAUUGGAUUAGGGAUUUCAUAAAAAAUUAGGAUUCUGUCAAAUUCUCCCUUAUUGAAUAUGGUAUUUAUAAAAACCUUUACAAAUCUAUGGUUAUUGGAUAUAGCAUUUGUAGAAAUCCUAUCAAAUCUCUUCUUAUUGGAAAAUAUGGAUUUCAUCAAUGGGAUUCAUAAAAAGUUCUUUUGGGUUAUUAGAAAACGUCAUUUACCCCUUAAAUUCAAUAAGAAAGAAUACCAUCUACAUAGAUGGUAUUUAAAAAAAAAUCAACGAGAAGAGAUAGUUUGGAUUAUUCAGAAACCUGUAUUCUUCUUCGUUCUAUCCUUGCGUGGAAGACGAAACUUGAGUUUUUUGUUUGGUCUGAGCAUGGCUACAGUAACAAUACAAAAGGAUUGAAAUUGACUGUAACAGAGAACAAAACCUCUCGACAUACCAUUUGUUCCUAUACUUCCAGUAGAAAACUCUUCAAGAUGAAAAUGUUUCAUCUCCUCCGUCUUGAGUCUUCAUCAUUGAAAAACUGAAAUAAACAGUCAAAGCUCUUCUUUCUGUGUACAAAGGUGGGCAUCGAGAAAGAAGAUAUAAAUUGGUGUUGAAAAAUAGUCUGAAUGGUUAAUUUUAUUAUUAGAAUAUUAAAAACAGAUCUUACCAAAUCCUACCAAAUUAUCCUACUAAAUCCCCAACAGAAUCCUUGAAUUCAACUCAAACCUCUAUGAAUUCCACCAAAACUUAAAUCUUCAAAACCUUCUCAAACCCCUAUUCCAAUAAAGCCCCCUUAGUUUUUUGUAAAAAUGUUAUAGUCCUUUCUUAAUUUAAAAAUUUUAUAAGUAAUUUUUUUACCACACAAUUAAUAAAAUUAUAUGUUAAAAUAAUAACUAUAUAAAAUUAUAUAUUUGAAACUUUAUAUUUAAUUGUAGAUAAAAAUCUAUCUGUAUAAAAGUGGAGUGGAUUUUUGCCGCUAAAUUUUUUAGUAUUUGUGAUUUGAUACAUUUUUAAACAAAUAUUGAUUUUUAAUAUAUGUUUUAUUCCGAAGAAUUUUGGAUAUACGGAUUUUUUGGAUCGAAUCAAAAUAAAUAACGAAUCAAAUAAAAUUUAAUAGAUAAAAUGUUAGCCUAAUAAGGAGAUAUGAAGACCUUAAAGCGGGUCAUGAGCUGUUAACAUUUAUAGAUGCUUUCUCGGGAUAUAAUCAUAUCAUGAUGCAUCCCGGCGAUAGAGAAAAAACUGCAUUCAUCAGUGAUCGUGAAACUUAUUAUUACAAGAUGAUGCCUUUCAGACUAAAGAAUGCAAAAGCAACUUAUUAGAGAUUGGUCAAUAAAAUGUUAGCCACCAAGCUUGGUGUCACUAUGGAAGUGUAUAUCUACGACAUGCUCGUAAAAUCAUUAAUUGUUGCCGAUCACAUUACUCAUAUGAACGAAUGUUUCCACAUCCUCAACGAGUACAACACGAAGCUCAGUCCGGCCAAAUGUACUUUUGGAUUUGUCUCCUGCGAGUUCCUAGGGUACAUUACCACUCAGAGAGGCAUCAAGGCAAAUCUAAAGUAGAUCUCAGCAAUCCUCAAUCUUAAUUGAUUAAUCUCACGCUCCACCUACAAAUACCUACAUUUUUAUGACUUCCUUUGAGGAAACAAGAAACUUAUCUAGAAUGACGAGUGUGAGGAAGGAUUUAGACACCUGAAGAAAUAUCUGACAACUCCACAUGUACUAGCCAAACCCAAAGAAGGAGAUACACUCUAUCUUUACAUUGCAGUUUCCUCCCUUGCGACUAGUAGCGUCCGCAUCAAAGAAUAUCGGGGUAGGGGGGAGAAGAAGCCCAUUUUCUACACUAGUAAACGAAUGACUGAUGCCGAAACACGACACUCGAAAAAAGGCUCUAGCAGUCAUUACUUCGGAAAUAAAACUUAUGCCGUAUUUCCAGUCUAAUUCUAUUAUCAUCCUUACUAAUCAACCUCUUUCAAAUUAUUAUGCAUAAUACUAACCAAUCCGCCAAGUUGACGAAGUGGGCUAUCGAGCUUAGCGAACGUGAUAUCAACUAAAAAUCCAAUCAGCAGAAAAGCCACAAGUCCUCGCAGACGUCAUUAUCAAGUUAGCUCAUAAACUAGAAUAUAAUCUGAUCCUUCCUAGGAAGAACUGGAUCUUACAUGUUGAUGGAUACUCAUCCAAUAAAGGAUUUGGGGUCAAGAGUUCAUCUUCAGUCUCCAACUAGGCAACUCAUCUAGUAGUCAUUAUUCAUGGGGUUUGCGGCAUUAAAAAAUGAACCUGAGUAUAAGGCCAUUAUUGCCGAACCUUAGUUACAAAUAGCGGUACAAGCAAAACAUAUACAUGCUUAUUGAAACUUUGAACUCUUUAUCAAUCAAUACAGUGGAUAUUACAAUACUAAGAACAAACGUAUGGACGUCUACCUCAAAUUCAUCCAAGAUCUCGCAAAGGAAUUCAAGUUUUCGAACUAACAAAGGUUCCCCGAGAAGAAAACAUACACGCAGAUCCACUUGCUGCAUUGGGGAGUAAUCCCAAAGAUCAGAUACAUGGGACCAUUUUGGUAGAAAGAAUCGAGAAGCCGAGCAUCACAUUGUCCGACGAGAAAUCUGAAAUCGUUGCUCCCACCGUGGAAGAAACUAACAUGGAUAUUGAUAUGGACACUUUUAAUGAAGACGUCAAUGACGCCACUGUAGUAGAGUGGAGGCUUCCGAUCUUAUGAUACCUCACUGACUGUACAUUUCCUCACGAUAAAUGGGAAUCUUGUAGACUCAAAACGCCAAGUGCCCACUACGUCGAGCUUUGACUUUAUGGUUAAAGUACUAAUUCAUUUAUGGCCAGCAAUAGUAGCAGAUUGCAAAGAUUAUGCUUCUAAAGGUCAUAAACGUUAGAGGCAUGGUCCAUUCACUUUCCAAACGAAGUGUUAGGUAUGAUGGCAACACUUUACCCAUUCAUACGCUAGGGAAUGGAAAUAGUUGGCCCCUUUUCGAGCUCAAGCCAACGACAUUUCCUACUCGUGAUGACUGACUACUUCACAAAAUGGUUGGAGGCAAAAGAUUUCGUUCAGGUCACAUACAAAGAAGUGCAGAACAUCGUCUAGAAGUACAUCAUCUGCAUGUACGAACUUCCGAACGAUUUCGUCACUGAUAAUGGAUCCCAGUUCACUUCCAACAAAUUCCGAGGAUUCUGUGAAAAAAUGAAGGAUUCGCCUGAGCACAUCCACGUUGAUAUACCCUUAAGGUAGUGGUCAAGACAAAGCAACCAACAAGAUCAUCAUCGAUGGAAUUUGACGAUCUUCUCCUUUAUAUCUAUGGCUAAGUACGCAAUCAUUCCUACCACUCAAUCUCGAUUGUCUUUCUCGAUGUCGAUCACGAUGAUUUCAUCCUUUUGUGGAUAAAUUUUCUCAAUAGGUUUGGCAGCUAUUUAGACAACAAAAUUUGCCUUCUAUAGAUUCAUCUCUGUGUUCAAGAGGUUUCUAGCAGCUUUCUGAUCUUCCUUAAGGGUGAAUGUUCUCCGGUUUGCAGUUGGGAAUUUGACACAUUGGUGGUAGUUAUAGGCAAUGACUCUCACUGAAUGACCCCAUAGAGUUCCAAGGAUUUUGUUCCAUGGUGCUGGAGUGCCGAUGACAGAGAAAUUGACAAUUUUUUUGUAUUCCUCUGGCGAAAACAUUCAGGCAGAUUAUCCGUGCCUGAAUGACUCCAUAGAGUUUCAAGGAUUAUGUUCCAUGGUGCUGGAGUGCCGAUGACAUAGAAAUUAACAUUUUUUUUUGUAUUCCUCUUUAUCUGUAGACUGAUCAUUCGUGCUGAGCUUUCGGCGAAGGUCAACUGUGUUAAGAUGCGACAUGUCGUUGCCACGAUUCUCCGUGCCAAUAUUUGGCAAAGAUCGAACAUGCCAGGUUGGGAAACCGUAAUUUUUUUAUUGUUUGUGCCAAUUUUUUGGCGAACAUUAUCAGUUUGCUGAGUAGCAGAUGUUGCUGAGCUUUCGUCGAUAUGCUUUGAAUUUUGCUUGAGCUUUGAUACCACUCAAAUUACCAUAAGGAGUGUUACUCUCAUCAAAAGAGGUUCAGAUGUAGUACUUAGGGAUCGAAUCCACAAGGAGCCAGGGAACAAUCAAAUCUAGUGUUUAUUAAUUCUAAAGGUUGUAAAUGUUUAAAUGGAAUAGCAAUAGUAACAAGCGAGUAAAUAUAAAUGUAACUUGGUUGGAAAUGAUAUUAGAUGCAGGGCCACUAUUCAAGUGUUGGAGAUUAUAAUACCUAUAGAUGCCUAACUGUUGCAUGCAUGAUAUAUUAGAGCUCAUUUGCUUAACUCAGUGAUCAGCUGUCGCAUGUACUACUGGUUAACAGACUAGAUCUCGUGUCUCACCGGUUAGUAUGCAGACACGAGAGAGUGUCGAUCGAUAGUCUAUUAAGACGUCGACUGAUACACCUUUGCCAACAUCGAUCGAUUGUCAGUUGAGGACAUCGAUCGACGGGUUCUAGCCAGGCCUAUGCGCGAGUAUGAAAUGCCCUACUAAGAUUCUAAAUUGGCGGUUAGCCCUCUCUAGCAAUCCUAAUAUGAUAGAUAGAUGUCAGGAUGGGAUAACAAGGGUGCUUGAAUAUGCAAUCCUAUGAUCAAGUUCUAGUUAGCAAGGCUAAAACAAGCAAUGAAUACAAAUCUAUCAUGAAUAACAACAAGGUAGAUCUAUAGUUUGGGGCUAAUCCCACAAACCUAUAUGAACCCUGGAUCUAACAGUUGAACUACUCAGACAUAGUAAAGCAAUUCAUAUCAAUAGAUAAAUAGAAACUCAUAGAAUAGAUGAAAAGAAAUAGAAACAAGGAGUUCCAAUCACAAGUGAUCUUCUCUCCCAAAAUGAAACUUGUAACAAAACUGGGUCUAGAAAAAGCUCUCUUCUCUUUGCCGUCAAAAACACUAGGCAGUAUAUAUUCUACUAGGUUAAAAACUCGUCAGAGCAUUUUGGUAAUUUGGCUUGGCCUUGGUUUUUAAGUCUGAUGAAUCCAAAAUGUCGCGUCUGGUGUCUCGACAUCGAUCGACGGUACUUGUGUACAUCGAUCGAUAUUAAUCUUCAUCUGUCGAGGCAUUUACUGAUAUCAAUCGUCAUGACUGAUGCGCAUCGAUUGAUUAUUCUUCCUCUCGUCGACCUCUAAGUGGUCAGCUCGGGUGAAAUGUCUUUUAAGCUCCAAAAUGCUCCAAAGUCAUAGCUUUACUCCGAAAUGCACCUUAACCUAAAAACAUACCUAGAAGAGUAGAAAACAUAGAUAUAUAUAGUAAAAUACUUAUAUACCAUGGAUAAAAAUGGGUCAAAUCCAAGGUAUAUCAACUCCCCCAGACUUACCCUUUUGCUUGUCCUCAAGCAAAACAUACGGGCAGUCUCUCUGAAAGAGGUUUGAAAAUAUUUAGGGAUUUAAGAUUUUAAAACAUAGAAAUCUUUCCUCAACAAUUUUGCAACCACAUUUAAAAAGUCCUAAUCACAAAAGCACACUAUACAAUAUCCUAGCUUAGCAACCAUUUCUAACAUAACACAACUCAUCAAUUCACGUCUGACAUCCCCUCUACUGAUUUCAUUUCUUAGCAUAAAUAUAAAGUGAAUGAUUUACCUUGGGAGUAUCGAUCACAGGAUGCAAGGAUUUUAGACAGGUAUCUGGAGCUGCAGGUAAAAGUUAGUUCAUAGUUUCUCUCUCUCUAAAUUUCUCUCUUGAGUCAAAGUCUGCUUCCAUUGCAGGAUCAGUGACCAAGAUUGGACAGGCUUCCAUGAAUCAAAACUUAAUGGUGGUUGCCACCAAGUUUUGUUCACUUCUUUUUGACCUAUAUCCAAGAGUUUUUUCCGAAAGCGAGCCUUGAAGAUUGCCGCCUCCAAGUCCCGUUUCGAACUCUUUUAUUUAAGUAUUUAUGAAUCAAGCCUUAAUGGUUUUAGCCACCAAGUCAUGUUCAGACUCAUCCUAAUUAAACAAUAGAUCUUAUUUAUAUUUUAUUUAUAUUUUUUUUAUUUUUUUAUACUCACUAACCAAUCUAGGGUCGAAAUUGAGAGAGAGAAAAUGUGAUAAAUAAUCUAAACCAGGCGUUACCUUCCAGACUUGUCUGAAGAAUCCGAUCCAUGUAUACCAAGCCCCAAGACAAGCGGUUAUGUCAGGUUUAGUGUUGGAAAUCAGCUUUGGUUACUUCAUACGGUUCAAGGUAAGUGUGUAGUUGAUAGGUUGAUCCGCUUUAGCAUCUUUAGUGCUAUCUGCAAUCAGUAAAUCUAAAAUGGUGCUAAAGAUUGGUUAGAUAUUCAUGUUUAAAUCAAUAUAGGAUUAUAGUCCCUAUUUUUAAUAGCUAAGCAUAAUUUAUUUGAAAUUCCCUUUUACAUAAAAAUAAAAUAAAUUAUAUCAGUAAAUCUCCCCCAGACUUAAAUUACACUGUCCCAGUGUAACUCAGCCGGAGUUAUGAUGAAUAGUUUAUGAUGUACGAAAUGUAACAAGUAAGGAAGAUACAUCUGACCGGAUUAGAUAUCGAUCGAUGUGUAAGUAUUACAUCGAUCGUCGUGUGGUUGCCUGUGUCGAACGAUGUCGACGUCUCGUCGUCGGUCGAUAUUCAGGUCCUCCUACUUGGAUCUCCUAAAUCUGAAAGAAAUAAAACGAAAGAAAUUAAAUGCUAGCUAAUAAAACCAAAGUAAAAUACCUAAUAGUGGGUUGCCUCCCACUCAGCGCUUGGUUAUAGUCAUUUAGCUUGACUGUGGUAGUGAUUGGCUAUUGGGUGGAGAAACAGCUGAUUGUUGGAAAGCAAGCAUCCACGUCAUCUCUGCGCAUUCUGGACCAAGAUGCAAUGAAACUUCUUGUGGCCUCAUCAUUUCUUGUCCAUUUGUCAUCCAUCUUCUCAAGUACUUUGGAGAUGUUCUGUAGCCUUUCUUGAAUGCUGUCAAUGCUGACCUGGUGCCAGCCUAUGUUGUCAUAGGCGUAUGCUGAAAGAUCUGUCAGUUACUUUUGCAUUGACUCUACCGUCUUGUGUAUCAGCUGCUCGCUGAUUGGUGUAGACUCGGCAUCGAUCGAUGUGAUUAUGUGUUCAUUGUCGAUCUCGGCGAGUUGCCAUCGAUCGAUUUCGCUAGCGUCCUGUCGAUCGAUGCUGAUAUCUGAUGUUGAGCUGCGAGUUGCCUCUGAAUGGCUUUGACUUCUUUCUGUAGCCAUUCUGCGUGGUUGUCUAGUCCACUGAUUUUGUUGUCGAAUGGAAAGUAGAUGUCAUCGCAGCGUUUGUCAAGUUGUUCCUCCAUGGUGUCUAGAGCAGUGUAGAUCUUGGAUGUAAUCUUGUCAACCUCUGCUGCUGUGUAAGGAAGUAACUCCAUAGGUUUCUUGCCAUCGAUCCAAGGCCCUCGUAGCCUGUCGAUCGAUGCCAAUUUUGCCUGCAAAAAACUUUGAUUAGUAAUGUUCUCAAUAUCUUUUUGGGCAUGAAGUAAUUGACUAGACAAUUUAUUUAAAUAUGUCAUGACUGGUGAUAUAAAGCGGUCAUGCAUAUCCUCGUAAGUCCUCAGCCUCUUGUUCAUGGCUGAGACUUUGGCGUCGAGCGAUGUGAAGAUACACAUGUCGAUCGAUGUGGCUGGUUGUUGGUCCUUCUUGCGAAUGGUGUCCAGAUCUUGCUGUAGUAGCUCGAUUUUAGUGCUUAGCCAGUCCACGUUGUUGUUGAGAGGGCAGUAAACAUCGUUUAUCCUUGUGUCGAUGUAUGAGACUUCCCAUUCAUCCCUGUGUUGUGUUGAACAUUGCGGUUCUGCAGGGAUCUGAGCUGUAGAAAGAUUGACGUCAAUCGAUGUUGCACGGGGUGCGUCGAUCGAUGCUGAGGUCGUAGCUUCCUUCUCAAGUGGAUGACAUAAACUCUCAAUUUCUGUCCUCAUUUCUGCCAUACAUCUGAAAAGCUCAUUGUAGCCUCUAUACAAAGGCUGAUGUGUGUCUUCUACCAAUGUUUUGAGCUCCUCUCCCAGUUUCUCCUGAGCUCCACAAAUACCAAACACCAUCUCAUCGAUUUCUUCUUUGGUGUAGAGUUCUGGUGCCAGUCUUGUGAGUGUGAAGGAAAUGGCAUGUUCUGGAAGACAGAUGUGGCUCUCCUCAAAAAGAGAUGCUCUUUCCAGUAUUUUUUUGAUGUUAUCCUUUGUGACAAGUAUCAUCUCACCAGCUACGUCUCGUGCGUGUCCACGCUCAUCUCUGUAGACUCCAUACUCAUCCUUUUGUUCCCAAGUGAACUUUCUGGCUCCGUACAUGUCGAAAGCGCGGUUCCCACAUUCAUACCGUCUGUCGAUCGACGUCGGUUCAUCCCUAUCGAUCGACGUUGGUGUUACCCUGUCGAUCGAUGUCUCCGUUGUACCGUCAAUCGAUGAUUGCCCUUUUGGUUGGCGUGAUAGAUCUGGGUUGAUCUCUAUUGUGGCGACUCCUGCGUGGUUGUUAGGAUCUGUUUGAAUGACGUCUGGAGUGCCACGUUGCUGUGAGAAUAGGUUGUCAGGUCCAUUGGCUACUUGAAGGAUGUCUGCUAUGUCCUCUCUGGACACUUGUAAAAUCCUUCCAUCCAUUGCACGUGCGUUGCCAUCUGGGUCCCUGAAAAUACCAAAUUCAUCAGGUGUUAGAAAACUGUAAUCAAUGUUUGCAUAAUCACUCAAUUUAGAAAUAGAAAGAUUAGGGUUUAGAGUAGUAUCGAUCGAUGUAGAUACAGUUACAUCGAUCGAUGGCAGUGUAAUUUGUGCAGAACUUGUGUUCUUGAGAUGUUUGCUCUUCAUAGAUUUUUCUGUUGAUGUAGAAGGAAGAGUGUUCAUCUUUUUUGCUUGUGUGUUUGCUCUGAUGUGUGUAGGUGGUUUCGGAGGUGCAAAACGAUUUAUAUAGGUAUCUAUAAACCUAGUUGGGGAGAGAAUAUUCUCCUGCUCCUGAAUUUUCACUGCGGCGCGAAUAUCGAUCGAUGUACCUUUACGGGUGUCGAUCGAUGAAAAUGUUGGGUUGGGUAUCGAUCGAUGUGGAGUUCACAGCGUCGAACGAUGUUGGAAACGUGUUGGUGAACUUAUGUGUUUCAAGUCUUUCAUCUUGCAAAGACAUUUCUAUUGCACGUUCUUUCCAGUAAUCCUCAUCGUAUUCCUCGGUAUGUUCCUCAUUAGGUGAAGUAAUUACAGUGUCAACUGCAAAACUUUCAUGGAAACCACUGUCUGCCCAACUGCCUAUGGAAUAAUCAUCAUAUCCUCUCUUGCUUGGAGGUUGGAAGGCAAAAUGUUGGUAACAAUGAUUUGGGGAAGCGAAAUGGUCAACUGGGUGCAUUACGUCGAGGGACGUGUUGUUGCGGUCAUCGGUCAUCAUUGACACAUUGGAAUCGAUCGAUGAAAAUGUUGGGGUGUCGAUCGAUUCCGAGUACUCUUUUUCGUACUCCGAUUCAUACUCUGCUCCACAAUGGCAUGCACCAAUGAAGUCGAGUUCUUUCCCAUAAUCCACAGAAUUAAUGACCUUUCUCUUAGGUCGGAUGGGGCCAUAGUGGAUGUUUGGGUCUAUGAGCGUUAGACACAAUUUGUUCUUGUUCAUGUCACAUACGGCUCCUACUGUAGCUAGGAAUGAUCUUCCAAGCAGAAGUGAAGAGUUCCAGUUAAGCUCGAUGUCUAGGACAUGAAAAUCUACAGGGACAAGGGCAUUACCAAUCUGUACCUCCAUAUCUCUUAUGAUACCUCCUGAUCGUUUCUUUGAAAGAUCCACGAAGGUGAAGGAUUCCGUUGAGUGUUCGAUGGUCAAACCAAGCUGGUCUGCCAUGAUCCUAGGGAGGAUACUAACUGAUGCUCAUGUGUCACACAUUGAAUUGGGAAAUUCAACACCCUUGACUACGCAUGGUAUUGCUAACUUCCCAGGAUCACUCUUCUUCGUUAAUGUGAUCAUGUGUUUCAUCUUCUCUCUGACUUGAUGAAACAUUCUCCUAAUGUCCUCCUCGGUUACCUUUGUUUCUCUGAAGAACAUCCACAACCGGUGUGUGAAGUAAGCUUCAUCAAAAGGGUUUUCGAUUGGGAUUCUGAGGACUCGUUUAGUGAAACCAUCCAUCUCCUUAUCGUUAGCUUCCCUCUUAAGGUUUUUAGGAAUCUUCUCCUUUCUCUUCCUUAAACUUCUCCUUUCAGAUUCUUGUUCUUCUUGAACUGAUUCUGGCGAACUAUUUAAAAGGUUGGGUUUUGGUUCAGGCGGGUUUGCUAAUGGUUUAGGUGGUGGUCUGAGUGCGUUGAUGUAAUCAUUAUCGAUUGAGGGUAACCGCACUCGGUAUGUCAGAGGUGCUUGUCGAUCUAUGGGAGGUGCAUUGUGAUGAUCGACGUCGGACUCACUCUGUCGAUCGAUUGUUGGCUCAACCGAUCGAUCGAUUUUAUCAUAGAAAGGGGAGGGUGGGUGAGGAUGCUUAGCUGCGAAUUCUUCAUGAGUUAGAAUUCGAACCGCAUUGCAUUCAGUCGAUUUGGCAGACGACGUCGAUCGAUGACUGGAGUAAUCUGUCCAUCCAUCUUCAUCUUGGUCUGUCGAUCGAUGCGAGUUCAUCGACAUCGGUCGACACCAUUGGGAUUCGCCGAGACUGAUGGAGCUUUCGAUUUCGAAAUCUCCUUCCUCAAGCUUUUCAUUUCUCACCUCUUGCCAGAAAUCAUCAUCUGUGAUGGCAUUUACGUGGUGUUUUCCUUUGUCGGCUCCUGCUUCUCUAGCGAAAGCUUCUUGCCUCUUUAUAGUCUCGCCCGUCUGAAUUACUUGGGUUUCAAGUUUUCUCAACUGAGUCCCUAAGGUCUUGAUUUUGGUGUUCAGAUUGUUGUAGGCAGAGUCUAUCUUACCGUUGAAAUCCACGGUGAUUUGUUGUUGUCCCAACAGUACUCGAUCAAGCAUCUCUUCGAUCUUGCUUUCCUGAGUCUGGGGUGGUGGAUUUUGGUAGUAAGAGUUCGAGUAGCUCUUGCUGUUGUUGAAGGGUUUUUGAAAUUGUGAAUUUUGGUUACUUAUUUGGCCAUUUCCAAAGAAGUUUUUGUUUCCGCCCUGGUUUCCAAAUUUCUGGAAUCCGGUACCUCCGAUAUAAUUCACAUUUUCUUCUCCUUCCGUAUCUGCUACUUCUCCUUCAGCUGAACAGAUUUGCUUCCUAAGAAGCUCGUGCACCACAUCUAACUUAGCUCUGACUUCGUCCAUCUGUUCCUUCCCGAUAGAGGCUACAGACUUUUUCCGUUCAGAGUCAGUGUUUUUGGUGCUGCUGUUGUUAGCAAGGUUUUCGAUAAGUCUCACAGCUUCCAACGGAUUCCGAGUAGUGAAGUUUCCUUCACUCGCCGUAUCAAGGGCCAUUUGAUACUGUAAGGCGAGACCUCGGAAGAAAGUGCUUAGCAGCUGCACUUUGUUAAAUCCGUGGUGUGGACAGUCUCACUGGAAGAACCUAAAUCUAAUCCUCGCAUCUUUGAAGGACUCUCCAGCCUUCUGCGAGAAUGUGGAAAUUUUGUUCCGAAGUUCUUCAGCACGCGCCUCAUCGAAGAAGUUUCGUAAGAAAGCAUUCUUGAUGUCGCUCCAGGAUGUUAAAGAUCCUGUGGGUUGCUGCCUAAGCCAGUGCAUCACUUCUCCAUUCAGUGUGUAUCUGAAGAGUUUGCACAGCAGGUAAUCUUCGGGGACUCCUUACAUCCGAAUAGCAGCGAUUAGAUCCUCGAACCGUUCCAAAUGGUCCAUAGGAUGCUCGUGCGGUAACCCAGAGUAGGGUAUCUACGACACGAGAGUGUAGUAUUGAGGCUUCAGCUCGAAAUUCUGCUUCUGGAUCUCCGGAAGUCGAAUAGCUGAUAUGUUGGAAUAGUACUCAUCUGGGCGAUUGUUGUCGGCCAGUGGUUUCGAUCGAGCGUCCUCAUCUACAGGUUGAGCAGCUCCUGUAGCAUCAACAUCAGGGAUUACAUUUCCCUGAGCAUCUAUUUUCUGACCUGUUGCAUUACGCAGAUGACCGGCCUGGUCAUAUAGGUUUUCGUUUUCGUCCUGAGUUAGAAUAAUAAUGUUUACCAUUUUUGACGACACAGUAUCGAUCGACGUACGCGGUGUAGUAUCAAUCGUUGUCGAACGAUUGGGAUCGAUCGACGAUGAUGGUCUGGUGUUGGUCGACGGUUGGUUGUGCGUAUCGAUCGACGACGAAGUGGUUGCGUCGAGCGAUGUGGAACGUUGACCUCUACGGAUGGUGCGUUCCAAAUGAGCAGGAUCGACUGAGAACAGCAAGUCUUUCUCCUUGUUGUUUCUGGUACCGCUGGGCAUGCAUCUGAAAAGACAAGAAAAAGAUAAUUAGAAAGGGGGUAAAGAAAAGAAAAAGAAUUAAUAAAACUAAAUCUAAUGGCGAUCAAAGCUCCCCGGCAACAGCGCCAAAUUUGAUACCACUCAAAUUACCCUAAGGAGUGUUACUCUCAUCAAAAGAGGUUCAGAUGUAGUACUUAGGGAUUGAAUCCACAAGGAGCUAGGAAACAAUUAAAUCUAGUGUUUAUUAAUUCUAAAGGUUGUAAGUGUUUAAAUGGAAUAGCAAUAGUAACAAGCGAGUAAAUAUAAAUGUAACUUGGUUGGAAAUGAUAUUAGAUGCAGGGCCACUAUUCAGGUGUUGGAGACUAUAAUACAUAUAGAUGCCUAACUGUUGCAUGCAUGAUAUAUUAGAGCUCAUUCGCUUAACUCAGUAAUCAGCUGUCGCAUGUACCACUGGUUAACAGACUAGAUCUUGUGUCUCACCGGUUAGUAUGCAGACACGAGAGAGUGUCGAUCGAUAGUCUAUUAAGACGUCGACCGAUACACCUUUGCCAACAUCGAUCGAUUGUCAGUUGAAGACAUCGAUCGACGGGUUCUAGCCAGGCCUAUGCGCGAGUAUGAAAUGGCCUACUAAGAUUCUAAAUUGGCGGUUAGCCCUCUCUAGCAAUCCUAAUAUGAUAGAUAGAUGUCAGGAUGGGAUAACAAGGAUGCUUGAAUGUGCAAUCCUAUGAUCAAGUUCUAGUUAGCAAGGCUAAAACAAGCAAUGAAUACAAAUCUAUCAUGAAUAUCACAACAAGGCAGAUCUAUAGUUUGAGGCUAAUCCCACAAACCUAUCUGAACCCUGGAUCUAACAGUUGAACUACUCAGACAUAGCAAAGCAAUUCAUCUCAAUAGAUAAAUAGAAACUCAUAGAAUAGAUGAAAAGAAAUAGCAACAAGGAGUUCCAAUCACAAGUGAUCUUCUCUCCCAAAAUGAAACUUGUAACAAAACUAGGUCUAGAAAAAGCUUUCUUCUCUUUGCCGUCAAAAACACUAGGCAGUAUAUAUUCUACUAGGUUAAAAACUCGUCAGGGCAUUUUGGUAAUUUGGCUUAGCCUUGGUUUUUAAGUCUGCUGAAUCCAAAAUGUCACGUCUGGUAUCUCGACAUCGAUCGACGGUACUUGUGUACAUCGAUCGAUAUUAAUCUUCAUCUGUCGAGGCAUUUCCUGAUAUCGAUCGUCAGCCCUGAUGCGCAUCGAUCGAUUAUUCUUCCUCUCGUCGACCUCUAAGUGGUCAGCUUGGGUGAAAUGUCUUUUAAGCUCCAAAAUGCUCCAAAGUCAUAGCUUUACUCCGAAAUGCACCUGAACCUAAAAACAUACGUAGAAGAGGAGAAAACAUAGAUAUAUAUACCAUGGAUAAAAAUGGAUCAAAUCCAAGGUAUAUCAAGCUUAUCAUGUAAAUCUCGGAUCUGUGAGCCAUCUUUGGAUGACGAAGAAAGUCAUAUGAUGGUGUUGAUACGUCGAUUAAUAUAUGGUCUCUCUUCUUCGGAGAUCUAGACAUCUUGAUGGCGACGUGUAACUUGCUUGUGUUCUACAUGGAGCUCUUCUUGUGUCAUGUCCUAAGACUUUUGAUUUCUCUUCUCUUGCUUUUGGUCCAAAUCCUAUUGUUCUUUGUAGGUCGAGCUUUCAGUGUUUUUGGAUUUACAUAUUCAUUGGUGAACGCUGCCUUUAAGGCUUCCUUGAAUUGUUUGCAUUCCUUAGUGAUGUGUCCUUAUGAUCUAUGAUAAUAAUAGAACUUGGUUCCAUCAAAGGCCUGAGGAUAUGAUCCUUAGGAAGUUGUACCAUGAGGAAUUCUGAAUGCUUGAGGAGGUAACCCAUCUAUCUCAUUCUUCCAAACAUUCCAUGGGCUCACCGGUGCUAUAGCAGCCGAGUCAAAACCCGCAUUCUCGAUGAGAAAAGAGAUGAUGUUUUUAUUUUUAUCCAACUUGUUGUUAGAAUGUUGUAUGGGUUCUUAGUAGGUGUUCACCGAUUUUGUGGCUACUUGUUUCAUUUCUGAUUGCUUGCGCAGGUUAUUCUGCUUAACUUCUUCCAUCAUUAUAAAGCUAUUAGCGCGAUGGAGGGUGUCUUGCAGGCAUAUGGUCUUGUUUACAUACAUGUCAUCUUGAAAUCUGAAUUGAUCUAGAGUGCCUUGUGCUGAGCUUUCACUGUUGUGUAGUUUGGAAAGUGCACUAUGGAGACUACUGCCUUGAAUUUUCCAUGAACUCCACGAAUCCUUCUACGGAACCUUGAGACAUCUUCUAUAGAUCGGAUGCAGAUGCUCCUUGACGAGUAAACAUUAUGUAAUGCUUUAAGGAACUGGUUGAAAGAUCAGGGAAGUUGCUGAUAUAAUCUCCGACCAGUCUAGAGAACUAGGUUAAGGCAGGUCCGUUGAGACUUUCUGUGAAAAAUUGACAAUAUCCAGUGUAUAUCUCUUCUUCGGUGAAUUAUGCUCGCCUCAUGGCAAUGUUGGAUGCAAACAUAGCUUGUCUGUCUGGCGAAACUUGACGUCAUGAUUUCCUAGUAAAAGGGGUUUUUAGGGUUGCAACAAGAACAUGUUUGAUCUCAUGAGAAGAACUAGUGACUCUAUGAACCUUGAAUUGAUAUUUUGCAUCAAACUCUUGAUCUUGAUUUUCUGAGCUUUUGUUUGAUCGGUUCCUUGAGUCAUAGGUUUCUGGUACGUAAGAUAUGUUUCUUAUGUGUCGUAGGAUCGGCGGCUGGUGGUUUGAUGGUGGACGUUAUUUCGGCGAGAUACUUUUUGGUUAUCUUUUUUGCUUUGUCAUUACAAGUGAUACGAUCCAUUAUGUUCUUCAUCAUCUCCAUUAUGACUGCGGUAUGUAGAACCUGUUGAUUUGUAUCCAUGCCGGUGACGUUACUUAUAGGCAUGUUGAUCUUUUCUUACCGUUACUUUCUAAUUCCCCACAAAUAGUGCUAAUUUUUGAAUCGGAAUCGACACGUUGAUAUUCUUAAAUUUACUCCAGAGCUACUCUGCAAUUUCAUAGUGUGAUGUAGUAUAUAGGUAGAUCAAUAGCCGAAAGUAGUAAAUAAACCAAUGAAUUUCUUUGUAAAAUAAAUGUAGAAAAUACUAGAUCCAUGAAAAUCAAACAGGUACGUCAGAAUUGAAAAUAAUAGAAUGCUACAGGUUAAUCAAGAAUAGUUAUGAACUCAGAUCACAAUUAUCAAAUAAACUAGCUCUCGCUGCAGAGAAAAUCCAUGUCUAGAUCCUAGAAUACUAAAUCUCUUUGUGGAUUCAUAAAGUUAAGACAAGCAUUAAGAACAAUAUCAUAAGUUCACUAAAUCCUAAACAAAUAUCUUUACAAAUAAUAAUUUUUCUCAUCAAAGAUAAUUUCAUGUAAUCAAUCAUGAAAUCACAUCUAAUCAAUUAUCCUACAAUCAGGAUUCUAGUUAAUUACUCUAGAACUCAACUUUAUAGAAAAUCUGUGAUGACGAAAUCAAUGGAUAACCCUAGCACUUCUAUCAAUUUAGCAAUUCAUCAUAAACCUUAGAAUUCCCUAAAUCUAACAUGGUGAUUACUCUGAGAUAAUCAAAGGAAGCAUAAUCAAAGUAUGAAGAAAUUGCAUUAAGAUAAUUAGAAAUAAUGGAGUUCCAAAUUAAUCUAUGAAUGAGUGUUGAUAUUUCUCUCAAAACCCUCUAUAAGUAAAUUAAGCAUAGCUUAAAUAAUGCCUUAAAAACAUAUAUAAUAUAGAUCUAAAACACGUUCAGAGACUUCUUUGCAAAUAAGAAAAACCUAUGAGCCAAGAUACCAUUUCUUAAACAUCAUUAAAUUUGUGUCGGUUGCUUGAUCCCAACGGGUGUCGACCAACACAAAGGGUGUGUUGGUCGACACCAUCUUCAAUAAUCGACUCUGACUUGUAGUUUUAAUGUCACAUCUCUCAAAGCUCCAAAUCUCCAAAGUGUUCUAAAAUGCAUCUUAACCUGCGGAGAUUGUAAAACAAACUCGAAACAUAUUAUAUAGACUCUAAAUCAGAAUUGUUUAAUGGUUUAAACCCACAAAAAACAUGAUAAUCAACUCGCUCAGGCUUAUCAUUUACGUACCCUCACGCAAAAUAGUCUAAACCUAUGGAAGAGAUCUGCAAACGCAGGAACUCACUUACUCUUUAAAACCACUAAUGUCACAUCUAUAAUGUUGCAAGCCACAACAGAUAAUAUCAAACGGAAAAAGUACUUUCAUGUAUUCGACAUCUGCUUAGCAAACUAACCAUCCAGUCCACAGCUCACCAUAUAUCAUCUGAUAUGUCCUCCACUGACCUCGUUUUAGAGUUUAAAGUACAGUCUCAUCUUGGCCGUAUUGAUUAAAAGACAUAUGGUCUCUUACACAUGGAAUCUAUGUUCUUAAGGUUAUAGUAGAUUGCAUCUUGCCAUGCUUUAGAAACAUAGCCACUUUAAGUGAACUUUGGGUAAAUAAUUGCGUUGUAUCUAUUUUCUAGUAUUUUUGAUAUUUUUCUUAUCAUGUUUUUAAUUCUACAAAUUUAUGUUCUCUGAUUUACAUGGACGAGUUCGUUAGAAAGUGUGUGGAUAAGUUUGGGUGUCUAAUUUUGUUCUGUCAUAUCAGCCACCAACUCUCAACACACGUUUUAAAUAGGUAUAACGUAUAUAUCUGACAUAUCCCUUUCUAAUAUACGUGUAACCUCGUGGACCUUACCAAUUUAUCUUUCGUGUGAUUCAUAAUAAAGGUCCUAGUUUCUCUAUGCAUAUAGAGACCAAAAACACCACAAAUCUUAUAUAUUAGUUAAGGAGAAUUACAAUCUUUUAACUAUGUCAUCUGACAUGACUAUAAUGAUUUUAGAAUAUUAAAAAAAAGGUUUGUCCACGUAAAUAUAUAUUAUACUUUUCUUAAAACGAAUUAUAUAAUUAAAUAUUAGUAUAUAAAACAAUUUUCUUUCUUUCAUUAUAUAAUAGCUAUGAAAUUACCGAAUAUAACUAAAAAAUAUAUAUGAUAAUUAGUAGUUCUAGAUAAUAAAUAUUUAAUAAUGAUUUAUGUAUCUUGUAUCAAUUUGUUUAACUUUCUAUUAUUAAAUUAAAUUAAACAAUCACGUCAACCAUAAAAUAAAAAUUUAGAUUUUCUUGUAUAUGUUAUAUUUUAAAUUUUUAAAAGAGAAAAAGACCAAAAUAGCAUUAAAUCAAGUUUUUGUUCCCAAACUAGCACUCAAGGCCAAAAGUCACAGAAAUAGCACUCAAGGGGUGGGGUUUAGGGUUUAGAGUUUAGGGUUUAGAGUUUAGGUUUUAGGGUUUAGAGUUGAGAAGUGAUGUUUUGGGAUAAGAUUUCAAAUUUUGAAAAGUAAAAAAAUUUAAAUUUUUCAAAAGAUAAAAUGCUAUUUUGGUCAUUUUAGUGUUUGAGUGCUAUUUUUGUGAUAUAAACUUAGAAAUGUGCUAUUUUGGAGAUUUGCCCAUUUUAAAAACUGUUAUAAAUUAAUAAAACUAUUAAAAAUCCCAGAAUAAAAAAUUGGGAUCAAUGGUUUUAAUAUUUUUAUAACAAAAUUCCAAUUAUCAUAAAACCAUAUAAGUAGAAAGUCUCCUUAAUAUUUAUUGAGAUUAAAAAUAAUAUAUAUGUUUUAAUAUUGUUUAAAUUAACUAUAUACAAUAUCAAAAUACAUUAAUAUUUAAGUUUCCAAAUUUGUAUUAAUAAAGUAUUGAGAAUUUAAUAAUUUAAUUUCAGAAUUUGCAUUGACUUUUUAAAUUUUUUUGAUAAAUUACGAAAAUAUUAAAAAUUAUAUACUGAAAAUUUUGGUAUCAAUGAUUUAAUUUUUUCUGUUAUAAAAAUAUACAAAUGAUCAUAAAACCAUAUGAGUAAGAAGCUUCAUUUAAGUCAUAAUAAAAAAUAUUAUAUAUCUAUGUUAAUAUUAUUUAAAUUUAAUUAUUUAUCAUAUAAAAUAGGUAAAAGUGAUUAUUUGGAUUUAUUUACCAAAACAUAUUGUCAAUAACGAUUAUUUUUUUAUUUCUAUAUUGAUAUCUCAUAUUUUUAUAAGUUUUUACUAUCUCAUUUUAGUUUAUACAAGUAAUUUUAGGAUGCAUUUAGAUGUAUAUAUUGCAUUUGUGUAUUCAUUUGCAUUUUACCGGGCUAAAAUGGACUUUUGAGAAGUUUUGGACAGGAUCAUGAGGUUAUGCUGCAAUUUACAAAGUAUGGGGUCAGAAACGGAGUUAUCAAAAGUUCAGGGACCAUUCUGCAAAUAUUAAGGGCCUGGGCGGCACAAUUGGAAGCUUUGGGGCUGAUUCGGGUGGACGUUUCUCUAUUUAUGAAACUUUGGGGUCUAAUUGCAGAGAUGCAGAACUCUGGGGACCAGACUUGCAAAUAAUGAAGAAUCCACCAUUUGAGAGCACGAGCUUUCUCUUGGCCGAUCCGGAGCCGACUGCGAAGCUUGAUCCCGACCCCGAGAUUGAUUCCGACGACGAGCCUAACCGGAGCAGAGCACAACGGGGAUCUGAGCUGACUUGGACGAGAGAUCCCGUGGCGGAGCAAGCGCGCGUCCACGACGUGGAGAUGGAGAAAUUGACGCCAUGGAGGUUUGGUCGCGGUGAAGAGGCUUGAAGCGACGACGACGAGUGGAUCUAUGGGACGCUACGGAGGAGCUGGGCACGAGAACAACCAUGGCUUGGAGUCAGCGCGUGUCCACGACGUGAGGCUGAAGAUGAGCUCGCAGAGACGAAGCCGGUACUGAUCAAACCACGACUAUGAAGACGAGUAUGCAGCGGUCUGGAGUUGCGGGUUUCAGUCACCGCUCGGGAACUUAGUGGGCUCGGACGCGACCACUGGUUGCGGGUUUGUGAUACCGCGCGGCAUGGAAGCGGACACGAGACAUAGCUCGCAACACGUCGAGCUUGCAGCGGUCACGGGCAGCGGGCUGAAGUUGUAACUCUCCUCCCCCGGCCUUCCCGGCCCGGCAUGGGGUGGUGUCGCCGACAAAACGUUUCACCUCAAGCUCGUAUGUCCGAUUUUUCUUUCUCACCAAGCUUGUUGUGCGAGGCGACUGAUCCUUUUGUAUAUUUGUCUUAUAACUCCUUGUUAUCAUUUUCUGAACCUCUGAAACUCCACCACACCGUGGUACGAGGACUUUUUGUUGACCUGAUCUUGGCCGGAGACUCUGAACUGUUCGUAUUCUCCUUCAACAUUAACUACGAUGGUCUAUCAGAACCAUAAGAGAAAUGAGCAAUAGCGGAAAUGUUGAUCCUUUGAGUUAGUAUUAAGGGAUUUUAACCUGGCUUUGAUACCAAUUGUAACGCCCGCCCCUUCCCCAUUUCUGACUGGGGUUCAUGGGUGCGGGGUUGAGGACACACAUGUCUACUUUCCCGACAUCUCUGUGUGUCCCGUUACUGGUCCCAUGAGUUUCAGGUGCAUUUUCGUCCUUACCAUCGAUAUUUCCUCUUAUAGUUCUGCAAAAGGGGAAGUGAAAAGAGGGGUGAGUAUGAAUACUCAAUGAAGCGAUUCUAGACCAGUGUUCCCCAUGAGCCUCUAUACGGCUCAAUGCGAAACGAGAACCGUCUAGUCACUACACCCAGUUCGACGCAUCUUAAUAGCUAGUUACUAAAGUUUUAUUUCACGAAAACAAGCAAUGUGAUGAACUCAGUCAUCACUCAAUUCACAUAAUUCGGUUUAUUAUUUAAGACUCCAAUCAUCCUAGAACUUUAGGACCUACACAGCUCAAGCGGACCAUUCCUCCCCUUUUCAUGCUGCUUCCUGUGAAGUCACCUGCCCUGGUAGGCCCGUCACCCAGUUCCUCGGGUGCGGACCGCCUUUGCAGUGUAUUACGACCCCUUUCCGCCAAGACUCGGCGUGACUCAAUCUUACCGACGCUCUAUUCUUACCCUGCCAUUUUUAUCGGAUGCUAUGGCCUCGCAUCUCCGCCGCUUUUGAACGCUAUGGCCGCUGCGUUUUCUUUCUUUCCACCCUCCCCUGGUACUUUACUAUUCAUUCAAUCAAUCUUUCCUUUUCUUAUCAUUUCCUUUUCCUAUCUUUUCCUUUUUCUUUAGACUCGUUCAUACGUUCCUUUUUAGACGCCACCCGUUCUCGGUGUCACACUCAAUUCAGUAAACAACCAAUCACAGAUAUCCUACCAUUCAUCUAAUCAGACCGGUUAACAUUUACUAUUAUCAUACUUUUAAUUCCUUCUAAGCAUCCUAGCUUUCAACCACAAUCAAGCAUAAAUCAUCGACCAAUCAAUCAUUCAUCAUUCAAUCAACACAAGCAGUCCAUUUACUGUCCUUAAUCAGUAUGAGCGUUCUUAUGCAGUGUGAUCUAUCAACCUAACAUCAAUCAGGAUCUAAACAAUCCUAAUUCCUCAUUCAACAAUAUAGAAGUACAUGAACAAGAUCUGGAUAGAACACCUCACCUUAGCCUAGAUCUGAAUCUGGAUCUGGAUAAGAGACAAGAGAGAUGAGGGUUGAGAUCAAGGAAACCACACGACCACCCCACCACUCACGGCUGCUCACGGCGAGGAGAGAGAGAGAGACGGCCGAGAGAGAGAGGAGAGAGAAGCAGCGCAGGGAGAGAGAGAAGAAGUCGACGGCUAGGGCUUCCGGUCUCCGGGAAUUCUCUGCAGGGCUUCGCUUCUAAACAUUCUGAUGGGAGACUAAGGGGUGGAGGCUUUGUAUUUAUAGGAGAGGGCAAGGAAACCCUAGGGUUUUAAACAAAAUGGGCCACAGAGCGGGCCUUUCCACAAAAACUUUUUGGACUUAGGUUUUGGGGUGUUACGGAAUUUGUCGUUGUGCCUCACACGAUCCAUGGAGCGGGUGUUCGGAACGGGACGACGAAGCCGCUCCCAUACGUUGAUUGGUCAAGUUUUAUUUAUUUUAUGGGCCUUUUGAGAUUUGUUAAUUGGCCCAGUCGUUUUUAGAAGUCUUAUAUAUAUAUUUUAGGGUCUAACAGGUAACCAUGACAAGAACAUUAGGAAUGGAUAUGAAAAGAACGGAAAGAAACAAAAUUAUAGGAAUGAUGAAGAAUAAUGAUUCCUUAUCAUAUUUAGUGAGGAAUAAAUUUAUUUUAUAUUUCCCUGCAACAAAAGGAAUGAGAAUGAAUGGAAAGGAAAGGAAAAAUUAUUCCUUGUAAAUGGUAAAAAAAUUCAGGAAUGUUAAGGAAUGCAUUAUUCCUCUUCGUUCUUUGGUCACCAUUUAUACCCUUAAACUUAAAAAUGAGAUAUCUUGUUUUCUAUCUAAUCAAAAAGCUACUUUUAGGUUAAAGAUCUAAUCUUGAUCAUUAUCUUUUGUGAUUGCUUGAUUGCUUUGAUCAUUAAUCACGUUUAGACUUAGGUCAACUAAUGAUUUAGUGUCUACCAUGAUAAUGAGUGAGAGUAGUCAUCUUUGGAUUUAUGGAUUAGGAUGAUUAGGAUGAUUAAGUGAUGAUCUAGAAUGUUUAAAAUAGAUUAAUAUGUUUUCUUGCUUGAUUGAGUGAUCUUAAAGUUAAUCUAGAGUUGGCCAUUUUAGAUUAGAAAUCUAGAUAUUUCAUUGCCCGGAAAUAGUUCGAUUAAAUGUGUGAGACAACUCAACAUGCUCUUAGCUUACCCUAAUCUUAAUGAUUGCUUGAUUGACACAAACCAAAGGAAUUUGAUGUUUGAUCAAUGAGAGUAAAUGAGUUUUUGUCUUGACAAAGAACUUGCUUAGAAUUGUUAUCUAGACUUAGAGAAAUGAGUUGAUUGAAACUUUGCAAUUUUAGAUUAAAUCUUAGUCAUCUGAAAUCAAAUUCCUAUACCCAUGACUCCUUAUUUAUCCAUUUGCUUGGAAGUUGCUAGUAAAUUGUGUUAGAGUCUUGUUAGCUUAAUCAAAUCAUUUCAUUACAUUGAAUGCACUUAGCUUAAGUAUGAACAUGUAUUCUCAUUGAAUUGAAACACUUAGAAAUGGAUUGACAUCUAAAAUACUACAUUGAUUUGAACUUUGGAUUGAAAAGUUCAUAUCAAAUUUGACGCCGUUGCCAAUUCUAAGUUGAUUUUGACAUUUAGAUUUGGUCAUUGCUUGAGACUAAGUCUUAUUUUCUUGUACCUAGUUACUGAUUAUCUCUCCUAACUCUUUUGAAUGUCAGGUGCAAGAACUUGAGGAGUUGAAGACAUUGGAGCUUUUGAAAGGGAGAUUGCAAAGAAGAGAAGAGAAAAAGAAAGGAAAGUUCAUUUGGACAGAGUUGAGCUUGAGAUGGAGGGGAAUCAGCGCCAAGCUAGAGUUAUUGGCACCUAUGAUCAGCCUCAUAUCCAUGGGAAUAGGAUGGGCAUUAGACACCAGCUGUGGAGAACAACAACUUUAAGAUCAAAUCCAGCUUGAUCAACAUGAUAGAGAACAACAAGUAUCAUGGUCUUCCUUUGGGGGAUCCACUUGAUCACCUUGAUCAAUUUGACAAGUACUGUGGCUUGUCAAAAAUAAAUGGCGUCUCUGAAGAUGCCUUCAAGCUGAGAUUGUUUCCAUUCUCUUUGAGAGACAAAGCUCACACAUGGGAAAAGAACCUUCCAAGUGACUCUAUCACCACUUGAAAUGAAUGCAAGAAAGCCUUCAUCAACAAGUUAUUCUCUAACUCAAUGACUGCGAAGCUUAGGAAUGAGAUCUCUCGAUUUCAACAGAGGAAUUUUGAAGGUUUUAGUGAAGCAUGGGAAAGGUUCAGAAACUACUGGUCUCAAUGCCCACAUCAUGAUUUCACCAAGGAAAAUCUGAUCAGUACCUUCUAUAGAGGAGUUUUACCUAAGUUCAGAAGCCAGCUGGAUACUGCUAGCAAUGGUUUCUUUUUGGGGAUGAAUAAAGUAGAUGCUGAGGAGCUUGUAGAGAAUAUGGCUCAGAGUGAGUCACUCUACAGUGAUGACCAUGACAGGAGCAAUAGAAACAGUGGAGGAGAUAAUCAAAACACAAGGAGAGAGUUGAAACCUCUACAAGAUAAGAUGGAUUUGCUUCUUUCAGACAGAACCAAACAAGAGAAAGUACACUUUGUUGGUGAACAUAAACAAGAGGAGAUAGUUGUGGUUAAUGAAGUUGAUGGUAUAGAAGGUCAAGAAGAGCUAUGUUUCGUUAAUGCUAAUGGGACAUGGUACAAGAAGGAGCCUCACUUUCAAUACCAAAACAACUACCAGCAAAAGCCCUUCUACAAUAACCAACAAGGAAGUUACCAAACUAGCAAAAACUACUCUCAAGGUUUUUCCUCCAAAGGAAAUCAGUCUACACAAGGCCAAGCCGAAUCUUCUACUUCUGCUCCACAAGAAAGUAGCACUGAUGUAAUGCUGAAACAGAUCUUGGAGUCUCAAACUAAAAGUGAGAAGCACAUUGGAUAUGAGUUGAAGAACCUUCACACCAAAGUUGAUGGAAACUACAAUGAUCUCAACAACAAAUUUUCAAACCUUGCCUCUCACUUCAAGGCUUUGGAGAAUCAGUUUGCCUCUAUGACUUCAACCUCCAAGCGUCCAAUGGGAUCUCUACCAGACAAAUCAGAGCAGAAUCCCAAAGAGUAUUGCAAUGUUAUCCUCUCUACUACUUCUUCUGAGAUUGAGUUGAGUGAUCAUGAGAAAGAGGUGGAUCAGAUUUAAAGCUUCUUAUAUGGAACAGGAUUUGUUUCCCCGACUGCAUCACAGAUUGUGGACAAGACUGAACACAAGGCUAUGGAGAGGGUUAAGGCACAAGCUGAACUGAAGGUUGUAGCAGAGAUUUAGAAGAGAGAUGAGCACAAGGCUGAGAAACAAGUUGAAAGAGAAGUUUUGCAGAGGCCAAAGGAAGUUAAGUUGGAAGGAACCACUGAGGUUGAGCAAUCACCUUAUGAUAAGCUCUCAUUUUAACAAAGGGUCCUCACCAAAGCUCAAAAGAGGGUGAUCUCCAAAUUCAUAUAGAAUAUGAGUGUUGUAGGAGUCAAGCUUCCAGAGAUCUCACAUAUGUGUGAUGCUCAUGUACAAAUGAUGCUCAUCAAGGACAUUCUAUCUCACAAAGAAGAAGUAGCAGAGCUUCUUGACAUCUCUACUUUGCAGCUUGAUCCACCAGUCACACCAAAAUCUAUUCCAAAACUAGAAACCCAAGGAAAAUUCACCUUGUCUUACUCCCUUGGUAAGUUCACACUUGAUGAUGCUCUUGUUGAUUCUGGUGCAAGUGUGAAUAUGAUCUCAAUAGAGAUGGUAAAGAGUCUUGGGAUUGAGAAUAUGGAGUCAAACACAUCUUCACUCAUGUUUGAAGACUCUUCUUCAACAACUCCAUUAGGCUUAAUCAAGGACUACCCUAUGAAGAUUGGAAACUGCACAAUCCCUGUUGAUCUCACUGUUUUGAAGAUGACAAUUGAGAAGAGAGUCCCAUUGAUCCUUGGCACACCAUUUCUCACAACAGUAGGAGCUUGCAUUGAUUUUGCCAACGAGAAGGUCACACUCCUCAAUGUGAACAAAGCUGUCUCCUAUCCAAUCAAGUCUGCAAUGAUGAAUGUUGAGUAUUGUGGAACCAUCACUUGUGGGGAACCUUCCAUUGAAAAGAUCAAGGAUGAAAUGGUUGUUAGUGGAAAAGAAGGUCUUGAUGGAGAGUCAUCUAAAGAGAUGUGUGAUGAUCACUUGGAAAGUGCUACAAAGGAGAAGGUGAGUAGAGCCACAAAGGUUGCUCAUGACAAGAAGAAGAUGAUGAAAAAACCUCACCCUUCACCUCUUGAUAUGCUGCCACACACUCUCACUCUUCACCCAAUGAAGUUUAAGGAUGGAGCUAUUGAGUACAAUAUAAAAUGCAAAGGAAAGUCUACACCAUUGUCAAGUGCAAAGGCCAUCAUCGCUCCUCAGAUCCAAGAUGAUCCAAUCAAGCUCCAAGAGCUCCUCUCUCAAGUCCUCACCAUCACCUUCGAAGGUGGGAAAGAUCCUCCUCUUCACUAGCCAAUUGGAAGGAAAGUCAAGCUAGAGACUUAAAACAAGCUCACUUGGGAGGAAAUCCCAUGGUAUACUUUGUAUAUAUUUAUAUAUAUCUUUUUUCUUGCUUUAGUGUGUUUAAAUAAGCUUAGGGCCAAGUUUGGGGGAAUUCUCAAAAAUUCCCAAAGGUCAUGUUGAAAAUUCCAAGGUGACAACAAGCCCUCCCUCCUCAUUUCCCUUCUCUCAUCAAAGCCAACUUCAAGUAAGUGCAUUCUACCUUUGUCAAUACUUAGUUAUCAUGUUUAUGUCUUUCCCUUAGAUCUCUUCUUUGAGCUUACUCUCACACAAGGGACUGUGUGAAGUAAGUUUGGGGGAGAGUCUACUAUUUCACAUUGUGUUUUGUUUUGUCUACUUUUCAUUGAGUCCCAUGCAUUCCAUUGUGCAUAUUUAUUUGCAUAGAAAACCCACAAAAAUUGAAAAUUUUCGAAAAUCACAAAAAGAAGCAUUUAGUUGCAUCAUUUACAUCUUUAGGAUUGAGUCUAGAGGCAUUUAGAUUUCACUUAUGCAUAGGGAGAAACCUUGUAAAGAACUCAUGUCUAGAACUCAAUUUGACAUCCUAACUAAGCAUAUCAAGUAGCUUAACCAUCUCUUGAAAAAGCUAGUAAGCUUCGAGCCUUGAAAAGUCUUGUUGAAACUUGUUGCUUGCUUGACGAUUGGCAUUGUUCUUGAAACCAACUACAAAUGAACUAAGGCUUAAUGAACUUUAUCUCUCUUGCAUAUGGGCAUUUGCAUACUUGAUCAUGGAUAUUAUACACAUUUGGGUUAUCUUUUUCUCUUUGUUAACCCAAAUGGCACUCUCAUACCCACUAACCCUAACCAUUCUUUGAAGCCAACAUUAAUUUGCUUGAGUGAGGCCUUUUACUAAUAGCAUGUCAUGUGCAAAACCUUGAGAGUAUUAAGAGCGACAAUGGGUUGUUCUCGCCUUUGGCUAACAUUAGGACCUCAUUUAGGCUAGCCUCUAGGAUGGUUGUUGGGUUUGUGAGUUUAAAUUAUUUUGAUCUUGGAAAUGAGAGAGAUUGAGUGAGAAAAAUGAACCAAAAAGAGUUCUUAAAGUAAAGAAAUCCACAGGAACAAAAAAAGUUAGAAAAGAGAAGCUCUAGAGUAUAAAUAGAACCCCUUUCCAAAGAAAAACAAAAGAGCUGAGCCAAAAAGAUCUAAAGUCAAAAAAAAAAAAAAAGAUCCCUAGUUGGUUUAAAUCAAAUGAGAGAAAAGAGUGUUCAUUGGGUGAGAGAUGAAAGUGAGAGUAUUUUGGGUUUGUGAAUGAAGGAAAAGAAAGGUAGAACUUAAAGCUACUUAGGAAAGGGGUAGAAUGAUGAGAACAAGCAUUGUGUGCAUGAAUUGCUCAUUUUCUUAGAUAAAUUUUGCAUAAUGAUCUUGCUCCUAUUCAUGAGUGUGAGUCACUAUAAAUAAUGCAAUUGAAACCCAUUUUUCUUCACAUUAGACCAUCUUCUCUCACCAAGCCAAAUGAUUGAGAUCAAUUUGCAAGAAUUCACCUUGUGUGUGUGUGUGAAUAAAUGUGAGAGUUGGCUAAGUAACUUGUUGGUUGAAUGACAAUGUAAUUUGUGUAGAGAUAAAUGAGUCUUGAUAGGCCUUGAGAAGCUAUAGUGCAAUAAGAAAGUGGCUCAUGCUAUUUGCUAUGUUUCUCUUAGGAUGUCACAUUGAAGGUUAGAAAGUGUGUCUUUUGGUUCUAAGCUCCCAAUUUUAAAUAUCUCUCUCUUAAUUGAUAUUGAAAGUUUGCAACACGUCGAGCUUGCACUGGUCACGGGCAGCGGGCUGAAGUGGUCGCUGUGCCUCACACGAUCAAUGGAGCGGGUGUUCGGAGCGGGAUGAUGAAGCCGCUCCCACACUUUGAUUGGUUGAGUUUUAUUUAUUUUAUGGGCCUUUUGAGAUUUUUUAAUUGGCCCACUCGUUUUUAGAAUUUCUAUAUAUAUAUUUUAGACUUAAAAUGAGGGAUAUCUUGUUUUCUAUCUAAUCAAAAAGCCACUUUUAGGUGAAAGAUCUAAUCUUGAUCAUUAUCUUUUGAGAUUGCUUGAUUGCUUUGAUCAUUAAUCAUGUUUUAACUUAGAUCAACUAAUGAUUUAGUGUCUACCAUGAUAAUGAGUGAGAGUAGUCAUUUUUGGAUUCAUGGGUUAGGAUGAUUAGGAUGAUCAAGUGAUGAUCUAGAAUGUUUAAAAUAGAUUAAUAUGUUUCCUUGCUUGAUUGAGUGAUCUUAAAGUUAAUCUAGAGUUGGCCAUUUUAGAUUAGAAAUCUAGACAUUUCAUUGCCCGGAAAGUGUUCGAUGAAAUGUCUGAGAUAACUCAACGUGCUCUUAGCUUACCCUAAUCUUAAUGAUUGAUUGAUUGACACAAAUCAAAGGAAUUUGAUGUUUGAUCAAUGAGAGUAAAUGAGCUUUUGUCUUGACAAAGAACUUGCUUAGAAUUGUUAUCUAGACUUAGAAAAAUGUGUUGAUUGAAACUUUGCCAUUUUAGAUUAAAUCUUAGUCAUCUGAAAUCAAUUCCUAUACCCAUGACUCCUUCUUUAUCUAUUUGCUUAAAAGUUGCUAGUAAAUUGUGUUAGAGUCAUGUUAGCUUAAUCAUAUCAUUUCAUUACAUUGAAUACACUUAGCUUAAGUAUGAACAUGUAUUCUCAUUGAAUUGAAACACUUAGAAAUGGAUUGAUAUCUAAAAUACUACAUUGAUUUGAACCUUGGACCCUUGAGAAGUCCAUAUAAUAUAUCCGCGCUAAUUUAGUUAUAUACCGAAUAGUUACUGACUAUUGAAUUAUUCAAUAUAUUUGAUAUUUCAUAAUUUUGUAAUUUGUUAAAAAUUCAAAAAUGAUAGCACGUAAAAAUACUUGUAUAUACAAUAUUCAUUUACUCUCAAGACCAUCACACCAUCAUUUUUAAAGCAUAGCUAAGGAUGUAAGUGUAAUAUUUCUCACGAGCAUUAAUUUUUUCUUGAUAAUUAUGCAAUUAAUCUGAUUUUCAUUACUUGAGAGUAAAUGACUAUAUAACCAUUAGUGACAACCUGUGGCUUAGUCUUAAAAUGAGGGGCAACUUUAGCAAUAUACACAUGAAUAAAAGAUUUAUUUCUAAACGUACUUUUUAAUAGAGAUGAUAUUUAAUUAAAGUUUUAUAAAAAACUGAAAAAAAUCACAUAAAUUUUUCAUUAAAAUUAUUUGGGUAGACGAGAUAUUUCUCCAUGAAAACUAUCAUAUAGCAUCAAAUGUCUCCCAAACUAUGAUGUCGUUCUAUUUAUCCCCAGAAACAAAGUUGUAGUUUUAUUUCCCAAUAAAUCUUGGUUUUGUCAAACCCAAUUCAAAAUCUUGAUUUACCAAUUGUAAACCAAAAAUCCCGAAAUCUAACCAAACAUAAAACCAAUCAAACUAAAUUAACAUAAUCUUAACCAUCUAAAUCAAAACAUAUCAAAUCACUUCAUUUCUCUCCUUCCCCAAAAGCCACGGCAAUUCCAGAACAUAAGCUUUUUCCCUUGCCCCAUAGAAUUUCUUCUUCUCUCACAAUCAAACAAUAGAUUCAAAAAAAAAUGUAACAAUCUUGUAACACCCGUAUUUUCUAAAAUAACUUAAAUAAAUAAAAAGUCUGAAAUCUCCAUUUAUUACUUCUCAAAAGUCAACUCCAAACCAGAAAUCCAAUAAAUAGCCAUAAAUCCAAAUAACAUAAUAAAUAUCGAAAAUAUCGGUAAAAGCAUAAAACCACAAGUCUGAAAAAGAAAGUAAAUAAAACUCCCAAAGUACCAGUCUGAUAGCAAUCACUUAUGCUCGUCAGUCUCACCUGAAAUGGGAAGGAAUAGAAGGGGUGAGUAACAGGGGAGUUACUCCGUGAGGUAUGAGAUGCUAAAUACGCAAACCACUGACUUGAGUAAAUAGAACUCCCACUAUGGAAGUUUAGCUCUAACAUGAACACACACGACGCUUAGAGCAUCACACAAACACAAACAAUGCGAUGAUAGCAUAUAGCUAGUCCAUACACCCCCAUCUCCUCAUAUGGAUAUAUAAUACGUAGCAUCGCUAGUACAAUAAGUCUCUGUACCCCCGCCCUCUCAAGUAGCAUCCAUGGUACAAACGUCUCUGCACCACACACCCGCACAAGUAGCAUCGCAAGUCCAGACGUCUCUGAACCCCUGCCCGCACAAGUAAAGUAGCGUCGCUAGCCCAUACAUCUUUGAACCCCCGCCCGCACACAUAGUCCCUACUCAUAACUAUGUGUACAUACAUAUAUAUACCGCAUUUCUUAACAUCACAAAAUCCAAUCAAAGGUUGAAUCCUCUAGACCCUUAGUUCCAGUUUACAAUAAAUGAACUAACUAACAAUCAAGACUCAAUUGAAACAGACGGAUCAUGAUUUGAAAUCAAAAUGACGAUAGAGAGAAUUCUACACUGGUACAUGAUUUACGGAAUAGACUCUGACCUUAGCAAUGUAGAAAAGUGAUAGCUAUGAACUUCAGCUGCUGAAACAAACUCCAAAUCUGAAAUCAGGGCGAAAAAUUGAAUGAGAACGUCUUUCGAACGGUCCAAAACGGAUAACCGGCGAUCUGGUCAAAAAGUAAACCCGCUGGUCAAAGGUCAGCCUGGUCAACUCUGACCCAAGCCGGUCAACCCUUGACCAAAUUGAAAUCGAAUUGAACCACCCGGUUUUCCUUAACCGAAUUCAAUUUCAACUGGACCAGAUUCAAAUCGAUUUCAAAUCGGUUUAAUACUAACCGAAAAUCAAUCCAAUAACCGAUCAGUUUAAUCAAUAACCAAAAUCAAUUGACCAACCGAACCGGCUUGACUGGUCAACGGCUUGACUCGCUGAGUCGACUCGGCCGAGUCACCGAGUUACCAGCGUGUCGACCGGCGAGUCGCGGCCAACAACGGUGGUGGUUUACCGGAAAAUCACCGGCGGCGGCGGAGACGCGGCGGCGAUGCAGCAGCGGCUUACUGACAGCAAAAGGGAUGGUGGCCGGCUGCGGUGGCUCCGGCGAACGUCUGGCGGAGAUGGUGGCGCGUGAGAUUCACGCGCGAAUCUUUCUCCUGCGCAUGUAGGCGCGUCGCGGCGGAUCUCCGGCUGAAACUCUUGCCCCGGACUCGUCUCGACGUCACAAACACACUGGUAGCCUUGAAAUCGCGAGAAACCCAAUGGUUAGAGAGAUAUCGACGAUUUACUAAACGGCCAACACUUAACCAAUCGGAAAAGGCGGUUCACGGAUUACCUAGGGUGUGAGACGGCGGCGACGUGAUGGAUCAGAUCUCAGUCGACGGUGGCUGAGACAGUUCACCAAUAUCUCUCUCUGACGGCUCAAACUCUGCAGAGGUUCGACACCUUAGACUUUUCUGAAUAAAAUAAUGUGUGGGGAUAGAAUUUAUAAGGAAGUACCUAGGGUUCUCUGCAAAUUAAUUGGGCCUUGUUGGGCCUGCGGAUUUGGGUCACUACAAUUCUCCCCCACUAAUAAAGAAUUUGUCCCUGAAUUCGGCUACUGAACCGACUGUCCAAUACCGUCCUGAAAAAGCUAUGGAUAAUCAAUCCUCAUCUGAUUCUCGCCUCCCAUGUUCCUCCUGGAUCCCGUCUCUCUCCCAACGAACUUUAACUAAACUGGUCAUCAUCCCCUGAACAGCUUUCACUUGCCGAUCUAAAAUCUCAACUGGCUGACAAGGUGCAUACAAAAUUUUCUCAAGAUCACUGGGUGGCUGCUGCAAAAUGAGCUCUGGUUCUCUCACAACUUUCCUUAAAACUGAUACAUGGAACACAUCGUGGAAAUCUGACAACUCUGCUGAUAACCGCAAUCUGUAAGCCACUGCUCCAAUCUGCUCCACAAUAGGGUAUGGUCCUAUAUAUCUCGGUUUAAGCUUCUUUAGCUUUCUAGUCUUAGAUCCUCCUUGGAAUGUCCUCAUUUUCAGGUAUACUAAGUCUCCUACCUGAAACUCCAACUCCUUAUGACGCUUAUCUGCAUAGCUCUUCUGGCGGUCAUGGGCUUCCUUAAGCCGAGUCUUAAGCAUCUCUACGUGCUCUACUGUUGAUGCGCUCUUGAGUAGCGCAUCGGGCAAAACAGACAUGCAUGGCUUGAUCAUGGAAAGCACUAAUGAUAUAUGUUCAUUGUUUGACUCAUAUCUUCCAAACCACGAGUGCUCUACGCAUGAAAUCCCUUGGAGAAUGUGUUCAACUCAAUUACGGAGCUCCUCGAAGAAGAAUCAAAUCAAACGGAGUUCACAUGUGAAAGUUAUGCAAUUUGCAAAUCAGGAAAAUCUUCAGUUCUCGCGAAUUUGGGCCGUACGGAUCGUCCAGCCCACAUCUUGAUCCUUACCGCAAAGGAACCACUUGGUUCAGAUGAACCUGGACGUUAGCCGAAGAGCCUCUUUGACCAGAUCUGAGAUCCAAGAGUUUUAGUACAUUGUCUUUAAAUUUCUCAUCUAGAUUCGAUUUACUAAGUUUGUCAUUAAUACAUUUUUAAGUCUUUUUCUAUUCCUCAAGUAGUAUAAAUAUGUAAACAUUUCUCAUAAUAAAAUCAGUCUAAGUUUGAGUUUAUUUUUGUUUUCUUCUUUUCUCUGAGUGAGAGAGAGAGUUCUAUAGCUAGUUCAUUGGUCUGAACCGGCUUGUUGAUUUGGUGGUCAACCAAUUCAUCUUUGUGUGUUGUUUGGUGGUUAGCCAGCACAUUCAUUCUUUCUUAGGUCGCUAGCCUUAGAUCAUGGGUAUAUCAAGAGCCAUUCCACAUCUCUUGACGAUCCUUUCAAUCCAUAUCAGUUCCAGAAAUGCCAUUUGCCUUCUCAGAUCAUAUCCAACACCCAGCUAACGUGAUCCUUCCCGAUGUAGGGCGUAUCAAGUGGUAUCAGAGCCACUUUGGCUGGUUUGUUUUCAUUUCAUCUUUUCAUCUACUCAUCUCUCCACGAUUUUCUUUUCUUAUUUCUUGUUGGAUCCGGGCUGUUCCUUUACUCCCUUGUGAUCGCCAGUUAUUAAAAAAAAAAGAGAAAAAAAAAUCGAUAAAAAAAAAAGAGUAAAAGUUUUGGCUUGAAUCACUUCUGAAGAGAAAUCCAGGGGGAGUGGUAAAAGAGAAACCCUGCUGGCUGAAGAGAAACCCAGCCUUAGGACAGUUAAGGAAGAUUCACACAAAAAUCUCUUCAUUUUUCUUUCUCUUUUCUUUUUCCCACAAAGUUUGUUUUGGGUUUUGACUGCUGAUUUUUUACUGCCUAUCAUCCUUUGAACCAGUGAAAAAACUCUGAGUGACCAUCUAAAAAUCGUGAGCUAAACACUUCAGAGUGUGAGGAUUUUUAUUUGCUAACUUUGUUAAGUGUUUUCAGGAUGUUUGGACUUCUCAAGAAAUCAAAAUCACAACAAGACGUCUACUUUCCUUUUAAAACUGGUUUUGAAAAGGAGCAAUUGAUUUUUGAUAAGAAACAGUUUGCUUCUAAUGGGUUUGACUUUGUGCAGAAACAAAAGAAUAGACAAAACAGGUGCGAUGAUGAGAAGUGGGUCAGAAGUGGUGAUCGUCCCUUCACCAAAGCCAAGAGAAGCAACCGUGAUGUGCCUGCUCAGAACGAGCUUCAGACUUAUGCCAGCUUGGAAAAGAUGUUGCAUAAGGCAAUUUUUGCUAUUCAGCAACUCAAAAAGAAGGGAAACACCAACACUUCUUCUGCACCAAAACAGCAAUGUAAGUUCUCUUCUCUUUCAAAUUCCGAUUUGAAAACUAAUGUGUUUUCUUUUGAUAAAAGCGAAGCUGUGAAACACACAAUCAAAGCUCAUUCUACCAGGUGCUUCAAAUGCCAGAUGAUCGGUCAUUAUGCGAACAAGUGCAAAAACCAGAAACCGUUGGUGACUUUGGAGAAUGAGAGCGUUGAAACCGAGCCAGAAAAGGAAGAAUUUUCAGACCCAUUGCCAAUUUUCGAUGACUACACACAUGAGCCAAUGGCAGGUUUGAAAUCUUGUGAACAUAAGAACUUAUUUUCUUCUCAAUCUGAAUCAAUUCCUGAUGAAUCUUGCUUGCAAUUAACUGUUUUACAACCAGAGAAUCCAAGUAGUUUUGAAUUAAUUUCUUAGUUUGAAAAGAAUUCUGAAAACGUUUUGAACAAGGAUGAAUUUUCUGGUCCUUUGAAUGCUCUUGAUAUUGGUGCAUAUGACCUUGGUCUUGGAAGUUUUGUGUCAAUGCAGGAAGGGCCAUACGAAGAACAAAACUGUGGUCAUCAAGGAAACCAAGAAAGCUCUUCUUCCAUUCAAAAACCGGACCAAACUCAAGGUUAGCAAUGUUCUGAUUAUGAUUUCUUUGCUUAUAAACCUUUUUCGUUUAAUGUUACAGAUUUGAGGACAAAUCUUUUUGAAGAGGAAGGGAAUGAUGCACCCUUGAGUAGCGCAUCGGGCAAAACAGACAUGCAUGGCUUGAUCAUGGAAAGCAGUAAUGAUAUAUGUUCAUUGUUUGACUCAUAUCUUCCAAACCACGAGUCCUAUAUGCAUAAAAUUCAUUGGAGAAUGUGCUCAACUCAAUUACAGAGCUCCUCGAAGAAGAAUCAGAUCAAACGGAGUUCACAUGUGAGAGUUAUGCAAUUUGCAAAUCAGGAGAUCUUCAGUUCUCGCGAAUUUGGGCCGUGCGGAUUGUCCAGCCCACAUCUUGAUCCUUACCGCAAAGGAACCACUUGGUUCAGAUGAACCUGGACGUUAGCCGAAGAGUCCCUUUGACCAGAUCUGAGAUCCAAGAGUUUUAAUUCAUUGUCUUUAAAUUUCUCAUCUAGAUUCGAUUUACUAAGUUUGUCUUUAAUACAUUCUUAAGUCUUUUUCUAUUCCUCGAGUAGUAUAAAUAUGUAAACAUUUCUCAUUAAAAUCAAUCUAAGUUUAAGUUUAUUUGUGUUUUCUUCUUUUCUCUGAGUGAGAGAGAGAGUCUAUAGCUAGUUCAUUGGUGUGAACUGGCUUGUUGAUUUGGUGGUCAGCCAAUUCAUUUUUGUGUGUUGUUUGGUGGUGAGCCAACACAUUCAUUCUUUCUUAGGUGGCUAGCCUUAGAUCGUGGGUAUAUCAAGACCAAUUCCGCAUCUCUUGACGAUCUUUUAAAUCCAUAUCAGUUCCAGAAGUGCCAUUUGCCUUCUCCGAUCAUAUCCAACACCCAGCUAAAGUGAUGCUUCCCGAUUUAGGGCGUAUCAACUGUCUCCUGAACCAUUGUUGGUUCUAAAUCCCUGCAGCACGUCUACAACGCUACAUACUAUGCAGUCAGUUCGGAAAAAGGCAGAGCCUCGGGCAAUACAUAGACUCUCAAUUCAAGAUACGACAAAGAUGCACCAGACUCGAGGACACUCGACUACUAACUGCAAAGUCUUGGGAGCGAGACUGGCCGCAAAGCUACUAGCCGGAGAGCUCUCCGAAGCAGCCAGCAUUAAAUAUCUCAUCCUUGAGACCGAUCGUCCUCCAAAAACCGACAAACAUUCACCUGCAGAAAAUUCUCCUCGGAGAAAUCAAGCAGGGGAUAAACGCGGAAGGAGAUCAGACGACAAAGGACACGAUAACAAUCGUCGUAGAGUAAACAUGAUCAUCGGAGGAUCACAGUACUGUAACGACACGGUCUCGGCCAUCAAGGCCUACCAGAAAAAAGCCGAGUCAAGUGCAAAUUGGCCAACAUGGUCUCCUCCCUGAGAUGGUCGAAGCGAAUCGAUAACUUUCACGUAAGAGGAAGCCGGCGGAAUCGAUCAGCCUCACUGCGAUCCACUCGUCAUAGAUCUCGUCAUAUGAGAUCUGGAAGUCGCAAGAGUCUCGUCAGACAAAACGUCAAUGAGUCUCAGAUCAAUCCGCCCCGACGAACACAUCAACCGUCUUAAACAAACGCACCAUGAUCAUUCUGAUCCUCAAACAUCCGACACAAGGAUAAAAGUGCGCUAUAUAAAAAAUCAGAAAUUUUGGUCAAGCACUUCCAGUUGGCUUAAAAAUUAUCGCUGGAGAGAUGCUCGAUUCACACCAUACAAGUCGUAUAAGCCGAGAACCUAUCGCAGACUUUAAAUCGGUAUGAAUCAGGUUGAAAUCACAAUAGAAAAAUUGAUAGCCAGCCAGUCACCGCAUAAACCUUAAAAACGAAUGUAAACCUAGGUCUUGCCCUAAACCCAACACACUGGUCUCUAAAAUCUCAAGACAUGGUAUCUAAAAAAUGAUACGAGAUCUUAAAACAUGUCUCUCCGUCCAUAUCUUAACGUUCAUGAAACUUCGUAAAAAUAAAUAAACAAUUUUUGCGAAAAUUCACAUCUCGAGCAAACCAACAGAUUGAAUGUCUUGCUAGAACUAAAUAAGAGACGACAACUCAUAUUUAUUCCAGACAUAUUCAGAACAAAGUAGUUCGAUAAAUAUUCAUCAUAUAUAAAACUGCAGAGUGGUAGGGAUUCGAAGACACCAACGGCCAGUCCUGAUAAAAACAAAGCGGCCAAACAGGCCCACACAAAGUUUCAGCAUAAAGGCCCCACUCGGCCAUAAACACAAGAUAGGGGGAAAUUUCUUCCCGUCAAAUGCUAACUUCGAUUCUCACAGAUCAAAGUUAAAACCCCCAGACAUGGAAGCUCCAAAUGCUUCUGCGGGACAGUCCACCUCCUCAUCAUCGCCAGUAACCCGGUCUUGACCUCCCCCGUAUAAGGAGAAACUGGGAUGGGAUCCCAGAAUCCCUGAAUCCUCCCAUCGAUCAGCAGAAAUAAGCGCCUCGGCAUGGGCAUGAUCAUUCAUGCCAUCUUUCAUGAUAUCCAUAUCAUCCUUGAAAACAAAGUCGUCCGCAUGCGUCUUCCAGAGGGUACCAACUUAACCACGACACUCGCCAAAAUCGCCCACCAAGGAAUAAGCCUCCUUAAGGUUUCCAUACUCGGUCUUGAACUGAGUAGCACGGUUUCUCAUCAUCUCGACAAUCUCUGUCCUACCUCUCCUUUCUGCUUGAUGGACGGCCUUGGCAUGAUCCUUGGCAAGUUUCGAAUAUCGCUCUAAAAUUUUGUUUUGAAUACGUGCAAGAUCUUCUUCCGCUUUCUCUGCCUUGAAGCGAUAAACUAUGGCCUCCCUGUGGCUUGUCACAAGGGCUGAGCCAAGCAUGUUCAGACCCUGCAAAAACGACUAACGUGUUUAAAAAAGGGGGCGCAUGAUUCUAUCCGUGAAGUUUCUAAAGAAGAAAGAAACAAACCGCGUUGAUUAUGCGAGAUCCUUCUGCAACUACUGAUGUGCCCCUGUCCGAGGAUCAGUCCAUGGAAUCAGAUCAGAACGAGGAUCAGAACGUCCGGAACAAUGCAACUGAGGUUCAGUCCAUCGAUCGGGCGAAACAGACUGCUCGGGCCGUGUAUCGUCUCGACCCGCACUCGUCCGGAUUGGAGCUUCAGCAUAACCCGUGACCAGAUGGCCAAAUCAACCGUACUGAAGUUCGCCUUUCCUGUCCUGUUUGUCAUGCUAAGUCCAUCGGUCAAGUCAGAAGUGAAGUUGAUCGAGUGGAAUCCAAAUCCGACCAUGGUCUUUCUCUCUUAAGCCAUCUCGGCCGAACCAGUGAUCGUUCUGAUGAACUGAUCCGACACUUCGAUCAGUUCAUGAACUCUUGAGGUUGUCCGAAGACUUAGCCACCUUUUGGCCCGUAACAGUCCAUGAAAAUCACCCGUCCGUACAUGAAGACCGUAACGGCCGUGUACUGCUCCUUAUCGAGGGAAGUGCUAUCAGUUACACCGAACCUGGACAAAAGUAGCCGAAGAGUUCAAAUCGACCAGUGAACAUUAUUUUCUGUGCUUUGACUAGAUUUGGUCUUCUAUCUAUUUUCUAUGUCUCUUUUUCAUACAUUUUUAUUUAUUAUCUUUGACUACAAGUUGUAUAAGUAUGAGAACACAUCCCUGAAAUAAGAUAAUCGAUUUUCCUUAUUCAUUUUUGUGUUUUCUUUCUUUGUUCUUUGAUUAGAACAUUCUUGUUCCCUUGGUGAGGCUAUCUCCAAGUGAAUCCCCUUUCUUUGAGCCGGACUUGUGUGUCAAAUCAAGCGGCCAUUGAGAGUUCUAGUAGUAUCACUGGGUCUUCCGCAUCCCUUUGUGUCACUAAACAAUCCAUCAGUUAUCUAUCUCUUCAGAUCGAGUUCAUAUCAACAGAUCUGGUUGAGUGUUCGUUCCUUAGGAUUCUUUAAGUGGAAUCAGAGCCACUCUUCCGGUAUCUCUUUUCAUUCCAUCUUUCUCAUCUAUCAUUUUCUUCAUAAAAAAAAAAAUUCUUCUUCUAUCCAUCUUUGAAUCUGGGCCCCUCUUUACCAUCCAUAUAUUAAAAAGAAAAAAGAAAGAUCUAAUCAAAAAAAAAAAAAGAAAGAAAAGAUAUCAAAAGUUUUCAAUUGUGGUUUGGUGGUGGAAGAGUUAGCCUGCUGGCCGAGGAGAAAUCUGGCCUUGGAGGUGGUUAAUACGGAUUCCCCUUGUUAAAUCACUUAUCUUUCUAUCUUGUCUCUUGGGUGUUUCACUUGGGAUUCUCAUUUUGGGUUAUCUAGUUUGUUCUCUUAGAACUUUGAGGGAAACUCUCUUGUGUGACUACCAAAUUGAGUGAAACACGUGUGUGAGGUUUUUAAUCGAACUUUACCUUGUUUAAGUUUUCAGGUAGCCAUGGAUAGUGAAGAAGGAGGAAACCGACCCAGAAAUUCACAUGCCGGAUUAUCUAACUUGCAAAUGCGUGCUCUCAAUGACUCUAUGUCUAACUUGUUGAAUACAGGUUUGAAGGCAAUCCAUUAGAGGCUAGAUGAACUUCAGGGCCAUCCAACUCAGCCACGAACCAGAACCAGACGUGACCAUCCAAGGAGGAACAGCCGGUCCGACCUAGAAAUCCGAGAAGAGUCUUAUGAUGAUGAUCGAUCCAUCAACCGUCCAAGGAGAGUUCCUAGGCAUCAAACCGAGGUGAUGUCAAUCCUUUUGGUAGAAAUGAAAGAAUCAAUGAUGGCUUGGGUGGUUUGAAAUUGAAAAUUCCAAGUUUUGAGGGCAAAAAUGAUCCGGAUGCUUUUCUUGAAUGGGAAAGAAAAAUUGAACUUGUGUUUGAUUGUCAAAAUUUUUCUGAUAUUAAAAAGGUUAAACUUGCUGCUGCUGAGUUUACUGGCUAUGCUAUUAACUGGUAUGAUCGAGUUGUGACUAGCAGGAGGAGAGCAUGUGAGGCGCCAGUUGAUACAUGGGAUGAGCUUUCCAUGCUGAUGCGGAGACGCUUUGUUCCCGACCAUUACCACAGAGACCUACACCAUAAACUCAGGCGUUUGCUUCAAGGUUCUAAGUCAGUUGAGGACUAUCACCAGGAGAUGGAGACCUUGAUGAUCAAAGCUUAUGUAGAAGAGCCCUUAGACGCCACCAUGGCCAGAUUUCUUACCGGGCUCAACUGGGACAUACAAGAUCGCAUGGAGCUGGAAGACUAUGACAGCAUGGAGCAGAUGUUACACAAGGCCGUGUUGAUCGAGCAACAAGUCAAGAGAAAGGGUCUAACUAAACUGACCUUUGCUUCUAAACCGACCUUUGCUUCCAAGCCAAACUAUCAAGACAAGGGUAAGUCUUCUUCCACAACGAAUACAGCUUUUCAGACUAAUGUCCCUGCUCGUGUUGAUAGAGAAAAGAAAGAAGAGGCUACCAAACGAACCAGAGACAUCCAAUGCUUUAGGUGUCAUUGCCUUGGCCACUAUGCCAACCGAUGUCCAAACCAAAAGGUGAUGGUGCUCUUGGAGAAUGGAGAAGUUGAAUCUGAAGAAGACAAGAAGGAUCUCGGACCAGUGUAUGAUGAUGAUGAUGAGGAAGAAGCACUUGACUUCCCGGUUCAUGGUCCCCUUCUUGUUACUAGGAAGGUCUUGGACGACACCACUGAUCCCAUCUUUGAUGAGGAAGUCGAUGGAGUGAUCGAUGAGUUUUGCUCGACCUUUGUGGAGAGUUCUGAUCCGAUCUAUGAUGUGGAUGUUCUUGAUGAGCCGAGCCAUGGUUCACUACUGGUUACUAGGCGUGCCUUGAGUGUCCAACCAAAAUCCAAUGACAAAGAUCAAAGGGAGAAUCUCUUUCACUCUAGAUGUCUCAUUUCUGGUAAAGUUUGUUCUUUAAUUGUUGAUGGAGGAAGUUGCACUAAUGUGGCUAGUGACACUCUUGUAAAGAAACUUGGGCUUGUUACUCGGCCUCUUUCUCGUGCUUUCAGGUUGGAGUGGAUCAAUGAGUCCAAAGAACAGUAUGUGAAGGAGCAAGUCACGGUUCCACUCUCCAUUGGCCAAUAUGACGAUGAGGUUGUUUGCAAUGUGCUUCCCAUGGAUGCUUGCCAUGUUCUCUUGGGCCGGCCUUGGGAAUUUGACAAGAAGGCAGUGCAUGAUGGUUUCACAAACCGUCAUUCAUUUGAUCAUAAAGGAAAGAAGAUCACCUUGGUGCCUUUGUCGCCUUCGGAAGUCCAUCAAGAACAGGUCCAACUUAAGAAGAACCAAGACCAAGACUCUAAAGCUGAUAAACCUGAGACCAGUACCAGAAACUCCAACUUCUUUGUCAAAGAAAGUCAGGUAAGGAAGUCUCUUUGCUCUCAAAAGCCAUUUCUCUUACUGAUUUAUAAAGAGUCUCUCUUGGCCUCAUCUUCUUCUGACCUUGCACUGGAGAUUCCGAGUGAGUUAUUAGGUAUCUUGUAGGAUUAUUCUGAUGUGUUUCCAGAAGAAAAUCCCAAAGGAUUGCCACUGGUGAGAGGCAUUGAGCAUCAGAUCGAUCUCGUCCCGGGCGCCUCUCUACCGAACUGACCAGCGUACCGCACCAAUCCGGUCGAGACCAAGGAACUGCAGAAACAGAUCAACGACUUGCUUGAGAAGGGAUACAUCAGAGAGAGUCUCAGUCCCUGUGCUGUGCCUGUUCUACUUGUACCAAAGAAGGAUGGCUCCUGGAGGAUGUGUCUGGACUGCCGAGCCAUAAACAACAUCACGGUAAUCGACAUCCUAUCCCUCGUCUUGAUGAUAUGCUUGAUGAACUCCAUGGUUCUAAGUACUUUUCUAAGAUAGAUUUGAGAAGUGGCUAUCAUUAGAUUAUGAUGAAAGAAGGUGAUGAAUGGAAAACGGCCUUUAAAACAAAACUAGGUUUGUAUGAGUGGCUUGUCAUGCCCUUUGGUCUCACUAAUGAACCUAGUACUUUCAUGCGCUAAUGAAUCAUGUCUUGAGCUCUUUUAUUGGUCAUUUUGUUGUAGUUUACUUUGAUGACAUAAGCCUUGAUGAGCACAAACAGCACUUGAAAUCUGUUCUUGAAGUCCUUAGAAAGGAACGUUUGUUUGCUAACCUUGGAAAGUGUUCUUUUAGCACAGAUCAUGUGGUCUUUCUAGGUUUUGUUGUAGGUGCAGAUGGCUUGAGAGUGGACGAGCAGAAGGUCUGAUGCACCUCAGAUCAUGGAGCAGUCCGUUGGACAAGUCCAACAUGAAGAUCAGAACAGUCCGAGAUUUUCAACAGAGGUUCAUCCGGACGACCGUACCGAACGCACUGACCGGGCCGUGUACCGGAUCGACCCGCGUACGUCCGGAAUGGAGCUUCGUUUGGAUCCACGUCCAGACGAUCGAUCUGACCGUACUGAAGCUCGGCUACCCCGACCAACUCGUCAAGUUAGGAAGAUCGAUCAAGCCAAACUCUCAUCCGAACGCACCGAUUUCGAAUCAGACCGCAGCUUCUCAUUUCUGACCCGACUGGCUCUUACCGCGGGCACUGCCGAACGUACCGCCGAACGUUCUGAAAAUCCGACUUACCAGUUUGAUCCGAUUCUUCAGUUUGAUCAUCUGAGCUUCUCAAGGGGAAGGAUACUUAAGCUCUCUGAAGAUAUUGGACACAUUUGGAACACAUCAGUUCAUGAGUUUCCUUCAUCCGAUCAUGCAGACCGUCCGGACCAUGUACUGCUCCUUACCGCGGGACAUGCAUCCAGAUUCAUCGAAUCUGGACAAGAGUAGGCAAAGGGUUCACUUUGGCCAGUCAACAUAAUUUUCUGUGUAUUGACCAGAUCUGGUCUUUGUUAUAUUUUCUAUGUCUUAUUUUCACACAAAAUGAUUUAUUUCAUUUUGACUAAAACUUGUAUAAGUACUCCAUCAUUUCUGAAUAAAGAUGAUCGAUUUUUCCCUUCAAAACUUCUUAAGUUUUCUCUCUUUGUUCAUUGCAAAGAACUUGUUCUUAGUUUACUUUGGUGUGGUUAGCAUCCGAGCAAACACCUUGUCUAAUCGGACCGGUGAGUCACAUCCGGCGAUCUAGUCAAGUCAGUCUCCACAACGGACCUGUGAGUCACAUCAGGCGUUGUUCAGACUUGGAAAUAUCGAAGGCCUUCCGCAUCCUUCGUGAGAUCCCUCGAUCCAUCACUUCUCCAUCCGGAGAUCCUAUCAAAUACCGUACCGGCUGAGUGUUCCGAUCUAAGGGUCUAUCAAAGUGGUAUCAGAGCCACUCAACCGGUAUCAUCUUCUCAUUCCAUCUUCUCAUCUACCAUCUUCUUCAUCUAAAAAGUUCUUCUUCUAUCUAUCUUGAACCCGGGCCACUCAUUACCACCAUAUAAAAAAAAAAAAAAAAAAAACAGUAUAAAAAAAAAAAAAAUAAGAAAGAUUGUGGUGGUGGUGGAAGAGAAAGCCUGCUGGCUGAAGAGUAAUCCGGCCUUUGAGUUGGUUAAGGCGGGUUCCCCUUGUAAUCUCUUAUCUACCUUCUCUUGUGACCCUUGUUUGAUUGGAUCUGACCCACUGAGUAUCUUUGGACUUGUCUUUCUCUGAACUUUGAGAACAAACCAAAAUCUUGUGUGAACCACUUCAAAUCUUUGAGAGAAACACGUGAGUGGGAAAGGAAACAAACACUUGAGAGUGUGAGGUAUUUGUUACCCUAACGUUUAUUGUUGAGAAUUUCAGGAAGAACCAUGAGCAGUGAGGAAGAACGGAACCGUCCCGGAAAUUCUGUAGCCGGACUCUCAAACCUCCAAAUGAGGGCUUUAAACGAUACUUUUACUAACCUUAUGAAUGCAGGACUUGAGCAGAUCCAUCAAAGGUUAGAUGAGAUUCAGGAGAGCCAACAAACCAGAUCUAGAACCGGAACCAGACGAGCUCAACCUAGACGGAACAGCCAAUCCGAUCUAGAAAUCUUUGACGAAGAUACCAACGAUGAUCAAUCCAUCAACCGACCCAGGAGAGGACAUAGAAACCGAAACCCAGGUGAAGUCAAUCCUUUUGCUAGAGCUGAACGAAAUGAAAAUGGGUUGGGUGCUUUGAAAUUGAAAAUUCCAAGCUUUGAAGGAAAGAAUGAUCCUGAUGUCUUUUUAGAAUGGGAAAGGAAAAUUGAACUGGUUUUUGAUUGUCAAAACUUGUCUGAUAUUAGGAAGGUUAGGUUAGCAGCUUCUGAAUUUUCUGGCUAUGCUAUUAACUGGUAUGACCGAGUUGUGACUCACAGGAGGAGAACAGGUGAAGCACCAGUGGAGACUUGGUUGGGGCUUAUUACGCUUAUGCGGAAACGCUUCGUACCGGACCAUUACCAACGCGACCUACACCACAAACUCAGGAGGCUACUUCAGGGAACAAAGUCGGUUGAGGACUACCAUCAGGAAAUGGAGACUUUGAUGCUUAAGGCUGAUGUGGAUGAACCUGUAGACGCAACCAUGGCUAGAUUCCUCACUGGACUCAACCGGGACAUCCAAGACCGCAUGGAACUUCAGGAUUAUAGUGACAUGGAACAGAUGCUACACAAGGCUAUCCUGAUUGAGCAGCAAGUCAAAAGGAAAGGACUCUCCAAAUCCACCUUCCCUUCAAAAUCACCUUUUCCAUCUAAGCCUAGCUACCAAGACAAAGGUAAGUAUCCUGCCACAACAAAUACUGCUUUGAAAACUGAUGUUCCUACUCGUGUGGAUAAAGGAAAAGCAGUGGAAAACCCCAGCAGAACAAGAGACAUAAGGUGUUUCAAGUGUCAGGGCCUCGGACACUAUGCCAACAAAUGUCCAAACCAGCGGGUGAUGGUUCUUUUGGAAAAUGGUGAUGUAGAAUCCGAGGAGGACAAAGAGGAAAAAGAGGACCUUGGUCCCAUUUUUGAUGAGGAAGAAGAGCCCUUUGAUUACCCAGCCAGUGGACCACUUCUUGUUACAAGAAAGCUCUUGGAGGAACCGAUCUUAGAGGACGAAAUUGAGGAAGUAAUUGAUGAGUUCUGUUCCUCGUUUGUUAAAGAAACAGGACCGGUCUACGACGAGGACAAUCUCAGCUUUCCAGCUACUGGUCCUCUUCUUGUCACUAGACGAUCCUUAAGUGUUCAGCCUAAAACCGACGAGAAGGAACAAAGGGAGAAUCUCUUUCACUCUAGAUGUUUUGUUUCUUCUAAAGUUUGCUCUUUGAUUAUAGAUGGUGGCAGCUGUACCAACGUGGCUAGUGAUACCUUGGUGAAGAAACUUGGACUUGUUACACGUCCACUUGCCAAACCUUUCAGGUUGGAAUGGUUGAAUGAGGACGGAGAGCAAUACGUCAAGGAACAGGUGACUGUUCCGAUCACUAUCGGACGGUACGAGGAUGAGGUCGUGUGUAACGUCCUUCCCAUGGACGCUUGUCACAUUCUUUUGGGUCGACCUUGGCAGUUCGACAAGAGGGCUGUCCAUGAUGGCUACACAAACCGCCACUCCUUUGAACACAAUGGAAAGAAAAUCACCUUGGUUCCCCUUUCUCCCUUAGAAGUUCACCAAGAUCAAAUCCAACUUAAGAAGGGACGAGAACAAGACUCCAAACCUGAGGCAUCAGCAAGAAAUUCCAACUUCUACAUCAAACAAGGUCAGGUAAGAAAAACCCUUGCCACCAAAAAGCCAUUCCUUUUGCUUGUUUAUAAGGAAUCUCUUAUGGCCUCAUCUUCUUCUCACCUUGCACCGGACAUUCCGAGUGAUUUGAAAGGAUUAUUGCAGGAGUUUUCUGAUGUAUUUCCUGAAGAAAAUCCAAAAGGAUUGCCUCCAAUCCGUGGCAUUGAACAUCAGAUCGAUCUCGUUCCAGGCGCGUCCUUGCCAAACCGACCAGCGUACCGCACUAACCCCGUCGAGACCAAGGAACUCCAAAAGCAGAUUGAUGAUCUUCUUGACAAAGGAUACAUCCGAGAAAGCCUCAGCCCAUGUGCUGUACCUGUCCUACUCGUGCCAAAGAAAGAUGGGUCGUGGAGGAUGUGUGUGGACUGUCGGGCCAUAAACAACAUCACGGUAAAGUAUCGCCAUCCCAUCCCUCGUCUUGAUGACAUGCUUGAUGAACUUCAUGGUGCUUGUGUCUUUUCUAAGAUAGACUUGAAAAGUGGAUACCACCAGAUUAGAAUGAAAGAGGGAGAUGAAUGGAAAACGGCCUUUAAAACAAAACUAGGAUUGUAUGAAUGGUUAGUUAUGCCUUUUGGUUUGACUAAUGCACCUAGUACUUUCAUGCGUCUGAUGAACCAUGUGUUGAGAUCCUUUAUUGGUCAUUUGUUGUUGUGUAUUUUGAUGAUAUUCUUGUUUAUAGCAAAAACCAUGAGGAACAUCAAAGGCAUUUGAGAGCCGUUCUUGAAGUCCUUAGGGACGAACGUUUGUUUGCUAACCUUGGAAAGUGUUCUUUUGGUACAGAUCAAGUUGUUUUCCUAGGUUUUGUUGUAGGAAAAGAUGGCCUGAAGGUUGAUGAAGAAAAGGUCAAAGCCAUCCGCGACUGGCCCAUUCCUAAGUCCGUAAGUGAGGUUCGAAGCUUCCAUGGCCUUGCUGGUUUCUAUCGACGGUUCGUCCAAGACUUCAGUUCUAUAGCCGCUCCUCUCACUGAGGUUAUCAAGAAGAAUGUGGGUUUCAAGUGGGAACAACCUCAGCAGGAAGCUUUCCAAAUCCUAAAAGAGAAGUUAACUCAAGCCCCUCUUCUUGCUUUACCCGAUUUUUCUAAAACUUUUGAGAUUGAGUGUGAUGCUUCCGGAGUGGGUAUUGGUGCUGUUCUUAUGCAGGAUAGGAAACCCAUCGCAUACUUUAGUGAAAAACUUGGAGGAGCUACCUUGAAUUACCCAACCUACGACCAGGAGCUUUAUGCUUUGGUGAGAGCACUUCAAACUUGGCAGCACUACCUUUGGCCCAAGGAAUUCGUCAUUCAUACCGACCAUCAGUCCCUGAAACAUUUGAAGGGACAACAGAAGCUUAACAAGCGCCAUGCUCGUUGGGUUGAAUUCAUUGAGACAUUUCCAUACGUGAUCAAGUAUAAACAAGGUAAGGAAAAUGUUGUGGCCGAUGCCUUGUCACGCAGGUAUGUUCUCCUUUCAGCUCUUGAGACCAAACUUCUUGGAUUUGAAUUUAUCAAAGAGAUUUAUGCAUCUGAUCCGGAUUUCAAAGAGGUUUUCAAAAAGAGUUCCAAAACUGCUUAUGGGAAGUAUUAUCAGGUUGCUGGUUUCUUGUUUUAUGAUAACCGCUUGUGUGUUCCCCAAUGUUCUUUGAGGGAGUUGUUUGUCAGGGAAGCACACGGAGGUGGCUUGAUGGGACACUUUGGUGUGAAGAAAACCUACAAGGUUGUGUUCGAUCAUUUCUAUUGGCCGGGUCUCAUGAAAGAUGUUGAGAGGAUUUGCAGUCGAUGUGUUGUGUGCAAAAAGUCUAAAUCCAAAGUCUUGAACCAAGGUUUGUAUACAGCUCUACCCAUCCCUUCUCAUCCAUGGGUAGACAUUUCUAUGGACUUUGUACUUGGAUUGCCGCGAUCCAAGUCAGGUAAGGAUUCCAUCUUUGUUGUGGUUGAUAGAUUUUCAAAGAUGUCUCAUUUCAUUGCAUGCCAUAAGACUGAUGAUGCUACUCACAUUGCUGAACUGUUCUUUAGAGAAGUGGUUAGGUUGCAUGGAAUGCCUAAGACUAUCGUUUCAGAUAGAGAUGCUAAGUUCCUUAGCUACUUUUGGAAAACUUUGUGGUCUAAAUUAGGCACUAAAUUGAUGUUCUCUACUACUUGUCAUCCUCAAACUGAUGGACAAACUGAGGUUGUGAACCGUUCACUAUCUGCCUUGCUUAGGUCUUUGAUAAAGAAAAACUUGAAAACUUGGGAAGAAUGUUUGCCGCAUGUGGAAUUUGCUUAUAACCAUUCUAUGCAUUCAGCUACUCAGUUUUCACCUUUUGAGGUUGUGUAUGGGUUUAAUCCUCUUUCUCCACUUGAUCUUUUACCUCUUCCUUUGAGUGAACGUGUUAGCACAGAUGGCAAGAAGAAGGCGGACACAAUAAAGAAGAUGCAUGAACGGGUCCGAGCUAACAUCAUGGCCAGAACAGAAAGGUACACUCGACAAGCCAACAAGAAACGUAAGGAGGUCGUUUUUGAAGAAGGAGAUUUGGUUUGGGUUCACUUGAGGAAGGAACGUUUUCCGGAAGAAAGAAAAUCUAAGCUCAUGCCCCGUGUGGACGGACCAUUUCAGAUCAUCAGAAAAAUCAGUGACAAUGCGUAUCAAUUGGAUCUGAAAGGUAAUUAUGAUAUCUCUUCAAGCUUCAACGUUUCUGAUUUAUCUCCUUUUCUUGUAGAUGUUCCGGAUUUGUGGACAAAUCCUCUUAAAGGAGGAGGGAAUGAUGCACCUCAGAUCAUGGAGCAGUCCGUUGGACAAGUCCAACAUGAAGAUCAGAACAGUCCGAGAUUUUCAACAGAGGUUCAUCCGGACGACCGUACCGAACGCACUGACCGGGCCGUGUACCGGAUCGACCCGCGUACGUCCGGAAUGGAGCUUCGUUUGGAUCCACGUCCAGACGAUCGAUCUGACCGUACUGAAGCUCGGCUACCCCGACCAACUCGUCAAGUUAGGAAGAUCGAUCAAGCCAAACUCUCAUCCGAACGCACCGAUUUCGAAUCAGACCGCAGCUUCUCAUUUCUGACCCGACUGGCUCUUACCGCGGGCACUGCCGAACGUACCGCCGAACGUUCUGAAAAUCCGACUUACCAGUUUGAUCCGAUUCUUCAGUUUGAUCAUCUGAGCUUCUCAAGGGGAAGGAUACUUAAGCUCUCUGAAGAUAUUGGACACAUUUGGAACACAUCAGUUCAUGAGUUUCCUUCAUCCGAUCAUGCAGACCGUCCGGACCAUGUACUGCUCCUUACCGCGGGACAUGCAUCCAGAUUCAUCGAAUCUGGACAAGAGUAGGCAAAGGGUUCACUUUGGCCAGUCAACAUAAUUUUCUGUGUAUUGACCAGAUCUGGUCUUUGUUAUAUUUUCUAUGUCUUAUUUUCACACAAAAUGAUUUAUUUCAUUUUGACUAAAACUUGUAUAAGUACUCCAUCAUUUCUGAAUAAAGAUGAUCGAUUUUUCCCUUCAAAACUUCUUAAGUUUUCUCUCUUUGUUCAUUGCAAAGAACUUGUUCUUAGUUUACUUUGGUGUGGUUAGCAUCCGAGCAAACACCUUGUCUAAUCGGACCGGUGAGUCACAUCCGGCGAUCUAGUCAAGUCAGUCUCCACAACGGACCUGUGAGUCACAUCAGGCGUUGUUCAGACUUGGAAAUAUCGAAGGCCUUCCGCAUCCUUCGUGAGAUCCCUCGAUCCAUCACUUCUCCAUCCGGAGAUCCUAUCAAAUACCGUACCGGCUGAGUGUUCCGAUCUAAGGGUCUAUCAAGGUCCAAGCAAUCCGGGACUGGCCGAUUCCGACCACCAUUGGUGAAGUGAGAAGCUUCCAUGGCCUUGCCGGCUUCUAUAGGCGAUUUGUUCAGAACUUCAGUACCUUGGCCGCUCCUCUUUCUGAAGUAAUCAAGAAGAACGUGGGGUUCAAAUGGGGACCAGCUCAGGAAGAAGCAUUCGAAAUCCUUAAAGGGAAGUUGACUCACGCCCCUUUACUUGUACUUCCAGAUUUUUCUAAAGCUUUUGAAAAUCGAAUGUGAUGCUUCUGGUGUUGGUAUUGGUGCUGUGUUGAUGCAUGAUGGAAAACCAGUGGCUUAUUUCAGUGAGAAGCUUGGAGGAGCCAUGCUCAACUACCCCACAUACGACCAAGAACUCUAUGACUUGGUGAGGGCCCUUCAAACGUGGCAGCAUUAUGUUUGGCCUAAGGAGUUCAUCAUCCACACUGAUCAUCAGUCUCUAAGACACCUUAAGGGUCAGCAUAAGCUCAACAAGAGGCAUGCUCGUUGGAUGGAGUUCAUUGAGACAUUCCCUUAUGUGAUCAAGUACAAACAAGGUAAGGAGAAUGUUGUGGCCGAUGCAUUGUCUCGAAGGUAUACUCUUCUCUCAGCCCUUGAAACAAAAUUGCUUGGUUUUGAGUUUAUCAAAGAUUUAUACAAAUUGUGGGAACCGAAAUUCGCACUGUCGAUUUCCGUUUAAAUAAGGAAACUAGGAAAACCCUAAUUUUCCAGAGGACCCAGAUAUCUGCUAAUAACCACACGUCAAGCAAUCAGAACACGAGAAUAACAACGACAAAGUAUAAUAAAUCGAGAAAGAGAGCAAAGAAGAUCUUAUUCCGAAUUUGCGUAUGAGCGUUUACAACAAGGUAUAAGCCUGAGCUCGAGAGCUGUCGGCGAGAUUCUUAGUUCUAGUAACCCUAAGACGGCUAAACCUAAUUGAGUCGCAGCUCAAAAUAACAAAAACGGAAAAUUGCCUAAAUUUCUCUAAGUGCUAAGUUUGCUCUGAAAAGUUCUCUCUCAUGCUCCUCGCCUAGGACUCCUUAUAUACUAGCUCCAAGGUCGGUUUACGCUUUUACUCUUCUGCCCUUAAGCCGUCAUAAAAAUGGAGAUAUUCCAUUUUUCCCGAUUUUCACAAUUAUCUUCAAAACUUCCGUAUUUAUCCGCGGAAACUUGACAUUUAUCCUUCCUUGUGGACCAAGCGUAAACCGUGCUGUGGUUUACGGGCUUUUGGUUAAGAAAUCGCAGGAUGGGCCUCAAGUCGUGUUUUAGGUCCCUUUGGGCCGUCUUCCAACUCGAAGCGUUUACUACGAUUUCUUUCGACAAAGAAAGAACUUUCCGCGGUUUCUAAUCCGCGAAGUUUGAUCGAUGAUUUAGAAUAGCGGAAAACAUAGACUGAGCUCGUUACGGUCUUCGGGAGAUAACAUUUGAAGGUUUGACGAGAAUGCAUGUACUGAUGUCAUACUGAUGUUCGGAAGAGCUUGGUCACUACGCAGCGACCGAACUUUGGCUCGAGCCCGGUCGCUACGUAGCGACCGAGCGAGACGGACGCUCGGUCGCUACGUAGCGACCGAGCGAGAUGGACGCUCGGUCGCUACAUAGCGACCGAGCGAGACGGACAUGUUCAUGAUCGUCUGGAUAUGUUGCUAGCGUUUAGACGAAUAUUAAGAUUGUCGUUUGCCUAUUCUUGACGAUUUGCAGAAGUUUUUUGAAGUUUGGGAGUAUACGAGUAUAGUAUACGUACCUACUCCCACUUUUUUUUUUUUUACGAAAGAAAACGGUUGAACCGAUACUUUGAAGGGUUGUGUACGUUUCCUCCUUUGAUGUUUGGAAUGAUCGAUAAUUCGGGGCGAUUUAUAGACGACGCUUGGACUGUGAUUUGGUUGUUUCCACGUUGACGACUUGGGAUAUGUCGGUUCCGAGAAAAUUGCCAGAAACGAAUCGGUUUUAAGACAACGUUCAUGUCUCUAACUUUUUCUCUCUUUAGGAAGCGAGCAUGAUAUACGUGGCGAUCGUUUCUCGACUUUCGGAGAGUUUAGAUCGGUUUGCAAGAUCUGGAUGAACAAUUAUGGAACAAUAUACCGAGACAGGAAAAAUCGCCUAAGACUUAUUUCGCUAGACUAUCCACCUAGGUUUUAAGUUCCCUAAAGUUCUACGGCAGUCUCUUAGGCGUUUCUAUUUCUUAGUAAUUUUCUACGAAAUUCCAAGCCUGAUUUCAAGUCGGGAAUACCUUAGUUCUCUCGUAAAUCUGGGUUAGCGUCUUCUCUGUUUUGCUUGCUCAUUUGCCCUUACUUUUUUCGUGUCUGUCUGCUCAUUUUGAAUAGCAAGAAUAUUGAUUAUUCCUGGAUAUCUAUGCUUUCCUGGCCGCUUUUAGGCAGCUACCAAUUUUCUCGAUUUUCGUGAUCCAUGUUUCGAUCUUAAUAUCAUUGGAUUUACGAAAAUGAAUGAGCAUAUCGUCGAAAAAAUCGAGUUGUGAGAGGAAGGAUUGGGAGAUCAUGGAGAGAGGCGGAUGGGCGAAUUCUGAUUCUCGGAUUUUGCUCCAUCGCUUCCCUUAUCAGAGAUUCUUUUUCUACGAUUGUUGUUAGAAUUUUGAAGGUUGUCAAAUGUUGCUUAUUUUAGUUUUACGAAAGUUUUUCCGAAAAAAUAAUAGCGAUCGACUCGUUCGCAGGUUGGUCACUACGAAGCGACCGACCGAGUGGCUAGGUCGCUCGAUACGUAGUGACCGACCGAGUGGCUUGGUUGCUCAAUACGUAGCGACUGACAGAGUGGCUUGGUCGCUCAAUACGUAGCGAUCGACCGAGUGGCUAGGUCGCUAAAUACGUAGAGACCGAUCGAGUGGCUAGGUCGCUCAAUACGUAGCGACCGACCGAGUGUCUUGACCGACCGAGUGUCUUGGUCGCUCAAUACGUAGCGACCGACUGAGAGUCUUCGUCACUCAAUACGUAGUGACCGACGGAGUGUCUUGGUCGCUCAAUACGUAGCGACCGACUGAGUGUCUUGGUCGCUCAAUACGUAGCGACCGACUGAGAGUCAUCACUCAAUACAUAGCGACCGACGGAGUGUCUUCCUCGCUCAAUACGUAGCGACCGAUCGAGUGGCUAGGUCGCUCAAUACGUAGCGACCGACCAAGUGUCUUGGUCGCUCAAUACGUAGCGACCGACUGAGAGUCUUCGUCACUCAAUACGUAGUGACCGACGAAGUGUCUUGGUCGCUCAAUACGUAGCGACCGAUCGAGUGGCUAGGUCACUCAAUACGUAGCGACCGAUCGAGUGGCUAGGUCACUCAAUACGUAGCGACCGACGGAGUGUCUUGGUCGCUCAAUACGUAGCGACCGACUGAGUGUCUUGGUCGCUCAAUACGUAGCGACCGACUGAGAGUCAUCACUCAAUACAUAGCGACCGACGGAGUGUCUUCCUCGCUCAAUACGUAGCGACCGAUCGAGUGGCUAGGUUGCUCAAUACGUAGCGACCGACCGAGUGUCUUGGUCGCUCAAUAUGUAGCGACCGACUGAGAGUCUUCGUCACUCAAUACGUAGUGACCGACGGAGUGUCUUGGUCACUCAAUACGUAGCGACCGAUCGAGUGGCUAGGUCACUCAAUACGUAGCGACCGACCGAAUGUCUUGUCACUCAAUACGUAGCGACCGACGGAGUGUCUUGGUCGCUCAAUACGUAGCGACCGACUGAGUAUCUUGGUCGCUCAAUACGUAGCGACCGACUGAGAGUCAUCACUCAAUACAUAGCGACCGACGGAGUGUCUUCCUCGUUCAAUACGUAACGACCGAUCGAGUGGCUAGGUCGCUCAAUACGUAGCGACCGACUGAGUGUCUUGGUCGCUCAAUACGUAGCGACCGACUGAGAGUCUUCGUCACUCAAUACAUAGUGACCGACGGAGUGUCUUGGUCGCUCAAUAUGUAGCGACCGACGGAGUGUCUUGGUCGCUCAAUAUGUAGCGACCGACUGAGUGUCUUGGUCGCUCAAUACGUAACGACCGACUGAGAGUCAUCACUCAAUACAUAGCGACCGACGGAGUGUCUUCCUCGCUCAAUACGUAGCGACCGAUCGAGUGGCUAGGUCGCUCAAUACGUAGUGACCGACCGAGUGUCUUGGUCGCUCAAUACGUAGCGACCGACUGAGUGUCUUCGUCACUCAAUACGUAGUGACCGACGGAGUGUCUUGGUCGCUCAAUACGUAGCGACCGAUCGAGUGGCUAGGUCACUCAAUACGUAGCGACCGACUGAGAGUCUUCGUCACUCAAUACGUAGCGACCGACGGAAUGGCUAGGUCGCUCAAUACAUAGUGAGUGACCGAGUGCCUUCGUCGCUCAAUAUGUAGCGACCGACCGAUUGGCUUGGUCGCUCAAUACGUAGCGAAUGGUCGGACCAAGGCCGAUCUACCCCCAGUUUUAUCUGUACUUCCACAGUUUGGUCGUUACCGCGCGGUUCCAGGCCUAUCGAGUGGUGUUGCGAAGUCGAGUCUUUUCCCGCGAGCUUUAGUGGUUCCGCGGGGAUGGAUUGCUCGAGUCCUUGCCGUUAAGGUUUCAACCUGUUUGGUCAAGGUAUUCACGAGCUUAUCCUGUUCUUCCGACCUUUUCUCAUAGGUGGCGAACAUCUUUUUAAACUCCUCGAGCAUCGCGGCGUUGGCUUGUGCAUUGGCCGCGGAUAAGUCCGCUGCUGGAGAAUGGAGAUCGGUGCCGCUGCCUCCGUUAAGAGGGAUUUGCACGUUAUCCGCGUCGUUAGUUGACAUGUCUGAUUGAGAGUGUUGUGGCUUUUGCGGGUUAGAUUGAUCCGUAAGUCCCCCUCCUUCUAGCGCCAAACUGUGGGAACCGAAAUUCGCACUGUCGAUUUCCGUUUAAAUAAGGAAACUAGGAAAACCCUAAUUUUCCAGAGGACCCGGCUAAACCUAAUUGAGUCGCAGCUCGAAAUAACAAAAACGGAAAAUUGCCUAAAUUUCUCUAAGUGCUAAGUUUGCUCUGAAAAGUUCUCCCUCAUGCUCCUCGCCUAGGACUCCUUAUAUACUAGCUCCAAGGUCGGUUUACGCUUUUACUCUUCUGCCCUUAAGCCGUCAUAAAAAUGGAGAUAUUCCAUUUUUCCCGAUUUUCACAAUUAUCUUCAAAACUUCCGUAUUUAUCCGCGGAAACUUGACAUUUAUCCUUCCUUGUGGACCAAGCGUAAACCGUGCUGUGGUUUACGGGCUUUUGGUUAAGAAAUCGCAGGAUGGGCCUCGAGUCGUGUUUUAGGUCCCUUUGGGCCGUCUUCCGACUCGAAGCGUUUACUACGAUUUCUUUCGACAAAGAAAUAAUUUUCCGCGGUUUCUAAUCCGCGAAGUUUGAUCGAUGAUUUAGAAUAGCGGAAAACAUAGACUGAGCUUGCUACGGUCUUCGGGAGAUAACAUUUGAAGGUUUGACGAGAAUGCAUGUACUGAUGUCGUACUGAUGUUCGGAAGAGCUCGGUCACUACGCAGCGACCGAACUUUGGCUCGAGCCCGGUCGCUACGUAGCGACCGUGCUUGGCUCGGGCUCGGUCGCUACGUAGCGACCGAGCUUGGCUCAGGCUCGGUCGCUACGUAGCGACCGAGCGAGACGGACGCUCGGUCACUACGUAGCGACCGAGCUUGGCUCCAGCUCGGUUGCUACGUAGCAACCGAGCGGGACGGACGCUCGGUCGCUACGUAGCGACCGAGCUGUGUGCAUGCUUGGUCGCCGCAUAUCGAGCGAGCUUAGCUUGUCCGCGGUCUGAUUUCCAUACUCGAGUUUGUACGCGGCCGAUUUGGAUACAUGUCCGUUGCCUUCGGACAAUCGGUAUUUAGUGGUUCGAUUGAGAUUUGGACGAUAUUUUACUGCAAGGCUCUUCGUAAAGAUAUCUUUACGAAGAUUACUUUUCGUAAAAACGUUUAUGCUGAUUUUUACGGACUUUCAGACAUUGAUUCCGUCGUGACCGAUUUUGACCCCAACACGAAUCUGAUCAAGAUUUCAAAGAGGUUUUCCGAAAAUGUUCCAAGGUCGCUUAUGGAAAGUAUUUUCAAAACUAUGGAUUCCUAUUCUUUGAUAACCACUUGUGUGUGCCCCAAUGUUCUUUGAGGGAGUUGUUUCUCAGGGAAGCUCAUGGAGGAGGUCUUAUGGGAGACUUUGGUGUUAAAAAAACUUACAAGGCGGUUCAUGAUCACUUCUAUUGGCCAAUCAGAAAAGAAAGGAGGUUAUUUUAAAAGAAGGUGAUCUUGCUACGGUCCCGCUCGGUCGCUACGUAGCGACCGAGCACUCGUGUCACUCGGUCGCUACGUAGCAACCGGGCGCGAGCCAAAGUUCGGUCGCUGUGUAGCGAUUGAACCUUUCCGAACAUCGAUACGACACCAGUCCAUGCAUUCUCGUCAAACCUUCGAAUGCUAUCUCCCGAAGACCGUAGCAAGCUCAGUCCAUGUUUCCCGCUAUUCUAAUUCAUCGAUCAAACUUCGCGGAUUAGAAACCGCGGAAAAUUCGUAGUAAACGUGUCGAGUCGGAAGACGGCCCAAAGGGACCUAAAACACGAUUCGAAGCCCAUCCUACGAUUUUCCUAACCAAAAGCCCGUAAACCACAGCAUGGUUUACGCUUGGCCCACGAGGAAGGAUAAAUGUCAAGUUUCCGCGGAUAAAUACGGAAGUUUUGAAGAUAAUUAUGAAGAUCGGGAAAAAUGGAAUAUCUCCAUUUUAUGCUAUGACGGCUUAAGGGCAGAAGAGUAAAAGCGUAAACCGACCUUGGAGCUAGUAUAUAAGGAGUCCUAGGGGAGGAGCAGAGAGAGAACUUUUUCAGAGCAAACUUAGCACUUAGAGCAAUUUAGGCAAUUUUCCGUUUUUGUUAUUUCGAGCUGCGACUCAAUUAGGUUUAGCCGUCUUAGGGUUGCUAGAACUAGGAAUCUCGCCGACAGCUCUCGAGCCCAGGCUUAUACCUUGUUGUAACGCUCAUACGCAGAUUCGGAAUAAGAUCUACUUUGCUCUCUUUUCGAUUUCUUAUUUUUAUCGUUGUUGUUCUCGUGUUCUGAUUGCUUGACGUGUGGUAAUUAACAGAUAUCCGGGUCCUCUGGGAAAUUAGGGUUUUCCUAGUUUCCUUAUUUAAACGGAAAUCGACAGUGUGAAUUUCGGUUCCCACAGCCGCCUGUUAGACUAUAUUAUUAGGGUUUUGUAUCAUUUUAGAGGCAGACUUGCCUAGAGACCUUUUAGGCCUAGUCUGGAGAGAAGCAACCAACCACCAUUUGAGGGAGAGAGAGCUUAUGAUUGGAGAGAUAGAUGUGAACAACAAAACAUAGAAGAUCUUGAACUCCCUUGUUUUCAUUUUCUCUAUUGUUUUCAUUUAUUUAAGUAUUAUUCAGACAAUCGUACUGCUGAUUAUUUGGCUAAGCAAACCCUAAUGAGCCAUCGUACUGCCCCUCUGGGCUAGACUACUCGGCCUGAGGCCAAGACUUUUUUCACAUUAGCUUUAAAUAUAAAAACAGUUUGACAAAAAAAAAGUAUUAUUCCGACCAUCAUAACCAUGUUUCUUAUGAAUAAGAUACCACUCAAAUUAUCCUAAGGAGGGAUUUAUACUCUCUCAAAUAAGAGGUCGAGUUGUAGUACUUAGGGAUCGAAUUCACAAGGAGUUAGGGAACCUAGAGUUUAUAAUAUGUUUUGUUAAGCAGGUGGUUUUAAGAGUUUUUAAAAGUAAAUUGCAGAUUAUAUAUUGAACAAAUAAUUGUUCAAUAGCAAGUUUCGGGUUUUGGUGCUUUAAAAAGGAAAUAGCUACUUAGGGUUUUUACUCAGGAGAGUUGGAAUUAUAAUCCUACAGAUGCCUAAUGAGUUGCAUGCAUGAUAAUGUAAAGCUCAACUAUUUGAUCAACAAGUCUUUCGGCCUUUGCGAGCAUUGACUUAUUGACUAUUAACUAGAUCUAUGAUCUCAACUCUUGUUAUAUUGAUCUAUAGAAAGUGUCGACCGAUAUUCCAAUGGGCGCAUCGAUCGAUACACCUUUUGCACCGUCGAUCGAUUAUUCAAGUAUGAUAUCGAUCGACGCGCUCUAGUCAAGCUUUAUGCGCAGGUUGAAUAAAUGUUUACUAAGCUUAGUAGAUCAGCUCUCGCCUUGCUCAUAGUAAGAAACAAAGUUCAGUUAGAAUGUUUUCAGGAUGAGAAUUAGCAAUGGCUUUUAUCAAUCAAUCCUAGGACAAGUUUUAGGUAGCUAAUCUAGAGACAAACAUUAAUGAACAAUUCUAGUGAUGAUUAUCACAACUCAGCUAUCCAUAGUUGGAGCUAAUCCCUCCUAACCUAUUUAAACCCUAAAAUCUAACAAGAGAACUACUCAGACAUGGCUAAACAAUUCAUAACAAUAGUUAGAUAUAAAAACUGCAUAGAAUAGAUAAGAUAAAUAUCAAUGAAGUUCCAGUCACAAAUUAUAACUUUGGAUCUUCUCUCCUAUAUAUCAGUAAACAAUAAAACACAAAGAAGAACACAAAACAAAAGCACGCUCUGCCUAUAACAGGGAUGCAAAGCUUAUAUAAUUAGGGUAAAACUCGUCACGGGCAAUCUUGUAAAAUAGUGAAAUCUUGGGCUUCAAGUCGGCUGUGACCAAACGGGCUUCUGCACGCUUCGAUAUCGAUCGACACCAUAACUUGUGUAUCGAUCGAUUCUAGCUCUCCAAUAUCGACUGAUUCUCGAUCUCGAUGGUCAUCUCAGUUGCUUGCUCCAAAUAUCUCCAAAAUGCUCCAAAAUCAUCACUUAUCUCCAAAACCUUCCUGGUCUUAUAGGUAUAAUAAAUAAGCUCUAUAAUAAUAUAAAUAUUAGUAAAAACACUUAUCAACUAGGGAUAAAAAUGGGUCAAAUCCAUAGUCUACCAAUCAGACAUCUCCCUUAGCUAUUGCAAUCUGGUGAUAUCCCGAUGCCAAGUCAAUCUUAGAGAAUAAUGAAUCUCCCUGCAACUGGUCCAACAACUCGUCGAUACGCGGAAGAGGAUACUUAUUCUUGAUGGUCACUUUGUUCAUACCUUUGUAGUCGAUAGAAAGCAUGAAACUCCCAUCUUUCUUCUUCACAAAUAAUAUCGGUGCUACCCACGACGAAGUACUCGGCCUGAUAAAACCCUUAUCUGAAAGUUCCUCAAACUGUUUCUUUAACUCAACCAUCUCUGCUGGCGCUAAACGGUAUGGAGCUCGUGAAACUGGUGCUGCUCCUGACUCCACCUUUAUCUUAAGAACACGUCUGCCCUAGGUGAUGGUGGUCUUUUUAAAGCCUCAAAAAUGUCCUCGUACUCUGCAACAACUGGAAUGUCAUGCAGCUCCUGCUGGCCAUCCUCCUUAACCAUCGAAAUGGUCACCAAAAACCCCUUUGCUCCUCUCUCCAAUAACUCCUCUGCGUGCCACAUGGAGAAAAUGGAAAUUCCCUGGUGCUCGUAAAGCUUUCUGGGAGAAGCAUCGAUUGACGCGACGACCGUUUAAGCGAUCGAUAUUUUGAAAGGUGUAUCAGUCAAUAUUCUUUACAAAUCAUGGAUCCACACUUUCUUGUGAUUAACAUACGAAAGUUGAAUUCCGAGAUCUAGAUUAGAUAAUCUUAUUGAUUUUACCUAAGUUUGAGUUCGAUAACAAUUAAUAUCAAUAAACCCCUAAAAACCAAAAUUAAGUUGUUUACUUAUCAUACCCGAGAAUAUACCUGAAUUAGCUAUUUCCCCAACUAUCAACAACCUCAAAUCAAACCAAUCGAGCAACUGCCUUGCUCACCAUUUCAUUUACUGCUUAAAACCUAUUAAUCUAAAUUUAUUUCGAAGACUAUAAAUUUACUGUGUAAUCAUAUAGUCUCUGUGGAUUCAAUUCCUAUCUACAUCUGAACCUCUUAUUUGAGAGAGUAAUUCACUCCUAAUGGUAAUUUAAGUGAUAUCAAAUUUGGUGCCAUUGCCGGGGACUCUUUCUUAUAACCAUUAGAUUAAGUUUAGAAUAUACUCUUGAUUUUGUUACUGAAUUUGCUAAAGUUUUCCUUCUUUCCCUGCUGACACAGGCACUUAAGACGGAGAACAUGGAUUUCGGCUGGACAUUGAUCGACGUAAUAGCAACAAUGUCGAGCGAAGAGUCGAUGGAAACAUCGAUCGACGUUGCACUACAAACAUCGAUCGACGCUGCACUACAGACAUCGAUCGACGAGUCAACGGAAACAUCGAUCGACGCUUCACUACAAAUAUCGAUCGACCACACUCCGCCGGAAGCAGGUAAGUUUUCUCUUACCAAUCAUGCUAAUGAAGAAGUAGUCCUAGGUGAACCCAAAUUUCAACUAAGCCAUGCAAUUAACCAAAUUAUAAAUAAACAGGGGACUGAAAUCCCUGUUAAAAUUAAUUCAAUCUCAAAUGGAGAUGAAGAAACAAAAUUGCCUUUGCAAGACUACUUAAAUCCUGGCAGGACCUAUUCCAAUAGGCCGGCCAUUAGAUUACCAAAUGACGAUACCAAGAAAUCCGGUCUUAACCUCGAAUACCUAAUCUUUGUACGUCAAAAUCCCUUCGGUGGAACCGUCUCAGAACACCCACACGAUCAUAUCAAAUACCUAGAAGACAUGAUGAUGGACAAAUACAACCGUUGUAAACUCUUCUCAUUUUCCUUAGAGGGCGACACAAGAAAAUGGCUAAAUCAACUACCAGCAGGAUCUCUGACCUGGUGGAAGGAAAUUAGGAGUGUCUUCAUUAAUCAUUUAUUCGAUGAGACGCGUUAUUGUGAUGUGAUGAAGAAAAUCUCCACAUCCUGCCAACGUCCACAGGAAUCAUUCAAAAACGCCUGGGGAAGAUUCAAGGGUUAUCAACUUAAAUAUCCCCAUCAUGGUUAUUCAGAACGACAGCUUAUUAACACCUUUUACGGGGGUGUUAACCUAUAUUACCAAACCACGCUUGACACAGCAAGUGAAGGGAGCUUCAGCACCAAGAGCCCUGAAGAAGCAAAGGUUUGAUUAAGAAUGUAGCAACAGGUAGAUCCUACGAGAUGAUGGACAUAGAACGAGGAAGAUGAGUUGAUUCCAUAAAUGGGCCACAUUUUUCUGAAAUUAAAGAGUCUCUGGACUCACUUCAUUCAGUUCUAGAGGAGCAAAAUAAAUUUGGAAUUUACCAAAUUGAUGAUGAUGUCAUUUCUGAUCUAGAACAACAUGUAGAUUUCGUAGAUAUCCCAAACCUGAAAGAUCGGUAUCCCAAUCCUGACACCGACAGCUUUACUCGAAAUUAUGAUGCUACCGUUGGAUCACGUUGAGGCAGAGAAAAAUUUAGGUUAAACCAAGCCUUCACGGGAAAUUUUCAAAUAGCCACUGACCUGAACGAAAAGAUAAAUAAAAUCUACAAUAAGCUAAUGAGGAAAUUCGACGCUCUGAGUGAACACAUUAAGAGACUGGACAGUCAGGUAGCGGAAAAUGCGACUGCCAUCAAAAGAGAAACAUGACGUCUCCCUGGGAGAACAGACGCAAACCCAAGACGUCAACUUAAUGUUGUGUUACUAAGAAGCGGAAAACGCCUUACCCCGAGUACUGUAGAAAUCACCUCUGCGGAAAAACCCGUUGAGGCUGAGAAAAUCCUGAUCGAGGAUCAGAACCUUCUCAGGAGAAAGAACCGUCCAACACUAAAAAAACUGAGAAGGCAACGAUCAGCCUCGAUGAAGAAGAGGAGGAGUCGGAAGAAUAUGUGGAAAUCGAUCGACAAGAGGGAAAUAAUAUCGAUUGACCGACUACGGUAAAUAUCGAUCGACAAACAGGAAAGAAUGUCGAUCGACACUCGACUCCAGCCAAACCGGCAGUAGAGAGAGUGUAUAGGACUUUGCCGCCCUUUCCUCCCAAAAAAUUGCAAACCAAGCGAGAAUUGGACAAAGCGAUUUACAAGAAAGUAUUCAAUAAAAUCACGUUAGAAAUGACACUAAGGGAUGCCAUGACAGUAUUGCCCUCAAUAAAGAAAUAUGUAUCCAACAGCUUCCCAGCUCCUAAACACAGCGUCAUGAUGGUUUCAGAGGAAGUAAGUGCAAUAAUCCAAGGCGAAACCCCGAUCAGGAGACCUGAUCCUGGCAGCUUUGUUCUAGAUUGCAACAUACGAAAUAAAAGUUUUCCUCGAUCCCUUUGUGACCUACGUUCCAAUGUUAAUCUCAUGCCGCACUAUAUUGGGAUAUCCCUGUGAUAUAACGAGUUCAAACCAACAAAACUAACUUUGGUUCUUGCUGAUAGAUCUGUUAGAGUACCUGACGGAGUACUAGAUGACGUGCCGAUAAUGAUUAACGACUGUCACGUACCAACGGACUUCGUUGUGUUGAAAUACCAGAAUGAACCAAAACAUCCCCUCAUUUUAGGUAGACGAUUUCUAGCUACAGCUGGAUCGAUCAUCGACGUCAAGGAAGGUCGGAUAUGUCUAAACAUUGGAAACAUUCCAAUGACCUUUGAUAUGUAAAAACUGAUAAGACGACCUCUAAUCGAUAAACAAGCUUUAUAUGUGGAUGAUAUCUCUGAGUUGGCUGAAGAAUCUUUCAUAGACCUAUGCUUAGACGAACCCCUGGAAAAAGUGCUUACAUUUACCGAAAAAGAAAUGUUCAGCAUCGACAGCAGGGCCGAUGAAUACGCACGAUUAAUGGACGCAAGUGUAGAGAUAUGAAAUGUCGAUGAUGUGGAGGAUGACAAUUCGGAAAUCAAUGUCGAUCGAUAUUUAAAGGGCACCGUCGAUUGACAACCAUCCACUCUAGAAAAUUGGAGCACCGCAAAAGCACCUAAAAUUGAAGCAACUACCUGCCGGACUUAAAUAUGCUUUUCUUUAUAAUAAUUCCUACCCCAUAAUCGUAAACGCCAACCUAACUAACAGAGAACUUACGUUGUUAUUGAAUAAACUGCACAAGUAUAGGAAAGCUCUUGGGUACUCUCUCGAGGAUAUUCCUUGUAUAUCUCCAGAUUUGUGCAUGCACCAAAUUCAAUUAGAAGACGAUUCCAAAUCGUCAGUGGAAAAUCAAAGAAAGCUAAACGCGAAAAUGAAUGAAGUUGUUAAAAAGGAAAUUAUCAAACUUCUAGAUGCUGGAGUCUUCUACCCAAUUUCAGAUAGUAAUUAGGUGAGCCAUGUGCAUGUUGUACCUAAGAGAGGCGGUAUUACAGUGGUGGAGAACGAUAGAAACGAAAUCAUUCCUACGCAAAUGUGUAUCAAUUAUAGGAAACUAAACGCUGCCACCAGAAAAGAUCACUUUCCUUUACCAUUCAUUGAUCAAAUGUUGGAAAGACUGGUGAAUCACCAAUAUUAUUAUUUUCUUGACGGAUAUUCUGGAUUUUCCCAAAACCAUAUACAUCCUGACGAUCAAGAAAAUGCCACAUUUACAUGCCUUUAUGUUACAUACCGCAGAAUGCCAUUCGGUCUUUGUAAUUCCAAGCCACUUUCUAAUGAUGCAUGAUGUCAAUCUUUACGGAUAUGAAAGAAGAUUUCAUGGAAGUUUUUAAGGACGAUUUCUCAGUCUAUGGAUCCAGUUUCAAAAACUGCCUCGAUAACAUGUGUAAAGUUUUGGCAAGAUGUGAAGAACAUAACCUUGUUCAAAAUUGGGAAAAAUGCCAUUACAUGGUUAACGAUGGAAUCUUCUUGGGACAUAAAGUAUCUGCUGCCGGUAUAAAAGUAGAUCGAGCAAAAAUUGAGUUAAUGAUCGGUUUGCCUGCGCCCACAAACGUAAAAUAAGUGAGAAAUUUCUCGGGCAUGCCGGAUUUUACAGGAUGUUUGUUUAUACAAGAUUUCAGCAAAAUCGCUAGACUAAUCACAGCCCUCCUAUGCAAAGAAGUAAAAUAUGACUUCACACCAGAAUGAAUAAAAGCUUUCGAAGAAAUUAAGAGAGCCUUAAUAACUGCCCCAAUCGUACAAGCACCUGACUGGAACCUUCCUUUCGAAAUUAUGUGUGAUGCGAGCGAUUUCGCUGUAGGAGCAGUUCUAGGCCAAAAGAAAGAAAAAAAAGCUACAUGUUCUCUACUAUGCCAUUCGAACUCUCGAUGAGGCACAAAGGAACUAUGCAACAACAGAAAAAAAACUACUUGCUGUGGUUUAUGCAUUUCAAAAUUCCGCCAAUACGUAGUCGGUUCGCGAGUUAUUGUUCAUACCGACCUUGCUGCAAUAAAAUAUUUAAUGCAGAAGAAAUACGCGAAACCACGACUCUUGCGAUGGAUCCUUCUACUCCAGGAAUUUAACAUCAAGAUUAAAGACAAACAAGGAGUAGAAAACAGAGUCGCAGUCACCUUUCUUGGAUACUAGUAGAGGAUGACGUCCCUAUCGAUGAUUUCUUGCCAACAGAGAACGUUUACCAAACGUCUUCAUCAUUUGUUGGUAACAUAUGUCUCACAUCCGAGGAGCCAUCAAUCGACACCAGAGAUGCUAUGCCGAUCGACAUUCUCGAUGAUUAAAACCAAGACACUUCCCCCAUAACCAUCACUUUUGAUAUUAAAGUCAGUGUCGCCUCCAACACCUUGCACCCUGAACAUGUUUCUCUUGGACACAGAAGCUUAAAUCAGGGGAUGCACGCAAUCGAAAGAAGUUUAAGGGAUAGACCUUGGUACGCUGACAUAGUAAACUAUCUAGAUGCUGACAUAGAACCCGAAGAGCUAAAAGGUUAUACAAGAAAGAAAUUUUUAAGAGAAGUCAGGAGAUAGCACUGGGAUGAACUAUACCUCUACAAACAUUGCUGUGAUAGACGAUGUGUCGCUGAAACUGAAAUUCCAGAUAUUUUAUUCUAAUGCUAUGGAUCUGACUACCCUGGAUUUUCUGCAAUCUUUAAAACAGUAUUAAAAAUUGUCCAAGCGGGAUUCUGGUGGCCAACCAUGUUUCGCGAUGCUCAUGCAUUCAUAGCACAAUGCGACAUAUGCCAAUGAAGAAGAAAAAUCAGUAAAGGACAUGAAAUGAAACAAAAAUCUAUUCUAGAGGUAGAAGUCUUUGAUUGUUGGAGAAUAGACUUCAUGUGUCCUUCCCGUCCUCAUACGGGAACAAAUAUAUCCUAUCCUAUUCGCUGUUGAUUAUGUAUCCAAAUGGGUUGAAGCAAUAGCUUCCCCAAAUGGGUUGAAGCAGUAGCUUCCCCAACAUUUGUAGUUAUAAAGCUUUUCAAAAGCAUUAUUUUCCCAAGAUUUGGAGUUCCUCGAGUAGUCAUAAGUGACGGUGGAUCCCAUUUCAUCAACAAAGUUUUUCACGGAUUACUCCAGAAGAACGGAGUGCACCAUAGAGUUGCUACACCUUACCCUCAGACAAGUGGAAAAAUAGAAGUUUCAAAUCGGCAGAUCAAAGAAAUCUUAGAAAAGACUGUAGGAACCUCUAGGAGAGAUUGGUCUAGGAAACUGGACAAUGCACUCUGGGCUUACCGGACUGCAUUCAAAACCCCAUUAGGAACAACCCCGUUUCACCUACUCUAUAGAAAAUCCUGUCACUUACCGGUUGAGCUAGAACACAAGGUAGCAUGGGCUUUAAAACUAAAUUUCAACAUCAAACCAGCUGCCGAAAUGAGACUUAAGAAGCUUAACUAGUUGGAUGAAAUAAGACACUUAGCCUAUGAGAGCUCGACAAUCUAUAAAGAGAAGAUGGAAGCAUAUCAUGAUAAAAAGAUCAUCUCCAGGCACUUCAAACCAAAUGAUCAAGUGUUGUUAUAUAAAUCUCGGCUCAUGCUAUUUCCCAGAAAACUCUGAUCUCGUUGGUCAGGUCCUUUCACUGUUGUGGAUGUCAAACCAUAUGGAGCCAUUACACUCAUAAACGAUAAAGAAGAAGAACUUAUAGUGAAUGGUCAAUGAGUGGAACAUUGUUGGGCUAGACCGCUGAUUAGCAGGCUUUUAAACUUAGGCCUUCUUCCUGAUAGUUACACAGAUCGGACCUCGAUUGAAGCUCAGGACUUAAAAUAAGCGCUGGAUAGGAUGCAACCCAUUUCUAGUUUUAGGAUAUUAAGAAUUUAGUUUAAAAAAAACUUAAUUAUCAGAAAACAUAGCGGCUGUCGAUCGACGAAGAUAUUUCUUCAUCGAUCGACGGGAAAUGAAAAAACACGGACUCACUUAAGUCGACAUUAAGUCGACAAUAAGCCUAACCCAAAAACCCUUCGAAACAGCCUCCACUCUCUUUCUCUCUCGUUUCUCAUCCAAAUCGGACGAUUUGUGCGCCUAAUCCACUUGAUUUUCAACUCUCUAUCCGUUUAGAUCACUUAAUCCAUGAAUCAACAUGGUAUGAAAAAGAAAUUUUCUAAAUUUUCGUUCGUGUUAGGGUUAAGAUAAAAGAUGAACUAGAACAGGGAUUUUAUGGCAUGUAUAGAUCGAUUUGUGUUGAUGGAAUGAUAGAAUAGGGAUUAAAGAUCGAUUCUACUGAUAAUUAUGCUAUGCAAACCGAAUUGCAUCGAAUGGCUUUUUGCAGGUUCUCACGAUGGAGAUAUCGAUCGAUGAUAGCCCAUUUACAUCGAUCGAUUAUAACACUGAUAUAUCAAUCGAUAUCGACACAGACCUGUCGAUCGAUAUCGGCCACUAAACCAUCGAGAUUCACUGAUUUCGUAUAUUCAUUUGUAAACUUUGGUUGCAGAUGAACGAAAGGAGAACGAAGAGGAGAUUCGACAGCAGCGGCACCAGCACAGCUCCACCCCCACCACCGGUUCGCAACCAGCACCCUUGGCCAAUAGAGCGCGAGGAAGACCCCAUCCCACUCUUUGCACACUUCACUGCGGCUAAAAGCUUGGAAUGCAAAAACCGUGCGAUAAGGGACGAGUGGAACGACUAAGACAUCAUAUUCUACAAUGUGUGGCUGAAGGUUACCAUUGAGCCGACGCGAUUCGUCGACGCGGAUGUGAUUAGACAGCUGGGCAUCAGAGACGACCUGGAGGACAUGUUCGUGGAGCUGGGAAUGGGCAACAUGUGCACCAAACAACACGUCCUCUACACGGAGCUGGUCCAACAGUUCAUAGCCACUGUGCAGGUCUAGUACACCCGCGAGAGAGGGAGGAGAGCCAGCGAGGGUACCUUGACUUUCUUCGUCCGCGGCAUCCGCUACGAAGUCCCUCUCAUGACUCUUUGCACCAUCUACGGGUUUCAGAACUCAGAGCUUCAGCACGCUUCAGUUCCUGGCUUCCCUGGGAGAUCGACGUUCUGGGGGCAUAUAGCUACUGGCAUCUUCGACUCAGGCUCGGCCACUCAGACGGACAUCCGUCACCUUACUUGGCGAUACGUCAUGAAGGUCCUUGCCAACACUCUUUUGUUCAAGAUGGAACCUAGUAAGGUUCGGGUGCAGGAGCUCACAUUGGUCUACUAUGCAGUGAGGAGCCUGGUUCACAUGGAGGAUAUUGAGGAGCCAGAUGACUGUGAGAACCGAAAUUCACACUGUAAAUUUCCGUUUAAAUUAGGAACCUAGGAAAACUCUAAUUUCCCAGAGGUCUCGGAUAUCUGCUAAUACUACACGCCAAGCAUUCAAAACACGAGAUAACAACGAUAAAGUAUAUGGAAUCAUAAAAAGAGAGCAAAGGGAAGUCUUACUCCGAAUUUGCAUAUGAGCGUUUACAACAAGGUAAUAAGCCUGGGCUCGAGAGCUGUCAGCGAGAUUCCUAUUUUAACAACCCUAAGACAGCUAAACCUAAUUGAGUCAUAGCUCGAAAUAACAAAAACGGAAAGUUGCCUAAUUGCUCUAAGUGCUAAGUUUUCUCUGCAAAAGCUCCUCCUCAUGCCUCUCGCCUAGGACUCUUUAUAUACUCGCUCCUAGGUCGGUUUACGCUUUUCCCCUUCUGCCCUUAAGCCGUCAUAGCCAAAAAAUGGAGAUAUUCCAUUUUCCCGAUCUUCGUAAUUAUCUUCCAAAACUUCGUAUUUAUCCGCGGAAACUUGACAUUAAUCUUUCCAAUCAAACCAAGCGUAAACCGUCCUACGGUUUACAGGCUUUUGGUUAAGAAAUCGUAAAUUGGGCUUCGAGUCAUUCUUAGGUCCCUUUGGGCCGUCUUUUGGCUCGAAGCGUUUAUUACGGCUUCUUUCGAUAAAAACAAAAUUUCUGGGGUUUUUAUCAUAAAGUUCGAUUGAUGACUUCAAAUGUCGAGAAACAUGAAAUGGGUUUGCUACGGUCUUCGGGAGAUAGCAUCAAAGAGUAGACGAGAAUGCAUGGACUCAUGUCGUAUUCGACGUUUCGGGAAAGCUCGGUCGCUAUGUAGUGACCGAGUGGGAUGUGCGCUUGGUCGCUACGUAGCGACCGAGCUUGGCUCGAGCCCGCUCCCUACGUAGCGACCGGGCAGUGCGCAUGUUCGGUCGUUGCGUAGUGACCGAGCUUGGCUUGUCCGUGUUCCGUUCGUCACACUCGAACUUAUCUGUGGCUGGUUUAGAUACGUUUCCAUUACCUUAGGACAACUUGUGUUUGAUCCAACCGAGACUCGAACAAGGUUUUAUCUCGAGAUCCUGUGUCGUGACAUUUUUUACCAAGCAUAAUUGUCGUAACCGUUUUCGACCCCACAGUUAGCCCCCAAGCCCGUUAGAAUCAUGGAUUCCCGAUGAGAUUCUAGCGUACGGUAUGGCGAGUUUGGACGAGAUUCGCGUAUUUGGGCCUAAUCAUAUCCAAAAGUCUGCAGGUAAAUAGUAAUUUCUCAUGCCUAUAAGAAGCAAGGUAACUUCUUCAUAAUUUUUCACUUGCUUGCUUUCAUAAGGAGCUUUCUUGAAAGAAUUUCUCCCUCCUCUCCAUCUUUUUCUUCUUAUUUUCACUUAAAAAUUACGAAAUGUCAAGUUGGAAAAAGACUUCGAAGAAAGGCACACCUUGUGCCGAAGAUCGAGUUUGUGCCUCAUUCGGUAGAUCCGGCUGAGAACGAGGCAUGGUGGGUUGCGAGGUAUGGUUCGAUCACACCUCCCAACGAGAAGUCGUUCCUAGUCAUGAACCAUCGUUUGGUCGAAGAAGGUGCACCGAGUAGGAACACUAGCGACUUUCUUCGGACCGUGUGGUCGUUCUACCGAAUUCCGGAUACGGUAGAAUUCCAGGUUCCUCGUCAAGGAGAGCGUGCUAGUAGUCCCCCAGAGGGUUACUUUACUUGUUACGAAGCAUUCAUAGUGCGCUGCCGCUUGUGGUUUUCGAUUCCCGAAAUCAUCGUCCGCGUGUUGGAUCGUUUUUGAGGUGUCGAUAAGUAUCCAGCACCUUGUUGGAGUUUUGAUCUUGAGCUACGAGCACGGUCUCUCCUAUACCGUCGACCACUUCGAAGCGCUUUUCAAGUUGCAGAUCGUUAGGAAUACGGACAAGUACCGACUGGUCCCUCGGAACUUCAUGUCGGUGGUCAAGGGUUUCUUUCCAACUUCAACUCGUGGAAGAAAUUUUUCUUCUUUGUUCGUAUAAACGCCGCGUCUGUCGAAGAGAGUUGCAUCCCAUUGUUCCGGAGUCUGCCGAACGAUCGUCCCUUCAUCAAUCUGAUUGCUCUGUUUCCUGAAGAUACGAUCGCAGUGAGGGAUCUUCUCAGGAACAGUCCGUUUUUCUGGACCUCCUUCACGCCGAAGAGAGUUCGAAAGGCGUUGAGGCUCGCGCAUCCCGGUCCUGCUUCGGGCGCGGAAACAGACAGCGACUCCGAGCCUGAUGCUCCGCGUUUUGAUGUUGCUCCCACUGGCACAAUGGGGUUGAGCUCCUCGAAGGGGAAAUAUAUCACCCUUGGCGACAUAGAGUGUUCAGUGGAUGAUUCUAUGCUCCCAGGAUGGGACCCGGACCUUGCUUACGGCGAUGGAAGUGGUACGAGCGAGAUCCCUAUCCAGAAUUUUGAUGAUUUCUUCGCCGGUCUACCCUCGAGUUUUGAUCCUCCCCCGCCUGUGGAUGAAUCGGGAAGGUCGAGAGUCGUUGCAGAGGAAUCUCGUAUCAUCAAUGGGGUUAGUUUUCAAGAAUUUUGCCGAUAGUUCUAUAUAUUCCUUUUCCCGCCUAAAACAUGUUAAUUGGUUUUGCAGGGUCUGAACUUGCUUGGCUCGGCCCUUGAGGCGAGCCAUAGAGAUGCCAUGGUCUAUCGCUUCAAAGCGGAGAAGGCAGAGAGGGAUCUUGCUCGUAUGCAAGGCGAGAUGUUGGAGCGAGACUCGAAACGUGCUCGUGAUCACGCGAGGGCCGUUCGAAAGGCGGAACGGAAGGGUAAGAGGGAGAUCAUCGAGGUGAUGAAGAGUCUUGUUUUUUAGUUCCAGAUUGAGUACGGGAACCUCAAGGAUGCUUACACUUUGGAGGGUGAUUACCGUGAGUGCCACGGUUCAGUCUUUGGAGGACGCAGGCGGAAGACUAUGUUUUAGAGAAGGAGAUGAGGUUCAUGAAAGAUGGCAUGAAAAACCAUGCCCAUUCUGAGACGCUCAUUCCCCCGAUCGACGGGAGGAUCCAGGGAUUCUGGGAUCCCGUCCCGGUUUCUCCUGAUACUGUAGAGGCCACGACCGAGUUCGCUGGUGACGACGAGGAAGUGAACUAUCCCGCGGAUGCAUUCGGAGCUUCCUUGUCCGGGAACUUUGAUAUGUGAGAGGUGAGGGUUUGACGGUGAAGGACCCUAAGAUCGGCUCACUCGAAUGGAUCAGAUCUGGAUAUGAACUCCGAAUGGAGAACUAGAUGGAUUGAAGGGUCGCACGAAGGUUGCGGAAUGGCCAUCGAUAUUCCCGGCUUCAGUUGGUGCUUGAUAUGACUCACAAGACCACCAAAAGAAGAAUCUCGAACCGUUGCUUGAUAUGACUCACAAGACCAACGAGUUUGAGGGGUGUUUACUUGGAUAUAACUCACCAAGAAACUAAAAACAAGUUCUAAACGAAGAACAAAGAGUUUAACUCAAACUUUAGACAAAAUCGAUUUUCUCUAUUCUAAAUGAAGAGUUUACAUACUUAUAGAGUUUUGUAGAUCUAGGAAUUAAAUAUAAAAGUAGAUCUAGAUCUAGAUCUAGAUCUUGAUCUAGUCAUUAAACAAAAAUAAAGACAAGAAUAAUUAAUGUGACAGAUCGGCUUCCAUCAAGAUGCAUCUGGACCGGCUAAGUCCAAGGCGGUAAGGACAGUCACAUAAGCGGGACGAUCAGCAUGGGUCGCGGGACGUUCUGCUAAGACCGCAGGCGUUCUGAUCAGACAAGUUGCGUUCCAACAAAACCCAACUCUUCUGAUAGCUUAAGGACUUUUUCCUUAGAGAAAUGUCCAAAGGAAAAGUCCAUGAUUGGAUCGAACAAGGAAGAGAGAUCAUCAGCACGGUCGUCGGUACAUGCGGUACGAGCCAAUCGAGCCAAAAGAGAGAAGUCUCGAUCAUUUUGUGAAACCUCAUGAUCCAAGUCAAGUCUGGCAUGAUCUUUCUCAAGUCUGGGAUGAUCUUUCUCAAGUCUGGCAUGAUCUUUCUCAAGUCUGGCAUGAUCUUUCUCAAGUCUGGCAUGAUCCAAGUCAAGUCUGGCACGGUGAAAAACAUGAACCUCGGUUGAAAUGUUCAGAACGUCCUGAACUCCAUGCUGAGCUGGCUCCAUGUAAUGAUCCGUGGACUGCGGCACAUCAGACGGGAAUAAGUUUUUUCCCUUAUCUAGUAUUUUGCGGCCGAGUGUGGCUUUCGUUCGUCUAAGUCCGGCCGAAUGUGGCCUUUGAACUUUGUAUUGGCCUGUUUUGGCCGUUUUUAUCUUUAUCGGGACUGGCCGUUGGUGGCUUCGAAUCCCUACCGCUAUGCGGUUUAUAUAUAUAACGGAGGUUUGUUUGAGUUACUUUGUUUCAAAUGGGUUUGAAGUAAACAUAAGUUGUCGUCUCAUAUUUAAUUCCGUUGAGACGUUCCAUCUGUUGGUUUGUUCGAGACGUGAGUUUUCGUAAAAAAUAUUUAUUCUUACGAACUUUCGGGAACGUUGAGACAUGAACGGGGAAACAUGGUUUAGGAUCUCGUAUCAUUUUUAGAUAUCAUGUCUUGAGAUGUCUCGGGGAAACUGGAAGUGCUAGACCCAAAUUUUGGAUUUUUUUUGUAGCGCGCUUUCGUCCUUGUGUUGGAUGUUCGAGGAUCAAAAGAGUGAUCGAGUUGCAUUUGUUUAACACGGCUGGCGUGUUCGUCGGGGCCAAUCGACGAACGGGGUGUAAAUAUUUGUUGGGUUUUUAUGAUCGCGUUCGAACAAUUGUUUGCAGAGUUUUCGAUUUUUAACUUGGCGACGUCUCGCAGUUGUUUCGAAGACUGUACGUAUAUUUUAGGUGCUGAAGAAUGACUGCUUUGUGAUUUGGACAGGAUAAGGCCGUUGAUAAGAGUCUAAUGUUUGUAGAUUUUCUAAGUGUGUCAUGAGACUUUUUGCGUUAAAUGGAGCGUAAAUGUUUAAUAAAAGAAAAUAUGUGUAUUGUAGUAAUGUUUUAAGAAACUCGAUUACAAUGACGCAUCUUUUAAAACUCGGUGGUUGUCGCCAUGCUGACCGCCUUGAUCGUGGUGACUGUGGCAGGGUCAAUGUUUUUAUCCGGGUUUUCCGGUUGAGUCGUAGUGUCGGCUUUGGAAUCGUGCUGAGUUUCAGUGUCUGAAGCAUUCGCGUCAGCAGACGAUAUCAAAUCGUCUUUCUUUGAAGUGUUUUCGGCCGAAGGUUGAGCUAACUUCGUGUGCUUGCGAGUUGUCCUUGCGGAAGUCGCGAUUUACCUUAACUUAUGCUCCGCGAGGAAGCAUAGCCGCGACUGUUUCUGACAACCCCAGAUGGCUGCGACUCCGUUCUGAGUUGGGAAUUUGACGCCGAGGUGGUAUGUAGAUGGAACGACUUUCAUGGCGUUGAGCCAUGGGGUUCCCCUGAUCACAUUGUAGAUGGCAGGAUGAUCGACCACCGCGAAAUCGACAAUUUUUGUGAUUUCCUUGGCCAUCAGCUGGAUCGAUCCGAGAGUCAUUGACACUUUGCCCGAAAAACCCGUAAGUGGUUUUGGCGUUGGAGGUACUUCUCCGAGUUUGAUGUUCAUCCGAUUGAGAGUGUCGCAGAAGAUAACAUUGACCGUGAUUCCCGUGUCAAUGAGGACUCUCCCGACUUCCAGAUCUCGUAUGACAAGAUCUAUGAAGAGUGGAUCGCAGUGAGGUUGAUCGAUCCCUCCGGCUGCAUCCAUCGUAAAAGUUAUCGAGUUUCUUUGACCAUCUCGGGGAGGGGACCAUGUAGGCCAGUUUUCACUUGAUUGGGCCUUCUGUUGGUAAGCCUUGAUGGCCAAAACCGUAUCGUUGCAGUAUUGCGAUCCUCCGAAGAUCAUGUUGACUCUGCGACGAUUGUUGUCAUUUCCUUUGUCGUCCGGCCUUCUUCCGUGUUUAUCCCCGGAUUGGUUUCUUUGAGAGGACUUAUCCGCGGGCGGAUUUCUGUCCAUCUUUGGGGGGGGGCGAUCAGUCUCGAGGAUGAGAUCUUUUACGCUGGUUACUUCCGAGAGCUCAUUGCGGCCAAUCUCGCUCCUAAGACUUUGCAGUUGGUCGUGGAGUCUCCUCGGGACUGGUGGAACUCGCAGAAGGUGUUUUCGUCGUAUUCUUGAUUGCGAAUCCAUGUAUUCCCCGUGGUUUGACCUUGAUCUGAACUGAUCGCAUAGUUGUGCGCCCCUUGGAGUUCUUCCCCCUCGUGAUGGACGUACUUGUCGUUACGAGAGUUGUUCUUCUCGUUUUUGGGUCUACAUCUUUCGAGGAUGGCCUUGUCGGCUUAUGCUUUUGCGACAAAAAUUUUGUUUGCUCUUCGAUUAUGAUGUAGUCCGUCGCAUUGUGGAGGGCGUCCUGGAUCGUCUGCGGUUUGUCGAGGGUUAUCCACUUUCUGAAUUUCGACUUGUACCAUAGUGUCUUUCUGAGCGCGUCAAUAGCCACUUUGUCGUUUAUCCCGCUGACCCUGGACAUCAUCAGCUUAAACCGGCUGAUGAACUCGCAGAGGGGUUCGUCUUCCCUCUGGGACAGACUCCAGAGAUCAACAUCGGAAGUUUCUCUAUCUAUAAACAUAGAGUAUUGCUUGAGAAAUUCUGAUGCGAGCUGUCAGUAACUUCCGAUAGAGUUUCGCUCAAGGCGUACGAACCACUUGAGCGCCGCUCCUUCCAGAUUCUUGAAGAAUAGACGGCAGUAGCGGGCGUCUUUUUCGCCGUCCUUCAGUCUGGCCCUUCCCAUCGUGAUGUGUGUUAGGGGAUUUUUGUGUGGGCUCUUUUAGAGUACCACGGAACGAUGGAUAAGCUGGUAAACCUCGAGUGUUUGUGGUUAUUUAGUAAGGGUUUUAGGAUGUUUAAAGAGAAUAAUAAUAAAAUAAGCUUGAAGAAACUUAUUAUUAGAUGAAUAGGCAAGAACAAGGUAUCGUUACAAGAUGUUUUAUAAGAACCCUAAUUCUAGCCGUCUAACCCUAGUCUCUAAGCCUUGGAGAAGUCGAUCCCUUGCUUGAGGGCUGUUGUCGCUCUUAUAUAAUCGUCUAGAAGUCGGUUUCAUUAGGUUAAACACUUCCAUAUUCGGAAAUAUGGAAGGCUUUCCUUGUCGGAAGUUUUCCAUUUCUAGGAAGGGAGUAGGGUCCAGGGAUCGAGCCCAGGGUUCCCUCUGGUGGGGACCCGGGGAACCCAUUUACCAGGGAUCCGGGGAUCCGAGUCCUGCCUGGAGGCUGGGGGAAAUAAUACUGGGAUAUUUUUCCCCAACAGUUUGCCCCUUAUUUCUCGACUUUUUCAUUGAAGUCGGGGAAUAACCUGUGCACUCAAGUCAACCGGGGUUACUCAUUGUUAGCCUAGGUUCCACUCAAGUCGGAACUCAUUCUGAACCUAGGUAAGGACCGGUCCCUUCGUGUUCAGUCGAUAUCUGAUAGUAAUUUCUUCUAUCUUCUUGGAGAUGACAAGGCUGGAGCUUUGUCAUGCAGUUCACGCACGGGUCCAAAAAGAUAGGAGUCUUUUCCGUUCCCGGAUGAUUUCUUCUUUUAAUAUCAGAGAUUCGGCUGAUAUUUUUCUUCCUUUCUUUUGCGAAGGAAUCUUUUUGAAUUUUGAAUCCCGCGGCCCGAUAUCUGGUGAGAUGCGCGUCUUUCCAGGGAAGAAUUUCAACGGCUUCUUCUUUUUUGUAUAUAUUUCUGCACGCUCUUCUUUUGUUCCUCGCCUUUCUUCGUCUUCGGCUCAGGUACUUCUCUCAUCCUUCUUUCUUUAGCUUGUCUGGUGUGAUUAGUUUGCUUAUUCUGCUGUGGUCGCCAUCUAUCGAUUAGGAACCGAUCAAUCAUGUCCAAACGAUCCGCUUCUCUGACGUCCCCGAUGACCGAUUGAGCUGGCUCGAGGAGAAGAAUGGAUUCUCCGGCUUCACGAUCCGACAGCUCUCCUAACCCAGGCGCGGGGUCAGAACAAGACGUAGCAGCUCCUUCCCCGAUAGGUCCUCCAUCUUGGAGAUUACUCCUAGCCAUUCAGAACCUAGGCGAUCUAGAAAACCUAUCCUUCAGAGUUAACGAGGUUUUGUACUCCUACCAUCUGGCCCCUCUUAAUGGGAAUGAAGGCCAGCUCCAUCUUCGUCCUCAUAGUGGAUUGUCUAUCGUGGAGGAGCUGUCGAGAAGUGAUCGUAAGGGGUCUGCUUUUAUUUAAAAGUGGCAGGAACGAUACGUUUUUAUGGCGCUCCCUGGGCACUCCUAUCAUUGGAACUUUAUAGGUGGGUCUAGGGGAUACGCAUGAUUCUGCUCUGUCUGAUCUCUGACCCUCUUUGUUGUGUUUGCAGCUGGAAUGCAUCCUGACAUUCCGGAGGGAGAGGAUAUUGUGGUUCGAGCACGCCAACUUCCUCUUGAUCGUCGCCAAAUAUCUUUCUUGCUUAGUGAUAGCACCUUGCGACGUAGCAGCCUCUGGGUAAGCGUUUUCACAUUUGAUUGCUUUGCUCUACAUACUCGUGAGGAUUGACAUUCUUUGGCUCAAGAAGCAUGUCUGGAGAUACUAGCAAUGAUCCUUUCGUAGCUUAUCAAAAGGCAGCAAAGAGUAUGUCCGCAAAAAAGGGGUCUGCGAGCAGAACCGUAUCCGGCGAUGAUUUGAUGAUUACUGGAAGUCGUCAGGCGACGAUGGUGAAAAUCGAACCCUCUGUUUUGACUCGUGCUAAGAAGGCCAGGGCUGGAGGUGUGGCGACACGGGCAUCAUACCAGUCGGCUGAAGUUGUGUGUUCUGUGGGGAAUCUUGCCGCGGCUUUAUCUAACUUAAAUCUUCAAGUGUUUCCUCAUGAUGGUACCACUCUCCCUUUGGGAAAGCCCCUGGAAGUUAUCCAGGUUUUUCAAGGAGGACUUCUUCGGGUAUGUUGUUAUGAUUUUGAUUUCUUUCCGUUCCGGAUCUUUGAUAGGUUGAUGUGGUUUUGUGUAGAACAUCUCCCAGGUAUAUCACCUUGGGGAGCAGCUGUCUCUUGAGAGCUCGUCGAUCAGCUGAGAGGAGCUGGAAAAACUGAAGAAUCAACUUUCGGAGGAGAAGACCCAGCGCCUAGCCCGUGAAUUAGAGAUUCGUGAUCUUAAGGAUAAGAUCAAUUAUGUGGAGAGGUCGGCCGAGAUAUCCUCAGCGGAUACAUUGAGCAUUGGCAAGAAGAACCAGGAGCUAGAAGAGGCCAUGGAAAAUCUGAGGCUUGAGACGGUGAUGGCUGUAAGCGGGGCAAUAAUUACCGCUCGGUGGGAGUUGAUGAGAGAAUGGUUGCAGAGAAAGAACGACCAAUAGGAUCUGGCCAAAGCUUUGGUGCAAUACAAGAUAGUGGUCUUGGAGGAGGCCAAGAAUAAAGUUUCCCGGUUCCUACAUUUGAGAACAAGCCCACCAUUCCUCCGGAUUCUGGGAUGGAUAUCGAUUCAAGGCCUGGGGGAUCUUCCUUCUAAAUUUAUGUUCUUUCCAUUGUUGUAGUAGCGGCCUUUCUUGGCUUGCUCUGAAUUUGUUUGAAUGAUGGCACUGUUGGGGCUUUAAAUAAGAUUUUCUGGAUUUUCUUUUUCCUUCUUUUGAGAUCUUUAUAUGAUGCUUGCUUCUGCGAUUGUCUCUCUUUUGGAAAAAAUGCAGGUCGUCUAAAGAUCUUAGGAUCUUGGAUCGUCUUCGAAGAACUGGAGGGUCAAGCGUUGAUCCAAUCGUUUGGUAACCUUGAGCCUUUCUGGGCUUUUUAGAUUUGGAUUCAGGGAUCUUGAAAGUCUAGAUUCCUUAGAACCUCUGGAUUUUACGACGAUCGGACCUCAUAGGUCUCAUAGGGUUGAAUCUCUUUCGAGGCCCCUGGGACCGCUUAGAGAUUUUAAAUGACGUUGGGACCCGGAGGUCCCUUUUUAAGAACCCGUAGAUUCUGGACCCUGAGGUCUUGAAUUGGACUCAUAGUCCUUGGACCCUGAGGUUCUUUUUAGGGAACCCGUAGGUUCCUGACCUUUAAAGCCUAUAUGAGCCCGGAAUUCUCAGAAUCCGAAAUUAAGUUAUAAAGAGAACCGAUAGGUUCCUGACCCUGAGGUCUUGUUUUAGCCUCAUGGUCUUUGGACCCUGAGGUCCUUUUAAGGAACCCGUAGGUUCUUGGCCCUAAGGCCUAUCUGAGCCCGGAGUUCUCUCUCAGAACCCGAAAUUAAAUUAUAAAGAGAACCGAUAGGUUCCUGACCCUGAGGUUUUGUUUUAGACUCAUGGUCUUUGGACCCUGAGGUCCUUUUAAGGAACCCAUAGGUUCUUGGCCCUAAGGCCUAUCUGAGCCCGGAGUUCUCUCAUAACCCGAAAUUAAAUUAUAAAGAGAACCGAUAGGUUCCUGACCCUGAGGUAUUUUUUUAGACUCAUGGUCUUUGGACCCUGAGGUCAUUUUAAGGAACCCGUAGAUUCUUGGCCCUAAGCAUCUGAGCCCAGAGUUCUUUCUCAGAACCCAGAAUUAAGUUAUAAAGAGAACCAAUAGGUUCCUGACCCUGAGGUCUUGUUUUAGACUCAUGGUCUUUGGACCAUGAGGUCCUUCUAAGGAACCCGUAGGUUCUUGGCCCUAAGGCCUAUCUGAGCCCGGAGUUCUUUCUCAGAACCUGGAAUUAAAUUUUGAAGGGACCGCAUUCUGCCACCCUAGGUGUGGCCACUCUCAGAUCCUGUUGGGUAUCGCUUUCUACCGCUCGUGGCUGGUCACUAUCGAGUUCCCGUGCUGCACUCUGCUUUCUGCAGAAAGCCACUAUCAGUCUUAGAGGGUGCUGGUUUGGGUGAAAACCCAAGUGCCAGACUUACGCUGUUUUUCAUGGCUGGAGAAACAUGAUAUUAUUAAGGUGCUCCCUAACUUUUGCACUUUCUCAGUUAGCACGUAGCGUUUUAAUAUAUGUACCUUUCUCUUUUUUGGUAUUUUAGUUUGGGACCCCGAUAUGCCUGAGGCUAUACAGGGGUUUUAGGUAGUAGUGACGGCAUACGCAGGCUUGCGCAGACCCAUUCCUACCUUAUGUCUCAUACCCAUUUUGUUUUUGUGUGGUCGUGCCACUUCUAACUGACGGUUGGCCAGGAUCGGAAGUCUCUUUGACCUGAUCCAGCUUGUUUGCCCCUUUAAGUAUUAUGGUAUUCGUACUCUCUCUUAUAAUCGGAACUAUUUUAUUAUAUAGGCUAUGUCCGUAGACUUUCAGCGUACAUAUGAGUAGAAAAACAUAAUGCUUAAAUAAAAGAUUAAAUAAUUAUAAAAAUCAUGGUCCGGAGACCGUACAAGAUAUCAGCUUGCGAGAUACCCUAGUGGUUAUACCAUGUUUUACGUCUUAUUGCUGCGUGACCCGUGGGAUUCAACUUGCUUUUGAGACGAAUGUCUUCGCUGGAGGGUUCCGUCAUCCUCUGUAGGGUUCUGCAUCUUUUUUAAUCUAGGGACAUCAUUUGGGAGUUGUUUCAUGCCCCAGCCCUUGCGGAUCUCUGUGUUGUUGACGUUCGGGGGCCACUGUCUUCUAUCGAUGCAGGUUUUCAGCGCUUCCAUGAAGCAUGUAGUUGCAUUCAUCCACUGGAGCAAAUGUGUUCGGAGGUCUCCUAUCUCUCUCUGGUGCCAGCUGGGAGCUCUCUUCCGAGGGGGUUUUUUCGAGGUGUUUGUGCCCCACUCGUUUAUCUGUGAGAUUGCCGGUUGAUAACUGUUGAAGCUUCUGGCUAUCUUAUCUAUGUGAGGCGGAGGACGAGGGUCCUGUGGGGACCAGAUUUUGCGAGCAGGUGCAGCCUUGCAGGUUCUUAGGGGAGACCAUGGGAAGCGGUUGACGUAAGCUGUCUGGAAACUUUUUGGAUGUAGGGUCCGGACUAUGCAGAGGGUUCCUGAAUUACCCCUAUUGUUGACCCCUGAUUACCGAUUCUGCGGGAUCUGAGGUCUCCUCUGUAAUUGCUAUAAGACCUUGGUCUUCCCUUUUAAGGUUGUCUGGUAGCAGGACCUAGAAUUCUCCUGAUCUCCUCGGAUUGCUUUUAUGCCCAGGGUGUAGGGAACUUCACUAUUUGAUGGAGGGCUGAGGGGACUGCUCCCAUGUCGUGAAUCCAUGGUCAUCCUAAGAUCAUGUUGUAUCCCUUCAGCAUAUACUGGCAGAACAACCUCCCCAGCGGUUUGCUUGAGCUCGCCGCUGAACCCGAUGAGUGGAGUUACUUUGCCCGUCAGGGUAUUCUCCUCUAACCCUAGGUCCUGGUACGCCAUCAGGAAGAUGAUAUUGCUGGAGGACCCGUUGUCUACUAGUAUUCUUUUCACCAAAGAGUUCACUAUGGUGAGGGAGACAACUAGAGCGUCAUGGUGGGGAGCUAAUAUCUUCUCUUGCUCCUUGGCUGUGAAGCUUAUCUCGUCAGUACCUAGAAGUAGGCGUUUAGGUUGAGCAGUCUCCAGGCCGUGUUUAGCAUUACGGGUGCUCUUCUUCGCAGCUGCAUGACUCACGCCACUUACUUCCGAGCCUCCUGAGAUGACAUGAAUCACCCGGUCCUGGCGAGGUGGUGAGCUUGGUGCGUCUCCUUUGGAUUUCCCUGAUGCUUCUUUGCUAAGAUGAGCCUUGGCUUUCUCUGAAAGGAAUUCUCGGAGAUGCCCCUUUUGGAGCAGUUCGUUGACCUCGAUCUUCAGGGCGACACAGUCUUCAGUUUUGUGGCCGUGAUCGCGAUGGAAGUCGCACCAGAGUCUCGGGUUCUGGAAUGAGUCAGGUGCUUUCAUCUUUGGGGGCCACUUGACCUGUUGGCCUAUCUGCCUCAGCGUGUUGACCAGCUCUGGUGUGGAUGUUGAGAGAUGGGUGAUAUCUGGCCAGGUAGACACAAACAUCCCCGCUUCUUUUUCUAAUGGUCGAUAUUGGAACCUGUCCCGGUUCCUGCUUUCGGAGUCCUUGGAUCCCUUUUGGGAGGAUCUUUCUUCUCGGUCUCCCCGGUCUGAUCAGGUGGACCUCUGAUCCUGUUUGGGUUGAGUCUUGGCACGGCUAGCGACGUCCUCUUCCCACUUCACAUGUGCCCACGUUCGGGAUAGCACAUCCUCCAUGGUUUUGCAAGGGUACAUGGUUAGCUCUUUGUAGAUCCCUCCGUAUGGAAGUAAGCCUCUCUUGAAGGCAGAGAUUACGGUAGGGAUGCUGCAUUCAGGGACAGCUACCUUCUCUUGAUUGAAACGGGCUAUGUAGUCCCGCAGGGGUUCUACUCGAUGCUAGAGGAUCUCGUAGAGACUGUCUGAAGUCUUCUCCAGGCUCCUGCUACUCGCGAAUUGUUCUACGAACUUGUCGCUCAGGCCGACAAAGGAAGAUAUGGACCUGGUAGGGAGAUUGAUAUACCAUUGCAAGGCGGGUGUAAUUAGAGUGGAGCCGAACCCUUUACACAUGGUAGCUUCACGGGACUCCUUGGGGAGCACAACCGCUAGCAUCCUCUAAUUAUAUUGUGCGAUAUGAUUGUCGGGGUCUCUGGUGCCAUCGCACAUCUUGAUGCUGGCGAAGGAGAAUUUCCGAGGAUCUCGACUGAGGUGAUCUCCUCUGCGAAGUGAGUAUCUGUGUACGAGUCGGGGUUGCUCCUCCGGAUUGAGGGAGCUACUCCUGGUAGACGUUCCACUAUGGAUUGCAUGGCGUCGAACCUCUUAGAAAACAUCUGCUCCAGAUAGUCGGUUAUGGAAGACUCGGCUGCCGUCUUCUCGGGUUCUUUUUUCUCGGGUUCAGGUUUGGAAUAACUUUCCUCUAGGUCAUGGAUCUGGUGAUCCUCGAUCCCUCUCGUGUUGCCCCGGCCGCUCCGGAUGCAGGAGUCGCGUUAGUUGUGCCUUCUCCGGUGUUGGGAGUGCUCAGGCUUCCCAUAGGUCAAACUCGAGUGUUGAAGCGACGCUUCUUGUUGCUCGCCGUGUUGGGAGCUUUGUUUUUGUCUCGGAGUGCAGCGUUCUCCGUCUGUGGUUGGUUGAGUUUCUCGGUGCUUAACUCCAGCUGUUUGGAGUGUUCACCAAGUUUUUCCUUCAGGCUCUGAACCUUGGAGGAAAGCUCUGGAUUUUCGGUUGUUUCCCGAGCCUUGUGCAUGUCGGUCACUUGGCUCCGCAGUCCGUCGAACUGUCGUUGAAGCUUGGCUUCUCUUGGGGUAAAUUCUGAUGUAUUGUCUUGCUCAUCCACCGCCAUCGUCACGUAGCUUAGAUUACUCCCCUCCUUCUUGUGCCAAACUGUUAGGGGAUUUUUGUGUAGGCUAUUUUAGAGUACCACAGAACGAUGGAUAAGCUGGUAAACCUCGAGUGUUUGUGGUUAUUUAGUAAGGGUUUUAGGAUGUUUAAAGAGAAUAAUAAUAGAAUAGGCUUGAGAGACGUAUUAUUAGAUGAAUAGGCAAGAACAAGGUAUCGUUACAAGAUGUUUUAUAAGAACCCUAAUUCUAGCCGUCUAACCCUAGUCUCUAAGCCUUAGAGAACUCGAUCCCUUGCUUGAGGGCUGUUGUCGCUCUUAUAUAGUCGUCUAGAAGUCGGUUUCAUUAGGUUAAACUCUUCCAUAUUCGGAAAUAUGGAAGGUUCUCCUUGUCGGAAGUUUUCCAUUUCUUGGAAGGGAGUACGGUCCAGGGAUCGAGCCCAGGGUUCCCCCUGGUGGGGACCCGGGGAACCCAUUUACCAGGGAUCCGAGGAUCCGAGUCCUGCCUGGAGGCUGGGGGAAAUAAUACAGGGAUAUUUUUCCCCAACAAUGUGGAAAGCCUGAAGGUGCGCUUUAGGAUCCGUCGUACCAUCAAACUUUGGUGAUGCGAGCGGUGAAGGGCGUCUUCCAAGCCCCUUCUGGCAGUCUGUUCAUCUUGGGGGCAGCACUGGUAGCGUGAUAGAUCUGGGAUUUCACGGCCCUUACUUCCGCCGCAGUUUUGGUGAUGUAAUCGCGAAGAUCGCGGAUGUCCAACGUCUCGUCAGCAGAUUUCCAAGCUUGUCGGCGUUUACUGCGAGUGAUCUCGGUUUGCUUUUCAGCCAGCUCUUCUUGUUCGUUCCAAUAGAGGAUUUUCUCCUCUUCCGUCAUUGGCUUAUCGAACGGAGAGCUUUCCCGAGCAAAUCAGCUUCUGGUCCUUCUUGGAUGUUUGUCGGCGUCCUCCUCAGUAUCGUUGGAGACGUCGAUGGGAUCCAAGUCGACGUGCUCAACUUCAUUAACCUUCGAGUCCUUCACGGUAGGUGGAUGACUCUCAGAGUUUCUUUUCUCGGAUGGGGAUUUUUCGCUAGGGUUUUGGCCCGAGGGUCGUUCCCACGUCGUUCCAGGCCUGUCGAGUGGGGUUGCAAAGUCGAGUCUUUUCCCGCAAACAUUCGUGGUUCCAUGGGGAUGGAUUGCUCGAGUCCUUGCCGUUAAGGUUUCGACCUGUUUGGUCAAGGUGUUUACGAGCUUAUCCUGUUCUUCCAACCUUUUUUCAUAGGUGGUGAACAUCUUUUUAAACUCCUCGAGCGUUGCGGCGUUGGCUGGUGCGUUGGCCGCGGAUAUGUCCGCUGCUGGAGUGUGGAGUCAGUGCCGCUUCCUCUGUUGAGAGGAGUUUCCAUGUUGUCCGCGUCGUCAGUUGACAUGUCUGGUUGAGUGUGAUGUGGUUGAGGGUUAGAUUGAUCCGUACCCCCCCCCCCUCCUUCUAGUGCCAAAUUGUGAGAACCGACAUUCACACUGUCGAUUUCCGUUUAAAUUAGGAAACUAGGAAAAUCCUAAUUUCCUAGAGGUCCCGGAUAUCUGCUAAUACCAAACGCCAAGCAAUCAGAACACGAGAUAACAACGAUAAAGUAUAUGGAAUCGUAAAAAGAGAGCAAAGAGAAGUCUUAUUCCGAAUUUGCGUAUGUGCGUUUACAACAAGGUAAUAAGCCUGGGCUCGAGAGCUGUCGGCGAGAUUCCUAGUUCUAACAACCCUAAGACGGCUAAACCUAAUUAAGUCGCAGCUCGAAAUAACAAAAACGGAAAGUUGUCUCAUUGCUCUAAGUGCAAAGUUUUCUCUGAAAAAGGUCCUCCUCAUGCCUUUCGCCGAGGACUCUGUAUAUACUUGCUCCUAGGUUGGUUUACGUUUUUCCCCUUCUGCCCUUAAGCCGUCAUAGCCACAAAAUGGAGAUAUUCCAUUUUGUAAUUAUCUUCCAAAACUUCGUAUUUAUCCGGGAAAACUUGACAUUUAUCUUUCCUUGCGAAACAAGCGUAAACCGUCCUACGGUUUACGGGUUUUUGGUUAAGAAAUCGUAAAGUGGGCUUCGAGUCAUGUCUUAGGUCCCAUUGGCCCGUCUUUUGGCUCGAAGCGUUUAUUACGGCUUCUUUCGAUAAAAACAAAAUUUUUGCGGUUUUUAUCGUAAAGUUAGAUUGAUGACUUCAAAUGUCGAGAAACAUGAAAUGGGUUUGCUACGGUCUUCGGGAGAUAGCAUCAAAGAGUAGACGAGAAUGCAUGGAUUCGUGUCGUAUUCGACAUUUCGGGAAAGCUCGGUCGCUACGUAGCGACCGAGCGGGACGUGCGAUCGGUUGCUACGUAGCGACAGAGCGGGGCGUGCGCUCGGUCGCUAUGUAACGACCGAGCGGGAUGUGCGCACGGUUGAUACAUAGCGACCAAGCGGGACGUGCGCUCGUUCGCUACAUAGUGACCGAGCUUGGCUCGAGCUGGGUGGCUACGUAGCGGCCCAGCAGUGCGCAUGUUCGGUCGUUCCGUGGUGACAGGGCUUGGCUUCCAUGUUCCGUUCGUCACACUCGAACCUAUCUGUGGCUGGUUUAAAUACGUUUAUGUUACCUUGGAACAGUUUGUGUUUGAUCCAACCGAGACUCGAACAAGGUUUUAUCUCGAGAUCCUGUGUCAUGACAUUUUUUACCAAGCAUAAUUGUCGCCGAAAGAAACUCACACUUGUUUUUGCGGAGGUUUGAACAUUAACUUCGUUGUAACCGUUUUCGACCCCAACAAUGACGACACGUUGCUUAACCUGGGAGCCCUCUUUGCCGAGCACUUCAUCAAUCUCAAGAUGAAGCCGUUCCAGACAUCGGGAAUGAAGAAGGAGACGGUUGAGAGUCUGCUUACACUGAUCGUCAUGCACUGUAGGAUACCAUUAGACGGGGCUGCAAUGGAUGAUCAGCUCGUCUAAAUGGACGCAGCACACCUCACGAGCGCACACUGGCUCAAGGACGACCACUUCUGGACUUUCAAAGACGCGGAUGGCACACACUUGAUAGAUCUACCCAGCCGUUCGGUCAAGGAAUUCUCAGGGGGCCUCGCUAGCAUCCAGUUUCACCCCGAUUAACGCCUCCUCCAUGGCCCAUCAACCAUGCCGUGCCACUACACCGUACAGCGAGCUAGAGGACAUCAGCAGGAGCAGACAGGGCCAGCACUUCCACCAUUCUCGCCUAUGCCAGACAUGUCUACACGUCCUGAAGGAGAUUUCCAGUGCGUCGUCGUUGAUGCUCUCACCGCCAUCUCGGCUAGAGUAUCGAGAUGCUGCUGUUUGAGCAGGAGGAAUCUGCUAGUGAAACAAUACCAAGUUUGCUGCUAGUGAAACUGUUUGGAAACAUAUAGUAAAUAGAGGAUUUACUCUAUAUUACUAUAUCUAGUUUAACCACGGAGAAGGUGAUAAUAGGAAUGAAGCUAGUAGUAGUAAUCAGGUUGAAAAUGUUCGUAACAGAUCAGAUGAACUACAUUUUCCUUUUGAAAGUUAUAACCUUCAAGAGGAUCAUAUGGUAGAUCAUGAUAGGAUGCAUGAUAUGGUUACAGAUGCAUUUCGUGAAACAAGAUCAGUAAUAGAGGAGGUAGAAAAUGUAGAGGGGCCUAACUUGGAUGCAAAAAGAUUUUAUGAAAUGCUAGCAGCAACUAAUUAGCCAAUUUAGGAAGGUUAUAGAGAAGGUCUUUCUAAAUUAUCAUUGGCAGCUAGGAUGAUGAAUAUCAAAACUGAUCAUAGUUUUCCUGAAGUUUGUACGGAUGCAUGGGUUCAGUUGUUUAAAGAAUAUUUGCAUGAAGAUAAUCUGUGUGCUGAAUCUUAUUAUGAGAUUCUGAAAUUGGUUAAUAGCCUUGGCUUACCAUCGGAGAUGAUUGUUGUGUGUAUAGACAACUGUAUGAUAUACUGGGGAGAAAAUGCAGAAUUGUUAGAGUGUAAAUUUUGCAAGAAGCCACGAUAUAAACCGCAAGGACGUGGGUGGAAUAGGGUGACGUACCAGCGGAUGUGGUACUUACCUAUUAAGGAUAGUCUGAAGAAAAUAUAUCAAUCUGAAAAGACGGGAGCAGACAAUACUCGCUUUCGCCAGUCUUCUUGACGCCACAUAACCUUCCACCAGAGAUGUGUAUGGAAAAGGAAUUGCUUUUCAUGAGUAUAUUGAUACAUGGGCCAAAGCAUCCGAAGAGGUCCCUUGAUGUUUUUCUACAGCCUUUGAUAGAAGAAUUGAAGGAAUUAUGGUCAACAGGCGUGCAGACAUAUGAUUGUUCAACGAGAACAAACUUUACAAUGCGAGCAGUUCUUUUGUGGACCAUUAGUGACUUUCCUGCAUACGGGAUGUUGUCAGGUUGGAGGAGGCUAUCUUGUCCUUAUUGUAUGGAAAGCACAGACGCAUUUCAGCUGAAGAAUGGUAGGAAGACGUCCUGGUUUGACUGUCAUUGGAGAUUUCUUCCCAUUAACCAUCCGUACCGAAGGAAUAGAAAAUUGUUUCUGUCAAAAAGGGUUGUACAAGACACCACUCCACCAUAUCUAUCUGGAAAGGAAAUCAUGAAGGAGAUUGAUUACUAUGGUGGACAAGACACAAUCAAGAAAGGGGUAAUUGUCAUACUAUUGCAAAUAUGUCUGUUGGUUACGGGACACAGCAUAAUUGGCAUAAGAAGAGUAUAUUUUGGGAACUUCCAUAUUGGAAGUAUCUACUUCUAUGCCACAAUCUUGAUGUGAUGCAUGUAGAGAAGAACUUCUUUGACAACAUCAUCAAUACAUUGCUGAACGUCCCCGGGAAGACAAAAGAUAACAAGAACUCAAUGUUGGAUUUGCCUGUAUUAUGUUAUAGGAUUGAGCUGCAUAUUAAAAACAAUGGGAAAAUUCCAGUUCCCAUUUUCAGAUUGUCAGCAGAAGCAAAAGGAGCGUUGUUCAAGUGGGUGGCAUCAGAUGUGAAGUUUUCUGAUGGAUAUGUUUUAACUCUAUCAAGAUGUGUUGAUCAGCAGGGACAUAAGUUUUUAGGGAUGAAGAGUCAUGACUGUCAUGUGUUUAUGCAACAACUUCUACCAUUUGCAUUUGCAGAGUUACUUCCAAAAAAUGUUCAUGAGGCACUUGCAGGUAACAAAUAAAGUUAUUAUUACUUCUUGAUAGAAAAAAAGUUAUAAAAGUAUCUUACAUUGGCUUGUACAAUUGUAGGCAUCGGAAAUUUUUUCUCACCUGUGAUUCUAGUAUCUUUCUUCUCUUUUUUUCAAAUAUAACAACGGUAGUCCCUAAUUGGUAGUAAAGGACUUCAUCCCACAUUGGUCAUAAAUUUACGUUUCUUUAACGACUGCUAGUCUCUCAUUGGUCGUAAAUAAAAAUAAUAAUUUAGUCCCUUAUUGGUCGUAACACUAUUUGGUCUCCCAUUGGUUGUAAAUUUACACCUCCUAUACGACCCUUAGUCACUCAUUGGUCGUAAUAUUACAACCCAUUUACGACUAACACCAAAACUCUAUAUAUACGCGGACCUCGCGAAGCCAUUUGGUUGCUCAUUCCCUUCUCUCUAACAACGAUUUCCUUUCUCUCUCUAGGUAAUUUUUUAUUUUUAUUUUGUUUUAGUUUUAGGUGGUUAGUUAGGUGAUUAGAUUAGAUUUGGAAUUAGUUUAGGAUGGAUGUAGAUUAGGAUGGAGAUAGAUUAUGAUGGAAUUAGAAUAGGUUUAGAUUAUUUUUAUAUAAAAAAUUUGAAUUGUUUCUAAACGUCAAUUUUUUUUUGGUCAGAUUGGCGAUAUAUAUUGCUAUGGCUAGCGGUAGACAGAGACUUAGGAACCUUACGCCUAGAAACUCUUACGCGAAUACCUUUCUCGGACAGGUGGAUCCAUCAGCUUCUUCGUCCGGCACAUCAUCUGGCCAAGAGAAUGUCCCUGAGAGCCAAGUUCCUACUGCUCCAUAUGUGCCUCCACAGGCAUAUGACCCUGCAGCUUACUAUCCGCAGUUUGAUGACCCUGCUCCAUUCUAUCCCCAGUACGAUGAAACUCCACAGCAGCCUCGGCAUGAUCAGCAUCAUUCUCCACACCAUCCUCAGCAGCAGUUUACUGCUCCCGAAGCUGCUCCGGCUCCUGCAGCUGUUCAUCCAGAUUUGAUGGUGCCAUCGAAUGCGCCAUAUGCAAGAUAUACAGUGGAAGACCUUCUCCAGAUGCCGGGACGAGAAGGUUUACCAAUCAUCAAUCAAGAUCGACCACCCAACACUUACUGGUAAUUUUUAAUAUUUUAAAUCAACUAAUUAUAUAUAUUGGUCUAAAUAUAUGUAUUCUUUCAAAUUUUGUAGGUUUUUGACGGACAAUUGUGUCGGACAGAGCGUUGGAGAUAUCAUCAGGACAAACUUCCGGGAAGCGCAUCCGAAUUGGUCUCUUACACCGGACCAUGUCCGGAGGACUUCGUUCAAGUGCUUCACGGUUAGUUUUAAAUAUAAUUUUAUUUAUUUUUAAUUUAGAAAAUAAUAAUUUAAUUAAUUAAUUUUUUUUAUUAAUUUUUUUAUUAAUUUUUUUUUGAAGCAAAAAUGGAAUUGGUCCAUUGCUGUCAACGAAACGUUGAAGGAAGCGUUCUACAAAAAGGCGAUGGCUCGCCUAAAGAACAUUGUUGGUGAUUGGAAGGAGAAGUGGAGGGUUCUGGGGGAUGACGCAAAAGAAGCAAACCUCAGCAAUGACGUUUGGAAGGGCUUGAAGGCUUAUUGGAAUUUGCCUAAGUCAAUUCAAAGGUCUCUCACUUGCUCAACUGCCCGGUUGACCCGUGAUGAAGAUGGUAACCUGCCAAUACCUCAUACUUCCGAACAGAUUCCACACGCUGGGAGGACACUACAAAUUGUAAGUCUUUGAUCUUUUUAAUAUUUAUUAAAUAUGUAUUAAUUAAGUAUUUAUUGAAUGCGUGAGUUUAAUUAAAAAAAAUUUUAAUACAGGCUGCCCAAGAAGGAGCACCACCAUCUCUGGCCCGAGUUUACAGGACGACACACCAGCUUUCUGAUGGCACCUUUUCGCAUCCUCAAGCAGAGAGGAUCUGAAACAAUGUUGUGGCUCAGAUCCAGGAGGUCUAGACUCAGUUGUCGCCUAUGAUGCACGGGGAAGUGAGUUUGGGUGACGUCCCGGUACCGGAAACGUAGCCUGUCGAUCGAAGAUGAGUUUGCCUGCAAAAAAUUUUGAUUAGUAAUUUUAUCAAUAUCCCUUUGGGCAUGAAGUAUUUGACUAGACAAUUUGUUUAAAUCUAGCAUGACUGGUGAUACGAACCGGUCAUGCAUGUCCUCGUAAGUUUGCAGCCUAUCAUCCAUGGCUGAGAUCUUAGUGUCGAGCGAUGUGAUGGUACACACAUCGAUCGAUGUGGCUGGUUGUUGGUCCUUCUUGCGAAUGGUGUCCAAAUCUUGCUGUAGUAGCUCGAUUUUAGUGCUCAGCCAGUCCACGUUGUUGUUGAGAGGGUAGUACAUGUCGUUUAUCCUCGUGUUGAUGUAUGAGACUUCCCAUUCAUCCUUGUGUUCUACUGAACAUUGCGGUUCUGCAGGGAUCUGGGCUGUAGGAAGACUGACGUCGAUCGAUGGUGCAUGUGGCGCGUCGAUCGAUGUUGAGGUCGUGGCUUCCUUCUCAAGUUGCUGACGUAAACUCUCAAUUUCUGUCCUGAUUUCUACCAUACUUCUGAAAAGCUCAUUGUAGCCUCUAUCAAAAGGUUGAUGUGUAUCUUCUACCAAUGAUUUGAGUUCCUCUCCCAGUUUUUCCUGAGCUCCACAAAUACCAGUCACCAUCUCGUUGAUUUCAUCUUUGGUGUUGAGUUCUGGUGCCAGUCUUGUGAGUGUGAAGGAAGUGGCGUGUUCUGGAAGACAAAUGUGGCCCUCUUCAAAAAGAAAUGCUCUUUCCAGUAAUUUCCUGAUGUCGUCCUUUGUGACAGGUAUCAUCUCACUAGCUACGCCUCGUGCGUGUCCACACUCAUCUCUGUAGACUCCAUACUCGUCCCUUCGUUCCCAAGUGAACUUUCUUGCUCCAUACAUGUCAAAAGCGCGGUAUCCAAAUUCAUAACGUCUGUCGAUCAACGUCGGGUCAUCCUUACCGAUCGACGUUGGUGUUAUCCUGUCGAUCGAUUUCUGAGUUGUCCCGUCGAUCGAUGCAUGGCCUUUUGGUUGGCAUGAUAGAUCUGGAUUGAUUUUUGUUGCGGCGACUCCUACGUGUUUGUUAGGAUUGGUUUGAAUGACGUCUGGAGUGCCACGUUGCUGUGAGAAUAGGUUGUCAGGUCCAUUGGCCACUUGAAGGAUAUCUGCUAUGUCCUCUCUAGACACUUGUAAGAUCCUUCCAUCUAUUGCACGUGCGUUGCCAUCUAGGUCCCUGAAAAUACCAAAUUCAUCAGGAGUUAGAAAACCGUAAUCAAUUUUUGCAUUAUCAUUCAAUUUAGAAAUAGAAAGAUUAGGUUUAAGAGUAGUAUCGAUCGAUGUUGAUACAGAUGCAUCAAUCGAGGACAGAAUAGUUUCUGCUGAACUUGUGUUCUUGAGAUGAUUGCUCUUCAUGAAUUUUCAUGUUGAUGUAGAUGGAAGAGUGUUCAUCUUUUCUGCUUGUGUGUCUGCUCUGGUGUGUGGAGGUGGUUUCAGGGGUGCAAAACGUUUUAAAUAGGUAUCUAUAAGCCUAGUUUGAGAGGGAAUAUUCUCCUGUUCCUGGAUUUUCGCUGCAGUGCGAAUAUCGAUCGAUGUUCCUCUGUGGGUGUCGAUCGAUGUGAGCGGUUGUUUUGCUGGAAGAGGGUGGGUAUCGACCGAUGUGGAGUGCACUUCGUCGAGCGUUGUUGGGAACGUGUUGGUGAACUUAUGCGUUUCAAAUAUUUCAUCCUGCAAAGACAUUUCUAUUGCACGUUCCUUCCAAUAAUCCUCAUCGUAUUCUUCUGUGUGUUCCUCGUUAGGUAAAGCAAUUAUAGUGUCAACUGCAAAAAUUUCAUGGAAACCACUGUCUGCCCAAAUGCCUAUGAAAUAAUCAUCACGUCCUCUCUUGCUUGGAGGUUGGAAGACAAAGUGUAGGUAACAAUGAUUAGGUGAAGCGAAAUGGUCAACCGGCUGAUCAACGUCGAGCGACGUGUUGUUCCGGUCAUCAAUCACUGUUGACUCAUUGGAAUCGAUCGAUGGAAAAGUGGGGGUGUCGAUCGAUUCCGAGUACUCUGAUUCGUACUCUGCUCCACAAUGGCAUGCGCCAAUGAAGCCAAGUUCUUUCCCGUAAUCCACAGAAUUAAUAACCUUUCUCUUAGGUUGGAUAGGGUCGUAGUGGAUGUUGGGGUCUAUCAGCGUCAUCACAAUUUGUUUUUGUUCAUGUCACAUACAACUCCUACUGUAGCUAGGAAAGAUCUUCCAAGCAAAACUGAAGAGUUCCAGUUAAACUCUAUGUCUAGGACAUGAAAAUCUACCGGGACAAGAGCAUUACCAAUCUGUACCUCCAGAUCUCUUAUGAUACCUCCUGAUCGUUUUUAUGAAAGAUCCACGAAGGUGAAGGAUUCUGUUGAAGGUUUGAUGGUCAAACCAAGCUGGUCUGCCAUGAUCCUAGGGAGGAUACUAACUGAUGCUCAUGUGUCACACAUAGAAUGGGGAAAUUCAACACCCUUGACUACGCAUGGUAUUGCAAACUUCCCAGGAUCACUCUUCUUCGUCAAUGUGAUCCUGUGCUUCAUAUUCUCUCUGACUUGAUGAAACAUUCUCCUAAUGUCCUCCUCAGUUACCUUUGUUUCUCUGAAGAACAUCCACAACCGGUGUGUGAAAUAAGCUUCAUCAAAAGCUUUUUUGAUUGAGAUUCUGAGGACUCUCUUAGUGAAACCAUCCAUCUCCUUAUCAUUAGCUUCCCUCUUAAGGUUCUUAGGAAUUUUUUCCUUUCUUUUCCUUAACCUUCUCCCUUCAUUUUCCUGAUCUUCUUGAACUGGUUCUGGUGAACUAUUUAAAGGGUUGGGUUUUGGUUCGAGCUGGUUAGCUAAUUGUUUCGGUGGUGGUUUGAGUGCGUUGAUAUAGUCAUUAUCGAUUGAGGGAAACCGCACUCGGUAUUUCGGAGGUGCAUGUCGAUCGAUGGGAGGUGUGUUGUGACGAUCGACGUCGGACUCACUCUGUCGAUCGAUGGUUGGCUCGGCCGAUCGAUCGAUCUUAUCAUAGAAAGGGGAGGGUGGGUGAGGAUGCUUAGCUGCGAAUUCCUCAUGAGUUAGAAUUCGAACUGCAUUGCAUUUAGUCGAUUUAGCGGACGACGUCAAUCGAUGACUAGAGUAAUCCGUCCAUCAAUCUUCGUUAUGGUCUAUCGAUCGAUGCGAGUUCAUCGACAUCGGUCGACACCAUUGGGAUCCGCCGAGACUCAUGGAUCUUUCGAUUUUGAAAUCUCCUUCCUCAAGCUUUUCAUGUCUCACCACUUGCCAGAAAUCAUCAUCUAUGAUGGCAUUUACGUGGUGUUUUCCUUUAUCAGCUCAUGCCUCUCUAGCGAAAGCUUCUUGCCUCUUUAUAGUCUCGCCAGUCUGAAUCACUUGCGUUUCAAGUUUUCUCACCUGAGUCCCUAAGGUCUCGAUUUUAGUGUUCAGAUUGUUGUAGGCGGAGUCUAUUUUACCGUUGAAAUCCACAGUGAUUUGUUGUUGUCCCAACAGUACUCGAUCAAGCAUUUCUUCGAUCUUACUUUCCUGAGUCUGGGGUGGUGGAUUCUGGUAGUAGGAGUUCGAGUAGCUUUUGCUGUUGUUGAAGGGUUUUUGAAAUUGUGAACUCUGGUUACUUCUUUGACCAUUUCCAAAGAAGCUUUUGUUUCCGCCCUGGUUUCCAAAUUUCUGGAAUCCGGUACCUCCGAUGUAGUUCACAUUUUCUUCUCCUUCCGUAUCUACUACUUCUCCUUCAGCUAAACAGACUUGCUUCCUAAGAAGCUCAUGAACCACAUCUAACUUAGCUCUUACUUCGUCCAUCUGUUCCUUCCCGAUAGAGGCUACAUACUUCUUCCGUUCAGAGUCAGUGUUUUUGGUGCUGCUACUGUUAGCAAGGUUUUCGAUAAGUCUCACAGCUUCUAACGGAUUCCGAGUAGUGAAGUUUCCUUCACUCGCUGUAAGGCGAGACCUCGGAAGAAAGUGCUUAGCAGCUGCACGUCGUUAAAUCUGUGGUGUGGACAGUCUCGCUGGAAGAACCUAAAUCUAAUCCACGCAUCUUUGAAGGACUCUCCAGUCUCUUACGAGAAUGUGGAAAUUUUGUUUCGAAGUUCUUCAGCGCGCGCCUCAUCGAAGAAGUUUCGUAAGAAAGCAUUCUUGAUGUCGGCCCAGGAUGUUAAGGAUCCUGUGGGUUGCUGCCUAAGCCAGUGCAUCGCUUCUCCAUUCAGCAUGUAUCUGAAGAGCUUGCACAGCAGGUAAUCUUCGGGGACUCCUUCCAUCCGAAUUGCAGCGAUUAAAUCCUCGAACCGUUCUAGAUGGUCCAUAGGAUGCUUGUGCGGUAAACUAGAGUAGGGUAUCUGCGACACGAGAGUGCAGUAUUGAGGCUUCAGCUCAAAAUUCUGCUUCUGGAUCUCUGGAAGUCGAAUAGCUGAUCUGUUGGAAUAGUACUCAUCCGGGCGAUUGUAGUCGGCCAGUGGUUUCGAUCGAGCGUCCUCAUCUACAGGUUGAGCCUGUAGUAUCAGCAUCAGGGAUUACAGUCUCCUGAGUGUCUACUUUCUGACAUGUUGCAUUACGCAGAUGACAGUCAUGGUCAUACAGGUUUCCGUUCUCAUACUUUUUUAAAAUAAUAAUGUUUACCAUUUUUUACGACACGAUAUCAAUCGACGUACGCGGUGUAGUAUCGAUCGUUGUCGAACGAUUAGGAUCGAUCGACGAUGAAUGUCUGGUGUCGGUCGACGGUUGGUUGUGAGUAUCGAUCGAUGACAAAGUUGUAGCGUCGAGCGAUGUGUAACGUUGACCUCUACGGAGGGUGCAUUCCAAGUGAGCAGGAUCGUCUGAGAACAGCAAGUCUUUCUCCUUGUUGCUUCUGGUACCGCUGGGCAUGCACCUAAAAAGACAAGAAAAAGAUUAUGUUAGAAAGGGGGGUAGAGAAGAGAAUAAGAAUCAAUAAAACUAAAUCUAAUGGCGAUCAAAGCUCCCCGACAACGGCGCCAAAUUUGAUACCACUCAAAUUACCCUAAUGAGUGUUACUCUCAUCAAAAGAGGUUCAGAUGUAGUACUUAGGGAUCGAAUCCACAAGGAGCUAGGGAACAAUUAAAUCUAGUGUUUAUUAAUUCUAAGAGUUGUAAAUGUUUAAAUGAAAUAACAAUAGUAACAAGCGAAGCAAAUAGUAAAUGUAACUUGUUUGGAAAUGAUAUUAGAUGCAGGACCACUAUUCAGGUGUUGGAGAUUAUAAUAUCUAUAGAUGCCUAUUUGUUGCAUGCAUGAUAUGUUAGAGCUCAACCGCUUAAGUCAGUGAUCAGCUGUUGCAUGUUUCACUGGUUAACAGGCUAGAUCUCGUGUCUCAAUGGUUAGUAUGUUGACAACGAAAGAGUGUCGAUCGACGGUCCUAUUGGGAUAUCGACCGAUACACCUUUGCCUAAGUCGACCGAUAGUCAGUUGAGGACAUCGAUCGACGGGUUCUAGCCAGGCCUAUGCGCGAGUAUGAUAUGCCCUAUUAAGAUACUAAAUUGGCGGUUAGCCCUCUCUAGCAGUCCUAAUAUGAUAGAUAGAUGUCAGGAUGGGAUAACAAGGGUGCAUGAGUAUGCAAUCCUAUAAUCAUGUUCUAGUUAGCAAGGCUAAAACAAGCAAUGAAUACAAAUCUAUCAUGAAUAUCACAACAAGGCAGAUCUAUAGUUUGGGGCUAAUCCCACAAACCUAUCUGAACCCUGGAUCUAAUAAAUGAACUACUCAGACAUAGCAAAGCAAUUCAUAACAAUGAAGAAAUGGGAAUUCAUAGUAUAGAUGAAAAGAAAUGAAAACAAGGAGUUCCAAUCACAAGUGAUCUUCUAUCCAAAACUCUCUCUCUCUCUCAAAGUAAAACUCUAACAAAAAGCUCUCCCUGCCGUCAAAACACUUAGGCAGUAUAUAAUCUACUAGGUUAAAAACUCUUCAGGGCAUUUUUGUAAUUUGGCUUGGACUUGGGCUUCAAGUCUGCUGGAUCCAAAAUGUCGCAUGUCCAAUGUCUCGACAUCGAUCGAUGGUACUUGUGUACAUCGAUCGAUAUUAAUCUUCAUUUGUCGAGGCAUCUCAUGGUGUCAAUCGACAGCACUGGAUGUGCAUCGAUCGAUUGUUCUUCCUCUCGUCGACCUCUACAUGGUCAGCUCGGGUGAAAUGUCUUUUAACCUCCAAAAUGCUCCAAAGUCAUAGCUUUACUCCGAAUGCACAUGAACAUGAAAACAUACCUAGAAGAGUAGAAAACAUGGAUAUAUAUAUAGUAAAACACCUAUAUACCAUGGAUGAAAACGGGUCAAAUCCAAGGUAUAUCAAUCCCCCUUUAAACCUAGAUCUUAGGAUUAAUUGGGAUCAAGCCAUUGCUUGACUCAAUACCUGAAAAUUAACUAGUAUGAUCUAACUGACUAGAUACAGACGAGAGUUGAUCUAGUGAGUUUGAAAAUAUAAAUUAAACCUGUCCGUAAAAUUUUCUGGAAGAAGUAUCGAUCGACACAUCGAUAGCCCUGUCGAUCGAUAUUUUGAAAGGUGUAUCGAUCGAUAUUCAUAUAGAAUUAUCGAUCGACAAUUUCUCGUGAUUAACAUACGAGAGUUGAAAUCCGAGAUCCAGAUUAGAUAAUCAGAUUGAUUAUAUCUAAAGUUUAAAUUCAAGAAUAAUUAAUAAAACCUCUACAAACCCAAAUUAAGUUUACUUAUCAUACCUGGGAAUAUACCUGAAUCUAGCUAUUUCUCCAAACUGUAAACAACCUCAAAACAAAUCAAUCGAGCAAUAAAAUUGCUCACCACUCCAUUUACUGCUUUAAAACUUAUAAACCAUUUAAUCUAGAUUUAUUUCAAGGCCAUAAUCUAUUGUGUAAUCCUAGAGUCUCUAUGGAUUCGAUCCCUAAGUACUACAUCUAAACCUCUUAUUUGAGAGAGUAAUUCACUCCUUAGGGUAAUUUGAGUGAUAUCCGUUAGCUUACGACUAAUAAACAUCGACAUUAAAGGUAAAUUGGUCAUAAGGUUAUGACCAGUGUACGACUAAUAUAUGAGACGUAAAUGUACGUCACCUUUACGACAAAUGUAUUUACUUUUAACUUACGACCAACUUAUUGAGCCGUAAAGCUACGUCUGAUAUAUGACUAAUUUUUCUAGACGCAAUAUUACGACCAAUGUGCCUCUAAUUAUUAAUUACGAUCAUCUUAUAACGACCAAUCGAUUUUCGAAGUUAAUUGGUCCUAAAGCCCAUAUUACGACCAACUAGCUACUAAUACUGUAGUCGUUAAGGUCAUGUUUUCUUGUAGUGAAAAGUCCCCAGAAAAUAUUUCUCGCAAUAUAAAUUCCGUAUAAUUUUUAUCCACAAUAAGAAGCAAACAUUGUUGGGAUCAAAAACGGUAAUCCAAAACCUGUGUUUCUGUAUGAAAGCUUUCUCGACACACUCUCGACAAAAUUUCCUGAGCAAAAAACUCGAGAGAAAUGGAUCACAGAACCAAACAAGCAGUCCAACUCGUUUGUUCGUACGUUUUGAGGUGCAGAACUGCACAGACGAGUCAGAUGUUUAGCUAUGGAUGAAGACCUUCCCGUGGUAUGAUUGAGCUUUGAGUUAGCUUUCCAAUGCCACCGGUCAGAGGUUAAUCAGCAUUCUGUAUCAUAAGUUAUGUCUAUUUUAUUGAAGGGUGGAAAGAGCACACCGUCCAGCUCGGUGGAUGGCCGAGCUGGAUCGACCACGCGGCCAGCUUGGCCAUCCGCCGAGGUGAACCAAACCAGCUCGGCCAUCUGCCGAGGUGAACCAGUCCAGCUCGGCGGAUGGCCGAGCUGGAUCGACAACACGACUAGCUCGUCCAUCCGCCAAGCUGAACCAGUCAAGCUCUGCGGAUGGCCGAGCUGGAUCGAACACGCGACUAGCUCGGCCAUCCGCCGAGCUGGAUCGACAACACAACCAACUCGGCCAUCCGCCCAGUCCAGCUCGGUGGAUGGCCGAACUAGAUCAACACACGACCAGUUCGGCCAUCCGCCGAGUUGGAACGAUCGUGUUGUCAUAGUCCCGUCCUCGUAGCUCCCUCCUUCGGGAUUGGAUCGAACAUGCUCUUGUUUCAUUUCGAUCAGAGUCACCGAUGGAACUUUACGAUUUAAAACCGCAGUAACUCGUUGUUGGGGAAAAAUAUUCCAUGAAGAGAUUACUCCAGCUUCCGUUUUCCAGGUCUCUGCCCCCAGGGUCUAGGUUCCUGCAUUUGGGUCCCGGGUCCCUGUCCCCGAGUCUGGGACCUUCCUCCGUCUUCCAGGCCAAGUGAUUUCUCCUGCCUUAAGAUAAAUGAAAAUCUUCCAUUUAUCAGGUAAUCAGCUUAGAGAAGAAGGGAUCUUCCUAAAUCCAAGAGAAAGAGGAAGUAUUCCAAUAUAUAGGCUGCCCUUAAAGAAGAGUGGAAAUAUUCUAUUAUCUAAGGAUUUAUGGAAUAUUUCCAAACCCUAAAGAGGAGGCAUGACCUCCACUAUAAAGAGAGGUUUCUAAAUCUAAAGAGGAGGUCCAUAACACAGAGAGAGAGACACGAGCUCAUCAUCUCCAUAGCCGGCAAGGCAAGAUUCGAGACCUAGAAGGCCAUCGUCAUCAACAUGCUUAUAACCGAUGAAUCCCUGCGAUUAAUACCAACAAGAUGAAGUUCUCCAUUCAUGGGAACACGUCCAUCUAUGAGGAAAACACGUCAAUCUAUGAGGGGGAGACUUCCAUUACCAGAGCUCACCAAUUCUACAGCCGCCAAGGCAAGAUGCUACACAUAGAAGAUCUUCUUCUCGGACAAGCCUAGGAGAGGCUGAUCCCGGCGGUUACUAUCGACCAGGGGAAGAUAUAUGCUCCCUGCAACACGUCUACAACGCUACAUACUGGCCCAGGCCACGAUCUCCAGCACACCGACAGGGACACUCCAUGCUCAACAAAGCAUAUCGAAGCUCCAUGCUCCCUGCAGCAUAUCGCCUACUCCACCAUCUGUUCCGACCAUGUGCCCCAUCGAACAGAUGACUCCUAUCACCUUGAUAUACCUUGGAUUUGGCCCAUUUUUAUCCAUGGUAUAUAGGUGUUUUACUAUAUAUAUAUCUAUGUUUUCUACUCUUCUAGGUAUGUUUUCAUGUUCAGGUGCAUUUCGGAGUAAAGCUAUGACUUUGGAGCAUUUUGGAGCUUAAAGGACAUUUCACCCGAGCUGACCACUUAGAGGUCGACGAGAGGAAGAACAAUCGAUCGAUGCGCAUCAGUGCUGACGAUCGAUAUCAGGAAAUACCUCGAUAGAUGAAGAUUAAUAUCGAUCGAUGUACACAAGUACCAUCGAUUGAUGUCGAGACACCAGACGCGACAUUUUGGAUUCAGCAGACUUAAAAACAAAGGCCAAGCCAAAUUACCAAAAUGCCAUGACGAGUUUUCAACCUAGUAGAAUAUAUACUGGCUACGUGUUUUGACGGCAAAAAGAACAGAGCUUUUUCUAGACCUAGUUUUGUUACAAGUUUCAUUUAGGAGAGAAGAUCACUUGUGAUUGGAACUCCUUGUUUCUAUUUCUUUUCAUCUAUACUAUGAGUUUCUAUUCUUUUAUUGUGAUGAAUUGCUUUGCUAUGUCUGAGUAGUUCAACUGUUACAUCCAGGGUUCAGAUAGGUUUGUGGGAUUAGCCCCAAACUAUAGAUCUGCCUUGUUGUGAUAUUCAUGAUAGAUUUGUAUUCAUUGCUUGUUUUAGCCUUGCUAACUAGAACUUGAUCAUAGGAUUGCAUAUUCAAGCACCCUUGUUAUCCCAUCCUGACAUCUAUCUAUCAUAUUAGGAUUGCUAGAGAGGGCUAACCACCAAUUUAGAAUCUUAGUAGGGAAUUUCAUACUCGCGCAUAGGCCUGGCUAGAACCCGUCGAUCGAUGUCCUCAACUGACAAUCGAUCGAUGUUGGCAAAGGUGUAUCGGUCGACGUCUUACUAGACCAUCGAUCGACACUCUCUCGUUGUCUGCAUACUAACCGUUGAGACACGAGAUCUAGUCUGUUAACCAGUGGUACAUGCGACAGCUGAUCACUAAGUUAAGCGAAUGAGCUCUAUUAUAUCAUGCAUGCAACAGUUAGGCAUCUAUAGGUAUUAUAAUCUCCAACACCUGAAGAGUGGCCCUGCAUCUAAUAUCAUUUCCAACCAAGUUACAUUUAUUAUUUACUCGCUUGUUACUAUUGCUAUUUCAUUUAGACAUUUACAACCUUUAGAAUUAAUAAACACUAGAUUUAAUUGUUCCCUAGCUCCUUGUGGAUUCGAUCCAUAAGUACUACAUCUGAACCUCUUUUGAUGAGAGUAACACUCCUUAGGGUAAUUUGAGUGGUAUCAAAUUUGGCACCGUUGCCGGGGAGCUUUGAUCGCCAUUAGAUUUAGUUUUAUUGAUUCUUAUUCUUUUCUUUACCCCCCUUUACGAAUAUGGAGUCUACAGAGAUGAGUGUGGACACACACGAGACGUAGCUGGUGAGAUGAUACCUGUCACAAAGGACAACAUCAGGAAUUUACUGGAAAGAGCAUCUCUUUUUGAAGAGAGCCACAUCUGUCUUCCAGAACAUGCCACCUCUUUCUUCCAGAACAUGCCACCUCUUUCACAAUCAGAAUACUGGCACCAGAACUCUACACCAAGGAUGAAAUAGAUGAGAUGGUGUUUGGUAUUUGUGGAGCUCAAGAGAAACUGGGAGAGGAGCUCAAAUCAUUGGUAGAAGAUACACAUCAGCCUUUGGAUAGAGGCUACAAUGAGCUUUUCAGAUGUAUGGCAGAAAUGAGGACAAAAAUUAAGAGUUUACGUCAGCAACUUAAGAAGGAAGCUACGACCUCAACAUAGAUCGGCGCAACACCCGCAACAUCGAUCGACGUCAGUCUUCCUACAACUCAGAUCCCUGCAGAACCGUAAUGUUCAACACAACACAGGGAUGAAUGGGAAGUCUCAUACAUCGACACAAGGAUAAAAGACAUUUACUGCCCUCUCAACAACAACGUGGACUGGCUAAGCACUAAAACCGAGCUACUACAGCAAGAUCUGGACACCAUUCGCAAGAAGGACCAACAACCAGCCACAUCGAUCGACAUGUGUACCUUCACAUCGCUCGACGCCAAAGUCUCAGCCAUGAAUGAGAGGCUGAGGACUUACGAUGACAUGCAUGACCGCUUUAUAUCACCAGUCAUGACAUAUUUAAACAAAAUGUCUAGUCAAUUACUUUAUGCCCAAAAGGAUAUUGAGAACAUUACUAAUCAAAAUUUUUUGCAGGUAAAAUCAGCAUCGAUCGACAGGCUACGAGGGCCUUGGAUCGAUGGCAAGAAACAUGUGGAGCUACUUCCUUACACAGCAGCAGAGGUUGACAAGAUCACAUCCAAGAUCUACACUGCUCUAGACAACAUGGAGGAACGACUUGACAAACGCUGCGAUGACAUCUACUUUCCAUUCGAAAACAAAAUCAGUGGACUAGACAACCACGCAGAAUGGCUACAGAAAGAAGUCAAAGCCAUUCAGAGGCAACUCGCAGCCCAACACCAGAUAUCAGCAUCGAUCGACAGGACACUAGCGAAAUCGAUCGAUGGAAACUCGCCAAGAUCGACCAACGAACACAUAAUCGCAUCGAUCGACGCCGAGUCUACACCAAUCGGCGAGCAGCUGAUACACAAGACAGUAGAGUCAAUGCAAAAGGAACUGACAGAUCUUUCAGCAUACGCCUAUGACAACAUAGGCUGGCACCAGGUCAGCAUUGACAACGUUCAAGAAAGGCUACAAAACAUCUCCAAUGUACUUGAGAAAAUGGAUGACAAAUGGACAAGAAAUGAUGAGGCCAUAAGAAGUUUCAUUGCAUCUUGGUCCAGAAUGCGCAGAGAUGACGUGGAUGCUUGCUUUCCAACAAGCAGCUGUUUCUCCACACAAUAGCCAAUCACCACCACAGUCAAGCUAAAUGACUAUAACCAAGCGCUGAGUGGGAGGCAACCCACUAUUAGGUAUUUUAUUUAGGUUUUAUUAGCUAGCAUUUAUUUCCUUUCGUUUUAUAUCUUUCAGAUUUAGGAGACCCAAGUAGGAGGACCUGAAUAUCGACCGACGACGAGACGUCGACAUUGCUCGACAUAGACAACCACACGACGAUCGAUGUAACACUUACACAUCGAUCGAUAUCUAAUCCGGUCAGAUGUAUCUUCCUUACUUGUUACAUUUUGUACAUUGUAAACUAUUCAUCAUAACUCCGGCUGAGUUACACUGGGACAGUGUAAUUUAAGUCUGGGGGGAGAUUUACUGAUAUAAUUUAUUUUAUUCUUAUGUAAAAAGAAAUUUUAAAUAAAUUAUGCUUAGCUAUUGAAAAUAGGGACUAUAAUCUUAUAUUGAUUUAAACAUGAAUAUCUAACCAAUCUUUAGCACCAUUUUAGAUUUACUGAUUGCAGAUAACACUAAAUAUGCUAAAUCGGAUUAACCUAUCAACUACACACUUGCCUUGAACCGUAUGAAGUAACCAAAGCUGAUUUCCAACACUAAACCUGACAUAACCGCUUGUCUUGGGGCUUGGUAUACAUGGGAUCGGAUUCUUCAGAAAGGUCUGGAAGGUAACGCCUGGUUUAGAUUAUUUAUCACAUUUUCUCUCUCUAAAUUUCGACCCUAGAUUAGUUAGUGAGUAUUUAAAAAAAAAAAAAUAUAUAUAUAUAUAUAUAUAUAAAAUAAUAAAUAAGAUCUAUUGUUUAAUUAGGAUGAGUCUGAACAGGACUUGGUGGCUAAAACCAUUAAGGCUUGAUUCAUAAAGACUCAAAUAAAAGAGUUCGAAACGGGACUUGGAGGCGGCAAUCUUCAAGGCUCGCUUUCGCAAAGAACUCUUGGAUAUAGGUCAAAAAGAAGUGAACAGAACUUGGUGGCAACCACCAUUAAGUUUUGAUUCAUAGAAGCCUGUCCAAUCUUGGUCACUGAUCCUGCAAUGGAAGCAUACUUUGACUCAAGAGAGAAAAUUAGAGAGAGAGAAACUAGGAACUAACUUUUACCUGCAGCUCCAGAUACCUGUCUGAAAUCCUUGCAUCAUGUGAUCGAUACUCCAAAGGUAAAGCAUUCACUUUAUAUUUAUGCUAAGAAAUGAAAUCAUUAGAGGAGAUGUCAGACGUGAAUUGAUGAGUUGUGUUAUGUUAGAAAUGGUUGCUAAGCUAGGAUAUUGCAUAGUGUGCUUUUGUGAUUAGGACUUUUUAAAUGUGGUUGCAAAAUUGUUUAGGAAAGAUUUCAAUGUUUUAAAAUCUUAAAUCCCCAAAUAUUUUCAAACCUCUUUCAGAGAGACGGCAUGUAUGUUUUUCUUGAGGACAAGCAAAAGGAUAAGUCUGGGGGAGUUGAUAUACCUUGGAUUUGACCUAUUUUUAUCCAUGGUAUAUAGGUGUUUUACUAUAUAUAUAUAUCUAUGUUUUCUACUCUUCUAGGUAUGUUUUUAGGUUCAGGUGCAUUUUAGAGUAAAGCUAUGACUUUGGAGCAUUUUGGAGCUUAAAGGACAUUUCACCCGAGCUGACCACUUAGAGGUCGACGAGAGGAAGAACAAUCGAUUGAUGCACAUCAGUGCUGACGAUCGAUAUCAGGAAAUGCCUCGACAGAUGAAGAUUAAUAUCGAUCGCUGUACACAAGUACCAUCGAUCGAUGUCGAGACACCAGACGCGACAUUUUGGAUUCAGCAGACUUAAAAACCAAGGCCAAGCCAAAUUACCAAAAUGCCCUGACGAGUUUUUAACCUAGUAGAAUAUAUACUGCCUAAGUGUUUUGACGGCAAAAAGAACAGAGCUUUUUCUAGACCUUGUUUUGUUACAAGUUUCAUUUGGGAGAGAAGAUCACUUGUGAUUGGAACUCCUUGUUUCUAUUUCUUUUCAUCUAUACUAUGAGUUUCUAUUCUUUUAUUGUGAUGAAUUGCUUUGCUAUGUCUGAGUAGUUCAACUGUUAGAUCCAGGGUUCAUAUAGGUUUGUGGGAUUAGCCCCAAACUAUAGAUCUGCCUUGUUGUGAUAUUCAUGAUAGAUUUAUAUUGAUUGCUUGUUUUAGCCUUGCUAACUAGAACUUGAUCAUAGGAUUGCAUAUUCAAGCACCCUUGUUAUCCCAUCCUGACAUCUAUCUAUCAUAUUAGGAUUGCUAGAGAGGGCUAACCGCCAAUUUAGAACUUAGUAGGGCAUUUCAUACUCGCGCAUAGGCCUGGCUAGAACCCGUCGAUCGAUGUCCUCAACUGACAAUCGAUCGAUGUUGGCAAAGGUGUAUCGGUCGAUGUCUUACUAGACCAUCGAUCGACACUCUCUCGUUGUCUGCAUACUAACCGUUGAGACACGAGAUCUAGUCUGUUAACCAGUGGUACAUGCGACAGCUGAUCACUGAGUUAAGCGAAUGAGCUCUAAUAUAUCAUGCAUGCAACAGUUAGGCAUCUAUAGGUAUUAUAAUCUCCAACACCUGAAUAGUGGCCCUGCAUCUAAUAUCAUUUCCAACCAAGUUACAUUUAUUAUUUACUCGCUUGUUACUAUUGCUAUUUCAUUUAGACAUUUACAACCUUUAGAAUUAAUAAACACUAGAUUUAAUUGUUCCCUAGCUCUUUGUGGAUUCGAUCCAUAAGUACUACAUCUGAACCUCUUUUGAUGAGAGUAACACGCCUUAGGGUAAUUUGAGUGGUAUCACACCUACAAGGCCACGUGCCUCCAUCAGAGCUACGUGCUCCUUAGGCCAUGUGCCCAUUAGGCUAUGCGCCCACUUAGGCUCCAUGCCUCCACCAAUACAUGAACUACGAACGGCUUGAUCCCUCACUGAAGGGUACGUAGGCAAUCCCCCCUAAAGGAUGCUGCUAUAUAUCCCAAACACCUUCCAUGGUUCCACCCCUAGAAGCUCAAAGACCGCCCCUGGUGGUCGGAACCAUCAAUUACAGAUCAGGAGGCAUCCAAGGACCGACCCUGGAGUCAGGACCAUCAAUUGCAGACCCAGAAGACCCUGCGAUCUUCACGACAAACAGACGGUUCCUGCCUAACAACCGACCUUUCUUACUGCUACUAAGGCACUGAUGACAUAUACCAGCCCAUACCCGUAUGGCACUACCCUCAGAGUAGGAUCUACUGACUUAUCCACGACCGAAGCAGGAGAAAGUACCACGACGACCAGUCUACUUCUUCCUAUCAUUCCGUAGUGCUGAGCACGAAUCACUUGUACGCAAAAAUUCCCUAACAGUUUUGCGCUAGAAGGAGGGGCAGUCAUAUGCUACGUGAUGAUGAUGAUAGGUGGAAGAGACAUUACAUCCAUUACUUCAGAAUAUUUCAACCACAGCCAUCUAGGGGCAAGAAACGACGUAUUCUCACGAGAUCUAAACCUCAUUAAGCUGGAAACACCUCUUCAAAGGAGGAUAACACAACGCUAAACAGAAGUAACAAGACCCAACACAGGAAUUACCAACUGGUUCCUAUUGGUUCCUGCUGGUUCUGGGUCCUAUCCUCAGAUUAAACUUUCUGCAGUCCCUGGUUCCUGCUGGUUUCGGGUCCUAUCCUCAUAUCAGAUCCCCGCAGUCUUCGGAUCUGCCGGUUCCGGGUCCCAACCCAAAGCCGAUGUCUACAAUUAUUGACUCAUGCUGGUUCUGGAUCUUCACUACACAACAAGUCUCACCAACCUUCGGACCCAAUGGGGGCAGCCAUCACCAAGCAAGCCCUAGACGACAUCCAUAUUUCCAGACUCACAACUCCGCCUCAUAUGAGAAAGAUGCAAGGUUCUCAAACAGGACACAACAUUUUCCGCCCGGGUUUACAACUUAGACGAAUUCUAAAGACAGGAAGAGUCACACGAAGAGCUCCUGGAAAUACCACGGGCCUACCAGGCAACCACUAAGAGGUAACCAGAGAACCACCUUUCUCUUUAGGCUUUACAAUGUAAGUGGUAGUGGAAUCCUAGAUAAGCCUAAUAGCUGGGUGGAUAGAAUGCCUUUUAGUACUCAUCAACUUCCAUUGGAGUUGUUCCGCGAAAGGAUCCCUGCCCAAGCGACUGGAACACUGCUUCUUUGCAUCCUGCAAAGGAGCCGAAGAAAAAUGAGAACUCUACAUCAAGACAUGCUGGCCUUCUGAUUCUUGGGUCCAAUUAGAGCAAAGGAGAGUAAAAGAAGCCGGAGAACACACGUUCCAGCUACUAAUCAUCUAUGGGUUCCAGGUUCCAGCUUCCAGGUCCCAAAUCCCAGGGCCUGGAUCCCAGGUCCCAAAUCCAGGUUCCGGGUCUCCAGCUAUCCACCUUACAUGGAGGGAAAUCCAAUGGCUCCACGAAAAAGCAAGCUCCGACCACCUUACUACUGCUUUUUCCGGCAACAAACCCUGAUAUACCUCUAAAGGAAAUUAAGGCCUUUUACCCCCUACAAACUCCCGGGGAAACUCAGGAUCCGUGCCUCUCCAAGUUUCCAAGGCUGCACCCCUCGACAAGUUGUAAGAAACGGGAAUUCCCAGUGAAGGAGUCAAGAAUACGCCAGUCUACAAGGAAGUAGGUCCAAGGUACAUACCUUCCUGAACUUCUACGAAAGAGAUAACUAAGAGAAAAGAGGGGGCAAACGAGUUAACACUCAACACAAGGGGCAAAUAUGCGUCAACAAAUCUUGUUGGCUUGCCCACUAAAGGGAGGAUUCAAGACAAAGCGACGGUUCAUUUAGUGACAUCCAAGAAACGCUGAGAGUGGCUCACCCAAGAGGGAGCAGAGAGCAGCCAGAAAAAGUUAGUAAACGACAUCGACAAAAAGAGAAUAUCUACAGAUCCUCAUUUGCCAGGGCACUAGUUCCAAGGAGCCUCCAGGCUCUCAAAGAUAAAUCUACUGGUCCUCCAAGAGAAGUAGCCCCCACGCCUCAAAAAAAAAUCUAUGUUCCUCCAAGGUCCUGUUACAGGUCUAAGGACCCUUUAUCCAGCUAAUGAAUGUCAAACUCACUGAAGCAUCAACAAGUCCAUCUCCGUAGAGCCCUACAUCACUGGGAGAAACCUACGUGAGUUACAAGACCAGAAAUCAAAUCUUGUCAUCCACUGAAAUACAAGACCAAGGUCUUGAAUCCUACAAGAUCACCUUCGAACAGGUCCAGAACCUGGAAGUUCUCAUCAAGACCCUGGUCUACCAUGUGGAAAACCAAUUCUCCUCCAGGUUUUAACACGGUCCACGCAUAAGAAGAAAUCAGAAAAAGGGAAGCAGCGUCCUGUCCACUAUAAGCAUGCUGAGAUGGAACGACUCCGGUUGGCCAAACUACACAUGUUAUCUCCCGACUUCACCCAUGAAACCGAAAGAUAAGGGGCAAACUAUUGGGAGUGAAUAAUUUUGGAAAAUACUACGCUUGUUUCCGGGCAGGACCCUGGUCUCCAUAAACCCGCAUGAAGAAGUUCCGAGUCCGACUUCGACUACGAAGCUCCGGCUCUGACCUCUGCUCCUAUCCUUAACACCAGGUAAAAAUGAAAGGUAAAAACUUUCCAAAUUUCUAACGCAAAUGCAAUGUACUGUAUUCAAACUCAGAGUUUGUACAGGGAGCGACAAUAACAAUGGGUAUGAGACUUAAGGCAGGAAUAGGUCUGAUUAACCUGAGUAUGCUAGUCAAGACUACCUAUAACCCCGGUAUAGGCCUAGAGCCAUAUCGGGCCACCAUAAGCUACAGUACUGUGACACCUCCUGGUUUAUUCAUGGAGUUUGCAUAUUGCAUAAGUACUGCCACGUGUAGGGAGCAAUAUAUAAAUUCCUGCUUCUCCAGACGUGGAAAGCAGCGUAAGCCUGACACUUGGGUUUCCGAAUCCAUAACCAGCACCCCUAAGUCUGAUAGUGGCUUUCUGCAGAAAGCAGCAUGCAGCACGGGAACUCGAUAGUGACCAGCUUCCGAGAGGUAAAAUGUGAAUUCCCAACAGGUACCGGUAGUGGCCUCACCUAGGAUGGCAGAAUACGGUCCCUUAAAAUACAAAUCAAAUACCCCUGGGUUAUUAAGAACUUUCGGGUCCCCAUGCAGUCUCCGGGUCCUGAACAAAUUUCUUCAGGACCUGUAAAAGGUAAACCUCCAGGUUCUUUAUAACCCUCGGGCCCAACAACGACCUCAGGGUCUGAAGGAACCUCCGGGUUCCCAAAAGACCUCCGAGUCAAGAAGCAACCUCCGGGUUCAAAACGACUUCAGGGUCCUAAAUACGACCUUAGGGUCUAUAGGAACUUCCAGGUUCCCAAUCGACCUCCGGGUCCCAAAACAACCUCAGGGUCCUAAAAACGACCUCGGGGUCUAGAGGAACCUCCGGGUUCCCCAUCGACCUCUGGGUCCUCACUCAACCUCCGGGUUCUAAAGGUGAUCUCCGGGUCUAGGGCAACUGAUAUACCAUGAUUUUCACCCGUUUUUUUUACAUGGUAUAUAAGAGUUUUAAGAUGUAUUAAUCAUGUUUUAGAGUCUUUUCAAAGCAAUUACAGGUUUAUUCACCUGAUGGAAGGAAAUGAUACUUUUGGGACAUUUUGGAAUGCUUUUACCCAAGGAGAAUCGAUCGACGCUUGAAGAGCAACAUCGGUCGAUCAUAAUCACAUACCAUCGAUCGACAAACAUACAUGUGCAUCGAUCGAUGCCCAGUCACACGAGUUUGGAGAAGGAGCAUUUUGGCUACCAUUAGAAGAGCUUAGGAUUGGAGAGAUAGAUCUGAGACUGCAAAACAGAGAAGAUCUUGAACUACUUUACUUCUAUUACUCUAUCUAUUUGCGUUCUAUGUUUCAUUUGAGUUUAUUUCACACCAUCAUGACUUUGUCUCUCAUGAAUAUGUUUGAGUAAACCAACUGUUAGAUUUAGGUUUCUCGCCAUGGUUGAAAUUAUGUACUGCUAAUAUGACUAUUUAAAAAGGUGUUUUAAUUGAUCUUUCAUUGCUUGUGAACUUAAUGCUAAAAUUGAGAUUGAUCACCUUCAUUUUAGAUCUUAGGAUUAAUGGAGUCCAACUAACUUUUUCCCCUCAAUACCUGAACCCACUUGCGUGAUCUAACUAACUCAGGCGCAACGACAGUUGGUCUGAGAAGGUUAGACAACAAGUUAAACCCGUUUGCAAAGCUCGCUAGAAUAACCAUCGAUCGACGCAACUAUCGUUAUGUCGGUCGAUCGUUACAAAGGUGUAUAGGUCGAUGUACAUCAAGUCACAUCGAUCGACACUCUCUCGAGAUCAAAAUACGACAGUUGAGAUCCGAGAUCUAGUGAAGAUAACCUAUCCAGUUAAAUCAAUGUUUAGUUCAAGAACCAUUAAACCCUUUAGUCUAAACUAAGUGCAUACAUUUUAUACCUGAGAAUGGCCUGAAUCUAGCUGCUUUCCCAAUCUUGAAACCACUUCAAUUCAAUCUAUUGAUUCACUGUUGUUUUCGAUUUAUCAUUUACUGCUUUUAAAACUAUUAAAACCUUUUAGUCUAUCUUCAUUUCUAAUUAUUUAAGUCUCUUGAGUAAUCCUAGAGUCUCUGUGGAUUUGAUCCCUAAGUACUACAUCUGAACCUCUUUUGAUGAGAGUAACACUCUUUAGGGUAAUUUGAGUGAUAUCAAAUUUAGCGCCGUUGCCGGGGACUCUUUCUUAUUACCAUUAGAUUUAAUUUAGAAUUUAGUAUAGACUUGUUAUGAAAAUCUUGCUAAAGUUUUAUUUCUUAAUCUGUUACGCAGACACAAAGAAUGGAGAACACAGAGCGCGACCAACCAUCGAUCGACGGAGACAUGUUUCCAUCGAGCCAUGUUGAGUCAGAAAAAUCGACCGAUACGGAGCUGCCAACAUCGAUCGAUACCGCCCAGCCGGAAGCAGGUAAGCUUUCUCUUACCAAGCCCGCUAAUGAGAAAGUAGUCCAAACUGAAGUAAAUGGUCAAACGAGCAAUGAAGCUAGCCAAACUGAACAGGGGACUGAAAUCCCUGUUAAGGAAAAUUCCACCUUAACUAAAGGUGAAGAUAUAAAUUUGUCCAUGCAAGACUACCUUGAUCCUGGUAGGACCUAUUCCAAUAGGUCCGCUAUCAAAAUACCUGGAGACGAUACCAAGAAAUCUAAGUUUAACGCAGAUUACUACCGUAUGGUUCGUCAAAACCCAUUUCGUGGAUCCCUCCCAGAGCACCCACAAGAUCACAUUGAAACUUUGGAAGUAUUAAUACCAGAUGAAUAUGAUCGUUGCAAACUAUUCUCAUUCUCCCUAGAAGGAGAAGCCCUCAGGUGGUUAAACUGUUUAGCAGCAGGAUCACUCACUUGUUGGGAAGAGAUUAGAAGUGCCUUCCUUAGAGAAUUUUUCACUGAUGAACGCUACUGGGAAGUAAGAAAGCAAAUUUCUACAUUUCGCCAAGGUCCACGCGAAUCGUUUAAAAACGUCUGGGGAAGAUUCAGAGGCUAUGAACUUGAAUGUCCCCAUCAUGGUUAUUCAGAACCACAACUUCUUAACAUCUUUUAUGGAGGUGUUAACUUGAGCUAUAAAACCACACUCGCUACAGCGAGUAAUGGAAAUUUCAUCACUAGGAAUCCCGAAGAAGCUAGACGCCUUAUCAAGAAUAUGACAACGGGAAGAUCCUAUGAAAGGAUGGAUGAAGAGAUAGAAAAUUUCACAAGUCCAAAAGACAAUUCUAAUUUGAUAGAAAUUAAGAAUUCCCUUAAGUCCCUUCAUUCCUUUUUUCAAAACAAACACCGAUCUGAUAUAGCCCAGAUCGAUGACGACGCUUUGUCUGACACCAAUGAUAAUUUGGAUGAAGGAACGAACUGUUCCGAUCCCUACUCUGUGCUUAAUGUCGAUAGCUUUACCCAAGCUUAUGACACUGCUGUAAAAUCACGUACCGGAAGAGAGAGAUUCAAUAUCAGACAAGCUCUUACUGGCAACCGAAACUUCUUCGAUGAGGCGCACGCUGAAGAACUUCGAAACAAAAUUUCCACAUUCUUGCAGGAGGCUGGAGAGUCCUUCAAAGAUGCGUGGAUUAGAUUUAGGUUCUUCCAGCGAGACUGUCCACACCACAGAUUUAACGAAGUGCAGCUACUCAGCACUUUCUUCCGAGGUCUCGCCUUACAGUAUCAAAUGGCUCUUGAUACGGCGAGUGAAGGAAACUUCACUACUCGGAAUCUGUUAGAAGCUGUGAGACUUAUCGAAAACCUUGCUAACAGCAGCAGCACCAAAAACACUGACUCUGAACGGAAGAAGUCUGUAGCCUCUAUCGGGAAGGAACAUAUGGACGAAGUAAGAGCUAAGUUAGAUGUGGUGCACGAGCUUCUUAGGAAGCAAGUCUGUUUAGCUGAAGGAGAAGUAGUAGAUAUGGAAGGAGAGGAAAAUGUGAACUACAUCGGAGGUACCGGAUUCCAGAAAUUUAUAAACCAAGGCGGAAACAGAAACUUCGUUGGAAAUGGUCAAAGAAGUAACCAGAGUUCACAAUUUCAAAAACCCUUCAACUACAACAAAAGUUACUCGAACUCCUACUACCAGAAUCCACCACCCUAGACUCAGGAAAGCAAGAUCGAAGAAAUGCUUGAUCGAGUACUGUUGGGACAACAACAAAUCACUGUGGAUUUCAACGGUAAAAUAGACUCCGCCUACAACAAUCUGAACACCAAAAUCGAGACCUUAGGGACUCAGGUGAGAAAAAUUGAAACCCAAGUAAUUCAGACGGGCGAGACUAUAAAGAGGCAAGAAGCUUUCGCUAGAGAGGCAGGAGCCGACAAAGGAAAACACCACGUAAAUGCCAUCAUAGAUGAUGAUUUCUGGCAAGUGGUGAGAAAUGAAAAGCUUGAGGAAGGAGAUUUCGAAAUCGAAAGCUCCAUGAGUCUCGGCGGAUCCCAAUGGUGUCGACCGAUGUCGAUGAACUCGCAUCGAUCGAGCUCGAUCGCUAUGUAGCGACCGAGCUGUGUGCAUGCUUGGUCGCCGCGUAUCGAUCGAGCAUGGCUUGUCCGCGGUCUGAUUUCCAUACUUGAGCUUGUCCGCGGCCGAUUUGGAUACAUGUCCGUUGCCUUCGGACAAUCGGUAUUUAGUGGUUCAAUUGAGAUUUGGACGAGAUUUUUACUGCAAGGCUCUUCGUAAAGAUAUCUUUACGAAGAUUACUUUUGGUAAAAACGUUUAUGCUGAUUUUUACGGACUUUCAGACAUUGAUUCCGUCGUGACCGAUUUUGACCCCAACAGUUAGCCCCCCAGCUCGUUAGAACCAUGAGUUUCUAGCGUGAGGUUCUAGCGAGUGGCUUGGCAAGUUAGGCAAGUUAGGUGAGUUAGGCGGAAUUAAUGGUUGAAAAGGUCUGUGGUAAGUGAUCUUCUCGCUCUCCUAAAAGUAGAAAACGCGAUAAGAUUGGGGCUGCGCCUUAUGACGGCUGCCUACGUACCCUUGUUGAAGGGAUCAAGCCUUUCGUAGUUCGUCUUGGAGUUAAGGUUCUUAUGACUAGUUUUCCAGUAGGACCUUUAUGGUCUAGUUUUUAUGUAGCGGUUAUAAGGCGUGUUGCUGCCGAUGGCAUUUUGUAUGGGUGUAGAGGGAAGACUACGAGUUCUCGUCUCGUUAUCUAACUCUGUGUGAAUUGUCAUAUCCAUAAUCUGUUUCGAGAGUUUUCCGCAGUGUGUAAACUUGCGGGAAUUUCUGAAGACGUUCGAAUAUUGGCAAAGAGACAAAUUUUGGGAUCUCGUAUCAGGGUGUUUGAUACUAUGCCUAGAGAUUUUAGAGACCAGUGCGCUGGGUUUAGGGCAAGACCUAGGUUUACUUUCGGUUUAAGGAUUGUGCGGUGACUGGCCGGCUAUCGUUUUUCCUGUUGCGAUUUCUUCCUGAUUCGUAUCGAUUUAAAGUCCGCGAUAGGUUCUCGGCUUAUACGACUUGUUUGAUACGAAUCGAGCAUCUCUCCGGAGACCGGAAGUGCUGGACCAAAAUUUCGGAUUUCUUUUAUAGUGCUAUUAUCCUUGUGUCGGAUGUAAGAGAGUCAUCUUCGUGAGAUGGCUAUGUCUGUUUAGGACGUUGAGAGUUUGUUGUGAUCAGCAACAAACUUAAUGGUAAAAAAUACCGUUUCGAGUCUUCGCGAAGAAUAUUUUUUGAGAAGAUGUUAGUGCGUAUGACUGUUUGGUCUUCCAUGAAGGUGUUUAUAUCGAGGAAGGAAAUUUCGUCAAAGAACUAAUCUUCAAGCGUCUGCGACGUCUCGCGAUGCUGAAGAUUUGUUAUUCUUUCGUAUGCCACGUUUCGUGCUUGAAAUGUUCGCGGGCUUGAAGAUAUUUCGCGAUGUUGCAAGGGUUUAGUCUUAGCCAUGCGUUUGAAAAACAUUCUAGUUUGACUACGAAUGUUCGCAGCCAAAAUUGUUGUUCAUGUUUGGAUGCUAAUAGUUUUAUUUGCGAUCGAUGAAUUAUGACUGAGGUGUCGUGUAAAUUUGUCCAUGGGAACAAGCGUUUUCCUUCAUAGUGCUUUGUGAAGUGUUGGCCUUCCGAGAUGUAUUUCGUGCAUUUUUUAGGAUGUUUCAUAUAGCUCUAGAAGCUUUGUUAUGAAUUUUUCCUUACAUGCCGCGUAUUAUGGUUAAAACGUUGCGGGCUUAAAGUGAAUUGUGGAGCGUAUUGAACUUGGUCAAUUUUCGAAAAGUUUAGAUUUUUCGUUAACCGUUUGGUUGUUAGGACUUAGUUUCGUUACGAAGAAUUUAUCAUAUGAUUUCCGACUGUGGGCUAUACGAUAAUUUAUCAUCUCAUAUAACCGAUUUUACGAAGGUCGUAAAUCAGUGAUAUGUAUACAUAUGUCAAAGUAGCAUUGUUUCUGCGGGUUCUACGAGAAACGUUCCCGCUGUGAUUUUGAUCUUAGGUGAAAGUUGCUUGGAGUUACCCAUGGAGUAUUACCAAAGUUAAUUUCAAUACGAUCUAGUCGCGGAACGUUUUUCAUAGGUUUUUCGAGAGGAUUCUCAUGACACAUUCGUUUCUUGAAAGAAUUGGUCAACCAGAAGUGGAUCUAGCUAACCAUCGGGAGGAAAGUACUCCUUUUAAUGUGCACGAUGCUACAUAUAUUCUCGAGUUUUCUUCGUCGCAAAUGUUUUCGAUGCUUUUCCGUGACUUACUUGGUACAACGGAAACUGAAAAAAAAAAUGCUUUGGUGAUUGAAGAUUUCUCGUAGAAAUUUUUAAAACGAAACUGGCUUUCUGAAGCCGGAAAAGGCUUCAAUACUUUGGCUAAUCGUCGAGUUUCAGUUUGAUAUUGGUACAAGUUUUCUGUACGCAUGAUUGCGACAAGAAAUGAUGUAUAGUUUUUGAGAUUAUGUUCAUGAUCGUCUGGAUAUGUUGCUAGCGUUUAGACGAAUAUUAAGAUUGUCGUUUGCCUAUUCUUGACGAUUUGCAGAAGUUUUUUGAAGUUUGGGAGUAUACGAGUAUAAUAUACGUACCUACUCCCCCCCUUUUUUUACGAAAGAAAACGGUUGAACCGAUACUUUGAAGGGGUGUGUACGUUUUCUCUUCUGAUGUUUGGAAUGAUCGAUAAUUCGGGACGAUUUAUAGACGACGCUUGGACUGUGAUUUGGUUGUUUUCCACGUUGACGACUUGGGAUAUGUCGGUUCCGAGAAAAUUGCCAGAAACGAAUCGGUUUUAAGACGACGUUCAUGUCUCUAACUUUUUCUCUCUUUAGGAAGCGAGCUUGAUAUGCGUGGCGAUUGUUUCUCGACUUUCGGAGAGUUCAGAUCGGUUUGCAAGAUCUGGAUGAAUAAUUAUGGAACAAUAUAUCGAGACAGGAAAAAUCGCUUAAAACUUAGUUCGCUAGACUAUCCGCCUAGGUUUUACGUUCCCUAAAGUUCUAUGGCAGCCUCAAAGUAAUUUCCUACGAAAAUUCCAAGUCUGAUUUCAAAAAUUUCAAGUCGGAAAUACCUUAGUUCUCUCGAAAAUGCAGUUUUGUCCCUUCUCAGUUUUGCGUGCUCAUUUCCGUUUCCUAUUCUCGUGUAUGUUCGCCAUUUCCGAUAUUGGUGUUUAUCCUUUGAAACUUGACAUUUAUCUUCCGAACUAGACUGUUAUCUUCUCCUUAGAUAAGACGUCAAUUUUUGUAAAAAGGUUCAACGUAAUUGUAUAGUUAAGGCGGCUAAGGUGUUAAGUUAACCGUUGCCGUUUUAUACGAUUAAUCUGAAUCCAUGCGAGAAAAUAGGUCUUUGCGGCUUUUUUUUUUUUUAUAUCAUAAAGUCUCAAUGGUAACUUCAAUCGAGGCGAAACAAGAGACGUUUCGAUCGAGAUUCGAAAGUGAACGCAAAGAUGGAGGUAGGGUGAGCAGAAACAAGCCAAGGAGUUUAAGAUGAGUUUCACUUGUUUUUGUCGUAAAAUCUCAACGGAAGCUCCGAUUGAGACGAAACAAAACGCGUUUCGAUGAGAAUUCAAAGGAGAACGCAAAGGAGGACCCCUUUGAGGCCUGACAGGUCGCUAUAACGAGUGAGGAUGUCAUCUCGGUCGCUAUAACGAGUGGAAGGGAGCCGAGACGAAUCCCACUUGUUUUCGUCGUAAAAUCUCAACGGAAAUUCCGAUUGAGACGAAACGAAAAGCGUUUCAAUGAGGAUUCAAAGGAGAACGCAAAGGAGGAACCCUUUGAGGCCUGACAGGUCGCUAUAACGAGUGAGGAUGUCAUCUCGGUCGCUAUAGCGAGUGAAAGGGAGCCGAGACGAGUCCCACUUGUUUUCGUCUAAAAAUCUCAACGGAAACUCCGAUUGAGACGAAACGAAAAUCGUUUCGAUGAGGAUUCAAAGGAGAACGCAAAGCAGGACCCCUUUGAGGCCUGACAGGUCGCUAUAGCGAGUGAGGAUGUCAUCUCGGUCGCUAUAGCGAGUGGAAGGGAGCCAAGACGAGUCCCACUUGUUUUCGUCGUAAAAUCUCAACGGAAACUCCGAUUGAGACGAAACAAAAAGCGUUUCGAUGAGGAUUCAAAGGAGAACGCAAAAGAGGACCCCUUUGAGGCCUUACAGGUCGCUACGUAGCGACUGACGGUCUGACAGGUCGCUACGUAGCGAGUGGAAGCAAGCCAAGAAGAGUCCUACUUGUUUUCGUCGUAAAAUCUCAACGGAAACUUUGAUUGAGACGAAACGAAAAGCGUUUCGAUGAGGAUUCAAAAGAGAACCCAAAAGAGGACCUUUCUGAGGCUUUACAGGUCGCUACGUAGCGAGUGGAGAGUUGGCUUGAGCUUGGUCGCUACGUAGCGACCGAGCGGUGUGCGUGCUCGGUCGCUACGUAGCGACCGAGCAGUGUGUGCGUGCUCGGUCGCUACGUAGCGACCAAGCAACGUGUGCGUGCUCGGUCGCUACGUAGCGACCGAGCAGUGUGCGUGCUCGGUCGCUACGUAGCGACCGAGCAGCGUGCGUGCUCGGUCGCUACGUAGCGACCGAGCAGCGUGUGUGCUCGAUCGCCACGUAGCGACCGAGCAGCGUGUGUGCUCGGUCGCUACGUAGCGACCAAGCAGAGUGUGUGCUCGGUCGCUACGUAGCGACCGAGCCGUGUGCGUGUUCGGUUGCUACGUAGCGACCAAGCAGCGUGUGUGCUCGGUCGCUACGUAGCGACCGAGCAGCGUGAGUGCUCGGUCUCUACGUAGCGACCGAGCAGCGUGUGUGCUCGGUCGCUACGUAGCGACCGAGCAGCGUGUGUGCUCGGUCUCUACGUAGCGACCGAGCAGCGUGUGUGCUCGGUCUCUACGUAGCGACCGAGCCGUGUGCGUGCUCGGUCGCUACGUAGCGACCGAGCCGCGUGUGUGCUCGGUCGCUACGUAGCGACUGAGCCGCGUGUGUGCUCGGUCGCUACGUAGCGACCGAGCCGUGUGCGUGCUCGGUCGCUACGUAGCGACUGAGCAGCGUGUGUGCUCGGUCGCUACGUAGCGACCGAGCAGCGUGCGUGCUCGGUCGCUACGUAGCGACCGAGCAGCGUGUGUGCUCGGUCGCUACGUAGCGACCGAGCCGUGUGCGUGCUCGGUCGCUACGUAGCGACCGAGCUGUGUAAUCGUUUUGUUGUGUUUUCUUUUUCCGCGAUUAACGUAGGGGUUUUUCAGCGGUUUUUUUGGGAGAACAAGUUUUAUCCUUCCGAAAUGUUUUCGGAAAACGUGUUUUGGUAAAACCCUUACGCAUCGAGAUUUCUUUACGGGGUUUUGAUAAGAUUUAUCGUUUCCCUUCGUGUUUACAGGGAGAAAUCGCGAGCUUGUUUUUGUGCUCUUCCUGUGGCGGAAGGUCGCGACUAAGUUAUCGAUUUUGUUGAAAACUACGGUGUUUGCGUAAGCGUUGGCCAUAGGAGCAGUCAGUGCAGCGAGUUUGUCUUUCAUAUAUCCAAACAUCGUUUCGAUCAAGCGUUUUGUGGCCAUGAGUAAGAAUAAUCCGUUACCCCCCCCCCCCUCCUUCUAGCGCCAAACUGUGGGAACCGAAAUUCGCACUGUCGAUUUCCGUUUAAAUAAGGAAACUAGGAAAACCCUAAUUUUCCAGAUGUCCCGGAUCUCGGCGAGAGCCAACGACAAGUGACCGAGUAUAUGCGGAAAUCAUGAAAAGAUAACAAACGAGUUUAGAGAAAACAGUAGAUCUUAUUUCGAGUCCGCGUAAGAGCGUUGCGAUCAUUACAAGAGAUCAUAAAAGCUUUGGCCGCAAAGGCUGUCAGCGAGUUACUUAGUUCUAGCGGUCUAAAAGCUCAAACCUAGUUGAGUCGCAGCUCGAUAACAAAAGACGAAAAAGAUACAUAAAAGGUUUUUGAUUGAUUUCGGACUGAACCUUGUUAAAGGCUGCCUACGUACCCCUUUCGAGGAUCAAGCCGAACGUAGUUCAAUUGAUAGAGUUGGACAAGAGAUCGAACUGCCUGGGCGAGUUCGUCUAGUAAUUGAGUGCCAGUCAUAGAAACCGAACUUGUCGAGAAUAAGCCUAAAGUUUCUAAGUGCAGAGAAUUCCGAAUCUAAAAAGUUCUCCCCCAUGCUCCUCGCCUAGGACUCCUUAUAUACUAGCUCCAAGGUCGGUUUACGCUUUUACUCUUCUGCCCUAAAGCCGUCAUAGCGUAAAAAUGGAGAUAUUCCAUUUUUCCCGAUUUUCACAACUAUCUUCAAAAAUUCCGUAUUUAUCCGCGGAAACUUGACAUUUAUCCUUCCUUGUGGACCAAGGGUAAACCAGGCUGUGGUUUACGGGCCUUUGGUUAAGAAAUCGCAGGAUGGGCCUCGAGUCGUGUUUUAGGUCCCUUUGGGCCGUCUUCCGACUCGAAGAUUUUACUACGAUUUCUUUCGACAAAGAAAGAACUUUCCGCAGUUUCUAAUCCGCGAAGUUUGAUCGAUGAUUUAGAAUAGCGGAAAACAUAGACUGAGCUCGCUACGGUCUUCGGGAGAUAGCAUUUUAAGGUUUGACGAGAAUGCAUGGACUGGUGUCAUACCGAUGUUCGGAAGAGCUCGGUCGCUACGCAGCGACCGAACUUUGGCUCGAGCCCGAUCGCUACGUAGCGACCGAGCGAGACGGACGCUCGGUCGCUACGUAGCGACCGAGCUUGGCUCGAGCUCGAUCGCUAUGUAGCGACCGAGCUGUGUGCAUGCUUGGUCGCCGCGUAUCGAUCGAGCUUGGCUUGUCCGCGGUCUGAUUUCCAUACUUGAGCUUGUCCGCGGCCGAUUUGGAUACAUGUCCGUUGCCUUCGGACAAUCGGUAUUUAGUGGUUCGAUUGAGAUUUGGACGAGAUUUUUACUGCAAGGCUCUUCGUAAAGAUAUCUUUACGAAGAUUACUUUUCGUAAAAACGUUUAUGCUGAUUUUUACGGACUUUCAGACAUUGAUUCCGUCGUGACCGAUUUUGACCCCAACAAGGCACAAAGGAGAGGACUUUUUCAGAGCGAACUUAGAACUUAGAGCAUUUAGGCAACUUUUUAUUUUUGUUAUUUCGAGCUGCGACUUAACUAGGUUUUGCUGUCUUAGGUUGUUAGAACUAGGAAUCUCGCCGACAGCUCUCAUAGCCGAGGCUUCUACCUUGUUGUAACGCUCAUACGCGAAUCCGGAACUAGGAAUCUUUUCUACGAUUUCUUUUUUUUUUUCGUCUUUACUUUCGUAUUCUGAUUGCUUGGCGUGUGGUUUAGCAGAUAUUCGGGACCUCUGGGAAAUUAGGGUUUUCCUAACUUUCUUAAUUUAAACGGAAAUCGAUGGUGUGAAUUUCAGUUCCCACAGUUUGGCGCUAGAAGGAGGGGGGGGGGGGUUACGGAUCAAUCUAACUCACAGCCACAACACGCUUGAUCAGACAUAGCAGGCGACGACUCAAACGCCAUGCUAACUCCUCUCAACGAAGGAGGCAACAAUGGUCAGAACACUCCAGCAGCAGACGUUUAUGCGGCAAACGAAGCAGCCAACGCCGCGACUCUCGAGGAGUUUAAAAAGAUGUUCUCCGCCUAUGAAAAAAGGUCGGAAGAACAAGAUAAGCUCGUGGACACCUUGACUAAACAGGUCAACACCUUAACAGCAAGGCCAUAAGCGGUCGUUCCCCGCGUAUCAACAAAGAUUCGUGGAGGAAGACUCGACUUCACGCCCCACACGACAUGGCUGAAACUUUGCGGGAACAUCCCACAGGGCAAAACCCUAGCGAAACAUCUCCUGCCAAAGGAAGGGACCCCGAAAACCCCUUUUGUCUCCAAUAAAGGAUACAUGGAUCGACGAAGUCGAACAUGUCAACUUGGAUCCCAGAGAUCCAUCCGAUGAUACGGAAGAAGAUGCAGACGGCUCGGGAAGAUUCUCCGUUCAGAAAGCCCAUGACCGAAGAAGAAGAACAUAUCUUCUAGGUUAAGCAGGAGAAGUUGGCUGAAGAGCAGGCCGAAAUUACUCACAGCAGACGCCGAUAGGCUCGAAAGGCAUGGGGUGGGGAUCCAGAUAUUCGCGAUCUUCGCGAUUACAUAAAAAAGACUGCUGCAAAAGUAAAGGCCAUGAAAUCCCAUAUCCAUCAUGCUACUAACACCGCCCCUGAAAUCGACCAGUUGCUGGAGGAAGCGUGAAAAACGCCCUUCACGGCUCGCAUCGCCGAAACCAAGGUUUCUGAUCCGGGGAAGAUCAAAGUGCCAACGUACAACGGCACAACCGAUCCUAAUGCGCAUCUGCAAGCCUUCCAGAUCACCAUGGGGUGCGCCAGACUCAGAGAAAGCAAGAGAGACGCUGGCUAUUGUCGCCUUUUCGUCAAAAACUUGGAAGGGGCAGCUCUCGAGUGGUUUUCCUGCCUUAAGCGGAACUCUAUCGGAAGUUUUUUCCAGCUCACAUCGGAGUUUCUCAAUUACUACUCUAUGUUCAUAGAUAGAGAAACCUCUGACGUCGACCUAUGGCGCCUUUCCCAAAGGGAAGACAAGCCUCUCCGAGAUUUCAUAAGCAAGUUCAAGCUGGUUAUGUCCAAAAUAAAUGUAUUCGCUCUGUAGCGGAUCUUUUACUAGACCAGCUCGGGUUCGCCGCUCGGAAUAAUCCCCCUUUUGCUGAAUUAUUACCAAUAUAAUCAUAAAAAUUUAAUUUUUCUCAGCGAAAUAAGCGACAAGGUAGCCACUGAAGCGCCCCGAAAGACGCUCUGGUACAAGUCGAAAUUCAAAAAGUAGAUAACCCACGACAAGCCGUCUAUGAUCCAGGAUGCUCUUCACAGGGCAACCGACUACAUUAUCAUCGAAGUAGAGACGAGAGUCCUGUCGUAAAAGCAUAAGCCGACGAAAUCGUCUUCGAAGGACGCAGACCAAAAGCCCAAGAAGAAAAGCUCUCAUAACGACUAGUACGUCCAUCAUGAGGGGAAAGAACUCCAGGGAGCGCAUAAUUACGCGAUCAACUCGGAGAAGGGUAAGACUUCGGGCAAUACAUGGACCCAAAAUCCCAACUACGACGAAAACACCUACUGCGAGUUCCAUCAGACCCAAGGGCACUCCACAAUCAACUAUAAAGUCCGGGGAAUUCUCCGAAAUCACUAGCGUCAAGGAGACGGAUCAUCCCCCAAAGACUGACAAAAGUUCACCCCUGAAAGCUCCUCCUUAAGGAAACCAAUCGGGAGAUAAGCGCGGAAGGAGGCAAGACGACAAGCGUAACGUCAGCAAUCGCCACAGGGUAAACAUGAUCAUCGGAGGAUCACAGUACUGCAACUAUACGGACUCGGCCAUCAAGGCUUACCAGCGUGAAGUUGAAACAAGUGCGAACUGGCCGACCUGGUCCCCACCCCGAGACAUUCAGAACAGUGCAAUCAUCUUCGAGGAAGAAGAAACUGGCAGGAUAGAGCAGCCUCACUGUGAUCCACUCAUCAUAGACCUUGUCAUCCGAGACCUGGAAGUCAAUGGAAUCCCUGUGGACACCAGAAGCACGGUCAAUGUCAUCUUCCGCGACACCCUUAAGAGGAUGAACAUCAAUCUCGGCGAAGUCGUACCGAAACCACUAACUGGUUUCUCAGGCACAACAUCAAUGACCCUCGGGUCCAGUCAUGGCGAAAGAGGUAACGAAGAUAGUCGACUUUGCAGUGGUUGAUCAUCAAGCCAUCUACAAUGUCAUCGUGGGAACUCAUUGGCUCAACGCUAUGAAGGCAUUCCCAUCUACCCUCACCUGCGCGUCAAAUUCCCAGCCCAAAACGGAAUUGCUGCAAUCUGGGGAUGCCAGAAGCAGUCACGGCUUUGUUUUCUCGCUGAACAUAAGCUGAGACAAAUCACAGAGACAGCAAAACUGAAACGAGCGAAGAUAACUCAGCAGCUGGCUGAAAACGCUUCAAAAAAGGAUGAUGCAACAUCAUCCCCGGUGACGGACCUAAAACAGCAGCAUGCUAGUCCUGAUGCCUUCACCAACCGGAGGAGACAAACCUGGAAAAGGCUGUAAACCCAUCUAAAGUUAGAAUGACUGAAACAAUCGACGCGACCGCCGAAAACAAGUAAACCUUUUCGCGGCCAAAACAGAACUACGAGAUGGCUUGAUUCUCAAAAGAGGUACGUAGGCAGCUCGCCAAAAUGCGAGUUCAGCUAUCCCCCUCUCGAAAAAGGGGGGGGGAGUGGGUACGUAUACACAGACGUGUAUACUCCCAUAUUCUUAAAAUAUGCAUUGUUGUACUUCAUAUUUUUAAAAACUUUUACAAUAAUACAAAAACUUCUCUAUCUUGCAUAAACAAUCCUAAUCAUACCAGACUCUAAACUGCGAGAAAUUUGCAGCACUUAGUAAAAAUCAACACACCUCUUUAAGACGAAAUGUCGAGAUAUAGCGAGAUGUCGCGGAAAAAUCUCAGGACAAUGCGUCUAAAAAGACAAAAGAACAGUCCAAACGCGGCUAUAAAAUUUUAAACCACCAUUACAUCAUGUUCAUCGAUUGGCCCCGUCGAACAUAUCAGCCGUCUUAAACAAACGCAUCCUGACCUCUGUCUCAAGAAGAAUUGGUCCUCGAACAUCCGACAAAAGGAUUAUAGGGCUAUAAAAGAAAUCCGAAAUCUUGGUCAGCAUUUCCAGGAGGCUUGGAAAUUUCCUUUGGAGAGAUGCUCGGUUCCAACCAAACAAGUCGUAUAAGCCGAGAAUAUAUCACGGACUUUACAUCUGUUUGGAACCAGGAUGAAACUGAAACGGGAUACGUAAGUCGAACUAGUCAUCGCACCCCCUAAAUCCAGGAGUAAACCUAGGUCUUGCCCUAAACUCAGCACUCUGGUCUCUAAUAUCUCAAGACAUGAUAUCUAAAAUUGAUACGAGAUCUUAAACCAUGUUUCACCGUUCGUUUCUAAAUGUUCACAAGACUCUACACUUUUACGUACGAACUAACAAAAACAACGAUUCACUAGAUUUAGGUAUGAGAUGACAACUCAUAUUUUUUUUCUCGACAAUCAAAAACGCGCAUGCAAAGAAAACUCUUAAACACUCAUAAUAUAUAUAUAUAACCGCAUAACGGUAAAGGAUACAAAGCCACUGAUAUCACUCAAAUUACCCUAAGGAGUGUUACUCUCAUCAAAAGAGGUUCAGAUGUAGUACUUAGGGAUCGAAUCCACAGAGACUCUAGGAUUACUCAACAGACAUAAAUAAUUAGAAAAGAAGAUAGACUAAGAGGUUUUAAUAGUUUUAAAAGCAUUAAAUGAUAAAUCGAAAACAAUAGUGAAACGAUAGAUUGAAUUGAAGUGAUUUCAAGAAUGGGAAAACAGCUAGAUUCAGGUAAAUCUCGGGUAUGAAAUGCAUGCACUUAGUUUAGACUAAAGGGUUUGAUGGUUUUUGAACUAAACAAUGAUUUAACCGGAUAGGUUAUGUUCGCUAGAUCUCGGAUCUCAACUGUCGUAUUUUAAUCUCGAGAGAGUGUCGGUCGAUGUGACUUGAUGUAUAUCGACCGAUACACCUUUGUAACGAUCGACCGACAGAACGAUAGUUGCGUCGAUCGAUGGUUAUUCUAGCGAGCUUUGCGAACGGGUUUAACUUGUUCUCUAACCUUCUCAGACCAACUGUCGUUGCGCCUGAGUUAGUUAGAUCACGCAAGUGGGCUCUGGUAUUGAGGGGAAACGGUUAGUUGGACUCAAUAAAUCCUAAGAUCUAUAAUGAAGGUGAUCAAUAUCAAUUUUAGCAUUAAGUUCACAAGCAAUGAAAGAUCAAUCAAAACACCUUUUUAAAUAGUCAUAUUAGCAGUACAUAAUUUCAACCAUGGCGAGAAACCUAAAUCUAACAGUUGGCUUACUCAAACAUAUUCAUUAGAGACAAAGUCAUGAUGGUGUGAAAUAAACUCAAAUGAAACAUAGAACGCAAAUAGAUAGAGUAAUAGAAGUAAAGGAGUUCAAGAUCUUCUAUGUUUUGCAGUCUCAGAUCUAUCUCUCCAAUCCUAAGCUUUUCUAAUAAUGGUAGCCAAAAUGCUCCUUCUCCAAAACUAGGUCUUUUUGCAAGUGUCUCCUAAAAUGAUACAAAACCCUAGUACAUAUAGCCUAACAACCGGUUAGAGACUUAAGUUGCAAAUAAUAGAUCUUCUGGGAAAUGAAAUCUUUUAAUUCGCGAUCACACUCGUGUGACUGGGCAUCGAUCGAUGCACAUGUAUGUUUGUCGAUCGAUGGUAUGUGAUUAUGAUCGACCGAUGUUGCUCUUCAAACGUCGAUCGAUUCUCCUUGCGUAAAAACACUCCAAAAUGUCCCAAAAGUAUCAUUUCCUUCCAUCAUGUGAAUAAACCUGUAAUUGCUUUGAAAAGACUCUAAAACAUGAUUAAUACAUCUUAAAACUCUUAUAUACCAUGUAUAAAUAACGGGUGAAAAUCAUGGUAUAUUAACUCCCCCAGACUUAUCAUUUUACUUGUCCUCAAGUUAAAUCAGCGGACAGUCUCUCUGGAAAAGGGUUGAAAUCAUCAGGGACUCACAGAUUUGAAACAUGGAAAUCAUCACCUCCAUAAUAUUGUAUUCCACAUCUAAAAGUUCCUCAUUACAGAAAUACAUUAUGCAAUAUCCUAGCUUAGCAACCAAAGUCAUCUAGCCAACAAUCUUAACUAAUCUUCUUAUCAAUCUCCUCAAUCAACCUCAUUUCUCAAUGUAAAAAGUGUAAGCUUUACCUUGGGAGUAUCGAUCAUAGGAUGCGAGGAUUUCAGACAAGUAUCUGGAACUGCAGGUAAAAAUUAGUUCCUAAUUUCUCUCUCUCUCUCUCUAAUUUCUCUCUUGAGUCAAAGUCUGCUUCCAUUGCAGGAUCAGUGACCAAGAUUGGACAGGCUUCCAUGAAUCAAAACUUAAUGGUGGUUGCCACCAAACUCUGUUCACUUCUUUUUGACCUAUAUCCAAGAAUUCUUUGUGAAAGCGAGCCUUGAAGAUUGCCGCCUCCAAGUCAUGUUUCGAACUCUUUCAUUGGAGUCUUUAUGAAUCAAGCCUUAAUGGUUUUAGCCACCAAGUCCUGUUCAGACUCAUCCUAAGUAAACAAUAGAUCUUAUUAUUUUAAUAUUAUUAUUUUUUAUUUUUAGAAUAGAAAUAUUAAUUACUGACUAAUCUAGGGUCAAAAUUAGAGAGAGAAAUGUGUUAUAUAAUUCUACACAAGGCUUUACCUUCCAGACUUGUCUGAAGAAUCCGAUCCCAUGUAUACCAAACCCCAAGACAAGCAGUGAAGUCAGGUUAGUGUUGGAGGUUAGCUUUGGUUCUUUCUAACAAGCUAGCAAGUGUGUAUAGUUGAUUGGUUGAUCCACUUUAGCAUCUAUAGUACUAUCUGCAAUCAAUAAAUCUAGAGUGGUGCUAGAAAGUGGUUAGACAUUCAAGUAGAAAUCAUUAGUUCAUAAUCCCCUUCUCGACUCAAUAAAAUUAUUUUUGAAAAGAUUUUUGACAAAAACUCAAGAAAGUGGUGUUAGUAACUACCUCCCCCAGACUUAAAUUGCACCGUCUCGGUGCAAAGUGCCCAAGGGUAGGUUAAAAAAAAAGAAACAAGUUAGAUGUGUGAGAAUGUUAGAGUAAAAUGAAGUACCUAUCCGCACUAUGCAUCGAUCGAUGUAAUCCUCUCCAUAUCGAUCGAUGUUACUUGCCGAGAAUCGAUCGAUGUAAUCCUCUCCAUAUCGAUCGAUGGCGAAGCACAGAAAUUUUGCAUGUGCUUGGAUUCGAACUUGAAGUUCCUGCCUAAUGUUAGCUCGGUUAGACAACCAAGCAUAAGAAUAAUAAGCAUUCACAAACAUAAGAUAUAAGUAUAAAAACUUAAAUCCUACAAGUUCAGAAAAUAAAGAGACAAGUCCAUAAUAGGAGGAUAAUAGAUAGAGAUAUUAGGACUAGUCGGUGUCCUUGUCAGUCGCCUCAUCGUCCUCCGGGGAAGGGUCCCUGUACGCUGCUGGUGGUGCUGGCGCCUGCGCUCCUAUAGCUCUCCCGCUCCGAAAAGACACUCUAGCCCAGAUGGCCCGAAGAGCGUCCACCACGAACCUCUGAAAGUCUCCCUGGUCGUGCAUGGGGAUGUCUGGUAUGUUCGGGAAGUCGGGGAGCGGCGGUGCCUGUGCGUCCUGAGCUCUGGCGCGGCGAAUGCUGGGAGGUCUGUUCGACAUGUUCCGGGGGUUGCGGAGAAAUGCCUCGUCUGGCAUGCAUCAAAGCUGCUCCACGCUGUUCCCAAAAUCAGUGAUCCUCCUGUCCGGUAGGGGUAGAAGGCGAUUCUCACUGCGGAUCCUGAAACGCCAAAGUUUCCCUUCCUCGAGCCAUAGCGAGUGCACCAAGUGCUGCUCGUUGAGGAAGGCGUGGUCGCGGUCGGCAGAGCGAGGGUCGAGGCGGAUGCCGAGGUACUGGAAAAUCUGGGUCAGAAGACUCCCAACUGUCUCCUUCAUCUUACCCUUUCUGUUGAAAGGCUUCUUCUUCAACUCCACCAAGUGCGCGGCAAAGACCAGUCCGAGGUUUGGCGGGUUCACUUCGCCGUCCUCAUCCAACUCAACCAUAUCCACCACGCCAUUCACUGCACAGAAAAGUAAUGUGAGCUCCUUUAUCCUGACCUUGUUGGGCUCCAUCUUGCAAACCAGUGUGUUUGCAAAGAGCCGUAGGAAGUAGCGAAGUGCAGGAUGGCGGAUGUCUGAUAGCACGGCCCUGUUUGUGUCCCAAACUCCUGUGCCGACGAUGUCCCAGAAUCUCUCGAGGUGUAGGAAUGGUGGGACCGUGUGGGAGGCGACGUUCUCCUCGAAACCGUAGAUGCGGCAGAGCUCGGGGAUUGUGAUCCUGUAGCGUGUCCCUCUGGCAAAGAAGGUCAAAGUACCAUCUCGCGCUACCCUCGCUGAUGAAGUCCUGUAGGUGACCUCGACGGUGGCCAUGAACUGGCGGACGAGAUCGGGGUAGAGGUCGUAAGCGCGAGAGGGCAUGGUGCCGAGUCCGAGCUGUGUGAUCAUAUCGUGAACAUCUCUCUCGAUCCCGAGCUUCUUUAGGAUGGGCCGGUCGAGGAAUUUGGUGGGCUCGAUAGAGACUCCCAGUCAAGCAUUGUAGAAGAGGCUGUCGAAGUCGUCCCAGUUGCCGGACAGGGGACGGUGGCGACACUCGUUACUGUUGAUCGCUGCUCUAGGAUCAUCAUAGCCUGCGACAUCGAAGGGUGUGUUUUCGGUGCGAGGCCAUGGAGGGCGCUAUGGGUUGUUGGAGCUGCUGGUCUCGUCGAAUCUCCUUUUCGACCUGAUUUCUCUGUUUCGAGCAUUUGUGUGUGAACUGCUCAUCUGAAACCAAGAAUAAAAGAAAGUUAGUAUUGUCGAUAAAAGUUAAUAUCGAUCGGUGGGUUAUACUGCAUAUCGAUCGAUAUUGUCGAGUCGGAACAAUCGAACAAGAGAGAGCAUCGGUCGAUGCGAACGAGUUCAUAUCGACCGAUGUCGAAUCGCGAAACCUGUAACAUCACUCAACUCCAAAUCGCGUUUAUAGGAGUUAAAAGGCAAAGAAAUCACAAACGGAACUCUAGAUAAGCAAUAUGAACUACAAAAACAUCUCUCAAUCACACCAAAUCAAGCGUUCUAGUCCAACUCAAAACGAAAACUCUAAUUUUUCAAAAAAUUGAAAAUUUCGAGUGCAUACCUUGAAUGUUGGUUUCGAGAGUGGAUUUAACAGUUCCAGAGUGAAAAAUCGAGUAGAUUAAGGCGAAGAACGGACGAAAUCCGUUAAGAAAUCAGAGAGAAAAGGGUUGUUUUUGUUUUCGGUUUCGGUUGCGAAUGAGGAAGAGGAACAGACUGAUAUCUUAUGAAAUAAGGGUUUUCACCGUCGAUAUGCCUGCAUCGAAUGAUGGCAGUGAUGCCUCGUCGAUUGAUGUCAUUUUCAAAGACAAAUCCUAAUUUCUAAAUCUCCUAAAUAAUGCUAAUAAUAAAAAGAAAUACGAAAAUUACUAUUAAAUAUAAAAAUUACUAUUAGAUAUAUAUUUUUAAUUUUUUUUUAAAUAAAAUGGGUUGCCUCCCAUUCAGCGCUUAAUUUUUAAGUCUUUACCUCGACUUCGUGAUUAAGCUAAUUAUCAGGUUCAUACAGCACCAUGGGCGUUUUUGCUGGUGGUUUUGCCCAAUAAUGCUUAACUCGUUGGCCGUUCACUGUAAAUUCCUGGCCUUUAUCAUUUUGUAAGGUGAUAGCUCCGGAGGGUUGAACGUUUGUUACGGUGAAGGGUCCAGACCAACGGGAUUUUAGCUUUCCAGGAAAUAAAGUUAAUCUAGAGUUAUAAAGGAAGACUUGAUCAUCCGGUUCGAUGUGCCGGGAUAUGAUCUUUUUAUCGUGAUAAGCUUUAGUCCUUUCUUUAUAAAUUUUCGAAUUUUCGAAAGCUAAAUGUCUGAUUUCAUCAAGCUCGUUAAGCUGGAUGAGUCUCCUUUCUGCAGGUGGUUUGAUAUCAAAGUUCAAAAGUUUGGUAGCCCAAGCUGCUUUGUGUUCCAGUUCGACUGGUAAAUGACAUGAUUUGCCAUAAAGGAGGUUGAAUGGUGUUGUUCCUAACGGCGUUUUGUAGGCGGUCCUGUAGGCCCAAAGUGCAUUAUCUAGUUUCCUAGACCAAUCUUUUCUGGAGGUUCCUACGGUUUUCUCUAAGAUUUCCUUAAUUUGCCGGUUAGAGACUUCUACUUGUCCACUGGUUUGUGGGUGGUAAGGUGUGGCUACUCUAUGAUGAACACCAUUCUUUUUAAGCAAUCUAUCAAAGAUUUUGUUAAUGAAAUGAGUUCCACCGUCACUAAUGACUACUCUUGGAACUCCAAAUCUUGGAAAGAUUAUACUCUUGAAGAGUUUAAUAACCACAGAUGCGUCAUUGGUAGGAGAAGCUACUGCUUCGACCCAUUUGGAUACGUAGUCUACAGCGACUAGUAUAUAUUUGUUUCCAUAUGAAGACGGGAAGGGUCCCAUAAAAUCGAUACCCCAGCAAUCAAAGACUUCAACUUCAAGAAUGAACUUCUGUUCCAUUUCGUGUCUUUUUCUGAUUUUUCCACGUCUUUGGCAUCAGUCACAUUGGGUUAUAAAUGCGUGGGCAUCGCGAAAAGUGGUCGGCCACCAAAAUCCUGCUUGGAGGAUUUUCGAAACCGUUUUAAAGGUAGCGAAAUGUCCUGCAUAAUCAGCUCCGUGACAUUGGUAAAUAAUGUCCGAAACUUCAGCUUCGGAUACGCAUCAUCUGUAUAUGCCAUCAGAACAAUGCUUAUAGAGGUAAGGUUCAUCCCAAUGAUAGCGUCUUACUUCUCUGAAAAAUUUCUUCCUCAUAUAUCCCUUGAGUUCGUCUGGCUCAACCUCAGCUGCCAAAUAGUUAACUAUGUCGGCAUACCAGGGUCGGUUAUUCGAGUUUCUACCAAUCACGUCUACCUCCCGUUGUGAUAAUUCCUCAGGUGUAUGAUUAAUCUCAUCACCGGAAACAUUAACUUGUAAAUUGAAAUUGAUUUUAAUAGACGAGGGUUCGUGAUCUUUGUUAUUCGAGAGUUGAGAAGUUACAUCAUUUUCGUCAUCGAUCGAUGUAUCACUACGUAAAUUGACCGAUAUACCAUCUCUCUCAUCGAUCGAUAGAUCUUCAGAUGUGAGAGAUAUUUGACCGACGAAAGAUGUAUCUAUGUGUGCAACAUUCUCUGUGGGGAAGAAAUCGUCUAUAGGGACAUCAUCCUCUAUUCUUAUCCGGGAAAGAUGGUCAGCGACUCCAUUAUCUACUCCUCUCUUAUUCUUAAUCUCAAUGUCAAACUCUUGGAGUAGUAGAAUCCAGCGUAUGAGUCGAGGUUUAGUGAUAUACCAUGAUUUUCACCUGUUUUUAUACAUGGUAUAUAAAGGUUUUAAAAUGUAUUAAUCAUGUUUUAGAGUCUUUUUAAAGCAAAUACAGGUUUAUUCACCUGAUGGAAGGAAAUGAUACUUUUGGGACAUUUUGGAAUGCUUUUACGCAAGGAAAAUCGAUCGACGCUUGAAGAGCAACAUCGGUCGAUCAUAAUCACUUACCAUCGAUCGACAUACAUUUAUGUGCAUCGAUCGAUACCCAGUCACACGGAUGAAAUCGCAAAUUAAAAGAUUUCAUUUCCCAGAAGAUCUAUUAUUUACAACUUAAGUCCCUAGCCGCCUGUUAGGCUAUAUGUACUAGGGUUUUGUAUCAUUUCUAGCAGACACUUGCAAAAAGACCUAGGUUUGGAGAAGGAGCAUUUUGGCUACCAUUAGGAGAGCUUAGGAAUGGAGAGAUAGAUCUGAAACUGCAAAACAGAGAAGAUCUUGAACUCCUUUAUUUCUAUUACUCUUUCUAUUUGUGUUCUAUGUUUCAUUUGAGUUUAUUUCACACCAUCGUGACUUUGUCUCUCAUGAAUAUGUUUGAGUAAACCAAUUGUUAGAUUUAGGUUUCUCACCAUGGUUGAAAUUAUGUACUGCUAAUAUGACUGUUAAAAAGGUGUUUUGAUUGUUCUUUCAUUGCUUAUGGACUUAAUGCUAAAAUUGAGAUUGAUCACCUUCAAUUUAGAUCUUAGGAUUAAUUGAGUCCAACUAACCGUUUCUCCUCAAUACCUGAACCCAUUUGCGUGAUCUAACUAACUCAGGCGCAACGACAGUUGGUCUGAGAAGGUUAGAGAACAAGUUAAACCUGUUCGCAAAGCUCGCUAGAAUAACCGUCGAUCGACGCAACUAUCGUUCUGUCGGUCGAUCGUUACAAAGGUGUAUCAGUCGAUGUACAUCAAGUCACAUCGAUCGACACUCUCUCGAGAUCAAAGUACGACAGUUGAGAUCCGAGAUCUAGUGAAGAUAACCUAUCCGGUUAAAUCAAUGUUUAGUUCAAGAACCAUUAAACCCUUUAGUCUAAACUAAGUGCAUAUAUUUUAUACCUGAGAAUUGCCUGAAUCUAGCUGCUUUCCGAAUCUUGAAACCACUUCAAUUCAAUCUAUUGAAUCACUGUUGUUUUUGAUUUAUCAUUUACUGCUUUUAAGACUAUUAAAACCUUUUAGUCUAUCUUCAUUUCUAAUUAUUUAAGUCUGCUGAGUAAUCCUAGAAUCUCUGUGGAUUCGAUCCCUAAGUACUACAUCUGAACCUCUUUUGAUAAGAGUAACACUCUUUAGGGUAAUUUGAGUGAUAUCAAAUUUGGCGCCGUUGUCGGGGACUCUUUCUUAUUACCAUUAGAUUUAAUUUAGAAUUUAGUAUAGACUUGUUACAAAAAUCUUGCUAAAGUUUUCUUUCUUAAUCUGUUACUCAGACACAAAGAAUGGAGAACAAAGAGCGCGACCAACCAUCGCUCGACGGUGACACGUUUCCAUCGAGCGACGAUGAGUCAGAAGAAUCGACCGAUACGGAGUCGCCAACAUCGAUCGAUACCGCCCAGCCGGAAGCAGGUAAGUUUUCUCUUACCAAGCAUGCCAAUGAGAAAGUAGUCCAAACUGAACUAUAUGGUCAAACGAGCAAUGAAACUGCCAAACUGAACAGGGGACUGAAAUCCCUGUUAAGGAAAAUUCCACCUUAACUAAAGGUGAAGAUAUAAAAUUGUCCAUACAAGACUACCUUGAUCCUGGUAGGACCUAUUCCAAUAGGUCCGCUAUUAAAAUACCAGGAGACGAUACCAAUAAAUCUAAGUUUAACGGAGAUUACUACCGUAUGGUUCGUCAAAACCCAUUUCGUGGAUCUCUCCCAGAACACCCACAAGAUCACAUUGAAACUUUGGAAGAAUUAAUACCAGAUGAAUAUGAUCGUUGCAAACUAUUCUCAUUCUCCCUAGAAGGAGAAGCCCUCAGGUGGCUAAACUGUUUAGCAACAGGAUCACUCACUUGUUGGGAAGAGAUUAGAAGAGCUUUCCUUAGAGAAUUUUUCACUGAUGAACGCUACUGGGAAGUAAGAAAACAAAUUUCUACAUUUCGCCAAGGUCCACGCGAAUCAUUUAAAAACGCUUGGGGAAGAUUCAGAGGCUAUGAACUUGAAUGUCCCCAUCAUGGUUAUUCAGAACCACAACUUCUUAACAUCUUUUAUGGAGGUGUUAAUUUGAGCUAUAAAACCACACUCCAUACAGCGAGUGAUGGAAAUUUCAUCACUAGGAAUCCCGAAGGAGCUAGACGCCUUAUCAAGAAUAUGACAACGGGAAGAUCCUAUGAAAAGAUGGAUGAAGAGAUAGAAAAAACUACAAGUCCAAAAGACAAUUCUGAUUUAAUAGAAAUUAAAAAUUUCCUUAAAUCCCUUCAUUCCUUUCUUCAAAACAAACACCGAUCUGAUAUAGCCCAGAUCGACGACAACGCUUUGUCUGACACCGAUGAUUAUUCGGAUGAAGCAACGAACUGCUCUGAUCCCGACUCUGUGCUUCAUGUCGAGAGCUUUACCCAAGCUUAUGACACUGCUUUAAAAUCACGUACCGGAAGAGAAAGGUUCAAUAUCUGACAAGCUCUUACUGGCAACCGUAAGACAAGAUCGGAGUUUUACGGAAAGAUAAAUAUGGUUUACGGAGAAUUGAUGGAGAAAGCAGAUUCUUUAGGAGAACUAAUCCGAUAAUUAGAAGGUCAAGUAGCUGAGAUUGCAACUGCCAUAAAGAGAGACGCUGGAUGUCUUCCCGGAAGAACUGAUCUAAACCCAAGACGUCAAGUCAGUGCCGUAAUGCUGCGCAGCGGGAAAAACCUCGCAGCAGAUACGAGGAAUAAUUCAGAUGUUGGAAAGCCUGACGACGCCGACAAGACCGGGAAAAGCAACUUUCAUCCUAUUCUUCUUAAUGAUCUUGACCCAAAUCCAUCUCAAGAGAACCGGAAAACCACCACUGAAACGGCUAAGGAAAAGACAAUAGACUUAGAACUAGAAGAAGAUAUGGAGAUUGAGAAUGAAAUCGAUCGACAGUACGGAACUGUCGUCGAUCGAUCCAAAACACCUACCAUCGAUCGACAACCUGAAAAACCCGUCGAUCGACAACCUGAAAAACCCGUCGAUCGACGGUCUACUCAACCCGAGCCCAUAAUUGAAAGAGUCUAUAGAACUUUACCACCUUUUCCUCCUAAAACGCAAACUAAGAAAUCAUUAGAAAAUGCAAUCUGCAAGAAAGCCUUAGAUAAGAUUACUGUCGAGAUGUCCCUUAGUGAUGCUAUAAAAAUAGCACCUUCAAUUAAGAAGUAUAUAAAGGAUAUGACAUCUCCAAACUAUCCGAUUGCAGAACAUAGCGUGAUGAUGAUUUCAGAAGAAGUAAGUGCUAUGAUUAAAGGAGAAACUCCAACGAAGAGAUCAGAUCCUGGUAGUUUCGUCCUAGAUUGUAAAAUAGAAGACACGCGCUUCCUUAGAUCAUUAUGUGACCUCGGCUCUAGCGUGAACCUUAUGCCUUACUAUGUUGCAGUGACGUUAGGAUAUAAAGAGUUUAUGCCAACUCCGAUCACCCUGGUUUUAGCUGAUAGAUCUAUUAGGGUACCCGAAGGAAUUCUCAAAGAUGUUCCCAUAAAGAUUAACGAUUGCAUCGUGCCUACGGAUUUUGUUGUGUUGAAAUACAGACAAGGAUCCAAAGACCCCCUCAUUCUGGGUCGGCCAUUCCUAGCUACAGCUGGAGCAAUCAUUGACGUCAAAGAAGGACGAAUUAAUUUGAACAUAGGGGAUAUCUUGAUGACUUUUGAUAUGGAAAAACUGAUUAAGCGACCCCUAAUAGAUGACCAGGCCUUCUACGUGGAAAAAGUUUCUGAGGAUGAAAGAGACUCUUUCAUAAACAUGUGUUCAGACAACCCCUUAGAAGACACCCUUAACCACGUGGAAAAUGAAGUUUUUGGCAUAUCAGAUAGGACAGACGAUUACAUGCAACUAAUGGACGCUAGCAUCGACGUUGCAAACGUAGAAGAAAAUGACGAUUCCGAAGUUGUCAUCGAUCGAUACCUUCAAGAUACCGUCGAUCGACAACCUCCCUCGCAAUCAAAUUAGUCUAAAGAUAAAGCACCAAAGGUAGAAUUAAAACCUCUACCCAGCGGUCUUAAGUACGCUUACCUUUAUGACCAGUCCUACCCUGUUAUUGUCAACGCCAAUCUCACUAGUGGAGAACUUGCUUUAUUGCUGAAUAAAUUACGCAAGUACAGGAAAGCGAUCGGGUAUUCUCUCGAUGACAUUCCUGGAAUCUCUCCCGAUCAUUGCAUGCAUCGGAUUAACUUGGAAGAUGACGCUAAAACGUCAAUAGAACAGCAAAGGAGAUUGAAUCCGAAUCUAAAGGAAGUAGUUAAAAAGGAAAUUAUAAAACUCCUUGAUGCUGGAGUUAUUUACCCUAUUUCGGAUAGUAAAUGGGUAAGCCCCAUACAUGUUGUACCCAAAAAGGGAAGUAUCAUUGUAGUGAAGAAUGAAAAGGACGAACUCAUUCCGACUCGUACCAUUACUGGUCAUCGGAUGUGCAUUGAUUAUAGGAAAUUGAAUGCCGCUACUAGGAAAGACCAUUUUCCCCUUCCCUUUAUUGAUCAGAUGCUGGAGAGAUUAGCUAAUCACCAGUAUUACUGUUUUCUUGAUGAAUAUUCCGGAUUUUUCCAAAUUCCUAUACACCCGAAUGAUCAAGAAAAGACAACGUUUACAUGCCCCUAUGGAACUUUCGCAUAUCGCAGAAUGCCAUUUGGUCUAUGUAAUGCCCCCGCUACUUUCUGAUACCACUCAAAUUACCCUAAGGAGUGUUACUCUCAUCAAAAGAGGUUCAGAUGUAGUACUUAGAGAUCGAAUCCACAAGGAGCUAGGGAACAAUUGAAUCUAGUGUUUAUUAAUUUUAAAGGUUGUAAAUGUUUAAAUGGAAUAGCAAUAGUAACAAGCGAGUAAAUAAUAAAUGUAACUUGGUUGGAAAUGGUAUUAGAUGCAGAGCCACUAUUCAGGUGUUGGAGAUUAUAAUACCUAUAGAUGCCUAACUGUUGCAUGCAUGAUAUAUUAGAGCUCAUUCGCUUAACUCAGUGAUCAGCUGUCGCAUGUACCACUGGUUAACAGACUAGAUCUCGUGUCUCACCGGUUAGUAUGCAGACACAAGGCCUAUACGCGAGUAUGAAAUGCUGUACUAAGAUUCUAAAUUGGCGGUUAGCCCUCUCUAGCAAUCCUAAUAUGAUAGAUAGAUGUCAGGAUGGGAUAAAAAGGGUGCUUGAAUAUGCAAUCCUAUGAUCAAAUUCUAGUUAGCUAGGCUAAAACAAGCAAUGAAUACAAAUCUAUCAUGAAUAUUACAACAAGGCAGAUCUAUAGUUUGGGGCUAAUCCCACAAACCUAUCUGAACCCUGGAUCUAACAGUUGAACUACUCAGACAUAGCAAAUAAAUUCAUAUCAAUAGAUAAAUAAAAACUCAUAGAAUAGACGAAAAGAAAUAGAAACAAGGAGUUCCAAUCACAAGUGAUCUUCUCUCCCAAAUGAAACUUGUAACAAAACUAGGUCUAGAAAAAGCUCUGUUCUUCUGCUGUCAAAAACACUAGGCAGUAUAUAUUCUACUAGGUUAAAAACUCGUCAGGACAUUUUUGUAAUUUGGCUUGGCCUUGGUUUUUAAGUCUUCUGAAUCCAAAAUGUCGCGUCUGGUGUCUCGACAUCGAUCGAUGGUACUUGUGUACAUCGAUCGAUAUUAAUCUUCAUCUGUCGAGGCAUUUCCUGAUAUCGAUCGUCAGCACUGAUGCGCAUCGAUCGAUUAUUCUUCCUCUCGUCGACCUCUAAGUGGUCAUCUCGGGUGAAAUGUCCUUUAACCUCCAAAAUGCUCCAAAGUCAUAGCUUUACUCCGAAAUGCACCUGAACCUGAAAACAUACCUAGAAGAGUAGAAAACAUAUAUAUAUAUAUAUAGUAAAACACUUAUAUACCAUGGAUAAAAAUGGGUCAAAUCCAAGGUAUAUCAACUCCCCCAGACUUACCCUUUUGCUUGUCCUCAAGCAAAACAUACAGGCAGUCUCUCUGAAAGAGGUUUGAAAAUAUUUAGGGAUUUAAGAUUUUAAAACAUUGAAAUCUUUCCUAAACAAUUUUGCAACCACAUUUAAAAAGUCCUAAUCACAAAAGCACACUAUGCAAUAUCCUAGCUUAGCAACCUUUUCUAACAUAACACAACUCAUCAAUUCAUGUCUGACAUCCCCUCUCAUGAUUUCAUUUCUUAGCAUAAAUAUAAAGUGAAUGCUUUACCUUGGGAGUAUCGAUCACAUGAUGCAAGGAUUUCAGACAGAUAUCUGGAGCUGCAGGUAAAAGUUAGUUCCUAUUUUCUCUCUCUCUAAAUUUCUCUCUUGAGUCAAAGUCUGCUUCCAUUGCAGGAUCAGUGACCAAGAUUGGACAGGCUUCCAUGAAUCAAAACUUAAUGGUGGUUGCCACCAAGUUAUGUUCACUUCUUUUUGACCUAUAUCCAAGAGUUCUUUGUGAAAGCGAGCCUUAAAGAUUGCCGCCUCCAAGUUCCAUUUCGAACUCUUUUAUUUGAGUCCUUAUGAAUCAAGCCUUAAUGGUUUUAGCCACCAAGUCCUGUUCAGACUCAUCCUAAUUAAACAAUAGGUCUUAUUUAUAUUUUUUUAUUUAUUUUAUUUUUAUUACAUAUAUAUAUAUACAUAUUUUAAUACUCACUAACUAAUCUAGGGUCGAAAUUUAGAGAGAGAAAAUGUGAUAAAUAAUCUAAACCUGGCGUUACCUUCCAGACCUAAUGAACUCCUAGGAUGUUUCUUUGGAUUGAACUGGAUAGAUCCCUUGUAUAAACGAAUCAGAGACUCAAGUUUAUCAAGGAGAUGGAUCGUAUGGUGACACAAAGAGUUGCGGAAAGACUCCUUGAUACUCCUAGAUGACUAGCUUGGAUAUUACACACCAAAAUAGACACCCUUAGUUGUUGGAUAUGACACACCAACGGAAUUCACUCAAGACUUGAUGAGAAGUAAAGAGAGAACAAAGAAAUCUGAUAGAUUUUUGUAGGAAAAGAUUGUGUCUAAAAGAGAGAGCGCAUACAAGCUUAUAUAGAGAAGUAUGGAACAGGCUCCAUAUUCUCGAGAUCAUUAAAGGGAACAGGCUCCCUUGGAACUACAACAAAGACUAAAGACUUAUUCAAAUUUGAAAAGAGUUUAAAACAUGAAAUAAAAAACCAUAGUUUAAAAAUAACAUAAGGUGGAACCAUGAUACAUCAUCUAAGGUUUAUGUAAGUAACUUGUGGCCUCAUUAAAAAUCUGCCUUUGGAAAACCCAAUGGGACAAAACCAAAGGUUAGGAAAAGAGCACACACAAGCACUUGCUUAGAUGAUGAUCAGUUUGAAACAAUUGCUUGAAUGGUGAUAAGAGUGUCUUGAUUGAUCAAACGUCCUUCAAGGCUGUCUUCUUGCUUCCAUGAGAUCAUAAGUAUACUUCCAACAGCUUCUUUGAGUCUUCUAGCUUUGGCACGAGUGAUGGGACCUGGUGGAAUGACUAAGGCAUCCUCUUCUUCACUUGAUUUGUCUUUGAGCUCUUCAUCUCCAUCCUUGUGCUGGUCCAUGAUCAUAUCAUCCCCUCCCUCUUGAAAAGGAUUUGUCCUCAAAUCUGGCUCAUCAGCAAAAUAAGGAAUCAAGUCAGUGAUAUUAAAACUAUUGCUCACAUCAUACCUUCCUUGGAGAUCCAGCUUGUAAGCAUUGUUGCCGAUUUUCUUUAUGAUCUCAAAUGGUCCAUCAAUUCUUGGCAUGAGCUUGGAUUUCCUCUCAUUAGGAAAUCUUUCUUUCCUUAGGUGAAUCCAGACUUGAUCACCCACUUCAAUGACUCUUUCACGCCUUCCCUUGUUUGCUUGUUUGGCAUAUUGCUUAGUCUUCUCUUCUAUGUUGCGCCUUGCUUGUUCAUGAAGCUGUUGUACCUUCUCUGCCUUUUUCUUGCCAUCAAGACUAACUCUUUCACACUCAGGUAAAGGUAUUAGAUCCAAAGGAGAGAUGGGAUUGAACCCAUAAACAAUUUCAAAUGGAGAAAACUUAGUAGCAGAAUGCACAGCAUGAUUAUAUGCAAAUUCACAAUGAGGCAAACAAUCUUCCCAUGAUUUCAAGUUCUUCUUUAUGAUUGCACGCAAGAGUGUACCAAGAGUUCUAUUAACUACUUCAGUCUGACCAUCAGUUUGUGGAUGACAAGUAGUAGAAAACAAUAGCUUAGUGCCUAGUUUAGACCAAAGAGUUUUCCAAAAGUAGCUUAGAAACUUAGUAUCUCUAUCAGAUACAAUAGUCUUAGGCAUGCCAUGUAAGCGCACAAUCUCCUUAAAGAACAAGUUAGCUAUAUGCAAUGCAUCAUCAGUUUUAUGACAAGCAAUGAAGUGUGCCAUCUUAGAAAAUCUAUCAACUACCACAAAGAUUGAAUCUUUACCAGUACGAGUUCUAGGCAAUCCAACAAUGAAGUCCAUAGAGAUAUCAUUCCAAGGAUGAUAAGGGAUGGGUAAAGGAGUAUACAAACCAUGGUUUUGGACUUUGGACUUAGCUUGUUUACAAGUUGCACACCUUUCACAAAGUCUUUCCACAUCUCUUUUCAUCAGCGGCCAGUAGAAGUGAUCCUGCAAGGUCUUGAGAGUUUUUGCAACACCAAAAUGUCCCAUGAGACUUCCUCCAUGAGAUUCCCUAACAAAUAAAUCUCUCAAAGAACAAUUAGGCACACAAAGUCUAUUAUCAUAGAAAAGAAAUCCAUCCUGCCUAAAGUAAUGUCCAGCAGCAAAUUUCUCACAAGACUUGUAAGCAUCUUUAAAAUCAGGAUCAGUUUCAUACAUACCUUUAAUCUGCUCAAAACCCAACAGUUUGACAUCAAGAGUGUUUAAGAGAGCAUACCUUCUAGAUAGUGCAUCAGCAACUAUAUUCUCUUUACCUUGUUUGUACUUGAUCACAUAAGGGAAAGUUUCUAUGAAUUUAACCCACCUUGCGUGUCUCUUACUGAGCUUGUUCUGUCCUUUUAGAUACUUGAGGGACUCGUGGUCUGUGUGUAUGACAAAUUCUUUGGGCCAUAGAUAAUGCUGCCAAGUCUGCAAAGCCCUUACUAAAGCAUAUAGCUCUUUGUCAUAAGUUGCAUAGUUGAGAGUAGCUCCUCCACGCUUCUCACUAAAGUAUGCAAUAGGUCUUUUCUCCUGCAUCAACACAGCACCCACACCUAUACCAGAAGCAUCACAUUCUAUCUCGAAAGUUUUAUUAAAGUCAGGUAAAAUAAGGAGAGGAGAAUGAGUGAGCUUCUCUUUAAGGCAUUGGAAAGCAGUUUCCUGUGGCUCUCCCCAUUUGAAUCCCACAUCUUUCUUGAUUAUCUCGGUCAGUGGAGCUGCAAUGGUGCUAAAAUCCUUGACAAAGCGCCUGUAGAAGCCAGCCAACCCAUGAAAGCUUCUUACUUCACUCACAGUAGCAGGAAUUGGCCACUCCUUGAUUGCUUUGAUUUUCUCCUGAUCCACCUUAACUCCCUCUGCACUUACAACAAAACCUAGAAAGACCAAGUUAUCCGUUCCAAAAGUACACUUCUUAAGGUUAGCAAAAAGAGAUUCCUUUCUAAGCGCAUCAAGAACAGCUCUAAGAUGUCCUAUAUGAUCAUUAAAGCUCUUACUGUAUACCAGGAUGUCAUCAAAGUAUACCACAACAAAUUUGCCAAUGAAUGAUCUAAGAACAUGAUUCAUUAAUCUCAUGAAUGUACUAGGUGCAUUGGUUAAUCCAAAUGGCAUGACUAACCACUCAUAUAAACCAUGUUUAGUUUUGAAUGCAGUUUUCCAUUCAUCUCCUUCUUUCAUCCUAAUCUGAUGGUAACCACUUUUCAAAUCAAUCUUAGAAAAUAUGCAAGAACCAUGCAAUUCAUCAAGCAUAUCAUCUAAUCUAGGAAUAGGAUGGCGAUACUUUACAGUGAUAUUGUUGAUGGCUCUACAAUCAACACACAUGCGCCAGCUUCCAUCCUUCUUAGGCACAAGAAGUACUGGUACUGCACAUGGGCUCAUGCUUUCACGGAUAUGCCCCUUUGCCAUCAGAUUGAUUUUGUCCCUGGUUCUACACUUCCAAAUAGGCCAGCUUAUAGGACUAAUCCCGUGGAGACUACAAUCCCUCUAAGAGGUGGAAGACCUUGAGGAGUUUCUUCUGGAAACACAUCUAUAUAUUCCUGUAAAAGAUACUCAAUUUCACUCGGAUAUACCGGUGUUGGGUUAGUAACAUUCAAAUGAGACUCUUUAAAGAUAAGUAAAAGAAUGGAUUGAUGAGCAUUGAGAGUUCUUUUGAUAUCACCCGAGUUGGCAUAGAAACUAUGCUGCUUCUUUGAAUCAGGUUUGAGGUCUAUUUCUUUCUUCUUUUGUAGCUGCAGUUGAUCUUGGUGAACCUCCUUUGGUGUUAGAGGAACCAGCACAGUCUUCUUCCCUUUGAACUCAAACGUGUGCUUGUUGGUGUAGCCAUCAUGUAUCACUCGUCUAUCUGAUUGCCAUGGCCGACCAAGAAGGAUAUGUCCAGCUUCCAUAGGCAGUACAUCACAGAGAACCUCAUCCUCAUACCUUCCAAUUGCAAUGGGAACCGAAACCUGACUAGAAACCCUCAUUUCUCCUUCUUCAUUCAACCAUUGAAGCCGGUAGGGCUUUGGAUGUUUCUGUACUUGGAGGCCAAGCUUCUUUACCAUAGUUUCACUAGCUACAUUCACACAACUUCCUCCAUCAAUGAUAAGACUACAGACCUUUCCUUGCACAAGGCACCGAGUGUAGAAUAGAUUCUCUCUCUGUUCUUGCUCUUCAGCUUUACUUUGCAAACUCAAAGUUCUUCUAGCCACCAAUAGCUUUCCUCUCACGGGUUCUUCUUCAUAUUCUUCUUCAGUAAGCGCCUUAUACUCAGACUCUGAAAGCUCAUCCUCAGAUUCAUACUCUCCAUUCUCAAGAAGAAUCAUGAUUCUUUUAUUGGUGCACUCAUUUGCAUAAUGGCCUCUACCCUGACACUUAAAGCACUUAACAUCUCUAGCUCUUGCACUUGAAACCUCAGCCUUUCCUUUAUCCUUACUGUAAAUGGGAUUUGGCUUUGAAUCUUCUUUCAGUUGCGGUUUGCUUUCCUUUUGAUAGCUAGACUUUUCUUCUUUAGUUCCCUGAAGUCUGGUGUUGUAACGAGAGUGAGAAUGGCCCUUCCUUUUAACUUGUUGCUCAACUAGUAUAGCUUUGUGAAGCAUCUCCUCUAUCUCCACAUAGUGCUGCAUCUCCACGUUAUCUUGUAUCUCUCGGUUGAGACCUCCUAAGAACCUAGCCAUAGUAGCUUCUUUAUCUUCAGAAACACGAGCUCUCAGCAUCAACAACUCCAUGUCUUGAUAGUAUUCUUCAACAGACCGAGAUCCUUGGGUGAGUCUUCUUAACUUCUGGUGCAAGUCGCGAUGAUAGUGAUUUGGCACAAAUCUUUUACGCAUGAGAGCCUUCAUCUCGUGCCAUGUUUCAACGGGAUACUCUUGGUUAAGUCUUCUGGAAGUCACAAGCUGAUCCCACCAACUCAACGCAUAGUCAUGAAACUCGGUUGCUGCUAUCUGAAUUCUUUGGGCAUUGGUGUAGUGCUUACAGUUAAACACCAACUCCAUCUUCUUUUCCCAUUCCAAGUAAGCAUCCGGAUCAACUUUGCCAUAGAAAGGAGGUAUCUUCAGCUUUAAACCAGCAAGAUCAUCUCUGUAAGUUCUCCUUUCAUCAUGAUCUCUUCUAUAUCUCCUUCUACUAUCUCUAGAAGAGGAACUGCUGCGCGUGGCUCGGUUGCGCUCAUAGUAGGGGUCUGUUUCUUGUGAUUCAGCAUGCUCUCGUGGGGUUUCAUCACGUCUUUCUCGUCUAGACUCAUUGCUAUGACCUUGGCCAGUAGCUUGCCUUAUCUCUUGCCUUAUUUCAUCGCGAAGUUCCUUCAUACUGCUCUUGAUCAUAUUAGCAACGGUAGUGAUCAUCGUUUGGUUUAAUUGCUCAGUCAUCUGAUCUCUCAAUAACCUGUUCUGUCUCACGAGUUCUGCUUCUUCUUCCGACUCAUUCACCAUGGUACCUGAUUCAGAAAACACUCAAACAAGUAAGAUGUUCACAAGAAUCAAUUCAGAACAAUUAGUCGACGCGGAAACAACUUUCAAAAGAUUCAAAAGAUAGAAAACUUGUAGAUCACGGAUUAGAGAAUUCAAAUCGACAAGACUAAGAUCAGUUCUAUCAAUUUUGGAUUUAUGCAGAUCAGAUUCAAGAUAAAUAAGAACAGAUUUAUCACAGAAACUUCACAAAUCAAAUUAUUCAGCAAGUGAUUCAACAGAUCAAGUGAUUCGAUUACUUCCUUCACACGGAUCGGAUGAGUUUGAUUCAAAAUAUGAUAAGAACACUUAGAUCUAACAGGAUUCAACACAGAUGAUUAGUAAUCAGGUGAUAUGCUACUUAGAUAAUACGAGAAACAACAACAGAUCUCAGAUCUAUCAAUGGUAAUCAAAGGAGUUGAAGAGUUUAUUUGAAACCAAAGAGAAAUCGAAAACUUCCCAAUCCAAAGCAGCUCUGAUACCACUUAAUGAACUCCUAGGAUGUUUCUUUGGAUUGAACUGGAUAGAUCCCUUGUAUAAACGAAUCAGAGACUCAAGUUUAUCAAGGAGAUGGAUCGUAUGGUGACACAAAGAGUUGCGGAAAGACUCCUUGAUACUCCUAGAUGACUAGCUUGGAUAUUACACACCAAAAUAGACACCCUUAGUUGUUGGAUAUGACACACCAACGGAAUUCACUCAAGACUUGAUGAGAAGUAAAGAGAGAACAAAGAAAUCUGAUAGAUUUUUGUAGGAAAAAGAUUGUGUCUAAAAGAGAGAGCGCAUACAAGCUUAUAUAGAGAAGUAUGGAACAGGCUCCAUAUUCUCGAGAUCAUUAAAGGGAACAGGCUCCCUUGGAACUACAACAAAGACUAAAGACUUAUUCAAAUUUGAAAAGAGUUUAAAACAUGAAAUAAAAAACCAUAGUUUAAAAAUAACAUAAGGUGGAACCAUGAUACAUCAUCUAAGGUUUAUGUAAGUAACUUGUGGCCUCAUUAAAAACCUGCCUUUGGAAAACCAAAUGGGACAAAACCAAAGGUUAGGAAAAGAGCACACACAAGCACUUGCUUAGAUGAUGAUCAGUUUGAAACAAUUGCUUGAAUGGUGAUAAGAGUGUCUUGAUUGAUCAAACGUCCUUCAAGGCUGUCUUCUUGCUUCCAUGAGAUCAUAAGUAUACUUCCAACAGCUUCUUUGAGUCCUCUAGCUUUGGCACGAGUGAUGGGACCUGGUGGAAUGACAAAGGCAUCCUCUUCUUCACUUGAUUUGUCUUUGAGCUCUUCAUCUCCAUCCUUGUGCUGGUCCAUGAUCAUAUCAAGACCUGUCUGAAGAAUCCAAUCCCAUGUAUACCAAGCCCCAGGACAAGCGGUUAUGUCAGGUUUAGUGUUGGAAAUCAGCUUUGGUUACUUCAUACGGUUCAAGGUAAGUGUGUAGUUGAUAGGUUGAUCCGCUUUAGCAUCUUUAGUGCUAUCUGCAAUCAACAAAUCUAAAAUGGUGCUAAAGAUUGGUUAGAUAUUUAUGUUUAAAUCAAUAUAGGAUUAUAGUCCAUAUUUUCAAUAGCUAAGCAUAAUUUAUUUGAAAUUCCUUUUUACAUAAGAAUAAAAUAAAUUAUAUCAGUAAAUCUCCCCCCAUACUUAAAUUACACUGUCCCAGUGUAACUCAGCCGGAGUUAUGAUGAAUAGUUUAUGAUGUACGAAAUGUAACAAGUUGGGAAGAUACAUCUGACCGGAUUAGAUAUCGAUCGAUGUGUAAGUGUCACAUCGACCGUCGUGUGGUUGCCUAUGUCGAACGAUGUCGACGUCUCGUCGUCGGUCGAUAUUCAGGUCCUCCUACUUGGGUCCCCUAAAUCUGAAAUAAAUAAAACGAAAGAAAUUAAAUGCUAGCUAAUAAAACCAAAGUAAAAUACCUAAUAGUGGGUUGCCUCCCACUCAGCGCUUGGUUAUAGUCAUUUAGCUUGACUGUGGUAGUAAUUGGCUAUUGGGUGGAGAAGCAGAUGCUUGUUGGAAAGCAAGCAUCCACGUCAUCUCUGCGCAUUCUGGACCAAGAUGCAAUGAAACUUCUUGUGGCCUCAUCAUUUAUUGUCCAUUUGUCAUCCAUCUUCUCAAGUACUUUGGAGAUGUUCGGUAGCCUUUCUUGAAUGUUGUCAAUGCUGACCUGGUGCCAGCCUAUGUGUCAUAGGCGUAUGCUGAAAGUUCUGUCAGUUCCUUUUGCAUUGACUCUACCGUCUUGUGUAUCAGCUGCUCGCCGAUUGGUGUAGACUCGGUGUCGAUCGAUGCGAUUAUGUGUUCGUUGGUCGAUCUCGGCGAGUUGCCAUCGAUCGAUUUCGCUAGCGUCCUGUCGAUCGAUGCUGAUAUCUGAUGUUGAGCUGCGAGUUGCCUCUGAAUGGCUUUGACUUCUUUUUGUAGCCAUUCUGCGUGGUUGUCUACUCCACUGAUUUUGUUGUCGAAUGGAAAGUAGAUGUCAUCGCAGCGUUUGUCAAGUCGUUCCGCCAUGGUGUCUAGAGCAGUGUAGAUCUUGGAUGUGAUCUUGUCAACCUCUGCUGCUGUGUAAGGAAGUAACUCCACAGGUUUCUUGCCAUCGAUCCAAGGUCCUCGUAACCUGUCAAUCGAUGUUGAUUUUGCCUGCAAAAAACUUUGACUAGUAAUGUUCUAAAUAUCCUUUUGGGCAUCAAGUAAUUGAUUAGACAAUUUGUUUAAAUAUGUCAUGAUUGGUGAUAUAAAACGGUCAUGCAUAUCCUCGUAAGUCCUCAGCCUCUCAUUCAUGGCUGAGACUUUGGCGUCGAGCGAUGUGAAGGUACACAUGUCGAUCGAUGUGGCUGGUUGUUGGUCCUUCUUGCGAAUGGUGUCCAGAUCUUGCUGUAGUAGCUCGAUUUUAGUGCUUAGCCAGUCCACGUUGUUGUUGAGAGGGCAAUAAACGUCGCUUAUCCUUGUGUCGAUGUAUGAUACUUCCCAUUCAUCCCUGUGUUGUGUUGAACAUUGCGGUUCUACAGGGAUCUGAGCUGUAGGAAGACUAACGUCGAUCGAUGUUUCACGUGGUGCGUCGAUCGAUGCUGAGGUCGUAGCUUCCUUCUCAAGUUGCUGACGUAAACUCUCAAUUUCUGUCCUCAUUUCUGCCAUACAUCUGAAAAGCUCAUUGUAGCCUCUAUCCAAAGGCUGAUGUGUAUCAUCUACCAAUGUUUUGAGCUCCUCUCCCAAUUUCUCCUGAGCUCCACAAAUACCAAACACCAUUUCAUCGAUUUCUUCUCUGGUGUAGAGUUCUGGUGCCAGUCUUGUGGGUGUGAAGGAAGUGGCUGGUUCUGGAAGACAGAUGUGGCUCUCCUCAAAAAGAGAUGCUCUUUCCAGUAUUUUCCUGAUGUUGUCCUUUGUGACAGGUAUCAUCUCACCAAUUACGCCUCGUGCGUGUCCACACUCAUCUCUGUAGACUCCAUACUCGUCCCUUUGUUCCCAAGUGAACUUUCUGGCUUCGUACAUGUCAAAAGCGCAGUUCCCAAAUUCAUACCGUCUGUCGAUCGACGUCGGGUCAUCCUUAUCGAUCGACAUUGGUGUUACCCUGUCAAUCGAUGUCUCCGUUGUACCGUCGAUCGAUGCUUGCACUUUUGGUUGGCGUGAUAGAUCUGGGUUGAUCUCUGUUGUGGCGACUCAUGCGUGGUUGUUAGGAUCUGUUUGAAUGACGUCUGGAGUGCCACGUUGCUGUGAGAAUAGGUUGUCAGGUCCAUUGGCUAUUUGAAGGAUGUUUGCUAUGUCCUCUCUGGACACUUGUAAAAUCCUUCCAUCCAUUGCACGUGCGUUGCCAUCUGGGUCCCUGAAAAUACCAAAUUCAUCAGGUGUUAGAAAACCGUAAUCAAUGUUCGCAUAAUCAUUCAAUUUAAAAAUAAAAAGAUUAGGGUUUAGAGUAGUAUCGAUCGAUGUAGAUACAGUCACAUCGAUCGAUGGCAGUGUAAUUUCUGCAGAACUUUUGUUCUUGAGAUGAUUACUCUUCAUGGAUUUUUCUGUUGAUGUAGAAGGAAGAGUGUUCAUCUUUUUUACUUGUGUGUUCGCUCUGAUGUGUGUAGGUGAUUUCGGGGGUGCAAAAUGAUUUAUAUAGGUAUCUAUAAACCUAGUUGGGGAGAUAAUAUUCUCAUGCUCCUGGAUUUUCGCUGCGACGCGAAUAUCAAUCGAUGUUCCUUUCGGGGUGUCGAUCGAUUUGAGCGGUUGUUUUGCUGGACGAGGGUGGGUAUCGACCGAUGUGGAGUUCACAGCGUCGAACGAUGUUGGAAACGUGUUGGUGAACUUAUGUGUUUCAAGUCUUUCAUCCUGCAAAGAUAUUUCUAUUGCACGUUCUUUCCAGUAAUCCUCAUUAGGUGAAGUAAUUACAGUGUCAACUGUAAAACUUUCAUGGAAACCACUGUCUGCCCAACUGCCUAUGGAAUAAUCAUCAUGUCCUCUCUCGCUUGGAGGUUGGAAGGCAAAAUGUUGGUAACAAUGAUUUGGUGAAGCGAAAUGGUCAAGUGGGUGCAUUACGUUGAGUGACGUGUUGUUGCGGUCAUCGGUCACCAUUGACACAUUGAAAUCGAUCGAUGGAAAGAUUGGGGUGUCGAUCGAUUCCGAGUACUUCUCUGAUCCCUACUCUGUGCUUCAUGUCGAGAGCUUUACCCAAGCUUAUGACACUGCUUUAAAAUCAAGUACCGGAAGAGAAAGGUUCAAUAUCUGACAAGCUCUUACUGGCAACCGUAAGACAAGAUCGGAGUUUUACGGAAAGAUUAAUAUGGUUUACGGAGAAUUGAUGGAGAAAGCAGAUUCUUUAGGAGAACUAAUCCGAAAAUUAGAAGGUCAAGUAGCUGAGAUUGCAACUGCCAUAAAGAGAGACGCUGGAUGUCUUCCCGGAAGAACUGAUCUAAACCCAAGACGUCAAGUCAGUGCCGUAAUGCUGCGCAGCGGGAAAAACCUCGCAGCAGAUACGAGGAAUAAUUCAGAUGUUGGAAAGCCUGACGACGCCGACAAGACCGGGAAAAGCAACUUUCAUCCUAUUCUUCUUAAUGAUCUUGACCCAAAUCCAUCUCAAGAGAACCGGAAAACCACCACUGAAACGGCUAAGGAAAAGGCAAUAGACUUAGAACUAGAAGAAGAUAUGGAGAUUGAGGAUGAAAUCGAUCGACAGUACGGAACUGUCGUCGAUCGAUCCAAAACACCUACCAUCGAUCGACAACCUGAAAAACCCGUCGAUCGAAAACCUGAAAAACCCGUCGAUCGACGGUCUACUCAACCCGAGCCCAUAAUUGAAAGAGUCUAUAGAACUUUACCCCCUUUUCCUCCUAAAACGCAAACUAAGAAAUCAUUAGAAAAUGCAAUCUGCAAGAAAGCCUUAGAUAAGAUUACUGUCGAGAUGUCCCUUAGUGAUGCUAUAAAAAUAGCACCUUCAAUUAAGAAGUAUAUAAAGGAUAUGACAUCUCCAAACUAUCCGAUUGCAGAACAUAGCGUGAUGAUGAUUUCAGAAGAAGUAAGUGCUAUGAUUAAAGGAGAAACUCCAACGAAGAGAUCAGAUCCUGGUAGUUUCGUCCUAGAUUGUAAAAUAGAAGACACACGCUUCCUUAGAUCAUUAUGUGACCUCGGCUCUAGCGUGAACCUUAUGCCUUACUAUGUUGCAGUGACGUUAGGAUAUAAAGAGUUUAUGCCAACUCCGAUCACCCUGGUUUUAGCUGAUAGAUCUAUUAGGGUACCCGAAGGAAUUCUCGAAGAUGUUCCCAUAAAGAUUAACGAUUGCAUCGUGCCUACGGAUUUUGUUGUGUUGAAAUACAGACAAGAACCCAAAGACCCCCUCAUUCUGGGUCGGCCAUUCCUAGCUACAGCUGGAGCAAUCAUUGACGUCAAAGAAGGACGAAUUAAUUUGAACAUAGGGGAUAUCUCGAUGACUUUUGAUAUGGAAAAACUGAUUAAGCGACCCCUAAUAGAUGACCAGGCCUUCUACGUGGAAAAAGUUUCUGAGGAUGAAAGAGACUCUUUCAUAAACAUGUGUUCAGACAACCCCUUAGAAGACACCCUUAACCACGUGCAAAAUGAAGUUUUCGGCAUAUCAGAUAGGACAGACGAUUACAUGCAACUAAUGGACGCUAGCAUCGACGUUGCAAACGUAGAAGAAAAUGACGAUUUCAAAGUUGUCAUCGAUCGAUACCUUCAAGAUACCGUCGAUCGACAACCUCCCUCGCAAUCAAAUUAGUCUAAAGAUAAAGCACCAAAGGUAGAAUUAAAACCUCUACCCAGCGGUCUUAAGUACGCUUACCUUUAUGACCAGUCCUACCCUGUUAUUGUCAACGCCAAUCUCACUAGUGGAGAACUUGCUUUAUUGCUGAAUAAAUUACGCAAGUACAGGAAAGCGAUCGGGUAUUCUCUCGAUGACAUUCCUGGAAUCUCUCCCGAUCAUUGCAUGCAUCGGAUUAACUUGGAAGAUGACGCUAAAACGUCAAUAGAACAGCAAAGGAGAUUGAAUCCGAAUCUUAAGGAAGUAGUUAAAAAGGAAAUUAUAAAACUCCUUGAUGCUGGAGUUAUUUACCCUAUUUCGGAUAGUAAAUGGGUAAGCCCCAUACAUGUUGUACCCAAAAAGGGAAGUAUCACUGUAGUGAAGAAUGAAAAGGACGAACUCAUUCUGACUCGUACCAUUACUGGUCAUCGGAUGUGCAUUGAUUAUAGGAAAUUGAAUGCCGCUACUAGGAAAGACCAUUUUCCCCUUCCCUUUAUUGAUCAGAUGCUGGAGAGAUUAGCUAAUCACCAGUAUUACUGUUUUCUUGAUGAAUAUUCCGGAUUUUUCCAAAUUCCUAUACACCCGAAUGAUCAAGAAAAGACAACGUUUACAUUCCCCUAUGGAACUUUCGCAUAUCGCAGAAUGCCAUUUGGUCAAUGUAACGCCCCCGCUACUUUCUGAUACCACUCAAAUUACCCUAAGGAGUGUUACUCUCAUCAAAAGAGGUUCAGAUGUAGUACUUAGGGAUCGAAUCCACAAGGAGCUAGGGAACAAUUAAAUCUAGUGUUUAUUAAUUCUAAAGGUUGUAAAUGUUUAAAUGGAAUAGCAAUAGUAACAAGCGAGUAAAUAAUAAAUGUAACUUGGCUGGAAAUGGUAUUAGAUGCAGGGCCACUAUUCAGGUGUUGGAGAUUAUAAUACCUAUAGAUGCCUAACUGUUGCAUGCAUGAUAUAUUAGAGCUCAUUCGCUUAACUCAGUGAUCAGCUGUCGCAUGUACCACUGGUUAACAGACUAGAUCUCGUGUCUCACUGGUUAGUAUGCAGACACAAGAGAGUGUCGAUCGAUAGUCUAUUAAGACAUCGACAGAUACACCUUUGCCAACAUCGAUUGAUUGUCAGUUGAGGACAUCGAUCGACGGGUUCUAGCAAGGCCUAUGCGCGAGUAUGAAAUGCUGUACUAAGAUUCUAAAUUGGCGGUUAGCCCUCUCUAGCAAUCCUAAUAUGAUAGAUAGAUGUCAGGAUGGGAUAACAAGGGUGCUUGAAUAUGCAAUCCUAUGAUCAAAUUCUAGUUAGCUAGGCUAAAACAAGCAAUGAAUACAAAUCUAUCAUGAAUAUUACAACAAGGCAGAUCUAUAGUUUGGGGCUAAUCCCACAAACCUAUCUGAACUCUGGAUCUAACAGUUGAACUACUCAGACAUAGCAAAUAAAUUCAUAUCAAUAGAUAAAUAGAAACUCAUAGAAUAGACAAAAAGAAAUAGAAACAAAGAGUUCCAAUCACAAGUGAUCUUCUCUCCCAAAUGAAACUUGUAACAAAACUAGGUCUAGAAAAAGCUCUGUUCUUCUGCUGUCAAAAACACUAGGCAGUAUAUAUUCUACUAGGUUAAAAACUCGUCAGGACAUUUUGGUAAUUUGGCUUGGCCUUGGUUUUUAAGUCUGCUGAAUCCAAAAUGUCGCGUCUGGUGUCUCGACAUCGAUCGAUGGUACUUGUGUACAUCGAUCGAUAUCAAUCUUCAUCUGUCGAGGCAUUUCCUGAUAUCGAUCGUCAGCACUGAUGCGCAUCGAUCGAUUAUUCUUCCUCUCGUCGACCUCUAAGUGGUCAGCUCGGGUGAAAUGUCCUUUAAGCUCCAAAAUGCUCCAAAGUCAUAGCUUUACUCCGAAAUGCACCUGAACCUGAAAACAUACCUAGAAGAGUAGAAAACAUAGAUAUAUAUAUAUAUAUAUAUAUAUAUAUAUAUAUAUAUAUAUAGUAAAACUAUAUACCAUGGAUAAAAAUGGGUCAAAUCCAAGGUAUAUCAACUCCCCCAGACUUACCCUUUUGCUUGUCCUCAAGCAAAACAUACAGGCAGUCUCUCUGAAAGCGGUUUGAAAAUAUUUAGGGAUUUAAGAUUUUAAAACAUAGAAAUCUUUCCUCAACAAUUUUGCAACCACAUUUAAAAAGUCCUAAUCACAAAAGCACAAUAUGCAAUAUCCUAGCUUAGCAACCUUUUCUAACAUAACACAACUCAUCAAUUCACGUCUGACAUCCCCUCUCAUGAUUUCAUUUCUUAGCAUAAAUAUAAAGUGAAUGCUUUACCUUGGGAGUAUCGAUCACAUGAUGCAAGGAUUUCACACAGGUAUCUGGAGCUGCAGGUAAAAGUUAGUUCCUAUUUUCUCUCUCUCUCUAAAUUUCUCUCUUGAGUCAAAGUCUGCUUCCAUUGCAGGAUCAGUGACCAAGAUUGGACAGGCUUCCAUUAAUCAAAACUUAAUGGUGGUUGCCACCAAGUUAUGUUCACUUCUUUUUGACCUAUAUCCAAGAGUUCUUUGUGAAAGCGAGCCUUAAAGAUUGCCGCCUCCAAGUCCCAUUUCGAACUCUUUUAUUUGAGUCCUUAUGAAUCAAGCCUUAAUGGUUUUAGCCACCAAGUCCUGUUCAGACUCAUCCUAAUUAAACAAUAGUCUUAUUUAUAUUUUUUUAUUUAUUUUAUUUUUAUUAUAUAUAUAUAUAUACAUAUUUUAAUACUCACUAACUAAUCUAGGGUCGAAAUUUAGAGAGAGAAAAUGUGAUAAAUAAUCUAAACCAGGCGUUACCUUCCAGACCUGUCUGAAGAAUCCAAUCCCAUGUAUACCAAGCCCCAGGACAAGCGGUUAUGUCAGGUUUAGUGUUGGAAAUCAGCUUUGGCUACUUCAUACGGUUCAAGGUAAGUGUGUAGUUGAUAGGUUGAUCCGCUUUAGCAUCUUUAGUGCUAUCUGCAAUCAGUAAAUCUAAAAUGGUGCUAAAGAUUGGUUAGAUAUUUAUGUUUAAAUCAAUAUAGGAUUAUAGUCCCUAUUUUCAAUAGCUAAGGAUAAUUUAUUUGAAAUUCCUUUUUACAUAAGAAUAAAAUAAAUUAUAUCAGUAAAUCUCCCCCCAUACUUAAAUUACACUGUCCCAGUGUAACUCAGCCGGAGUUAUGAUGAAUAGUUUAUGAUGUACGAAAUGUAACAAGUUGGGAAGAUACAUCUGACCGGAUUAGAUAUCGAUCGAUGUGUAAGUGUCACAUCGAUCGUCGUGUGGUUGCCUGUGUCGAACGAUGUCGACGUCUCGUCGUCGGUCGAUAUUCAGGUCCUCCUACUUGGGUCUCCUAAAUCUGAAAGAAAUAAAACAAAAGAAAUUAAAUGCUAGCAAAUAAAACCAAAGUAAAAUACCUAAUAGUGGGUUGCCUCCCACUCAGCGCUUGGUUAUAGUCAUUUAGCUUGACUGUGGUAGUAAUUGGCUAUUGGGUGGAGAAGCAGAUGCUUGUUGGAAAGCAAGCAUCCACGUCAUCUCUGCGCAUUCUGGACCAAGAUGCAAUGAAACUUCUUGUGGCCUUAUCAUUUCUUGUCCAUUUGUCAUCCAUCUUCUCAAGUACUUUGGAGAUGUUCGGUAGCCUUUCUUGAAUGUUGUCAAUGCUGACCUGGUGCCAGCCUAUGUGUCAUAGGCGUAUGCUGAAAGUUCUGUCAGUUCCUUUUGCAUUGACUCUACCGUCUUGUGUAUCAGCUGCUCGCCGAUUGGUGUAGACUCGGUGUCGAUCGAUGCGAUUAUGUGUUCGUUGGUCGAUCUCGGCGAGUUGCCAUCGAUCGAUUUCGCUAGCGUCCUGUCGAUCGAUGCUGAUAUCUGAUGUUGAGCUGCGAGUUGCCUCUGAAUGGCUUUGACUUCUUUUUGUAGCCAUUCUGCGUGGUUGUCUACUCCACUGAUUUUGUUGUCGAAUGGAAAGUAGAUGUCAUCGCAGCGUUUGUCAAGUCGUUCCGCCAUGGUGUCUAGAGCAGUGUAGAUCUUGGAUGUGAUCUUGUCAACCUCUGCUGCUGUGCAAGGAAGUAACUCCACAGGUUUCUUGCCAUCGAUCCAAGGUCCUCGUAACCUGUCAAUCAAUGUUGAUUUUGCCUGCAAAAAACUUUGAUUAGUAAUGUUCUCAAUAUCCUUUUGGGCAUCAAGUAAUUGAUUAGACAAUUUGUUUAAAUAUGUCAUGAUUGGUGAUAUAAAACGGUCAUGCAUAUCCUCGUAAGUCCUCAGCCUCUCAUUCAUGGCUGAGACUUUGGCGUCGAGCGAUGUGAAGGUACACAAGUCGAUCGAUGUGGCUGGUUGUUGGUCCUUCUUGCGAAUGGUAAGCAGAUCUUGCUGUAGUAGCUCGAUUUUAGUGCUUAGCCAGUCCACGUUUUUGUUGAGAGGGCAAUAAACGUCACUUAUCCUUGUGUCGAUGUAUGAGACUUCCCAUUCAUCCCUGUGUUGUGUUGUGUUGAACAUUGCGGUUCUACAGGGAUCUGAGCUGUAGGAAGACUAACGUCGAUCGAUGUUUCACGUGGUGCGUCGAUCGAUGCUGAGGUCGUAGCUUCCUUCUCAAGUUGCUGGCGUAAACUCUCAAUUUCUGUCCUCAUUUCUACCAUACAUCUGAAAAGCUCAUUGUAGCCUCUAUCCAAAGGCUGAUGUGUAUCAUCUACCAAUGUUUUGACCUCCUCUCCCAGUUUCUCCUGAUCUCCACAAAUACCAAACACCAUUUCAUCGAUUUCUUCUCUGGUGUUGAGUUCUGGUGCCAGUCUUGUGGGUGUGAAGGAAGUGGCAUGUUCUGGAAGACAGAUGUGGCUCUCCUCAAAAAGAGAUGCUCUUUCCAGUAUUUUCCUGAUGUUGUCCUUUGUGACAGGUAUCAUCUCACCAAUUACGCCUCGUGCGUGUCCACACUCAUCUCUGUAGACUCCAUACUCGUCCCUUUGUUCCCAAGUGAACUUUCUGGCUUCGUACAUGUCAAAAGCACGGUUCCCCAAUUCAUACCGUCUGUCGAUCGACGUCGGGUCAUCCUUAUCGAUCGACAUUGGUGUUACCCUGUCAAUCGAUGUCUCCGUUGUACCGUCGAUCGAUGCUUGCACUUUUGGUUGGCGUGAUAGAUCUGGGUUGAUCUCUGUUGUGGCGACUCAUGCGUGGUUGUUAGGAUCUGUUUGAAUGACGUCUUGAGUGCCACGUUGCUGUGAGAAUAGGUUGUCAGGUCCAUUGGCUAUUUGAAGGAUGUCUGCUAUGUCCUCUCUGGACACUUGUAAAAUCCUUCCAUCCAUUGCACGUGCGUUGCCAUCUGGGUCCCUGAAAAUACCAAAUUCAUCAGGUGUUAGAAAACCGUAAUCAAUGUUUGCAUAAUCAUUCAAUUUAGAAAUAAAAAGAUUAGGGUUUAGAGUAGUAUCGAUCGAUGUAGAUACAGUCACAUCGAUCGAUGGCUGUGUAAUUUCUGCAGAACUUUUGUUCUUGAGAUGAUUACUCUUCAUGGAUUUUUCUGUUGAUGUAGAAGGAAGAGUGUUCAUCUUUUUUACUUGUGUGUUCGCUCUGAUGUGUGUAGGUGAUUUCGGGGGUGCAAAAUGAUUUAUAUAGGUAUCUAUAAACCUAGUUGGGGAGAUAAUAUUCUCAUGCUCUUGGAUUUUCGCUGCGGCGCGAAUAUCGAUCGAUGUUCCUUUCGGGGUGUCGAUCGAUUUGAGCGGUUGUUUUGCUGGACAAGGGUGGGUAUCGACCGAUGUGGAGUUCACAGCGUCGAACGAUGUUGGAAACGUGUUGGUGAACUUAUGUGUUUCAAGUCUUUCAUCCUGCAAAGAUAUUUCUAUUGCACGUUCUUUCCAGUAAUCCUCAUUAGGUGAAGUAAUUACAGUGUCAACUGCAAAACUUUCAUGGAAACCACUGUCUGCCCAACUGCCUAUGGAAUAAUCAUCAUGUCCUCUCUCGCUUGGAGGUUGGAAGGCAAAAUGUUGGUAACAAUGAUUUGGUGAAGCAAAAUGGUCAAGUGGGUGCAUUACGUCGAGUGACGUGUUGUUGCGGUCAUCGGUCACCAUUGACACAUUGAAAUCGAUCGAUGGAAAGAUUGGGGUGUCGAUCGAUUCCGAGUACUGCCCUGAUCCCUACUCUGUGCUUCAUGUCGAGAGCUUUACCCAAGCUUAUGACACUGCUUUAAAAUCACGUAUCGGAAGAGAAAGGUUCAAUAUCUGACAAGCUCUUACUGGCAACCGUAAGACAAGAUCGGAGUUUUACGGAAAGAUAAAUAUGGUUUACGGAGAAUUGAUGGAGAAAGCAGAUUCUUUAGGAGAACUAAUCCGAAAAUUAGAAGGUCAAGUAGCUGAGAUUGCAACUGCCAUAAAGAGAGACGCUGGAUGUCUUCCCGGAAGAACUGAUCUAAACCCAAGACGUCAAGUCAGUGCCGUAAUGCUGCGCAGCGGGAAAAACCUCGCAGCAGAUACGAGGAAUAAUUCAGAUGUUGGAAAGCCUGACGACGCCGACAAGACCGGGAAAAGCAACUUUCAUCCUAUUCUUCUUAAUGAUCUUGACCCAAAUCCAUCUCAAGAGAACCGGAAAACCACCACUGAAACGGCUAAGGAAAAGACAAUAGACUUAGAACUAGAAGAAGAUAUGGAGAUUGAGGAUGAAAUCGAUCGACAGUACGGAACUGUCGUCGAUCGAUCCAAAACACCUACCAUCGAUCGACAACCUGAAAAACCCGUCGAUCGACAACCUGAAAAACCCAUCAAUCGACGGUCUACUCAACCCGAGCCCAUAAUUGAAAGAGUCUAUAGAACUUUACCACCUUUUCCUCCUAAAACGCAAACUAAGAAAUCAUUAGAAAAUGCAAUCUGCAAGAAAGCCUUAGAUAAGAUUACUGUCGAGAUGUCCCUUAGUGAUGCUAUAAAAAUAGCACCUUCAAUUAAGAAGUAUAUAAAGGAUAUGACAUCUCCAAACUAUCCGAUUGCAGAACAUAGCGUGAUGAUGAUUUCAGAAGAAGUAAGUGCUAUGAUUAAAGGAGAAACUCCAACGAAGAGAUCAGAUCCUGGUAGUUUCGUCCUAGAUUGUAAAACACGACUCGAGGCCCAUCCUGGUAGCUACGUAGCGACCGGGCUCGAGCCAAAGUUCGGUCGCUGCAUAGCGACCGAGCUCUUCCGAACAUCGGUACGACACCAGUCCAUGCAUUCUCGUCAAACCUUCAAAUGCUAUCUCCCGAAGACAGUAGCGAGCUCAGUCUAUGCUUUCCGCUAUUCUAAAUCAACAAUCAAACUUUGCGGAUUAGAAACACUUCGAGUUGGAAGACGGCCCAAAGGGACCUAAAACACGACUCGAGGCCCAUCCUGCGAUUUCUUAACCAAAAGCCCGUAAACCACAGCACGGUUUACGCUUGGUCCACAAGGAAGGAUAAAUGUCAAGUUUCCGCGGAUGAAUACGGAAGUUUUGAAGAAAAUUGUGAAAAUCGGGAAAAAUGGAAUAUCUCCAUUUUUAUGCUAUGACGGCUUAAGGGCAGAAGAGUAAAAGCGUAAACCGACCUUGGAGCUAGUAUAUAAGGAGUCCUAGGCGAGGAGCAUAAGAGAGAUCUUUUUAGACUCGGAAUUCUCUGCACUUAGAAACUUUAGGCUUAUUCUCGACAAGUUCGGUUUCUAUGACUCGCACUCGAUUACUAGACGAACUCGCCCAGGCAGUUCGAUCUCUUGUCCAGCUCUAUCAAUUGAACUACGUUCGGCUUGAUCCUCGAAAGGGGUACGUAGGCAGCCUUUAACAAGGUUCAGUCCGAAAUCAAUCAAAAACCUUUUCUUUAUCUAUUUUGUCUUUCGUUAUCGAGCUGCGACUCAACUAGGUUUGAGCUAUUAGGCCGCUAGAACUAGGUAACUCGCUGACAGCCUUUGCGGCCAAAGCUUUCAUGAUCUCUUGUAAUGAUCGCAACGCUCUUACGCGGACUCGAAAUAAGAUCAACAGUUUUCCCUAAACUCGUUUGUUAUCUUUUCAUAAUUUCCGCAUGUAUUUGGUCACUUGUCGUUGGCUCCCGCAGAGAUCCGGGACCUCUAGAAAAUUAGGGUUUUCCUAGUUUCCUUAUUUAAACGGAAAUCGACAGUGCGAAUUUCGGUUCCCACAGUUUGGCGCUAGAAGGAGGGGGGGGGUAACGGAUUACUCUUACUUAUGGCCACAAAACGCUUGAUCGAAACGAUGUUUGGAUAUAUGAAAGACAAACUCGCAGCACUGACUGCUCCUAUGGCCAACGCUUACGCAAAUGCCGUAGUUUUCAACAAAUCGAAAACUUAGUUGCGACCUUCCGCCACAGGAAGAGCACUAAAACAAGCUCGCGAUUUCUCCCUGUAAACACGAAGGGAAAUGAUAAAUCUUAUCAAAACCCCGUAAAGAAAUCUCGAUGCGUAAGGGUUUUACCAAAACACGUUUUCCGAAAACAUUUCGGAAGGAUAAAACUUGUUCUCCCAAAAUAACCGCUGAAAAACCCCUACGUUAAUCGCGGAAAAAGGAAACACAACAAAACGAUUACACAACUCAGUCGCUACGUAACGACCGAGCACGCAGACGGCUCGGUCGCUACGUAGCGACCGAGCACGCACACGGCUCGGUCGCUACGUAGCGACCGAGCACACACGCUGCUCGGUCGCUAUGUAGAGACCGAGCACACACGCUCCUCGGUCACUACGUAGCGACCGAGCACGCACACGGCUCGGUCGCUACGUAGCGACCGAGCACACACGCACACGCUGCUCGGUUGCUACGUAGCGACCGAGCACACACGCUGCUCGGUCGCUACGUAGCGACCGAGCACGCACACGGCUCGGUCGCUACGUAGCGACCGAGCACACACGCUGCUCGGUCGCUACGUAGCGACCAAAUACGCACACGGCUCGGUCACUACGUAGCGACCGAGCACACACGCUGCUCGGUCGCUACGUAGCGACCGAGCACACACGCUGCUCGGUCGCUACGUAGCGACCGAGCACGCACACGGCUCGGUCACUACGUAGCAACCGAGCACACACGCUGCUCGGUCGCUACGUAGCGACCGAGCCCGCUCACGCUACUUGGUCGCUACGUAGCGACCGAGCCCGCACACGAUGCUCGGUCGCUACGUAGCGACCGAGCACGCACACACUGCUCGGUCGCUGCGUAGCGACCGAGCACGCACACCGCUCGGUCGCUACGUAGCGACUGAGCUCAAGCCAACUCUCCACUCGCUACGUAGCGACCUGUAAAGCCUCAGAAAGAUCCUCCUUUGGGUUCUCUUUUGAAUCCUCAUCGAAACGCUUUUCGUUUCGUUUCAAUCGGAGUUUCCGUUAAGAUUUUACGACGAAAACAAGUAGGACUCUUCUUGGCCUUCUUCCACUCGCUACGUAGCGAUCUGUCAGACCGUCAGUCGCUACGUAGCGACCUGUAAGGCCUCAAAGGGGUCCUCCUUUGCGUUCUCCUUUGAAUCCUCAUCGAAACGCUUUUCGUUUCGUCUCAAUCGGAGUUUCCGUUGAGAUUUUACGACGAAAACAAGUGGGACUCGUCUUGGCUUCCUUCCACUCGCUAUAGCGACCGAGAUGACAUCCUCACUCGCUAUAGCGACCUUUCAGGCCUCAAAGGAGUCCUACUUUGCGUUCUCCUUUGAAUUCUCAUCGAAACGCUUUUUGUUUCGUCUCAAUCGGAGUUUCCGUUGAGAUUUUACGACGAAACCAAGUGGGACUCAUCUCGGCUCCCUUCCACUCGCUAUAGCGACCGAGAUGACAUCCUCACUCGUUAUAGCGACCUGUCAGGCCUCAAUCCUUUGCGUUCUCCUUUGAAUUCUCAUCGAAACGCUUUUCGUUUCGUCUCAAUCGGAGUUUCCGUUGAGAUUUUACGACAAAAACAAGUAAAACUCAUCUUAAACUCCUUGGCUUGUUUCUGCUCACCCUACCUCCAUCUUUGCGUUCACUUUCGAAUCUCGAUCGAAACGUCUCUUGUUUCGCCUCGAUUGAAGUUACCAUUGAGACUUUAUGAUAUAAAAAAAAAACCGCAAAGACCUAUUUUCUCGCAUGGAUUCAGAUUAAUCGUAUAAAACGGCAACGGUUAACUUAACACCUUAGCCGCCUUAACUAUACGAUUACGUUGAACCUUUUUACAAAAAUUGACGUCUUAUCUAAGGAGAAGAUAACAAUAUAGUUCGGAAGAUAAAUGUCAAGUUUCAAAGGAUAAACACCAAUAUCGGAAAUGGCGAACAUACACGAGAAUAGGAAACAGAAAUGAGCACGCAAAACUGAGAAGGGACAAAACUGCAUCUUCGAGAGAACUAAGGUAUUUCCGACUUAAAAUUUUUGAAAUCAGACUUGGAAUUUUCGUAGGAAAUUACUUUGAGGCUGCCAUAGAACUUUAGGGAACGUAAAACCUAGGCGGAUAGUCUAGCGAACUAAGUUUUAAGCGAUUUUUCCUGUCUCGAUAUAUUGUUCCAUAAUUGUUCAUCCAGAUCUUGCAAACCGAUCUGAACUCUCCGAAAGUCGAGAAACGAUCGCCACGCAUAUCAAGCUCGCUUCCUAAAGAGAGAAAAAGUUAGAGACAUGAACGUCGUCUUAAAACCGAUUCGUUUCUGGCAAUUUUCUCGGAACCGACAUAUCCCAAGUCGUCAACGUGGAAAACAACCAAAUCACAGUCCAAGCGUCGUCUAUAAAUCGUCCCGAAUUAUCGAUCAUUCCAAACAUCAGAAGAGGAAACGUACACAACCCUUCAAAGUAUCGGUUCAACCGUUUUCUUUUGUAAAAUAAAAAAGGAGAGUAGGUACGUAUACUAUACUCGUAUACUCCCAAACUUCAAAAAACUUCUGCAAAUCGUCAAGAAUAGGCAAACGACAAUCUUAAUAUUCGUCUAAACGCUAGCAACAUAUCCAGACGAUCAUGAACAUAAUCUCAAAAACUAUACAUCAUUUCUUGUCGCAAUCAUGCGUACAGAAAACUUGUACCAAUAUCAAACUGAAACUCGACGAUUAGCCAAAGUAUUGAAGCCUUUUCUGGCUUCAGAAAGCCAGUUUCGCUUUAAAAAUUUCUACGAGAAAUCUUCAAUCGCCAAAGCAUUUUUUUAGUUUCCGUUGUACCAAGUAAGUCACGGAAAAGCAUCGAAAACAUUUGCGACAAAGAAAACUCGCGAAUAUAUGUAGCAUCGUGCACAUUAAAAGGAGCACUUUCCUCCCGAUGGUUAGCUAGAUCCACUUCUGGUUGACCAAUUCGUUCAAGAAACGAAUGUGUCAUGAGAAUCCUCUCGAAAAACCUAUGAAAAACGUUCCGCGACUAGAUCGUAUUGAAAUAAACUUCGGUAAUACUCCAUGGGUAACUCCAAGCAACUUUCACCUAAGAUCAAAAUCACAGCGGGAACGUUUGUCGUAGAACCCGCAGAAACAAUGCUACUUUGACAUAUGUAUACAUAUCACUGAUUUACGACCUUCAUAAAAUCGGUUAUAUGAUAUGAUAAAUUAUCGUAUAGCCCAUAGUCGGAAAUCAUAUGAUAAAUUCUUCGUAACGAAACUAAGUCCUAACAACCAAACGGUUAACGGAAAAUCUAAACUUUUCGAAAAUUGACCAAGUUCAAUACGCUCCACAAUUCACUUUAAGCCCGCAACGUUUUAACCAUAAUACGCGGCAUGUAAGGAAAAAUUUGUAACAAAGCUUCUAGAGCUAUACGAAACAUCCUAAAAAAUGCACGAAAUACAUCUCGGAAGGCCAACACUUCACAAAGCACUAUGAAGGAAAACGCUUGUUCCCAUGGACAAAUUUACACGACACCUCAGUCAUAAUUCUUCGAUCGCAAAUAAAACUAUUAGCAUCCAAACAUGAACAACAAUUUUGGCUGCGAACAUUCGUAGUCAAACUAGAAUGUUUUUCAAACGCAUGGCUAAGACUAAACCCUUGCAACAUCGCGAAAUAUCUUCAAGCCCGCGAACAUUUCAAGCACGAAACGUGGCAUACGAAAGAAUAACAAAUCUUCAGCAUCGCGAGACGUCGCAGACGCCUGAAGAUUAGUUCUUCGACGAAAUUUCCUUCCUCGAUAAAAACACCUUCAUGGAAAACCAAACAGUCAUACGCACUAACAUCUUCUCAAAAAAUAUUCUUCGCGAAGACACGAAACGGUAUUUCUUACCAUUAAGUUUGUUGCUGAUCACAACAAACUCUCAACGUCCUAAACAGACAUAGCCAUCUCACGAAGAUGACUCUCUUACAUCCGACACAAGGAUAAUAGCGCUAUAAAAGAAAUCCGAAAUUUUGGUCCAGCACUUCCGGUCUCCGGAGAGAUGCUCGAUUCGUAUCAAACAAGUCGUAUAAGCCGAGAACCUAUCGCGGACUUUAAAUCGAUACGAAUCAGGAAGAAAUCGCAACAGGAAAAACGAUAGCCGACCAGUCACCGCACAAUCCUUAAACCGAAAGUAAACCUAGGUCUUGCCCUAAACCCAGCGCACUGGUCUCUAACAUCUCUAGGCAUAGUAUCAAACACCCUGAUACGAGAUCCCAAAAUUUGUCUCUUUGCCAAUAUUCGAACGUCUUCAGAAAAUCCCGCAAGUUUACACACUGCGGAAAACUCUCGAAACAGAUUAUUGAUAUGGCAAUUCACACAGAGUUAGAUUACGAGACGACAACUCGUAGUCUUCCCUCUACACCCAUACAAAAUGCCAUCGGCAGCAACACGCCUUAUAACCGCUACAUAAAAACUAGACCAUAAAGGUCCUACUGGAAAACUAGUCAUAAGAACCUUAACUCCAAGACGAACUACGAAAGGCUUGAUCCCUUCAACAAGGGUACGUAGGCAGCCGUCAUAAGGCGCAGCCCCAAUCUUAUCGCGUUUUCUACUUUUAGGAGAGCGAGAAGAUCACUUACCACAGACCUUUUCAACCGUUAAUUCCGCCUAACUCACCUAACUUGCCUAACUUGCCAAGCCACUCGCUAGAACCUCACGCUAGAAACUCAUGGUUCUAACGAGCUGGGGGGCUAACUGUUGGAGUCAAAAUCGGUCACGACGGAAUCAAUGUCUGAAAGUCCGUAAAAAUCAGCAUAAACGUUUUUACGAAAAGUAAUCUUCGUAAAGAUAUCUAUAAGAAGAGCCUUGUAGUAAAAAUCUCGUCCAAAUCUCAAUCGAACCACUAAAUACCGAUUGUCCGAAGGCAACGGACAUGUAUCCAAAUCGGCCGCGGACAAGCUCGAGUAUGGAAAUCAGACCGCGGACAAGCCAAGCUCGAUCGAUACGCGGCGACCAAGCAUGCACACAGCUCGGUCGCUACAUAGCGAUCGAGCUCGAGCCAAGCUCGGUCGCUACGUAGCGACCGAGCGUCCGUCUCGCUCGGUCGCUACAUAGAGACCGAGCCCAAGCCAAGCUCGGUCGCUACGUAGCGACCGGGCUCGAGCCAAAGUUCGGUCGCUGCGUAGCGACCGAGCUCUUCUAAACAUCGGUACGACACCAGUCCAUGCAUUCUCGUCAAACCUUCAAAUGCUAUCUCCCAAAGACAGUAGCGAGCUCAGUCUAUGCUUUCCGCUAUUCUAAAUCAUCGAUCAAACUUCGCGGAUUAGAAACUGUGGAAAGUUCUUUCUUUGUCAAAAGAAAUCGUAGUAAACGCUUCGAGUUGGAAGACGGCCCAAAGGGACCUAAAACACGACUCGAGGCCCAUCCUGCGAUUUCUUAACCAAAAGCCCGUAAACCACAGCACGGUUUACGCUUGGUCGACAAGGAAGGAUAAAUGUCAAGUUUCCGCGGAUAAAUACGGAAGUUUUGAAGAUAAUUGUGAAAAUCGGGAAAAAUGAAAUAUCUCCAUUUUUAUGCUAUGACGGCUUAAGGGCAGAAGAGUAAAAGCCUAAACCGACCUUGGAGCUAGUAUAUAAGGAGUCCUAGGCGAGGAGCAUAAGAGAGAGCUUUUUAGACUCGGAAUUCUCUGCACUUAGAAACUUUAGGCUUAUUCUCGACAAGUUUGGUUUCUAUGACUGGCACUCGAUUACUAGACGAACUCGCCCAGGCAGUUCGAUCUCUUGUCCAGCUCUAUCAAUUGAACUACGUUCGGCUUGAUCCUCGAAAGGGGUACGUAGGCAGCCUUUAACAAGGUUCAGUCCGAAAUCAAUCAAAAACCUUUUCUUUAUCUAUUUCGUCUUUCGUUAUCGAGCUGCGACUCAACUAGGUUUGAGCUAUUAGGCCGCUAGAACUAAGUAACUCGCUGACAGCCUUUGCGGCCAAAGCUUUCAUGAUCUCUUGUAAUGAUCGCAACGCUCUUACGCGGACUCGAAAUAAGAUCAACAGUUUUCCCUAAACUCGUUUGUUAUCUUUUCAUAAUUUCCGCAUAUAUUUGGUCACUUGUCGUUGGCUCCCGCAGAGAUCCGGGACCUCUGGGAAAUUAGGGUUUUCCUAGUUUCCUUAUUUAAACGGAAAUCGACAGUGCAAAAUUCGGUUCCCACAGAUGUCAGGAUGGGAUAACAAGGGUGCUUGAAUAUGCAAUCCUAUGAUCAAAUUCUAGUUAGCUAGGCUAAAACAAGCAAUGAAUACAAAUCUAUCAUUAAUAUCACAACAAGGCAGAUCUAUAGUUUGGGGCUAAUCCCACAAACCUAUCUGAACCCUGGAUCUAACAGUUGAACUACUCAGACAUAGCAAAGCAAUUCAUAUCAAUAGAUAAAUAGAAACUCAUAGAAUAGAUGAAAAGAAAUAGAAACAAGAGUUUCAAUCACAAGUGAUCUUCUCUCCCAAAUGAAACUUGUAACAGAACUAGGUCUAGAAAAAGCUAUGUUCUUCUGCCGUCAAAAACACUAGGCAGUAUAUAUUCUACUAGGUUAAAAACUCGUCAGGGCAUUUUGAUAAUUUGGCUUGGCCUUGGUGUCUCGACAUCGAUCGAUGGUACUUGUGUACAUCGAUCGAUAUUAAUCUUCAUAUGUCGAGGCAUUUCCUGAUAUCGAUCGUCAGCACUGAUGCGCAUCGAUCGAUUAUUCUUCCUCUCGUCGACCUUUAAGUGGUCAGCUCGGGUGAAAUGUCCUUUAAGCUCCCAAAUGCUCCAAAGUCAUAACUUUACUCCAAAAUGCACCUGAACCUGAAAACAUACUUAGAAGAGUAGAAAACAUAGAUAUAUAUAUAGUAAAACACUUAUAUACCAUGGAUAAAAAUGGGUCAAAUCCAAGGUAUAUCACUUUCCAACGUUGUGUGAUGUCAAUCUUUACGGAUAUGAUCGAGGAAUUCAUGGAGGUAUUCAUGGAUGAUUUUUCAGUCUAUGGAUCAGAUUUUAAGAGUUGCCUCGACAAUUUAUGCAAAGUAUUGGAAAUAUGCGAAGAAAAGAACCUUGUCCUAAACUGGGAAAAAUGCCAUUUCAUGGUAAACGAUGGAAUAGUGUUAGGACAUAGGGUUUCCGCUGCUGGAAUAGAGGUCGAUAGAGCUAAUAUUGAAGUAAUGACCAGUUUACCUCCACCUAAAACCGUUAAGGACGUGCGAAGUUUUCUUGGACACGCCGGAUUUUACAGGAGAUUUAUACUGGACUUCAGCAAAAUCGCUAGACCUUUAAAUAACCUACUAUGCAAGGAUAUUAAAUUCGAUUUUACCCCCGAAUGCAUGAAAGCUUUUGAAGAUUUAAGGAAAUCCCUUAUCACUGCCUCCGUCGUACAAGUCCCCGACUGGAAUCUUCCUUUCGAAAUCAUGUGCGAUGCGAGUGAUUUCGCAAUUGGAGCAGUUCUAGGCCAAAGGAAGAUAAAAAGCUACAUGCCAUUUACUACGCCAGCCGCACGCUUGAUGAAGCACAACGGAAUUACGCAACAAAAGAAAAAGAACUAUUAGCUGUAGUUUACGCUUUUGAAAAAUUCCGUCAAUACUUGAUUGGCUCACGAGUGAUAGUUCACACUGAUCACGCUGCCAUCAAAUAUUUAAUGCAAAAGAAAGAUGCUAAACCUAGACUCAUACGCUGGAUUCUACUCCUCCAAGAGUUUGACAUUGAGAUUAAGGAUAAGAGAGGAGUAGAUAAUGGAGUCGCUGACCAUCUUUCUAGGAUAAGGAUAGAGGAUGAUGUCCCUAUAGACGAUUUCUUUCCCACAGAGAAUGUUGCACACAUAGAUACAUCUUUCGUCGGUCAAAUAUCUCUCACAUCUGAAGAUCUAUCGGUCGAUUCACGUAGGGAUACAUCGAUCGAUGACGAGACUGAUGUAAUUUCUCAUCUCUCCGAUAACCAAAAUCACGAACCCCCGUUUAUGAAGAUCAACUUCGGUUUACAAGUUCAUGUUUUUGGUAAUGAGAUUAAUCUCACAUCUGAGGAAUUAUCACAACGGGAGGUAAACGCGAUUGGUAGAAACCCGGAUAACCGACCCUGGUAUGCCGACAUAGUUAACUAUUUGGCAGCUGAGGUUGAGCCAGACGAACUCAAGGGAUAUAUGAGGAAGAAAUUUUUCAGAGAAGUAAGACGCUAUCAUUGGGAUGAACCUUACCUCUAUAAGCAUUGUUCUGAUGGCAUAUACAGACGAUGCGUAUCCAAAGCUGAAAUUCCAGACAUGAUUUACCAAUGUCACGGAGCUGAUUAUGCAGGACAUUUCACUACCUUUAAAACGGUUUCGAAAAUUUUCCAAGCAGGAUUUUGGUGGCCAACCAUUUUUCGCGAUGUCCAUGCAUUUAUAACCCAAUGUGACAGAUGCCAAAGACGUGGAAAAAUCAGCAAAAGACAAGAAAUGAAACAUAAGUUCAUUCUUGAAGUUGAAGUCUUUGAUUGCUGGGGUAUCGAUUUUAUGGGACCUUUCCCGUCUUCAUAUGGAAACAAAUAUAUACUAGUCGCUGUAGACUACGUAUCCAAAUGGGUCGAAGCAGUAGCUUCCCCUACCAAUGACGCAUCUGUGGUUAUUAAACUCUUCAAGAGUAUAAUCUUUCCAAGAUUUGGAGUUCCAAGAGUAGUCAUUAGUGACGGUGGAACUCAUUUCAUUAAGAAAAUCUUUGAUAGAAUGCUUAAAAAGAAUGGUGUUCAUCAUAGAGUAGCUACACCUUACCAUCCACAAACUAGUGGACAAGUAGAAGUCUCUAACCGGCAAAUUAAGGAAAUCUUAGGGAAAACCGUAGGAACCUCCAGAAAAGAUUGGUCUAGAAAACUAGAUAAUGCACUUUGGGCCUACAGGACUGAUAUCACUCAAAUUACCUUAAAGAGUGUUACUCUCAUCAAAAGAGGUCGAGUUAUAGUACUUAGGGAUCGAAUCCACAAGGAGCUAGAGAAACUAUUAGAUCUAAUAGUUAUAUGAUUAAGCUAGGCUAAUAGGUUUUAAAACAGUAAAUAAAGCAAGUAAUAAAUAAAACAAUAAACAAGAUGAACAAGGUAAUUGUUCAGCUUGGCAAGGAGUAGUUUGAUGGAGGGAUGAUUGAUAGAUCUAGGGUUUCUAUUCAGAUGUUGGAGAUUAUAAUUCCUAUAGGUACCUAUUUGUUGCAUGCAUGAUAUGUUGAGCUCAACCGCUUAACUCAGUGAUCAGCUGUCGCAUGUUUCACUGGUUAACAAGCUAGAUCUCGUGUCUCAACGGUUAGUAUGUUGACAACAAAAGAAUGUCGAUCGAUGGUCCUAUUGAGACAUCGACCGAUACACCUUUGCCUACGUCGGCCGAUAGUCAGUUGAGGACAUCGAUCGACGGGUUCUAGCCAGGCCUAUGCGCGAGUAUGAAAUGCCCUAUUAAGAUACUAAAUUGGCGGUUAGCCCUCUCUAGCAGUCCUAAUAUGAUAGAUAUAUGUCAGGAUGGGAUAACAAGGGUGCUUGAGUAUGCAAUCCUAUGAUCAAGUUCUAGUUAAUUACUCUAAAACAAGCAAUGAAUACAAAUCUAUCAUGAAUAUCACAACAAGGCGGAUCUAUAAUUUGGGGCUAAUCCAACAAACCUAUCUGAACCCUAAACCUAACAAGUGGAUCUACUCAGAAAUAAAAACAUAAAUCAUAGAUGAAUAGAUAUAAAACUGAAAUAGAAUAGAUAAGAAAACCAAUGGAGUUCCAGGAGGACUCUGAUAGGAGUUCCUCCCUUUUAUACUAAGAGAAACAAUGGAAAUGAAAGUGUGUAGAAAGCGUAGAAAGCGUAGCCGUCAACAAUGGCUUAGAAAUAACAUAAAUAGGGUUUCUGGUCGUCCAAGGGCAUUUUGGUAAUUUGUGGCUUCUAGGGCAUCACGCAGUCAUAAAAUAUACAAGGCCCAUGAUCUGGAAUCUCCAUCGAUCGACGUGCAGAAUGCUGCAUCGAUCGACGCGGCUUCCUCUUCUCGGCAGCUUCCUCUCGCGAGGCAGACUGACCACUCUUCAGUAAAACGGGCAUAACUUCUGCUACAGAAUGCUGAUUGACCUGAGACCGGUGGCAUUGGAAAGCUAACUCAAUGCUCUUUCUUGUGUCAAAAUAUGAGCUCAAUCUAACGGUCGGAAAGUCUCUAUCCAUAGCUAAACAUCUGACGCGUCUGUGCAACUCUUCACCUCCAAAGGCUUCAAAAGACUCCAAAAUCACCAUAUUUCCCUAAACGUCCCUGAACCUGUAAAUACUCUAAAUAGACUCCAAAAUAUAAUAAUUGUAUCUUAAAACACUUUAAACACUUAUAGACCAUGAUUAAAAAUGGAUAAAAUAUAUGGUCUAUCAACUCCCCCAGACUUACCAUUUUGCUUGUCCUCAAGCAAAACAGACGGGCAGUCUCUCUGAAAGAGGUUUUGAAAACAUCAGGGACUCACAUGAUUUAAAACUUAGAAUCAUCACCUCUACAAUAUUGCAAUCCACAUCUAAGAAUUCCUAAUCACAUAACCACAUUAUACAAUAUCCUAGCUUAGUAACCAAAUUUCACCUAGCCAACAUCUUAGCAAAUCAUGUAUGACAUUCCCCUCUACCAACCUCAUUUUUUAACAUAAAUAAAUUUGUAUGCUUUACCUUGGGAGUAUCGAUCACAAGACACAUAGACUCUUGCCCCAACAGGUAUCUGAGUAAACAGGUAGUCUUGUUCUGGUUUCUUUUACUCUAUAUCUCCCUUCUCUGAAUACUUUUUAUCUCAAUUCCAAUGAACAAAGAUGCUGAUGCAAUCCAUCUUAUUCACCUUCUUUUCGAUUUUUUUUUUUUUUUUUUUUUUCUUUCUUUUUCUUUUCUUGACAAAGUGUAGGCGAAUAGUGGGGUCAUCGGUAAUGUACCUACCCUUCGCUUCCAACAAUGUGUGAUCAUUCUAUUAGAGUAGAAUAAUGGGGUCAUCGGUAAUGUACCUACCCCUCUAAACCGCAAGAAAUCAUCUCAACCUUUUAUUUUAUUUUAUUAGGAUGCCAAAGGGAGGAGAUAAGGAAACCAAAAUCACUCAGACUUUUACCUUUCAGACCUGAAGGAGGAAUCCGAUCCAGUGUAUACCAAGCCCCAAGACAAGCAGUUAAGUCAAAUUAGGUUGGAGGUCAGCUUCGGUUCCUUCAAACAAUCUCAGCAAGUGUGAACAUAGUUGACAGGUUGAUCCACUUUAGUAUCUUUAGUACUAUCUGCAAUCAGUAAGUCUAGAAUGGCGCUAAAGAGUGGUUAGAUAACAAGCAUGAAUCUAAUAAGUUCAUUAUCCCCUUCUUGACUCAAUAAACACAGAUUUUGAAAAUAUUUUAAAUAAGACUCAUAAAAGUAGAUAAACGUAUAUCAAUAAACAUCCCCCCAGACUUAAAUUACACUCUCCCCAGUGUAUAUCUAGUCGGAGUUAUGGUUAGAACAUAAAUAAUAAGUAAACAAUUUAACAAGUAAGAACGAUAACCUGCUCGACAUCAGUGUCGAUCGACACAAUGAAUAGACAAUCGAUCGAUGUUGAUGAAGUGCUGUCGAUUGAUAGUGACAUGGUCUCAUCGGUCGAUGGCUAGAGCAAUCAUUCGACACAAUGAAGAGACAAUCGAUUGUUGGAUAUGAAGCGCUGUCGAUCGAUAUCGAGCUGGUGUCAUCGGUCGAUGUGCUGAGCAAUCGUCUACUCGAAUCUGUUUUUUUUUUAUCUAUGAAUAACUAAGUAAAACACAAUAUUAGCAGAACCUCCCCCAGACUUAAACAACACUAUCACUAGCGCUAUCCAGUCUAAGAUUGGUGGGAAAAUAAAUCAUAAGGACAAUAUUUAACAAGGAAAAACGGUAUACAUGCUUGGAUGUGAGUGUCGAGCAACACAGUUAAGUGGCGAUCGAUACUCUUGAUGCUCUGUCGAUCGAUGCUACGUAGCCAUCAAAGAUUCUCCUGCAAUCUCGUCUUCCUCGGAUCUUGUCCUUUUACUUAACAUAAACAAAACAUUUAAUACAAUUAAUAAAUAAAUAAUAAAACCAAUAAUCAAUAAAAAUAAUAAUAAUAAUAUUUUUUUAUUUUUUCUAUGAAAAGUGCUUUGCUAUAGUGUCCCUUGGUGUUGCUGCUACAGUGUCUCUGCUACAGUACGUCGUUACUGUUCAUUUUUUUUUUGUUUUUUUUUAACCUGAAAUCUUUAGAAAACAAAGAAUCAGUAAUAAAUGAAAGAUAAACCAUAUCUAAAACAAACCGAACAGUGGGUUGCCUCCCACUCAGCUUUAUUUUUAGUCUUUAGCUUAACUUCUGGAGAUCUGAUUAAGUCCGCAUAAGAAUGAGAACUUGCUCCAAACCAAGUUUCAAUGUCUACUCUUUGAAGCUUUAUCAUUCUUGUGUGAAAGCCUCCUCCAUAUACCCUUCUCCUUUGUCUAUCAUUUCAGCAAUAAGGAAUCCUUUAAGUUUUGCAUAUGGAUGUGGGAAGCAUUUGCUGCGCACUCUUGAUUUUCUGAUACUAUCUGAGAAGUAAGGAGUCAAUGGUAAUUGAGAACCUCCUUUGGUUCGUUUCCGCUUCUUCCAAUUUCUCCCCUUCUUUCCCACGGACUUGUGUAAUCUCACUAUGGACUUCCUGGCAUCAUCUGAGAAGUGAUGAAUCAAUGAUAACUGAGAACCUUCAUUGAUUCUCUUUUUCUUUUUCCAGUUCCUCCACUUCUUUCCCUCAGACUUGUCUGAAUGCGUGGUUGUAUCUCCAUAAAUAAUAUUUCCACACAAUUCAUACUCAUUCUACUCUGAUUCGCAUCUGGUGUCGAUCGAUGGUAUCUGAUCGGUGUCGAUCGAUGAUGAAGUGUUAGUGUCGAUCAAUUUUUUUCUGUUGAUGUUGCUCGAUGGUACUUCUGUUGGGCAGUUAUCUACUUCAUCUCUAAAUCGCAGCCCUCUCUGAGAAGCUUCUACAUGAUGUUGAUCAUUCAAUACCUCAAUGUAAGUACUCAGAUACACACCUUUAUCUGGUGGGAUAGGAGAUUCAACUUCAAACACUGCACAUGGAACCAUAAUCUUCACAGGAUCAUGUAUCAUCUUCACUCUUUUACAAAUCCCUACAGCUUCUUCUGCGCAUAUAGGUGGUCUUAGAUGUUCGGGGACAUCAGUGUGUGAUGUCUUAGACAUGUGCAUUAUCUCCUCAAUCGGUCCUGGUUCAAUUGGGUAUCCAGAUAGUUCAUCCAAACAUGGGUGUCGAUCGAUGCAAUCGGGUGGGUAUCCAGCGAUACAGUCGGGUGUAUAUAGAUUCAUGAUGUGUGGCGACUGUCGAUCGAUGGCGUAGGGUGGGUGUUGAUCGAUUAUGCAUGGAGUGUAUCGAUCGAUCUCAUCAGGUUGAUGUCGAUCGAUGUCGUCAGCCUUUUGUGAAAUUUUCAGACCUCUUCCCGAAGGGUGCUGAUCAUCAAACUUCUGCUUCGGGUUCUGGUCUAAAUCCUCAAGCCAUUCCUCCAUCUCCAAGAAGUCUUCCAUAGUUACUUCUUCACUCGAAUCCAAAUCUCCAAGCUGUUGCCCAUCCUCUAACUCCAAGAAUUCUUCUAGUUCCAAGAAAUCUUCCAUGGUGAUUUCUUUUUCUACUUUUUGGUCAGGAUAACAACUUGAUACAUCGAACGCUCUUCAGUGUCGAGUCUGCAAUGUCCUGAGGACAACUCGAUUUUUCAGGGAUUUCAAGUGGUAUCGAUCGACAACAGGAGUUUGUGUUGAUCGAUGUUUGAAGGCUGGGGUCGAUCGAUGUUACGGUUGGGAUGUCGAUCGAUGCUGAGGUUGGAGUGUCGAUAGGUUCUGAGCUCAUGUCACUAAUAUCGAUUUCUUCUAUUCUGCUCAGCUCUCCAGACACAUGUUGUUCAUCAUCUUCCACCAUAUAUUCCAUCAUAGAUCUCAUCUCAAUCUCUAGACUUGUUGCAGCAUCAUAGAGAAACUUGUUGACGAAAGCGUUUGCAAUGUCAUUCCAAGUAUUGAGAGAUCUUGAUGGUAGCUUCUUCAACCAAUGAGCUGCAUCCACAACAAAAGAGUAUGGGAAUAAUUUGCAUAAAUAGUAAUCUUCAGAGACUCCAUUGCAUUUGAUGGUUGAUGAUAGAUCUAUAAAUGUCUCCAGGUGGCUAGUGGGAUCUUCAUGAGGAAAACCAUGGAAAGAAUGCUGACCCACAAGAGAGAUAUAUGGAGGGUGCAGCUCAAGGACAAUAUUCUGAAGUGUUGAAUGACGCAAUGCAGACCCUUUAGCAUAAGCAUCCUCAGGACUGUUAUAGUCUCUAAUUGCCUUCGUUCGUCCAGUCCUAACAUACUCAGUGGUAGCAUCAGGGAUUGUAGAAGGUAUCGAUCGAUGAGAAAUAUCUGUAUCGAUCGUUUCUGAAGUGCGGAUAUCGAUCGAUUCUGAGUUACUACUGUCGAUCGAUUCUGAAGUCGGAUCUUUUAUAUCAGCUUCUUCUACUUUGCUCUGCUCUCCUGAUACAUGAUAUUCAUCAUCCUCAACUGUAUCAUGGUUGACCAGCUUUUCUCUGUUCAGUUCGUCCUUCUACUUACUCUCAUCUGCAUGGUGAACCUGAAUGUCUGGCUGCUUGACAUGAGUUGUCGGUGUUCCAAUAUCUCCAUUCUCCUCGCUGUAGAUGAAGUCAAGAAUCUGACUCAUACUAAUCAUUAUUCCUUUCUCCCAUUCUUUAAUCAUGUAAUCAAGCCUUUUACUUCGAGUUGCUACAGCCUCGCUGAAAAAUUUGCCUAUGAAAACCUCUUUGAUGUCUUCCCAACAUGUUAGAGAUCUUGGUUGCAGCUUACUGAACCAGCUAAAAGCAUCUCCGGAUAAACAAUAGGGGAAGAUCUUGCAGAAAAUGUGGUCUGCAGAUAUUUCAUCGUGCUUGUUUGCUGAGGCUAACUCCUCAAGUCUCUUGAUAAGAUCUUUGGGAUCCUCAUGAGGAAGACCGUAAAAUGGAUCCUCACUUUCCCAAUCAUACCAUUGACUUUUCAGAUUAAAGGUAUUCGUCUCAGCCACAUCAAUUACAUCAGGGAUUACACUACCCUCUGCAUUAAUUAAUUGUCCUGUGAGGCUGCAAGGACGACCUUCUUCGUCUCGCCAAAUACCUUUCUUGUCGAUCUUAAGUAUGAGCGCUUCGACCUUCUCUGUUUCUCCGUAAGUGGUGAUCGUCAUUGGAGGAACAGUGGCGCGAUGAAUAGUGUUUCGAUGAACAGUGUUCGGAUGAACAGUAUCGUGAUGAACAGUGUUCGGAUGAACAGUGUCCGUGUGAACAGUGUCACAAUGAACAGUGUUCUGGUGAACAGUGUCGAGCGAUAGAAUAUGAACAGUGUCGAUCGAUGGAAGAUUAAUAGUGUCAACCGACACGGGCUGAACAGUGUCGAUCGACGGGAUAUGAAUAGUGUCGACCGACACGGGAUGAACAGUGUCGAUCGACAAGAUAUAAAUAGUGCCGACCGAUAUGGGAUAAACAGUGUCGAUCGACGGAAGAUGAAUCGUGUUGACCGACACGGGAUGAACAGUGUCGAUCGACGUGAUAUGAACAGUGUCCGUGUGAACAGUGUCACAAUGAACAGUGUUCUGGUGAACAGUGUCGAGCGAUAGAAUAUGAACAGUGUCGAUCGAUGGAAGAUGAAUAGUGUCAACCGACACGGGCUGAACAGUGUCGAUCGACGGGAUAUGAAUAGUGUCGACCGACACGGGAUGAACAGUGUCGAUCGACAGGAUAUAAAUAGUGCCGACCGAUAUGGGAUAAACAGUGUCGAUCGACGGAAGAUGAAUCGUGUUGACCGACACGGGAUGAACAGUGUCGAUCGACGUGAUAUGAAUAGUGUCGCGAUGAACAGUAUCGCGAUGAAUAGUAUUAGGAUGAAUAGUAUUUGGAUUAAUAGUAUUAUGAUGAACAGUACCUGGAUGAACAGUACCUGGAUGAACAGUACCUCGGUGAAUAGUAUGGCGGUGAACAGUACCCGGAUGAAAAGUAACAUGAUGAACAGUACCCGGAUGAAUAGUACCUCGAUGAAUAGUGUUUUCCGACACAUGAUGAAUAGUGUCGUUCGAUGCUUGGCUCACGCUAUCGAUCGAUGCUGCUUUGAGGGUGUCGAUCGAUACAUCCCUCGUAGCCUUAUGGAUCGUGCAUAAACCAGCAGACUCCUUCCUUGAAGGACCUAGAAAUCCUCUCUUCAUUGUUUUUUGUUACUAAGAGUUAUGCACCCGAAAUAGAAAAAAACAUUUUAUGAGUUUUUCAAACAGUAACAAAACCUAGACUAAAUCUAACUAAACAAGAUCUAAUGGCGAUCAAAGCUCCCCGGCAAAGGCGCCAAAUUUGAUAUCACUCAAAUUACCCUAAAGAGUGUUACUCUCAUCAAAAGAGGUCGAGUUAUAGUACUUAGGGAUCGAAUCCACAAGGAGCUAGGGAACCGAUUAGAUAUAAUAGUUAUAUGAUUAAGCUAGGCUAAUAGGUUUUAAAAUAGUAAAUAAAGCAAGUAAUAAAUAAAGCAAUAAACAAGAUGAACAAGGUAAUUGUUCAGCUUGGCAAGGAGUAGUUUGAUGGAGGGAUGAUUGAUAGAUCUAGGGUUUCUAUUCAGGUGUUGGAGAUUAUAAUUCAUAUAGGUACCUAUUUGUUACAUGCAUGAUAUGUUAGAGCUCAACCGUUUAACUCAGUGAUCAGCUGUCGCAUGUUUCACUGGUUAACAAGCUAGAUCUCGUGUCUCAACGGUUAGUAUGUUGACAACGAAAGAGUGUCGAUCGAUGGUCCUAUUGGGACAUCGACCGAUACACCUUUGCCUACGUCGACCGAUAGUCAGUUGAGGACACCGAUCGACGGGUUCUAGCCAGGCCUAUGCGCGAGAAUAAAAUGCCCUAUUAAGAUACUAAAUUGGCGGUUAGCCCUCUCUAGCAGUCCUAAUAUGAUAGAUAGAUGUCAGGAUGGGAUAACAAGGGUGCUUGAGUAUGCAAUCCUAUGAUCAAGUUCUAGUUAAUUACUCUAAAACAAGCAAUGAAUACAAAUCUAUCAUGAAUAUCACAACAAGGCAGAUCUAUAGUUUGGGACUAAUCCAACAAACCUAUCUGAACCCUAAACCUAACAGGUGGAUCUACUCAGAAAUGAAAACAGAAAUCAUAGAUGAAUGGAUAUAAAACUGAAAUAGAAUAGAUAAGAAAACUAAUGGAGUUCCAGGAGGACUAUGAUAGGAGUUCCUCCCUUCUCUCCUAAGAGAAACAAUGGAAAUGAAAGUGUGUAGAAAGCGUAGAAAGCGUAGCCGUCAACAAUGGCUUAAAAAUAACAUAAAUAGGGUUUCUGGUCGUCCAAGGGUAUUUUGGUAAUUUGUGGCUUCUAGGGCUUCACGCAGUCAUAAAAUAUACAAGGCCCAUGAUCUGUAAUCUCCAUCAAUCGAUGUUCAGAGUGCUGCAUCGAUCGACACGGCUUCCUCUUCUCGGCAGAUUCCUCUCGCGAGGCAGACUGACCACUCUUCAGUAAAACGGGCAUAACUUCUGCUACAGAAUGCUGAUUGACCUGAGACCGGUGGCAUUGGAAAGAUAACUCAAUUCUCUUUCUUGUUUCGAAAUAUGGGCUCAAUCUAACGGUCGGAAAGUCUCCAUCAAUAGCUAAACAUCUGACGCGUCUGUGCAACUCUGCACCUCCAAAUGCUCCAAAAGAUUCCAAAAUUACCAUAUUUCUUCUAAACGUCUCUGAACCUGUAAAUAUUCUAAAUAGAUUCCAAAACAUAAUAAUUGUAUCUUAAAACACUUUAAAACACUUAUAGACCAUGAUUAAAAAUGGAUAAAAUAUAUGGUCUAUCAAGGACCGCCUACAAAACACCGUUACGAACAACACCAUUCCACCCCCUUUAUGGCAAAUCAUGUCAUCUACCAGUCGAACUGGAACAUAAAGCAGCUUGGGCUACCAAACUUUUGGACUUUGAUAUCAUACCAGCUGCAGAAAGGAGACUCAUCCAGCUUAACGAGCUUGAUCAAAUCAGACAUAUAGCUUUCGAAAAUUCAAAAAUCUAUAAAGGACUAAAGCUUAUCACGAUAGAAAGAUCAUAUCCCGGCACUUCGAGCCAGAUGAUCAAGUCCUCCUUUAUAACUCUCGAUUGACAUUAUUUCCUGGAAAGCUAAAAUCCCGUUGGUCUGGACCCUUCACCGUAACGAACGUUCAACCCUCCGGAGCUAUCACCUUACAAAAUGAGAAAGGCCAGGAAUUUACGGUGAAUCGCCAACGAGUUAAGCAUUAUUGGGCCAAACCACCAGCGAAAGUGCCCAUGGUGCUGUAUGAACCUGAUAAUUAGUUUAAUCAGGAAGUCCAGCUAAAGACUUAAAAAAUUAAGCGCUGAAUGGGAGGCAGCCCAUUUUUAUAAAAGAAAAAAAGAAUAAUAAUAAUAAUUUAAUUUAAAAAAUCAUUAAUUAAAAUUAAUAAAUUAUAUUUACUAGUAAUUAAUAGUAAUUUCCGUAUUUCUUAAUAUUAGCAUUAUUUACAAAAUUUAGAAAUUAGAAUUUGUCUUUAAAGAGGACAUCGAUCGGCGAGGCAUUACUGCCAUCGAUCGAUGCAGGCAUAUCGACGGUUUUAACACUAACUUCACUCGAUAUCAACCCAGUUCGUCUUCCACACUCACAAACGAAACCAAAAACAAAAACCCCAUUAUCUCUCUCGAUUCUCGACGGAUUUCGUCCGUUCUUCGCCUAAAUCCACUCGAUUUUUUACUCUGUAACUGUUAAAUCCACUCCCGAAAUCAACAAUCAAGGUAUGCACUCGAAAUUUUCAAUUUUUCGAAAAAUUAGGGUUUUCGUUUUGAGUUGGAUUAGAACGCUUGAUUUAGUGCGAUUGAGAGAUGUUUUUGUAGUUCAUAUUGCUUAUCUAGAGUUCGGUUUGUGAUUUCCAUGCAUUUAGAUUCGUAUAAACGCGAUUUGGAGUUGAGUGAUUUUGCAGGUUUCGCGAUUCCACAUCGGUCGAUAUGAACUUGUUCGCAUCGACCGAUGCUCUCUUGUCCGAUUGUUCCGACACGACGAUAUCGAUCGAUGUUCAGUAUAACCCAUCGAUCGAUAAGACAUUUUAUCGACAAUGCUAACCUUCUUUUCUUCUUGGUUUCAGAUGAGCAGCUCAGAGACAAACGCACGAAACAGAGAACUCAGGUCGAAAAGGAGGUUCGACGAGACUAGCAGCUCCUCCAACCCACAGCGUCAUCCAUGGCCUCGCGCCGAAAACACACCAUUCAAUGUCCCGGGCUAUGCUGAUCCUAAGGCAGCGAUCAACAGCAACGAGUGCCGUCAGCGUCCUCUGUCCGAUGACUGGGACGACUACGACAGCCUCUUCUACAAUGCCUGGCUAGGAAUUUCUAUCGAGCCCACCAAAUUCCUCGACCGACCCAUCCUGAAGAAGCUCGGGAUCGAGGGAGAUAUUAAGGACAUGAUCACACAGCUAGGACUCGGUACCAUGCCCUCUCGCGCUUACGACCUCUACCCCGAUCUCGUCCGCCAGUUCAUGGCCACUGUCAAGGUCACCUACAGGACUUCAGCUGGGAGGGUAGCGGGAGAUGGCACUUUGACCUUCUUCGCCAGAGGGACACGCUACAGGAUCACUAUCUCCGAGCUCUGCCGCAUCUACGGUUUCGAUGAGAGCAUCGCCUCUUACACGGUCCCACCUUUCUCACACAUUGAGGGAUUCUGGGACAUCGUCGGCACAGGAGUUUGGGACACGAACAGGGCCGUGCUAUCAGACAUCCGCUACUUCCUACGGCUCGUUGCAAACACACUUGUUUGCAAGAUGGAGCCCAACAAGGCCAGGAUAAAGGAGCUCACACUACUUUUCUGCGCAGUGAACGGCGUGGUGGAUUUGGUUGAGUUGGACGAGGAUGGCGAGGUAAGCCCGCCGAACCUCGGAGCUGUCUUUGCCACGCAUUUGGUGGAGCUGAAGAAGAAGCCCUUCACCAGCAAGGGCAAGAACAAGAAGGAGACAGUUGGGAGUCUUCUGACCUCGAUUUUCCAGUGAUCAGCUGUCGCAUGUUUCACUGGUUAACAAGCUAGAUCUCGUGUCUCAACGGUUAGUAUGUUGACAACGAAAGAGUGUCGAUCGAUGGUCCUAUUGGGACAUCGACCGAUACACCUUUGCCUACGUCGACCGAUAGUCAGUUGAGGACACCGAUCGACGGGUUCUAGCCAGGCCUAUGCGCGAGAAUAAAAUGCCCUAUUAAGAUACUAAAUUGGCGGUUAGCCCUCUCUAGCAGUCCUAAUAUGAUAGAUAGAUGUCAGGAUGGGAUAACAAGGGUGCUUGAGUAUGCAAUCCUAUGAUCAAGUUCUAGUUAAUUACUCUAAAACAAGCAAUGAAUACAAAUCUAUCAUGAAUAUCACAACAAGGCAGAUCUAUAGUUUGGGGCUAAUCCAACAAACCUAUCUGAACCCUAAACCUAACAGGUGGAUCUACUCAGAAAUGAAAACAGAAAUCAUAGAUGAAUGGAUAUAAAACUGAAAUAGAAUAGAUAAGAAAACUAAUGGAGUUCCAGGAGGACUAUGAUAGGAGUUCCUCCCUUCUCUCCUAAGAGAAACAAUGGAAAUGAAAGUGUGUAGAAAGCGUAGAAAGCGUAGCCGUCAACAAUGGCUUAAAAAUAACAUAAAUAGGGUUUCUGGUCGUCCAAGGGUAUUUUGGUAAUUUGUGGCUUCUAGGGCUUCACGCAGUCAUAAAAUAUACAAGGCCCAUGAUCUGUAAUCUCCAUCAAUCGAUGUUCAGAGUGCUGCAUCGAUCGACGCGGCUUCCUCUUCUCGGCAGCUUCCUCUCGCGAGGCAGACUGACCACUCUUCAGUAAAACGGGCAUAACUUCUGCUACAGAAUGCUGAUUGACCUGAGACCGGUGGCAUUGGAAAGAUAACUCAAUUCUCUUUCUUGUUUCGAAAUAUGGGCUCAAUCUAACGGUCGGAAAGUCUCCAUCAAUAGCUAAACAUCUGACGCGUCUGUGCAACUCUGCACCUCCAAAUGCGCCAAAAGAUUCCAAAAUCACCAUAUUUCUUCUAAACGUCUCUGAACCUGUAAAUAUUCUAAAUAGAUUCCAAAACAUAAUAAUUGUAUCUUAAAACACUUUAAAACACUUAUAGACCAUGAUUAAAAAUGGAUAAAAUAUAUGGUCUAUCAAGGACCGCCUACAAAACACCGUUACGAACAACACCAUUCCACCCCCUUUAUGGCAAAUCAUGUCAUCUACCAGUCGAACUGGAACAUAAAGCAGCUUGGGCUACCAAACUUUUGGACUUUGAUAUCAUACCAGCUGCAGAAAGGAGACUCAUCCAGCUUAACGAGCUUGAUCAAAUCAGACAUAUAGCUUUCGAAAAUUCAAAAAUCUAUAAAGGACUAAAGCUUAUCACGAUAGAAAGAUCAGAUCCCGGCACUUCGAGCCAGAUGAUCAAGUCCUCCUUUAUAACUCUCGAUUGACAUUAUUUCCUGGAAAGCUAAAAUCCCGUUGGUCUGGACCCUUCACCGUAACGAACGUUCAACCCUCCGGAGCUAUCACCUUACAAAAUGAGAAAGGCCAGGAAUUUACGGUGAAUCGCCAACGAGUUAAGCAUUAUUGGGCCAAACUACCAGCGAAAGUGCCCAUGGUGCUGUAUGAACCUGAUAAUUAGUUUAAUCAGGAAGUCCAGCUAAAGACUUAAAAAUUAAGCGCUGAAUGGGAGGCAGCCCAUUUUUAUAAAAGAAAAAAAGAAUAAUAAUAAUAAUUUAAUUUAAAAAAUCAUUAAUUAAAAUUAAUAAAUUAUAUUUACUAGUAAUUAAUAGUAAUUUCCGUAUUUCUUAAUAUUAGCAUUAUUUACAAAAUUUAGAAAUUAGAAUUUGUCUUUAAAGAGGACAUCGAUCGGCGAGGCAUUACUGCCAUCGAUCGAUGCAGGCAUAUCGACGGUUUUAACACUAACUUCACUCGAUAUCAACCCAGUUCGUCUUCCACACUCACAAACGAAACCAAAAACAAAAACCCCAUUAUCUCUCUCGAUUCUCGACGGAUUUCGUCCGUUCUUCGCCUAAAUCCACUCGAUUUUUUACUCUGUAACUGUUAAAUCCACUCCCGAAAUCAACAAUCAAGGUAUGCACUCGAAAUUUUCAAUUUUUCGAAAAAUUAGGGUUUUCGUUUUGAGUUGGAUUAGAACGCUUGAUUUAGUGCGAUUGAGAGAUGUUUUUGUAGUUCAUAUUGCUUAUCUAGAGUUCGGUUUGUGAUUUCCAUGCAUUUAGAUUCGUAUAAACGCGAUUUGGAGUUGAGUGAUUUUGCAGGUUUCGCGAUUCCACAUCGGUCGAUAUGAACUUGUUCGCAUCGACCGAUGCUCUCUUGUCCGAUUGUUCCGACACGACGAUAUCGAUCGAUGUUCAGUAUAACCCAUCGAUCGAUAAGACAUUUUAUCGACAAUGCUAACCUUCUUUUCUUCUUGGUUUCAGAUGAGCAGCUCAGAGACAAACGCACGAAACAGAGAACUCAGGUCGAAAAGGAGGUUCGACGAGACUAGCAGCUCCUCCAACCCACAGCGUCAUCCAUGGCCUCGCGCCGAAAACACACCAUUCAAUGUCCCGGGCUAUGCUGAUCCUAAGGCAGCGAUCAACAGCAACGAGUGCCGUCAGCGUCCUCUGUCCGAUGACUGGGACGACUACGACAGCCUCUUCUACAAUGCCUGGCUAGGAAUUUCUAUCGAGCCCACCAAAUUCCUCGACCGACCCAUCCUGAAGAAGCUCGGGAUCGAGGGAGAUAUUAAGGACAUGAUCACACAGCUAGGACUCGGUACCAUGCCCUCUCGCGCUUACGACCUCUACCCCGAUCUCGUCCGCCAGUUCAUGGCCACUGUCAAGGUCACCUACAGGACUUCAGCUGGGAGGGUAGCGGGAGAUGGCACUUUGACCUUCUUCGCCAGAGGGACACGCUACAGGAUCACUAUCUCCGAGCUCUGCCGCAUCUACGGUUUCGAUGAGAGCAUCGCCUCUUACACGGUCCCACCUUUCUCACACAUUGAGGGAUUCUGGGACAUCGUCGGCACAGGAGUUUGGGACACGAACAGGGCCGUGCUAUCAGACAUCCGCUACUUCCUACGGCUCGUUGCAAACACACUUGUUUGCAAGAUGGAGCCCAACAAGGCCAGGAUAAAGGAGCUCACACUACUUUUCUGCGCAGUGAACGGCGUGGUGGAUUUGGUUGAGUUGGACGAGGAUGGCGAGGUAAGCCCGCCGAACCUCGGAGCUGUCUUUGCCACGCAUUUGGUGGAGCUGAAGAAGAAGCCCUUCACCAGCAAGGGCAAGAACAAGAAGGAGACAGUUGGGAGUCUUCUGACCUCGAUUUUCCAGUGAUCAGCUGUCGCAUGUUUCACUGGUUAACAAGCUAGAUCUCGUGUCUCAACGGUUAGUAUGUUGACAACGAAAGAGUGUCGAUCGAUGGUCCUAUUGGGACAUCGACCGAUACACCUUUGCCUACGUCGACCGAUAGUCAGUUGAGGACACCGAUCGACGGGUUCUAGCCAGGCCUAUGCGCGAGAAUAAAAUGCCCUAUUAAGAUACUAAAUUGGCGGUUAGCCCUCUCUAGCAGUCCUAAUAUGAUAGAUAGAUGUCAGGAUGGGAUAACAAGGGUGCUUGAGUAUGCAAUCCUAUGAUCAAGUUCUAGUUAAUUACUCUAAAACAAGCAAUGAAUACAAAUCUAUCAUGAAUAUCACAACAAGGCAGAUCUAUAGUUUGGGGCUAAUCCAACAAACCUAUCUGAACCCUAAACCUAACAGGUGGAUCUACUCAGAAAUGAAAACAGAAAUCAUAGAUGAAUGGAUAUAAAACUGAAAUAGAAUAGAUAAGAAAACUAAUGGAGUUCCAGGAGGACUAUGAUAGGAGUUCCUCCCUUCUCUCCUAAGAGAAACAAUGGAAAUGAAAGUGUGUAGAAAGCGUAGAAAGCGUAGCCGUCAACAAUGGCUUAAAAAUAACAUAAAUAGGGUUUCUGGUCGUCCAAGGGUAUUUUGGUAAUUUGUGGCUUCUAGGGCUUCACGCAGUCAUAAAAUAUACAAGGCCCAUGAUCUGUAAUCUCCAUCAAUCGAUGUUCAGAGUGCUGCAUCGAUCGACGCGGCUUCCUCUUCUCGGCAGCUUCCUCUCGCGAGGCAGACUGACCACUCUUCAGUAAAACGGGCAUAACUUCUGCUACAGAAUGCUGAUUGACCUGAGACCGGUGGCAUUGGAAAGAUAACUCAAUUCUCUUUCUUGUUUCGAAAUAUGGGCUCAAUCUAACGGUCGGAAAGUCUCCAUCAAUAGCUAAACAUCUGACGCGUCUGUGCAACUCUGCACCUCCAAAUGCUCCAAAAGAUUCCAAAAUCACCAUAUUUCUUCUAAACGUCUCUGAACCUGUAAAUAUUCUAAAUAGAUUCCAAAACAUAAUAAUUGUAUCUUAAAACACUUUAAAACACUUAUAGACCAUGAUUAAAAAUAGAUAAAAUAUAUGGUCUAUCAAGGACCGCCUACAAAACACCGUUACGAACAACACCAUUCCACCCCCUUUAUGGCAAAUCAUGUCAUCUACCAGUCGAACUGGAACAUAAAGCAGCUUGGGCUACCAAACUUUUGGACUUUGAUAUCAUACCAGCUGCAGAAAGGAGACUCAUCCAGCUUAACGAGCUUGAUCAAAACAGACAUAUAGCUUUCGAAAAUUCAAAAAUCUAUAAAGGACUAAAGCUUAUCACGAUAGAAAGAUCAUAUCCCGGCACUUCGAGCCAGAUGAUCAAGUCCUCCUUUAUAACUCUCGAUUGACAUUAUUUCCUGGAAAGCUAAAAUCCCGUUGGUCUGGACCCUUCACCGUAACGAACGUUCAACCCUCCGGAGCUAUCACCUUACAAAAUGAGAAAGGCCAGGAAUUUACGGUGAAUCGCCAACGAGUUAAGCAUUAUUGGGCCAAACCACCAGCGAAAGUGCCCAUGGUGCUGUAUGAACCUGAUAAUUAGUUUAAUCAGGAAGUCCAGCUAAAGACUUAAAAAUUAAGCGCUGAAUGGGAGGCAGCCCAUUUUUAUAAAAGAAAAAAAGAAUAAUAAUAAUAAUUUAAUUUAAAAAAUCAUUAAUUAAAAUUAAUAAAUUAUAUUUACUAGUAAUUAAUAGUAAUUUCCGUAUUUCUUAAUAUUAGCAUUAUUUACAAAAUUUAGAAAUUAGAAUUUGUCUUUAAAGAGGACAUCGAUCGGCGAGGCAUUACUGCCAUCGAUCGAUGCAGGCAUAUCGACGGUUUUAACACUAACUUCACUCGAUAUCAACCCAGUUCGUCUUCCACACUCACAAACGAAACCAAAAACAAAAACCCCAUUAUCUCUCUCGAUUCUCGACGGAUUUCGUCCGUUCUUCGCCUAAAUCCACUCGAUUUUUUACUUUGUAACUGUUAAAUCCACUCCCGAAAUCAACAAUCAAGGUAUGCACUCGAAAUUUUCAAUUUUUCGAAAAAUUAGGGUUUUCGUUUUGAGUUGGAUUAGAACGCUUGAUUUAGUGCGAUUGAGAGAUGUUUUUGUAGUUCAUAUUGCUUAUCUAGAGUUCGGUUUGUGAUUUCCAUGCAUUUAGAUUCGUAUAAACGCGAUUUGGAGUUGAGUGAUUUUGCAGGUUUCGCGAUUCCACAUCGGUCGAUAUGAACUUGUUCGCAUCGACCGAUGCUCUCUUGUCCGAUUGUUCCGACACGACGAUAUCGAUCGAUGUUCAGUAUAACCCAUCGAUCGAUAAGACAUUUUAUCGACAAUGCUAACCUUCUUUUCUUCUUGGUUUCAGAUGAGCAGCUCAGAGACAAACGCACGAAACAGAGAACUCAGGUCGAAAAGGAGGUUCGACGAGACUAGCAGCUCCUCCAACCCACAGCGUCAUCCAUGGCCUCGCGCCGAAAACACACCAUUCAAUGUCCCGGGCUAUGCUGAUCCUAAGGCAGCGAUCAACAGCAACGAGUGCCGUCAGCGUCCUCUGUCCGAUGACUGGGACGACUACGACAGCCUCUUCUACAAUGCCUGGCUAGGAAUUUCUAUCGAGCCCACCAAAUUCCUCGACCGACCCAUCCUGAAGAAGCUCGGGAUCGAGGGAGAUAUUAAGGACAUGAUCACACAGCUAGGACUCGGUACCAUGCCCUCUCGCGCUUACGACCUCUACCCCGAUCUCGUCCGCCAGUUCAUGGCCACUGUCAAGGUCACCUACAGGACUUCAGCUGGGAGGGUAGCGGGAGAUGGCACUUUGACCUUCUUCGCCAGAGGGACACGCUACAGGAUCACUAUCUCCGAGCUCUGCCGCAUCUACGGUUUCGAUGAGAGCAUCGCCUCUUACACGGUCCCACCUUUCUCACACAUUGAGGGAUUCUGGGACAUCGUCGGCACAGGAGUUUGGGACACGAACAGGGCCGUGCUAUCAGACAUCCGCUACUUCCUACGGCUCGUUGCAAACACACUUGUUUGCAAGAUGGAGCCCAACAAGGCCAGGAUAAAGGAGCUCACACUACUUUUCUGCGCAGUGAACGGCGUGGUGGAUUUGGUUGAGUUGGACGAGGAUGGCGAGGUAAGCCCGCCGAACCUCGGAGCUGUCUUUGCCACGCAUUUGGUGGAGCUGAAGAAGAAGCCCUUCACCAGCAAGGGCAAGAACAAGAAGGAGACAGUUGGGAGUCUUCUGACCUCGAUUUUCCAGUAUCUCGGCAUCCACCUUGACUCUCGCUCUGCCGACCGCGACCACGCCUUCCUCGAUGAGCAGCACUUGAUGCACUCGCUAUGGCUCGAGGAAGGGAAGCUCUGGCGCCUCAGGAUCCGCGACGAGCAUCGCCUUCUACCCCUACCAGAUAGGAGGAUCACUGACUUCUGCAACAACGUGGAGCAGCUUCGAUGCAUGCUAGACGAGGCAUUCCUCCGCAACCCGCAGAACAUGUCACGCCGACCUCCCAGCAUUCGCCGUACCAGAGCUCGGGACGCACAUGCACCUCCUCUUCCUGACUUCCCGAACAUCCCGGACAUCCCUAUGCACGACCAGGGAGACUUUCAGAGGUUCGUGGUGGACGCUCUUCAGGCCAUCUGGGCUAGAGUGUCUUGUCGGAGCAGGAGAGCCACAGGAGCGCAGGCACCAGCACCAGCAGCACGCAGGGACCCAUCCCCAGAGGCCGAUGAGGCGACUGAUGAGGACACCAAUUAGUCCUCCCAUCUCUAUCUCUUCUCCUCUUAUUAUGAACUUGUUUAUUUAUUUUCCGAACUUGUAGGAUUUAUGUUUUUAAACUUAUAUUUUAUGUUUGAGGAUGCUUAUUAUUUCUUAUGCUUGAUUGUCUAACAGAGCUAACAUUAGGCAAGGGACUUCGAGUUUGACUCCAAGCACAUGCAAAAAUGUAUGUGCUUCGCCAUCGAUCAAUUUAGAGAGGAUUACAUCGAUCGAAUCUGGGCGAGUAACAUCGAUCGAUAUGGAGAGGAUUACAUCGAUUGAUGUGUAGUACAGAUAGGUACUUCAUUCUUACUCUAACAUUCUCAAACAUCUAACUUGAUUUUAACCUACCCUUGGACACUUUGCACCGAGUCGGUGCAAUUUAAGUCUGGGGGAGGUAGUUACUAACACCAUUUUCUUGAGUUUUUGUCAAAAAUCUUUUCAAAAAUAAUUUUAUUGAGUCAAGAAGGGGAUUAUGAACUAAUGAUUUCUACUUGAAUGUCUAACCACUUUCUAGCACCAUUCUAGAUUUACUGACUGAAGAUAAUACUAUAGAUGUUAAAGUGGAUCAACCAGUCAACUAUACACACUUGCUAGCUUGUUAGAAAGAACCGAAGCUAACCUCCAACACUAACCUGACUUCACUGCUUGUUUUGGGGCUUGGUAUACAUGGGAUCAGAUUUUUCAGACAAGUCUGGAAGGUAAUGCCUGGUUUAGAUUAUUUAUCACAUUUUCUCUCUCUAAAUUUCGACCCUAGAUUAGUUAGUGAGUACACCAAAAAAAAAAAAGAUCUAUUGUUUAAUUAGGAUGAGUCUGAACAGGACUUGGUGGCUAAAACCAUUAAGGCUUGAUUCAUAAAGACUCAAAUAAAAGAGUUCAAAACAGGACUUGGAGGCGGCAAUCUUCAAAGCUCGCUUUCGCAAAGAACUCUUGGAUAUAGGUCAAAAAGAAGUGAACAGAACUUGGCGGCAACCACCAUUAAGUUUUGAUUCAUGGAAGCCUAUCCAAUCUUGGUCACUGAUCCUGCAAUGGAAGCAGACUUUGACCCAAGAAAGAAAUUUAGAGAGAGAGAAACUAGGAACUAACUUUUACCUGCAGCUCCAGAUACUUGUCUGAAAUCCUUGCAUCCUGUGAUUGAUACUCCCAAGGUAAAGCCUACACUUUUUACAUUAAGAAAUGAGGUCUGUUGAGGAGAUUGAUAAUAAGAUUAGUUAAGAUUGUUGGCUAGAUGAUUUUGGUUGCUAAGCUAGGAUAUUGCAUAAUGUAUAUCUGUAAGAAGGAACCUUAGAUGUGGAAUGCAAUAUUAUAGAGGUGAUAAUUUCAAUGUUUCAAAUUUGUGAGUCCCUGAUGUUUUCAACCCUCUUCCAGAGAGAUUGUCCAUUGGUUUAACUUGAGGACAAGUCAAAAGAUAAGUCUGGGGGAGUUGAUAUACCAUGAUUUUCACCCGUUUUUAUACAUGGCAUAUAAAGGUUUUAAGAUGUAUUAAUCAUGUUUUAGAGUCUUUUCAAAGCAAAUACAGGUUUAUUCACCUGAUGGAAGGAAAUGAUACUUUUGGGACAUUUUGGAAUGCUUUUACGCAAGGAAAAUCGAUCGACGCUUGAAGAGCAACAUCGGUCGAUCAUAAUCACUUACCAUCGAUCGACAUACAUUUAUGUGCAUCGAUCGAUACCCAGUCACACGGAUGAAAUCGCAAAUUAAAAGAUUUCAUUUCUCAGAAGAUCUAUUAUUUACAACUUAAUUCCCUAGCCGCCUGUUAGGCUAUAUGUACUAGGGUUUUGUAUCAUUUCUAGCAGACACUUGCAAAAAGACCUAGUUUUGGAGAAAGAGCAUUUUGGCUACCAUUACGAGAGCUUAGGAAUGGAGAGAUAGAUCUGAAACUGCAAAACAGAGAAGAUCUUGAACUCCUUUAUUUCUAUUACUCUAUCUAUUUGUGUUCUAUGUUUCAUUUGAGUUUAUUUCACACCAUCAUGACUUUGUCUCUCAUGAAUAUGUUUGAGUAAAUCAAUUGUUAGAUUUAGGUUUCUCACCAUGGUUGAAAUUAUGUACUGCUAAUAUGACUGUUAAAAAGGUGUUUUGAUUGUUCUUUCAUUGCUUAUGGACUUAAUGCUAAAAUUAAGAUUGAUCACCUUCAUUUUAGAUCUUAGGAUUAAUUGAGUCCAACUAACCGUUUCCCCUCAAUACCUGAACCCAUUUGCGUGAUCUAACUAACUCAGGCGCAACGACAAUUGGUCUGAGAAGGUUAGAGAACAAGUUAAACCCGUUCGCAAAGCUCGCUAGAAUAACUGUCGAUCGACGCAACUAUCGUUCUGUCGAUCGAUCGUUACAAAGGUGUAUUGGUCGAUGUACAUCAAGUCACAUCGAUCGACACUCUCUCGAGAUCAAAGUACGACAUUUGAGAUUCGAGAUCUAGUGAAGAUAACCUAUCCGGUUAAAUAAAUGUUUAGUUCAAGAACCAUUAAACCCUUUAGUCUAAACUAAGUGCAUACAUUUUAUACCUGAGAAUUGCCUGAAUCUAGCUGCUUUCCCAAUCUUGAAACCACUUCAAUUCAAUCUAUUGAAUCACUGUUGUUUUCGAUUUAUCAUUUACUGCUUUUAAAACUAUUAAAACCUUUUAGUCUAUCUUCAUUUCUAAUUAUUUAAGUCUGUUGAGUAAUCCUAGAGUCUCUGUGGAUUUGAUCCCUAAGUACUACAUCUGAACCUCUUUUGAUGAGAGUAACACUCUUUAGGGUAAUUUGAGUGAUAUCAUUUAGCAUCUUUCUUUUGCAUUAAAUAUUUGAUGGCAGCGUGAUCAGUGUGAACUACCACUCGUGAGCCAAUCAAGUACUGACGGAAUUUUUCAAAAGCGUAAACUACAGCUAAUAGUUCUUUUUCUGUUGUUGCGUAAUCAAGCGUGCGGCUGGCGUAGUAAAUGGCGUGUAGCUUUUUGUCUUUCCUUUGGCCUAAAACAGCACCAAUUGCAAAAUCGCUCGCAUCGCACAUGAUUUUGAAAGGAAGGUUCCAGUCGGGGGCUUGUACGACGAAGGCAGUGAUAAGAGAUUUCUUUAAAUCUUCAAAAGCUUUCAUGCAUUCAGGGGCAAAAUCGAAUUUAAUAUCCUUGCAUAAUAGGUUAUUUAGAGGUCUAGCGAUUUUGCCGAAGUCCAGUAUAAAUCUCUUGUAAAAUCCGACGUGUCCGAGAAAACUUCGCACAUCUUUAACAGUUUUGGGCGGAGGUAAACUGGUCAUUGCUUCAAUCUUAGCUCUAUCUACCUCUAUACCAGCGACAGAAACCUUAUGUCCUAACACUAUUCCAUCGUUAACCAUGAAAUGGCAUUUUUCCCAUUUUAGGACAAGGUUCUUUUCUUCGCAUCUUUCCAAUACUUUGCAUAAAUUAUCAAGGCAACUCUUAAAAUCUGAUCCGUAGACUGAAAAGUCAUCCAUGAAUAUUUUCAUGAAGUCCUCGAUCAUAUCCGUAAAGAUUGACAUCAUGCAACGUUGGAAAGUGGCAGGGGCGUUACAAAGACCAAAUGGCAUUCUGCGAUAUGCGAAAGUUCCAUAGGGGUAUGUAAACGUUGUAUUUUCUUGAUCAUCCGGGUGUAUAGGAAUUUGGAAAAAUCCGGAAUAUCCAUCAAGAAAACAGUAAUACUGGUGAUUAGCUAAUCUCUCCAGCAUCUGAUGAAUAAAGGAAAGGGGAAAAUGGUCUUUCCUAGUAGCGGCAUUCAAUUUCCUAUAAUCAAUACACAUCGGAUGACCAGUAACAGUACGAGUCAGAAUGAGUUCGUCCUUUUCAUUCUUCACUACAGUGAUACCUCCCUUUUUAGGUACAACAUGUACAGGGCUUACCCAUUUGCUAUCCGAAAUAGGGUAAAUAACUCCAGCAUCAAGGAGUUUUAUAAUUUCCUUUUUAACUACUUCCUUUAGAUUCGAAUUUAAUCUCCUUUUCUGCUCUAUUGAUGUUUUAGCGUCAUCUUCCAAGUUGAUUCGAUGCAUGCAAAGAUCGGGAGAGAUUACAGGAAUGUCAUCGAGAGAAUAUCUGAUCGCUUUCCUGUACUUGCGUAAUUUAUUUACUAAUAAAACAAGUUCUCCACUAGUGAGAUUGGCGUUGACGAUUGAUACCAUUCAAAUUACCCUAAGGAGUGUUACUCUCAUCAAAAGAGGUUCAGAUGUAGUACUUAGGAAUCGAAUCCACAAGGAGCUAGGGAACAAUUAAAUAUAGUGUUUAUUAAUUCUAAGAGUUGUAAAUGUUUAAAUGAAAUAGCAAUAGUAACAAGCAAAGCAAAUAGUAAAUGUUACUUGGUUGGAAAUGAUAUUAGAUGCAUGGCCACUAUUCAGGUGUUUGAGAUUAUAAUAUCUAUAGAUGCCUAUUUGUUGCAUGCAUGAUAUGUUAAAGCUCAACCGCUUAACUCAGUGAUCAGCUGUCACAUGUUUCACUGGUUAACAGGCUAGAUCUCGUGUCUCAACGGUUAGUAUGUUGACAACGAAAGAGUGUCGAUCGACGGUCCUAUUGGGACGUCGACCGACACAUCUUUGCCUAAUUCGACCGAUAGUCAGUUGAGGACAUCGAUCGACGGGUUCUAGCCAGGCCUAUGCGCGAGUAUGAUAUGCCCUAUUAAAAUACUAAAUUGGCGGUUAGCCCUCUCUAGCAGUCCUAAUAUGAUAGAUAGAUGUCAGGAUGUGAUAACAAGGGUGCAUGAGUAUGCAAUCCUAUAAUCAUGUUCUAGUUAGCAAGGCUAAAACAAGCAAUGAAUACAAAUCUAUCAUGAAUAUCACAACAAGACAGAUCUAUAGUUUGGGGCUAAUCCCACAAACCUAUCUGAACCCUGGAUCUAAUAAAUGAACUACUCAGACAUAGCAAAGCAAUUCAUAACAAUGAAGAAAUGGGAAUUCAUAGUAUAGAUGAAAAGAAAUGAAAACAACGAUCUCCAAUCACAAGUGAUCUUCUCUCAAAAACUCUCUCUCUCUCUCUCUCAAAGUAAAACUGUAAUAAAAAGCUCUCCCUGCCGUCAAAACACUUAGGCAGUAUAUAAUCUACUAGGUUAAAAACUCGUCAGGGCAUUUUCGUAAUUUGGGUUGGACUUGGGCUUCAAGUCCGCUGGAUCCAAAUGUCGCAUGUCCAAUGUUUCAACAUCGAUCGAUGGUACUUGUGUACAUUGAUCGAUAUUAAUCUUCAUUUGUCGAGGCAUCUCAUGGUGUCGAUCGACACCACUCGAGGUGCAUCGAUCGAUUGUUCUUCCUCUCGUCGACCUCUACAUGGUCAGCUCGGGUGAAAUGUCUUUUAAGCUCCAAAACACUCUAAAGUCAUAGCUUUACUCCGAAUGCAGAUGAACCUGAAAACAUACCUAGAAGAGUAGAAAACAUAGAUAUAUAUAUAUAUAUAUAUAUAUAUAUAUAUAUAUAUAUAUAUAUAUAUAUAUAUAUAUAUAUAUAUAUAUAUAUAGUAAAACACCUAUAUACCAUGGAUGAAAACGGGUCAAAUCCAAGGUAUAUCAAUCACCCUUUAAACCUAGAUUUUAGGAUUAAUUGGGAUCAAGCCAUUGCUUGACUCAAUACCUGAAAAUUAACUAGUAUGAUCUAACUGACUAGAUACAGACGAGAGUUGAUAUAGUGAGUUUGAAAAUAUAAAUUAAACCUGUCCGUAAAACUUUCUGGAAGAAGUAUCGAUCGACACAUCGAUAUCCUGUCGAUCGAUAUUUUGAAAGGUGUAUCGAUCGAUAUUUUGAAAGGUGUAUCGAUCGAUAUUCAUAAAUAAUUAUCGAUCGACAAUUUCUCGUGACUAACAUACGAGAGCUAAAAUGCGAGAUCAAGAUUAGAUAAUCAGAUUGAUUAUAUCUUAAGUUUAAAUUCAAGAAUAAUUAAUAUCAAUAAACCUCUACAAACCCAAAUUAAGUUUACUUAUCAUACCUGGGAAUAUACCUGAAUCUAGCUAUUUCUCCAAACUGUUAACAACCUCAAAACAAAUCAAUCAAGCAAUAAAAUUGCUCACCACUCCAUUUACUGCUUUAAAACUUAUAAACCAUUUAAUCUAGAUUUAUUUCAAGACCAUAAUCUAUUGUGUAAUCCUAGAGUCUCUAUGGAUUCGAUCCCUAAGUACUACAUCUGAACCUCUUAUUUGAGAGAGUAAUUCACUCCUUAGGGUAAUUUGAGUGAUAUCCGUUAGCUUCCGACUAAUAAACAUCGACAUUAAAGGUAAAUUGGUCAUAAGGUUAUGACCAGUGUACGACUAAUAUAUGAGACGUAAAUGUACGUCACCUUUACGACAAAUGUAUUUACUUUUAACUUACGACCAACUUAUUGAGCCGUAAAGCUACGUCUGAUAUAUGACUAAUUUUUCUAGACGCAAUAUUACGACCAAUGUGCCUCUAAUUAUUAAUUACGAUCAUCUUGUAACGACCAAUAGAUUUUCGAAGUUAAUUGGUCCUAAAGCCCAUAUUACGACCAACUAGCUACUAAUACUAUAGUCGUUAAGGUCCUGUUUUCUUGUAGUGAAAAGUCCCCAGAAAAUAUUUCUCGCAAUAUAAAUUCCGUAUAAUUUUUAUCCACAAUAAGAAGCAAACAUUGUUGGGGUCAAAAACGGUAAUCUCGAAAUAAACGUCCAAAACCUGUGUUUCUGUAUGAAAGCUUUCUCGACACACUCUCGACAAAAUUUCCUGAGCAAAAGACUCGAGAGAAAUGGAUCACAGAACCAAACAAGCAGUCCAACUCGUUUGUUCGUACGUUUUAAGGUGCAGAACUGCACAGACGAGUCAGAUGUUUAUCUAUGGAUGAAGACCUUCCCGUGGUAUGAUUGAGCUUUGAGUUAGCUUUCCAAUGCCACCGGUCUGAGGUCAAUCAGCAUUCUGUAUCAUAAGUUAUGUCUGUUUUAUUGAAGGGUGGACAGAGCACACCGUCCAGCUCGGUGGAUGGCCGAGCUGGAUCGACCACGCGACCAGCUCGGCCAUCCGCCGAGGUGAACCAGUCCAGCUCGGCCAUCCGCCGAGGUGAACCAGUCCAGCUCGGCGGAUGGUCGAGCUUGGUCGACAACACGACCAGCUCGUCCAUCCGCCAAGCUGAACCAGUCAAGCUCUGCGGAUGGCCGAGCUGGAUCGAACACGCGACCAGCUCGGCCAUCCGCCCAGUCCAGCUCGGCGGAUGGCCGAACUGGAUCAACACGCAACCAGUUCGGCCAUCCGCCGAGUUGGAACGAUCGUUCUGUCAUAGUCCCAUCCUCGUAGCUCCCUCCUUCGGGAUUGGAUCGAACAUGCUCUUGUUUCAUUUCGAUCAGAGUCACCGAUGGAACUUUACGAUUUAAAACUGCAGUAACUCAUUGUUGGGGAAAAAUAUUCCAUGAAGAGCAUACUCCAGCUUCCGUCUUCCAGGUCUAUCCCCCCGGGGUCCGGGUUCCUGUCUCUGGGUCCCGGGUCCCUGUCCCCGAGUCUGGGACCUUCCUCCGUCUUCCAGGCCAAGUGAUUUCUCCUGCCUUCCUCUGUCAACCGCUUAACUCAGUGAUCAGCUGUCGCAUGUUUCACUGGUUAACAAGCUAGAUCUCGUGUCUCAACGGUUUGUAUGUCGACAACGAGAGAGUGUCGAUCGAUGGUGUAAUAACCCUCAUGAGCCAAUAAAUUUUUGGUCGAGAAAAAUCCCGCUCGACCAGUUUUUAGUUGGUUUAACAAGGAUUAAUAAAAAUAAAAAUCGACCCGGUAGAUUAAUUUCUCGAAGGGACUGUCUUGUGGUUGAAAGACCUUCACUUGAUAGUUUGGUCGAGUCUUAAAUAUUUUGGUCGAAUUUUUAUUAAACUGGAAGAGAGUUUCCGAGAACAAGACGAGAGCCAAAGACAAGGAAUAUUUGGUUGAAAAAUUAUUGAAAAUUAUCAACCAACUGCUACAAGUAAUUUUGGACCAGACUCAUGUCUUCCACCAGCCGCUUGCUCAGUCUUUAGUCACAUGACUUGCACCUGCCUGCUUGCCUAGCUUCUUCAGUAACUGGCACAUGAUAAUCACAAGCUGCCUGCUUGCCUUGUUUCUUAGAUUGUCAUGUGAGAAGCACAUGAAAGGGCUGGAGUUUCUUCAGGUUAAGGAAAGGACAGCAGCUUGUGCUGAGAGUGCUGAAGCAGCUGGCCAGCUGUCCCCACUCAGCUUAGCUUUGUCCUGAGUGAAACCCUCACCUGAAGCAAGCUCACCUCACAUUUAACCCCUCUCCAGCUGCUUCCCACGUUCAGAACCCUGCAGAAAAUCUAGAGAAUUUCAGUGAGAAAGAGAGAAAGAAGAACAGAAAAAUCAGAGAGAAAAAUCAAGAAAAUAAAUCAAGAAAAAAUUGGUGGUGACCUAAUCUUCAACCUUAGCUCAGUUUCUUACCUUGGGAAAGAUCAGAAGGUGAGAUUUUUAAAUAAAACCCUAGACCUAGUUGAGUUCAGAUCAUGAUCAGACCUUGAUCUUUCUCUUUGAUCAGUCCAGCCACAAGCUUACCUUGGAGAAGAGGAUCAGCUGAGGCCAUCUAGUCCUUUGGUUCAUCUUGGUAAGCUUUGGUCUCCUUGCCUCAGUCAGUAUCUGAUCAGAACAGUUGAUGUUUAGUUUAGGUCUUGGUCGGAUCAGUUGUAUAAGUUCUGAUACAGUUCAGUUCUUGUUAAUUUCGGUUUGAAUCAACCUCUUAGAACAACCAGCUAUGAUAUUUUGAUCUGGCUUUGAGUAAACCGAUUUGAGCUCAGUCUGAUCUUGUCCUGAACUUUGGUAGACUGACUAGAACCGAGCUGAACUUGUAUAGUCUGAGCAGAACCAAGCUUGAACUGAUCUGAUCUAAGGUGUUAAGGCAUGAACCAAACUGAUCUUGUGAUCAUACCACUCUGUUUCAGGUCAGAGGUAGAGUAAAGCUUGAAGUAUCCAGUCCUGUCCAUUCAGCCUUGUUCAAGUGGAACUCAAGUCUUGUCCAAGCCAGUUUCAAGACUAAUCUUUAGGUGAGUCUAGAGAGAAGAUGAGAUAGAUCAUGAAUGUGUACAUGAUUGAGUUUAAAUUGUAGUAUCUCAAUUAGAUAGUAAAGUCUUUGAAUCCUUUAAGAAGUGUAUGGGUUUACUUAGUGUAAACACUUACACUUAAAGAUUAAUCAAAAGGUUAAAGUGAGGUUAAUCAUAAUCAUAGUACUUGUUCCCAAGUACUAAUCUUAUUAUGAAAUAAUCAUGGUUUUGAUUAAGGAUUAAUCAUGGUUUAAUUAAGGAUUAAUCUUGGUUUAAUUAAGGAUUAAUCUUGGUUUAAUUAAGGAUUAAUCUUGGUUUAAUUAAGGAUUAAUCUGAAAUUAAUUAAAGAGUAAUCAUGAUUAAUUAAGUACUAAUCUUGGAUUAAUUAAAGAUUAAUAUGAGAUUAAUUAAGGAUUAAUCUAGGAUUAAUUAAGAGUUAAUUAUGAUUAAUUAAGGAUUAAUUAUGGAUUAAUUUUGGAAUAAUUAUGGAAGUAAAAGCAUGUGAAAUCUUGUUAUAUUCACUAUCCCUAAAGCCCCCGCAUUACCGUGACUUGGUCCUGCGAAUGGAACAAGGUCAUGAAGACACGAUGAUGGGGUAGCUCCCUGGAGACCGUGUACUGCAUGACGAUGCAGUGUCGGAUUGUUCAUACCGGACAUUCGACAAUGAUGGUGAUGCUAACUCACUAGUCUCGGUUAGCCUUAGUGGUUUCUCGGGUCUAGUAUAUAUAUUGUAUUAUAUGAGUAUGGUAACGGGCGGGUGUUGUGGAAGUGAUGUUUAAAAUAAGAAUUCACAAUGAUGAUCGAUAUUAAAGUAUAGUACUAGUACUUGCAUGAUCAUGUAUAUGCAUUUGAUAAUUGCUUGAUUUAUUAUUGAUUGUGUUGUGAUUCUAGAUUCACUGAGUAAACUAGUUGCUCAUGACUCAUUUGUGUGUGCAGGUAAACCUUAGGCGGGAGACACUUAAAUCUUUUGGACGGAAGGAGCGGCCAACCAGCGGUAGUAUUUUGUUGUCCUUGCAACGUACAUUUUGAUGUAUAUUUACUUAAAACGUUGUUGGGCGAUAGGCCGUAGGGUAAACAAUAACAGUUUGUAAGAUGUUUAAAGUAAAUAAAUAAUGUAUAAAAGAUGUUUAUAAAUCACGAGUUCUCAUAUGAUAUUAGUCCUUGUCCGGGACGAACUAACUAUCGAAUAUUGCUUUAUCGGGUUGAAAAGCCUAGAGUAAUAUCCGAUAGGAGUGUCUGUGUUCUUUGGUUGUUGGUCUAAGGUGAUCGGAUUUAUUUCGAGAACCUCGGGUCGACCAUCAGGGAACAUCGACCGUGUCAUUUCCGGUUAUCUACGAUCGGGGGUGUCACAAAGGUGGUAUCAGAGCAUUGUUAUACGAUGCUAGAAUGGGACUUGUUUUAAAAAACUUUCGAGUCAGAAAAUGUGUCGCAAGGAUAAUUAGGAUAUGCUGGUUUGUUCCUUCUUUUAUAAAUAGAUAGACCUGGGUAGAAACUUACCAUGAUCUUUUGUUGCAGAUGCCACCGAGACAGGCACAUCGUGGUGGACAUUAUCUACCGAUACCUAUUUCAUCAUCUUCAGACUCCUCGCCGCCAUCUACUCCGGCACCACUUCCGACUCCUAGCUUUGAGGCUACACCUUCAGGCUCUAGCUUUGAGACUGACCCGUCUGAAGGGUCAUAUGAUCAGACACCGGAGCACAUUCCUUUGUCUCCAGACCCAUACUUUAUGGACAUCGAGGUGGAUGUGGUACACGAUAGUCCAGUGCAUGGAGAUCAUCCCGCAGCUCCUGCAUCUCCUGCCGCUGAUAUUCCACCAGCUCCUGCCGCUCAUAUUCCACCGGGCCCUGCCGCACCUAUUCCGGCAGCACAACCUCAACCAGCGCCAACCGAUCCAGCUAUGAUAGCACUUCUGGAACUGAUGGCUGAGAUGGUGAAUUUGCAAUAUCAAGCACUGAAUGCACAGCGAGAAGCACAGCGUGCUCAGCCAGCUCCAGUACCUACCACUUCUCACCCGGACUUCCUGAAGAUAGUCAUGAUUAUGAAGAACUUGGGGACGAAGCAUUACCAGGGAGGCACUGAUCCCUUUGAAGCUGAUGCAUGGCUUCACAAUCUCGAGCAGAACUUUGCUGCAACCCGUUGUCCGGAAGAAUUUAAAAAGGACGUGGCUGUUUACUAUCUAGAGAAGGACGCCAUCAGUUGGUGGUUAUGCGUAGAGAGGAACUUUGGAGACUUCAAUCUGAGUUGGGCUGACUUCCGUACAGCGUUCGUUCGAAAGUACUUCCCACCGGAAGCCCGUGAUCGAUUGGAGAUUAAAUUCAUGGAGCUAGUUCAGGGAGGAUUAUCUGUUAGGAAGUAUGAGGCAGAGUUCACCCGUCUCAGGAAGUAUGUCCACUAUGGUCGAGAGGACGAGAUGAUGAUUAUCCGUAAGUUCCUUCGAGGACUUAACCCAUAUAUCAGGAGCAGACUUGAGGCAGUAGAGUUUCAUCGGCUUGCUGAUCUUGUUGAGCGUGCUGUGAAUGUUGAGGAGGCCAUUGCUGCUGAGAGAGCUUCUUCUAGCAAUGCCACACAACCUAGACGUCCAUCUGUUCCGUUCCAGCCUCAGCCGCAUUCUGCUAUGCAGCGAGGACGAGGAGGUAGAGCUUUUCGGGGAGGUCGUUCUGGAGGUUCUAGACCUAGAACCCCGACUUGUUUCACUUGUGGCCAGCUGGGCCAUGUUAGGAGGGAUUGUCCGACCGUGGGACAGUUCCAACCGGCUGUACCAUCUCACAUCACUUGUUUCACGUGUGGAGAGCGAGGACAUUAUGCGACAUCAUGUCCACGCACUCAUCUUGCUCAGCCUGUUGUUUCGAGUGCUCGACCCGCCAGACCAGUUAACCCACCUUUACCCUUACCUCCUGCUAAGCGUCAAGCCACUGCUGGUAGGGCUUACGCUUUAGAGUUACCAGGACCAUCCGGACCACCUCAGGGUCCGAUUUCAGGUUUGUUUUCUUAUCCGAUUGAGUGUUGCAUAAAUUAUUAAAAAUAAAAAAAUAAUUGAUUUGUGAAUUAGUGAUAUAAAAAUAUUAUAAAAGUGGUUGAGUAAGUAAUUGACGGUAAAGUCAAUUAUUGUCAGGGACUUUGCUUGUGGGUGGAAUAUCCGCCCACAUCCUUUUCGAUUCAGGAGCAACACAUAGUUUUGUAGCUCCCGAAGUAGCAUCCCAAUUCGAUGGAGAAUUCACUAAGGUGAAUUUAUCCAUUCCUGUUCUAACUCCCGGAGAUCAAGUUCUUGAAACUGAAGGCUGUAUUCUAAGAGUUCCAAUCAUUAUCCAAGAUAUGGUUUUUCCGGCUGAUUUGUUAGUUCUCCCCUUAGAGAGGUAUGAGGUAAUCUUAGGGAUGGAUUGGCUGUCAAGUUACCGAGCUCACCUUGAUUGUGGUCGAGGGAAGAUUGUUUUUGAGAGAGAUACCCAACCCCCUUUAGCUUACCAUGGCAUAGUACCAAGUGAUGGAGCGUCAUUAGUGUCAGCAUUGAGAAUUGAAAACGUUUUGGAGAAGGGUGAAGAAGUAUACUUAGUGACCUUAGUUGCUGGACCAGUAGAAGACGAGAAAGAGCAGAACAUGGAAGAAAUACCAGUAGUCAGAGAAUACGAGGACGUGUUUAAGGCAUUAGAGGGAUUGCCGCCGUCUAGGAGUAACCCCUUUAGUAUAACCUUAGAACCCGGAUCAGCUGCAAUAGCAAAGGCACCAUACCGAAUGGCACCAGCAGAACUCGCCGAGUUGAAGCAGCAGUUAGCUGAUUUGUUAGACAAGGGUUUCAUACGUCCUAGUUCAUCACCAUGGGGAGCACCCUUGCUAUUUGUAAAGAAGAAAGACGGAAGCAUGCGGUUAUGUAUAGAUUAUCGUGGAUUCAAUAACGUAACCAUAAAAGACAAGUACCCACUCCCAAGAAUUGAUGAGCUGUUAGACCAGUUACAAGGCGCAAGCUGGUUUUCGAAGAUUGAUUUAGCUUCGGGUUAUCAUCAGAUUCCGAUUUCCGAAACCGAUAUCAUGAAGACCGCCUUUAGAACCCGCUAUGGACACUUUGAGUUCGUAGUAAUGCCUUUUGGUCUUACCAAUGCCCCGGCUGCAUUUAUGCGACUGAUGAAUGAAGUAUUUCGGGAUUACCUGGAUGAGUUUGUUAUCAUAUUCAUUGACGACAUCCUCAUAUAUUCCCGAAGUGCAGAAGAACACGAAAGGCAUCUACGACUAGUUUUGGAGCGUCUCCGAGAUCAAAAGCUUUUUGCUAAGCUUAGUAAAUGUCGUUUCUGGAAAAGAGAAGUUGGCUUCUUAGGACAUCGAGUGUCAGAAGAAGGAGUUGCCGUCGAUCCAGAAAAGAUAGCUGCUAUUAAGGAAUGGCCGCAUCCGACUUCUGUUACCGAGAUUCGAAGUUUUCUCGGAUUGGCCGGCUAUUACAGAAAGUUUGUCCAAGCAUUUGCAAGCGUAUCAAAGCCUUUGACUCGUCUUACCGGUAAAGGGAUUGCUUAUGAAUGGAGUAUAGAAACCGAGAAAGCAUUCGAAAAGUUAAAAGAAGCUUUGACGACUGCACCUAUCUUAGCAUUGCCUAAGCCUAACCAACCAUACAACGUGUAUACGGAUGCAUCUCAUGUUGGUUUAGGUUGUGUGCUGAUGCAAGAAGAUAAGGUAAUCGCCUAUGCAUCUAGGCAACUAAGAAAGCAUGAAGUGAAUUAUCCGACACAUGACCUAGAGAUGGCUGCAGUAGUAUUUGCCCUUCGGAUUUGGCGAUCAUACUUGUAUGGUGAGAAGAUCCAAGUGUUCACUGACCAUAAAAGCCUUAAGUAUCUUUUCACUCAACCUGAUCUGAACCUAAGGCAAAGACGAUGGAUGGAGUUUGUAGCUGAUUACGACAUGCAGAUCCUAUACCAUCCAGGAAAAGCCAACGUUGUUGCUGAUGCGUUGAGUAGAAGGAAAGUUGAUGUAGAUGUUGAAAAAGAACUCCAGAACUUGGAAGCGGAAUUCAAGAUGAUUAGUUUGGCUGCCUUAGAAGGAGAGGAAAGAGAACCUCUAGAACUACAAGCAGUAAGCCAAGCUGGUUUACUUUCUCGUAUCCGAGAAUAUCAAAUGAGAGAUGUGAACCUGAAGAAGAUACGAGAGCAGUUGAAUGAAGGAAACUUCGGAGGAUAUCAAGUUGCAAGUGAUGGAACUUUGUUACUCAAUGGUCGAGUAACUGUUCCGAAAGGAGAAGGACUUCAAGAGGAGAUUUUAAGGACUGCACACCAUUCUCUCUUAAGCAUUCAUCCCGGGAGCACAAAGAUGUAUCGAGAUAUCAGAAGAUAUUACCACUGGCCAGGGAUGAAGAGAGAUGUUGCCAUAUGGGUUUCUCAGUGUCAGAGUUGCCAGCGGAUAAAAGCUGAACACCAAGUCCCAGGUGGCUUACUUCAAAGCCUACCUAUCCCUGAAUGGAAAUGGGAUGCAGUAGCAAUGGACUUUAUUUCUGGUUUACCUCGAGCACCCGGCCGUGGGAAUGAUGCAGUUUGGGUGAUUGUCGAUCGUCUCACCAAAUCUGCUCAUUUCCUACCGAUGAAACUUACAGACAAAGUUGAGACGUUAGCAGAGCUGUAUUUGGAGGAAAUAGUAAAGCUUCAUGGGGUACCAGCAAAUAUAGUUUCAGACCGAGACCCGCGCUUUACAGCUGAAUUUUGGCGAGCCUUUCAACAAGCCUUGGGAACUGAUUUGCAUAUGAGUACAGCGUUUCAUCCAGAAACCGAUGGCCAAACCGAAAGAACCAUUAGAACUCUGGAAGAUCUGUUAAGGUUGUGUAUCUUAGACUGGAAUGGUCCGUGGGAAAAGUUUUUGCCGCUGAUAGAAUUCUCCUACAACAAUAGCUACCACUCUAGUAUUGGUAUGUCACCAUACGAAGCAUUGUAUGGUCGACCUUGUAGAACGCCAGUAUGUUGGGCAGAAGUUGGUGAGAGAAGAAUUCUUGGUCCAGAAAUAGUAGAUGAGGCUGCAGAGAAAGUAAGGAUAAUUCAAACCAAUAUGAAGAAGGCUCAAGACCGACAAAAGAAGUAUGCAGACCGCGGUAGAAGAGAAGUCAUUUUUGCAGUAAAUGAUUUAGUCUUCUUGAAAGUAGCUGCACAAAAAGGAAAGGAUCGAUUUGGAAAAAUUGGGAAGCUAGCUACUCGUUAUAUUGGGCCAUACCGAAUUGUCGCCAGAGUUGGAGAAGUAGCCUAUAGACUAGAACUUCCACACGAUAUGCCUAUGCAUCCGGUAUUUCAUGUAUCGAUGUUGCGUAAGCAUAUACCAGAUCCGAAUAUGGUCGAGCCGCAGCGACCAGAGAACUUGCAACCUAACCUCACUUAUCCUGAAGGUCCUUUCCGAAUAGGCGAGCGUCGUAUCAAGAAAUUGAAGAAUAGGGAAAUUUCGCAAGUUCAAGUAUUUUGGGGAAAGCGACAGAGAGUUGUUAUAACAUGGGAGGAUGAAGAUAAGUUCCGAGUUGACUAUCCAGAACUCUUCUCAAAUACCCCAGUCGUCCAGUAAAGGGUGUACACUUGUUUUUUUGAGAAUUCGGGGACGAAUUCUUUUAAGGGGGGAAGAGUGUAAUAACCCUCAUGAGCCAAUAAAUUUUUGGUCGAGAAAAAUCCCGCUCGACCAGUUUUUAGUUGGUUUAACAAGGAUUAAUAAAAAUAAAAAUCGACCCGGUAGAUUAAUUUCUCGAAGGGACUGUCUUGUGGUUGAAAGACCUUCACUUGAUAGUUUGGUCGAGUCUUAAAUAUUUUGGUCGAAUUUUUAUUAAACUGGAAGAGAGUUUCCGAGAACAAGACGAGAGCCAAAGACAAGGAAUAUUUGGUUGAAAAAUUAUUGAAAAUUAUCAACCAACUGCUACAAGUAAUUUUGGACCAGACUCAUGUCUUCCACCAGCCUGCUUGCUCAGUCUUUAGUCACAUGACUUGCACCUGCCUGCUUGCCUAGCUUCUUCAGUAACUGGCACAUGACAAUCACAAGCUGCCUGCUUGCCUUGUUUCUUAGAUUGUCAUGUGAGAAGCACAUGAAAGGGCUGGAGUUUCUUCAGGUUAAGGAAAGGACAGCAGCUUGUGCUGAGAGUGCUGAAGCAGCUGGCCAGCUGUCCCCACUCAGCUUAGCUUUGUCCUGAGUGAAACCCUCACCUGAAGCAAGCUCACCUCACAUUUAACCCCUCUCCAGCUGCUUCCCACGUUCAGAACCCUGCAGAAAACUAGAGAAUUUCAGUGAGAAAGAGAGAAAGAAGAACAGAAAAAUCAGAGAGAAAAAUCAAGAAAAUAAAUCAAGAAAAAAUUGGUGGUGACCUAAUCUUCAACCUUAGCUCAGUUUCUUACCUUGGGAAAGAUCAGAAGGUGAGAUUUUUAAAUAAAACCCUAGACCUAGUUGAGUUCAGAUCAUGAUCAGACCUUGAUCUUUCUCUUUGAUCAGUCCAGCCACAAGCUUACCUUGGAGAAGAGGAUCAGCUGAGGCCAUCUAGUCCUUUGGUUCAUCUUGGUAAGCUUUGGUCUCCUUGCCUCAGUCAGUAUCUGAUCAGAACAGUUGAUGUUUAGUUUAGGUCUUGGUCGGAUCAGUUGUAUAAGUUCUGAUACAGUUCAGUUCUUGUUAAUUUCGGUUUGAAUCAACCUCUUAGAACAACCAGCUAUGAUAUUUUGAUCUGGCUUUGAGUAAACCGAUUUGAGCUCAGUCUGAUCUUGUCCUGAACUUUGGUAGACUGACUAGAACCGAGCUGAACUUGUAUAGUCUGAGCAGAACCAAGCUUGAACUGAUCUGAUCUAAGGUGUUAAGGCAUGAACCAAACUGAUCUUGUGAUCAUACCACUCUGUUUCAGGUCAGAGGUAGAGUAAAGCUUGAAGUAUCCAGUCCUGUCCAUUCAGCCUUGUUCAAGUGGAACUCAAGUCUUGUCCAAGCCAGUUUCAAGACUAAUCUUUAGGUGAGUCUAGAGAGAAGAUGAGAUAGAUCAUGAAUGUGUACAUGAUUGAGUUUAAAUUGUAGUAUCUCAAUUAGAUAGUAAAGUCUUUGAAUCCUUUAAGAAGUGUAUGGGUUUACUUAGUGUAAACACUUACACUUAAAGAUUAAUCAAAAGGUUAAAGUGAGGUUAAUCAUAAUCAUAGUACUUGUUCCCAAGUACUAAUCUUUAUUAUGAAAUAAUCAUGGUUUUGAUUAAGGAUUAAUCAUGGUUUAAUUAAGGAUUAAUCUUGGUUUAAUUAAGGAUUAAUCUUGGUUUAAUUAAGGAUUAAUCUUGGUUUAAUUAAGGAUUAAUCUGAAAUUAAUUAAAGAGUAAUCAUGAUUAAUUAAGUACUAAUCUUGGAUUAAUUAAAGAUUAAUAUGAGAUUAAUUAAGGAUUAAUCUAGGAUUAAUUAAGAGUUAAUUAUGAUUAAUUAAGGAUUAAUUAUGGAUUAAUUUUGGAAUAAUUAUGGAAGUAAAAGCAUGUGAAAUCUUGUUAUAUUCACUAUCCCUAAAGCCCCCGCAUUACCGUGACUUGGUCCUGCGAAUGGAACAAGGUCAUGAAGACACGAUGAUGGGGUAGCUCCCUGGAGACCGUGUACUGCAUGACGAUGCAGUGUCGGAUUGUUCAUACCGGACAUUCGACAAUGAUGGUGAUGCUAACUCACUAGUCUCGGUUAGCCUUAGUGGUUUCUCGGGUCUAGUAUAUAUAUUGUAUUAUAUGAGUAUGGUAACGGGCGGGUGUUGUGGAAGUGAUGUUUAAAAUAAGAAUUCACAAUGAUGAUCGAUAUUAAAGUAUAGUACUAGUACUUGCAUGAUCAUGUAUAUGCAUUUGAUAAUUGCUUGAUUUAUUAUUGAUUGUGUUGUGAUUCUAGAUUCACUGAGUAAACUAGUUGCUCACGACUCAUUUGUGUGUGCAGGUAACCCUUAGGCGGGAGACACUUAAAUCUUUUGGACGGAAGGAGCGGCCAACCAGCGGUAGUAUUUUGUUGUCCUUGCAACGUACAUUUUGAUGUAUAAUUACUUAAAACGUUGUUGGGCGAUAGGCCGUAGGGUAAACUAUAACAGUUUGUAAGAUGUUUAAAGUAAAUAAAUAAUGUAUAAAAGAUGUUUAUAAAUCACGAGUUCUCAUAUGAUAUUAGUCCUUGUCCGGGACGAACUAACUAUCGAAUAUUGCUUUAUCGGGUUGAAAAGCCUAGAGUAAUAUCCGAUAGGAGAAUCUGUGUUCUUUGGUUGUUGGUCUAAGGUGAUCGGAUUUAUUUCGAGAACCUCGGGUCGACCAUCAGGGAACAUCGACCGUGUCAUUUCCGGUUAUCUACGAUCGGGGGUGUCACAGAUGGUCCUAUUGGGACGUCGACCGAUACACCUUUGCCAACGUCGAUCGAUAGUCAGUUGAGAACAUCAAUCGACGGGUUCUUGCCAGGCCUAUGCGCGAGUAUAAUAUGCUUUAUUAAGAUACUAAAUUGGCGGUUAGCCCUCUCUAGCAGUCCUAAUAUUAUAGAUAGAUUUCAGGAUGGGAUAACAAGGGUGCUUGAGUAUGCAAUCCUAUGAUCAAGUUCUAGUUAGCAAGGCUAAAACAAGCAAUGAAUACAAAUCUAUCAUGAAUAUCACAACAAGGCAAAUCUAUAGUUUGGGGCUAAUCCCACAAACCUAUCUGAACCCUGGAUCUAAUAAUUGAACUACUCAGACAUAGCAGAGCAAUUCAUAACAAUGAAGAAAUAGAAAUUCAUAGUAUAGAUGAAAAGAAAUGAGAAGAAGGAGUUCCAAUCACAAGUGAUCUUCUCUCCAAAACUCUCUCUUCUCUCUCAAAGUAAAACUGUAACAAAAAGCUCUCUUCUGCCGUCAAAACACUUAGGCAGUAUAUAAUCUACUAGGUUAAAAACUCGUCAGGGCAUUUUCGUAAUUUGGCUUGGCCUUGGGUUUUAAGUCCGCUGGAUCCAAAAUGUCGCGUGUCUAAUUUCUCGACAUCGAUCGAUGGUACUUGCGUACAUCGAUUGAUAAUAAUCUUCAUCAGUCGAGGCAUCUCUUGGUGUCGAUCGAGAGCACUGAUGCGCAUCGAUCGAUUGUUCUUCCUCUCGUCGACCUCUACAUGGUGAUACCACUCAAAUUACCCUAAGGAGUGUUACUCUCAUCAAAAGAGGUUCAGAUGUAGUUAUUAGGGAUCGAAUCCACAAGGAGCUAGGGAACAAUUAAAUCUAGUGUUUAUUAAUUCUAAAGGUUGUAAAUGUUUAAAUGGAAUAGCAAUAGUAACAAGCGAGUAAAUAUAAAUGUAACUUGGUUGGAAAUGAUAUUAGAUGCAGGGCCACUAUUCAGAUGUUGGAGAUUAUAAUACUUAUAGAUGCCUAACUGUUGCAUGCAUGAUAUAUUAGAGCUCAUUCGCUUAACUCAGUGAUCAGCUGUCGCAUGUACCACUGGUUAAUAGACUAGAUCUCGUGUCUCACCGGUUAGUAUGCAGACACAAGAGAGUGUCGAUCGAUAGUCUAUUAAGACGUCGACCGAUACACCUUUGCCAACAUCGAUCGAUUGUCAGUUGAGGACAUCGAUCGACAGGUUCUAGCCAGGCGUAUGAAAUGCUCUACUAAGAUUCUAAAUUGGCGGUUAGCCCUCUCUAGCAGUCCUAAUAUGAUAGAUAGAUGUCAGGAUGGGAUAACAAGGGUCCUUGAGUAUGCAAUCCUAUGAUCAAGUUCUAGUUAAUUACUCUAAAACAAGCAAUGAAUACAAAUCUAUCAUGAAUAUCACAACAAGGCAGAUCUAUAGUUUGGGGCUAAUCCAACAAACCUAUCUGAACCCUAAACCUAACAGGUGGAUCUACUCAGAAAUGAAAACAGAAAUCAUAGAUGAAUAGAUAUAAAACUGAAAUAGAAUAGAUAAGAAAACUAAUGGAGUUCCAGGAGGACUAUGAUAGGAGUUCCUCCCUUCUCUCCUAAGAGAAACAAUGGAAAUGAAAGUGUGUAGAAAGCGUAGAAAGCGUAGCCGUCAACAAUGGCUUAGAAAUAACAUAAAUAGGGUUUCUGGUCGUCCAAGGGUAUUUUGGUAAUUUGUGGCUUCUAGGGCUUCACGCAGUCAUAAAAUAUACAAGGCCCAUGAUCUGUAAUCUCCAUCAAUCGAUGUUCAGAGUGCUGCAUCGAUCGACGCGGCUUCCUCUUCUCGGCAGCUUCCUCUGGCGAGGCAGACUGACCACUCUUCAGUAAAACGGGCAUAACUUCUGCUACAGAAUGCUGAUUGACCUGAGACCGGUGGCAUUGGAAAGCUAACUCAAUUCUCUUUCUUGUUUCGAAAUAUGGGCUCAAUCUAACGGUCGGAAAGUCUCCAUCAAUAGCUAAACAUCUGACGCAUCUGUGCAACUCUGCACCUCCAAAUGCUCCAUAAGAUUCCAAAAUCACCAUAUUUCUUCUAAACGUCUCUGAACCUGUAAAUAUUCUAAAUAGAUUCCAAAACAUAAUAAUUGUAUCUUAAAACACUUUAAAACACUUAUAGACCAUGAUUAAAAAUUGAUAAAAUAUAUGGUCUAUCAAGGACCGCCUACAAAACACCGUUACGAACAACACCAUUCCACCCCCUUUAUGGCAAAUCAUGUCAUCUACCAGUCGAACUGGAACAUAAAGCAGCUUGGGCUACCAAACUUUUGGACUUUGAUAUCAUACCAGCUGCAGAAAGGAGACUCAUCCAGCUUAACGAGCUUGAUCAAAUCAGACAUUUAGCUUUCGAAAAUUCAAAAAUCUAUAAAGGACUAAAGCUUAUCACGAUAGAAAGAUCAUAUCCCGGCACUUCGAGCCAGAUGAUCAAGUCCUCCUUUAUAACUCUCGAUUGACAUUAUUUCCUGGAAAGCUAAAAUCCCGUUGGUCUGGACCCUUCACCGUAACGAACGUUCAACCCUCCGGAGCUAUCACCUUACAAAAUGAGAAAGGCCAGGAAUUUACGGUGAAUCGCCAACGAGUUAAGCAUUAUUGGGCCAAACCACCAGCGAAAGUGCCCAUGGUGCUGUAUGAACCUGAUAAUUAGUUUAAUCAGGAAGUCCAGCUAAAGACUUAAAAAUUAAGCGCUGAAUGGGAGGCAGCCCAUUUUUAUAAAAGAAAAAAAAAGAAUAAUAAUAAUAAUUUAAUUUAAAAAAUCAUUAAUUAAAAUUAAUAAAUUAUAUUUACUAGUAAUUAAUAGUAAUUUCCGUAUUUCUUAAUAUUAGCAUUAUUUACAAAAUUUAGAAAUUAGAAUUUGUCUUUAAAGAGGACAUCGAUCGGCGAGGCAUUACUGCCAUCGAUCGAUGCAGGCAUAUCGACGGUUUUAACACUAACUUCACUCAAUAUCAACCCAGUUCGUCUUCCACACUCACAAACGAAACCAAAAACAAAAACCCCAUUAUCUCUCUCGAUUCUCGACGGAUUUCGUCCGUUCUUCGCCUAAAUCCACUCGAUUUUUUACUCUGUAACUGUUAAAUCCACUCCCGAAAUCAACAAUCAAGGUAUGCACUCGAAAUUUUCAAUUUUUCGAAAAAUUAGGGUUUUCGUUUUGAGUUGGAUUAGAACGCUUGAUUUAGUGCGAUUGAGAGAUGUUUUUGUAGUUCAUAUUGCUUAUCUAGAGUUCGGUUUGUGAUUUCCAUGCAUUUAGAUUCGUAUAAACGCGAUUUGGAGUUGAGUGAUUUUGCAGGUUUCGCGAUUCCACAUCGGUCGAUAUGAACUUGUUCGCAUCGACCGAUGCUCUCUUGUCCGAUUGUUCCGACACGACGAUAUCGAUCGAUGUUCAGUAUAACCCAUCGAUCGAUAAGACAUUUUAUCGACAAUGCUAACCUUCUUUUCUUCUUGGUUUCAGAUGAGCAGCUCAGAGACAAACGCACGAAACAGAGAACUCAGGUCGAAAAGGAGGUUCGACGAGACUAGCAGCUCCUCCAACCCACAGCGUCAUCCAUGGCCUCGCGCCGAAAACACACCAUUCAAUGUCCCGGGCUAUGCUGAUCCUAAGGCAGCGAUCAACAGCAACGAGUGCCGUCAGCGUCCUCUGUCCGAUGACUGGGACGACUACGACAGCCUCUUCUACAAUGCCUGGCUAGGAAUUUCUAUCGAGCCCACCAAAUUCCUCGACCGACCCAUCCUGAAGAAGCUCGGGAUCGAGGGAGAUAUUAAGGACAUGAUCACACAGCUAGGACUCGGUACCAUGCCCUCUCGCGCUUAUGACCUCUACCCCGAUCUCGUCCGCCAGUUCAUGGCCACUGUCAAGGUCACCUACAGGACUUCAGCUGCGAGGGUAGCGGGAGAUGGCACUUUGACCUUCUUCGCCAGAGGGACACGCUACAGGAUCACUAUCUCCGAGCUCUGCCGCAUCUACGGUUUCGAUGAGAGCAUCGCCUCUUACACGGUCCCACCUUUCUCACACAUUGAGGGAUUCUGGGACAUCGUCGGCACAGGAGUUUGGGACACGAACAGGGCCGUGCUAUCAGACAUCCGCUACUUCCUACGGCUCGUUGCAAACACACUUGUUUGCAAGAUGGAGCCCAACAAGGCCAGGAUAAAGGAGCUCACACUACUUUUCUGCGCAGUGAACGGCGUGGUGGAUUUGGUUGAGUUGGACGAGGAUGGCGAGGUAAGCCCGCCGAACCUCGGAGCUGUCUUUGCCACGCAUUUGGUGGAGCUGAAGAAGAAGCCCUUCACCAGCAAGGGCAAGAACAAGAAGGAGACAGUUGGGAGUCUUCUGACCUCGAUUUUCCAGUAUCUCGGCAUCCACCUUGACUCUCGCUCUGCCGACCGCGACCACGCCUUCCUCGAUGAGCAGCACUUGAUGCACUCGCUAUGGCUCGAGGAAGGGAAGCUCUGGCGCCUCAGGAUCCGCGACGAGCAUCGCCUUCUACCCCUACCAGAUAGGAGGAUCACUGACUUCUGCAACAACGUGGAGCAGCUUUGAUGCAUGCCAGACGAGGCAUUCCUCCGCAACCCGCAGAACAUGUCAUGCCGACCUCCCAGCAUUCGCCGUACCAGAGCUCGGGACGCACAUGCACCUCCUCUUCCUGACUUCCCGAACAUCCCGGACAUCCCUAUGCACGACCAGGGAGACUUUCAGAGGUUCGUGGUGGACGCUCUUCAGGCCAUCUGGGCUAGAGUGUCUUGUCGGAGCAGGAGAGCCACAGGAGCGCAGGCACCAGCACCAGCAGCACGCAGGGACCCAUCCCCAGAGGCCGAUGAGGCGACUGAUGAGGACACCAAUUAGUCCUCCCAUCUCUAUCUCUUCUCCUCUUAUUAUGAACUUGUUUAUUUAUUUUCCGAACUUGUAGGAUUUAUGUUUUUAAACUUAUAUUUAUGUUUGAGGAUGCUUAUUAUUUCUUAUGCUUGAUUGUCUAACAGAGCUAACAUUAGGCAAGGGACUUCGAGUUUGACUCCAAGCACAUGCGAAAAUGUCUGUGCUUCGCCAUCGAUCAAUUUAGAGAGGAUUACAUCGAUCGAAUCUGGGCGAGUAACAUCGAUCGAUAUGGAGAGGAUUACAUCGAUUGAUGUGUAGUACAGAUAGGUACUUCAUUCUUACUCUAACAUUCUCAAACAUCUAACUUGAUUUUAACCUACCCUUGGACACUUUGCACCGAGUCGGUGCAAUUUAAGUCUGGGGGAGGUAGUUACUAACACCAUUUUCUUGAGUUUUUGUCAAAAAUCUUUUCAAAAAUAAUUUUAUUGAGUGAAGAAGGGGAUUAUGAACUAAUGAUUUCUACUUGAAUGUCUAACCACUUUCUAGCACCAUUCUAGAUUUACUGACUCCAGAUAAUACUAUAGAUGUUAAAGUGGAUCAACCAGUCAACUAUACACACUUGCUAGCUUGUUAGAAAGAACCGAAGCUAACCUCCAACACUAACCUGACUUCACUGCUUGUUUUGGGGCUUGGUAUACAUGGGAUCGGAUUUUUCAGACAAGUCUGGAAGGUAACGCCUGGUUUAGAUUAUUUAUCACAUUUUCUCUCUCUAAAUUUCGACCCUAGAUUAGUUAGUGAGUACACCCAAAAAAAAAAGAUCUAUUGUUUAAUUAGGAUGAGUCUGAACAGGACUUGGUGGCUAAAACCAUUAAGGCUUGAUUCAUAAAGACUCAAAUAAAAGAGUUCAAAACGGGACUUGGAGGCGGCAAUCUUCAAAGCUCGCUUUCGCAAAGAACUCUUGGAUAUAGGUCAAAAAGAAGUGAACAGAACUUGGUGGCAACCACCAUUAAGUUUUGAUUCAUGGAAGCCUAUCCAAUCUUGGUCACUGAUCCUGCAAUGGAAGCAGACUUUGACCCAAGAAAGAAAUUUAGAGAGAGAGAAACUAGGAACUAACUUUUACCUGCAGCUCCAGAUACUUGUCUGAAAUCCUUGCAUCCUGUGAUUGAUACUCCCAAGGUAAAGCCUACACUUUUUACAUUAAGAAAUGAGGUCUGUUGAGGAGAUUGAUAAUAAGAUUAGUUAAGAUUGUUGGCUAGAUGAUUUUGGUUGCUAAGCUAGGAUAUUGCAUAAUGUAUAUUUGUAAGAAGGAACCUUAGAUGUGGAAUGCAAUAUUAUAGAGGUGAUAAUUUCAAUGUUUCAAAUCUGUGAGUCCCUGAUGUUUUCAACCCUCUUCCAGAGAGAUUGUCCAUUGGUUUAACUUGAGGACAAGUCAAAAGAUAAGUCUGGGGGAGUUGAUAUACCAUGAUUUUCACCCGUUUUUAUACAUGGCAUAUAAAGGUUUUAAGAUGUAUUAAUCAUGUUUUAGAGUCUUUUUAAAGCAAAUACAGGUUUAUUCACUUGAUGGAAGGAAAUGAUACUUUUGGGACAUUUUGGAAUGCUUUUACGCAAGGAAAAUCGAUCGACGCUUGAAGAGCAACAUCGGUCGAUCAUAAUCACUUACCAUCGAUCGACAUACAUUUAUGUGCAUCGAUCGAUACCCAGUCACACGGAUGAAAUCGCAAAUUAAAAGAUUUCAUUUCCCAGAAGAUCUAUUAUUUACAACUUAAGUCCCUAGCCGCCUGUUAGGCUAUAUGUACUAGGGUUUUGUAUCAUUUCUAGCAGACACUUGCAAAAAGACCUAGUUUUGGAGAAAGAGCAUUUUGGCUACCAUUACGAGAGCUUAAGAAUGGAGAGAUAGAUCUGAAACUGCAAAACAGAGAAGAUCUUGAACUCCUUUAUUUCUAUUACUCUAUCUAUUUGUGUUCUAUGUUUCAUUUGAGUUUAUUUCACACCAUCAUGACUUUGUCUCUCAUGAAUAUGUUUGAGUAAAUCAAUUGUUAGAUUUAGGUUUCUCACCAUGGUUGAAAUUAUGUACUGCUAAUAUGACUGUUAAAAAGGUGUUUUGAUUGUUCUUUCAUUGCUUAUGGACUUAAUGCUAAAAUUGAGAUUGAUCACCUUCAUUUUAGAUCUUAGGAUUAAUUGAGUCCAACUAACCGUUUCCCCUCAAUACCUGAACCCAUUUGCGUGAUCUAACUAACUCAGGCGCAACGACAAUUGGUCUGAGAAGGUUAAAGAACAAGUUAAACCCGUUCGCAAAGCUCGCUAGAAUAACUGUCGAUCGACGUAACUAUCGUUCUGUCGAUCGAUCGUUACAAAGGUGUAUUGGUCGAUGUACAUCAAGUCACAUCGAUCGACACUCUCUCGAGAUCAAAGUACGACAUUUGAGAUUCGAGAUCUAGUGAAGAUAACCUAUCCGGUUAAAUCAAUGUUUAGUUCAAGAACCAUUAAACCCUUUAGUCUAAACUAAGUGCAUACAUUUUAUACCUGAGAAUUGCCUGAAUCUAGCUGCUUUCCCAAUCUUGAAACCACUUCAAUUCAAUCUAUUGAAUCACUGUUGUUUUCGAUUUAUCAUUUACUGCUUUUAAAACUAUUAAAACCUUUUAGUCUAUCUUCAUUUCUAAUUAUUUAAGUCUGUUGAGUAAUCCUAGAGUCUCUGUGGAUUCGAUCCCUAAGUACUACAUCUGAACCUCUUUUGAUGAGAGUAACACUCUUUAGGGUAAUUUGAGUGAUAUCAUUUAGCAUCUUUCUUUUGCAUUAAAUAUUUGAUGGCAGCGUGAUUAGUGUGAACUACCACUCGUGAGCCAAUCAAGUACUGACGGAAUUUUUCAAAAGCGUAAACUACAGCUAAUAGUUCUUUUUCUGUUGUUGCGUAAUCAAGCGUGCGGCUGGCGUAGUAAAUCGCGUGUAGCUUUUUGUCUUUCCUUUGGCCUAAAACAGCUCCAAUUGCGAAAUCGCUCGCAUCGCACAUGAUUUUGAAAGGAAGGUUCCAGUCGGGGGCUUGUACGACGAAGGCAGUGAUAAGAGAUUUCUUUAAAUCUUCAAAAGCUUUCAUGCAUUCAGGGGUAAAAUCGAAUUUAAUAUCCUUGCAUAAUAGGUUAUUUAGAGGUCUAGCGAUUUUGCCGAAGUCCAGUAUAAAUCUCCUGUAAAAUCCGACGUGUCCGAGAAAACUUCGCACAUCUUUAACAGUUUUGGGCGGAGGUAAACUGGUCAUUGCUUCAAUCUUAGCUCUAUCUACCUCUAUACCAGCGACAGAAACCUUAUGUCCUAACACUAUUCCAUCGUUAACCAUGAAAUGGCAUUUUUCCCAUUUUAGGACAAGGUUCUUUUCUUCGCAUCUUUCCAAUACUUUGCAUAAAUUAUCAAGGCAACUCUUAAAAUCUGAUCCGUAGACUGAAAAGUCAUCCAUGAAUAUUUUCAUGAAGUCCUCGAUCAUAUCCGUAAAGAUUGACAUCAUGCAACGUUGGAAAGUGGCAGGGGCGUUACAAAGACCAAAUGGCAUUCUGCGAUAUGCGAAAGUUCCAUAGGGGUAUGUUAACGUUGUAUUUUCUUGAUCAUCCGGGUGUAUAGGAAUUUGGAAAAAUCCGGAAUAUCCAUCAAGAAAACAGUAAUACUGGUGAUUAGCUAAUCUCUCCAGCAUCUGAUGAAUAAAGGAAAGGGGAAAAUGGUCUUUCCUAGUAGCGGCAUUCAAUUUCCUAUAAUCAAUACACAUCGGAUGACCAGUAACAGUACGAGUCAGAAUGAGUUCGUCCUUUUCAUUCUUCACUACAGUGAUACCUCCCUUUUUAGGUACAACAUGUACAGGGCUUACCCAUUUGCUAUCCGAAAUAGGGUAAAUAACUCCAGCAUCAAGGAGUUUUAUAAUUUCCUUUUUAACUACUUCCUUUAGAUUCGAAUUUAAUCUCCUUUUCUGCUCUAUUGAUGUUUUAGCGUCAUCUUCCAAGUUGAUUCGAUGCAUGCAAAGAUCGGGAGAGAUUAUAGGAAUGUCAUCGAGAGAAUAUCUGAUCGCUUUCCUGUACUUGCGCAAUUUAUUUACUAAUAAAACAAGUUCUCCACUAGUGAGAUUGGCGUUGACGAUUGAUACCAUUCAAAUUACCCUAAGGAGUGUUACUCUCAUCAAAAGAGGUUCAGAUGUAGUACUUAGGAAUCGAAUCCACAAGGAGCUAGGGAACAAUUAAAUCUAGUGUUUAUUAAUUCUAAGAGUUGUAAAUGUUUAAAUGAAAUAGCAAUAGUAACAAGCAAAGCAAAUAGUAAAUGUAACUUGGUUGGAAAUGAUAUUAGAUGCAUGGCCACUAUUCAGGUGUUUGAGAUUAUAAUAUCUAUAGAUGCCUAUUUGUUGCAUGCAUGAUAUGUUAGAGCUCAACCGCUUAACUCAGUGAUCAGCUGUCACAUGUUUCACUGGUUAACAGGCUAGAUCUCGUGUCUCAACGGUUAAUAUGUUGACAACGAAAGAGUGUCAAUCGACGGUCCUAUUGGGACGUCGACCGACACAUCUUUGCCUAAUUCGACCGAUAGUCAGUUGAGGACAUCGAUCGACGGGUUCUAGCCAGGCCUAUGCGCGAGUAUGAUAUGCCCUAUUAAAAUACUAAAUUGGCGGUUAGCCCUCUCUAGCAGUCCUAAUAUGAUAGAUAGAUGUCAGGAUGGGAUAACAAGGGUGCAUGAGUAUGCAAUCCUAUAAUCAUGUUCUAGUUAGCAAGGCUAAAACAAGCAAUGAAUACAAAUCUAUCAUGAAUAUCAUAACAAGACAUAUCUAUAGUUUGGGGCUAAUCCCACAAACGUAUCUGAACCCUGGAUCUAAUAAAUGAACUACUCAGACAUAGCAAAGCAAUUCAUAACAAUGAAGAAAUGGGAAUUCAUAGUAUAGAUGAAAAGAAAUGAAAACAACGAUCUCCAAUCACAAGUGAUCUUCUCUCAAAAACUCUCUCUCUCUCUCUCUCAAAGUAAAACUGUAACAAAAAGCUCUCCCUGCCGUCAAAACACUUAGGCAGUAUAUAAUCUACUAGGUUAAAAACUCGUCAGGGCAUUUUCGUAAUUUGGGUUGGACUUGGGCUUCAAGUCCGCUGGAUCCAAAUGUCGCAUGUCCAAUGUUUCAACAUCGAUCGAUGGUACUUGUGUACAUUGAUCGAUAUUAAUCUUCAUUUGUCGAGGCAUCUCAUGGUGUCGAUCGACACCACUGGAGGUGCAUCGAUCGAUUGUUCUUCCUCUCGUCGACCUCUACAUGGUCAGCUCGGGUGAAAUGUCUUUUAAGCUCCAAAACGCUCCAAAGUCAUAGCUUUACUCCGAAUGCAGAUGAACCUGAAAACAUACCUAGAAGAGUAGAAAACAUAGAUAUAUAUAUAUAUAUAUAUAUAUAUAUAGUAAAACACCUAUAUACCAUGGAUGAAAACGGGUCAAAUCCAAGGUAUAUCAAUCACCCUUUAAACCUAGAUUUUAAGAUUAAUUGGGAUCAAGCCAUUGCUUGACUCAAUACCUGAAAAUUAACUAGUAUGAUCUAACUGACUAGAUACAGACGAGAGUUGAUAUAGUGAGUUUGAAAAUAUAAAUUAAACCUGUCCGUAAAACUUUCUGGAAGAAGUAUCGAUCGACACAUCGAUAUCCCUGUCGAUCGAUAUUUUGAAAGGUGUAUCGAUCGAUAUUUUGAAAGGUGUAUCGAUCGAUAUUCAUAAAGAAUUAUCGAUCGACAAUUUCUCGUGUCUAACAUACGAGAGCUAAAAUGCGAGAUCAAGAUUAGAUAAUCAGAUUGAUUAUAUCUUAAGUUUAAAUUCAAGAAUAAUUAAUAUCAAUAAACCUCUACAAACCCAAAUUAAGUUUACUUAUCAUACCUGGGAAUAUACCUGAAUCUAGCUAUUUCUCCAAACUGUUAACAACCUCAAAACAAAUCAAUCAAGAAAUAAAAUUGCUCACCACUCCAUUUACUGCUUUAAAACUUAUAAACCAUUUAAUCUAGAUUUAUUUCAAGACCAUAAUCUAUUGUGUAAUCCUAGAGUCUCUAUGGAUUCGAUCCCUAAGUACUACAUCUGAACCUCUUAUUUGAGAGAGUAAUUCACUCCUUAGGGUAAUUUGAGUGAUAUCCGUUAGCUUAUGACUAAUAAACAUCGACAUUAAAGGUAAAUUGGUCAUAAGGUUAUGACCAGUGUACGACUAAUAUAUGAGACGUAAAUGUACGUCACCUUUACGACAAAUGUAUUUACUUUUAACUUACGACCAACUUAUUGAGCCGUAAAACUACGUCUGAUAUAUGACUAAUUUUUCUAGACGCAAUAUUAUGACCAAUGUGCCUCUAAUUAUUAAUUACGAUCAUCUUGUAACGACCAAUAGAUUUUCGAAGUUAAUUGGUCCUAAAGCCCAUAUUACGACCAACUAGCUACUAAUACUAUAGUCGUUAAGGUCCUGUUUUCUUGUAGUGAAAAGUCCCCAGAAAAUAUUUCUCGCAAUAUAAAUUCCGUAUAAUUUUUAUCCACAAUAAGAAGCAAACAUUGUUGGGGUCAAAAAUGUUAAUCUCGAAACAAACGUCCAAAACCUGUGUUUCUGUAUGAAAGCUUUCUCGACACACUCUCGACAAAAUUUCCUGAGCAAAAGACUCGAGAGAAAUGGAUCACAGAACCAAACAAGCAGUCCAACUCGUUUGUUCGUACGUUUUAAGGUGCAGAACUGCACAGACGAGUCAGAUGUUUAGCUAUGGAUGAAGACCUUCCCGUGGUAUGAUUGAGCUUUGAGUUAGCUUUCCAAUGCCACCGGUCUGAGGUCAAUCAGCAUUCUGUAUCAUAAGUUAUGUCUGUUUUAUUGAAGGGUGGACAGACCACACCGUCCAGCUCGGUGGAUGGCCGAGCUGGAUCGACCAUGCGACCAGCUCGGCCAUCCGCCGAGGUGAACCAGUCCAGCUCGCCAUCCGCCGAGGUGAACCAGUCCAGCUCGGCGGAUGGUCGAGCUUGGUCGACAACACGACCAGCUCGUCCAUCCGCCAAGCUGAACCAGUCAAGCUCUGCGGAUGGCUGAGCUGGAUCGAACACGCGACCAGCUCGGCCAUCUGCCGAGCUGGAUUGACAACACAACCAGCUCGGCCAUCCGCCCAGUCCAGCUCGGCGGAUGGCCGAACUGGAUCAACACACGACCAGUUCGGCCAUCCGCCGAGUUGGAACGAUCGUGCUGUCAUAGUCCCAUCCUCGUAGCUCCCACCUUCGGGAUUGGAUCGAACAUGCUCUUGUUUCAUUUCGAUCAGAGUCACCGAUGGAACUUUACGAUUUAAAACCGCAGUAACUCAUUGUUGGGGAAAAAUAUUCCAUGAAGAGCAUACUCCAGCUUCCGUCUUCCAGGUUUAUCCCCCCGGGGUCCGGGUUCCUGUCUCUGGGUCCCGGGUCCCUGUCCCCGAGUCUGGGACCUUCCUCCGUCUUCCAGGCCAAGUGAUUUCUCCUGCCUUCCUCCGUCAACCGCUUAACUCAGUGGAUCAGCUGUCGCAUGUUUCACUGGUUAACAAGCUAGAUCUCGUGUCUCAACGGUUUGUAUGUCGACAACGAGAGAGUGUCGAUCGAUGGUCCUAUUGGGACGUCGACCGAUACACCUUUGCCAACGUCGAUCGAUAGUCAGUUGAGAACAUCGAUCGACGGGUUCUUGCCAGGCCUAUGCGCGAGUAUAAUAUGCUCUAUUAAGAUACUAAAUUGGCGGUUAGCCCUCUCUAGCAGUCCUAAUAUUAUAGAUAGAUUUCAUGAUGGGAUAACAAGGGUGCUUGAGUAUGCAAUCCUAUGAUCAAGUUCUAGUUAGCAAGGCUAAAACAAGCAAUGAAUACAAAUCUUUCAUGAAUAUCACAACAAGGCAGAUCUAUAGUUUGGGGCUAGUCCCACAAACCUAUCUGAACCCUUGAUCUAAUAAUUGAACUACUCAGACAUAGCAGAGCAAUUCAUAACAAUGAAGAAAUAGAAAUUCAUAGUAUAGAUGAAAAGAAAUGAGAAGAAGGAGUUCCAAUCACAAGUGAUCUUCUCUCCAAAACUCUCUCUUCUCUCUCAAAGUAAAACUGUAACAAAAAGCUCUCUUAUGCCGUCAAAACACUUAGGCAGUAUAUAAUCUACUAGGUUAAAAACUCGUCAGGGCAUUUUCGUAAUUUGGCUUGGCCUUGGGUUUUAAGUCCGCUGGAUCCAAAAUGUCGCGUGUCUAAUGUCUCGACAUCGAUUGAUGGUACUUGCGUACAUCGAUUGAUAUUAAUCUUCAUCAGUCGAGGCAUCUCUUGGUGUCGAUCGAGAGCACUGAUGCGCAUCGAUCGAUUGUUCUUCCUCUCGUCGACCUCUACAUGGUGAUACCACUCAAAUUACCCUAAGGAGUGUUACUCUCAUCAAAAGAGGUUCAGAUGUAGUUAUUAGGGAUCGAAUCCACAAGGAGCUAGGGAACAAUUAAAUCUAGUGUUUAUUAAUUCUAAAGGUUGUAAAUGUUUAAAUGGAAUAGCAAUAGUAACAAGCGAGUAAAUAUAAAUGUAACUUGGUUGGAAAUGAUAUUAGAUGCAGGGCCACUAUUCAGAUGUUGGAGAUUAUAAUACUUAUAGAUGCCUAACUGUUACAUGCAUGAUAUAUUAGAGCUCAUUCGCUUAACUCAGUGAUCAGCUGUCGCAUGUACCACUGGUUAAUAGACUAGAUCUCGUGUCUCACCGGUUAGUAUGCAGACACAAGAGAGUGUCGAUCGAUAGUCUAUUAAGACGUCGACCGAUACACCUUUGCCAACAUCGAUCGAUUGUCAGUUGAGGACAUCGAUCGACGGGUUCUAGCCAGGCGUAUGAAAUGCUCUACUAAGAUUCUAAAUUGGCGGUUAGCCCUCUCUAGCAAUCCUAAUAUGAUAGAUAGAUGUCAGGAUGGGAUAACAAGAGUGCUUGAAUAUGCAAUCCUAUGAUCAAGUUCUAGUUAGCUAGGCUAAAACAAACAAUGAAUACAAAUCUAUCAUGAAUAUCACAACAAGGCAGAUCUAUAGUUUGGGACUAAUCCCACAAACCUAUCUGAACCCUGGAUCUAACAGUUGAACUACUCAGACAUAGCAAAGUAAUUCAUAUCAAUAGAUAAAUAGAAACUCAUAAGAAUAGAUGAAAAGAAAUAAAAAACAAGGAGUUCCAAUCACAAGUGAUCUUCUCUCCCAAAUGAAACUUGUAACAAAACUAGGUCUAGAAAAAGCUAUGUUCUUCUGCCGUCAAAAACACUAGGCAGUAUAUAUUCUACUAGGUUAAAAACUCGUCAGGGUAUUUUGGUAAUUUGGCUUGGCCUUGGUUUUUAAGUCUGCUGAAUCCAAAAUGUCGCGUCUGGUGUCUCGACAUCGAUCGAUAUUAAUCUUCAUCUGUCGAGGCAUUUCCUGAUAUCGAUCGUCAGUGCUGAUGCGCAUCGAUCGAUUAUUCUUCCUCUCGUCGACCUCUAAGUGGUCAGCUCGAGUGAAAUGUCUUUUAAGCUCCAAAAUGCUCCAAAGUCAUAGCUUUACUCCGAAAUGCACCUGAACCUGAAAACAUACCUAGAAGAGUAGAAAACAUAGAUAUAUAUAUAUAUAUAUAUAUAUAAAACACUUAUAUACCAUGGAUAAAAAUGGGUCAAAUCCAAGGUAUAUCAACUCCCCCAGACUUACCCUUUUGCUUGUCCUCAAGCAAAACAUACAGGCAGUCUCUCUGAAAGAGGUUUGAAAAUAUUUAGGAUUUAAGAUUUUAAAACAUAGAAAUCUUUCCUCAACAAUUUUGCAACCACAUUUAAAAAGUCCUAAUCACAAAAGCACACUAUGCAAUAUCCUAGCUUAGCAACCAUUUCUAACAUAACACAACUCAUCAAUUCACGUCUGACAUCCCCUCUAUGAUUUCAUUUCUUAGCAUAAAUAUAAAGUGAAUGCUUUACCUUGGGAGUAUCGAUCACAUGAUGCAAGGAUUUCAGACAGGUAUCUGGAGCAGCAGGUAAAAGUUAGUUCCUAGUUUCUCUCUCUCUAAAUUUCUCUCUUGAGUCAAAGUCUGCUUCCAUUGCAGGAUCAGUGACCAAGAUUGGACAGGCUUCCAUGAAUCAAAACUUAAUGGUGGUUGCCACCAAGUUCUGUUCACUUUUUUUUGACCUAUAUCCAAGAGUUCUUUGCAAAAGCGAGCCUUGAAGAUUGCCGCCUCCAAGUCCCGUUUCGAACUCUUUUAUUUGAGUCUUUAUGAAUCAAGCCUUAAUGGUUUUAGCCACCAAGUCCUGUUCAGACUCAUCCUAAUUAAACAUAAGAUCUUAUUUAAAUUUUUUUUUAUUAUUAUUAUUAUUAUUUUUUAAAAAAAUACUCACUAACUAAUCUAGGGUCGAAAUUUAGAGAGAGAAAAUGUGAUAAAUAAUCUAAUCCAGGCGUUACCUUCCAGACCUGUCUGAAGAAUCCGAUCCCAUGUAUACCAAGCCCCAAGACAAGCGGUUAUGUCAGGUUUAGUGUUGGAAAUCAGCUUUGGUUACUUCAUACGGUUCAAGGUAAGUGUGUAGUUGAUAGGUUGAUCCGCUUUAGCAUCUUUAUUGCUAUCUGCAAUCAGUAAAUCUAAAAUGAUGCUAAAGAUUGGUUAGAUAUUCAUGUUUAAAUCAAUAUAGGAUUAUAGUCCCUAUUUUCAAUAGCUAAGCAUAAUUUAUUUGAAAUUCUUUUUUACAUAAGAAUAAAAUAAAUUAUAUCAGUAAAUCUCCCCCCAGACUUAAAUUACACUGUCCCAGUGUAACUCAGCCGGAGUAAUGAUGAAUAGUUUAUAAUGUACGAAAUGUAACAAGUAAGGAAGAUACAUCUGACCGGAUUAGAUAUCGAUCGAUGUGUAAGUGUUACAUCGAUCGUCGUGUGGUUGCCAAUGUCGAACGAUGUCGACGUCUCGUCGUCGGUCGAUAUACUUGGGUCUCCUAAAUCUGAAAGAAAUAAAACAAAAGAAAUUAAAUGCUAGCUAAUAAAACCAAAAUACCUAAUAGUGGGUUGCCUCCCACUCAGCGCUUGGUUAUAGUCAUUUAGCUUGACUGUGGUAGUGAUUGGCUAUUGGGUGGAGAAUCAGCUGCUUGUUGGAAAGCAAGCAUCCACGUCAUCUCUGCGCAUUCUGGACCAAGAUGCAAUGAAACUUCUUGUGGCCUCAUCAUUUCUUGUCCAUUUGUCAUCCAUCUUCUCAAGUACUUUGGAGUUGUUCUGUAGCCUUUCUUGAAUGUUGUCAAUUCUGACAUGGUGCCAGCCUAUGUUGUCAUAGGCGUAUGCUGAAAGUUAUGUCAGUUCCUUUUGCAUUGACUCUACCGUCUUGUGUAUCAGCUUCUCGCCGAUUGGUGUAGACUCGGCAUCGAUCGAUGCGAUUAUGUGUUCGUUGGUCGAUCUCAGCGAGUUGCCAUCGAUCGAUUUCGCUAGCGUCCUGUCGAUCGAUGCUGAUAUCUGAUGUUGAGCCGCGUGUUGCCUCUGAAUGGAUUUGACUUCUUUCUGUAGCCAUUUUGCGUGGUUGUCUAGUCCACUGAUUUUGUUGUCGAAUGGAAAGUAGAUGUCAUCGCAGCGUUUGUCAAGUCGUUCCUCCAUGGUGUCUAGAGCAGUGUAGAUCUUGGAUGUGAUCUUGUCAACCUCUGCUGCUGUGUAAGGAAGUAACUCCACAGGUUUCUUGCCAUCGAUCCAAGGCCCUCGUAGCCUGUCGAUCGAUCCUGAUUUUGCCUGCAAAAAACUUUGAUUAGUAAUGUUCUCAAUAUCCUUUUGGGCAUGAAGUAAUUGACUAGACAGUUUGUUUAAAUAUGUCAUGAUUGGUGAUAUAAAACGGUCAUGCAUAUCCUCGUAAGUCCUCAGCCUCUCAUUCAUGGCUGAGACUUUGGCGUCGAGCGAUGUGAAGGUACACAUGUCGAUCGAUGUGGCUGGUUGUUGGUCCUUCAUGCGAAUGGUGUCCAGAUCUUGCUGUAGUAGCUCGAUUUUAGUGCUUAGCCAGUCCACGUUGUUGUUGAGAGGGCAAUAAACGUCGUUUAUCCUUGUGUCGAUGUAUGAGACUUCCUAUUCAUCCUUGUGUUGUGUUGAACAUUGCGGUUCUGCAGGGAUCUGAGCUGUAGGAAGACUGACGUCGAUCGAUGUUGCACGUGGUGCGUCGAUCGAUGCUGAGGUCGUAGCUUCCUUCUCAAGUUGCUGACGUAAACUCUCAAUUUAUGUCCUCAUUUCUGCCAUACAUCUGAAAAGCUCAUUGUAGCCUCGAUCCAAAGGCUGAUGUGUGUCUUCUACCAAUGUUUUGAGCUCCUCUCCCAGUUUCUCAUGAGCUCCACAAAUACCAAACACCAUCUCAUCGAUUUCAUCUUUGGUGUAGAGUUCUGGUGCCAGUCUUAUGAGUGUGAAGGAAGUGGCAUGUUCUGGAAGACAGAUGUGGCUCUCUUCAAAAAGAGAUGCUCUUUCCAGUAUUUUCCUGAUGUUGUCCUUUGUGGCAGGUAUCAUCUCACCAGCUACGCCUCGUGCGUGUCCACGCUCAUCUCUGUAGACUCCAUACUCGUCCCUUUGUUCCCAAGUGAACUUUCUGGCUCCGUUCAUGUCGAAAGCGCGGUUCCCACAUUAAUAUCGUCUGUCGAUCGACGUCGGUUCAUCCCUAUCGAUCGACGUUGGUGUUACCCUGUCGAUCGAUGUCCCCGUUGUACCGUCGAUCGAUACUUGCCCUUUUGGUUGGUGUGAUAGAUCGGGUUGAUCUCUGUUGUGGUGACUCCUGCAUGGUUGUUAGGAUUUGUUUGAAUGACGACUGGAGUGCCACGUUGCUGUGAGAAUAGGUUGUCAGGUCCAUUGGCCACUUGAAGGAUGUCUGCGAUGUCCUCUCUGGACACUUGUAAAAUCCUUCCAUCCAUUGCACGUGUGUUGCCAUCUGGGUCCCUGAAAAUACCAAAUUCAUCAGGUGUUAGAAAACCGUAACCAAUGUUUGCAUAAUCAUUCAAUUUAGAAAUAGAAAGAUUAGGGUUUAGAGUAGUAUCGAUCGAUGUAGAUACAGUUACAUCGAUCGAUGGCAGUGUAAUUUCUGCAGAACUUGUGUUCUUGAGAUGAUUGCUCUUCAUGGAUUUUUCUGUUGAUGUAGAAGGAAGAGUGUUCAUCUUUUUUGCUUGUGUGUUUGCUCUGAUGUGUGUAGGUGGUUUCGGAGGUGCAAAACGAUUUAUAUAGGUAUCUAUAAACCUAGUUGGGGAGGGAAUAUUCUCCUGCUCCUGGAUUUUCGCUGCGGCGCGAAUAUCGAUCGAUGUUCCUUUACGGGUUUCGAUCGAUGUGAGCGGUUGUUUUGCUGGACGAGGGUGGGUAUCGACCGAUGUGGAGUGCACAGCGGCGAAGGAUGUUGGAAACAUGUUGGUGAACUUAUGUGUUUCAAGUCUUUCAUCCUACAAAGACAUUUCUACUGCACGUUCUUUCCAAUAAUCCUCAUCGUAUUCCUCGGUAUGUUCCUCAUUAGGUGAAGUAAUUACAGUGUCAACUGCAAAACUUUCAUGGAAACCACUGUCUGCCCAACCGCCUAUGGAAUAAUCAUCAUGUCCUCUCUUUCUUGGAGGUUGGAAGGCAAAAUGUUGGUAACAAUGUUUUGGUGAAGCGAAAUGGUCAAGUGGGUGCAUUACUUCGAGUGACGUGUUGUUGCGGUCAUCGGUCACCAUUGACACAUUGGAAUCGAUCGAUGAAAAUGUUAGGGUGUCGAUCGAUUCUGAGUACUCCGUUUCGUACUCCGAUUCAUACUCUGCUCCACAAUGGCAUACGCCAAUGAAGCCGAGUUCUUUCCCAUAAUCCACAGAAUUAAUGACCUUUCUCUUAGGUCGGAUGGGGUCGUAGUGGAUGUUUGGGUCUAUGAGCGUUAGACACAAUUUGUUCUUGUUCAUGUCACAUACGGCUCCUACUGUAGCUAGGAAAGAUCUUCCAAGCAGAAGUGAAGAGUUCCAGUUAAGCUCGAUGUCUAGGAUAGGAAAGUCUACAGGGACAAGGGCAUUACCAAUCUGUACCUCCAGAUCUCUUAUGAUACCUCCUGAUCGUUUCUCUAAAAGAUCCACGAAGGUGAAGGAUUCUGUUGAGGGUUCGAUGGUCAAACCAAGCUGGUCUGCCAUGAUCCUAGGGAGGAUACUAACUGAUGCUUCUGUGUCAAACAUUGAAUGGGGAUUUUCAACACCCUUGACUACGCAUGGUAUUGCAAACUUCCCAGGAUCACUCUUCUUCGUCAAUGUGAUCCUGUGUUUCAUCUUCUCUCUGACUUGAUGAAACAUUCUCUUAAUGUCCUCCUCGGUUACCUUUGUUUCUCUGAAGAACAUCCACAACCGGUGUGUGAAGUAAGCUUCAUCAAAAGGUUUUUCGAUUGGGAUUCUGAGGACUCGUUUAGUGAAACCAUCCAUCUCCUUAUCGUUAGCUUCCCUCUUAAGGUUUUUAGGAAUUUUCUCCUUUCUUUUCCUUAACCUUCACCCUUCAGAUUCUUGUUCUUCUUGAACAGAUUCUGGUGAAUUAUUUAAAGGGCUGGGUUUUGGUUCGGGUGGAUUUGCUAAUGGUUUAGGUGGUGGUCUGAGUGCGUUGAUGUAAUUAUUAUCGAUUGAGGGUAACCGCACUCGGUAUGUCACAGGUGCCUGUCGAUCGAUGGGAGGUGUGUUGUGACGAUCGACGUCGGACUCACUCUGUCGAUCGAUGGUUGGCUUAACCGACCGAUCGAUUUUAUCAUAGAAAGGGGAGGGUGGGUGAGGAUGCUUAGAUGCGAAUUCUUCAUGAGUUAGAAUUCGAACCGCAUUGCAUUCAGUCGAUUUGGCAGACGACGUCGAUCGAUGACUGGAGUAAUCCGUCCAUCGAUCUUCAUCAUGAUCUGUCGAUCGAUGCGAGUUCAUCGACAUCGGUCGACACCAUUGGGAUCCGCCGAGACUCAUGGAGCUUUCGAUUUCGAAAUCUCCUUCCUCAAGCUUUUCAUUUCUCACCACUUGCCAGAAAUCAUCAUCUAUGAUGGCAUUUACGUGGUGUUUUCCUUUGUCGGCUCCUGCCUCUCUAGCGAAAGCUUCUUGCCUCUUUAUAGUCUCGCCCGUCUGAAUUACUUGGGUUUCAAGUUUUCUCACCUGAGUCCCUAAGGUCUCGAUUUUGGUGUUCAGAUUGUUGUAGGCAGAGUCUAUCUUACCGUUGAAAUCCACAGUGAUUUGUUGUUGUCCCAACAGUACUCGAUCAAGCAUCUCUUCGAUCUUGCUUUCCUGAGUCUGGGAUGGUGGAUUUUGGUAGUAAGAGUUCGAGUAGCUCUUGCUGUUGUUGAAGGGUUUUUGAAAUUGUGAAUUUUGGUUACUUAUUUGGCCAUUUCCAAAGAAGUUUCUGUUUCCGCCCUGGUUUCCAAAUUUCUGGAAUCCGGUACCUCCGAUGUAAUUCACAUUUUCUUCUCCUUCGGUAUCUGCUACUUCUCCUUCAGCUGAACAGACUUGCUUCCUAAGAAGCUCGUGCACGACAUCUAACUUAGCUCUUACUUCGUCCAUCUGUUCCUUCCCGAUAGAGGCUACAGACUUCUUCCGUUCAGAGUCAGUGUUUUUGGUGCUGCUGCUGUUAGCAAGGUUUUCGAUAAGUCUCACAGCUUCCAACGGAUUCCGAGUAGUGAAGUUUCCUUCACUCGCAGUAUCAAGGGCCAUUUGAUACUGUAAGGCGAGACCUCGGAAGAAAGUGCUUAGCAGCUGCACUUCGUUAAAUCCAUGGUGUGGACAGUCUCGCUGGAAGAACCUAAAUCUAAUCCACCCAUCUUUGAAGGAGUCUCCAGCCUUCUGCGAGAAUGUGGAAAUUUUGUUCCGAAGUUCUUCAGCGCGCGCCUCAUCGAAGAAGUUUCGUAAGAAAGCAUUCUUGAUGUCGCUCCAGGAUGUUAAAGAUCCUGUGGGUUGCUGCCUAAGCCAGUGCAUCGCUUCUCCAUUCAGCGUGUAUCUGAGAAGAUUGCACAGCAGGUAAUCUUCAGGAACUCCUUCCAUCCGAAUAACAGCGAUUAGAUCCUCGAACCGUUCCAAAUGGUCCAUAGGAUGCUCGUGCGGUAACCCAGAGUAGGGUAUCUGCGACACGAGAGUGUAGUAUUGAGGCUUCAGCUCGAAAUUCUGCUUCUGGAUCUCCAGAAGUCGAAUAGCUGAUUUGUUGGAAUAGUACUCAUCUGGGCGAUGUAGUCGGCCAGUGGUUUCGAUCGAGCGUCCUCAUCUACAGGUUAAGCAGCUCCUGUAGCACCAGCAUUAGGGAUUACAGUUCCCUGAGCAUCUAUUUUCUGACGUGUUGCAUUACGCAGAUGACCGGCCUGGUCAUACAGGUUUCCGUUCUCGUCCUGAGUUAGAAUAAUAAUGUUUACCAUUUUUGACGACACGGUAUCGAUCGACGUACGCGGUGUAGUAUCGAUCGUUGUCAAACGAUUGGGAUUGAUCGACGAUAAUGGUCUUGUGUCGGUCGACGGUUGGUUGUGCGUAUCGAUCGACGACGAAGUGGUUGCGUCGAGCGAUGUGGAACGUUGACCUCUACGGAUGAUGCGUUCCAAAUGAGCAGGAUCGUCUGAGAACAGCAAGUCGGAAUGAGUUCGUCUUUUUCAUUCUUCACUACAGUGAUACCUCCCUUUUUGGGUACAACAUGUACGGGGCUUACCCAUUUGCUAUCCGAAAUAGGGUAAAUAACUCCAACAUCAAGGAGUUUUAUAAUUUCCUUUUUUACUACUUUCUUUAGAUUCGGAUUUAAUCUCCUUUGCUGCUCUAUUGACGUUUUAGCGUCAUCUUCCAAGAUGAUUCGAUGCAUGCAAAGAUCGGGAGAGAUUCCAGGGAUGUCAUCGAGAGAAUAUCCGAUCGCGUUCCUGUACUUGUGCAAUUUAUUUAGCAAUAAAGCAAGUUCUCCACUAGUGAGAUUGGCGUUGACGAUAACAGGGUAGGACUGGUCAUAAAGGUAAGCGUACUUAUGACAGCUGGGUAGAGGUUUUAAUUCUACCUUUGGUGCUUUAUCCUUAGACCAAUUUGAUUGCGAGGGAGGUUGUCGAUCGAUGGUAUCUUGUAGGUAUUGAUCGAUGACAACUUCUGAGUCGUCAUUUUCUUCUACGUUUGCAACUUCGAUACUAGCGUCCAUUAGUCGCAUGUAAUCGUCUGUCCUAUCUGAUAUGCUGAAAAUUUCAUUUUCCACGUGGUUAAGGGUGUCUUCUAAGGGGUUGUCUGAAAACAUGUUUAUGAAAGAGUCUUUUUCAUCCUCAGAAACUUUUUCGACGUAGAAGGCCUGGUCAUCUAUUAGGGGUCGCUUAAUCAGUUUUUCCAUAUCAAAAGUCAUCGAGAUAUCCCCUAUGUUCAAAUUAAUUCAUCCUUCUUUGACGUCAAUGAUUGCUUAGCUAUGAAUGGCCAACCCAGAAUGAGGGGGUCUUUGGGUUCUUGUCUGUAUUUUAACACAACAAAAUCCGUAGGCACGAUGCAAUCAUUAAUCUUUAUGGGAACAUCUUCGAGAAUUCUUUCGGGUACCCUGAUAGAUCUAUCAGCUAAAACCAGGGUGAUCGGAGUUGGCAUAAACUCUUUAUAUCCUAAAGUUACUGCAACAGAGUAAGGCAUAAGGUUCACGCUAGAGCCGAGGUCACAUAAUGAUCUAGGAAAACGCGUGUUUUCUAUUUUACAAUCUAGGACGAAACUACCAGGAUCUGGUCUUUUUGUUGGAGUUUCUCCUCUAAUCAUAGCGCUUACUUCUUCUGAAAUCAUCAUCACGCUAUGUUCUGAAAUUGGGUAGUUUGGAGAUGUCAUGUCCUUUAUAUACUUCUUAAUCGAAGGUGCUAUCUUUAUAGCAUCACUAAGGGACAUCUCAACAGAAAUCUUAUCUAAGGCUUUCUUGCAGAUCGCGUUUUCUAAUGAUUUCUUAGUUUGCUUUUUAGGAGGAAAAGGGGGAAAAGUUCUAUAGACUCUUUCAAUUAUGGGUUCGGGUUGAGUAGACCGUCGAUCGACUGGUUUUUCGUCCUCAAUCUUCGUAUCUUCUUCAAAUUCUAAAUCUAUUGCCUUUUCCUUAGCCUUUUCAGCGGUGGUUUUCCGAUUCUCUUGAGAUGGAUUUGGAUCAAGAUCGUUAAAAAGAAUAGGAUGAGAAUUGCUUUUGCCGGUUUUGUCAGUGUUGUCAGGUUUUCCAACAUCUGUGUUAUUCCUCGUAUCUGCUGCGAGGUUUUUCCCAAUGCGCAAUAUUACGGCACUGACUUGACGUCUCGGGUUUAAAUUAGUUCUCCCGGGAAGACAUCCUGCAUCUCUUUUUAUGGCAAGUGCAAUCUCAGCUACUUGACCUUCUAAUUUUUGGAUUAGUUCUCCCAAAGAAUCUGCUUUCUCCAUUAAUUCUCCGUAAACCAUAUUUAUUUUCCCGUAAAACUCCGAUUUUGUCUUACGGUUGCCAGUAAGAGCUUGUCUGAUAUUGAAUCUCUCUCUUUCGGUACGUGAUUUUACAGCAGUGUCAUAAUCUUGGGUAAAGCUAUCGACAUUAAGCACAUAGUAGGGAUCAGAACAGUUCGUUCCUUCAUCCAAAUAAUCAUUGGUGUCAGACAAAGCGUCGUCGUCGAUCUGGGCUAUAUCAGAUCGGUGUUUGUUUUGAAAAAAGGAAUGAAGGGACUUAAGGGAAUUCUUAAUUUCUAUCAAAUCAGAAUUGUCUUUUGGACUUGUGGAAUUUUCUAUCUCUUCAUCCAUCCUUUCAUUGGAUCUUCUCGUUGUCAUAUUCUUGAUAAGGCGUCUAGCUUCUUCGGGAUUCCUAGUGAUGAAAUUUCCAUCACUCGCUGUAUCGAGUGUGUUUUUUUAGCUCAAGUUAACACCUCCAUAAAAGAUGUUAAGAAGUUGUGGUUCUGAAUAACCAUGAUGGGGACAUUCAAGUUCAUAGGCUCUGAAUCUUCCCCAGGUGUUUUUAAACGAUUCGCGUGGACCUUGGCGAAAUGUAGAAAUUUGCUUUCUUACUUCCCAGUAGCGUUCAUCAGUGAAAAAUUCUCUAAGGAAGGCACUUCUAAUCUCUUCCCAACAAGUGAGUGAUCCUGCUGCUAAACAGUUUAACCACCUGAGGGCUUCUCCUUCUAGGGAGAAUGAGAAUAGUUUGCAACGGUCAUAUUCAUCUAGUAUUAAUUCUUCCAAAGUUUCAAUGUGAUCUUGUGGGUGCUCUGGGAGGGAUCCACGUAAUGGGUUUUGACGAACCAUACGGAAGUAAUAUGCGUUAAACUUAGAUUUCUUGGUAUCGUCUCCUGGUAUUUUGAGAGCGGACCUAUUGGAAUAGGUCCUACCAGGAUCAAGGUAGUCUUGCAUGGACAAAUUUAUAUCUUCACCUUCAGUUAAGGUGGAAUUUUCCUUAACAGGGAUUUCAGUCUCCUGUUCAGUUUGGCUAGCUUCAUUGCUCGUUUGACCAUUUAGUUCAGUUUGGACUACUUUCUCAUUAGCGGGCUUGGUAAGAUAAAACUUACCUGCUUCCGGCUGGGUGGUAUUGAUCGAUGUUGGCAGCUCCGUAUCGGUCGAUUUUUCUGACUCAAUGUCGCUCGAUGGAAACAUGUCUCCGUCGAUCGAUGGUUGGUCGCGCUCUGUGUUCUCCAUUCUUUGUGUCUGCGUAACAGAUUAAGAAAGAAAACUUUAGCAAGUUUUUCGUAACAAGUCUAUACUAAAUUCUAAAUUAAAUCUAAUGGUAAUAAGAAAGAGUCCCCGGCAACGGCACCAAAUUUGAUAUCACUCAAAUUACCAUAAAGAGUGUUACUCUCAUCAAAAGAGGUUCAGAUGUAGUACUUAGGGAUCAAAUCCACAGAGACUCUAGGAUUACUCAACAGACUUAAAUAAUUAGAAAAGAAAAUAGACUGAGAGGUUUUAGUAGUUUUAAAAGCAGUAAAUGAUAAAUACAAAACAAUAGUGAAACGAUAGAUUGAAUUGAAGUGGUUUCAAGAAUGGGAAAGCAGCUAGAUUCAGGUAAAUCUCAGGUAUGAAAUGCAUGCACUUAGUUUAGACUAAAGGGUUUGAUGGUUUUUGAACUAAACAAUGAUUUAACCGGAUAGGUUAUCUUCGCUAGAUCUCGGAUCUCAACUGUCGUAUUUUAAUCUCGAGAGAGUGUCGAUCAUUGUGACUUGAUGUAAAUCGACCGUUACACCUUUGUAACGAUCGACCGACAGAACGAUAGUUGCGUCGAUCGAUGGUUAUUCUAGCGAGCUUUGCGAACGGGUUUAACUUGUUCUCUAACCUUCUCAGACCAACUGUCGUUGCGUCUAAGUUAGUUAGAUCACGCAAGUGGGUUCAGGUAUUGAGGGGAAACGGUUAGUUGGACUCAAUUAAUCCUAAGAUCUAAAAUGAAGGUGAUCAAUCUCAAUUUUAGCAUUAAGUUCACAAGCAAUGAAAGAUCAAUCAAAACACAUUUUUAAAUAGUCAUAUUAGCAGUACAUAAUUUCAACCAUGGCAAGAAACCUAAAUCUAACAGUUGGUUUACUCAAACAUAUUCAUGAGAGACAAAGUCAUGAUGAUGUGAAAUAAACUCAAAUGAAACAUAGAACACAAAUAGAUAGAGUAAUAGAAGUAAAGGAGUUCAAGAUCUUCUCUAUUUUGCAGUCUCAGAUCUAUCUCUCCAAUCCUAAGCUCUUCUAAUGGUAGCCAAAAUGCUCAUUCUCCAAACUAGGUCUUUUUGCAAGUGUCUCCUAAAAUGAUACAAAACCCUAGUACAUAUAGCCUAACAGGCGGCUUGGGACUUAAGUUGCAAAUAAUAGAUCUUUUGGGAAAUGAAAUCUUUUAAUUCGCGAUCACACUUGUGUGACUGGGCAUCGAUCAAUGCACAUGUGUGUUUGUCGAUCGAUGAUAUGUGAUUAUGAUCGACCGAUGUUGCUCUUCAAGCGUCGAUCGAUUCUCCUUACAUAAAAGCAUUCCAAAAUGUCCCAAAAGUAUCAUUUCUUUCCAUCAGGUGAAUAAACCUGCAAUUGCUUUGAAAAGACUCUAAAACAUGAUUAAUACAUCUUAAAACUCUUAUAUACCAUGUAUAAAAACGGGUGAAAAUCAUGGUAUAUCAGCCACCAACGGCCAGUCCCAAUAAACACAAACGCGGCCAUCUUGGCCCACACAAAUUUCAAACACACAAUAAAGGCCAUACUCGGCCGAGAAUAUAUAAUAAUGGCCAGACACGGCCAGAACAUAAGAUAAGGGGAAACCCGUUCCCAUCAGACACCACUUACACCUUCAAGGAUCGAGAACGCAGUUUCCAGACAUGGAGGCUCCAAACGUGCUUAUUGGUCGAUCCUGUAAGAUCCGAUCCUGGAUUCGUCAAUCCAACCAGACCGCAGCUUACUUAAUCAUUUCAUUCAGUUAGAUCACUUUACUUCCGAUUCCAUAUGUAAUAUUUUUCUAAGUAUUUUUCAGAGUUCUGAGGUUCAUUCAAUCAUAAUUAGACAAUCAGAUUCAAGUAAAGCAAAUUCUUAUUUUAUAGAUACUUAAACAAGAUCCAUACAACAUCCAUUCAUUCUUAAUACAUAAGUUGCAUACUAGGCUAUCAUAAGAUCACAAGCACAAUAGGUUAUCAGUAUUUCACAUCUAUCAACAAGCACCCAAUCACCACACAUCUUCCCACGACUGGAGUCCUCACAGUUCCUUUCCUUUACCACGGUCCAAGUCUGUACCUGAAACCACAAACACAACACACAACACAAGGAUCUAUCAUUGCAUGGCUGGUUCCUUAACUAAUCAUCAAACUACACUUCAGGCCCCAAUCUGGCCGAUUUUUAAAGUGAUCUAAAAAUUAAUUAAAAUUCACUAAAGCUCAUGAUAAAUCCCAACUAAGAGAUUUCCAUAAUCAGAAUCCAAGGAAUCGACCAUCAGGACGGCUCGGUAAACACUCGGACCCGGCCACACUGGUCUGGACCGGAACACUCCGCCAAGCUGAAGUGAGCUGAUCACCAGCUGUCCCCAGCUGAGUGAGCUAGUCCAUCAGCUCCCAUGAGCUGAACAAAACUGAGUGAGCUGACACUACACUCUAUUGAGCUGGUUUCAUACUCUAUUGAGCAGAUUAAGCUUGACCCGGGCCUUUCCCAGCUACCGGAUCACUCGCCCAGCUCUAUUUAACUUGUCUCCAUCGUAUCCAGGUUAAGUCUCAGCUGUCUGACGUCCUUAACCAUCUAUUCGGGCCAUGGUACGCUUGUCUCAAGGUCAGAUGACCUGUUCAGCACAUUGCCUCGCACCACAGCCCGUCUGGAUGAUCCUAUCUAGGAUCGGGGACAUGACAGAUCCACCUCUUCAUCCUCGCCCGCAACAUCAAUCACAACCUCCUCCAUAUCAGGCGAGACCGGGACUGGAUCCCAGAAUCCUCAGAUCCUUGCCUUGAUUAGAGGGAUCAGGUUCUCAUCAUGAGCAUAGUCGUUCAUACCACCAUUCAUGGUGGACAUCUCGUCAUCAAAGUCGAAGUCAUCCCUUUGCGCCUUCCACAACGACCCGACAGAACCUCGACACUCACGAAAAUCGAGUGCGCCUACUAGAGACGGCCAUACUCAACCGCAAAUUGAGAAGCACGGUUCCCCAUCACAGCAGCAACCUCUCUCCUGCCCCGUCUCUCCGCUCUGCGAAUAGCCUUGGAGUGGUCGUGACCAGCCUUCAGCUCUCGUUCCACGGCCUCGCUCUGCACCCGGGCGAGGGUCUUCCCCGCCUUCUCCGCUUUGAAACGGUAAACCAUCGCCUCAUGAGUCCUUGCCUUAAGGGCCGAGCUGAUCAUGUUCACUCCCUAAAAAAAACCAUCAAUAAGAGUCUCGAAAAUAAAAUAGUCCAGAUUCAAGAUAGUCAAAAACAAAGGAAACUAACCCAUUAAUUAAGCGUGAUCCUUCUGAAACGACUUUUGAUCUCUCGGGUAUGUCCUACAGGUGCAGGUAAGUCAAAAUUCGAAGGAAGCCCGUCAAGGAACGCAUCGAAAUUCCUGUGUGGAAAGGGGACCUCACUUGUGCCGCUCCCAUCACCAUAAGGAAGGUUCGGAACCCAUCUAGGCAGCAUGAAAUCAUCCACGGGAAAGUCAAAAUCUUCGAGAUCAAUGCCUUUGUCCUUUGACUGCUUAGUUGUUCCCCUUUUCGUGGGAACGCUGCGAGGAACAGAAUCAUCCGAAUCCGUGCUGGGUUCUUCGGCCACUUGGACACCAGGGCCAGCAUGAUGACACCUCAACGCGCUGCAAACCCUUUGCGGCGUGAAGAACUUCCAGUAAAAUGGACUGUUCCGCAGAAGGUCCCGCAUGAUAACCGUGUCACUAGGAAACGUGAUGCUUCCGGCUGGGUGGUAUUGAUCGAUGUUGGCAGCUCCGUAUCGGUCGAUUUUUCUGACUCAAUGUCGCUCGAUGGAAACAUGUCUCCGUCGAUCGAUGGUUGGUCGCGCUCUGUGUUCUCCAUUCUUUGUGUCUGCGUAACAGAUUAAGAAAGAAAACUUUAGCAAGUUUUUCGUAACAAGUCUAUACUAAAUUCUAAAUUAAAUCUAAUGGUAAUAAGAAAGAGUCCCCGGCAACGGCACCAAAUUUGAUAUCACUCAAAUUACCAUAAAGAGUGUUACUCUCAUCAAAAGAGGUUCAGAUGUAGUACUUAGGGAUCAAAUCCACAGAGACUCUAGGAUUACUCAACAGACUUAAAUAAUUAGAAAAGAAAAUAGACUAAGAGGUUUUAGUAGUUUUAAAAGCAGUAAAUGAUAAAUACAAAACAAUAGUGAAACGAUAGAUUGAAUUGAAGUGGUUUCAAGAAUGGGAAAGCAGCUAGAUUCAGGUAAAUCUCAGGUAUGAAAUGCAUGCACUUAGUUUAGACUAAAGGGUUUGAUGGUUUUUGAACUAAACAAUGAUUUAACCGGAUAGGUUAUCUUCGCUAGAUCUCAGAUCUCAACUGUCGUAUUUUAAUCUCGAGAGAGUGUCGAUCAAUGUGACUUGAUGUACAUCAACCGUUACACCUUUGUAACGAUCGACCGACAGAACGAUAGUUGCGUCGAUCGAUGGUUAUUCUAGCGAGCUUUGCGAACGGGUUUAACUUGUUCUCUAACCUUCUCAGACCAACUGUCGUUGCGCCUAAGUUAGUUAGAUCACGCAAGUGGGUUCAGGUAUUGAGGGGAAACGGUUAGUUGGACUCAAUUAAUCCUAAGAUCUAAAAUGAAGGUGAUCAAUCUCAAUUUUAGCAUUAAGUUCACAAGCAAUGAAAGAUCAAUCAAAACACAUUUUUAAAUAGUCAUAUUAGCAGUACAUAAUUUCAACCAUGGCAAGAAACCUAAAUCUAACAGUUGGUUUACUCAAACAUAUUCAUGAGAGACAAAGUCAUGAUGAUGUGAAAUAAACUCAAAUGAAACAUAGAACACAAAUAGAUAGAGUAAUAGAAGUAAAGGAGUUCAAGAUCUUCUCUAUUUUGCAGUCUCAGAUCUAUCUCUCCAAUCCUAAGCUCUUCUAAUGGUAGCCAAAAUGCUCAUUCUCCAAACUAGGUCUUUUUGCAAGUGUCUCCUAAAAUGAUACAAAACCCUAGUACAUAUAGCCUAACAGGCGGCUUGGGACUUAAGUUGCAAAUAAUAGAUCUUUUGGGAAAUGAAAUCUUUUAAUUCGCGAUCACACUUGUGUGACUGGGCAUCGAUCAAUGCACAUGUGUGUUUGUCGAUCGAUGAUAUGUGAUUAUGAUCGACCGAUGUUGCUCUUCAAGCGUCGAUCGAUUCUCCUUACAUAAAAGCAUUCCAAAAUGUCCCAAAAGUAUCAUUUCUUUCCAUCAGGUGAAUAAACCUGCAAUUGCUUUGAAAAGACUCUAAAACAUGAUUAAUACAUCUUAAAACUCUUAUAUACCAUGUAUAAAAACGGGUGAAAAUCAUGGUAUAUCAGCCACCAACGGCCAGUCCCAAUAAACACAAACGCGGCCAUCUUGGCCCACACAAAUUUCAAACACACAAUAAAGGCCAUACUCGGCCGAGAAUAUAUAAUAAUGGCCAGACACGGCCAGAACAUAAGAUAAGGGGAAACCCGUUCCCAUCAGACACCACUUACACCUUCAAGGAUCGAGAACGCAGUUUCCAGACAUGGAGGCUCCAAACGUGCUUAUUGGUCGAUCCUGUAAGAUCCGAUCCUGGAUUCGUCAAUCCAACCAGACCGCAGCUUACUUAAUCAUUUCAUUCAGUUAGAUCACUUUACUUCCGAUUCCAUAUGUAAUAUUUUUCUAAGUAUUUUUCAGAGUUCUGAGGUUCAUUCAAUCAUAAUUAGACAAUCAGAUUCAAGUAAAGCAAAUUCUUAUUUUAUAGAUACUUAAACAAGAUCCAUACAACAUCCAUUCGUUCUUAAUACAUAAGUUGCAUACUAGGCUAUCAUAAGAUCACAAGCACAAUAGGUUAUCAGUAUUUCACAUCUAUCAACAAGCACCCAAUCACCACACAUCUUCCCACGACUGGAGUCCUCACAGUUCCUUUCCUUUACCACGGUCCAAGUCUGUACCUGAAACCACAAACACAACACACAACACAAGGAUCUAUCAUUGCAUGGCUGGUUCCUUAACUAAUCAUCAAACUACACUUCAGGCCCCAAUCUGGCCGAUUUUUAAAGUGAUCUAAAAAUUAAUUAAAAUUCACUAAAGCUCAUGAUAAAUCCCAACUAAGAGAUUUCCAUAAUCAGAAUCCAAGGAAUCGACCAUCAGGACGGCUCGGUAACCACUCGGACCCGGCCACACUGGUCUGGACCGGAACACUCCGCCAAGCUGAAGUGAGCUGAUCACCAGCUGUCCCCAGCUGAGUGAGCUAGUCCAUCAGCUCCCAUGAGCUGAACAAAACUGAGUGAGCUGACACUACACUCUAUUGAGCUGGUUCCAUACUCUAUUGAGCAGAUUAAGCUUGACCCGGGCCUUUCCCAGCUACCGGAUCACUCGCCCAGCUCUAUUUAACUUGUCUCCAUCGUAUCCAGGUUAAGUCUCAGCUGUCUGACGUCCUUAACCAUCUAUUCGGGCCAUGGUACGCUUGUCUCAAGGUCAGAUGACCUGUUCAGCACAUUGCCUCGCACCACAGCCCGUCUGGAUGAUCCUAUCUAGGAUCGGGGACAUGACAGAUCCACCUCUUCAUCCUCGCCCGCAACAUCAAUCACAACCUCCUCCAUAUCAGGCGAGACCGGGACUGGAUCCCAGAAUCCUCAGAUCCUUGCCUUGAUUAGAGGGAUCAGGUUCUCAUCAUGAGCAUAGUCGUUCAUACCACCAUUCAUGGUGGACAUCUCGUCAUCAAAGUCGAAGUCAUCCCUUUGCGCCUUCCACAACGACCCGACAGAACCUCGACACUCACGAAAAUCGAGUGCGCCUACUAGAGACGGCCAUACUCAACCGCAAAUUGAGAAGCACGGUUCCCCAUCACAGCAGCAACCUCUCUCCUGCCCCGUCUCUCCGCUCUGCGAAUAGCCUUGGAGUGGUCGUGACCAGCCUUCAGCUCUCGUUCCACGGCCUCGCUCUGCACCCGGGCGAGGGUCUUCCCCGCCUUCUCCGCUUUGAAACGGUAAACCAUCGCCUCAUGAGUCCUUGCCUUAAGGGCCGAGCUGAUCAUGUUCACUCCCUAAAAAAAACCAUCAAUAAGAGUCUCGAAAAUAAAAUAGUCCAGAUUCAAGAUAGUCAAAAACAAAGGAAACUAACCCAUUAAUUAAGCGUGAUCCUUCUGAAACGACUUUUGAUCUCUCGGGUAUGUCCUACAGGUGCAGGUAAGUCAAAAUUCGAAGAAUGGGAAAGCAGCUAGAUUCAGGUAAAUCUCAGGUAUGAAAUGCAUGCACUUAGUUUAGACUAAAGGGUUUGAUGGUUUUUGAACUAAACAAUGAUUUAACCGGAUAGGUUAUCUUCGCUAGAUCUCAGAUCUCAACUGUCGUAUUUUAAUCUCGAGAGAGUGUCGAUCAAUGUGACUUGAUGUACAUCAACCGUUACACCUUUGUAACGAUCGACCGACAGAACGAUAGUUGCGUCGAUCGAUGGUUAUUCUAGCGAGCUUUGCGAACGGGUUUAACUUGUUCUCUAACCUUCUCAGACCAACUGUCGUUGCGCCUAAGUUAGUUAGAUCACGCAAGUGGGUUCAGGUAUUGAGGGGAAACGGUUAGUUGGACUCAAUUAAUCCUAAGAUCUAAAAUGAAGGUGAUCAAUCUCAAUUUUAGCAUUAAGUUCACAAGCAAUGAAAGAUCAAUCAAAACACAUUUUUAAAUAGUCAUAUUAGCAGUACAUAAUUUCAACCAUGGCAAGAAACCUAAAUCUAACAGUUGGUUUACUCAAACAUAUUCAUGAGAGACAAAGUCAUGAUGAUGUGAAAUAAACUCAAAUGAAACAUAGAACACAAAUAGAUAGAGUAAUAGAAGUAAAGGAGUUCAAGAUCUUCUCUAUUUUGCAGUCUCAGAUCUAUCUCUCCAAUCCUAAGCUCUUCUAAUGGUAGCCAAAAUGCUCAUUCUCCAAACUAGGUCUUUUUGCAAGUGUCUCCUAAAAUGAUACAAAACCCUAGUACAUAUAGCCUAACAGGCGGCUUGGGACUUAAGUUGCAAAUAAUAGAUCUUUUGGGAAAUGAAAUCUUUUAAUUCGCGAUCACACUUGUGUGACUGGGCAUCGAUCAAUGCACAUGUGUGUUUGUCGAUCGAUGAUAUGUGAUUAUGAUCGACCGAUGUUGCUCUUCAAGCGUCGAUCGAUUCUCCUUACAUAAAAGCAUUCCAAAAUGUCCCAAAAGUAUCAUUUCUUUCCAUCAGGUGAAUAAACCUGCAAUUGCUUUGAAAAGACUCUAAAACAUGAUUAAUACAUCUUAAAACUCUUAUAUACCAUGUAUAAAAACGGGUGAAAAUCAUGGUAUAUCAGCCACCAACGGCCAGUCCCAAUAAACACAAACGCGGCCAUCUUGGCCCACACAAAUUUCAAACACACAAUAAAGGCCAUACUCGGCCGAGAAUAUAUAAUAAUGGCCAGACACGGCCAGAACAUAAGAUAAGGGGAAACCCGUUCCCAUCAGACACCACUUACACCUUCAAGGAUCGAGAACGCAGUUUCCAGACAUGGAGGCUCCAAACGUGCUUAUUGGUCGAUCCUGUAAGAUCCGAUCCUGGAUUCGUCAAUCCAACCAGACCGCAGCUUACUUAAUCAUUUCAUUCAGUUAGAUCACUUUACUUCCGAUUCCAUAUGUAAUAUUUUUCUAAGUAUUUUUCAGAGUUCUGAGGUUCAUUCAAUCAUAAUUAGACAAUCAGAUUCAAGUAAAGCAAAUUCUUAUUUUAUAGAUACUUAAACAAGAUCCAUACAACAUCCAUUCGUUCUUAAUACAUAAGUUGCAUACUAGGCUAUCAUAAGAUCACAAGCACAAUAGGUUAUCAGUAUUUCACAUCUAUCAACAAGCACCCAAUCACCACACAUCUUCCCACGACUGGAGUCCUCACAGUUCCUUUCCUUUACCACGGUCCAAGUCUGUACCUGAAACCACAAACACAACACACAACACAAGGAUCUAUCAUUGCAUGGCUGGUUCCUUAACUAAUCAUCAAACUACACUUCAGGCCCCAAUCUGGCCGAUUUUUAAAGUGAUCUAAAAAUUAAUUAAAAUUCACUAAAGCUCAUGAUAAAUCCCAACUAAGAGAUUUCCAUAAUCAGAAUCCAAGGAAUCGACCAUCAGGACGGCUCGGUAACCACUCGGACCCGGCCACACUGGUCUGGACCGGAACACUCCGCCAAGCUGAAGUGAGCUGAUCACCAGCUGUCCCCAGCUGAGUGAGCUAGUCCAUCAGCUCCCAUGAGCUGAACAAAACUGAGUGAGCUGACACUACACUCUAUUGAGCUGGUUCCAUACUCUAUUGAGCAGAUUAAGCUUGACCCGGGCCUUUCCCAGCUACCGGAUCACUCGCCCAGCUCUAUUUAACUUGUCUCCAUCGUAUCCAGGUUAAGUCUCAGCUGUCUGACGUCCUUAACCAUCUAUUCGGGCCAUGGUACGCUUGUCUCAAGGUCAGAUGACCUGUUCAGCACAUUGCCUCGCACCACAGCCCGUCUGGAUGAUCCUAUCUAGGAUCGGGGACAUGACAGAUCCACCUCUUCAUCCUCGCCCGCAACAUCAAUCACAACCUCCUCCAUAUCAGGCGAGACCGGGACUGGAUCCCAGAAUCCUCAGAUCCUUGCCUUGAUUAGAGGGAUCAGGUUCUCAUCAUGAGCAUAGUCGUUCAUACCACCAUUCAUGGUGGACAUCUCGUCAUCAAAGUCGAAGUCAUCCCUUUGCGCCUUCCACAACGACCCGACAGAACCUCGACACUCACGAAAAUCGAGUGCGCCUACUAGAGACGGCCAUACUCAACCGCAAAUUGAGAAGCACGGUUCCCCAUCACAGCAGCAACCUCUCUCCUGCCCCGUCUCUCCGCUCUGCGAAUAGCCUUGGAGUGGUCGUGACCAGCCUUCAGCUCUCGUUCCACGGCCUCGCUCUGCACCCGGGCGAGGGUCUUCCCCGCCUUCUCCGCUUUGAAACGGUAAACCAUCGCCUCAUGAGUCCUUGCCUUAAGGGCCGAGCUGAUCAUGUUCACUCCCUAAAAAAAACCAUCAAUAAGAGUCUCGAAAAUAAAAUAGUCCAGAUUCAAGAUAGUCAAAAACAAAGGAAACUAACCCAUUAAUUAAGCGUGAUCCUUCUGAAACGACUUUUGAUCUCUCGGGUAUGUCCUACAGGUGCAGGUAAGUCAAAAUUCGAAGGAAGCCCGUCAAGGAACGCAUCGAAAUUCCUGUGUGGAAAGGGGACCUCACUUGUGCCGCUCCCAUCACCAUAAGGAAGGUUCGGAACCCAUCUAGGCAGCAUGAAAUCAUCCACGGGAAAGUCAAAAUCUUCGAGAUCAAUGCCUUUGUCCUUUGACUGCUUAGUUGUUCCCCUUUUCGUGGGAACGCUGCGAGGAACAGAAUCAUCCGAAUCCGAGCUGGGUUCUUCGGCCACUUGGACACCAGGGCCAGCAUGAUGACACCUCAACGCGCUGCAAACCCUUUGCGGCGUGAAGAACGUCCAGUAAAAUGGACUGUUCCGCAGAAGGUCCCGCAUGAUAACCGUGUCACUAAGAAACGUGAUGCUUCCGGCUGGGUGGUAUUGAUCGAUGUUGGCAGCUCCGUAUCGGUCGAUUUUUCUGACUCAAUGUCGCUCGAUGGAAACAUGUCUCCGUCGAUCGAUGGUUAGACCACCAAUUUAGUAGUAUUAUGAAAUUUUACUAAAUUAAUUGACAAAAAAAUAUAACGAUGCCCAUGUUCCAUGAAAGAGAGUUUAAUAUACAUUAAUACAAAUGUAGAAUGUGUUUAGAAAUUUUAAAUCAACACUAAAGAUCAUAAGCUUCAGUAUAUAGAACAUUUACCGAAAAACUCGUAGGGGUUGUUAACUCAUAGAUUUUGAGAAAAAUUCAAAAAUAUGAAAAUUCUGUUUAAAUGCAUAGUUGCAUCCUUCACUAACAUAUGAUGAAGGUCAAAGAGGUAUGGAACUUUUUUUUUUGUCUCCUUUACUCUAGAGAAUAGCGAUUUAUAGUGGUUAGUCCACCAAUUUAGGGAGUAUUAUGAAGUUUUACUAAAUUAAUUGUCAAAAUAUUAUAGCGAUGCCCAUGUAACAUGAAAGAGAGUUUAAUAUACAUUAAUACAAAUGUAGAAUUUUUUUAUAAAUUUUAAAACAACACUAAAGAUCAUAGGCUUCAGUAUAUAGAACAUUUACCGAAAAACUCAACAUUUUCGUAGGGGUUAACUCAUCGAUUUUGAGAAAAAUUGAAAAAUAUGAAAAUUCUUUUUUUUAUUGCAUAGUUGCAUCUUUUACUAACAUAUGAUGAAGGUCAAAGAGGUUUGGAACUUUUUUUUGUCUCCUUUGCUCUAGAGAAUAGCGAUUUUAUAGUAGUUAGUCCCUCAAUUUAGGGAGUAUUAUGAAGUUUUACUAAAUUAAUUGAGAAAAAAUUAUAGCGAUGCCCAUGUACCAUGAAAGAGAGUUUAAUAUACAUUAAAAUAAAAAUGUAGAAUGUGUUUAGAAAUUUAAAAACAACACUAAAGAUCAUAGGCUUCAGUAUAUAGAACAUUUACCGAAAAACUCAAUAUUUUCGUAGGGGUUAACUCAUAGAUUUUAAGAAUAAUUCAAAAAUAUGAAAAUUCUGUUUUAAUACAUAGUUACAUCCUUCACUAAUAUAUGAUGAAGGUCAAAGAGCUUUGGAACUUUUUUUUGUCUCCUUUGCUCUAGAGAAUAACGAUUUUAUAGUGGUUAGUCCACCAAUUUAGGGAGUAUUAUGAAGUUUUACUAAAUUAAUUGACACAAAAUUAAAAUGAUGCCCAUCUACCAUAAAAUAUAAAUUGAUAUACAUUAAUACAAAUGUAGAUUGUGUUUAGAAAUUUUAAAUCAACACUAAAGAUCAUAAGCUUCAGUAUAUAGAACAUUUACCGAAAAACUCAAUAUUUUCGUAGGGGUUGUUAACUCAUAGAUUUUGAGAAAAAUUCAAAAAUAUGAAAAUUAUGUUUUAAUGCAUAGUUGCAUCCUUUACUAACAUAUGAUGAAGGUCAAAGAGGUUUGAAACUUUUUUUGUCUCCGUUGCUGUAGAGAAUAACAAUUUUAUAGUGGUUAGUCCACCAAUUUAGUAAUAUUAUGAAAUUUUACUAAAUUAAUUGUCAAAAAAUUAUAACGAUGCCCAUGUACCAUGAAAGAGAGUUUAAUAUACAUUAAUACAAAUGUAGAAUGUGUUUAGAAAUUUUAAAACAACACUAAAGAUCAUAGGUUUCAGUAUAUAGAACAUUUACCGAAAAACUCAACAUUUUCGUAGGGGUUAACUCAUCGAUUUUGAGAAAAAUUGAAAAAUAUGAAAUUUUUUUUUUUAUUGCAUAGUUGCAUCCUUCACAAACAUAUGAUGAAGGUCAAAGAGGUUUGGAACUUUUGUUGUCUCCUUUGCUCUAGAGAAUAGCGAUUUUGUAGUGGUUAGUCCACCAAUUUAUGGAGUAUUAAGAAGUUUUACUAAAUUAAUUAUCAAAAUAUUAUAGCCAUGCCCAUGUAACAUGAAAGAGAGUUUAAUAUACAUUAAUACAAAUGUAGUAUUUUUUAUAAAUUUUAAAACAACACUAAAGAUCAUAGGCUUCAGUAUAUAGAACAUUUACCGAAAACCUCAAUAUUUUCGUAGGGGUUGUUAACUCAUAGAUUUUGAGAAAAAUUCAAAAAUAUGAAAAUUAUGUUUUAAUACAUAGUUGCAUCCUUUACUAACAUAUGAUGAAGGUCAAAGAGGUUUGAAACUUUUUUUGUCUCUGUUGCUGUAGAGAAUAACAAUUUUAUAGUGGUUAGUCCACCAAUUUAGUAGUAUUAUGAAAUUUUACUAAAUUAAUUGACAAAAAAUUAUAACGAUGCCCAUGUACCAUGAAAGAGAGUUUAAUAUACAUUAAUACAAAUGUAGAAUGUGUUUAGAAAUUUUAAAACAACACUAAAGAUCAUAGGCUUCAGUAUAUAGAACAUUUACCGAAAAACUCAAUAUUUUUGUAGGGGUUGUUAACUCAUAGAUUUUGAGAAAAAUUCAAAAAUGUGAAAAUUCUGCUUUAAUGCAUAGUUGCAUCCUUCACUAACAUACGAUGUUUGGAACUUUUUUUGUCUCCGUUGCUCUAGGGAAUAGCGAUUUUAUAGUGGUUAGUCCACAAAUUUAGUAGUAUUAUGAAAUUUUACUAAAUUAAUUGACAAAAUAUUAAAAUGAUGCCCAUCUACCAUGAAAGAGAGUUUAAUAUACAUUAAUAAAAAUUUAAAAUGUGUUUAGCAAUUUUAAAACAACACUAAAGAUCAUAAGCUUCAGUAUAUAGACCAUUUACCGAAAAACUCAAUAUUUUCAUAUGGGUGUUAACUCAUAGAUUUUAAGAAAAAUUCAAAAAUCUGAAAAUUCUGUUUUAAUGCAUAGUUGCAUCCUUCACUAACAUAUGAUGAAGGUCAAAGAGGUUUGGAGCUUUUUUUUGUCUCCUUUGCUCUAGAGAAUAGCAAUUUUAUAGUGGUUAGUCCCCCAAUUUAGGGAGUAUUAUGAUGUUUUACUAAAUUAAUUGACAAAAUAUUAUAGAGAUGCCCAUGUACCAUGAAAGAGAGUUUAAUAUACAUUAAUACAAAUGUAGAAUGUGUUUAGAAAUUUAAAAACAACACUAAAGUUCAUAGGCUUCAGUAUAUAGAACAUUUACAGAAAAACUCAAUAUUUUCAUAGGGUUAACUCAUAAAUUUUGAGAAAAAUUCAAAAAUAAGAAAAUUCUGUUUUAAUGAAUAGUUUCAUCUUUCACUAACAUAUGAUGAAGGUCAAAGAGGUUUGAAACUUUUGUUGUCUCCGUGGCUCUAGAGAACAGCAAUUUUAUAGUGAUUAGUCCACCAAUGAAGUAGUACUAUGGAAUUUUACAAAAUUAAUUGACAAAAUAUUAAAACAAUGUCCAUAUACCAUGAAAGAGAGUUUAAUAUACAUUAAUACAAAUGUAGAAUGUGUUUAAUUUUUUUUAAAGAAAAAUGAAAGAUCAUAAGCUUCAGUAUAUAGAUCAUUUACCGAAAAACUCAAUCUUUUCACAGAUUUUGAGAAAAAUUCAAAAUUAUCAAAAUUCUGUUUUAAUGCAUAGUUGUAUCCUUCACUAACAUAUGAUGAAGGUCAAAGAGUUUUGGAACUUUUUUUGGUCUCCGUUGCUGUAGAGAAUAGCAAUUUUAUAAUGGUUAGUCCACCAAUUUUGUAGUAUUAUGAAAUUUUACUAAAUUAAUUGACAAAAAAUUAUAACGAUGCCCAUGUACCAUGAAAGAGAGUUUAAUAUACAUUAAUACAAAUGUAGAAUGUGUUUAGAAAUUUUUAAAUCAACACUAAAGAUUAUAAGCUUCAGUAUAUAGAACAUUUACCGAAAAACUCAAUAUUUUCGUAGGGAUUGUUACCUCAUAGAUUUUGAGAAAAAUUCAAAAAUAUGAAAAUUAUGUUUUAAUGCAUAGUUGCAUCAUUUACUAACAUAUGAUGAAGGUCAAAGAGGUUUGGAACUUUUUUUUGUCUUCUUUGCUCUAGAGAAUAGCGAUUUUAUAGUGGUUAGUCCCCUAAUUUAGGGAGUAUUAUGAAGUUUUACUAAAUUAAUAAACAAAACAUUAUAGCGAUGCCCAUGUACUAUGAAAGAGAGUUUAAUAUACAUUAAUACAAAUGUAGAAUGCGUUUAGAAAUUUUAAAUCAACACUAAAGAUCAUAAGCUUCAGUAUAUAGAAUAUUUACCGAAAAACUCAAUAUUUUCGUAGUGGUUGUUAACUCAUAGAUCUUGAGAAAAAUUCAAAAAUAUGAAAAUUCAGUUUUAAUGUAUAGUUGCAUCAUUUACUAACAUAUGAUGAAGGACAAAGAGGUUUGAAACUCUUUUUGUCUCCUUUGCUCUAGAGAAUAGCGAUUUUAUAGUGGUUAGUCCACCAAUUUAGGGAGUAUUAUGAAGUUUUACUAAAUUAAUUUUCAAAACAUUAUAGCGAUGCCCAUGUACCAUGAAAGAGAGUUUAAUAUACAUUAAUACAAAUGUAGAAUGUGUUUAGAAAUUUUAAAACAACACUAAAGAUCAUAGGCUUCAGUAUAUAGAACAUUUACUGAAAAACUCAAUAUUUUCGUAGGGGUUAACUCAUAGAUUUUGAGAAAAAUUGAAAAAUAUGAAAAUUCUUUUUUUAAUGCAUAGUUGCGUCCUUUACGAACAUAUGAUGAAGGUCAGAGAGGUAUGGAACUUUUGUUGUCUCCGUUUCUCUAGAGAUUAGCGAUGUUUUAGUGGUUAGUCCACCAAUGAAGUAGUAUUAUUGAAUUUUACAAAAUUAAUUGACAAAAAAUAAAACAAUUCCCAUCUACCAUGAAAGAUAGUUUAAUAUACAUUAAUACAAAUAUAGAGUGUGUUUAAAAUUUUUUAAAAAACACUAAAGAUCAUAAGCUUCAUUAUAUUGAACAUUUACCGAAAAACUCAAUAUUUUCGUAGGGGUUAACUCAUAGAUUUUAAGAAUAAUUCAAAAAUAUGAAAAUUCUGUUUUAAUGCAUAGUUGCAUCCUUCACUAAUAUAUAAUGAAGUUCAAAGAGGUUUGGAAAUUUUUUUUUGUUUCCUUUGCUCUAGAGAAUAAUGUUUUUAUAGUGGUUAGUCCACCAAUUUAGGAAGUAUUAUGAAGUUUUACUAAAUUAAUUGACAAAAAAUGAAAAUGAUGCCCAUCUACCAUAAACUAUAAUUUGAUAUACAUUAAUACAAAUGUAGAAUGUGUUUAGAAAUUUGAAAACAACACUAACGAUCAUAAGCUUCAGUAUAUAGAACAUUUACCGAAAAACUCAAUAUUUUCGUAGGGGUUAACUUUUAGAUUUUGAGAAAAAAUCAAAAAUAUGAAAAUUCUGUUUUAAUGCAUAGUUGCAUCCUUCACUAACAUAUGAUGAAGGUCAGAGAGGUUUGGAACUUUUUUUGGUCUCCGUUGCUGUAGAGAAUAGCAAUUUUAUAGUGGUUAGUCCACCAAUUUAGUAGUAUUAUGAAAUUUUACUAAAUUAAUUGACAAACAAAUAUAACGAUGCCCAUGUUCCAUGAAAGAGAGUUUAAUAUACAUUAAUACAAAUGUAGAAUGUGUUUAAAAAUUUUAAAUCAACAGUAAAGAUCAUAAUUUUCAGUAUAUAGAACAUUUACCGAAAAACUCAAUAUUUUCGUAUGGGUUAACUCAUAGAUUUUGAGAAAAAUUCAAAAAUAUGAAAAUUCUGUUUAAAUGCAUAGUUGCAUCCUUCACUAAUAUAUGAUGAAGGUCAAAGAGGUAUGAAAUUUUUUUUUUUGUCUCCUUUGCUCUAGAGNNNNNNNNNNNNNNNNNNNNNNNNNNNNNNNNNNNNNNNNNNNNNNNNNNNNNNNNNNNNNNNNNNNNNNNNNNNNNNNNNNNNNNNNNNNNNNNNNNNNAAGCUUGAUUUGGAUCAUAAAGUGGUGGAGAAUCACCAGGAAGUUGAAUAUAUCUCAUAGGAGUUGGGAUGAAGAAGUUAUCCCACUUUCAAAUCAGGUGAUUCCAGUUUCCAGUUUGGGAAUAGGGCAGCUUCUUCGUCGUUCCAAUCAAAGCAGGAUGAAUCACUUUGUAAGAAGCUUGAUUUGGAUACAUAAAGUGGUGUAGAAUCACUCGGAAGUUGAAUAAAUUUCAUAGGAGCUGGGAUGAAGAAGUUAUCCCACUUUCAAAUCAGGUGAUUCCAGUUUCGCAGUUUGGGAAUAGGACAGCUUCUUCGUCGUUCCAAUCAAACCAGGAUGAAUCACUUUGUAAGAAUCUUGAUUUGGAUACAUAAAGUGGUGGAGAACCACCAGGAAGUUGAAUAAAUCACAUAGGAGCUGGGAUGAAGAAGUUAUCCCACUUUCAAAUCAGGUAUUUCCAGUUUCGCAGUUUGGGAAUAGGACAGCUUCUUAGUCGUUGCAAUCAAACCAGGAUGAAUAAGUUUGUAAGAAGCUUGAUUUGGAUACAUAAAGUGUUGGAGAAUUACCAGGAAGUUGAAUAAACCGCAUAGGAGUUGGGAUGAAGAAGUUAUCCCACUUUCAAAUCAGGUGAUUCCAGUUUUCUUUAAUUUGGGAAUAGGACAGCUUCUUCGUCGUUCCAAUCAAAGCAGGAUGAUCACUUUGUAAGAAGCUUGAUUUGGAUACAUAAAGUGUUGGAGAAUCACCAGAAGUUGAAUAAAUCUCAUAGGAGUUGGAUGAAGAAGUUAUCCCACUUUCAAAUCAGGUGAUUCCAGUUCCCAGUUUGGGAAUAGGCAGCUUCUUCGUCGUUCCAAUCAAACCAGGAUAAAUCACUUUUGUAAGAAGCUUGAUUUGGAUACAUAAAAAGUGUGGAGAAUCACCAGGAAGUUGAAAAAAUCUCAUAGGAGUUGGGAUGAAGAAGUUAUCCCACUUUCAAUUCAGGUGAUUCCAGAUUCCCUGUUUGGGAAUAGGACAGCUUCUUCGUCGUUCCAAUCAAACCAGGAUGAAUCACUUUGUAAGAAGCUUAAUUUGGAUACAUAAAGGGGUUGAGAAUCACAACGAAGUUGAAUAAAUCUCAUAGGAAUUGGGAUGAAGAAGUUUUCCCACUUUCAAUUCAGGUGAUUCCAGUUUCCGAGUUAGGGAAUAGGACAGCUUCUUCGUCGUUCCAAUCAAAGCAGGAUGAAUCACUUUGUAAGAAGCUUGAUUUGGAUACAUAAAGUGGUGGAGAAUCACCAGGAAGUUGAAUAAAUCUCAUAGGAGUUGGGAUGAAGAAGUUAUCCCACUUUCAAAUCAGGUGAUUCCAGUUUCCCAGUUAGGGAAUAGGACAGCUUCUUCGUCGUUCCAAUCAAACCAGGUUGAAUCACUUUGUAAGAAGUUUGAUUUGGAUACAUAAAGUGGUGUAAAAUCACCAAGAAGUUGAAUAAAUCUCAUAGGAGUUGGGAUGAAGAAGUUAUCCGACUUUUAAAUCAGGUGAUUCCAGUUUGCAGUUCGAAUAGGACAGCUUCUUCGUCGUUCCAAUCAAAGCAGGAUGAAUCACUUUUAAGAAGCUUGAUUUGGAUACAUAAAGUGGUGGAGAAUCACCAGGAAUUUAUAUAAAUCUUAUAGGAGUUGGGAUGAAUAAGUUAUCCCACUUUCAAAUCAGGUGAUUCCAGUUUCCCAGUUUGGGAAAUAGGACAGCUUCUUCGUCGUUCCAAUCAAAGCAGGAUGAAGCACUUUGUAAGAAGCUUGAUUUGGAUCAUAAAGUGGUGGAGAAUCACCAGGAAGUUGAAUAUAUCUCAUAGGAGUUGGGAUGAAGAAGUUAUCCACUUUUAAAUCAGGUGAUUCCAGUUUCCCAAUUAGGAAUAGGAAAGCUUCUUCGUCGUUCCAAUCAAAGCAGGAUGAAUCACUUGUAAGAAGCUUGAUUUGGAUACAUAAAGUGGUGGAGAAUCACCAGGAAGUUGAAUAAAUCUCAUAAGAGUUGGGAUGAAGAAGUUAUCCCACUUUCAAUCAGGUGAUUCCAGUUUCCCUGUUAGGGAAUAGGACAGCUUCUUGUCGUUCCAAUCAAACCAGGAUGAAACACUUUUGUAAGAAGCUUGAUUUGGAUACAUAAAGUGGUGUAGAAUCACCAGUAAGUUGAAUAAAUCUCAUAGGAGUUGGGAUGAAGAAGUUAUCCCACUUUUAAAUCAGGUGAUUCCAGUUUCGCAGUUCGGAAUAGGACAGCUUCUUCGUCGUUCCAAUCAAAGCAGGAUGAGUCACUUUUUAAGAAGUUUGAUUUGAAUACAUAAAGUGGUGGAAAAUCACCAAGAAGUUGAAUAAAUCUCAUAGGAGUUGGGAUGAAGAAGUUAUCCGACUUUUAAAUCAGGUGAUUCCAGUUUCCCAGUUAGGGAAUAGGAAAGCUUCUUCGUCGUUCCAAUCAAAGAAGGAUGAAGCACUUUGUAAGAAGCUUGAUUUGGAUACAUAAAGUUGUGGAGAAUCACCAGGAAGUUGAAUAUAUCUCAUAGGAGGUUGGAUGAAGAAGUUAUCCGACUUUUAAAUCAGGUGAUUCCAGUUUCCCAGUUAGGGAAUAGGAAAGCUUCUUCGUCGUUCCAAUCAAAGCAGGAUGAAUCACUUUGUGAGAAGCUUGAUUUGGAUACAUAAAGUGGUGGAGAAUCACCAGGAAGUUGAAUAAAUCUCAUAAGAGUUGGGAUGAAGAAGUUAUCCCACUUUCAAUUCAGGUGAUUCCAGUUUCCCAGUUAGGGAAUAGGACAGCUUCUUCGUCGUUCCAAUCAAACCAGGAUGAAUCACUUUGUAAGAAGCUUGAUUUGGAUACAUAAAGUGUUGUAGAAUCACCAGUAAGUUGAAUAAAUCUCAUAGGAGUUGGGAUGAAGAAGUUAUCCCGCUUUUAAAUCAGGUGAUUCCAGUUUUGCAGUUUGGGAAUAGGACAGCUUCUUCGUCGUUCCAAUCAAAGCAGGAUGAAUCACUUUGUAAGAAGCUUGAUUUGGAUACAUAAAGUGUUUGAGAAUCACCAGGACGUUGAAUAAAUCUCAUAGAAGUUGGGAUGAAUAAGUUGUCCCACUUUCAAAUCAGGUGAUUCCAGUUUCCCAGUUUGGGAAUAGGGCAGCUUCUUCGUCGUUCCAAUCAAAGCAGGAUGAAGGACUUUGUAAGAAUCUUUAUUUGGAUACAUAAAGUGUUGAGAAUCACCAGGAAGUUGAAUAAAUCUCAUAGGAGGUUGGAUGAAAAGUUAUCCCACUUUCAAAUCAGGUGAUUCCAGUUUCCCAGUUUGGGAAUAGGACAGCUUCUUCGUCGUCCAAUCAAACCAGGAUGAAUCACUUUGUAAGAAGCUUGAUUUGGAUACAUAAAGUGUUGAGAAUCACCAGGAAGUUGAAUAAAUCUCAUAGGAGUUGGGAUGAAGAAGUUAUCCCACUUUCAAAUUAGGUGAUUCCAGUUUCCCAGUGGGAAUAGGACAGCUUCUUCGUCGUUCCAAUCAAACCAGGAUGAAUCACUUUGUAAGAAGCUUGAUUUGGAUACAUAACGUGGUGAGAAUCACCAGGAAGUUAAUAAAUCUCAUAAGAGUUGGGAUGAAGAAGUUAUCCCACUUUCAAAUCAGUGAUUCAAGUUUCCCUGUUAGGGAAUAGGACAGCUUCUUCGUCGUUCCAAACAAAGAAGGAUGAAGACUUUGUAAGAAGCUUGAUUUGGAUACAUAAAGUGGUGGAGAAUCACCAGAAGUUGAAUAAAUCUCAUAGGAGUUAGGAUGAAGAAGUUAUCCCACUUUUAAAUCAGGUGAUUCCAGUUUCCCAGUUAGGGAAUAGGACAGCUUCUUCGUCGUUCCAUUCAAACCAGGAUGAAUCACUUUGUAAGAAGCUUGAUUUGGAUACAUAAAGUGUGUGUAGAAUCACAGUAAGUUAAAUAAAUCUCAUAGGAGUGGAAUGAAGAAGUUAUCCCACUUUUAAAUCAGGUGAUUCCAGUUUUGCCCAGUUUGGAAUAGGACAGCUUCUUCGUCGUUCCAAUCAAAGCAGGAUGAAUCACUUUUUAAGAAGCUUGAUUUGGAUACAUAAAGUGGUGGAGAAUCACCCAGAAUUUAUAUAAAUCUUAUAGGAGUUGGGAUGAAUAAGUUACCCACUUUCAAAUCAGGUGAUUCCGGUUUCCCAAUUUGGGAAUAGGACAGCUUCUUCGUCGUUCCAAUCAAAGCAGGAUGAAGCACUUUGUAAGAAGCUUGAUUUAGAUUCAUAAAGUGGUGGAGAAUCACCAGGAAGUUGAAUAUAUCUCAUAGGAGUUGGGAUGAAGAAGUUAUCCCACUUUUAAAUCAGGUGAUUCCAGUUUCCCAAUUAGAGAAUAGGAAAGCUUCUUCGUCGUUCCAAUCAAAGCAGGAUGAAUCACUUUGUGAGAAGCUUGAUUUGGAUACAUAAAGUGGUGGAGAAUCAACAGGAAGUUGAAUAAAUCUCAUAAGAGUUGGGAUGAAGAAGUUAUCUCACUUUCAAUUCAGGUGACUCCAGUUUCCCUGUUAGGGAAUAUGACAGCUUCUUUGUCGUUCCAAUCAAACCAGGAUGAAACACUUUGUAAGAAGCUUGAUUUGGAUACAUAAAGUGGUGUAGAAUCACCAGUAAGUUUAAUAAAUCUCAUAGGAGUUGGGAUGAAGAAGUUAUCCCACUUUUAAAUCAGGUGAUUCCAGUUUCGCAGUUUCGGAAUAGGACAGCUUCUUCCUCGUUCCAAUCAAAGCAGGAUGAGUCACUUUUUAAGAAGCUUGAUUUGGAUACAUAAAGUGGUGGAGAAUCACCAGGAAUUUAUAUAAAUCUUAUAGGAGUUGGGAUGAAUAAAUUAUCCCACUUUCAAAUCAGGUGAUUCCAGUUUCCCAGUUUGGGAAUAGGACAACUUCUUCGUCGUUCCAAUCAAAGCAGGAUGAAGCACUUUGUAAGAAGCUUGAUUUGGAUUCAUAAAGUGGUGGAGAAUCACCAGGAAGUUGAAUAUAUCUCAUAGGAGUUGGGAUGAAGAAGUUAUCCCUCUUUUAAAUCAGGUGAUUCCAGUUUCCCAGUUAGGGAAUAGGGAAGCUUCUUCGUCGUUCCUAUCAAACCAGGAUGAAUCACUUUGUGAGAAGCUUGAUUUGGAUACAUAAAAUGGUGGAGAAUCACCAGGAAGUUGAAUAAAUCUCAUAAGAGUUGGGAUGAAGAAGUUAUCCCACUUUCAAUUCAUGUGAUUCCAGUUUCCCUGUUAGGGAAUAGGACAGCUUCUUUGUCGUUCCAAUCAAACCAGGAUGAAUCACUUUGUAAGAAGCUUGAUUUGGAUGCAUAAAGUGGUGUAGAAUCACCAGUAAGUUGAAUAAAUCUCAUAGGAGUUGGGAUGAAGAAGUUAUCCCACUUUUAAAUCAGGUAAUUCCAGUUUCGCAGUUUCGGAAUAGGAUAUCUUCUUCGUCGUUCCAAUCAAGGCAGGAUGAAUUACUUUCUAAGAAGCUUGAUUUGGAUACAUAAAGUGUUUGAGAAUCACCAGGACGUUGAAUAAAUCUCAUAGGAGGUUGGAUGAAGAAGUUUUCCCACUUUCAAAUCAGGUGGGUUUUCCGGUUUGGGAAUAGGGCAGCUUCUUCGUCGUUCCAAUCAAAGCAGGAUGAAGGACUUUGUAAGAAGCUUGAUUUGGAUACAUAGAGUGUUGUAGAAUCACCAAGAAGUUGAAUAAAUCUCAUAGGAGAUUGGAUGAAAAAGUUAUCCCACUUCCAAAUCAGGUGAUUCCAGUUCCCAGUUUGGGAAUAGGACAGCUUCUUCGUCGUCCAAUCAAACCAGGAUAAAUCAAUUUGUAAGAAGCUUGAUUUGGAUACAUAAAGUGUUCGAGAAUCACCAGGAAGUUGAAUAAAUCUCAUAGGAGUUGGGAUGAAGAAGUUAUCCCACUUUCAAAUUAGGUGAUUCCAGUUUCCCAGUUAAGGAAUAGGACAGCUUCUUCGUCGUUCCAAUCAAACCAGGAUGAAUCACUUUGUAAGAAGCUUGAUUUGGAUACAUAACGUGGUGGAGAAUCACCAGGAAGUUAAAUAAACCUCAUAGGAGUUAGGAUGAAGAAGUUAUCCCACUUUCCAUCAGGUGAUUCAAGUUUCCCUGUUAGGGAAUAGGACAGCUUCUUCGUCGUUCCAAACAAAGAAGGAUGAAGCACUUUGUAAGAAGCUUGAUUUGGAUACAUAAAGUGGUGGAGAAUCACCAGUAAGUUGAAUAAAUCUCAUAGGAGUUAGGAUGAAGAAGUUAUCCCACUUUUAAAUCAGGUGAUUCCAGUUUCACAGUUACGGAAUAGGACAGCUUCUUCGUCGUUCCAUUCAAACCAGGAUGGAUCACUUUGUAAGAAGCUUGAUUUGGAUACAUAAAGUGGUGUAGAAUCACCAGUAAGUUAAAUAAAUCUCAUAGGAGUUGGAAUGAAGAAGUUAUCCCACUUUUAAAUCAGGUGAUUCCAGUUUUGCAGUUUCGGAAUAGGACAGCUUCUUCGUCGUUCCAAUCAAAGCAGGAUGAAUCACUUUUUAAGAAGCUUGAUUUGGAUACAUAAAGUGGUGGAGAAUCACCCGGAAUUUAUAUAAAUCUUAUAGGAGUUGGGAUGAAUAAGUUAUCCCACUUUCAAAUCAGGUGAUUCCGGUUUCCCAAUUUGGGAAUAGGACAGCUUCUUCGUCGUUCCAAUCAAAGCAGGAUGAAGAACUUUGUAAGAAGCUUGGUUUAGAUUCAUAAAGUGGUGGAGAAUCACCAGGAAGUUGAAUAUAUCUCAUAGGAGUUGGGAUGAAGAAGUUAUCCCACUUUUAAAUCAGGUGAUUCCAGUUUCCCAAUUAAGGAAUAGGAAAGCUUCUUCGUCGUUCCAAUCAAAGCAGGAUGAAUCACUUUGUGAGAAGCUUGAUUUGGAUACAUAAAGUGGUGGAGAAUCAACAGGAAGUUGAAUAAAUCUCAUAAGAGUUGGGAUGAAGAAGUUAUCCCACUUUCAAUUCAGGUGAUUUCAGUUUCCCUGUUAGGGAAUAGGACAGCUUCUUUGUCGUUCCAAUCAAACCAGGAUGAAACACUUUGUAAGAAGCUUGAUUUGGAUACAUAAAGUGGUGUAGAAUCACCAGUAAGUUGAAUAAAUCUCAUAGGAGUUGGGAUGAAGAAGUUAUCCCACUUUUAAAUCAGGUGAUUCCAGUUUCGCAGUUUCGGAAUAGGACACUUCUUCGUCGUUCCAAUCAAAGCAGGAUGAGUCACUUUUUAAGAAGCUUGAUUUGGAUACAUAAAGUGGUGGAGAAUCACCAGAAAUUUAUAUAAAUCUUAUAGGAGUUGGGAUGAAUAAAUUAUCCCAUUUUCAAAUCAGGUGAUUCCAGUUUCCCAGUUUGGGAAUAGGACAGCUUCUUCGUCGUUCCAAUCAAAGCAGGAUGAAGCACUUUGUAAGAAGCUUGAUUUGGAUUCAUAAAGUGGUGGAGAAUCACCAGGAAGUUGAAUAUAUCUCAUAGGAGUUGGGAUGAAGAAGUUAUCCCUCUCUUAAAUCAGGUGAUUCCAGUUUCCUAGUUAGGGAAUAGGAAAGCUUCUUCGUCGUUCCUAUCAAACCAGGAUGAAUCACUUUGUUAGAAGCUUGAUUUGGAUACAUAAAAUGGUGGAGAAUCACCAAGAAGUUGAAUAAAUCUCAUAAGAGUUGGGAUGAAGAAGUUAUCCCACUUUCAAUUCAGGUUAUUCCAGUUUCCCUGUUAGGGAAUAGGACAGCUUCUUUGUCGUUCCAAUCAAACCAGGAUGAAUCACUUUGUAAGAAGCUUGAUUUGGAUGCAUAAAGUGGUGUAGAAUCACCAGUAAGUUGAAUAAAUAUCAUAGGAGUUGGGAUGAAGAAGUUAUCCCACUUUUAAAUCAGGUAAUUCCAGUUUCGCAGUUUCGGAAUAGGAUAUCUUCUUCGUCGUUCCAAUCAAGGCAGGAUGAAUUACUUUCUAAGAAGCUUGAUUUGGAUACAUAAAGUGUUUGAGAAUCACCAGGACGUUGAAUAAAUCUCAUAGGAGGUUGGAUGAAGAAGUUUUCCCACUUUCAAAUCAGGUGGGUUUUCCGGUUUGGGAAUAGGGCAGCUUCUUCGUCGUUCCAAUCAAAGCAGGAUGAAGGACUUUGUAAGAAGCUUGAUUUGGAUACAUAGAGUGUUGUAGAAUCACCAGGAAGUUGAAUAAAUCUCAUAGGAGGUUGGAUGAAAAAGUUAUCCCACUUCCAAAUCAGGUGAUUCCAGUUCCCAGUUUGGGAAUAGGACAGCUUUUUCGUCGUCCAAUCAAACCAGGAUAAAUCAAUUUGUAAGAAGCUUGAUUUGGAUACAUAAAGUGUUCGAGAAUCACCAGGAAGUUGAAUAAAUCUCAUAGGAGUUGGGCUGAAGAAGUUAUCCGACUUUCAAAUUAGGUGAUUCCAGUUUCCCAGAUAAGGAAUAGGACAUCUUCUUCUUCGUUCCAAUCAAACCAGGAUGAAUCACUUUGUAAGAAGCUUGAUUUGGAUACAUAACGUGGUGGAGAAUAUACCAGGAAGUUAAAUAAAUCUCAUAAGAGUUGGGAUGAAGAAGUUAUCCCACUUUCAAUUCAGGUGAUUCAAGUUUCCCUGUUAGGGAAUAGGACAGCUUCUUCGUCGUUCCAAACAAAGAAGGAUGAAGCACUUUGUAAGAAGCUUGAUUUGGAUACAUAAAGUGGUGGAGAAUCACCAGUAAGUUAAUAAAUCUCAUAGGAGUUAGGAUGAAGAAGUUAUCCCACUUUUAAAUCAGGUGAUUCCAGUUUCACAGUUAGGGAAUAGGACAGCUUCUUCGUCGUUCCAUUCAAACCAGGAUGAAUCACUUUGUAAGAAGCUUGAUUUGGAUACAUAAAGUGGUGUAGAAUCACCAGUAAGUUAAAUAAAUCUCAUAGGAGUUGGAAUGAAGAAGUUAUCCCACUUUUAAAUCAGGUGAUUCCAGUUUUGCAGUUUCGGAAUAGGACAGCUUCUUCGUCGUUCCAAUCAAAGCAGGAUGAAUCACUUUUUAAGAAGCUUGAUUUGGAUACAUAAAGUGGUGGAGAAUCACCCGGAAUUUAUAUAAAUCUUAUAGGAGUUGGGAUGAAUAAGUUAUCCCACUUUCAAAUCAGGUGAUUCCGGUUUCCCAAUUUGGGAAUAGGACAGCUUCUUCGUCGUUCCAAUCAAAGCAGGAUGAAGAACUUUGUAAGAAGCUUGGUUUAGAUUCAUAAAGUGGUGGAGAAUCACCAGGAAGUUGAAUAUAUCUCAUAGGAGUUGGGAUGAAGAAGUUAUCCCACUUUUAAAUCAGGUGAUUCCAGUUUCCCAAUUAAGGAAUAGGAAAGCUUCUUCGUCGUUCCAAUCAAAGCAGGAUGAAUCACUUUGUGAGAAGCUUGAUUUGGAUACAUAAAGUGGUGGAGAAUCAACAGGAAGUUGAAUAAAUCUCAUAAGAGUUGGGAUGAAGAAGUUAUCCCACUUUCAAUUCAGGUGAUUUCAGUUUCCCUGUUAGGGAAUAGGACAGCUUCUUUGUCGUUCCAAUCAAACCAGGAUGAAACACUUUGUAAGAAGCUUGAUUUGGAUACAUAAAGUGGUGUAGAAUCACCAGUAAGUUGAAUAAAUCUCAUAGGAGUUGGGAUGAAGAAGUUAUCCCACUUUUAAAUCAGGUGAUUCCAGUUUCGCAGUUUCGGAAUAGGACAACUUCUUCGUCGUUCCAAUCAAAGCAGGAUGAGUCACUUUUUAAGAAGCUUGAUUUGGAUACAUAAAGUGGUGGAGAAUCACCAGAAAUUUAUAUAAAUCUUAUAGGAGUUGGGAUGAAUAAAUUAUCCCAUUUUCAAAUCAGGUGAUUCCAGUUUCCCAGUUUGGGAAUAGGACAGCUUCUUCGUCGUUCCAAUCAAAGCAGGAUGAAGCACUUUGUAAGAAGCUUGAUUUGGAUUCAUAAAGUGGUGGAGAAUCACCAGGAAGUUGAAUAUAUCUCAUAGGAGUUGGGAUGAAGAAGUUAUCCCUCUCUUAAAUCAGGUGAUUCCAGUUUCCUAGUUAGGGAAUAGGAAAGCUUCUUCGUCGUUCCUAUCAAACCAGGAUGAAUCACUUUGUUAGAAGCUUGAUUUGGAUACAUAAAAUGGUGGAGAAUCACCAAGAAGUUGAAUAAAUCUCAUAAGAGUUGGGAUGAAGAAGUUAUCCCACUUUCAAUUCAGGUUAUUCCAGUUUCCCUGUUAGGGAAUAGGACAGCUUCUUUGUCGUUCCAAUCAAACCAGGAUGAAUCACUUUGUAAGAAGCUUGAUUUGGAUGCAUAAAGUGGUGUAGAAUCACCAGUAAGUUGAAUAAAUAUCAUAGGAGUUGGGAUGAAGAAGUUAUCCCACUUUUAAAUCAGGUAAUUCCAGUUUCGCAGUUUCGGAAUAGGAUAUCUUCUUCGUCGUUCCAAUCAAGGCAGGAUGAAUUACUUUCUAAGAAGCUUGAUUUGGAUACAUAAAGUGUUUGAGAAUCACCAGGACGUUGAAUAAAUCUCAUAGGAGGUUGGAUGAAGAAGUUUUCCCACUUUCAAAUCAGGUGGGUUUUCCGGUUUGGGAAUAGGGCAGCUUCUUCGUCGUUCCAAUCAAAGCAGGAUGAAGGACUUUGUAAGAAGCUUGAUUUGGAUACAUAGAGUGUUGUAGAAUCACCAGGAAGUUGAAUAAAUCUCAUAGGAGGUUGGAUGAAAAAGUUAUCCCACUUCCAAAUCAGGUGAUUCCAGUUCCCAGUUUGGGAAUAGGACAGCUUUUUCGUCGUCCAAUCAAACCAGGAUAAAUCAAUUUGUAAGAAGCUUGAUUUGGAUACAUAAAGUGUUCGAGAAUCACCAGGAAGUUGAAUAAAUCUCAUAGGAGUUGGGCUGAAGAAGUUAUCCGACUUUCAAAUUAGGUGAUUCCAGUUUCCCAGAUAAGGAAUAGGACAUCUUCUUCUUCGUUCCAAUCAAACCAGGAUGAAUCACUUUGUAAGAAGCUUGAUUUGGAUACAUAACGUGGUGGAGAAUAUACCAGGAAGUUAAAUAAAUCUCAUAAGAGUUGGGAUGAAGAAGUUAUCCCACUUUCAAUUCAGGUGAUUCAAGUUUCCCUGUUAGGGAAUAGGACAGCUUCUUCGUCGUUCCAAACAAAGAAGGAUGAAGCACUUUGUAAGAAGCUUGAUUUGGAUACAUAAAGUGGUGGAGAAUCACCAGUAAGUUUAAUAAAUCUCAUAGGAGUUAGGAUGAAGAAGUUAUCCCACUUUUAAAUCAGGUGAUUCCAGUUUCACAGUUAGGGAAUAGGACAGCUUCUUCGUCGUUCCAUUCAAACCAGGAUGAAUCACUUUGUAAGAAGCUUGAUUUGGAUACAUAAAGUGGUGUAGAAUCACCAGUAAGUUAAAUAAAUCUCAUAGGAGUUGGAAUGAAGAAGUUAUCCCACUUUUAAAUCAGGUGAUUCCAGUUUUGCAGUUUCGGAAUAGGACAGCUUCUUCGUCGUUCCAAUCAAAGCAGGAUGAAUCACUUUUUAAGAAGCUUGAUUUGGAUACAUAAAGUGGUGGAGAAUCACCCAGAAUUUAUAUAAAUCUUAUAGGAGUUGGGAUGAAUAAGUUAUCCCACUUUCAAAUCAGGUGAUUCCGGUUUCCCAAUUUGGGAAUAGGACAGCUUCUUCGUCGUUCCAAUCAAAGCAGGAUGAAGCACUUUGUAAGAAGCUUGAUUUGGAUUCAUAAAGUGGUGGAGAAUCACCAGGAAGUUGAAUAUAUCUCAUAGGAGUUGGGAUGAAGAAGUUAUCCCUCUUUUAAAUCAGGUGAUUCCAGUUUCCCAGUUAGGGAAUAGGAAAGUUUCUUCGUCGUUCCUAUCAAACCAGGAUGAAUCACUUUGUGAGAAGCUUGAUUUGGAUACAUAAAAUGGUGGAGAAUCACCAGGAAGUUGAAUAAAUCUCAUAAGAGUUGGGAUGAAGAAGUUAUCCCACUUUCAAUUCAUGUGAUUCCAGUUUCCCUGUUAGGGAAUAGGACAGCUUCUUUGUCGUUCCAAUCAAACCAGGAUGAAUCACUUUGUAAGAAGCUUGAUUUGGAUGCAUAAAGUGGUGUAGAAUCACCAGUAAGUUGAAUAAAUCUCAUAGGAGUUGGGAUGAAGAAGUUAUCCCACUUUUAAAUCAGGUAAUUCCAGUUUCGCAGUUUCGGAAUAGGAUAUCUUCUUCGUCGUUCCAAUCAAGGCAGGAUGAAUUACUUUCUAAGAAGCUUGAUUUGGAUACAUAAAGUGUUUGAGAAUCACCAGGACGUUGAAUAAAUCUCAUAGGAGGUUGGAUGAAGAAGUUUUCCCACUUUCAAAUCAGGUGGGUUUUCCGGUUUGGGAAUAGGGCAGCUUCUUCGUCGUUCCAAUCAAAGCAGGAUGAAGGACUUUGUAAGAAGCUUGAUUUGGAUACAUAGAGUGUUGUAGAAUCACCAAGAAGUUGAAUAAAUCUCAUAGGAGAUUGGAUGAAAAAGUUAUCCCACUUCCAAAUCAGGUGAUUCCAGUUCCCAGUUUGGGAAUAGGACAGCUUCUUCGUCGUCCAAUCAAACCAGGAUAAAUCAAUUUGUAAGAAGCUUGAUUUGGAUACAUAAAGUGUUCGAGAAUCACCAGGAAGUUGAAUAAAUCUCAUAGGAGUUGGGAUGAAGAAGUUAUCCCACUUUCAAAUUAGGUGAUUCCAGUUUCCCAGUUAAGGAAUAGGACAGCUUCUUCGUCGUUCCAAUCAAACCAGGAUGAAUCACUUUGUAAGAAGCUUGAUUUGGAUACAUAACGUGGUGGAGAAUCACCAGGAAGUUAAAUAAACCUCAUAGGAGUUAGGAUGAAGAAGUUAUCCCACUUUCCAUCAGGUGAUUCAAGUUUCCCUGUUAGGGAAUAGGACAGCUUCUUCGUCGUUCCAAACAAAGAAGGAUGAAGCACUUUGUAAGAAGCUUGAUUUGGAUACAUAAAGUGGUGGAGAAUCACCAGUAAGUUGAAUAAAUCUCAUAGGAGUUAGGAUGAAGAAGUUAUCCUACUUUUAAAUCAGGUGAUUCCAGUUUCACAGUUACGGAAUAGGACAGCUUCUUCGUCGUUCCAUUCAAACCAGGAUGGAUCACUUUGUAAGAAGCUUGAUUUGGAUACAUAAAGUGGUGUAGAAUCACCAGUAAGUUAAAUAAAUCUCAUAGGAGUUGGAAUGAAGAAGUUAUCCCACUUUUAAAUCAGGUGAUUCCAGUUUUGCAGUUUCGGAAUAGGACAGCUUCUUCGUCGUUCCAAUCAAAGCAGGAUGAAUCACUUUUUAAGAAGCUUGAUUUGGAUACAUAAAGUGGUGGAGAAUCACCCGGAAUUUAUAUAAAUCUUAUAGGAGUUGGGAUGAAUAAGUUAUCCCACUUUCAAAUCAGGUGAUUCCGGUUUCCCAAUUUGGGAAUAGGACAGCUUCUUCAUCGUUCCAAUCAAAGCAGGAUGAAGAACUUUGUAAGAAGCUUGGUUUAGAUUCAUAAAGUGGUGGAGAAUCACCAGGAAGUUGAAUAUAUCUCAUAGGAGUUGGGAUGAAGAAGUUAUCCCACUUUUAAAUCAGGUGAUUCCAGUUUCCCAAUUAAGGAAUAGGAAAGCUUCUUCUUCGUUCCAAUCAAAGCAGGAUGAAUCACUUUGUGAGAAGCUUGAUUUGGAUACAUAAAGUGGUGGAGAAUCAACAGGAAGUUGAAUAAAUCUCAUAAGAGUUGGGAUGAAGAAGUUAUCCCACUUUCAAUUCAGGUGAUUCCAGUUUCCCUGUUAGGGAAUAGGACAGCUUCUUUGUCGUUCCAAUCAAACCAGGAUGAAACACUUUGUAAGAAGCUUGAUUUGGAUACAUAAAGUGGUGUAGAAUCACCAGUAAGUUGAAUAAAUCUCAUAGGAGUUGGGAUGAAGAAGUUAUCCCACUUUUAAAUCAGGUGAUUCCAGUUUCGCAGUUUCGGAAUAGGACAACUUCUUCGUCGUUCCAAUCAAAGCAGGAUGAGUCACUUUUUAAGAAGCUUGAUUUGGAUACAUAAAGUGGUGGAGAAUCACCAGAAAUUUAUAUAAAUCUUAUAGGAGUUGGGAUGAAUAAAUUAUCCCAUUUUCAAAUCAGGUGAUUCCAGUUUCCCAGUUUGGGAAUAGGACAGCUUCUUCGUCGUUCCAAUCAAAGCAGGAUGAAGCACUUUGUAAGAAGCUUGAUUUGGAUUCAUAAAGUGGUGGAGAAUCACCAGGAAGUUGAAUAUAUCUCAUAGGAGUUGGGAUGAAGAAGUUAUCCCUCUCUUAAAUCAGGUGAUUCCAGUUUCCUAGUUAGGGAAUAGGAAAGCUUCUUCGUCGUUCCUAUCAAACCAGGAUGAAUCACUUUGUUAGAAGCUUGAUUUGGAUACAUAAAAUGGUGGAGAAUCACCAAGAAGUUGAAUAAAUCUCAUAAGAGUUGGGAUGAAGAAGUUAUCCCACUUUCAAUUCAGGUUAUUCCAGUUUCCCUGUUAGGGAAUAGGACAGCUUCUUUGUCGUUCCAAUCAAACCAGGAUGAAUCACUUUGUAAGAAGCUUGAUUUGGAUGCAUAAAGUGGUGUAGAAUAACCAGUAAGUUGAAUAAAUAUCAUAGGAGUUGGGAUGAAGAAGUUAUCCCACUUUUAAAUCAGGUAAUUCCAGUUUCGCAGUUUCGGAAUAGGAUAUCUUCUUCGUCGUUCCAAUCAAGGCAGGAUGAAUUACUUUCUAAGAAGCUUGAUUUGGAUACAUAAAGUGUUUGAGAAUCACCAGGACGUUGAAUAAAUCUCAUAGGAGGUUGGAUGAAGAAGUUUUCCCACUUUCAAAUCAGGUGGGUUUUCCGGUUUGGGAAUAGGGCAGCUUCUUCGUCGUUCCAAUCAAAGCAGGAUGAAGGACUUUGUAAGAAGCUUGAUUUGGAUACAUAGAGUGUUGUAGAAUCACCAGGAAGUUGAAUAAAUCUCAUAGGAGGUUGGAUGAAAAAGUUAUCCCACUUCCAAAUCAGGUGAUUCCAGUUCCCAGUUUGGGAAUAGGACAGCUUUUUCGUCGUCCAAUCAAACCAGGAUAAAUCAAUUUGUAAGAAGCUUGAUUUGGAUACAUAAAGUGUUCGAGAAUCACCAGGAAGUUGAAUAAAUCUCAUAGGAGUUGGGCUGAAGAAGUUAUCCGACUUUCAAAUUAGGUGAUUCCAGUUUCCCAGAUAAGGAAUAUGACAUCUUCUUCGUCGUUCCAAUCAAACCAGGAUGAAUCACUUUGUAAGAAGCUUGAUUUGGAUACAUAACGUGGUGGAGAAUAUACCAGGAAGUUAAAUAAAUCUCAUAAGAGUUGGGAUGAAGAAGUUAUCCCACUUUCAAUUCAGGUGAUUCAAGUUUCCCUGUUAGGGAAUAGGACAGCUUCUUCGUCGUUCCAAACAAAGAAGGAUGAAGCACUUUGUAAGAAGCUUGAUUUGGAUACAUAAAGUGGUGGAGAAUCACCAGUAAGUUGAAUAAAUCUCAUAGGAGUUAGGAUGAAGAAGUUAUCCCACUUUUAAAUCAGGUGAUUCCAGUUUCACAGUUAGGGAAUAGGACAGCUUCUUCGUCGUUCCAUUCAAACCAGGAUGAAUCACUUUGUAAGAAGCUUGAUUUGGAUACAUAAAGUGGUGGAGAAUCACCAGUAAGUUGAAUAAAUCUCAUAGGAGUUAGGAUGAAGAAGUUAUCCCACUUUUAAAUCAGGUGAUUCCAGUUUCACAGUUAGGGAAUAUGACAGCUUCUUCGUCGUUCCAUUCAAACCAGGAUGAAUCACUUUGUAAGAAGCUUGAUUUGGAUACAUAAAGUGGUGUAGAAUCACCAGGAAGUUGAAUAUAUCUCAUAGGAGUUGGGAUGAAGAAGUUAUCCCACUUUUAAAUCAGGUGAUUCCAGUUUCCCAAUUAGGGAAUAGGAAAGCUUCUUCGUCGUUCCAAUCAAAGCAGGAUGAAUCACUUUGUGAGAAGCUUGAUUUGGAUACAUAAAGUGGUGGAGAAUCAACAGGAAGUUGAAUAAAUUUUAUAAGAGUUGGGAUGAAGAAGUUAUCCCACUUUCAAUUCAGGUGAUUCAAGUUUCCCUGUUAGGGAAUAGGACAACUUCUUUGUCGUUCCAAUCAAACCAGGAUGAAACACUUUGUAAGAAGCUUUAUUUGGAUACAUAAAGUGGUGUAGAAUCACCAGUAAGUUGAAUAAAUCUCAUAGGAGUUGGGAUGAAGAAGUUAUCCCACUUUUAAAUCAGGUGAUUCCAGUUUCGCAGUUUCGGAAUAGGACAGCUUCUUCGUCGUUCCAAUCAAAGCAGGAUGAGUCACUUUUUAAGAAGCUUGAUUUGGAUACAUAAAGUGGUGGAGAAUCACCAGGAAUUUAUAUAAAUCUUAUAGGAGUUGGGAUGAAUAAAUUAUCCCACUUUCAAAUCAGGUGAUUCCAGUUUCCCAGUUUGGGAAUAGGACAGCUUCUUCGUCGUUCCAAUCAAAGCAGGAUGAAGCACUUUGUAAGAAGCUUGAUUUGGAUUCAUAAAGUGGUGGAGAAUCACCAGGAAGUUGAAUAUAUCUCAUAGGAGUUGGGAUGAAGAAGUUAUCCCUCUUUUAAAUCAGGUGAUUCCAGUUUCCCAGUUAGGGAAUAGGAAAGCUUCUUCGUCGUUCCUAUCAAACCAGGAUGAAUCACUUUGUGAGAAGCUUGAUUUGGAUACAUAAAAUGGUGGAGAAUCACCAGGAAGUUGAAUAAAUCUCAUAAGAGUUGGGAUGAAGAAGUUAUCCCACUUUCAAUUCAUGUGAUUCCAGUUUCCCUGUUAGGGAAUAGGACAGCUUCUUUGUCGUUCCAAUCAAACCAGGAUGAAUCACUUUGUAAGAAGCUUGAUUUGGAUGCAUAAAGUGGUGUAGAAUCACCAGUAAGUUGAAUAAAUCUCAUAGGAGUUGGGAUGAAGAAGUUAUCCCACUUUUAAAUCAGGUAAUUCCAGUUUCGCAGUUUCGGAAUAGGAUAUCUUCUUCGUCGUUCCAAUCAAGGCAGGAUGAAUUACUUUCUAAGAAGCUUGAUUUGGAUACAUAAAGUGUUUGAGAAUCACCAGGACGUUGAAUAAAUCUCAUAGGAGGUUGGAUGAAGAAGUUUUCCCACUUUCAAAUCAGGUGGGUUUUCCGGUUUGGGAAUAGGGCUGCUUCUUCGUCGUUCCAAUCAAAGCAGGAUGAAGGACUUUGUAAGAAGCUUGAUUUGGAUACAUAGAGUGUUGUAGAAUCACCAAGAAGUUGAAUAAAUCUCAUAGGAGAUUGGAUGAAAAAGUUAUCCCACUUCCAAAUCAGGUGAUUCCAGUUCCCAGUUUGGGAAUAGGACAGCUUCUUCGUCGUCCAAUCAAACCAGGAUAAAUCAAUUUGUAAGAAGCUUGAUUUGGAUACAUAAAGUGUUCGAGAAUCAGCAGGAAGUUGAAUAAAUCUCAUAGGAGUUGGGAUGAAGAAGUUAUCCCACUUUCAAAUUAGGUGAUUCCAGUUUCCCAGUUAAGGAAUAGGACAGCUUCUUCGUCGUUCCAAUCAAACCAGGAUGAAUCACUUUGUAAGAAGCUUGAUUUGGAUACAUAACGUGGUGGAGAAUCACCAGGAAGUUAAAUAAACCUCAUAGGAGUUAGGAUGAAGAAGUUAUCCCACUUUCCAUCAGGUGAUUCAAGUUUCCCUGUUAGGGAAUAGGACAGCUUCUUCGUCGUUCCAAACAAAGAAGGAUGAAGCACUUUGUAAGAAGCUUGAUUUGGAUACAUAAAGUGGUGUAGAAUCACCUGUAAGUUGAAUAAAUCUCAUAGGAGUUGGGAUGAAGAAGUUAUCCCACUUUCAAAUCAGGUGAUUCCAGUUUCCCAGUUUCGGAAUAGGACAGCUUCUUCGUCGUUCCAAUCAAAGCAGGAUGAAUCACUUUGUCAGAAGCUUGAUUUGGAUACAUAAAGUUGUGAAGAAUCACCAGGAAUUUGAAUAAAUCUCAUAGGAGGUUGGAUGAAGAAGUUAUCCCACUUUCAAAUCAGGUGAUUCCACUUUCCCAGUUAGGGAAUAGGAUAGCUUCUUCGUCGUUCCAAUCAAACCAAGAUCAAUCACUUUGUAAGAAGCUUGAUUUGGAUAGAUAAAGUGGUGUAGAAUCACCAGGAUGUUGAAUAAAUCUCAUAGGAGUUGGGAUGAAGAAGUUAUCCCACUUUUAAGUCAGGUGAUUCCAGUUUUGCAGUUUCAGAAUAGGACAGCUUCUUCGUUGUUCCAAUCAAACCAAGUAAAAAUCUUCAUAGUACCGAAUAUGGAAGACUUCCAUCUACUCUAACCGACAAGAACCGACAUAUAGACGACUAUAUAAAGGGAACCGAAACCCUAGAUUAAGGGAUUAACACUUUUAGACUUAGAGAUUAUACUUAGACGGCUAGGGUUAGGGUUCAUACCAAAAAUACUUGUAAUCCUUGCUUGUCCUUGCUUGUCUACUCAAUAAAGAUCUCUUCAAGUCUCUUACUCUCUAAUCUCUCAUAAAUGAUAUCACUCAAAUUACCCUAAGGAGUGAAUUACUCUCUCAAAUAAGAGGUUCAGAUGUAGAACUUAGGAAUCAGAUCCACAAAGACUCUAGGAUUACCCUAAUUGAUCUGUUUUGAGGUUGUUAACAUUUGGGAGAAAUAGUUAGAUUCAUGUAUAUUCUUAGGUAUGAUAAGUAAUACUUAAGUUGGGUGUUUAGGGGUUUAUUAAUAUUAAUUGUUCUUGAAUUCAAACUAAGAUAUAGUCUAUUUGAUUGUCUAAUCUGGAUUUCGGAUUUCAACUUUCGUAUGUUAAUCACGAGAAAGUUUCGAUAGAUAAUUCUUUAUGAAUAUCGAUCGAUAUACCUUUUAAAGUAUCGAUCGACAGGGCUAUCACUGCGUCGAUUGAUACUUCUUCCAGAAAGCUUUACGUACAGGUUUGAUUUAUAUUCUCUAACUUACUAGAUCAACUCUCGUCUGUAUCUAGUCAGUUAGAUCAUACUAGUUAAUUUUCAGGUAUUGAGUCAAGCAAUGACUUGAUCUCAAUUAAUCCUAAGAUCUAAGAUUUAUGGUUUAUCAACUCUAAGCUUAGUAAUAAGAACAACUAGAUGAAGAACUAAUUAAAUCACCCUAACAGAAAUUUAAGCUAGCAAUACAUAUAUCAACCUAUAUGAGAAACUUAAAUCUAACAGUGAGAUUACUCAGACAUAUUCAGAAAAGGCAUGGUUAUGAUGGUCUGAAUAAUAUUGCAAUAGAUAAAUAAACAUAAUAGAGUAAAGAAACAAAGGGGGUUCAAUAUUUUCUCUCUCUCCAAUCCUACGCUCUCUCUCUAGAAUAGUAUGAAGCAUUGCCAUCAACAAUGCCUUAGAAAACAGUAAAAUAGGGUUUCUGGUCAUCCAGGGGUAUUUUGGUAACUUAGUGUGGCUUCUGGGCUUCAAAAGGUCUUGAAAUAUGCUUGGCCCACGUUCUGGCAUCCAUAUCGAUCGAUGUCAAGAGUUCCGCAUCGAUCGACAUACGUUCCUCUUCUCGACAUUUUCCUCUCGCAAGGCAGACUGACCACUCUUCAGUACAAUGGGCAUAACUUCUGCUACAAGAUGCUGAUUUACCUGACACCGGUGGCAUUGGAAAGAUAACUCAAAUAUCUAUCUUUUGUCCAAAGAUGAACUCAAUAUAACGGUGGGAAAGUCUCCAUCCAUAGCUAAACAUCUGAUGCAUAUGUGCAGUUCUGCACUCAAAAUGCUCCAAAAUCACCAUAUUUCUCCAUAAUGUACCUGAACCUGAAAAUACUCUAAAUAGACUCUAUAUAUUAGUAAAUAUAUAUUAAAACACUUAUAUACCAUGGCUGAAAGUGGGUAAAAUCCAUGUUAUAUCUACUCCCCCAGACAUACUCUUUUGUUUGUCCUCAAACAAAACAUACUAGAGCAGUCUCUCUGAAAGAGGUUUGAAAACAGCAGGGAUUCUCAUGAUUUAAAACUUAGAAUCAUCACCUCUACAAUAUUACAAUCCACAUCUAAGAAGUCCUACUCAGAAAAGCACAUUAUAUCAUAUCCUAGUUUAGCAACCAAAUUCACCUAGCCAACAACUUAGCAAAUCAUGUUUUACAUUCCCGUCUACCAACCUCAUUUCUUAACAUAAAUAAAAGUGCAAGCUUUACCUUGGGAGUAUCAAUCACAGGAUGCAAUGAUUUUCAAACAAGUAUCUGAAUCUGCAGGUAAAAGUUAGUUCGUAUCUUUUUUCUCUACUAAUUUCUCUCUUUAGUCAAAGUCUGCUUAUAUUGCAAGAUCAAUGACAAAGAUUGGACAGGCUUCCAUGAAUCAAAACUUAAUGGUGGUUGCCACCAAGUCAUGUUCACUUCUUUUUGACCUAUAUCCAAGAAUUCAUAUGAAUCGAACCUUGAUGAUUGCCGCCACCAAGUCCCGUUCGAAUUAUUUUUGUAGGAAUCCUUAUGAAGCAAGCCUUAAUGGUUGUAGCCACCAAGUCAUGUUCGGAUUCCACUUAACUAACACAUGUAUAUAUAUAUAAUUUCUAUUUUUCUUUCUUUUUCUUUUUUUUUUCUUUUUCGUUUUUUUUUUUUUUGAAAUAAAUAUCUCUACCAAUAAAUCUAGGGUCGAAAUAGAGAAAGAAAAGGUGAUAAAUCUACACAAGGUUUUACCUUCUAGACUUGUUUAAAGAAUCCGUUCCCAUGUAGACCAAGCUCCAAGACAAGCAGUUGUGUCAGGUUUAGUGUUGGAGGUCAGUUUUGGUUCCUUCAAACAAUCUUAACAAAUGUGAUUAGUUGACAGGUUGAUCCACUUUAGUAUCUUUAGUACUAUCUGCAAUCAAUAAUUCUAGAAUGGUGCUAGAGAGUGGUUAGAUAACAAGUAAAAGUCUAAUAAGUUCAUUAUCCCCUUCUUGACUCAAUAAAACUCUUUUGAAAACAUUUUGAUAAGACUCAUGAACACACUAAUAUCAGUAAACAUCCCCCAUACUUAAAUUACACUGUCCCUAGUGUAUAUCUAGUUGGAGUUAUGGUGAGAAAUAAUCAUAAGUACACAAUUUAACAAGUUAUAACAAUAUACCUGACCAAGUAAGUGUCGAUCGAUGGAAAGGAGUUGCCAUCGGUCGGUGCAGGUGAUGUACGGUCGAUCGAUAUCGACAUGCUCUCAUCGGUCGAUUUUAUAAUUGUCUACUCGGAUUUUUUUAUUUAUUUAAACUAAAUCCUAAAUAUCCUAAAACUAGAAAUGGGUUGCCUCCCAUUCAGCGCUUAUUUUGAGUCUUGAGCUCGACUCGAGGUCUGAAUGUCUAAUUAUCAUGAAGAAGGCCUAAGUGUAAAGGCCUGCUAAUUGGCGGUUUAGCCCAAAAGUGUUUCACUCGUUGUCCAUUCACUGUAAAUUCUUCUCCUUUAUCGUUUAUAAGUGUGAUGGCUCCAUAAUGUUUGACAUCCACAACAGUGAAAGGACCUGACCAACGAGAUCGGAGUUUUCCAAGAAACAGCGUAAGUCGAGAGUUAUAUAACAGCACUUGAUCAUUUGGUUCGAAGUUCCUGGAGAUGUUCUUUUUAUCAUGAUAUGCUUUCGUUUUCUCUUUAUAGAUCUUUGAACUCUCAUAGGCUAAUUGUCUUAUUUCUUCCAGCUCGUUAAGCUUAAUUACUCUCCUUUCGGCAGCUGGUUUGAUGUCGAAAUUUAAUAAUUUUAUAGCCCAUGCUGCCUUAUGUUCUAGCUCAACCGGUAAGUGACAAGAUUUUCAAUAGAGUAGGUGAAAUGGGGUUGUUCCUAGUGGGGUUUUGUAUACAGUUUGGUAGGCCCAAAGUGCAUUGUCCAGUUUUCUAGACCAAUCUUUCCUAGAAGUUCCUACGGUCUUUUCUAAGAUUUCUUUGAUCUGUCGAUUUGAGACUUCUACUUGUCCACUUGUUUGCGGAUGGUAGGGUGUAGCAACUCUAUGGUGAACUCCGUUCUUCCGGAGCAAUCCGUCAAAAUCUUUGUUAAUAAAAUGGAAGCCACCGUCGCUUAUGACUAUUCUAGGAACUCCAAAUCUUGGAAAAAUAAUGCUCUUGAAAAGCUUGAUAACUACAGAUGCGUCAUUUUUUGGGGAGGCUACUGCUUCGACCCAUUUUGAUACAGAAUCAACAGCGACUAGUAUGUAUUUGUUCCCAUACGAAGAAGGGAAAGGACCCACGAAAUCUAUUCCCCAACAAUCAAAGACUUCUACCUCUACAAUAGAUUUCUGUUCCAUUUCAUGUCUUUUACUGAUUUUCCCCCUUCGUUGGCAUCUGUCGCAUUGUGCUAUGAAUGCAUGAGCAUCGGGAAACUUGGUCGGCGACCAGAAUCCUGCCUGAAGACUUUUAGAUACCGUUUUAAAGGUUGCAAAAUGUCCAGCGUAGUCGGAUCCAUGGCAUUAGAAUAAAAUAUCAGGGAUUUCAGUUUCGGCGACGCAACGUCUAUAUAUCCCGUCAGAGAAAUGUUUGUAGAGAUAUGGUUCGUCCCAGUGAUAUCUCCUAACUUCUCUUAAAAAUUUCUUCCUUGUAUAACCUCUUAGCUCUUCGGGUUCCACGUCAGCAGCUAGAUAGUUUACGAUAUCAGCGUACCAAGGUCUAUUCUUUAAACCUUUUUCGACUGCGUGCACUUCCCGAUGCAGACUUUGAUCUACGGGGGAAUCAUGGUGAGCAUGCAGCUCUUUGUACGCGACAUUAACUAUUAUAACGAAGGUUUUGGGAUUUGUGUCUUUGUUUAGAUCAUUUGAAGUGUCGAUCGACAUACUAUCACCGUCAUAAAUUGUCAUGGUACUGCCGUAAUCGAUCGACAUAGCAUUAUUGUCGUCGAUCAACAGGUCCUCGGAAGUGAGACAUACAUUCCCGAUGAACGAAUCCGUUCGGUAAACGCUUUCAGUUGGUAAGAAGUCAUCGAUAGGGAAGUCGUUUUCUAUUCUUAUCCGGGAAAGAUGAUAUGCAACUCCGUUUUCUACUCCUAUUUUUUCUUUAAUCUCAAUGUCGAAUUCUUGAAGUAAAAGGAUACAUCGCAUGAGACGUGGUUUCACAUCUUUCUUUUGCAUCAAAUAUUUAAUAGCAGCAUGGUCAGUAUGGACAAUGACUCGCAAACCGACCAGGUAUUGGCGGAACUUUUCGAAUGCAUAAACCACGGCGAGCAGUUCUUUUUCUGUUGUUGCGUAAUUCCUUUGUGCCUCGUCGAGCGUUCUACUGGUAUAGUAAACUGCAUGUAGCUUUUUGUCUUUUCUUUGGCCUAGAACUGCUCCUACAGAGAAAUAACUCGCAUCGCACAUGAUUUCGAAAGGAAGAUUCCAGUCAGGUGCUUGUACGAUGGGGGCAGUUAUCAAAGCUUUCUUUAUUUCCUCAAAAGACUUUACGCAUUCUGGUGAGAAGACGAAUUUAACUUCUUUAGAGAAAAGAGAGGUGAGAGGUCUAGCAAUUUUGCUAAAAUCAUGUAUGAACAUUGAUAUACCUUGGAUUUGACCCAUUUUUAUCCAUGGUAUAUAAGUAUUUUACUAUAUAUAUAUAUAUCUAUGUUUUCUACUCUUCUAGGUAUGUUUUCAGGUUCAGGUGCAUUUCGGAGUAAAGCUAUGACUUUGGAGCAUUUUGGAGCUUAAAAGACAUUUCACCCGAGCUGACCACUUAGAGGUCGACGAGAGGAAGAAUAAUCGAUCGACGCGCAUCAGUGCUGACGAUCGAUAUCAGGAAAUGCGUCGACAGAUGAAGAUUAAUAUCGAUCGAUGUACACAACUACCAUCAAUCGAUGUCGAGACACCAUACGCGACAUUUUGGAUUCAGCAGACUUAAAAACCAAGGCCAAGCCAAAUUACCAAAAUGCCCUGACGAGUUUUUAACCUAGUAGAAUAUAUACUGCCUAGUGUUUUUGACGGCAGGAGUACAAAGUUUUUCUAGACCUAGUUUUGUUACAAGUUUCAUUUGGGAGAGAAGAUCACUUGUGAUUGGAACUCCUUGUUUCUAUUUCUUUUCAUCUAUUCUAUGAGUUUCUAUUUAUCUAUUGAUAUGAAUUGCUUUGCUAUGUCUGAGUAGUUCAACUGUUAGAUCCAGGGUUCAGAUAGUUUGUGGGAUUAGCCCCAAACUAUAGAUCUGCCUUGUUGUGAUGUUCAUGAUAGAUUUGUAUUCAUUGCUUGUUUUAGCCUUGCUAACUAGAACUUGAUCAUAGGAUUGCAUAUUCAAGCACCCUUGUUAUCCCAUCCUGACAUCUAUAUAUCAUAUUAGGAUUGCUAGAGAGGGCUAACCGCCAAUUUAGAAUCUUAGUAGGGCAUUUCAUACUCGCGCAUAGGCCUGGCUAGAACCCGUCGAUCGAUGUCCUCAACUGACAAUCGAUCGAUGUUGGCAAAGGUGUACCGGUCGACGUCUUAAUAGACUAUUGAUCAACACUCUCUCGUGUCUGCAUACUAACCUGUGAGACACGAGAUCUAGUCUGUUAACUAGUGGUACAUGCGACAGCUGAUCACUGAGUUAAGCGAAUGAGCUCUAAUAUAUCAUGCAUGCAACAGUUAGGCAUCUAUAGGUAUUAUAAUCUCCAACACCUGAAUAGUGGCCCUGCAUCUAAUAUCAUUUCCAACCAAGUUACAUUUAUAUUUACUCGCUUGUUACUAUUGCUAUUCCAUUUAAACAUUUACAACCUUUAGAAUUAAUAAACACUAUAUUUAAUUUUUCUCUAGCUCCUUGUGGAUUCGAUCCCUAACUACUACAUCUGAACCUCUUUUGAUGAGAGUAACACUCCUUAGGGUAAUUUGAGUGGUAUCAAAUAUCCUGUAGAAUCCGGCAUGCCCGAGAAAACUUCUCACGUCUUUUACGUUCGUGGGUGCAGGCAAACCGGUCAUUACUUUAAUUUUUGCUUGAUCUACUUCUAUACCAGCAGCGGACACUUUAUGAUAGGACGAUUCCAUCAUUAACCAUGAAGUGGCAUUUUUCCCAAUUUAGAAUGAGGUUCUUUUCUUCACAUCUUGCCAAAACCUUACAUAGGUUAUCGAGACAGUUUUUGAAACUGGAUCCAUAUGCAGAGAAAUCGUCCAUGAAGACUUCCAUGAAAUCUUCUAUCAUAUCAGUAAACAUUGACAUCAUGCAUCGUUGGAAAGUGGUAGGGGCAUUACAAAGACCGAAUGGCAUUCUGCGGUAUGCGAAUGUUCCGUACGGGCAUGUAAAGGUGGUCUUUUCUUGAUCGUCAGGAUGUAUAGGGAUUUGGAAAAAUCCAGAGUAUCCGUCAAGAAAACAGUAGUAUUGGUGAUUUGCCAAUCUUUCCAACAUUUGAUCAAUGAACAGUAAGGGAAAGUGAUCUUUUCUGGUGGCAGCGUUUAGCUUCCUAUAAUCGAUACACAUUCGUUGUCCAGUGACAGUUUGCGUGGGAAUGAGUUUGUUUUUAUCGUUCUUAACCACUGUAAUUCCGCCUUUCUUAGGUACAACAUGCACGAAGCUCACCCAGUUGCUAUCAGAAAUUGGAUAGAUGAUUCCAGCAUCUAGAAGUUUGAUAAUUUCCUACUUGACAACUUCUUUGAAGUUUGGGUUUAGCCUUCUUUGAUAUUCCACUGACGAUUUGGAAUCGUCUUCUAAGUGAAUUCGGUGCAUGCACAGAUUUGGAAUCGUCUUCUAUGGGGGUUUUCUGCAGAAGUGAUUUCUACAGUGCUUGGAGAAAGGCGUUUUCCGCUUCUUAGUAACACAGUACAAACUUGGCGGCUUGGGUUGGUAUCAGUUUUUUCAGGAAGGAAUCCUUCAUCUCUUCUGACAAACCCAAUGUUAUGCGCAACUUGGCUAUCUAAUUUAUUGACAUGUUUACUCAAAGUUUCAAACUUAUCAUGUAAAUCAGAAUAUACGGAAUCCAAUCUUUCAUCAAAAAGCGCACUCAUUUUCUGCUGGCUUUUUAGAACUUGACCAAUCAUAGAUUCCAGCUUGCACCUAUGAGUCUGUCCUGCCUCGUAGGUCCUUAUGAAGCUCAUGUUUCGCUGCUGAUCGGCAAGUCUUUGUUUGCGAAAGCCAGUUUCAUCGAUCAGGUAUACAUGCUGUUCUGCAUCUCCUUCACGUAGCAAGGCCUGACUCUCUUCGGUAAACCAAACUUGCUCAUCUCCAAUCACAAAGGCAUGAGCUAAAUAUAACGUUUCUUUCCCCUCAGAUAUCGGAUCUCCAUUCGAAUUCUCGGCCAUCUUCCUCCUCUCUAGAUCAGUCUUCUUGGCACUAGUGCUAGAAGCAACCUUUACAAUGAGCCUUAUAGCUUCUUCAUGUGUCUUAUUUUUGAAGUUCCCUUGAAUCGCAACGUCCAAAGUCGCUUGGUAUGUCAGGUGGAGACCUCUGAAGAAAAUAUUAAAUAGCUGGAUUUCGGGAAAACCAUGGUGUGGGCAGUCUCACUGGUAGGCUUUGAAUCUCAACCAAGAAUCAUUAAAAGCUUCAGUAGUGCCUUAAGAAAAAUUAUAGAUCUUAUUCCUAAAUUCCUCGGUUCGUGCAUCAUCGAAGAAGUUGUUGAGGAAGGCGCUUUUGAUAUAACUCCAGCAAGUGAAAGAUCCUGGCUGCAAUUGUUUCAGCCAGUGCCUCACAUCUCAAGCAAGGGAGUGCGUGAAGAGUUUGCAAAAUAGGUAGUCUUCAGAGACUCCAUGCACCUUGAUGUUAGAUACAAAGUCCUCAAGUGUUUCGAUAUGGUCUAUGGGAAUUUCAUUAGGAAGACCACGAAAGGGGUGCUGACAUACUAGAGAGAAAUAUUUGGGUUUUAGUUCAAAGUCUUUUCUUUGAAUUGCUGGAGGACGGAUCGCAGACCUGUUAGUGUAGAACCGAUCAGGUCUGAUGUAAUCUCCGAGCGUUUGGUGAUGCUCCGGUCAAGCAUCCAAAACAACAGCUACUCCAAUAGGAAUUGGAGCCCUAUGUCUAUAAUUAAUUUGGUUUGAUGCAUGGCAUACUCGACCUUUUUGAUUUCCUAGAACCACUUUUUCUUUAUUGAAACAUGUAAGAACAUACUUACUUGCUUCUGGCAGGAUGGCGUCGAUCGAUAUUGGUAGCGGAGUGUCGAUCGAUUUUUGUGUUGACCCAUCGCUCGAUGUUAUUGUCUGAGCGUCGAUUGAUUUUGGGCCAAAAUUCAUGUCUUCCAUCUUAAGUACCUGUGUCAGCAGGGAAAGAGGGAAAACUUUAGCUGAUUCAGUAACAAAAUCUAGACUAUAUUCUAAACUUAAUCUAAUGGUAAUAAGAAAACGUUCCCGGCAACGGCGCCAAAUUUGAUAUCACUCAAGUUAUCCUAAGGAGUGAAUUACUCUCUCAAAUAAGAGGUUCAGAUGUAGUACUUAGGGAUGGAAUCCACAGAGACUCUAGGAUUACACAGUAGAUUAUGGUCUUGAAAUAAAUCUAGAUUGAAUGGUUUAUAAGUUUUAAAGCAGUAAAUGGAGUGGUGAGCAACUUUAUUGCUCGAUUGAUUUGUUUUGAGGUUGUUAACAGUUGGGAGAAAUAGCUAGAUUCAGGUAUAUUCUCAGGUAUGAUAAGUAAAACCUAAUCUGGAUUUCAGAUUUCAACUUUUGUAUGUUAAUCACGAGAAAGUGUCGAUCGAUAAUUCUUUAUGAAUAUCGAUCUAUAUACCUUUCAAAAUAUCGAUCGACAAGGCUAUCGCUGCGUCGAUCGAUACUUCUUCCAUAAAGCUUUACGAACAGGUUUGAUUUAUAUUCUCUAACUCACUAGAUCAACUAUCGUAUGUAUCAAGUUAGUUAGAUAAUACUAGUUUAUUUUCAGGUAUUGGGUCAAGCAAUAACUUGAUCCCAAUUAAUCCUAAGAUCUAAGUCUUAGGGCUUAUCAACCUUCAGCUUAGUAGUAAGAACAACUAGAUGGAGAACUAAUUAAAUCCCCCUAACAUCAAUUCAAACUAGCAAUACAUGUAUCAACCUAUGAGAAACCUAAAUCUAACAGUGAGAUUACUCAAACAUAUUCAUAAAAGACAUGGUUAGGAUGGUCUGAAUAAUAUUGCAAUUGAUAAAUAAACGAAAUGGAGUAAAAAAACAAAGGGAGUUCAAGAUCUUCUCUCUCUCAAGGUGUACAUAUCGCUCUCUCCAAUCCUAAGCUCUCUCUCUCUCUAAAAUAGGGUUUCUGAUCGUCCAGGGGUAUUUUGGUAACUUCGUGUGGCUUCUGGGUUUUAAAAGGUCUUGAAAUAUGCUUGGCCCACAUUCUGGCAUCCAUAUCGAUCGAUGUUUACGUAGACAGGUGAUACCACUCAAAUUACCCUAAGGAGUGUUACUCUCAUCAAAAGCGGUUCAGAUGUAGUACUUAGGGAUCGAAUCCACAAGAAGCUAGGGAACAAUUAAAUCUAGUGUUUAUUAAUUCUAAAGGUUGUAAUGUUUUAAAUAAAAUAGCAAUAGUAACUAGCGAGUAAAUGAUAAAUGUAACUUAGGUUGGAAAUGAUAUUAGAUGCAGGGCCACUAUUCAGGUGUUGGAGAUUAUAAUUCCUAUAGAUACCUAACUGUUGCAUGCAUGAUAUAUUAGAGCUCAUUCGCUUAACUCAGUGAUCAGCUGUCGCAUGUACCACUGGUUAACAGACUAGAUCUUGUGUUUCACCGGUUAGAUGCUGACACAAGAGAGUGCCGAUCGAUAGUCUAUUACAACGUCGACGGAUACACUUUUGCCAACAUCGAUCGAUUGUCAGUUGAGGACAUCGAUCGACGGGUUCUAGCCAGGCCUAUGCGCGAGUAUGAAAUGCUCUACUAAGAUUCUAAAUUGGCGGUUAGCCCUCUCUAGCAAUCCUAAUAUGAUAGAUAGAUGUCAGGAUGGGAUAACAAGGGUGCUUGAAUAUGCAAUCCUAUGAUCAAGUUCUAGUUAGCUAGGCUAAAACAAGCAAUGAAUACAAAUCUAUCAUGAAUAUCACAACAAGGCAGAUCUAUAGUUUGCGGCUAAUCCCACAAACCUAUCUGAACCCUAGAUCUAACAAUUGAACUACUCAGACAUAGCAAAGCAAUUCAUAUCAAUAGAUAAAUGGAAACUCAUAGAAUAGAUGAUAAGAAAAUGAAACAAGGAGUUCCAAUCACAAGUGAUCUUCUCUCCAAAUGAAACUUGUAACAAAACUAGGUCUAGAAAAGAAAAGCUCUCUCUGCCGUCAAAACUUAGGCAGUAUAUAUUCUACUAGGUUAAAAACUCGUCAGGGCAUUUUGGUAAUUUGGCUUGGCCUUGGUCUUUAAGUCUGCUGAAUCCAAAAUGUCACGUCUGGUGUCUCGACAUCGAUCAAUGGUACUUGUGUACAUCGAUCGAUAUUAAUCUUCAUCUGUCGGGGCAUUUCCUGAUAUCGAUCAUCAGCACUGAUACUCAUCGAUCGAUUAUUCUUCCUCUCAUCGACCUCUAAGUGGUCAGCUCGGGUGAAAUGUCCUUUAUGCUCCAAAAUGCUCCAAAGUCAUAGCUUUACUCCGAAAUGCACCUGAACCUGAAAACAUACCUAGAAGAGUAGAAAAAUAGAUAUAUAUAUAUAUAUAUAUAGUAAAAUAAUAAUAUACCAUGAAUAAAAAUGGGUCAAAUCCAAGGUAUAUCAACUCCCCCAGACUUACCCUUUUGCUUGUCCUCAAGCAAAACAUAUAGGCAGUCUCUCUGAAAGAGGUUUGAAAAUAUUUGGGAACUUAAGAUUUUAAAAACAUAGAAAUCUUUCCUCAACAAUUUUGCAACCAAAUUUAAAAGUCCUAAUCACAAAAGCACACUAUGCAAUAUCCUAGCUUAGCAACCAUUUCUAACAAAACACAACUCAUCAAUUCACGUCUGACAUCCCCUCUAUUGAUUUCAUUUCUUAGCAUAAAUAUAAAGUGAAUGCUUUACCUUGGGAGUAUCGAUCACAUGAUGCAAGGAUUUCAGACAGGUAUCUGGAGCUGCAGGUAAAAGUUAGUUCCUAGUUUCUCUCUCUCUAAAUUUCUCUCUUGAGUCAAAGUCUGCUUCCUUUGCAGGAUCAGUGACCAAGAUUGGACAGGCUUCCAUGAAUCAAAACUUAUUUGUGGUUGCCACCAGGUUCUGUUCACUUCUUUUUUGACCUAUGUCCAAGAGUUCUUUGCGAAAUCGAGCCUUGAAGAUUGCCGCCUCCAAGUCCCGUUUCAAACUCUUUUAUUUGAGUCUUUAUGAAUCAAGCCUUAGUGGUUUUAGCCACCAAGUCCUGUUCAGACUCAUCCUAAUUAAACAAUAGAUCUUACUUAUUAUUAUUUUUUUAUUAUUAUUUUUUUUAAUACUCUAUAUCUAAUCUAGGGUCGAAAUCUAGAGAGAGAAAAUGUGAUAAAUAAUCUAAACCAGGCGUUACCUUCCAGACCUAUCUGAAGAAUCUGAUCCCAUGUAUACCAAGCCCCAAGACAAGCGGUUAUCUCAGGUUUAGUGUUGGAAAUCAUCUUUGGUUACUUCAUACGGUUCAAGGCAAGUGUGUUGUUGAUAGGUUGAUCUGCUUUAGCAUCUUUAGUGCUAUCUGCAAUCAGUAAAUCUAAAAUGGUGCUAAAGAUUGGUUAGAUAUUCAUGUUUAAAUCAAUAUAAGAUUAUAGUCCCUAUUUUCGAUAGCUAAGCAUAAUUUAUUUGAAAUUCUUUUUUACGUAAGAAUAAAAUAAAUUAUAUCAGUAAAUCUCCCCCCCCCCAGACUUAAAUUACACUGUCCAAGUGUAACUCAGCCGGAGUUAUGAUGAAAUGUGUAUGAUGUACGAAAUGUAACAAGUAGGUAAGAUACAUCUGACCGGAUUAAAUAUCGAUCGAUGGGUAAGUGUUACAUCGAUCGUCGUGUGGUUGCCUUUGUCAAACGAUGUUGACCUCUCGUUGUCGGUCGAUAUUCAAGUCCUCCUUCUUGGUUCUCCUAAAUCUGAAAGAGAUAAAACGAAAGAAAUUAAGUGCUAGCUAGAAAACCGAAGUAAAAUACCUAAUAGUGGGUUGCCUCCCACUCAGCGCUUGGUUAUAGUCAUUUAGCUUGACUGUGGUAGUGAUUGGCUAUUGGGUGGAGAAGCAUCUGCUUGUUGGAAAGCAAGCAUUCGCGUCAUCUCUGCGCAUUCUGGACCAAGAUGCAAUGAAACUUCUUGUGGCCUCAUCAUUUCUUGUCCAUUUGUCAUCCAUCUUCCCAAGUACAUUGGAGAUGUUAUGUAGCCUUUCUUGAAUGUUUCAAUGCUGACCUGGUGCCAGCCUAUGUUGUCAUAGGCGUAUGCUGAAAGAUCUGCCAGUUCCUUUUGCAUUGACUCUACUGUCUUGUGUAUCAGCUGCUCGUCGAUUGGUAUAGAAUCGGCGUCGAUCGAUGCGAUUACGUGUUUGUUGGUUGAUCUCGGUGAGUUGCCGUCGAUCGAUUUUGCUUUUGUCUUGUCGAUCGAUGCAGAUAUCUGAUGUUGAGCUGCGAGUUGCCUCUGAAUGGUUUUGACUUCUUUCUGUAGCCAUUCUGCGUGGUUGUCUAGUCCACUGAUUUUGUUGUCGAAUGGAAAGUAGAUAUCAUCGUAGCGUUUGUCAAGUCGUUCCUCCAUGGUGUCUAGAGCAGUGUUGAUCUUGGAUGUGAUCUUGUCAACCUCUGCUGCUGUGUAAGGAAGUAACUCCACAGGUUUCUUGCCAUCGAUCCAGGAUCCUCUUAGCCUGUCCAUCGAUGCUGAUUUUUCCUGCAAAAAACUUUGAUUUGUAAUGUUCUCAAUAUCCUUUUGGGCAUCAAGUAAUUGACUAGACAAUUUGUUUAAAUCUAUCAUGACUGGUGAUAUAAAACGGUCAUGCAUAUCCUCGUAAGUCCUCAGCCUCUCAUUCAUUGCUGAGACUUUGGCGUCGAGCGAUGUGAAGGUGCACAUGUCGAUCGAUGUGGCUGGAUGUUGGUCCUUCUUGCGAAUGGUGUCCGGAUCUUGCUGUAGUAGCUCGAUUUUAGUGCUUAGCCAGUCCACGUUGUUGUUGAGAGGGCAGUAAACGUCGUUUAUCCUCGUGUCGAUGUAUGAGACUUCCCAUUCAUCCCUGUGUUGUGUUGAACAUCGCGGUUCUGCAAGGAUCUUAGCUGUAGGAAGACUAACGUCGAUCGAUGUUGCACGUGGUGCGUCGAUCGAUGCUGAGGUCGUAGCUUCCUUCUCAAGUUGCUGACGUACACUUUCAAUUUUUGUCCUCAUUUCUGCCAUACAUCUGAAAAGCUCAUUGUAGCCUCUAUCCAAAGGCUGAUGUGUUUCAUCUACCAAUGUUUUGAGCUCCUCUCCCAGUUUCUCAUGAGCUCCACAAAUACCAAACACCAUUUCAUCGAUUUCUUCUUUGGUGUAGAGUUCUGGUGCCAGUCUUGUGAGUGUGAAGGAAGUGGCAUGUUCUGGAAGACAGAUGUGGCUCUCUUCAAAAAGAGAUGCUCUUUCCAGUAUUUUCCUGAUGUUGUCCUUUGUGACAGGUAUCAUCUCACCAGCUGCGCUUCGUGCGUGUCCACGCUCAUCUCUAUAGACUCCAUAUUCGUCCCUUUGUUCCCAAGUGAACUUUCUGGCUCCAUACAUGUCGAAAGCGCGGCUCCCAAAUUCAUAGCGUCUGUCGAUCAACGUCGGAUCAUCCAUAUCGAUCGACGUCGGAUCAUCCAUAUCGAUCGACGUUGGUGUUACCAUGGCGAUCGAUGUCUCCGUUGUACCGUCGAUCGAUGCUUGCUCUUUUGGUUGGCGUGAUAGAUCUGUGUUGAUCUCUGUUGUGGCGACUCCUGCGUGGUUGUUAGGAUUUGUUAGAAUGACGUCUGGAGUGCCACGUUGCUGUGAGAACAGGUUGUCAGGUCCAUUGGCUACUUGAAGGAUGUGUGCUAUGUCCUCUCUGGACACUUGUAAAAUCCUUCCAUCCAUUGCACGUGCGUUGCCAUCUGGAUCCCUGAAAAUACCAAAUUCAUCAGGUGUUAGAAAACCGUAAUCAAUGUUUGCAUAAUUAUUCAUUUUAGAAAUAGAGAGAUUAGGGUUUAGAGUAGUAUCGAUCGAUGUAGAUACAGUUACAUCGAUCGUUGGCAGAGUAAUUUCUGCAGAACUUGUGUUCUUGAGAUGAUUGCUCUUCAUGGACUUUUCUGUUGAUGUAGAAGGAAGAGUGUUCAUCUUAUUUGCUUGUGUGUUUGCUCUUAUGUGUGUAGGUGGUUUCGGAGGUGCAAAACGAUUUAUAUAGGUAUUUGUAAACCUGGUUAGGGAGAGAAUAUUCUCCUGCUCCUGAAUUUUCGCUGCGGCGCCAAUAUCGAUUGAUUUUCCUUUCGGUGGGUCGAUCGAUGUGAGCGGUUGUUUUGCUGGACGACGGUGGGUAUCGACUGAUGUGGAGUGCACAGCGUCGAACGAUGUUGGAAACGUGUUGGUGAACUUGUGUAUUUCAAGUCUUUCAUCCUGCAAAGACAUUUCUAUUGCACGUUCUUUCCAGUAAUCCUCAUCGUAUUCCUCGGUAUGUUCCUCAUGAGGUGAAGUAAUUACAGUGUCAACUGCCAGCAAAACUUUCAUGGAAACCACUGUCUACCCAACUGCUUAUGGAAUAAUCAUCAUGUCCUCUCCUGGUUGGAGGUUGGAAGGAAAAAUGUUGGUAACAAUGAUUAGGUGAAGCGAAAUGGUCAAGUGGGUGCAUUACGUCGAGUGACGUGUUGUUGUGGUCAUCGGUCACCAUUGACACAUUGGAAUCAAUCGAUGGAAAGGUUGGGGUGUCGAUCGAUUCCGAGUACUCUGUUUCGUACUCGGAUUCAUACUCUGCUCCACAAUGGCAUGCGCCAAUGAAGCCAAGUUCUUUCCCAUAAUCCACAAGAUUAAUUACCUUUCUCUUAGGUCGGAUGAGAUCGUAGUGGAUGUUUGGGUCUAUGAGCGUUAGACACAAUUUGUUUUUGUUCAUGUCACAUACAGCUCCUACUGUAGCUAGGAAAGAUCUUCCAAGCAGAAGUGAAGAGUUCCAAUUAAGCUCGAUGUCUAAGAUGAAAAUCUACAGGGACAAGGGCAUUACCAAUCAGUACCUCCAGAUCUCUUAUGAUGCCUCCGGAUCGUUUCUCUAAAAGAUCCACGAAGGUGAAGGAUUCUGUUGAGGGUUCGAUGGUCAAACCAAGCUGGUCUGCCAUAAUCCUAGGGAGGAUACUAACCGAUGCUCCUGUGUCACACAUUGAAUGGGGAAAUUCAACACCCUUGACUAUGCAUGGUAUUGUAAACUUCCCAGGAUCACUCUUCUUCGUCAAUGUGAUCCUGUGUUUCAUCUUUCCUCUGACUUGAUGAAACAUUCUCCUAAUGUCCUCCUCAAUUACCUUUGUUUCUCUGAAGAACAUCCACAAUUGGUGUGUGAAGUAAGCUUCAUCAAAAGGUUUUUCGAUUGGGAUUUUGAGGACUCGUUUAGUAAAACCAUCCAUCUCCUUAUCGUUAGCUUCGCUCUUAAGGUUUUUAGGAAUCUUCUCCUUUCUUUUCCUUAACCUUCUCCCUUCAGAUUCUUGUUCUUCUUGAACAGAUUCUGUUCAACUAGUUAAAGGGUUGGGUUUUGGUUCGGGUGGGUUUGCUAAUGGUUUAGGUGGUGGUCUGAGUGCAUUGAUGUAAUCAUUAUCGAUUGAGGGUAACCGCAUUUGGUAUGUCAGAGGUGCCUGUCGAUCGAUGGGAGGUGUGUUGUGACGAUCGACGUCGGACUCACUCUGUCGAUCGAUGGUUGAGUUAACCGAUCGAUCGAUUUUUUCAUAGAAAGGGGAGGGUGGGUGAGGAUGCUUAGCUGCGAAUUCUUCAUGAGUUAGAAUUCGAACCGCAUUGCAUUCAGUCGAAUUGGCAGACGACGUCGAUCGAUGACUGGAGUAAUCCGUCCAUCGAUCUUCAUCAUGGUCUGUCGAUCGAUGCGAGUUCAUCGACAUCGGUCGAAACCAUUGGGAUCCGCCGAGACUCAUGGAGCUUUCGAUUUCGAAAUAUCCUUCCUCAAGGUUUUCAUUUCUCACCACUUGCCAGAAUUCGUCAUCUAUGAUGGCAUUUACGUGGUGUUUCCCUUUGUCGGCUCCUGCCUCACUAGCGAAAGCUUCUUGCCUCUUAAUAGUCUCGCCCGUCUAAAUUACUUGGGUUUCAAGUUUUCUCACCUGAGUCCCUAAGGUCUCGAUUUUGGUGUUCAGAUUGUUGUAGGCAAAGUCUAUUUUACCGUUGAAAUCCACGAUGAUUUGUUGUUUUCCCAACAGUACUCGAUCAAGUAUUUCUUCGAUCUUGCUUUCGUGAGUCUGGGGUGGUGGAUUUUGAUAGUAAGAGUUCGAGUAGCUCUUGCUGUUGUUGAAGGGUUUUUGAAAUUGUGAACUUUGGUUACUUCUUUGGCCAUUUCCAAAGAAGUUUCUGUUUCCGUCCUGGUUUCCAAAUUUCUAGAAUCCGGUACCUCCGAUGUAGUUCACACCUUCUUCUCCUUCUGUAUCUGCUACUUCUCCUUCAGCUGAACAGACUUGCUUCCUAAGAAGCUUGUGCACCAUAUCUAACUUAGCUCUUACUUCGUCCAUCUGUUCCUUCCCGAUAGAGCACUACAAGAAAUAUGUAUAUUCUUAGCGCGGAAAAUAUGCUAUAGUAGACCUUUUAUAGCGAAUUCAUAAAUGCUAUGUCAUCGGCAGCCAUCGUAGGGUACCCUUCUAUGAUAGCGUUUUAUCUUGAUGCUACGAAAUGUGUGGAUAUGGUAACAAUAACUGGGUGAUAUUAUUAACUCCACUAUAGCACGCUUAUUUUUGUUAUAAUAUAUUUACGAUUCAUUUUCCGUGCUAUGAUAGGUCCUUCAUCAAUAGCAAUUUCCAACUGCUAUUAUAUUUUGUGCUAUUAUAUGUAUGUAUAGUACAAUAGCUGUUUGUAAUUGUUGUACUAAAAUUUUUUAUAGCUCCCACAAAUCGAUAGUAAUGUAAUUCGUAGGUUUAUUUUAAUGCUAUGAUAGUUGAUUAUAACAGUUUAUUUUUUGCUAUUGUUGACUUGUUCCAGAGCUAUGGUUUGGUUCUCGAAAAUGGUUUUCAAUCUGAAAUCUUAUAAUAAAACUUAAUCGUUUUUAAAACUUAACCAUUCAUAAACGUCAUACAUAUGUCUUAAGAAAAUAAAGAUCACACAUUCAGUUUCAGAACAGAAAGACAUAAGCGAACAUAAUAAGCAACAUAAGCUGAUUACCAAACAUAAGUUUAAAACUAGCAACUUCUGGACCAAACUUCUUCAUUCCCCCUGCAGGCUGCAAAAUAUCAAUACCUCUCAUCAGUUAAGCAAUACUCAUCAGUUAAGCAAUUACCAUUUACAGUUUAAAAACGCAAAGCACAACACUUACAUCAGACUAAAAGAUGACCAAUUUAUCAAUUGGCCAUGCAAUUGACGAACCAUGUGCAUCUUUCACAGACUCAAUUUCAUCUGAUUUCCUCCAAACUUCUGCAUCAUGUACCUUCACAACAUCUACCCACACUCUAGCUGCAUUAGGACCCAAGCGUGCAAAAUGGACCAUUUGAUCUGGGUCUGUUGAAUGCACACGACCUUCAGCAACAACUCGUUUCCUCUCACCAAUGUCCAUCAAUUUGCACUUCUGAUUCACUGUCAUAGCUCCAUGAUUAAGCUGACAAGUUUACAAUAGAAACCAUCUAAAACUCAUACAUCUCAAAGAAUAUAACAAGAUUAUAUCACAAGAUGAUUUCGAAGAGGCAAAAUAUUACCUGAAUUGUGGAUUGAGACUUUUCAUUCAGAGUUUUAGAAGUUGUUGCUCCUGAUUUUUCAGUAGGAAACUUAGAACCUACACCUGCAGCUCUUGCUUUUCCUACAGAUGCUUGUUGUCUUGGUGCUUCUGGUGGGUUUUGAAAGACCACUUUUCGAGCAGGCCAUGAAAUAAAAGAGGAUAAGCAGUCGUCAAGAUAUGCCUCAUCCAUCGUCGGCCUCCAUAAAUAUGUACCACUUUCAUGUACCACAUCAAGAAACACUUUCACUGCUUUCGGUCCGAGAGGAAGUCCAUUCACCAAUGCAUUCGGUUCUUGUGUCUGCCAACGUCCUUCACCAACAACUAAAUUAUCAUCAGAUAAAUCCAGUAAUUUGCAUUUGUUGAGAGAGUUAGAUCUCGAGCCCUGUGAAAGACAUUGUGAAAAAAUUUCAUCAAAGACCAAAUCAUUACCUUAACUACUAUGAGAAUGCUACAAAAACCCUUACCAGUGGUGCAAUGUCUUCUGGUUGGAGCCCCUGACCUAGUUCAACACAUUUAUUCUUAGGCCAUGCAAUAACGUGUCCUACAGCUUCCUUAAUUGUGCACAUAUUACUCGAAGGUCUCCACAGGAAAGCUUCAGGUUCCGUAGCAGCAUCAACCAAGACUUUAGCAUCCAUAGGGCCUAAUCUACUUUCAUUCACUAUAUCAUCUGGGUCUGAAGAAACAAUACGACCCUCAGCAACAUUCCCAUCUUCAUCAGCCCAAUCAAUAAGAAGACACCUCUUUUGUGAUUUUGUGUUCACACUCUGUUACAUGUUCAGUUGAAAAUAUGUGAGUGAAACAUAAGAACUAAAUCAUUGAUCUGUUACAUACAAUUGAUGACUUACUCUUGCAGCCGAGUUUUCACCCAUUUCAUUGUCUUCUCUCUGUAAGCAAACAUUAUUAUUAGGUCCUUUCACAAUCAUAAAUCUUAAACGUUUGUAAGGGACUAACCUGUUUUUUAACUUUCGCAAGUUCAGCUUGUAACUCAUUAACCUUUGCCUGGAGAUGAAUCUGAUUCUCUUGCAUUUCAGAAAUAGACUUGUGCUUCACUUGGAAGCAAGCUAAUCUGGUCUUACUCAUAUUCCUGCCCAUUGCUCUCAUACGACCAGGAUUAUCAGGUCCUAACAGUUGGUUGAGUUCAUCUUCAUCUUGAUUUGUGCCAGAUGAUUGAUUAGUACCUUGCACAAUCUCAGCUGCCUUUCGCUGUGCAUCAGAAAACAAACCAAAAAAAUUAGAAGACAACAUCAGUAAAAGAGAUCAUCAUGUUUGUAACUCACAAUCUUCUCAGCGGCAUUCGUGUUAAUCGGAGUCCCAUCUUUUCUGGUACGUGACUUCACCCAGACUUUAAGCCUCGACACUUCAGAUGGGUUGGCAGAACCUUUUUUCUAUGGAAAUAUUAUAUAUCAGUAGCCUUAUAUCAUCAGUUAUAAUGAAAGAACAUUUAGCAUGUAGGCUUACCAUCUCUUCUGCUAGUCUCACCAUACCCUUGCGACUACAUGUGUGAGGUAUCUGGUUGCGUCUUCUCUCCUUGUAGCUAUCACUCAGAGCCUAUAAUAUGAUAUGUUAAUAUGUGAUCUACUUAGCAUAUAAAGAUCUUACUCAAUUCUAAAUGUAUACCUUGAAUUCAGUGCUAGUUUUCAGCUUAACGAAUUUGCGCCACUCAACAGGGGGAACGUUCUUCGGUCUGAGAUUCAUCCUUUGUUGGUUAUUGUCAGCUGCAUUAAUCUGAGUAACUAAGCGUGACUUGGAUGACCUCCAUAAUCCUCCCAUCUGCUUAAGCACUGCAGUUCUUUGAUAUUCCUCAUCAACUUCAAACCUUGCCUGCAUUCACAUAGUAAACAAAUCAGUAGUAUAUAUCGUUAACUUAUUUAAUUUGCAUAUACCAUAGUAUUGAAAUUGUACCUGAACCGAUUUCCAGAGCACUGUCUUCACAUCUUCGGUGAUUUUUUUCCAACAUUCAAUUGUGACAGGAACAUGUUCCCUUACCAAUGGUCCUAAAUAUGAAGACAAUUUCACAGAACCAGGACCGUAAGGUUCUCCCAUGAAAGUGAAAUCUACAUGCACUCUGCUGUUUGGAUCUUUAGCUAUGUCUUUCAUCAUUGUUGGUCCACGCUUUCUUUUACGGGAGUUUGAAUCUUCUGGCUCUGGAACUGUAGUCUGUCCGAUCUCACCGUCAGGCUCACUAUCAUCUCGUUGUGUCUCAGGUUGCUCAUCUUCAUCUUGUGGUUGUGUCUCAGGUUGCUCAUCUUCAUCUUGUGGUUGUGUCUCAGGUUGCUCAUCUUCAUCUUGUGGUUGUGUCUCAGGUUGCUCAUCUUCAUCUUGCGGUUCUGCCAAAUGCUGCUCACCUGUAUCUGCUUCUAUCUCAUGUUGCUGACCUGGUACCAAAGUACACACGAACUCAACAUCAUCAUCUGCUUGUUUUGCUUUAUUUUUUGGCUUCCUUCCUCUUUUGUUUUUCUUUGGACCGGCCAUAUCAAUUUACCUGAAAAAAAUUAUGAAAGGAAGAAUUAAUUCCAAGCUAACACACUGAUAAAUCCAAUCAAACAGACCAAGACCAACCAAUCAAACAAUCAACAAGCAGACAGACAAUGACCAAGCCAAACAAACAUACAGACAAUGAAAAUAAUAAAAAAGGAUACGAUUCACACAUAUAUGCCUUCACAAUCAGUUCUGACGUUCUCUGCCUCAUCAAUGUCAACUUCCAUGUCGAUAUUUGAAGGCAAUGGCCCAAUGUCUGCAGUCCCCUCUUGAAUAUCUUCCUUACUGUAUCUUCUCGAAGGACCUCUCAUAACAGUAUACCAGUGUGAUGACUCAUCUUCCCGAGAGUAAAAGACUUGCUUUGCUUGAGAUGCUAGAAUGUAAGGAUCACUUGCAAAGGAUGCUUGACUAUGAUGGAGGUUAACAAGGGUGAAACCAUCUUCAAUCUUCACUCCAUUACCCUUUACUGCCCAUUCACACCGGAACAGAGGGACAUAGAAGACAUUAUAAUCAAUCAAAAUGAUGUCAGUUACUCUGCCGUAAUAAGAAACCAGAUCGACGACCUGUGAUGUAUCUCUAGCACUAGAUCUACAGACUGCUCUAGCCUCAUAAUAAACCCCACUAUUCUGACUUCUUCUAUCAAUUGACGUUGUGUGAAACCUCUGCCCAUUAACUAUGAAUCCUGUAUAAGACCUUGCAGAACAACGUGGACCAUAAGCUAUCCACUUAAGUGUUUCUUCAUGCUCGGUAGAAUCAAGAGGCACCUAACAAAGUAAAAUCAAGUCAAAAACAUGUCCACUUAACUAUGAAUUAUAAAAACAAGUCAGUAACCUGUUCUUUUAGCCAAGUUGCGAAAUGCUUUGUGUGCAUACUCCAUAAGGUUGAUGCAUCUCGAUGACAUUUUGCAUAUGUGUCUUGUAAAUACUGUAGAUGCUCACUUGUAAGAAAAUUAAAGCACAAGAAAUGGAUCAGUUGGUUAAUCAGAAAACAAAUAAAAACAAGUGAGUUUAGAUACUUACUCUACGUAUGGUUCGACGAUAGCCAUGUUUUGGAUGAUAGCAAGAUGUGCUAUUUUCUUUUCCAUUUCAGUCAGAGUAAUUGAAGUGCUCUUGGAUAUUGGACGACCUUCUAAGAUGGAGUUGUUCUCAUACUCUGUGUUUCUGUCUGUUUUUUCUUCAACGUUUGUUGUCUUCUUCAAAAAUUCACUGCAAAAUCUGAUACAUUCUUCAGCUAAAUACGACUCAGCAAUGCAUCCCUCAGGUCUUGCAGGAUUUCUCACAAAGUCUUUGAGGACUUUCAUGUACCUGAGAGGAAAGCAAGUGUAGAUUGAUUAGUGAAAGUGAGUAUAGCCAAAAUUUAAAACAGUCAUAUAAAUAAUACCUCUCAAAUGGGUACAUCCAUCUAAAUUGGACAGGUCCACCAAGGCGGGCUUCUCUUCCUAGGUGCACAGUCAAAUGGACCAUGAUAUCAAAGAAGCUUGGAGGGAAAAAUCUUUCAAACAAGCAUAGAGUCUCAACAAUCUCAGCUUCCAUAACCAACAGCUUCUCCCUAUCAAUCACUCUCUGACACAACAUAUUGAAGAAUGCGCACAACCUCAAAAUGGCUAGCCUAGGUCCUUUAGGUAACAAUCCUUUAAGCGCGAUCGGAAGAAGUUGCUGCAUCAAAACAUGAUAGUCAUGAGAUUUCAAACCUGAUACUUUACAGUCAUCUAGUGAAACACCUCUUGAAAUGUUUGAGCAAUAUCCAUCUGGCCCUUUGAAGUCAAAUAGUCGUCUGCAAAAGAUCUUCUUCUCGGCCUUAGACAAAGACCACGGUGCUGGAGGAAGAUAUGUUCGUUUUCCUUGGAUUUUAGGGUGCAACUCCGGCCUAAUACCAAGAUCCUCCAGAUCUUUGCGAGCAGCAAGACCAUCCUUAGAUUUCCCACAGUGCAACAAUGUGGAAACUAAACUCGCAGCCACAUUUCUCUCCACAUGCAUGACAUCCAAGUUGUGUCUCACAGGAAGUUCCUACGUAAAACAGAAAAAACAUAAAAAAAUCAGUACUCAACAUCUGAGCUUAAAUCAGAGAAAAAAAAUCAUAAACAGAAACAGAAAAAUUCAUCAACAGAAACAGAAAAAUUAAUACCUCCCAGUAUGGUAGUCUGAAGAAGAUUGAUCUCUUCUUCCACCGAGAUAUCUCAUCUUCAUCUACUUGAACAUUUUCCUCUUCCUCUUCCUCUUCCUCUGAUUCACUGGAUAAAGCCUCAACAUCAGAGCUUACUUCAGUACUCUGAAUCCUUUUCCUCUUACUUGCAGAUCUUUUAAAAUUUCCAAAGUCAUUGUUGAAGUUUCUCAGAUUUUGAGAAAUUUCACGACCUGUCAGUAUUCUACCCCUUCUUCCUUGUUCGGAUUUUCCAUCAAACCACCUUUUCUUUCCCCUAAAACUAUGAGCUGGUGGCAGACCCUUUCUGUGGCACAUGUAGACAUGUUUCCUGCUGAACUUUAGCCACAUACUAUCUGUCUUCUUUCCACAUAACGGACACCCCAUUUUCCCCUUAACUUUACAGCCUGCAAGAUUCCCAUAAGCUGGGAAAUCACUGAUCGUCCAAAGCAGCAUUGCCUUAAGAUUAAAAGUACUACGACUUACAGCGUCGUAGGUUACCUCUCCACUGCUCCACAGAUGGUUUAGAUCGUCGAUGAGGGGUUCUAAGUACACAUCGAUGCUAUUACCAGGCUGUUGUGGACCAGGAAUCAACAAGGAAAGCAUGAUGUUCUCCUUCUUCAUGCAUAGGUCAGGCGGCAAGUUGUAGUUCACUAGCAAAACAGGCCAGCAACUGUACAUCGAAUUCUUCAUAUUGAAGGGAUUAAAUCCGUCAGUUGAAAGACCAAGCCUCAGGUUCCUUUCUUCUGCUGCAAAGGCCGGGUGUUUUGCAUUCAUCUGAUCCCAUGUGACUGAAUCAACCGGGUGUCGAAGUUUUCCGUCAGUGCUUUUGUUGGUGAAGUGCCACCUCAAAUCUUUUGCCAUUUGCUCAGACCUGAACAUCCUCUUCAGUCUUGGUAUGAUGGGAAAGUAACGUAAUACUUUCUGUGGGACGCCUUUCUUCUUCUCGCCAGUGUGCAUAUUGGUCUUCCAUCUUGAAGCCUUGCAUUUUGGACACUUUUCAAGCUUCUUGUACCUCUUUCUGAAUAGACAGCAGUCAUUGACGCAUGCAUGAAUCUUCUCGUAGCCCAUAUCAAAGGAUUUCAGAAAUUUCUUUACCUCAUACAACGAAGUGUGGAGCACAUUAUCCUCUGGUAACAUCUCCGGUAAGGUCUCAAGCAGAUCGUUGAAGCUCUUGUCAGACCACCCAUUCUGUGUCUUCAGUCUGAAUAAAGAAACAAUGGCGGAUAGCUUGCUGUGUGAUGCACAACUCGGAUACAACGGAGUCUCUGCUUCAGCUAUCUUUGCCAAGAAUUCAUCUUCUUUCUUGUCGUCUCCCUCUGCCAUCUCAGAUAACUCUCCAGUACCAGCUAACUCUUCAUCAAAACACUCAGCGGCUCUGUAUAACCCGAAGAUCUCAUCAUUCCACUGACUUGUGCUGCUUUCAGAUACAACUCUAGACUCCAAUUCUCCAUGAAGAUACCAAUCAGACCGCUUCUUGUAAGACUCAUCCAUUCCCCUAGUAACUAGAUGAUCAACUACCACAGCUCCUGAGUGACGAUCAAUAUUACGGCAGUCAAUGCAGGGACAAACAAUCAUAUCAGUUCCUCCCUGACCUCCAGCCACAUCUCGUACAAAAUUUGAAGCCCCUCUCUCAUACGCAGGAUCAACUCUGCAAUGGAGCAUGAAAAGCAAAACAAAAAUAAACAGAGUUAAGUCUCUCAACACAUACUGAAACAUAUCAAAUAAUAACAAAAAUAAACGAAUUAAGUACCUGCUAAGAUGAACCCAUGCCUUAUCCACCAUUAUAUUGCUAAACUGAAACUGAAACUUCACUAACAAUUUUUUGACAAAUUGUCAUCAGAGUCAUCAGUAUAAUCACUCAGAAUACUCAGAACUUGUCCUCGAUUUCAUAGUAAAAGCAGUCAAAGUCAUCAGUAUAAUCACUCAGAAUACUAUAAUACCACACAACGCAACGAUUCUGAACAAAUCUACUACGAUUCUAAGCAAAAACGAAAACUGAUUCACACAACACAAUGACAAUCAAGCUAACUAUCAACACAGAGAUGAGAUGAAAUCAAAUCAGGAAAGAGCUGAGCUAACUAACAACACGGAUUUGAGCUAACUAUCGACACAGAGAUGGCGUAAUGGCGACCUUCGAUACCUUCAGGGACGGAAAUGGUAUCGGAAUGGUGGAUGACGGAGCUUUAAUUGGCGGAUGGGAGAGGCGGAACUCGAUUAGAGGUCUAAUGGAAAGAGGGGAAAAUUAGGAUUAUGUGAGAAAGAGGGAAAAAUUAGGGAAGAUAGAGGGAAAACACGAUUAGAGAGAGGGAAAGUGAGAUGAUUAAUGAUUUUUUACUAAGUGUGUACGCGGAAUAGCUAAUUUUGGGUUCCCGCUUAAUGAAAAACUAUCAUAGCAAUUAUAUAGCGCUAUUAAACUAAAUUUUUUUUCUUAGAGUUCUUACAAUAGCAAUUCGGUAAAACGAGCUAUCGUACUGUGCUAUCAAUGUGGACUUUUUUUGUAGUGGAGGCUACAGACUUCUUCCGUUCAAAGUCAGUGUUUUUGGUGCUGCUGCUGUUAGCAAGGUUUUCGAUAAGUCUCACAGCUUCCAACGGAUUCCGAGUAGUGAAGUUUCCUUCACUCGCCGUAUCAAGAGCCAUUUGAUACUGUAAGGCGAGACUUCGAAAGAAAGUGCUUAGCAGCUGCACUUCAUUAAAUCCGUGGUGUGGACAGUCUCGCUGGAAAAACCUAAAUCUAAUCCACGCAUCUUUGAAAGACUCUCCAGCCUUCUGCGAGAAUGUGGAAAUUUUGUUCCGAAGUUCUUCAGCGCGCGCCUCAUCGAAGAAGUUUCGUAAGAAAGCAUUCUUGAUGUCUCUCCAGGAUGUUAAAGAUCCUGUUGGUUGCUGCCUAAGCCAAUGCAUCGCUUCUCCAUUCAGCGUGUAUCUGAAGAGCUUGCACAGCAGGUAAUAUUUGGGGACUCCUUCCAUCCGAAUGGCAGCGAUUAGAUCCUCGAACCGUUCCAAAUGGUCCAUAGGAUGCUCGUGCGGUAACCCAGAGUAGGGUAUCUGCGACACGAGAGUGUAGUAUUGAGGCUUCAGCUUGAAAUUCUGCUUCUGGAUCUCCGGAAGUCGAAUCGCUGAUCUGUUGGAAUAGUACUCAUCUGGGUGAUUGUAGUCGGCCAGUGGUUUCGAUCGAGCGUCCUCAUCUACAGGUUGAGCAGCUCCUGUAGCAUCAGCAUCAGGGAUUACAGUUCCCUGAGCAUCUAUUUUCUGACAUGUUGCAUUACGCAGAUGACCAGCCUGGUCAUACAGGUUUCCGUUCUCAUCCUGAGUUAGAAUAAUAAUGUUUACCAUUUUUGACGACACGGUAACGAUCGACGUACGCGGUGUAGUAUCGAUCGUUGUCAAACGAUUGGGAUCGAUCGACGAUGACGGUCUGGUGUCGGUCGACGGUUUGUUGUGUGUAUCGAUCGACAACAAAGUGGUUGCGUUGAGCGAUGUGGAACGUUGACCUCUACGGAUGGUGCGUUCCAAAUGAGCAGGAUCGUCUGAGAACAGCAAGUCUUUCUCCUUGUUGUUUCUGGUACCGCUGGGCAUGCACCUGAAAAGACAAGAAAAAGAAAGAUUGUUAGAAAAGGGGAUAAAGAAAAGAAUAAGAAUUAAUAAAACUAAAUCUAAUGGCGAUCAAAGCUCCCCGACAACGGCGCCAAAUUUGAUACCACUCAAAUUACCCUAAGGAGUGUUACUCUCAUCAAAAGAGGUUCAGAUGUAGUACUUAGGGAUCAAAUCCACAAGGAGCUAGGGAACAAUUAAAUCUAGUGCUUAUUAAUUCUAAAGGUUGUAAUGUUUUAAAUAAAAUAGCAAUAGUAACUAGCGAGUAAAUGAUAAAUGUAACUUAAGUUGGAAAUGAUAUUAGAUGCAGGGCCACUAUUCAGGUGUUGGAGAUUAUAAUUCCUAUAGAUGCCUAACUGUUGCAUGCAUGAUAUAUUAGAGCUCAUUCGCUUAACUCAGUGAUCAGCUGUCGCAUGUACCACUGGUUAACAGACUAGAUCUUGUGUCUCACUGGUUAGAUGUAGACACAAGAGAGUGUCGAUCGAUAGUCUAUUAAGACGUCGACCGAUACACUUUUGCCAACAUCGAUCGAUUGUCAGUUGAGGACAUCGAUCGACGGGUUCUAGCCAGGCCUAUGCGCGAGUAUGAAAUGCUCUACUAAGAUUCUAAAUUGGCGGUUAGCCCUCUCUAGCAAUCCUAAUAUGAUAGAUAGAUGUCAGGAUGGGAUAACAAGUGUGCUUGAAUAUGCAAUUCUAUGAUCAAGUUCUAGUUAGCUAGGCUAAAACAAGCAAUGAAUACAAAUCUAUCAUGAAUAUCACAACAAGCCAGAUCUAUAGUUUGGGGCUAAUCCCACAAACCUAUCUGAACCCUGGAUCUAACAAUUGAACUACUCAGACAUAGCAAAGCAAUUUAUAUCAAUAGAUAAAUAGACACUCAUAGAAUAGAUGAUAAAAAAAUGAAACAAGGAGUUCCAAUCACAAGUGAUCUUCUCUCCAAAUGAAACUUGUAACAAAAAUAGGUCUAAAAAAGAAAAGCUCUCUCUGCCGUCAAAACUUAGGCAGUAUAUAUUCUACUAUGUUAAAAACUCGUCAGGGCAUUUUGGUAAUUUGGCUUAGCCUUGGUCUUUAAGUCUGCUGAAUCCAAAAUGUCGCGUCUGGUGUCUCGACAUCGAUCGAUGGUACUUGUGUACAUCGAUCGAUAUUAAUCUUCAUCUGUCGAGGCAUUUCCUGAUAUCGAUCGUCAGCACUGAUGCGCAUCGAUCGAUUAUUCUUCCUCUAGUCGACCUCUAAGUGGUCAGCUCGGGUGAAAUGUCCUUUAUGCUCCAAAAUGCUCCAAAGUCAUAGCUUUACUCCGAAAUGCACCUGAACCUGAAAACAUACCUAGAAGAGUAGAAAGUAUAGAUAUAUAUAUAUAUAUAUAUAUAUAUAUAUAUAUAUAUUGUAAUAUAAUAAUAUACCAUGGAUAAAAAUGGGUCAAAUCCAAGGUAUAUCAAUAGGGCUGGGCGGAUGUGGGUGUUUUGCUGCGAAUUCCUCACAAGUCAUGAUCCUCACAGCUUUGCAAGAUGCGAUGUAUUCCGUAGGUGUUGUCGAGCGAUGUCCAGGAGAGGACGUCGAUCGAUUUUGGAUGACACAUGUCGAUCGAUGUUCGUGGCUUGGCGUCGAUCGACACCAAUGUGAUCCGCGGAAACUCAUCAGACUUUCUACUUCGAAAUCUCCUUCUUGCAGCUUCUCUUCCUUCACCACUUGCUAUAAAUCAUCCCCAAGGAUGGCUUUCACGUGGUGUCUCAUAACAUCAUCUUCUAUCCUUUUUGUUAAGGUUCCUGCCUCUUAACAGCUUCUCAUGUCCGAACAACCUGCAUCUCUAGCUUCUUCACAUGAGUGCUCAAACUUUUUGUUGAGGAAAAAAUUCCAUGAAGAGAUUACUCCAGGUUCCAGGUUCCUUCCCCCGGGUUCCAGGUUCCCGACUCCAGCUUCCAGGGUCCUGCCCCCUGGUCAGGGUCCCGCCUCCGGGUUCCGACUUCUGGCUUCCAAGUUGAAUGGUUUCUCCUACCUUAGACACGAAGAGAUCCUCUUAAAUCCAAGAGAAAAAGGAAGUAUUCCAACAUAUAGGCCGUUCUUAAGAAAAUUGGAAAUAUUCUAUUAUCUAAGGAUACAUUGAAUAUUUCCAAACCCUAGGAGGGGGCACGACCUCCACUAUAAAUAUAGGUUUCUAAACCUAAGGAGGAAGGGGGGGGGGGGAAGACGUCCAUAAACAGACCUCACAAGUUCUACAGCCGCCAAGGCAAUAUUCUAACCCUAGAAGACCUUUUCCUUCGACAUGCCUAUGAUAGGCUGAUCCCGAUGAUUGUUCCCGACAAGAUGAAGUCAUACAUGUGGGAGGGGGCCCAAACUAGCGCCAAACUGUGGGAACCAAAAUUCGCACUGUCGAUUUAUGUUUAAAUUAGGAAAGGGAGUACCCUAGUUUCCCAGAGGUCCCGAAUAUCUAUUAGAACCACAUGCCAAGCAAUCAGAACACGAAACGAAAACAAUAAUAAAACAAGAAAUCGUAAAAAAAGCAAAAAAUGUCUUAUUCCGAAUUCGCAUAUGAGCGUUACAACAAGGUAGAAGCCUAGGCUAUGAAAGCUGUCGGCGAGAUCCCUAGUUCUAACAACCUAAGACUGCAAAAUCUAGUUGAGUCGCAGCUCGAAAUAACAAAUACGAAAAGUUGCCUAAUUGUUCUAAGUGAUAAGUUUGCUGUGUAAAAGUUCUCUUUUCUGCCUCUCACCUAGGACUCCUUAUAUACUCGCUCCUAGGUCGGUUUACGCUUUUCCCGUUCUGCCCUUAAGCCGUCAUAGCUUAAAAAUGGAGAUAUUCCGUCUUUUCCAAUCUUCGUGAUUAUCUUCGGAAACUUCAGAUUUAUCCGCGGAAACUUGACAUUUAUCCUUUUCUUACGAACCAAGCAUAAACCAUCAUAUGGCUUAUGGGCUUUUGGUUAAGAAAUCAUAAGUGGGCUUCGAGCUGCGUUUUAGCCCUCAUUGGGCCGUCUUUGACUCGAGACGUUUAUUACGGUUUCUUCGAUAAAAACAAACUUCCUGCGGUUUUUAUCAUAAAGUUCGAUUGAUGACUCCGAGUGACGAAAAACAUGAAAUGGUUUUGCUAUGGUUUUUGGGAGAUAGCAUUAAAGAGUAGACGAGAAUGCAUGGAUUCGUGUUGUGUCGAUGUUUUAAGAGAGCUCGGUCGCUACGUAGAGACCGAGCCGUGUACGUGCUCGGUCACUACGUAGCGACCGAGCUUGGCCCGAGCUUGGUUGCUACGUAGCUCUCUACUUAAGGAGAAGAAGGCCAGGAAGGCCAAGUCUUCGGAGGUGUGUCGACUUCAACGUCAGAUCGAGAAUGACGUAGGAUCGACGACCGAAGGGAUCGAAGAGGCCAAGGAUGCGCUCCGAGCUGAGUUCCAGGCGCAUUUGGCGAAGAUCUCUGCCUUUAUUGGCUCCCUCGAGUGCAUCCGCAGUAGAGAUUUGGCCUUGGUGACUGUCGAGGGCGGGAUGGCUAUAGUUUGCGCACUCCAGAGGGAGACUCCUCCGUCCUUAAAGGCCGAAGAGACCAGGUUGUCCGAUUGUAAGGGAGAUUCGGCGGCCGUAGAUGGGGAUUUUGAUCUCGUCCUGGCUGACCUGAAAUCCGCGUGCUUCCUCCCGACGUGUUCAAAAGACCCAGAGGGGAAAGAUCCCAUGGUCGGGGAAAAUGGAGGCGACGCGGCCCCGAGCAUGGACGAGGUGAUGGGCGAAGAGGAGGCUUGACUUCAGAAGAUGGCCAUGGUAACGAUCUCUCGUGAGAGAUUUUUUUUUUGUUUAUGUUUAUGUUUUGGCCUUGUAUCGCCUUGUUUUAUAUUUCGGGACUGGCCGUUUGUGGCUUUGAUUCCCUGCCGCUCUGCGGCUUUUGUUAUUUUUUUUUAUGAAUGGAUAAUCAGUUUGCGUUUACGUGAGUAAGUGUAUGGAAGGCGGAUUAUGAGUUGUCGUCUCAUAUCUCUUUCCGAUGUGAAAUGCUUUAUUCGCGAUCUGUUUCGAGCGUUUUCCGCGAAAUCCUAAUUUUGCGGGAUAUCUGAAGACGUCAAAUGUAAGCAUCGAGACAUGUUUUAGGAUCUCAUGUCUUCUUUUCGAUAUCAUGCCUUGAGAUGUUAAGACCAGUGCGAUGGGUUUAGGGUAAGACCUAGGUUUACUUUCGGUUUUAAGAUUUAUGCGGUGACUGGCCGACUAUUGAUUUUCUUGCUGUGAUUUUAACCUGACUCGUAACGAUUUAAAGUCCGCGAUAUGUUCUCGGCUUAUACGACUUGUCUGAUACAAAUCGAGCAUCUCUCCAGAGACGACUUUUAAGCCAACUGGAAGUGCUUGACCAAAAUUUCGGAUUUCUUUUGUAGCGAUAUUAUCCUUGUGUCGGAUGUACGAGGGUCAUCUUCGUGAGAUGCUGUUUCUGUUUAGGACGUUUAAGAGUUCGAUGUGAUCAGCAACGAACUUGUGGUAGAUAUUACCAUUUGGGUCUUCGCGAAGAAUAUGUGUUUUGCGGAGAUGUUAGUGCGUAUAUCAUUUUUCAAUAGUUUCGUUUUGUCGGAUGGGAAACAACUUCUUAGCGAUUUUUGCAAUGUCUAACAGCGCCGGAGGUUGAUUUGUCCCUAAUGACUGGUUUACUUGCGAGUUUUUUCAGGACUCGGAUAUAAUUUGUUGGAUGAAGAUGAUUUGCUCGGUUUUGAAGGGUAUAAGUUUCAGAAAUAUCGAGGGCGUGGUGGGAUAUUUUGAACUUUGGAGUAUGCGAGUAUACGUACCCACUCCCCCCCCCCCUUUUAGAUAGGGGGGACAGCUGAAUUCGUCUUUCGACAAACUGCCUACGUACCCCUUAUGGAGAUCAAGCCGUCUCGUAGUUUGGUUGUUGCGAAGUGGUUUAUUUAGUGAUAGUAUUUUUUGAGAUGCAUUGCGUUCCAGGUUCUCGGGAUUUUUACGCCUUGCAUGUUGGCUAUCUCGUAGGAGCCUGGUCGAACGACUUUUACGAUCUUGUAGGGUCCUUCCCAGUUCGUUCCAAGUUUUCCCGCGUUUUGUUCAGCGGUGUUUUGGAAUAAUUUGCGAAGAACCAACUCUCCUUCGUUGAAUCUGCGAUUCCGUACGUUGGAAUGAUAAUAUUUUGCGGCUGCGUGUUGGUAAUUCUGCAUUCAGACGAGCGCUCGAUCCCGGCGCUUGUUAACGAGGUCAAGAUCGUCUAGAAGCAUAGCGUUAUUGGGCUCUUCUCAUUCGGGCAAUAAUCUCCUUCACACACCAGGGAACUCGACUUUUGCGGGAAUCAUGCAUUAUGUCCCGUAGACGAGGGCAAAAGGUGUUUCUCCUGUUGCUCGUCUUUGGGUUGUGGGAUGUGUCCAGAGGACUCCCUCGAGUUCGUCUACCCACCUGCAUUUUUUGGCGUCUAGACGGUUCUUAAGUCCGUCUAGAAGGGUCUUAUUGAUCGUCUCGGCUUGUCCGUUUUAUUGCGGGUAUCUGGGAGUCGACUUGUUUAGUCGUAUCUUCCAUUUUUCACAAAACGCUUCGAAUCGGGUGGAGAUGAACUGAGAUCCUUUCUCAGUUACGAUUUCGUAAGGAAUUCCAUGUCUACAAAUAAUGUUUUUCCAUACGAAAUUUUCAACUUGAACAUCUUUGAUACUUGCGUACGAGUCUGCCUCUACCCACUUUGCGAAGAAAUCUGUGAGGACUAAGAGGAAACGCUUUUGCUUUGAAUUGAGAAGGGGUCCGACGAUAUCCAUGGACCAGCACAUGAAAGGAUACGGCGACGUGAUGAAAAAAAAUAACUUCUGCUGGUUUUCGGAUGGUCGGAGCAUGCUUUUGGUAUUUUCUGCACUUUCGUGCGAAUUUCUCACAAUCCUCCGAUCAUCGUUGGCCAGUAGUAUCUGUGGCGUUUGAUUUUUACUGCUAGUGACCUUCCACCGGAAUGGUUUCCGCAGGACCCAGAAUGGACUUCUUCCAUGACGUUUCUCGCUUUUUGUCCUUCCAAACACGUCAUGAGUGGUCUGGAAAGUUUCCAUUUGUAAAUUUCACCGUCGACCGUUACGUAACGCGCGGCCUGCGUUCAGAUUUUACGGGCCGCCCAUUUUUUGGGAGGUAACUUUCCAUCGGUGAUGUAGGCUCGAAUCGUUUCCAGCCAUGGCGUAUUGUAGCCGUAGUUGGAUUGUUCUGAUUUCUCCUCCGGCUGUCCUGCGACCUCUUCUACAUCGUCGUCUUGAUCCCCGAUGAGGUUGAUGAUGAUUGGUGGUGCGAUACUCGGGUGUUCGAUGAAUUUGACCGGAAUCACUCUUUUAAGACCUGGGUCGGAACUCGAUGCCAGGGCUGCGAGAGCAUCGGCUUGGACGUUCUCAGAACGGGGGAUUCGCGUAAGAGCGAAGCAAUCAAAUUCUUUGGCUAGAUUCUGGACCAGUUUGAGAUACGCAUCCAUUCUUUCGUCCCUCGCUUCGUAUUCUCCGCUAUAUUGACUUGCAACUAGCUGAGAAUCACAGUAGGCAUGGAUGUUACGUAUCCUCAAUCGGUGAGCUAAACGUAGCCCUGAAAUGAGUGCUUCGUACUCGGCCUCGUUGUUGGAUGCGUGAAAUUCCAAUCUGAAUGAUUGUUCUAAGAUUUCACUGGUUGGUGAAGUGAGGCGGAUUCCGAUGCCCAAUCCUUGCUUAGAUGAGGAUCCGUCCACGUGAAGAAACCAGGUUGAAUUUGGUUCCUUGUUGGUCACGGUCCCCGUUGGUCACGGUCCCCGUUGGUCACGGUCUCUGUUGGUCACGGUCCCAGUUGGUCACGGUCCCCGUUGGUCACGGUCCCUGUUGGUAGUUCGACUAAAAAAUCUGCGAGUACCUGGGAUUUCGCGCUUGUACUCGGUCGAUAUUCGAUAUCGUACUCGGUCAACUUGACUGCCCAUUUGGCUAGUCGGCCCGACUGACUGGGCUGUGCAGAAUCGUCCGUAGGGAGAAAGUCGUGAGGAUGACGAUUGUGUGUGAUUGGAAAUAUGGUCUUAGCUUUCGCGCCGAAGUUACAACUGCGUAUGCUAGUUUUUCCAUCAACAGAUACCUUGACUCAGCAUCUAGCAAUGUGUUGCUUAUAUAAAAAAUAGGUUGAUGUUCGCCGCGCUCUUCCCUGAUUAGACGCCGCUCACAGCCGUUGCUGAUACUGCGAUAUAUAAGAACAAGGGUUCUCUUUCGACAGGUUUUGCGAGAAUUGGAGGAGUGGCCAAGUAUCGUUUCAACUGUUGAAAAGCAUUUUCGCACUCUUCUGACCAUUCAAAUUUUUUAUUCCCCCGCAAGAUAUCGUAGAAAGGUAGGCACUUGUCUGUCGACCUGAGAUGAAUCGGUUAAGUGUUGCGACUCUACCGGUCAAUCUCUGGACUUCCCGUUUAUUCUUGGGUGAAUCCAUCUCGAUAAAUGCAUUGAUCUGUUUUGGAUUAGCUUCGAAACCACGGGAUUUGACUAGGUAUCCGAGGAAUUCUCCCAAUGCUACGGCGAAUCUGCAUUUUACCGGGUUGAGCUUCAUGUUAUGGGAAUUCAGUUGUGCGAAACAUUCCUCAAGUUGAGAUAAGUGAUCUCUUGCCUGGGUAGAGCUCGUGUGUUGUAUAGCAGAUAGGAGCUAUCCCGAUGGUGUGCAGCGUUUCGAACACGUCCUCGUCGAUCCCAAGAUCAGCCAAAGUCUCCGCGUGGCAGAAACGAGUGGGUAACAUGUCAACCCGGAGGAUGGCGUUGUAGCGCGCUGCUGUCCCCUUAUCCCACCCCUCGCAGUUGAAAUCCAAGAGCAAUGGGCUGUCGAGAUCAAUUGGUUCACCCUCUUGUUCCCGGGGCCAUGGGUAGGUCGCAGAGGUUUGUUGAUGUGCUUGAGGGGGUGGCGUGUUGCAUGUAGCUUUCUUUCACUUGGCGGAUUGCUUAGUUUUGGCCAUCGAGUUUUUGCGAUUUGGAUGGGGACUGUCGAGCCUCGUACCUGUAGAAACUGGUGAAGUGAACUGCAAAGACAGAGAGAACUCGAAAUUCCAAACGAGUGAGAAGCCAAAACCACUUAAAACGGUUGAGAAUCAAAGAUUUUGUGGUUGCUUAAAAAUCGCAGGGGGAAGGGUCACUGUGCGGCACAGUGAAAGGGGAAAGUGGAAGGGUGAAGCCUUAAAUAGGAAAAACCCUAACUACCCCCGAAUUUUUUUAUUUAUUUAUUUUUUUUUUGGUUCGGAACACUUACAUGGAAUAGUCAAUGGGUUGUUCUACCAGAAGAACAGUUCUUUGGUUGUUCUGACUGAAGAGUCCAACUUUUUUUUCUUAUUUUUGACCUACAAAAUAAAUCUGAAAAGAAAUAUAAUAAACUAUGGAAAUCAAUGUACAUACUAACCAGUGGGUUGCCUCCCACCAAGCGCUUGGUUAAAGUCAUUAGCUUGACUUGGAUCAGCCUAAUGGGGGAUCGCUUAGGACUCUUCUCCCUCUGCGAUGGUGGAGUCAGCAAGGUAAUGCCUGACGCGCUGUCCGUUCACUACGAACUCGUCUCCUUUUCUGUCCAGUAACACAACGGCUCCGUAGGGUCGAACUUCCUUAACAGUGAAGGGCCCCGACCACCUAGACUUUAACUUGCCUGGGAACAAUCUCAGCCUCGAAUUGAAAAGCAAGACCUUAUCGUUGGGUUCGAAAUGUCUCGCAAUAAUUCGCUUGACAUAGUAGGCCUUGGUCUUCUCCUUGUAAAUUUUGGAUCUUUCAUAGGCGAGGUGCCUUAUCUCCUCCAGCUCAAGAUUAGAAUCAUGCGUCUCUCGGUUGCUGGCUUGAUGUCAAAAUUCAGUAGCUUGACUGCCCAUGCAGCCUUGUAUUCGAGCUCGACAGGGAGGUGACAUGCCUUACCAUAUACCAGGUGAUAGGGGGUCGUCCCUAGCGACAUUUUGUUGGCUGUUCUGUAGGCCCAUAGUGCAUCGUCCAGCUUAAGUGACAAGUCCUUUCGUGACGUGUUGACAGUUUUCUGGAGGAUGCUUUUGAUCUCCCUAUUGGAAACCUUAACCUGUCCACUCGUCUGUGGAUGAUAUGUGGUUGCCACCUUGUGCUUUACUCCAUUCUUCGUCAGGAGGCCCUGAAAUGCCUUGUUGAUGCAGUGUGUUCCACCAUCGCUAAUUUCCACCCGAGGCACUCCAAAUCUCGGAAAGAUGAUGGCUGUUCUGUAGGCCCAUAGGGCUCGCCAUCGCUUCUACCCACUUAGAUACAUAAUCUACGGCGACGAGGAUGUACUCAUUCUUGAAGGACGGAGGAAAUGGUCCCAUGAAAUCGACUCCCCAAUCGUCGAAUACUUCAACCUCUAGAAUGUAAUUCUGAGGCAUCUCAUUCCUCUUGCUGAUUUUCUCAAGUCGCUGGCAUGCAUCGCACCUGGCUAUGUAGGCGUGAGCAUCCCUGAACAUUGUUGGCCACCAGAAUCCUGCUUGAAGGAUUUUGGAAACCGUUCUGAAUGUAGCGAAGUGGCCUGCGUAAGAUGAACCAUGGCAGUGAUGUAGGAUUCCGGGAAUAUCUGCCUCUGGAACACACCUUCUGAAUAAGCCAUCCUUUCCAUGUCUGUACAAGAACGGUUCAUCCCAAACAUAAUGCCUCGCCUCCCUUAAAAUUUUCCUCUUGUCGUUUCCGGUGAAAUUAAGAGGUUGCUUUUCAGCAGCUAGAAAAUUCACAAUUUCAGCAAACCACGGGAGGUUAGAGUACUGCUUUUGGAUCACUUUGACCGGAUAUUCCGCGAUGUGAGAACAAUCGGGUCUCCUUCCCAGAGGUUGUUCUGCGAUGCUGGAACAGUCUGAUGUGAUUCCCAGAGGUUGUUCCGCGAAACGCAGACCAACCACGUUGAUGUGUUCCACUGGGUGUUCUUCAUCAAGAGUUGUGUCGUCCUCAAUAUUCCUUCUGGACAGGUGGUCUGCAACCCCAUUCUCGCCGUGAUUUUGUCUAAGCGAUUGUUGAAGAAUGCCAGCCUUGGGAGACUCCUCUCUUAUCCUUUAUCUCAAGAUCGAAUUCUUGGAGGAGAAGAAUCCACCUUAACAACCUCGGUUUCGCAUCUUUCUUUGUGAGCAGAUACUUAAGAGCAGCAUGGUCUGUGUGCACAAUCACCUUAGAUCCCACCAGGUAGGAUCUGAACUUCUCGAAUGCAAAAACAAUAGCCAGAAGUUCUUUCUCUGUCGUAGCGUAUCUGCACUGAGCUUCAUCCAUAGUUUUGCUUGCGUAAUAGAUCACAUGAAGUUUCUUAUCCUUGCGCUGCCCAAGUACUGCUCAAACUGCAAAGUCGCUUGCAUCAGUCAUGAUUUCAAAGAGGAGAUCCCAGUCUGGCGGUUGCACAACAGGUGCGCUGACUAGAGCUCCUUUGAUGGUGUGGAACGCAGCUAGACACUCACUGUCGAAAUCGAACUUGAUCUCCUUGCAGAGCAGUCUGGUGAGUGGUCUCGCUAUCCUUGAGAAAUCCUGGAUAAAAUGUCUGUAAAACCCAGCGUGACCCAUGAAACUCCUGAUGGCUUUCACAUUUGUUGGUGGUUGCAAACUCCUCAUCACCUAGAUCUUUGCCUUAUCCACCUCAAUGCCUUUCUCGGAGAUCUUGUGCCCCAGAACAAUCCCAUCUGUGACCAUGAAGUGGCACUUCUCCCAAUUGAGCACCAGAUGUUUCUCCUCACACCUUUUUAGUACUCUGCACAAUUUUGACAAACAGACACUAAAGGAGCUUCCAUAGACACUGAAAUCAUCCAUAAAAACUUCCAUAAUGUCUUCAAUCAGGUCAGUAAAGAUUGACAUCAUGCAGCGCUGAAAUGUUGCUGGCGCAUUGCACAAGCCGAAUGGCAUUCUCCUGGAAGCAUACGUUCCGUAGGGGCACGUGAACGUCGUCUUUUCCUGAUCAUCUAGAUGGAUAGGGAUCUGUAAGAAACCUGAAUAACCAUCUAAAAAGCAAUAAUAUUGGUGGUUAGCCAAUCUCUCAAGCAUUUGAUCAAUAAAAGGGAGUGGAAAGUGAUCCUUUCUAGUUGCUGCAUUUAGUUUCCUGAAAUCAAUGCACAUGCGAUGUCAUGUCACUAUCCUAGUAGGGAUCAAUUCAUUCUUUUCAUUCGUGAUAACAGUGAUCCCACCUUUCUUAGGUACUACAUGAAGAGGGCUAACCCAUUUACUAUGAGAUAUGGCAUAGAUCACACCUGCUUCAAGAAGUUUCAUAAUCUCUUUCUUAGCAACAUCUUUUAGAUUCGGGUUUAACCUCCUCUGAUGUUCGACAGAAGUCAUUGAUUCAUCUUCUAGUUGUAUUCUAUGCAUGCAUAAAUCAGGUGAAAUGCCAGGUAUGUCAGCUAGUGAAUAUCCUAAUGCCUUACGUUAUUUCCUAAGCUCACACAAAAGCAAUGCAGUUUCCACAUUAUUUAGUUCAGCAUUCACAAUGACAGGAUAGGUGGAAUUUGGACCUAAGAAAGCGUACCUGAGCCCCUUAGGAAGGGGUUUUAGCUCAACCUUGGGAGCUUUAAGCUCGCUCCAGGGGUCCUUUGGUUGGUUCGACAGAACAGGCGAGUUUGGUGUAGGGGUCGCUCCAGCUGGGGUGGUGUCGUCCCUGUUGCUCUCCUCCCCCAGCUUAGACUCGCUACCAUUCUUCCCAUACUCCUUGUGGAGUCAAGCAUCUUGGCAUACCCAUGUGCAUCAAUGUUUACGACACUCUGCUCGGCCUCAGCUCUUACUAAUGCAAGCUCCAGUGGGUCUUCGGUAAGAAUCUCCUCGAUCAUUCCUUCGCGAGGUUGGAGCGGAUUAAUCCCUUCAUCAACCUCAAAGGUCUGCCCAUCCAACAUCGGCUUCUUUAGCAACUCAUCUAUCUCGAAUUGCAUAACUAUGUCCCCAAGAUUCAGAUCAAUCUUCCCCUGUCGCACAUCAAUGAUGGCUCCAACAAUACAUAAGAAUGGUCUUCCCAAGAUGAGAGGAUCUUUAGACUCUUCUUCCAGCUCCAGAACAACGAAGUCUGCUGGAACAGAGGUGUUUCCAACUUUUACUUGGAGAUCCUCUAGAAUACCGACCGGAGAUUUGACUGAUCUAUCUGCGAACACCAAGGACAUCUUAGUUGGUUUGAAAUGCGUGUAUCCUAGACGUCGAGCUACAGAGUAGGGCAUGCAGUUCUACAGAGUAGAAUUGCAUUGCACUCCUUAGGAUUUUUGUCUGUUUUACCAGGUAGAACACCAAGGACAUCUUAGUUGGUUCACGCUGGAUCCAAGAUCAACCAAGGAGCAUGCAAAAACUGUUUUCCCAAUCUGGAUAGGGAUGACGAACUUGCUGGGGUCUCCUCGCUUCUUUAUCUAUCUGUUAUGAAGCACUGCACUGCACUCCUUAGAAACUGUCAUGAAUUCGCUCUCCUCUGAUAUUUUUCCUGAGAUCAAUCCUUUCAUAAAGCUGCGCAUGGAGGGCAUCAUUUGGAUCACAUCCAUCAGGGGGAGUCGGACGAUUAGAUCCUCCAGCAUCUUCCUGCACUUCAUCUCCUCUAUGUCCUUACGAGUACCCUUUGCUGGAACAGGGUAAGGGACUUUAGGAAUGUAUUCGCGAGGAGGAACAACCUCUGGGAUUGGGCGAACAGCUUCAGCUGGUUGUUCUGGCCCUGGUGAACUUGUUUCAACUGCUGGUUCUGUAUUCCCCUCUACUGCCAGGGUAUCGGCUGGUAGUUGUUCCGACUCUUUCUGCUUCCCUUUCUCAGCCGUGGUGAACCUCCUCUUCUCCGGCUUGGAAAGUUGCUUCCCGCUCCUUAGCUGAACUGCAUUGCACUCCUUAGGAUUUUUGUCUGUUUUACCAGGUAGAGUACCUUGCUGCCUCUUGACACUCUCAACAGUCUGAGCUAUCUGAAUGUCCAUGUGUCUCAUAUGGCUCGCGACAUUAUCAUACUUGGUGCUCAAAUCUCCAAACAUAUGGUUCAUUUUGGUAUUAAUCUCGGUAGUAACCUGGUUUAGAGCUUUCCCUUGGAGCUGUUGUCCUUGGUGUAGCUGCUGCAACAUAGUUUUGUUUCAUCUUGCGGAACCGCGACAGAGGCGGAAGUAGCAGGCUGAGUGUUCUGGUGCUUCUGCAUCUGAGGUUGAUUGUUCUAUGGUUGGCUUAGAAAAUAGGUUCGGGGUUGGUAGUUCUUUUGAUACCCCGCAUACUGACCUUGACUGCUCUGUGCCGGAUCAACCGGUUUCUCCUGCUUAGGCCAGAAAAGUUGUGGAUUGUUCCUUACGUUAGGGUUUGGGUGGUAGUUCUUUAGCUGCCACCCUUGCCCAUUUACGUAGCUCACUUCCUGCUGAUCUUCUCCUGCUUGUUCAGCUUCAAACGCCUUGUCGCCUGCACUCUUCUUAGGAGUUGCUUCUUCCAUUAUGAAAACUUGGCUCUGGUUUCCCUUAAGCAGUUGGUCCACCUUCGCCGCAAGAUCAUCUAUAUUGUUCACACUUUUGGAGCGAUCGUGCUCCUUGUUCUUGUUGAGUGAACUUGAAGCCAUGUUCUCAAUCAACGCGAACGCACUAGGUGUGGUUUGAGUCAUGAGGUCUCCGUUACUAGAAGAAUCAAGGGUGUUUCGGAACACAUAGCUCACUCCAUCAUAGAACACCUCCAAUAUGUAAUCAUCAUCAGACCCAUAGUGUGGGCACUCUCUCUGGUACUCCUUGUACCUUUCCCAAGCUUCAUGAAAGGUUUAUCAGAUUUCUGCUUGAAAUUGGAGAUUCUAUGCCUUAGAGCCGUGGUUUUGGACUUUGUGUAGAAGUGGCUUAGGAAUGCUGAUCGAACCUGGUCCCAUGAGGUGAGAGAACCGGUUGGGAGAGAUUGCAGCCAGCGAGAAGCUUUCCCUUCAAGAGAGAAUGGGAACAGCGAGCAUUUGACAUAAUCUGGUGGCACUCCAUUAGAGCAAGAGAAAUUGCAGAUCCUCUCAAAGGCCUCUAUGUGGUCCAUUGGAAUGUCUGAAGUGAGGCCGCUGAACGUGCUCUUCUGUACCAGACCUACCAGUGCAGGUUUGAUCUCAUAAUCUUGUAGAGUACAGGGUGGAGAGCUGAUGGGGGAGAAGUUAGUAGCGAAGUUUGGCGGAAGGUUUCGCUCCCUAAUAAGAGCACCACGCUCUUCUCGUGUGGCGUUCUCGGCUGCUUGGUCCUCAGCAGUUUGUUGCUGAUUUUGGAUGGUUUGCUGCAUCUGCAACAUCUGUUGUUGCUGAGUCUGUAUUUGUUGUUGAAUGAGUGCCAAUGCAGCAGUGAGGUCAUCCAUGUUGACGUGAUCACCCAUGUUGGUGUUGGUUGUUCUUGGCUGUUGACGGUUCUGUCUUUCUAAUCUUGUGAGUUCUUUGUUGGUCAGUUGAUGUAGUGGUCCUUGUGCUUUGCUCCGAGUAUGUCUACUGGUCAUGCACUUGGAUCAUCUGUUCCAACAAAGAAAUAAAGCAAGUUAGAUAUCUCACACUAAAUAUUAAACCGAAAAAGAAAGGUAAAGCUUAGUCCCCGUCGCAACGGCGCCAAAACUUGGUACACUAAAAAUGAAUCCUUGCUACUGUCAAGUUAACAGUGGUAAUUGUAAUAUUUGAGAUUCAAUCCUGAGGACCAGUUUACUUUUUACUCUUAUGAGUUCAAUAAUAAGCUGAGAAACAAGUGGGGUUUUGGGAAUUCAUUGUGACGCAAGUAACUAGAAUACCUAGAUGGUUCAAAUUUGAUUUAAAUGAAGCCGGCUUAGGGUUAUUAAUCGGAUGUCAAUGCAGAACUGAACAACUAUUCAAGUGCAAUGAGGUGCACUCUAGAAUUCAGAUCACUCGGCUAGAACAAUCCACUAUCGUGGUCUUGCUCCCUUUGCAUAUCGGUCUUGAAUCCUAAGUUCUCACUUGGAACAAGACACGAUAACAAGCCUUAGAGACAAGAUCUGAUUAGUUCACGUAAUACCCUAAUAUCUACUCUCGCUGAUUAGGGAUACAAAGCUCAUUCAAUAUAUGUCAAUUUAUCUCCUAAGCGGUUAGCUAGGUGAUUAAAUCAGAGAUCGACAGUUCAUGCGGCUAACACCCUACAACCCUAAGCAAGCUUAGCCUACUACUCAAUCAUAAAGCAGGAUGACACAAACAUGGUUUCUGAAUAAUACUGCAUAUAAAAUAAAGUAGAAAGACAAGGGUUCAGGAUGAUCUUCUCGUGAGAAUGAGAGAUGAAGCCUUCUCCCUUACAAGUUGCUUAAUCCAAAGAAAAUAGUUAUAGGUCUCUUGCAAAAACUAGCGUCCGAAAAAGAAAUGAUAGCAUAGGCCUUUUUAUAUGGAGGCGCUGGUGGUAAAGAGAUAAGAGAGAGUGGAAUCUAGGGCAAACUUCCAGAAUUGGAACUUUCCUUAAUGAUCGGGAACAGUCAAACGCUUGUUCUCUUCGGGAACAACCUUCGGGUUGUUCUAGAUGACUGUUCCGCAUCGAAUCCUUCAAAACGGCAUCCGACUUCCAGAAUCUCUCUUCUUUACUCUUUCACCUGCUCCAAACCUGGAAUGAUAUCAAUUAAACACGAAUUAGGACUUAGAAUUAGCUCAAAGCACACAUAUAAUGGUACUAAAAACACCAUAUAUCAUGGUUCGGGUGGUUUGGUUGGGAUCCAUAGUCGCGCUUAGGAAACUUAGAUCGGUUUCUUAGCAAAGAUGUUUUUCAUUUAUCUUUCCACAGUCGGUGCCAAAAUGUAGAACCUAAAAUCUACACUAAGUAUUUGAAAGUGAUCGGGAGUUUGAUCUAGGGAAGAUAAAAGAUGUAGGCAACAAUAUCUUUAGAAAACAACGAUGUUAAUAGUUUCCAGUAGGCAAAAAUGGACUUUAUUGAUGAAUAGGACCGAAUACAAUAAGUUGAACUAGAUUGAAUUACACAAGUGAGAUCGUUAAAGAAAAGGAUCUAAGAACAGGAGAAAACAAAGUCGAUGUAUGUGUGUAGCUCUCUCUCUAGGGUUUUCAACGUGUUCUUCUUCAUGUCCCUUCUCAUUUCUUUAUAGCGAGUCGACUUCGCGAUCUCUGUAGCUGUUCUGCGACCUUUGUAACUGCUCCGCGAUCUUAGUAACCGCUCCGCGAUCUCUGGGGGCCUCGACUUCUUUGCUUUUGAGCUCGGUUGCUUGCUACGGGUUUUGAUCCUUACAGCACAUCACUUUGAUCGUGGCCCGUUAAGGUAUUACCCAAAAUUGGGUCCAACAUCUGGGAUGUAACGAACUUCACUCAAUGUGACCGAUGAUCCAUCUUUGUUGUCUAUGGUUAUUUUUCCCAUUCCUCAAACUAUGCACAAUGAGUUGUGACCCAUCAUCACUUUAUUCCCGUCAUAUUCCACAAACUCUGAUAGAAGAUCCCUUUGUUGCGUGAUAUGAAAAGUGCAACCUGAUUCCAACACCCACUCUUCAUUUGAUACCAUCAGACUGUCUGUCAGGGCUAUUAACCCUGGAAGAUUCUUUGCCACGUUUGCUGAGUUUUCUAAAUUUGAGGAGUGAGAUGUUUUUUGUGUUCUGGACAGUCUCGUUUCCAGUGUCCAUCGCUUCCACAUAUCCAACAAGUUUUAUCUUGUUUUACAUUCUACUUUCCUAUUGACCUGAAUCUGCUCUUUCGUUUGCUGUUCCAUUGCUUGUUAUUUCUUGAGUCAUUUCUGGUCGAUGUUCUUCCCCUUGACUCACUGUAAAGACCCUUUGAGUGUAUGCCUCUUGUUGUCAACCCCUUCUGCUUUAUCUCUGCCUCUUUUGAGUAUGCCAUAGUGAUGACUUUGUUGACUGUCAGCAUGUCUUUCCGGUUCCAUAUUGUAUGGUAUGUACCAAUGGCUCACAGGCUGUAGUCAGCCCAGAGAGUAGUUGAAUGGCUUGAUCCUCGUCUGAGAUGUCGAUCUUGAUACUUGCCAAAUCAGCUAGAAGCUUUAGGAAAGAGUCAAAGUUCUCUUCCAUUGGUUUAUUUUCUUCCAUCCUGAAGCAAGAAAACUUCUUCUUGAGAUAUAUUCAGUUUGGCAAAGACUUUGUUUGGUAGUCUCUCUCAAAUUCUUUCCCCAUUCUAAGAGAUAUAGUCUCAUUCAUAAUCUUCAUCAAGAUCAAAUCACUGGGACAAGUGGUGAAUAGACUCCUAGCUCUUAGAUAUCUUUCUGCCUUCUUUAGGUCUUUCUUUACUUCGACACCUUCCUCUAGCUUUGCUAUAUCAAAUUCAAAAGUGGUUUCUUUCUAAAGUACUGAUACCAGGCCUUGAAUCGCUAACUGUGUCAUCAUCUUAAAUUUCCAAAGUCCAAAGUCACCGUUCCUAUCGAACUUCUCGAUCUCGAACCUCCCUGGCGUCGGAUCCAUCCUCUUUGAUGUGUGAUUCCUCGCUUCUUGUCACUUGCAGAUAACCAAGAAAACAAUCCCACAACAACUAGAUGCACAACCAAAGAUUCAAGAUCAGAUCGAUUUAGUAUAAGAGUAGAAUUGAACUUCCUUUAUAAUCCCAAUCAACCUCUUCUCGUUGAUUGGUGCUCCUCGAUCUUUACUCCUCGUAGAACCAGAUCGUUCUUCUGAAUCCGGACCUCGAUCAUGUCUUCUGAAUCCUUUGAAUGCUCUAGCCUAGCUCUGAUACCACUUGUAGAAUAAUCUGAUACACACUUGUAUUGUAUCUCAAUGAUCUCUCUUGACUAUCGAACGCUUUGAUUCUAUCGAUCUCUCACGUCUCUCGUAGUUUGAAGAUCGCGACUCCACUCACACACUCGAAAACCCAGAACGCAACACGAAAGAAAACAAUUGACAAGAAAACACCCAAAGUUUUAGAGUUCCCCAGAUUUUGGGUACAUCUCCUUCAGGAUCGGUACCUGGAAUUCGUUAUCUCUUUGGAGUGUUACACGAGAUUCUUUACAACAAUGGCAGAAUCAUCUGCUUCGGUACCUGGAUAACAUGAGAAGAAGACGAGGCUGUUAGGUUGUUAUGAGGUGUUAUCCUCUGCUUCUCAUCCUUCUCCUUUUAUAUGCACAUGUAACUUCAGCUCCUGGGUUUCACUCUUUCACCAGAGGCCGAGCAUAAUCUUUAUCGCUCUUCUUUAUUAUUGACGUCCAGGCCCAGUUGUCAACGACAGGCCCAGUCCAGAUCAACUCAGUCACUUGCCAAUCUCACAUAGAAUAUUUUUGGAAUAUAACUUUUUUAUAUGUUUUAAAAAUUAUGUAUUGCCAUUUUUGAUCUACAUUAAAUAUGUAUUGUCAUUUUUUUUUGUCAGCAAACAAAGCAGACUCAUGUAGACUCUGCGAACCACCCCGAUAGCUCUGCAUCCAUAUGGACGACAAAUGACGGUUGCUUUCUUGCACUGCGUGCGAGACUGUCCGCCUUUGAGUUUUGUGUCUGUGGUAUAUGAAUGAUCUCUGAGCUGUUAAAACUCCUCUUUAAAACUUUUAUGUCUUCCAAAUAGCUUGCAAAGGCUGGCCACUCUUCUGGUUCCGACACCAUCUUCACCAAUUGAGCACUAUCUGUUGCAAAAGUAACCCAUGCUUGUCUAAGAUUCCUCAUACAUUCCAUUGCCCAUAUAAGGGCCUCUAUCUCUGAGUGUAGUGGCGACUGACUCGCUCUCGUGUUCCUUGCUCCCAUUAGUCCAUCGUAGCCUUCCAGGGUACUAUACCAUCCUUGCCCUGAAAAGCUAUCCUCAUUUUUCCAAGAUCCGUCUGUAAAACACCAUCUACCUGGUAUACUCGUUAUUAUCGAAGAUACAUGAAUUUGGGUGCGUUCCAUGUCUUGAGUCUGAGAAUUUUGUGCUUCCACCCAAAGUAACGAUUCCAUUUCUGCCAGUUUAAGAGUAUCUCUCGGGUCCAUAUCCAAAUUGCUAAAAACUUUAUUGUUUCUACCUUUCCAUAUAUACCAGAGAAUCCAAGCAAAUGAAUGAUCCUCCAUUUCAGGAGAAAGUCUCCAAAAUAAAUGAUCCAUAUUGGUAAACAAAGAUUGAGUGGGAAAAAUAUUUGGAUUCAUCGGGAUCCGUGAAAGUGCCCAGACCUGAACCGCCGGUGGACAUUCAAAAAACACGUGAUUAGCUGAUUCCUCGGGAGCACCACAUCGGUCACAAACAGUAUCUCCUUGCAUUCCUCUUGACCUCAAAUUUUUCUUAACCACUAUACAUCCCGUCAAUAGUUGCCAUAAACAAUGUUUCAACUUGGGUGGGCAGCGUAACUUCCAACAGAACGUCUUCAAAGGUGUUAUCGAAGGGCCAAACUGGGGUGGCAUUAUUUCUCUAUCCGGAUAUACUCGUUCCACUUCAUAUCCAGAUUUAACCCUAUAUUUUCCAUUCUUUGUAAAAUGCCAUCCAUUCCGGUCUUCUAGAUGAGAUCUACUGAUAGGAAUACUUUGAAUAAUUUUCACAUCUUGCGGAUCCACCAGAGCCCGAAUAACCUGUAGGUUCCAUGAUCGUGACGUUCCAUCGAUAAGAGCAUCCACUGUUAGGUCCGGGUAAAGAUUGUGUUGAUUUUUAUUUGCUGGUCUCGGGCGAGUGGAUGGAAGCCAAGGGUCAUUCCAUACUGAUAUAGAUGAUCAUGUUCCCACCCUUUGAUUAGUCCUAUGCUAACCAGAGAUCUAGCAGAGACAAUACUACCCCAACCAUAAGAUGACAAGUAUGAUCUAAUGGGUUCCAGGGGUGAAGCAUUCCUGAAAUAUCUCCCUUUGAAUACACGAGAAAAUAAAGUAUUCGGUUUGUCCAUUAAUCUCCAAAAUUGUUUCCUAAGCAUAGCUGUAUUAAAAUCUGUGAGAUCUUUGAAUCCCAAACCUCCAUCGUCCUUAGAGCUACACAGUUUGUCCCAUGAUUUCUAAUGCAUACCUCUCUUGUUACCCCCUGGACUCCACCAGAACUGUGCUACAGCACUAACUAAUUUCUUCAUUGUUUAGCAAGGCUAUAACCACAGAUUUUAUAAUCACUUCCUUACCCCCUCUGGUGAAAAACUUAAAAGUCCAACCAUUUACUCUGCUAUUUAGACGCUCCUGAACAAAUCCAAAAACUUGCACCUUUGAUCCUCCCAUAUUUUCUGGGAUGCCCAAAUAAGACCCCAUUCCUCCUAAAUUAUGUAUACCUAAGAUAUCUCGAACUUCCUGUCGUGUAGCUUCUGCAAUCUUGUGUCCAAAUUGAAUCGAAGAUUUUUCAAAAUUUAUUUGUUGUCCUGAAGCCCCUUCAUAUUCUUUGAGAAUCCUAAGAAUUGUCUGACAUUCUUCCUUCUGAGCUUUGCAAAAGAAAAGGCUAUCGUAUGCAAAUAAUAAAUGGGAAAUUGGGGGGCAGGCCCUAGCAACCUUUAGACCCGUUAGUUGCUUAUUUCGUUCUGCCUUUUUAAUAUUUGCGACCAAUGCUUCCGUACACAUAAUAAACAGAUAAGGGGAUAGAAGGUCCCCCUGACGUAAUCCCCUAUGUGGUAUUAUAUGUCCUUUUGGCUGUCCAUUCAAUAAAACCUUAUACUGAACCGAGGAAAUGCAUUACAUCAUUAAUUGGAUCCAAUGCUGGCCGAAUCCCACCUUGGUUAGUAGUUCUUGGAUAAAGAUCCAUUUAACUUUGUCAUAAGCUUUGCUCAUAUCCGUUUUUAUUGCCAAAAAUUUAUCCUGACACGAUUUAUUAGUUCGCAAACCAUAGAACAUCUCCUGAGCUAUAAGAAUAUUAUCUGAUAUUAAUCAUCCAGCAAAAAAAGCCGAUUGCGUCUACGAGAUCAGUGAUGGAAGACAGACCUUUAAUCUUUGACAUAAUACCUUAGAUAUAAUCUUGUAUCCUACAUUACAUAAGCUGAUAGGUAUGAGUUCAGUCAUCCUUGUGGGUCUCUCCGUUUUAGGAAUCAGACAAAUAUUUGUAGUGUUUAACCUUGUGUCCAAAUUUCCCGAUGCCAAAAAACUAUUGACCAUUUCCAAUAGAUCAUUUUUUAUUAUAUGCCAUGAGUGUUGAAAAAAGAGAGCCGUCAUUCCAUCCGGCCCAGGAGCUUUCUCCGGAUGCAUCAUGAAUAAGCAUGUCGAACUUCCUCCUCAGUUGCCAACCGAACAAGCCGUUGAUUCAUUUGUGGUGUAAUUGAGGGUGUAAUCUCAUCUAAAAAACCAUCAAAACCAGUAGGAGUUGUUGUCUGAAACAGAUCUUCAAAAUAAUCCACUGCCACCUUUUCUACCCCCUGCUCCUCAAUUAUCCAGUUUCUAUCAGAAUCAUAUAGACCCACAAUUCUAUUACGAGCACGACGUUGUUUUGUUAGAGCAUGAUAGAAUUUUGUAUUGAGAACCCCAGAAGUGUGCCACAUAUUACGACUCUUUUGUUGCCAGUACUCUUCAUCAUCCUUAUAAGCUUCCUGUAACUUCCUUGAGACCUCUAGAAUAUCUUCUUGGGUUCUAGUAUUAUCCGUUUGGACUUCAAGUGCUUUCUGGAGUUCUCCAAUUUUCUCUUUCCCAUAAGGUGGAUUAUUCUUCCGCCAUGUAGAGAUCUCAUGAUGGCAGUUUGUAAUUUUUGAAACGAAAUCCCCCGGAUUCGCCUCUGAGAAUUCACCCCACCCUCUUGCAAUCGAGUCCAAUAAGCCUUCUUGUCCAAUCCAUCUCUUGUCAAACCGAAAUUUUCCCCUCCGUCUUGUUAUUUUAUUGUCCAGAAAAGCCACCACCGGUCGAUGAUCGGACCCCACCAUUCUCAAAUAUUCUGUGUAAGAGCAUGGAAAAAGUGUAUCCCAAUCUUCAUUCGCUAAAGCUCGAUCCAACCGGCACCGAACCAUAACUUUUUUCUUUUUUCCUUGUUUCCUUCUUCCUUGCCAGGACAUCUGAUUUCCUCGGACUGGGAACUCCAAAAGUUCAGUAUUCCUAAUCAUGUCAUUAAACGGUACAAAAGAUCCUGCACUGCGUAUGCCCCCCCCCCCCAUCUUUUUCAUGAUUCCCAGUUAUCUCAUUCAAAUCUCCAAUAAUAAACCACGGCUCUGACCUUGCUAGGCCAUACCUUGUUAACCGUUCCCAAACUUGAUCCCGUAACUGUUGAACCGGCUCUCCAUAAACAAAGGUCAUAUAAACUUUUUUUCCAAGGGCCAAAGUUUCAACAUCAAUCAUACGAUUACUAGUAUAUAGAAUAUCAACCUGGUAUUCAUUAUUGUAAAACAAUGCCAAACCUCCACUCGCACCAACCGGGUCCACUGUAACUAAAUUAUCAUAACCAAAAUGAGACUGAAGACCCUGAAGGUAAACUAAAUCUUGUUUUGUCUCGGAGAGAAACCAAAAAUCCGGUCUAUGUUUAUGCCAUAUUUCCCGUAAAUAACUAAUUGUCCAGUGACUUCCCGCACCUCUACAAUUCCAACUCAAUACUAUCAUAAAAACCUUUUAGAAAAAACUCAUUAGAGCUAGAUUAUCGGGUGUGAAGAAACUCUGGGUAACCAGACUCCACUCGACAGAAAACUGAUAUUUCAUUAUGUAUUGUCAUAUACAUGUAUAUAUAUAUAUAUAUAUAUGAAUUAUGGUUCAUCUAUUUAGUUUCCAUUAUUUUCUGUUUUAAAAUAAAUUUAUUAAAUAAAUAAAUGUAUUUUAAGUGGUAAUAUUUUGUAUUAUUUGUUGUUUUCAUAGUAAGUAAUAUUUUUUUAUUAAAUUUCUAUUUGAACUUCAAACAAGAAUAAUUAAUAAUAUAUAGUAAAAUUAUAAAACAAAGUAUAUAUAACUUAUAUUUAAACAUAGAAUUAAAAUUUUAAGUUUACGUUUAAACAUAAAAUUAUAUUUGUUUUUGCUGUUUUUUAAAUAGGCUUAUGUGUGUUUUGGUAAUGAUAUUAUAUUUUAUUAUAUCACAAUAAAUAUUUUACUAUUGAUAAUAUUUUCAUUUCAUUAUUUUAUAAGCAAAAACCAAAAAAAAAAUUAACCAAAAUAUAAAAUCAUAAUUCAUGGUUUUCAAAAAUUUAAAAUAUAAUGCAAAAUUAAAAAAAAAAUCCAAAUCUAAAAUAAAAAAAACCAACAACUAAAAACAAAAUUAAAAAUUAAAAAUCUAGAAACCAAACAAACAAUCAUCUCCAUAAAUGGAUCUUGAUUAGAUUGGUAGUCUGGAUCUAAUUGUUUUAGGUUCGGUUAAUAAUUAGUUAGAAAGGUAGUGUCAAAUUGUUUUUGUUAUAAUUUCUAUUUAAAAAAUAAUAAUUUAAAUAAAUAAAAGAGGAAAGUCUCCAAACAAGAAUUUUUUUCAGCCAUUUUAUAUCUUUUUUGGUAAAAAAUUCCCAACAUAAACUACAAACGAUUUUAUUUUUGCAAAGAGUACAUAUUAUAACUCGAACAUAGAUACAUUACAUUACGAAAGUUUAUUCACCUAAUUUCUUUUAUUUGACUUAAGUAACUUUUACAAACUCACCAUGGUUUUACUUAUAGUCAUAUACACAUACAUGUCACAGUUGUAUACAGGACUGUGUGUAUACAUAGAUGAAAUCAUCCAUGGUGGUUAAAGUAUUGAUAGAUUUAGUUGCCAGGCUGAGUCUGAACAGCUUCUGGACCGUGUCCACCGUGGCCUCCUCUUCCUCCGUGUCCCCCGUGGCCUCCUCUUCCUCCCUUGUAUCCUCCACCUCUUCCUCCGUUGUAUCCUCCACCGCCGUUGUAUCCUCCUCCCCCGUUAUAUCCUCCACCUCCCUUGUAUCCUCCACCUCCGUUGUGUCCUCCUCUGUUAUAUCCUCCUCGUCCGUUGUAACCUUCAUUUCCGCCAUGGCCACCACCAUAUCGAUCAGGUUGCACAGUUUCCUCACUCUCUGUUUUCACCGUACAUAUCCAAAACAAAGCACCUCAAUAUUAUUUCAAAGAUAUCUUUUAGCACGUGCAUAUGUGCAUUCCACUCCCCGAUUUUUGAAAUAAAUUUCGAUUAAAACUAUUCAAAUAUAUAUAAUUUCGGAUCUCGGUCAAAAAAGAUAAAUCGCAUCAUUAUAUACCUUCAAUAUAAAAUUUAGACCGAACAUCUAAAUGAUUUGAGAUGGCCUGAUACGUAUAAAAGGUUUCAAUAUCAUACAUAUCGUCUUCUUUUUUUCUUUUUUAAUAAAACUGGGCUAAUCUCCUGGAGAGCCUACCAGGAAAAGACAAACCCGGUUCCUCUACGGAGGAGUUAGAUAUUCACACCGCCUAGCUACACAUAUCGUUUUUUUUACUAGACAAAUAUUCCCUGCCUUUUUAAUAUAAGUCAGUUUUAGAAUUAUGCACACAGAUAAAAAAAUUAUUAUUUUUUAUAUUUUCUAACAAAAAUAUCAUUAAUUAUUUAUCUAACCACGAAUCAGUCAAUAAUAAAAUAGAAAGUAUAUUAUCAUUAGUUAUAUAAAACUAAGUGUUAAUAAAUUUUACAUAGAAAAUCGAAAAAAUCAUAUAAUUUAGAACAUAAAAAUUUCUAAAACGACUUAUAUUAAAAAACGGAAGGAGUAGAUAACAACAUCAUACUUAAAUGUGUUUUGACUUAGCAAGUCCAAAUAAUUAACCAGCAUUAAUUCAAACAAACUUUCUGGACUUAAAACGGACGAAAUGGUAUGAUGAAAUUUUGAAAUAGUACUUUAGCACCACAGCCUUUGGAACUACUUUUAUUUUUAUAUAGAAUAAUAAUUUUACGUACCCGACUUCUGUGCAGAUGCUGCGGCCAUUUCUGACACAACGAGAAGAAUUGCAAAGACACCCAGCAUAAUCAAAGUCUUUGAAGCCAUUUUUUUUUUUUUGCUAAAUUGUAAAUAUCAUAUAAUGAAAGGUUUAGGGUUUUACAAGCCUAAAUUGUGAUACCUUGGCAAAAAGAAAGAAAAAACAAGGCAGUCACAAAAAGUUAGAGUAGAAACAUUUAGUUAUCUAAUCCAAAGUUGCAUAAGAGAUUUGAAGCUUCUCCUAUGUCUUCGCGCACUUAUCGUGUUGCGAACCUCCCUGUCGAUGGAGCUGAAGGUCGUCUGGGUUGGGCAGAAUCCUGAGAGAUGCACCGCUGAAUUACAUUGCCUCCAGACGUUGUAGAGGAGAGAUUGUGUGGCCAGCUUCUUGAGCGUUGUUGGUGCUGAGGCAGAGGGGGCUCGUACCCAGGACAGAAGCUCUUCCCAAGACAGAAAAGCCCUACGAAGAGGAUCCAAUCGCGCAAAAAUGAAGCUCCAAAUGGCAUUGCUGUAGUUGCAGGAGAGGAAAAGAUGCUCUCUGGUUUCUUCAUGGUUGUUACAGAAGCAGCACGCCGUUUGAAUAUUGAGACCCCACGAGGCAAGCCUGACCUUCGUUGGUAAACGGUUGAGGUUCGCUAGCCACAUGAUGAACGCCUGUCUUGGAAUGGCUCCACUGAACCAGACUGCGUUGGCCCAAGUCUUUUUUGGUGAUCUUGGUCUCAGGACCUCCCAUGUCUUGGAAGAGGAGAAGCCCUUGCAGUCUUUGGAGUCGACUACCCAUUCGAACACGUCUGAUUCUGUCUGGUGUAGCGGAAGCUGGAUGGUCGUUAAGUGGAUAUGGAGAGCGAGAGCGUUGUCUGAUCUAGGCUGAGGAAGCUUCCAUGUCGUUUCAUUUGUAGCGUCUCUAACGGAGGCUGAGAUAGGUACUCUACAGACCCUAGGACCCGAAUCACCUAAGAAUUUGAUUAGCUGGCCAAAGGGAGUCCAACUAUCGAACCAGAACUUUGAGUUUGCUCCAUUGUGAACUCUGCACUUUAAGAACUGCUCUGCCAGUGGUCUGAGGGAGAGGAUCGAGUUCCAAGAUGCCGAGUCCGAUCUCUUGCUUUCUAAUGCCCAGAAGCUAUCAUUCUGUAGAUGGUGGUGGGUGUGCCAUUGCACCCAUAGGGAGUUAGUGCCCGAGAAUAAUAGCCAAAUAAACCGCAGGCACAACACCUUGUUCCAGUCAUUGAAACUCCUUAAGCCAAGGCCUCCUUCUGUUUUCGGUAGACAGACUGUUUUCCAAGCCACUUUUGCUGAGACUCUAUUCUCAAUAUUUCCAGCCCAUAGGAAACGUGAGCAGAAGGAUUCUAUCUUUUUCAGACAGCCCUUGGGUAAUAUGAACGUUGUCAUCCAAAAAUUUACAGUUCCAUUUAUGACAGAAGACAAUAGCUGGAGUCUCCCUGCAUAACUCAACAUUUUAACAGCCCAUGACCUGAAUGUACCAACUAGGUUCUGUAUCAAAGGGUCAUACUCCGAUAUCCUAAGCUUUCUAUGCAUCAGCGGUAAACCGAGAUAGCGAAUAGGGAGCUUACCAAUUGGGAACUCGUAUCUAGCGACUUCCGCAGUUUCCAAGGGGUUGAGACCAGCAACGAAGAGCUCUGACUUGUCUCUGUUAACUUGCAGCCCUGACCAGCUGGCAAAAUCAUCUAAGGUUUCUGCGAUUUCGUGCAGAGAAUUAGAGCCCCCAUCAAAGAAGAUCAUCACAUCAUCAGCAAACAUCAAGUGAGAGAUAUUAACAUCAGCGGUUCUAGGAUGGUAUGAGAUGUAACCCAAGUCAAAUCUAGCAGAUAAAAGUCUGGAGAAGACUUCCAUUGCUAGCACGAAUAGGUAAGGCGACAGCGGGUCCCCCUGCCUAAGACCUUUCGAGCUCUUGAAAAACCCAUCAGAAAUGCCAUUUACUGAAACAGAGAAUGUUGGAGUCGUGAUACACUCCUGAAUCCAGCCAAUGAAGAUCUCAGGAAAGUUGAUGGCUCUGAGGGUAGAGAUAAUGAAGUCCCAUCUGAUUGAGUCGAAGGCCUUCCGCAAGUCAACCUUGAGCAUACCCCUCUUUGAGAUGUUUUUCCUGUUGUAACCAUGGACAAUCUCCGUUGCUAGAAGAACAUUUUCAGACAACAACCUGCCUUUGAUAAACGCAGACUGCGACGGUGAGAUGACAUUGUAGAGUAUCUCUUGAAGGCGGUUUGUUAGCAGUCUGGAUAUCACUUUGUAUAGAGUAUUGACGCAGGAUAUUGGUCGAAAAUCCUUAGUCCUAUCAGCAUUAGAAGACUUGGGGAUGAGGAUCAGAGAGGUUGCAUUCCAUUGCUUUAAGAGUUUGCCCGAUCUGAAGAACUCCAGAAUAGCUUCUGUUGCCUCAACGCCCACAAUACUCCAAGCCCCUAUGAAGAACUCUGCUGGGUAACCAUCUGGACCACUAGUUUUGUUCGAGGGCAGAGCAAAAAACGCUUCUCUAAUUUCUUGCCUAGUGAACUCCCUAAUAAGAUCCUCCUUCUGUACCUCAGUGCAUCGGUAGGGCAAAAGCAGAGAGAGAUCUUGAGGGUCUAAAGAAGAGGGGUCAUGCUCUGCGCCUAGCAAGUCUGAAAAGUAAUUCAGGCAGAGGCUUUGGAUCGCAGCCUGUCCCUCCACUCUCGUGUUUUGAUCAUCUAAGAGAUAAUGAAUAUGAUUAGAUGCCCUUCUCGUUGCGAUAAGUCUGUGGAAAUACGCUGAGUUGCAGUCGCCACCUUUAAUUGAGUUUAUGUGAGAUCUUUGAAAUAAGAAUCUCUCCUCGGCUUUGGAAAGGGUUACCCAUCUGUCCAUCUCCACUCUCUCUGCUACCGCAUUUGCAUCAGUUGGUCUUAGGAGGAGGAUUUGCUGCGCAGCUAGUAGCUUCUCGUGAGCCUCCUUUACUCUCUUUUCCAGGUUUGAAUAGUUCUCCUUGCUGAAGGUUCGAAUACCCGCCUUUAUCAUUUUCAACUUCCUAGCGAUGGUGAGCAUCGCUGAUCCAGUGACAUUUGUAGAGUACCAAAGAUCUGUAAGGUAAUCAAGAAACUGCUCGUUGUGAAGCAAGAAGUUGUAGAAGCGGAAUGGUCUCUUUUCUCUAGUCGAUGCCGCCUUCAAGAGAACAGUAGCCACUGCGUGGUCCGAGAAGUCUGGUUCCCCAAAGAUAGCAAUAGAGUCCGGGUUGCUGGAGAGCCAGUUAUCGUUGACAAGUACUCUAUCAAGUUUCUUGGCGAUGACAUUAGUCUUGCUUUUAUUUGUCCAAGUGAAGGUCGGCCCCUUGAAUGACAGAUCAGCCAAAUCAGCUUCCAAUAGAGUCUCCCUGAACAACCUUGUUUUAGUGUCAACGUUUAGAGAUGUCGGUCUGGAGUGUUCUUGGGGGUGAAGCGUUUGGUUGAAAUCUCCUAAGACCAUCCAAGGCCUGUUUUUGAUUCUCGGAUCAUCACUCAAACUGAUAAUCUCCUUCCAAAGUUCCCGUCUCUGCUCCUCCUCAUUUGAGGCAUAUAUAACGGUGAUAAUAUAAGCAGAAGGCUGGUUAGGAAGUUGGACCUCUGAAGUAAUCGAUUGUAGGGAUUUGUGUAACACUGUUACCAUGACAGAAGGGUGCCACACUACCCAGAUCUUCCCAAUCUCCGAGAAACUGUAGUUCUCCACAAAUUGCCAGCCAGGUAGAAUGCCGGUUAAGAACUUCUGAAUCUUUGGCUGCUUUACAUGGGUUUCUAUAAUACCCCCAAAAAGUGGUUUAUUUAGCUUCCACCAUUUUCUAAAUCCGCUGCGGUGACUAUAUACGUUGAACCCGCGCACAUUCCAGCAAAAAAAGUCUAUAUACAUUGAUGAUUAGUGUUUUGAGGGAAGAGCCCCUCGGUUUUUCUUCUUACUUCUCCUGGAUAACACCCUGAUGAAGUUCUCAUGGUCGUCGUGGUAGCCAUCUGAUUCACCAGAGUAGGUGUCAGAGGAGUCAUGCUCUAGGUCAGAUGAUUUCUCUUCCUCAGUGCCUUCGCUAAGCUUGACUCUUUCGUUUCCCGGGGGGGUUUUUUCAGCAGGGGUAAGGCCACUACUAUCACCUUUAUCCUGAACUAUCGUCGGAGGUAAUGUGACAAUUGGUUCCUGAACACGUUUCCCAUUAUCACGAACUUGCCACUGCAGCUGUGGAGCCUUAUCUUUGAAGCCAUUUUCUUUAACCGAAUUUAAGUUAUAACACUCUCUUUGUCGAAAAACAAAUGAUGAAUAAAAUGUCAGUCUGCAUGAUCUCUAUUUAAAGAGAAAGAGGAGCAGCGGAUGAGAAAAGCCAAAUAACAAAAAUUCAAUAAAAAUAAUUUAAUUUUUUAAUUAAAAGAAAAAGAGGCAGAAUUUAUCACAACAUUGGAUUUGGAACUUUAUAGAAUUUGAACACCUACUAAGUUCCAGAAAAUCUAAAAUUAAGAUAAAAUGUUGAAAAAUUAUUACAGUUUCUUUAAAAAGAUUUAAAUCAAUUUUAUAAUAUUUAAAAAAAUAUUUAAACCUUUGAAUUUUAUUUUAAUGAAAAUUUAUGUUCUUUAAAAUUUUAUUUUUAUUACUUAUUAAUUUAUAUAAAAUAUAUAAAUAUACAAAAUAAUAUUUCUAAAUAAACUUUAUUUAUCUGAUUUCAUUUUUUUAUUUUUAUGUAAAAGUGAAAAAUAAAGAAGAAUUUAUUUUGUAAGAAAUUUCAAAUAACAUCAUCAUAGGAAGUGAUAUUUUUAUUCAUUAACUUUUAACCAUAUAAGUUAUUUUUAUAAUUCCACCACUUCUUAUUUGAUAGAUUUUAAUGACUAAAUCUAUAUUUCCAAUAAGUUAGAAUUUCGAAGAACUAAUACAAAUUAUGAACUCAAUAACUUUGGAUUUCAAAUUAUUUCUGUAAAUGUUAAAUACAAUAUAACUGAUGAUUUUGGGGGAAAAUGAAAUCCUAUAAACUUACUAAUCGGUUAAUUCAAUAAUUACUCUAAAAUAUUUUCUAGAGAGACUUCUUGGAUGAGGAGUUUGAAAAGUAAUUAAGUAGAAAGUGAAAAGAAGUUAUUUUGUUAAAUAUUUAAGAUGGGUUUACUUAAUUCAUUUAACUGUUAUGAAAAAUGUGUUCUCAAUAUAUUCUAUUUAGGUUAUUUCCUACUUUUCAGUUUUAGAUCUUGUUAAGCUUGAAUGUACCAUGCGUAAGAAGAAUAUAAUGACCCACAUUCUGGUCCAAUGAAUUCAGAUCGAGGCCCAAACCCAUCCCCAUAAGCCCAUGAUAUUUUCUAUAAAAACUCAGCACUCUACUUUGUUUUCUUCACCAAAAAUCAUCAAGAAAAGUUUAGAGAGAAGAAGUUAAUGGGAGAAAUGAGGAAUUGUUACAGAACCUGAGCCACCACUGGGUUCGUCGGAGCCUUCUCACGCCGUGACUGUGUCGAGCACGCCACCACCGUUAACCGCCCAAGGUAACACGGAAACCACAUGCAUUAGCUUCAAUUUCGGGUCUGUUUAGUAAAUCGCCCAUUACUUCCUAACCAUUAGCUUCAUAACUUCCGUUUAGCUUCAGCUGCAUGCAAGACCAACAUUGUGUUCCUCUUGUGGAGACGAAGCCAUAGACACCAACCACACCGUGAUCGGAGCCCGGACGAAGCCGCUAGAGCUUCCCGAAGUUUCGCUACGAUCGGAGUCCGCCGGAGCCGCCACGCAUUCCGGCCACUUGCCACCGUCUCCGACCAUCGUUCGCCGGAGCCGUCGUGCCCGGCCACCGUCCGUCCGCCGCCGAGAAGCUGCCACCGUAUCGCCGCCUCUCCGCUGCCGUCGGCGAUUUCCCGGUAAACCGCCGCCACCCUCCGCCGUCGCCGCCGUCACCACCGGUGACCGUCGCCGGUAACUCGGCCAAGUCCGGUGAGACAACUCGGUGACUCAGUCAACUGGUGGUUUGACUGGUUUAAUUGGUUUAAAUCGAUUUUGGGUUGGUUAGGUUAAACCGGUUGGUUAUUGGAAAUUGAUUUUGGAUAGAAGUAAACCGGUUUGCAAUUAAUUAGGAUCUGGUUCAAUUAAAAAUCAAAAUCGGCUGAGUUAAACCGGUCGGUUCAGUUUGAUUUCAAUUUGGUUAAGGGUUGACCGGCUUGGGUCAGAGUUGACCAGGUUGACCUUUGACCUGCGGAUUGACUUUUUGGUAAACUUUAACCAGACCCGUUUUAAACCGUUCGAAAGCCGUUCUGACUCAGAAUUUUGCCCUGAUUUCAGAUUAAGAGUCUAUUUGAGCAGCUGGAGUUCAUAGAUACCACAUUUCCCUAUUGCUCAGGUGAGGGUCUAUUCUCGAACUUCUCGUAUACGGCUUAGGACCUCGAAUAAGUAUAACUUAUUUCUAAUAUGUUCUAUCUGCUUGAAAUCGAGUCAGUCAUUGCUUGUUUAGUUAUUAGGUUCUUUGCUUAAAUCGAAAUUAGGUGGUUAGAGGAUUCAACAUCGAUUGUUUCACUUAAUGUAAAUGCUUAGCUAGGAUUGUUUUUGUGUGGAGACGGAUACAGAGACAGACUUAUGUAUGCCGGAUCGUAUGAGGUUAUGGCCAACUAUAGUCGACCGGUUGAGCUGUAGCCUGGAAGGAUCGAUAAAUCGUCCAUGGGCGGUGUCCGAGCACUAUCUCGAGCUGUGUUAUGUUUUUGGCCUUUUAGUGGGCAGCGAGUGCGCGCCUCGCUAGAACAAUUUUUUGUUGUUUGGAUACUUUAGGUGCCGUGUUUGACAUGUAUUAGAAUUAAAUUAUAUUUAUUUGGAGUGCUAUGUCCGGGUCCAUGGACUUUAGGGUAGCAUCUCAUACCUCAUUGGGUGAUUACCCUGUCGCUCACCCCUCACUCUGACCGAUGAGCAGGGGUGAUUAUCGGACUGGUGCUAUUGGGCUUUUGGGCUUCUAUCGCUUUUAUCGCUUUUACCGUUAUCGGGCUUUUAGGCCUUUGGACUUGGUGGCAACCACCAUUAAGUUUUGAUUCAUGGAAGCCUGUCCAAUUUUGGUCAAUGAACUUGCAAUAGAAGCAGACUUUGACUUAAGAGAGAAAUUAAUAGAGAGAAAAGAUAGGAACUAACUUUUACCUACAGAUCCAGAUACUUGUUUGAAAAUCCUUGCAUCCUGUGAUCGGUACUCCCAAGGUAAAGCUUGCACUUUUAUUUAUGUUAAGAAAUGAGGGUGGUAGAGGGGAAUGUCAGACAUGAUUUGCUAAGUUGUUGGCUAGGUGAAUUUGGUUGGUAAGCUAGGAUAUGGUAUAAUGUGCUUUUGUGGUUAGGACUUCCGAGAUGUGGAUUGAAAAAUUGUAGAGGUGAUGAUUCUAAGUUGUACAUCAUGUGAGUCCCUACUGUUUUGAGAGACUGCAUGUUUGUUUUGCUUGAGGACAAGCAAAAUGUUAAGUCUGUGGGAGUUGAUAGACCAUUGAUUUUACCCACUUUCAGCCAUGGUCUAUAAGUGUUUUAAUAUAUAUUUACUACUAAAUAGAGUCUAAUAGAGUCUAUUUAGAGUAUUUACAGGUUCAAGUACGUUCUAGAAAAAUAUGGUGAUUUUGGAGUCUUUUGAGGUGCAGAACUGCACAGGCGCGUCAGAUGUCUAGCUAUGGAUGGAUAUCUUCCCACCGUUAGAUUGAGCCCAUCUUUUGACACAAAAUAGUGAUUUGAGUUAGAUUUCCAAUUCCACCAGUUUGAGGUCAAUCAGCAUCCUGUAGCAGAGGUUACAAUCGUUUUACUGAAGAGCGGUCAGUCUGCCUCGCAAUAGGAAGCUGUCAAGGAGAUAAAAGAUUGUCGAUCGAUGACACAACAUUGGUGACAGUGAUGCCAGAAUAUGGGCUGAGCAUAUUUUAUGACCGCUGAAGCCCAGAAGCAACCUCAAAUUACCAGAAUACCUUUGGACGACCAUAAACCCUAUUCAUGUUAUUCAUAAGCCUUUGUUGACGGCUACACGCUCUUUAAGAUUUCUUGGAUUCUUGUUCUAGGUUAGGAGAGAAAGGAGAAACUCCUUCAGAGUCCUCCUGGAACUCCAUUCGUUUUGGUUUUAUAUUAUUUAUGCUUUUCAUCUAUGAUUUCUAUGACAAACUUCAUGCCUGAAUAGAUCCACCUGUUAGGUUUAGGGUUCACAUAGAUUAUGAAGGAUUAGCCCAAAAUAUAGAACUGCUAAGUAGUGAUAUUCAUCAUAGGAUUGUUCUUACUACUUGUGUUCUAGAGUCAUGAACUAUAACCCUGAUCUUAGAAUCAUUAGGCACAAUUGCGAACGCUUGGUCUUUUCUCUGAACUGAAUUCUAUUGAGAUAGGAUUGCUAGAAACAUACGAGAGUUGAUUUUGGAACCCUAGGGAACACAUAUUCAACCCGAUCGUAAAGCUUGCUAGAAGCAAUAUCGAUCGAUGAUCCAAUAGAUUAAUCGAUCGAUAUUGUGAAAGGUGUAUUGAUCGAUAUUCUUAUAGAAUAAUCGAUCCACACUUUCUUAUGAUCAGUAAACGAGAGUUGAGAUCUAAGAUCUGGAUAGUAGACUGCAUAUACAAUGGAAUUUGUUAGAUUUGUACUCCCAGUUGAGUUCUAUAAUAUCUUGCAACCAACAAUUAGCCUCUAUAUCAUUAAAAUCCUCAUUACCUGAAUAGAAACCCUAGAUCUAGUAACCAUCCUCCCAUCAAACAACUCUUUGCCAAGCUGAACAAUUGUCUUGUUCAACAUGUUUACUGCUUUAUUUACUGCUUUGCUAUAUUUAUUUACCGAUGUAUAAACUAUUAGCCUAGCUUAAUCAUAUAACUAUUAGAUCUAAUUUGUUCCUUAGCUCCAUGUGAAUUCGAUCACUAUGUACUACAACUCGACCUCUUAUUUGAGAGAGUAUAAAUCACUCGUUAGGGUAAUUUGAGUGAUAUCACAUUUUUCUCUCUCUAUUUCGACCCUAGAUUUAUAGGUAGAGAUAUUUAUUUAAAAGAAAAAGAAAAGGAAAAGGAAAGAAAAAAAAUAAAAAUAAUAAUAGGUAUUAGUUAGGUGGAAUCCAAACAGGAUUUGGUGGCUACAACCAUUAAGGCUUGCUUCAUAAGGGUUCCAACAAAAAGAAUUCCAACGGGACUUGGGGGCGGCAAUCAUCAAGGUUCGAUUCACAUGAAUUCUUGGAUAUAUGUCAAAAAGAAGUGAACAUGACUUGGUGACAACCACCAUUAAGUUUUGAUUCAUGGAAGUCUGUCCAAUCUUAGUCAAUGAUCUUGCAAUACAAGCAUACUUUGACUUAAGAGAGAAAUUAGUUGAGAGCACUUUUAUUUAUGUUAAGAAAUGAGGUUAUAGAGGAGAAUGUCAGACAGGAUUUGCUAAGCUGUUGGCUAGGUGAAUUUGGUUGCUAAGCUAAGAUAUGGUAUAAUGUGCUUUUGUGAUUAGGACUUCUUAGAUAUGGAUUGCAAUAUUGUAGAGGUGAUGAUUCUAAGUUUUAAAUCAUGUGAGUCCCUGCUGUUUUCAAACCUCUUUCAGAGAGACUGUCCGUGUGUUUUGCUUGAGGACAAGCAAAAAGGUAAGUCUGAGGAGUUUGAUAGACCAUGGAUUUUACCCACUUUCAGUUAUAGUCUAUAAGUGUUUUAAUAUAUAUUUACUACUAUAUGGAGUCUAUUUAGAGUACUUACAGGUUCAUGUACGUUCUAGAUAAAUAUGGUGAUUUUAGAGCGUUUUGAGGUGUAGAACUGCACAGGCGCGUCAGAUGUCUAGCUAUGGUUGGAGACCUUUCAACUGUUAGAUUUAACCCAUAUUUUGACACAAUAUAGAGUUUUGAGUAAGAUUUCCAAUUCCCACUGGUUUGAGGUCCAUCAGCAUCCUGUAGCAGAAGUUAUGAUCGUUUUACUGAACAGCGGUCAGUCUGCCUCGCAAGAAGAAGCUGUCGAGGAGAUGAAGGAAUGUCAAUUGAUAACACAGCAUUGGUGUCGAUUGACAGUGAUUCCAGCAUAUGGGCUGAGCAUAUUUUAUGACCAUUGAAGCCCAGAAACAACCCCAAAUUACCAGAAUACCCUUGGCCGACCAGAAAUCCUAUUUAUGUUAUUUAUAAGCAAUUGUUGACGGCUACACGCUCUUUAAGCUUUCUUUGAUUCUUGGUAUAGGUUAAGAGUGAAAGGAGGAACUCCUUCUGAGUCCUCCAGGAACUACAUUGGUUUUUGUUUUAUAUUAUUUAUGCUUUUCAUCUAUUCAUCUAUGAUUUCUGUGACAAACUUCAUGUCUGAAUAGAUCUUCCUGUUAGGUUUAGGGUUCAAAUAGGUUAUGAAGGAUUAGUCCAAAAUAUAGAACUGCUAAGUUAUGAUAUUCAUCAUAGGAUUGUUCUUACUGCUUGUGUUCUAGAUUCAUGAACUAGAACCCUGAUCUUAGAAUCUUUAGGCACAAUUGCGAAUGCUUGUUCUUUUCUCUGAACUGAAUUCUAUUGAGCUAGGAUUGCUAGAAAUAUAGGAGAGUUGAUUUAGGAACCCUAGUGAACACAUAUUCAACCCGAUCGCAAAGCUUGCUAGAAGCGAAAUCGAUCGAUAAUCCAAUAGAUUAAUCGAUCGAUAUUUUGAAAGGUGUAUCGAUCGAUAAUCCUAUAGAAUAAUCGAUCGACACUUUCUUGUGAUUAGUAAACGAGAGUUGAGAUCCAAGAUCUGGAUAUUAGACUGUCUAUACAAUGGAAGUUGUUAGAUUUGUACUCCUAGUUGAGUUCUAUAAUAUCUUGCAAGCAUAAUUAGCCUCUAUAUCAUUAUAAUCCUCAUUACCUGAAUAGAAACCCUAGAUCUAGCAACCAUCCUUCCAUGAAACAACUCUUUGCCAAGCUGAACAAUUGUCUUGUUCAACUUGUUUACUGCUUUAUUUACUGCUUUGCUAUAUUUAUUUACUGUUUUAUAAACUAUUAGCCUAGCUUAAUCAUAUAACUUUUAGAUCUAGUUGGUUCCCUAGCUUCCUGUGAAUUCAAUCUCUAAGUACUACAACUCGACCUCUUAUUUGAGAAAGUAUAAAUCACUCCUUAGGGUAAUUUGAGUGAUAUCACGUCUUCUCAGCUCCCAUGAGAUGAAUCAAACUUUGAACAACGGUAUUCGAAGAAUCACUCAUAGAAAAACCUGCAACAAUAUGAAUGCUAGUUAAUUUACCUGAGGACACCAAAGGAAAACUAAACAAAAAGCGCUGCAUAACUAUCGACGAAUAUGACCCAUUCGAAAGGGAUGAGCCUAAAGUUAAAGCUCCCAACUAAGGCAUUGUUAACUUCAAAUAAAAAGUACUUCUCACGAGAAACGCCGCAAUUCAGCAAUCCGCCAAAGCAAUACUUUUCCAUAGGUAUGAGAGAGAUGGUCCCUUCUGAUCCUCUUUUUUUCUCAAAGAUCGAUAGAAGGUUCCCGGUGUUCAGGGGGAGCAGCUGAUCUUUGGACCUUACGGAGAGCACAUUUGCUAUUCAAUCAUAGUUUGCCGACAUAUGACGAAAACGUGAAUCCCAACUGGGCCAGAACCUUAAGAACAAACAUAACGAUCGGGAAAGACAGCUCAUAUACAUCGAAAUAUGACAUGUGGGAACAACAAAACUAUGGUUUAACUGUUCCAAACCGGUGUUCUCCGGCAAGAGAAUUUUUAUUGGAGAUGAUUGCAUGUGUCUUUGUCUGAAUAAAACCAAAUACCCUUCGGUCAUGAGGGAUUUAGGAUGAGGACGAACAUACUAUUUUUUUGCCGACGACAAUCUCUUAAAAGAAAAAUAGGAGCGAUGCAUUCUCGUCGAUACGACACCAAUCCAUGCAUUCUCGUCUAUCCUUCGACACUAUUUCCCAAAGACCGUGGCGAACUCAGCUCAUGUUUUCCGAUCAUUCUAAAUCAUCGAUCAAACUUUGCGGAAAAAACCGCGGGAAGUCCAUUCUUUAUCAAAAGAAGUCGCGAUAAACGUUUCGAGUCGGAAGACGGUCCUAAGGGACCUAAGACACGACUCGAGGCCCAUCUCAAGGUUUCUUAACCAAAAGCCCGUAAACCGUAGGACGGUUUACCCUUGGUUCGCAAGGGAAGAUAAAUGUCAAGUUUCCGUGGAUAUAUACGGAAUUUUGAGGAUAAUUACGAAGAUCGAAAAAAAUGAAAUAUCUCCAUUUUUUGCUAUGACGGCUUAAGGGCAGAAGAGUAAAAGCGUAAACCGAUCUUGGAGCGAGUAUAUAAGGAGUCCUAGGCGAGAGGCAUGGGGGGGGGGGGGAACUCUUUUAGACUAAGAAUUCUCUGCACUUAGAAACUUUAGGCUUUAUUCUCGACAAGUUAGGUUUCUAUGAUUGGCAUUCAAUUACUAGACGAACUCGCCCAGGCAGUUCGAUCUCUUGUCCUGCUCUAUCAAUUGAAAUACGUUCGGCUUGAUCUUCGAAAGGGGUACGUAGGCAGCCUUUAAAAAGGUUCAGUCCGAAAUCAAUCAAAAACCUUUUAUGUAUCUUUUUUGUUUUUUGUUAUCGAACUGCGACUCAACUAGGUUUGAGCUUUUAGGCCGCUAGAACUAAGUAACUCGCUGACAGCCUUUGCGGCCAAAGCUUUUAUGAUCUCUUGUCAUGAUCACAACGCUCUUACGCGGACUCGAAAUAAGAUCUACUGUUAUCUCUAAACUUGUUUAUUAUCUUUUCAUGAUUUCCGCAUAUAUUUGGUCACUUGUCAUUGGCUCUCGCAGAGAUCCGGAACCUCUGGAAAAUUAGGGUUUCCCUAGUUUUCUAAUUUAAACGGAAAUCGACAGUGCGAAUUUCGGUUCUCACACGAAUUUUCGACUUUUCUUAUCCCUAUAAACUAUGUCUGUCCCGUGUUAAAAAUACAUAUUUUUUAGAAAUCAAAUUUUGUAAGAAAUAAUAUGCUAUAUUUUUACAGAUAUAUUAAUCAAUAUUACUUGUUAUGUUGAAUAACCAUUGUUUAUCCAAGAAGUUUUUUCCUUUUCUUGCAGUCUACCUAAUCCAGUCAAACAUUAAAGUAAAUAAGGAGAUUAUGAAAGUAUGAAUAUAUUGGUCCUCAUAUGGUGGGUUGGAUUCAUUUGUGAAUAUAUUUCAAAAUCUAUUAAUGGCAACCCCACCAGUUUUUUAGAUUGUUUAUUACCAAUGUCUUAAACACAGCGCAGUCACACACGUAUAGAUAUAGGAUUUCAUUUUUUGGUUAUAAUUGUUUUAUUAUUAGAAACUGUUAUCAUCAUUGGAUCCUCUUGGAAAAGUCCUUGCCGACAGAUUUUAAACAGCCGUAUACAGACAAAUAUAUUCAGUGAAAGUAAAGCAUAGAGUAGCAUCGCAACACGUAGUAACUACCAACGAAGGUGCAAAAUUUGCUUGGCUAUCUCUAAUCAUAAUACGAAUAUUCUAAUGGAUUUCAUUUGAUUAGAUUAACGCUUGGCUAUAGUUAGUUUACGACGAGUCGAUGAAAAUAUCCAUCCAAAUCACCUUAACAAAGCAGAACAAAGAAUAAAAUCACGCAGCUCUUAGAUUUAAAUAAAAAUAUAAUUAAGAAUAAAAAUGGAUUAGUAACCAUUACCACUAACUACUUUAGAAAGAUCUUUGAAUUAUCUAAGCCAAAAAAUAUUGAAGAGGCACUAGCUUAAGAGGCACUCGCUAGCUUCUCAAUCAUGCAGAGAGACAAGGAAAGAUAACGGGGAUGCGCGUCAUUCGCACGUGUCCUUAGAUAUUUCAUCUUCUCUUUGCUGAUGAUAGUUUUUUUUCUGUAAGACGGGAUCCCGUGAGUGUGAAAAAAUAAUGAAAGUAGUCAGGAAGUAUAGUAAAGCAUCAGGUCAAUGUAUCAACUUUUAUAAAUCGUCCUUACUCUUUAGUAAGUGGACUAAUACAAAUAUUAGACAAGAGAUUAAAGAUGCACUUGGAAUACAAAACGAAGGAAGAAUGGUUCCAAGUGCAAACUUUUUGCAAUUCUCAAGGAUACGUUGAUGCAUAGAGUGAAUGGAUAAACAAGUAGAUGGCUCUCAAAAGAAGGGAAGAAAGUGUUAAUUAAAUCCAUUCUGCCAGCUCUUCCGACUUACGUUAUGUCUACUUUCCUGCUCCCUUUGAAGAUAUGUGAUAACCUAGGAAGUGUCAUUGCUCAAUUGUGUUGGGCUUCAAAUCCACCAAAAAGAGGAAUACAAUGGGCGAAAUGGGAAAAAGUCUGCUUACCAAGAGAGGAGGGAGAUAUUAGUUUUCGUAUGAUCCAUGAUUCAAUCUGGCGCUAAUGGCAAAACAGUUAUGGAGUCUAGUUCAGUUUCCUCACUCUGACUCUUUGGUUGCCCGGGUCUUGAGGGGAAGAUAUUAUAGAUUGAGUUCACCACUCAGAGUAAACUCUGCUAGCAGUCCAUUGUUAUUACUGAGAAUCAGACAUAAGAUACAUUCAGGUUAUGAAGUCAAGGUGUGGGAGGAUACGUGAAUCCCAACGACCCCUGCGAGAUCAGCUAUCCAUGUAGCGCCAGUUAUGCAUCCUAAUCCGAGAGUUAGCGAUUUCAUUAAUCAAGUAUCAAAGGAUUGGGAUGUUGGUCUAUUGGAGAACUAUAUCAAUCUUGAUGACAUACCGCUUAUUAGGAGUUUGGCCAUAAGCUCAACUCAUCGUCGUGAUACAUUCUGCUGGAACUAUACAAGGAGUGGCCAAUACACGGUUAAAUCUGAAUAUUGGGUGGCUCAUAAUUUAUUAAAGGCAGAGGAGGAGAAGGAGGUCUUGGAGCCGAGUAUCACUAAGCUUCAAGCCUUUGCUUGGAAGUUAAAGGCGCCUAAAAAGAUAUGUCAUCUUAUAUGGCAAUUGUUAACUGGUCAUGUGGCAGUAACGAGGAACUUAGCAAGAGGCAAUAUGAGGUAUGAUAACUACUGCCCAAGAUGUGGUGAACUAGAAGUAUUUGUAACCCAAGCCAUAUUCGAAUGUCCACCAGCUCUACAAGUUUGGUCCUUAUCAUCAACUCCAAUAAGCCCAUAUAUAUAUCCACUACCAAGCGACCACACAAAUAUGGAUUACCUAUUCUGGAGGAAAAAAACAUUAUCGAACCAGAACAAGACAUGAAUCCUUAUCCCUGGAUAAUCUGGUAUAUUUGGAAGGCUAGGAAUGACAAAAUUUUGAGGGGGAUAGACAGAGAUCCUUUGGAGCUAGUUCGACAUGCAGAAAGUGAAUGUCAAGCCUGGUUUGAUGCGAACGAAGUGGUACAACCAGUGGUACAAGAUAACAAUACUGAGGAACCCCAAGUCAUAAGCUUGGGUAAUAUUUGCUUGUUAGAUGGAUCUUGGACAGCCUCUGCUCACUUUAGUGGAUGUGGAUGGGUCUGGAUGGACAGUGGCGGAAACAUUCAACUUAUGGGGACAAGAAACUUCACUCGACGCGAAUCAGCAUUGCAUUCAGAAGUAGAAGCACUGCGGUUGUCAAUUGAGAACAUGCUUCAACAUUCAACAUGCCAGAGUUUUGGGACAGAUUGUAAGGACCUGACUGCAAUGAUAAAGGAGCCUCAUGUCUGGCCAAGAUUUGCGAUGGAAUUGGAAAGCAUAGAGACGUUACAGAUAUGCUUCCCGGAUUUUAACAUCAUUCAUGUUCCACGAACGCGCAAUCAGAUUUCAGAUUUUUUAGCUAAAACUGCUAGAUCUUUCUGCAGAGAGUUACAUUUUAUUGGUUGUUUUAUUCCGGUCUGGUUACCCAGACCACCUCAAGCUUAAGUAAUAAAAUGACCUUUUGACAUCAGAAAAGAAAAACGUAAAGGAAGCUUGAGAAAUCAGAAAUGCGUGGAUGAGAUGAGCACUAACAACGGUUAUCGAGUGUAGACAUGUAUAUUUUUUUUGCAACAUGUACAUUCUAAGUAUCAAAUCACGUAGUAGCGAUCGAAGGCGGAUAAAGAAUGGUUGGGUAUUAGAAUACCUAUUUGAAGCAUAUGUUAAAGAAAUGAAAAAAUAAUUCGGGAAUAGGAUAUUGCAAUAACAUAUUUAACAGAUGAAAAUUAUAAACACGACGUACUGCCAUUACCCAUGAUAGUACUUCAAUUUUAUUAAUCUAGGAUAUUCAGACUUUUGUAUAAGUUUAGAGUAAUUUUCAAAAUAGAUGCACCCCAUGGAUAGUAUCUCUCUCUACAUAAUCAUAAUCAAGUGGACUGUCCAUAUUCAUGUAAAUCCCCAUGAUAACGUGAUCUAGUUUCGCCGCAGUAAGUGGAUCGAAUCUAAAAUGUGUUGGCGUGCCAAUUUGUCUCUUUAACUCGGUCAUAAGGAUCCUGACAAUGAUAAUAAUUAUAUAGUUGAUAAUAUAUCAGAUUUUGCCAAACUUAAAUGACAUUUUGGAGGAAAAAGGAUUCAGGUUCGGAAUACAUUUUUAGGAAAGCUAAACAUAAUUGUUUAUUUAAUUGUUUUAGUCAUUAUAACAUCAAAAUGUUAUUCUAUUAUUCAAAUCGAUGUGGACUGAGAAUCCAAACCGAAAUAAAAUAACCAACAUAAACUAGACUUCUAUGAAAAUUUUGUGCACUCCUGAAAUGUUAAAAGAUUGGUGACAACUCAUCAUGUAGGAGUGUUGUUAAAAGAUGAGGUCUUGGGUUCGAGUAACGCCAAACGAACAAAUAACCUACCGGUGGAUGUGGAGGUGUUUCCUCCCACGGUGAGGGGUUAGGAUCGGUGCCCAGCAAGGCUGUGAGCCGGGUUCCGAGUCAGCGGGACGGGUUGUCAGAUAAAAAGUCAACUUUUUGUGACAACCCGUCCACUCACUAGGACCCCAGGCUCACAGCCUGACAGGACACCAACCUUAACCCCUCCAUUAUGAGUUCUCUCUCACUCCAUAAUUAGGUUGUUGGUGCGCUCGACAUUCCUCGAACUCAAGACCUCACCAUUUAACAAAACUCCCACAUGACGAGAUAUCUCCAAUUGAUCAUAUCAAUAACCUACCGGUGGAUGUAGAGGUGUUUCCUCCCACGGUGAGGAGUUAGGGUCGGUGCCCUGCAGGGCUGUGAGCUUGGGAUCCUACUGAGUGGGACGGGUUGUCACAUUAAAAGUCGACUUUUUAUGUGACAGCCCAUCCCGCUCACUCGGAAUCCGGCUUACUCGGGAGUUAUAUGCUUAUAGCACCCCGACCCCAUGGUUAAUGGGUCAUCCACGCCCGCUCUCUCGGCAUGUGGGCCCCAUCUCGUUCCAACAGUUGGUUCAUAAUUUUUUUUAAAAGGCUCAAAAUCAUUGUUUACUGACCUUGCAAUCACCUGACCUUUCAAUGUACUUUGGUCUCACUCACACGGUACCGCGAAUCACUUCCCGAUAGGUCACCCAUCAUUUCACUACUCCAGCCCAAGUAUGUUUAACCCAGGAGUUCUAAACGGAUGUGUUACGGAAAAGGUAAGUCACCUCUGGUAACAUGGGUAGCCAAAUCAAUUCUCUUAAGCCUUUCCAUAUAUCACAACUAGGGAUGUUACAAUUAUGCAACGUCCUCGUUGCGUCCCACGACAGGUCUCAAGACGCCUCUCAGGUCAGAACCGAGAUGGCUAACCAGCUCUGAUACCACUUGUAAUUCCCCGACCACCCAUGGCUAAUGGGUCACCCACGCCUGCUCACUUGGCCCGUGGACCCCGUCCCGUUUCAAUAGUCAGUUUGUAAUUUUUUUCAAAGCCUCGAAAUCAUUGUUUACUGACCCUGGAAUCACCACCUGAAUUUUUCCGUGCUUUGGCCUCACUCACAUGGUUUCGCAAAUCACUUCCCGAUAGGUCACCUAUCCUUUCUGUCACAUCCCGGGCCCGAGCCCAAUUUUUAGUGACAAUGCCCGUGAUGAUUUGGCCCAUGUAGAGAAAACCCUAGGGUUUUUCCCUUCUUCUUCUAUAAAAAGGAGGCAGCCCCUAAGAUUUUCUCCAGAGACUCAAAACCUAGCAAAGCCCUGCCCAGUUGGAGAGAGAGCAGCCGCCGGCUACCAAACCACCACCAGAGCCACCGCGAGUCACCGUAGCACUGCCGGCGACCGUGUAAUCUCACCGAAGAGGAGAUCUCGCCGUGUUUCGAUUCCUUCUCGUCGUUUCCUUGAGUCUUCUACUCUUUUUCUUCUAGAUCCAGCAACUAGUGAGGGUAAAGAAACCCUAAACACUCUCUUUUAGAUCUCUCCUAUCUCUUUCUUCUUCUUGAUCUAUGAUCUAGGGUUUGGGUGGAAACCAACCCUUGUUCUUGUAGAUCUGGUUAGUAAGGACCCGUAGAACUCAGAUCUACAUCAACUCUCUCAUCUCGCAGAUCUAGGCUAAGGUGAGGGCUUGUUGCAAUCUCUGUCUCCUUCUAUCAUUAUCUCAUCAUGGUAGAAAUGUCUAGGUUGAUCAUUCAUCCAUACUUGUUACUUUCUAUAGAUCUACUAAUAUAAAUAAAUAUACAUAUGAUAAAUAUAAAUAUCUUGAUGCUUGAUGUGUGAAAAACAUAGAUCUAUUGCUAAGGUUGUUAAAAUAUGGUUGAAUGAUGUUUGAGGAUUGAAUGUGAUGAUUGUAUUGAUUGGGGUUAUUGUAUAAGAGUAUGAUAUCUAUAUAAUUGGGAGAUGUAAACGAGUUAGAGAAAGGCGUAAGGCCUAUGUGUGCCGGUGUAACGUGGUGGAAUGACAUAUAUGUAUGUCUCGGGCGUUACAUCGUUUCUUGUUGGGUCAUGUGGCAAUCGUUUGAGUUGGCAUGAUUCAUCGCCAGAGCGGACAUGCGCCGUGCCUGUAUGUGAAGUAAAGAUGUAGUAACACGGAUCACGUGGAGACAGCGUGAUGUGGCGUGACCGUGUGAAUGUGGUGGCCCGGAUCACGUGGAGACAGCGUGAUGUGGCGUGAUCGCGUGAAGGUGUGGAACUCACGGAGACAGUGUGAUGUGGCAAGUUCUCACACGACAACAUGAGAGGCGUGGAGACAGCGUGAUGUGGCGUUAGUCUCAUGUUGGCACCGUCGGGGUUUAUCCUCGUUUCUUGUUGAUUGCUUUCGAUUUACUGAAUGUUUAAGUUAGAUGCUUAAGCUAUGUUGUGUGAUGAUUGUUGGUGAUUGAUUUCGGGGCUCCUAGAGCUUCCCUCACUGAGUAUUUGUCGAAAUACUCAGCCCUCCUUUCUUUUUCAGGUGAGUUCGAGGAAGUGCAGGAGUGGUCAUCUCGGUGUGAUGCUGGUUUUCGGGUUGUUUGGUUUUAUUUAAGUUAUUUCAUUUUAAGACUUGGUGAUUUGGUUUUAAGCGUUUCCUAUUCGUUUUAGUACGAUUUUGUAAGACAUUUGGAUUCGAUCCUUGGGAAUGAGAUUUGCAUUGGCCUUUUGAGUGUUUCUUGUUGAUGAAGGCAAUGUGAAUUCAUGCCGUCUCGGUUAAGCAAGAUAUGGGUGUGAUACUUUCACUACUCCAGCCCAAUCAUGCUUGAAUUUCCCCGUGAUUUGGCCUCACUCACAAGUAACGCCAAGCGCACCAAUAACCUACCGUUGGAUGUGGAGGCAUUUUUUCCCACGGUGAGGGGUUAAGUUCGGUGCCCUGCAGGGCUGUGAGCUGGGUUUUGAGUGAGCGGGACGGGUUGUCACAAAAAAAAAUCGCUUAACAACACUCCUCUAGGAUGAGUUUUCACCAAAAAUCGCUUAACAACACUCCUCUAGGAUGAGUUUUCACCAAUUGAUCUGCAGAUCAAUUGGUGACAACUCAUCCUAGAGGAGUGUUGUUAAAGGGUGAAGUCUUGGGAUCGAGUAACGCCAAGCGCACAAAUAACCUUCCGGUGGAUGUGGAUGCGUUUCCUCCCAUGAUGAGUGGUUAGGGUCGGUGCCAUGCAAGGCUGUGAGCUGGGUUCCGAGUGAGCGGGAUGGGUUGUCACACUUUUCAAUUCUUCGGUGUUAUCUUCUAGUGAGUUCAUUAACUGAUCUGCACAGUGCAUUCAUGUGUCUUCUUUGUGUGUUCUCCGUGUCUGCAAUCUGUUUUGUAAUUUGUGGUUUUUUUUGGGCGAUUGUAAAAAUUCUCUCUAGUUUUUAUAAAGCGCCAGAAUGUGCUAGGUGCAAGGGUCUUUGAAGUGUUUCUUCCUCUCUCUCUCUCUCUCUGCGACGGUCCCAAUACUUGGAUUGUUUGAUCAAUCUGAACAGGAUGGUUCCUCCUCAUUACAUGCAGGUACUGAGUCCAAAAGGCAAAUUAUUUCCAUUUCAACCAAUCUUUCUUGUGAAGAAGGUUUGCUCUGGUAAAGGAGUUCCUCAGGCUAGGAUCUUCUUCACUUUACCUAUCCUUCCUUUCAAGCGCUUCAUAGUCUACAGUAAAUCGUUAUUGGAUGGCGAAUGUGAUCUUUAAUUGUUACUUACUCGGAUUAACUAAACAAGUAGGAAAGAUUAGUAAGAUCCGGAAUUUCUUACAAUUUGUUUGCGUAAUCCGAAUUUCAAAUCUGCUUAUGAUAGUUGUAUGGGGUUUAUUCAUUUCCAUCAGAGUCGUGCGAGCUUUUAUAGCUGCCCGAAACAAAAAAUAAAAAAAUAAAAUCAUUUUUCAAAAAUACAUCAAAAUUAUUAAAUAAUAUUAUUAUUGACAAAAAAACAGCAUCAUUACAUUACAAACAACUAAUAAUUAAAUAAGCAAAAAAAUAGUUCUAAACUAUAACAAAUUUCUAUUUAUGCUAGGAAAAAGUAUAAACAAAUUUGAAAAUAAGAAAAAAAUAUUUUAAAAUUUCCAUUGUUAUUAUUUUGCAUAGAUAAAAUAAUUAAGUAACUCAAUAUUUUUAAUUGAUUUUCAAACGAAGAUAAAAGCAUUACUAUACAAACUUAAAAUAUUUAUAGACUAAACACAAAUUUGAGAUAAAUAUUGAGAAAGAAUAAUAUUACACUCAGAAGUGAUAACCACCGAAAUAUGAAUAAAGUAACUUGUAAACUUCUAAUUAUGUAAAGCAUUAUUAUUUUUAAUUAUUUAUUAUUUGUCUCAGUUAAAACAAAUAGAUUUAAAACAAAAGUAUAUAAUAGUUUAACCGUAUGAGUUAUUACUAGAGGUGGCCAAUGUAAAUGCAAGAACUAACCCACAAAGUAAAGCAGAGAGUACACCAGAAAAUAUCUUUACAAAGAUAUGUGUUAUUACUAGUAUUCUUUUAAAGUGAACUUACAAGUCUCUCUUUAAACAGAACCCGAACAAGAUCAAGACCCUUCUUGACUUGCUCCCCUAGCCUCACACGUCCUAAGAUUGAAUACAAGAUCUCUAGAACCUCUACCCCUUAGCCCUUAGUGUUAUUCACUCGCUUACAAGCUUAGUGAACUCCACUCUUAUGCUAAGAAUACAAUUCUCCCUAAUCCACAUGUCGAGUAUGACUAUAUAUACAAUACAGCCAAGUCGGCUAUCCACGCCUAUCUAUCCAAUAUUCACUAUCUACCCAAAUAAGGCAACCCUAAAACCUGUCCAAAGUCUUUAAGAAACUUCCCAUCGUGAGAUCUCCCUUCUCCAAGGUGAAUCUCUUUAAGCUUGCUCCCCAAGAUGUCUUCGUAUUAACUUCGCCUUGGUCCGCAUUCCAUUCUUCAAGUCGCAAUCUUCAUCUUGACUUGUUCAUCCGCACGUACACUUCUCUGUUACAGACUCUGCUCUAUUCACUGAUGUACUUGCGUCUGUAUCAGAACAUCUAUCUGAUCUUUGCAUCUACAAUCUCCCCCUUUUAGUUUGGAUGCCUCUCAAGUACCUGCACAGAUCCACUCAAACAACCACACACAUUCGAACACAUAUAUCCUGAAUAAUAUGUGCAUUAAACUGAAAUGAAGGUUCAAAAUAUGAAAGUUCAAGAGUUAGAGAUAAACAUAAAACCAAAACCACAAAAACCAGGAACAUUGUUUUAUCUCUCACUCCCCCAUAAUUAAAUAAACCGAGAAAAAUUAAAAUUUUCUCCCCCAUAAUCUAGUUUUCCCAUAUUGUAAACUGUUGUCGUUUAACAUGAGUUUAAGUUCUUUUCAACAUUGUCUCAAACAAGUCUGAGUUACAAAGUUGUGCCUUUAUCUGUUCGUAAUAUAUUCUUUCACCGGUGAGCUCUUCAUGUCCACAUCUUAAAUCAUUUGAUCAUAAAUGUUCCUGAUUUGUAGCCCCUCUGUAAACCCCAUAUAUAUGAUUCUCAUCUUUGAUGAUCCAAUCUGCAUAUGCACAAAACUCAUUGAUUCCUCUUAGAUUUAACCAUCUUCUAGAAAAUGUUUCUCUCUGCCUCUCCAGUUCGUCAAACCGGCGUUCCGGCGUCCGUCACGCAACCUUCGAGUAUCUCCGUCUUGGUCGUAGUAGUCAGAGCAUAGCCUCUGGCUUCCUCGCUUCUGGGAUUCCAUGAACUUCAAGAAAGACAGGGAGUUUGUCGGAAUCACGGUUCUCUUCCUUGAUGAAAACGUAAGUUAAUCUUCGAUCUAUCACACUUAUUUAACAUAUCUGUUUUAAUUGAUUUCCUGACUCUUUGUUGAAUAAUAUUAUUUACAGAUUCCGUGAUUCAUGGGUUUACUCCCGUCGCACGUGCUAAUCCUUACAUGUCAUCUUUUGAAAGCAGGUUCCAUUGUGAAAGUCGAUCGUUUUGAGGUUGCUAGGUGCUCAAGCAUGUACAAGAUAACUGAUCAUCCAUUCCUAAUUUGUUUUAUCUCACUAACCAUUAUUGUUGAAGUCAUCACAGGUGCUCCGGAGAUCUAUCUCCAGUCAAGAUUCGACUGUUCGACAAUCUCCAAGUGAUUGCGAACAAAAACCUAGAACUCCCAGGUAUAUUAUCAUGUUGCAUCUGGGUUUAUAUUAUGUUUUGAUAUCAUAACUGAUAUUUAAACUCGCAGAUGUGGUUGGGCAAAUAUGUUAUGUCCAGGGCACUAACCUCACCAAAGAAACAACUCGAGUCGUUAUUCGUCUCUUCAUUGAUCCGUAAGAAAAAAUAAACACAUAAUUUCCUUUAUAUUAUUGUCUAUAUUGUGCUAACAUCAAUAAUAAAAAAUAUUUCAUACCCAAGAUUUGUGGUCGUCUAUUUAUCUCCCUUACUUAUCAAUCUAAUUUUACAUAAAUCUUUAUUUUACAGCUUAAAAGAAAUCACAAUAACCCAAACAAUCAAAACACCAAAAACUAGAAUCUCAAAAAAGAUGCAUCAUUAAUGAUCACCUCUCUUUUUGUCUAGUCUUACAAAUAAACUUCAAAAUAAGUAUACCAAACCAAUCAAACUCAACAAAAACUCAAUGACACAUAAAUUGAGCCAACUAAACAAAUACAAACUACACGGCCAGCUAUUUAACAAUUUACAAACUACCAAGAUCAGUAAAAUUACUUAAACAAAAAAGCAGAUUAAGUUACAAACUCUGAUAAAUACAAAUAACAAUGAUUUUUGUUUACAUAUUACCCAUCAAACAAAAGAGAAACAAACACAGUCACACCAGGAGAUACAAGACACAAUCCCAACAGACACAAAGGAGGCAAGAACAUCUCCACUUGCUCACUCCUCUUAUCUUAUGAAAAUAGCUUACAUGCUCAAUGUCAACAGACCAAAGCUAUUGUCUUCUUAUGAAAAAUACAUAUAUUCGUUUAAAAGCCAUUAUGGCCCAAAUACUAAUUGUCACUCAUUUUAUAGUUAUUUCUACAAGUCUUCAUGUAUUUGUUUUAAAGGUCCGAUAAAAGAAACAAGUUUAAAAUUAAAAAAAGCAUAUAAUCAACAUAAUAAGAAUAAAAUAAUAUUACUUAAUAUACACAACUUACACAACUAGACUGGAGAAAAAAUAUUCAGAAACAAAAGUACUCUCGAUAACGUUAAUAUAAUUUAUGUAAUCUCAACAGUACAAGUAACAAAUUAAAAACAAACAAACAAUAAGUCUCCAACACCACAAACUAUAUCAAUCACAUUAUUAACACAGUUUAGUCUUUCAUGAGUGAAGAACAUUGCAUACACAGUUCAUCAUCACAACUCUAACCCUAUAACAAUAAAAUACUUAAAAAAUAAUGAUCAACCCAAAACGCAAAAUUCAGAACUACAAUAACUCUAACAAAUAUUAAGACGAAUCAAGAACUAUAUCCACAACUCCGCGCCAAGAGCUUGGAGGCAAUGCCCUAGUUUAUUUAAAUACACCAGCAUAUAAAAAUGAAUAGUAUGAAUACUUAACCGUGGCCAAUAACACAACUAAAGACUUUAUUCGAUGCAUUAUGAAAAAAUGAUGCCCUAAGCGAAAAUUUCUUUUCCUAUAAGGCACGCACGGCACGGCACGGUACGGCACUGAUUUCCAUGUAUGAUUUGGUUGUAUAAUUUUGUAUUGUAUGUUUUAGGAUGAAAUAAAUAAAAUUAUAUAUUAAAAAAAGGUAUUGUCAAUAACAUUGAACGUUGUUGGAUACGUGGAGUCUCGGGUGUAUUGUUUCGCUAAACUCUUUUACUGAUGUUAUGGAACUAAAUGAUUUUUCAAAUUUCUUUUUUUUUUCUUUUUCUUUGUGAAACGGGAAAUUGUCAAAAGACAUCAUUGCCGUGAGCGUUCGGGUGCGCAUACGUUUUCUGUUUUUUUUUUCUUUUUUGGCAACAAACGGCUAUUCUAUUACUCAAAUUUGAAGUGGUUUGGAUAACCAGACCGGAAUAUAAAUACCAACAAAACACAACGAUCUAUGAAAAGAACGGGUAACAAGUCAGCAAUUCCAUUUUGCACCCUUGGGAAGUAUUGAAUUUUGAAGUUCGGAAAAUGCAUCUUGAGAAUUUGAAUGGCCUCCAGCUCAGCUGAGAAGUUUGGCCAUGCUUGUGGAUCAUUCAUUAUUGCAAUCAGGUCCUUGCAAUCCGUUCCAAAUUUCUGACAUGUCGAGUGCUGUAGCAUGCUCUACAUUGCCCAUCUUAAUGCUUCCAGUUCAGAGUGGAGUGACGUUUCGCGCCUCCUUAAGUUCCUUGUUCCCAUUAGUUGCAUCUUCCCUCUGUCAUCCUUCCAUACCCAUCCAAGUCCACUGAAUUGAUCUGUAGAGGUCCAUGAACCAUCAACCAUACAGAUGUUUCCAAGCUUAAGGCAUGUGUUUCUUCAACCAUUUGUGUCUGUGGAGGAGCAGGUAUAGAUUCCUUUGCACUAUACUAUGCAUGACACUCACUCUCUGCGUAUCUGACUAACUCCAAGGGGUCCCUAUCUAUACCUCUGAACAGCUUAUCGUUCCUUGCUUUCCAUAUGUACCAAAUUAUCCAAGGAUAUGGGUCUCUAUAAUUUUGUGCUUCCAUAAUACUAUUCUUCCUCCAAAAGAGAUAAUCCAUGUUAGUGUAGAUACUCUCAGUAGGGAAAGUCUGAGAGCUAGACGGUGUUGAUGACAGUUCCCAUGCUUGUAUUGCCGGUGGGCAUUCAAAGAUCGCAUGAGUAGCCGUCUCUUCCGGCUCUCCACAUCUUGGGUAGUAGUUAUCACAUCGCAUAUUGCGACAUACCAGAUUCCUUGUGACAGCUACCUGCCCAGCAAUAAACUGUCAUAUAAGAUGACAAAUCAUUUGUGGUGCAUUGACUUUCCAAGAAAAGGCUUGAAGUUUGCUUAUGUUGGGCUCAACAACUUCUUUUUCCUCCACAUCUCUCAGAAUAUUUGUAGCUACCCAAUAUCCUGAUUUUACAGUAUAUUGUCCAUUUUUGGUGUAGCUCCAACAAAAAGUAUCGCGUCGAUGAGUAGGGCUUAUGGCCAGACUCUAAAUAAUAGAUAUAUCCUCUCGUUCUACAUAUUGAUCUAGUAUCCGAGUAUCCCACUCCUUUGAUUCAAAAUCGAUAAGAUUACUGACUAACAUCUUUGGAUUAAAUAAUGGGGCUCUGGGGCGCGCCGGUCUUGCUGGAAUCGAAUGAAUCCAUGGAUCUUGCCAAACAUUAAUUUGGGUGCACUUUACUCAUGAUGCCCAAGAGUAAAAGUUUUCUUGCCGGUAUGAAACUCAUCCACACAUACGAUGGACUAUCCACUGCACCGAUUCGCAAAGGCAAACUCAAUCGAUAGUAUCUUCCCCGAAGAACUCUCGCCACUAGUGAAUCUGGGAAUAGUACAAGACGCCAAAGCUGUUUCGCCAGAAGGGCAAGGUUAAAUUCGUGGAUCAUGCGAAAACCAAUACCUCCCUCCUCUCUAGGGGCACACAUCUUCUCCCAUUUAGCCCAGUGGAUCCCAUGCUUUGGUGAAUUUGAACUCCACCAGAAUUGUGCGAUGGCAUUCGCAAGGUUUUCACAUAUCUCCAAAGGGAGUAGGAAACUGGACAUGACAUAUGUCGGAAGAGCUAACAGGAUAGAUUUUAUUAGAACUUCUUUUCCACCUUUUGAUAGCCAUAUCUACCCGUCCAUCCAUUCACUCUGUGUAGUAGUUUUUCUUUCAAGAACACAAAUAGCCUACACUUGGAUCCACUAAUAUCCUCUGGAAUUCCUAAGUAGGAUCCCAUCCCCCCUUCAUUAUGGAUACACAAGUGUAUCUUUAGUCAGCUGUCGAUCAUUAGCAGGAAUCCUCUUACCAAAGAGUAAUGAGGAUUUAUGAAAGUUAAUACAUUGUCAUGAUGCUUUCCCAUAUUUUGUGACUACUUUCAUAACUUCUUCACAUUCACGGGGUUCUGCCUUACAAAAGAAAAGGCUAAUCAGCAAAGAGAAGGUGUGAUACCGAGGGGCAAGCGCAUGCGACUCGUGUCUCUGUUAUCUUCCCUUGAUUCUCUACAUGAUUAAGAAGGCUAACGAGCGCUUCCGUGAAUAGAAUAAAUAUGAAAGGAGACAGAGGAUCUCCUUGACGUAAACCUCUACCUGGAACAAUAUUUUCCCUUGCCUCUCCAUUCAUGAGUACUUUGUACUUGACCGAGGUAAUACACUCAUAAUCAAGCCAAUCCAUAUUUCUGAAAAACCCAUCUUCCGCAUGACAGCGUCAAUGAAUAACCAAUCAAUCAUAUCAUAUGCUUUACUCAUAUCCGUCUUUAUGCCCAUUCUCUUGACUCGUCUACCUUGUUUGGUUCUUAGAGCGUGAAACAUCUGCAGAGCUAUCAUGAUAUUAUCUGUGAUCUGUCUCCCUGCAACAAAAGCUGACUGGGUUUCUGAUAUCCGUUGUGGGAGGACCUUCUUCAAUCUUUGGCAUAAGACCUUAGAUAUUAUUUUAUAACUGACAUUGCACAGGCUGAUAUGUCUAAAUUUUGUCAUCUCUUUCGGCUUAUCCGUCUGUGGAAUUAGGCAGAUAUUAGUAUCAUUUAAUCCAUGCACCAUUGUUCCUUCGAAAAGAAACUGAUUAACCAUAAGACUUAAUUCCUCUUUGACAAUAUCCCAAAACUUCUGAUAGAAAAGAGCCGUCAUUCCAUCUGGCCCAGGGGCUUUUUCUGGGUGCAUUGCGAAAAGAGACAGUUUUACCUCCCAUUCAGUUACUGGUCUUGUGAGGUCCUCAUUUACUGCCCCAGUAAUCGAUGUUGAUACCUCUGUCAAAGCAUCGUCUAUAUCCUCCGGGUUUGAAGACUCAAAAAUUUGCCUGAAAUAGCUAGUAGCAUUGGCUACUAAUCCUUCCUCAUCCUCCACCAUGUUUCCAUUCUCGUCUAGAAGUUGUGUGAUCCUAUUCCUCGCUCUUUUCUGCUUCACCAGCGCAUGAAAAUAUUUAGAGUUCUUAUCACCUUCCCUUAACCAGAGAACCGUACUCUUCUGUCUCCAAAACAUCUCUUCUGCCUUAAGAGCAGUAGUUAGUUCCUUAAGCGCGUCAGCUAUUUCCUCAGAGGUAGCAUCAUCAUUUCAAUAUAGAUCGUCCACCUUUUCUUUAAGCUCCUCCACUUGCUUUUCUGUAUUCACAAUGUUUUGUCUCCUCCAUUGACUCAAUGCCUUCCUACAACUGGCAAUAUGAUCUAUUAUAUUAGCUUCUGGUGGCAAAUCCUCUGACUUCCAACCUUCCAAAAUGACUUGCCUUAGUUCUUAAUUAUCCAACCAGCGUUUAUCAAAUUUAAAUUUUUUUUUCUUUCUCACUGGUUUUGUUUAUAGUUAAAAAAAGAAUUAUUUUAUACAGUUUAUAAUUAUCGUACAUUAUUUUUGUUUGUGUUUCUUUUCAUUUAUAUAAUACUGAUUCCUUUAUUUUUCUCUAGGAGUUACUCACUUUCACUUGUUCUUUUUUUCUUAACUUAUAUAAGACUAACUUUAUAUGUUUCAUGUGAAUUUACUAUACAUAGUAAUUAUGGAUGCUGCAAUAUAUGUUAAUUGGGUGUUAUUUUGUAUUGUAAUUCUUUGUUGUGUGUGUUUCCAGAAAUAUGUUGUGUCGGGAACUUAAUUUAAUAAUAGUACGAAAGUGUUAAAUACUAUUAUGUUAUUUUAUAUUCCCAUAACUUGUAAACAUUAUUGUGAGUGCUUAAUAAGUUCUUCUUAUAUUCUUUCUCGACUUGCAGCUGCCACUCCUCUUCGCUUUAGCUCGUUCCAGCUCUCCGCGGUCGGUGCUCCUCACCUCUGUCUGGAGUGGGCUGUUCUGCUUUCUUUUGUUCGGUUAUGCUUCUCUGCUUAUUCAGUUUUCAGCAGGGAAGUUGAGGAGUCGCUACUUUGGGAAAGAUUAUCUGGUGGUUGAGGUGACAGAUCUAUUCAUUGUAAUUGUGUGGCGUUUGGCGGUUCAUCGGCGAUCUGUCUACCUCUUCUUGUCUCGUCUUAAGUGAUCUUUCGAUCAAAAUGGUGUUUUGGCCUCUCUCUGGUUCGUCUGCUCUUUCUCAAUGGCAGGGAUUUGAGUACUGUCCCUGCUUCAGUCAAGUGCGGUGGUCAGGGUGCGACGUCUCAUCUCAGAUUAGUGGCAUCUCUUUUCGGCGUGUGCAUAUUCUCCUUUCCUGAGGUUAUGCCUAGGCGGAUGUCUUGGGUCUGUUAGCUCUGGCGUGAGCACCUCUUCGGUGAUGGCUGGGGGUGGUGCUUCAAUGUGGUGGAGUUCAGAGUUUCCCCUUUGUUUGCUCUUCGGAUCUAUCUAGAUCUGUUAUGGUUUCCAGCGUGGCUUCGCUUCAAAGGUUAUGGACAUGUGAUUAUUCAAUUGAGUUUUGGUCCGCUGCAGUGUUGGUGGUGAUUAGGUGUUGAAUAGAGGCAUCGGUCUGACUUUGGCGGCUCUGUUGCAAUCUUGGGAGAUGAUUCUUCAGGAUUUUAUAGCUUGAGAAUGCUGGCCGGAGGCAACUUUUCUGACUGCUAGUAGAAGCUCCUAUGCCGCCGGGUGUAGCUUGAUCUUCUGAAGUUGGUUCGUUUUUGCAUAGUUCUUGGAGAAGCUAUAGGCUCUUCUCACUUGUGAGGUUUGAGGGCAGGUCUCGGAAGGAGGAGCUCGUGGCAACAAAGAUGAGGAUUCCAGUUCUUUGGAUCUGCGGCAACUUUGCAAAUGUUUGAGUUCUAUACUCGGAAUUGGUGCUUUAUCAUCCAUGAUCCCCUUAAUUUAUUUUGAGGUGUUUUUUUUUUGUUGUUUUUGCUUGUUUUCCU